CAAAUUUUGCCUGACCAAUUCUGCAAGACUCAGGCAAGCUGUGGCACAAGCUCUUCACUGAAGAAAUAAAAAACCACAAAAUCAGGAGGCAUCGCAAGAAACUAGUACGCGCGUCAUGAAUCUUACUUUUUUUCUCCUGACAACGGGACAUACAUCCAAAACCAGUUACCGAUCUGCGCGCGUCGUGAGAAUCUUCCUAAAAAUGGAGGGAUAUUGGAGGGGGAACAAAACACGUAUUGACACGAGAGAGAGAGAGAGAGAGUUCGAAGAUGACGAAAAAGCAAAAAUUUACGAGAUCGAAAAUCGAAAGAGGAGAAAGAAAGUCGAACGAUGCCACUUGCAGCUUAUCGGAAACGAGGGGCGCGAUCUCGUCGACGAUCCCUAGGGUUUCGACCUGCCUAGCAUCAUCUUUGCUCCGAAGCUCCGAUCGACAUGGGGAGGUUGUCCUUCUGAGCGAUGAUUUCGCGCGGCGCCUUGAAGAAGAAUCCAAUUGCGCCUUCCCCUGCUAGGACUCAAUCCCGAUCCAAUUUUCCCGUCAUUUCUGUGCGGCGUCCCGGGGAAUUAUUUCGGGUGGGGGGCUUUUAUAGUGCGCGUACAGCAUGAAAGCAUAUCUGGAAAUAGUAAAAACCGGGUCCUUGUAUUUUUGACGCUGAGAAUCCAUACGAAAAUUUAUAACGAUUAUGAAAUCGUUGUUGUGAUUCGACGAGAAUACGAAAUAAAUCCACCUAGGCCUAUUAUCUAAUAUCUAUCUAACUAUUAAUUGAAAAAAUAAUUUAUGCUUUGUGUCAGUUGACUGCUAAUAAACUUUGAUUUGAUUAUUUAACUCAAUUUUUUACAAUUUUAUUAUCUUGAUCCAACUUCUGACCAUGAAACCUACUUAUUUUAGUAACUUCUCUGCAUUUAAAAACUUUAAAAUCAUCUUAAUACUACCUCUUUUUUUUGGGUUGAAAUCUAUAUACUACCUCAAUCCACUAUUUCAUAGCCGUCUCUAGUAGAUUAUCAUUUUUGAAUUCAGAAAAAAAAAUCAAUUACAUUUCAUAUCAUGCAUGUGAACUAAUUUAUGUUUCACUUAACACGAGUCUAGUAACACUAGUCGCUUGCUGUGGACUUGUUUAACUCAUGUAUGCUUAAUUUGUGUUAUGUUCACUAAAUGACCCGGUCUAUAAAGUUCACUUUCUCAUCAGGGUUUCCUUAUGUGGCUCAUCAACACUAUCCCCUUUAUUUGAUGUGCAACAUGGUCCAUUGCUAUCAUUGGUUAUCCUCAAAACGUGUCGAGAGCCGCACUCUUAGCCCUUCUUGGUUUGGUUUAGUCCCAGCCCAUUCAUGAAAUACAUCUAUAAGAAGGAGUCCUACUCUGAUGUCAUCCGCAACCAGGUGCACCCUUUCUAGUGGGACAAACCCAAAAAAGGGUAAAUGACUGUAUAAGGCUGUCGCUAUUUGCAAUGAUUAAUAAGUUUCCCUUGUAAAGUAUGUUUAAGAAGUGUCAAGAUGACCCUUCAUCAAAAUACACAGGUACUUUGCUAAUUGGCCAUACUCUUCCAUGGAGAAAACUUUGUCUGACGAAUUAUUGACGGGUUAUAAAUUAGCUGUUACCUACACUUAUUUUUAAUUAAGUUGACAUAUGCUUGAUAUAUAUAUCUUGAAAGUAAUCGAUUAAAUGCUUGGUUAGAAUUUUUUUUCUUAGAACAAUAGAAAAAACACUAGCAUUUCAUUAACUGGUAGAUGUGAUCAUUGGGUUGAGCUUGCAUUAUAUAAUUUCAAUAAGCUCGCCCACAAUAUAGAAUUUUUAUAUAAAGGUUCUGUUCAAUCCGGGUUGGGUUUUGUAAUGUAAGGGUGUCGCUCUAGCCAAUCCAUUUUCCUUUUGAGGCGUCUGCUCGUUGAUUGCCUUUACUAUUGUGAUUAAAAGUGAACACUUAAGUGCCAGGUUUUUUAAAAUGUGAUCAGUUAACUGCUAAUUUUUUUUUGUACGUUUCCUCUAUAAAUUAUACCAGCCAUCAGCUACUACUAGCCACCACUAUUGGCCUCCAGCCAUCACCACCAACCACACCAAGCAUUCCAAACACCCACUUGAGCCACCACUAGCCACCAUUGUGCUGGUGGUAUACUGCUACAGAAGUUGUUAGUGCAAGGUGUCUUACACCAGCUUGCACCAGCACUACCUGGUGCAAGAUGUGCAUAUUGUAUGCUUACAUCUUGCACUAGGUGUAGCACAAACCCUUAACCCAACCCUUAUAAUAGACUCACCAUCAGUAGGCAUCGGUAGUCACCAUUGGCCACCGCCACUAGCAACACCAGCAUCCAAGCUACCACACCAGCACGUAGCCACCACCAUAGACCCACCAUUAGCAGCCAUUGUUGGUGGUAGGUGGUGGGUCUGUUGUAAAAAGGGCUCGUGCAAGCUAGGUUAUGCACAUUGCCCACUUGCAUCAGUACUAGCUGUAGCAAGAGCCCCAACCCAACCCCCACAAUGGACCCACCACCACUAGGCUUCAUUAGUCGCUACCACCUGCUACAUGAGCACUUCAGUUGCCACCACAAAUCCACCACCAGAAGCAGUAAGUAAAAGUAAGAACAAAAUAAAAAAAAUGAAAAAGGAAAAAAUGACAAGCAACGAGAUCAUUUCAUUAAUAUUGAAAUUAAAUCUUACAAACUCAAUGACAAACUAUUAAAAAAAAAAAUCCACAGUAAAACAAGUAACUUCUUAGCCCCACAAACCAUAUCCCAUCCCAUUUCAUCAAUCAAUAUGCACAAUGCCUCUUGUUCGUGCUCUUUUUGAUGGACCUUUCAUCUGAUUCAUAAUCCUUGCAUUUUUUCUAACUAGACGUGAGACGUCUUCUUCAAUUGUCUCGGGAUGCGUUAAUUAUGAUGGAGCUGCAAUUAUUGUAGGCUGAACUGAUUCAGAAGGAGCUGCAAUUGUCAUAGGUUGAACUCAUUCAAAAUAAGCUGCAACUGGGUUCUUCUUACUCUUCUUUCUUGUUGGCACAGUCAAUGUCUUCUUUGUUGGUGCAGCCGUUGAUUCUUAAGUUGGGUUUUAAGAGAUAAGAACCUUUGAACUUCUCCCAAACUUCAAAAAGAAUUUGCACCAUAAAUUAAAUUAAAUAUAGCCUAUAAAACUUGCAUUAAGAAUAAUUGUUCCAGUAUGCUCAUCUGUAUAAAUGCCAUAGUCAUAGUGUUUUAUCCUCUUCGCAAGAGUCCCUCUUGUUCAAAAGGGAACGUCACUUUCAGGUACUUGUGAUUGGUUGGCCCUUCUUCUUGUCUGUGAUUUCUUAGGCUCUUGUUGUGGCUGUUUAGCGACAGCAGGAGCUUCUUCGACCAAUUCUUUAGCUAGACGUCUUUGAGAUGACCUUCUUGUAGUUGGCCCUUGAUUUGACUUUCUUGUUGUUUUUUUUUUUCUAUUUAGCCAUUCAGCUUCAGUGAGACCUUCUGUUGGCUUUUGUGGUGGCCCUUGUGAUGACCCUUCUAGUGGUCUUUGUGAUGACCUUGGUGAUGGAUCUUGUGGUGGCUCUUCAGUUGGGCCCUUUAUUGGCAGCUAAGCUCUAGCUUGCCUUUUCUGAAUUUGAGAAAAAGGCAAAUGACAUCAUAAAUAUAACAUCGGAUCAUAUAACAAUGUAAAGGAAAACUAAACACAAAUGAUUGAACUUACCUGGUAUUUUUUUCUUUGCUGCUACUGAAGAACGGUUGACUUAACUGGCCCUUCAGUUACUUCAGCUCAUCCUUCAGAUGGCUGUCUUCUACCUUGCCUUCUUUGAACAGGCCCUUUAGUUUCAAGUACAGUAAGGGCUUCAGCCAAUUCUUCACGUGUCAUUCUCGUGAUCUGACAAAGAAAAAACAUACAUGUCAAUUAUAUCUAUGUACAUAUUUGUGAUAAACCAUAAAGCAAUAUAAACACAAAUGUCAUGACUUACUGGGUUUAUUGUUGUCGACUGAAGAACAAUUGACUCACUUCGCCUUUCUGUUUGUCCUUCUCCAACUGUCCCUUCACGAGGCCAUUCGGCUGGCCUCAACUGUUCCUACUGCUUCCUUAAUUGAUAACCUUUAGUAUUGUGCCCUGCUAUGUGACAAAAAUAACACUUCAUCUUUACACCUGUCCUACUCAUCCUACGCUGACAAGAGACUUCUCCUUCCGUCAUUCUUCAUUUUCGCUUCGGUCUUCUCAUUUUCUUCUUUAGUGGCAAAGGUUGAGGUGCUUUGCGAUCUAUUGGCUCUUAGAACUUGCUACUUCUAAUUGGCUGCAGCAUGAAUUGGUACGGAGCAAGAUAUUUCAGUUUCUUGUACCAAUCAUCAAUGUAGUCCUAUGUGUUGUAGCCCUUCAAUUGAAUGGCACAUAUGGCAUGUGCACAAGGAAUUCCACUUAGUUGCCAUGCUCUACAUGAACACUUCAUCGUACCUAAAUGGACAACAUACUUAUCGGAACCCUUUAUUAUCUCAUAUCCUUUAUCCCAUUUCAAAUGGGAUGACAAUACCUACUUGCAGUCAAGUUCUCAUCCAAUUUCUUAGCAAUCCUAGGACCACAUUGCCUAGUCCGCUUUGUAGCCUCAUCUCUUUGUCUGUGUAGCCGAGUCAUGACCAUAACCCGUAUGUCUUAAUUGGUUUGCAUUUGGCAUCUAUUAUCCUCCCAUUGAAUGCUUCACAAAUGUUGUUAUCGAUAUUAUCGCACUUGAAUUUCUCGUUGAAGAACGCCCUACACCAAUACUUUGGUUUUGUUUGGAAUAGUGCAUCAUAACCUUUAUUUGUCAAUUGAAGCAGUUCUUUUUUAGCCAUCCUAAAAUUAGCCAUAUUCGUGCUCUUUGCUAGUUGCCAAAAUUGCGACUGCAGCUUGUCCCCUUUAUAGGUCUUUGCCCAAUUUGCGUAUAUAUGCCGCGUACACAUUCGAUGUUUGGCGUAAGGCAACAACUCAGCUAUUGAUGGAAUUAGUCCUUGCAAUAAUUCAAAAUAAGAAAUGUAAGCAAAUAACGUGUUGAUAUAAAAAAAAAACCAAAAUUUUCAAAAGGCAAACAUUACCUUUUAUUGCUUACUCAUGAAUGCCCACCUUUACUCAUUCGUUAUCUCUAAAUCAGUCAUUAAAUUUUUUAGGAACCAGGACCAAUUGUCUUUAUUCUCUACCUGCACAACAGCCGUCCAAUCCUAUAAUCCGUCUACAACUAGAUAAAAAUCAUCAUUUGCAUACAUCGAAGCAAAUAUAGAACUUAUCGAACUUGGUCCCACUAUCAAAAAGAGGUCUCUCCACGACCUCUACAUAUACUUUACUUGAAGGAUUUUACAGCCUACACUCCCAAGCAUAAUCCAACAACUGUCCAUAUUCGCUGCUGUACUAACCAAUGAGUAUCUUCAUCACCUUUUGCUUCGAUCUUUUGCAUUAAUUCCUGGAUAUAUUGAUGCCUACAUGCUCCUUCACCAUCAUCCUUAAUUCAGUACUAUUCAUAUGAGGAAUCGGUUUAAUCACAUCAAAGAAGUGCUUGGACAACCAUGCACUUGUUACUCUUUUAUUUUCAAAAUUAAUGAAACAAGUAUGUUCCUCUUGGUAGGCUAUAAUAUGGAAGGAUCCAUUUCUUCUAACAAAUGCGUCAUAGAUCUUCUAUGGGCAAUUUUGCUGCGAAUACUUAGCUCUCACAAAGGUCUUAGUGUUUCUAAUGAAGUCAAUAUUCCUUUGUGUAGCAAAGGAGUUUUUCAGUAUAGCUUCCCUAAAUUGUUUCGCAUCUUGAAAUUUCAUACCUACUAACAAAGUAGGAGAGGCAACGAAUGGAUCAUAAGAAGGAUACUUACUUUUCCUUCUAUGCACAACUCAUUGAUUUUCUUCAAGCUCAUCUUGGGAGGUAGCAUUCUCGACGCUUUCUUCAUAAUCAGUCUCCUUGCCAAUAGCACUAGCAUCUGCAGGGCCUUUGGCCUUGUUUGGAACUUCAUUAGCUAUGGAUAAAGCUGCAAACUUAUCUGUCAAAAAACCCCUUUGCUUUUUUCUUGACUGUACAAGCUCUUUGUCGUCGUUAUCAUUUAUGAAAUUUUUAGCAGGCAACCCUUCAUCAUCAUCAUUAUCACUUGAUUUAGUUACUUCCAAUCUAAUUUAGUGAUUGUGACAUCACCUAUGUCAUCAUCACUUUGGUGAACUACAUCUGCGCUCCUCUCCUCUCCAUCAUGUCUAUCCUGCCCUCCUUCGACCUUAACCUCAGUACUAUCUUGAAUACCAUCUCCUUCUUGUCCUACUUAGGCACUCUCUCCAUCAUCAUCUUCGUCCUCACUUUCACUAUUGUACUCAAUGUAUACUUUUACCUCUUUGCCAUGAAGAUAAUUGUAUAGAACAUCCCUAAAACCAUUACCAUCUUUUAAGCUUCUCAAACCAUCUCUUAAGCCUUUCCCAAGAACACAAUACAACAACUUUUGAAUUUUACAAGGCAAAUAAGUCACUAUAUCCCUAACAAAUCCUAUAUAAGAUGCCUUCUUUAUAUUGACAAAGAUGGUACCCUCAUUUCCACCCUCAUACUCCACUCAUCCUCCCCAAUCACAAAAUUCCUACCAUAGCAAACAAUGACAGCGACAUAAUCCUUCUCAUAAGCCAUUUCUACACCAAGAAAAAGAAUAAUUAGUUUUUGAGAUCACAUUCACAAAGAACAACAGACAAUUGCACAUGGGAGUCACUCCACUUACGUGGACUUUAUUAAAGAAAAGGGAAGGGGGAAGAGAUGCACAUGUCAGGCAAUUUAUUAGAAAGAUACCAUCCACGACAAAAAGAGGUCCCCACACUGAUAGUAUGCCCCUACAUGAUAGCCAAAAAAGAGGUCGCAACUUUAAUUAUUUGCCUUCUUUUCCCUUAAAAUAUUAACCAAAAAACAAAAGGUCUACACGACAAGCACAGGUUAUCAUGACACCCAUUUCAAUACUUCAAUUUAUAAAAAGUGACUAGACGUCCCCACAACAACCACUUCGAGCAGUCAAAAUUGCUACCGCACAUCAUAUUUCACAUCUAACCCCUAAAAAUCGCCCUCGCCCUCGCACAUCACAAUACAACAUUCAAGCUCUAAACACACAUCAAAGUAGCACCAUUCUAAAUCACACAUCACAAUAACACCAAAUCUUCGAGGUCGAGCCCUAAUUUUUCCCUCGUUGAACCCUACAUUUUGAGGCCAAUCCCUAAAUUACCAAUCUGAACCCCCAUUAGGGUUCUAGUACCGCUUCUGACCCCUAAAUCGCACAUUCAAGUACCAUCCGAGCCGACCUCCACAUUUCCCUGCCGAACUCCAAAUUUUCCAUCGGAGCCCUAAUAAAAGAAUUCGAGCCUUAAUUUCAUCACAAGGGAGGGGGAGAAAGGGCUGAACUUGGAGGAGUGGCGAUGGUGAGCGGCCAUGACGACCAAUGACGGCGACUGAUGACGGCGACUGAUGACCACCUCUGGGCGUGAACGGCGACGGAGAUAAGGGUUUGAAAUCCAGUGUAAAAGCGAUUGAACGGGGAUGAACGUCGAUGGUCAGGUCUGCUUAAGCCAAAAUAACUUAAACGGCGUUGUUUAACACUAAGGAAAAACGACAUCGUUUAGGUUGGCUCAGUCAGCAUGGAUGGACGACGUUGUUUUUGUUGUCCACGUGUGUGUUUUUUUUUUUUUCUUUUCUAAACGUUUGCCACCUCAGUAAAAGAUGUCGCUGGAAAAUGUCAGGUAUGCAAUUUGGCCAGACUUUUUCGCCGGUGGCAUGAUUCAUUUUGCUCUGAUUUUGGCACUUAAGUAUUACUUUCGUAACUUUUGGCACUUCAGGGGUCCGUGUGUCAUUUAAGAAGUGUCAAGAAGACCCUCCAUCAGAAUAAUAGGUACUUUGCUAAUUGGCCAUACUCUUUCGUGAAGAAAACUUUCUAGACGAAUUAUUGACAUGUUAUAAAUUGGUUGUUACCUACAUUUAUUUUUAAUUAAGUUGACAUCUGAUUGAUAUCUAUAUUUUGAAAGUAAUUGAUUAAAUGACUGGUCAGAUUUAUUUUUUUCUAGAUUAGUAGAAAAACACUACCAUUUUACUAACUAAUAAAGGUGAUCAUUGGGCUGAGCAUGCAUUAUAUAUUUUCAAAAAGCUCGCCCACGAUAUAAAUUUUUUAUAUAAAGGUUCUAUUUAGGCCGGAUUGGGCUUUGUAAUGUAAGGAUGUUGCUCAAGUUGGUCUAUUUUAUUUUCGAGGCACUUGCUUGCUGAUCACCUUUACUAAUUGGACCGGUAAUCAAGGAAGAAAUAUUGCAUGGUCUACAAAUUCUAUAGAUUAAACCUAUCUCCACCGUUGAUCAUAUUGGCUCCGUGAUAGGUCCUCCACAACUAAUGAUCGGGAUGUUAAUGGCCUAUAGGGUGGACGAACCAUGCAAUAACUUCUCCAUGUUAAGCGGUCUGGCCGAGCAAUUCAACUCGAGCAGCCGCAUUCAUUGUUUGCCUCUCUGAAUGUGGACGCAUCACGAGGCCAUCCCCAUGGUCAUAUGAUCGAAAUUGUGAAAAUUCAGAGAGAUAGAUUUCCACCGAAUAUUGCCAUGAAGAAAGUUUUAUUAUAUUUAUAGCUAUGUGAAUCUUUGUACAAAGGAGCCAAUAUAUAACACAAAGAAUGAUUAACAAAAAGAAAGAGUAUAUUUCACUAAUCUAUGUGUAUCAAUUCUAAUCCUAGAUUGAUUCAAUUAAUCAAUGUGAAUAUUUAAGAGAGAUAUCUCUUUGAGUGAUCUUCCUUGGAGAGGAAGUUGCGGUGAUUUUGAGAUAUCUUUUGGGUAACCUUCCUUGGAGAGGAAGUUGCCGUGAUUCUUGGGUGAUUCUGGAUUAUUCAUCUUAGCUGGUAGUGUUUCAUUUGACAAUCUUCCUUAGAGAGCAAGUUGCGGUGAUUCUUGGGUGAUUCUAGAUUAUUCCUCUUAGCUGGCAUUGUUUCCUUUGACAGAAAUCAUGUUUAGAUGUAAGGGAAAAAGAAAAGUCUCUUUGGCCUUGAUGAGAUGUGGACGGCAGGAGAAGUAAACUCAGCGAAUAUAAAAAUACGAUCUGGGCAUGCAGAGCACUUCGUGCCGAGUGACAUCUACAUAUGGGUGUCUUCUUGAAAUAAUAGACUUAAUGCAGAUGAAGAUUGAUUGCUGCUUGGGAGUUGUCUCAGAGCGGUCCCCGAGUUGUCAUUCCUUCACGGAACAGACCUGGAAUGGAGUGGACCGAAGCAGGUCGAGGUUCCGAACAGCUGGAGCUACCGCGAUAGACUCCGCUUCGAGGUAGACAUCCUUCUAGGUCUUCAGCUAAAAAGGAGAGAAAAGACGUAGAAGCGUCCAUGACGGUGAACUGCUUUCAUCUCACCUGCGAGUACUACAAACCAAACGCUUUGACAGGUGAUUCCACCAUGGAAGUUAAUGAAGAGUUGAAAUGGGCGUUAACUUAUCGAGGAUCUGCAUUACCAUGCAGGUUUAUGCUCGAGACAGAUGCACUGCCCACGGACGACCCGGCCCCCUCAUAGGAGUCGUCAUGGACAUGUCAUAGUUCCAUUUAGGGUCAUUUCAGGCCUAUAAUCGCGACCAAACCCCCUCCCAAACGUCAGCAUUACACACCAUGAGAAACGGGAUCUAAUCGCUGCAGCAUUGGUAAUUUGGUAUGCGAUGCUGGUAAGUGUCAAACAACUCCGAUAUCCUGAAAAUGACCGGUAGGUUUGCUCCCCCUGACCAAGCGUUUGUAACUUAUCGACAGGUUUUUGACAAGUUCCAAGAUCUAUAUAUGCUUAAAAAGUUGUCAACUGAUUUUAAUAUUCUAUCGAUAUUUAUUUCUAUAACUUAUCAAUGCUGUGAAGGUCAAAGCAAUUGCGGGCCUUGAUUUGAUUAUAUCAACAUUUGACAUGGUAAGAUACCAAUUAGUUUUACUCACAUGCCAACCUUUUUUUUUUGGCUAGGUUUGGAAAAGUAUCACCAUUUCUUUAUACAUCCGAGGAUCACCGAUUAAUUUCACAAUCUAACAAUAUCUAUUAUUGCAAUUGAUAGAAUCUAACAUCUAUUGGAAAUUAUUCAACAUUAAUUAGAUUGAGAUAUCAAUUAAUUUUAGUCGCUCACCAACGACAUACGAUCGCGGCUUUUAGAAGAAAAAGUUGUGUAGAAUAAAGGAAAUUACAACUAGCUCCACACGGCGGGAAAGGAGUAUAAAUUAACAUUACAAAUUUAAUAAUCGCCAACACAAAAAAACAGUCAUCUUUCGGGGGGAGUUUCACUUGAGCAAUCCUUCAUAAGAACAGCUUCCUGAUCGUGGUCUUUCAAUUCGAGCCUUGACACAUUCGACCGGCUUCUGCAUCCAUCUCUUCGCUCGGACUCAAGCUUCUUCGAUUCUCAAGGUUUUCUCUAUCCUCUGCUUGAUUCUGAAAUUAGGUGUCCUUUGUUUGUCAAUUGUUAUAUGUAUUUCAUUGUUUCUUAGCUUCAUAUGUGUAAGGGUGCAUUCGAUAACGUUUCCGUUUUUUUUUUCCUAAAACAAAAAUCCAUUUGCAUGAGUUUUUGUUCUUAGCAAUAGAUUUAGAAUAGAAACAAGAAACAAAAAAAAAAAAAGGAAAGUUUUUUCAUUCUCGAGAAGAACUCAAGAAUCAAGUCCAAUUUAUUUUUCUUUAUUUUUCUUCCUUCUUUUUUCUUUCUUUUUCUCUUCCUCCUCUUCUUCCCCUAAUUGAUUGCCGGCCUUGGCCAUGGCGGCUGACGACUAGCCCAAUGAGGUUCGGCGCUUGACACUCUUGGCGAGGUCGCCUCGAGCCUCACUAUUUGCUAGGUGAGGUAAAUUCUAAGUCACAAAAAUAUUCGGAGAUCGCACCAAUCGCUUUCUAUUUCAAAAUUAGAAAUUUUGUGCAAUUAUCAAACACAUUCUUCUGCUAAAAACUUGUCCAAGGAACAAAAAAGAAAAAAAUAUUUCUAAAUAGAAAUUGUUCUCAGGAGCAGAAACGUUACUAUAUGCAUCUUGAGACUGCAAUUUCCUUUGUUUCUGAUUUAAAAAAAAAUUCGUAAUGUUAAAGGUGCAUUGAUUUUGUGCCGAAUUGACCAUUUUUCUGCCCUUAGAAGUGCCCUGACCCAAUCCAAUUCCCUGAGAAGUUCCACUUUGUAGAGUCUCACUAUUUUUUUGUCACUUUGUUCUUUUCCCCUUGUCCAGGGCUCAUACAUCUUUGCAAAUUGAUGGCAUCACGAAGUUCCCAAAGGAGGAAUUAGUCAAGAUUAAGCCUCCAACCUUUGGGAAACUUACAUUCUUCUUCGGGGGGAUGUCUGAAACUCUCUUCUUGCUUUCUAUAUAUAUAAUUGGUUGAUGCACAGGCAAAGAGCAUUUACUUGUACUCAUCCAUCUCCUUCGACCCUGGAUUGGAAGUACGAGAUCGGACGCAGUGCCUCUAUAUAACCCCGUAAAUUCUCCUCAUCUUUGUUGAAUCGUCAACACAACCCCGAUUUAUUUUUGAAGACUCCCAUAAGGACAAGGUGCAUUCAUUUCUCUUGUCUUUGCAAAGUUUGUCCAAGAAAAUAUGACAUCUUUCCCUAGGCCAGAAAACAAACAGAGUCAAUAUAAGUAUGAUGUUUUCAUGAGUUUCCGAGGUGAAGAUAUACGCAAAAACUUUGUUGACCAUCUGCACGAUCAUCUGCGGCGAAGAGGAAUCAUGGCCUUUCGAGAUGAUCACCACCAAGAUCUUCCGAGGGGAAAAUGUAUUAAACUAGAAAUAUUGAGGGCAAUAGAGCAGUCAAGACUUGUACUUGUAAUAUUCUCUAACAACUACGCUUCUUCUACUUGGUGCUUGGAAGAAGUUGCUAAGGCUAUGGAGUGCAAGAAUAUCCAUGAAGGAUCAGUGAUACCAAUUUUCCACAGGGUCGAUCCAUCUGACAUACGAAAACUGAGGGAGAACUUUGGGAUAGCCUUUGCUAAAACUGAGGAAGCUUAUUUGGGCGAUAAGAGAGAUAUAAAGAAGUGGAAGGAUGCGGUGAGUAAAGUGGCUAGUCUCGCUGGAAUAGAAUUGAAAGAUGGGUGGGCCUCUUUUCCACUAACUUGGAAUGAUUUGUUAUCCUUAAUAUUUGCAUGCCACUCAUGUCAUGACUAUCAUACUUUUUAUUAUGUUAGAUAAUAUGAACCAGAAUACACUCCAUAACUAAAAAGCCUCAAUGCUUGCUGGGGAACUAAUCAUCUACAUUUCUUCAUUGUAGAUAUGAGACCAAGUUUAUUCAGCAAAUCAUUGGAGAAGUUGAAAAUAAACUGGGUCCUCGGCUGUCCUAUGUUGUGGGCGAUCUUGUGGGAAUGCAUUCCCGCGUUGCAAAUGUAGUUGAAUGUUUAUGCUUGGACGAGAGUGAUGUACGCAGUAUUGGCAUAUGGGGAAUGGGUGGCAUAGGCAAAACAACUGUUGCACGAGCAGUUUAUGACAAAAUCCAUGACCAAUUUGAUGAUGGGUGUUGUUUUCUUGCUAGUGUAAGAGAAAUUUCAAAAAAGAAUGGUCUGGUGUAUCUACAAAACCAGUUUCUCGGCGAUAUUCUCCAAGAUGACAAUUUGAGAAUCAGGGAUGAUCAUAGAGGAGCGAACAUGAUAAAACAACGACUACAACAUAAAAAAGUUCUUGUUAUACUUGAUGAUGUGGAUGAAAAGGAGCAGUUGGAAAAAUUAAUAGGAGGUUUUGAUUGGUUUGGACAUGGAAGUAGGAUCAUUAUAACAACUAGAGAUGAACAUUUGCUUCUCCAACAUGGAGUAAAUUCCAUAUAUAAGGUGGAGGAACUAUCCUUUGGUGAGGCUCUCCAACUAUUUUGUUUGAAAGCUUUUAGAAGUAACCAUCCUCCAGCAGAGUUCAAUGAGAUCGUGAAGCAGGUUAUUGGAUAUGCCGAUGGCCUUCCUUUAGCCCUUGAUGUCUUAGGUUCCUUUUUGGCUUGUAGGAGCUUGACGCAAUGGAAGAGUGCAUUGGCUAGACUCAAAGAAUGUCCAGAAGGGAAAAUUUUUGACAGGCUCAAGUUAAGUUAUGAUGGACUACAACAUAAAGAGAAGGAGAUUUUCCUAGAUAUUGCCUGUUUUUUCAAGGGAAAGGAGAAAUCUUACGUUACAGAAGUUCUAGACAAUUGCGGUUUGUAUGCGGAUAUUGGAAUCAAAGUCCUUGUUGAUAAAUCUCUUAUUCAAAUCAUUGGCAACAAACUAUGGAUGCAUGAUUUGUUACAAGAGAUGGCUUGGGAAAUUGUUCGUCAAGAGUCUCCUGAAGAGCCAGGACAACGAAGUCGAAUAUGGCUUUUUGAGGAUGUAUGCAAUGUUCUAUCAAAAAACUCGGUGAGUAUCUACAAAAUUAAUUUGCACGCAUGCUUAUAUUAUAUAGGAAAGAAAAACUUGCGUCAUAUAUUGACACUAUAUGAGUUGUUUAUCAGGGAACUGGAAAAGUCAAAGCCAUAGUCUUACAAUCUGGGGACUAUAGAACAGUGCGCUUGAAUGGAGAGUCAUUCUCAAACAUGACUAACUUAAGAUUGCUUCAUGUUCGUGCCAUCCACUUCUCUUCUGGGUUUAAGCAACUUUCAAAUGAACUACGCAUGCUAAGAUGGGACAACUGCAAUCUUAAAUCAUUUCCACCAAGUUUUCUUCCAAAGAAUCUUGUCGAGUUCCAUAUGCAGGAUAGCCUCCUUUGUAGCCUCUGGAGAGGGGAAAAGGUUGGAAGUAGUACUCAUACAUGUCUAUACUUCAUCAGAUGCUUUAUUAUGUUUAACAAGCUAAUAAAAUUGUUCAACCAAUUUUUUUUAGAUGCAGGUCUUAAAGAAAUUGAAAGUUAUCAAGCUCAAUGGUUCCAAAUCAUUUGUGGAGACUCCAAACUUCAUAUAUGUCCCAUAUCUAGAGAGGCUAAUUCUCAAAGGUUGCAAAGCAUUAUCUCGGGUUCAUCCUUCAAUUGGAAAUCUAGAAAGACUUGGUCUACUGGACUUGGGUGACUGUGAAAACCUCACAGGACUUCCAGAUAGUGUAGGUAAUCUAAAAUCUCUCAAAGUUCUCAAUCUAUCAGGAUGUUCAAAUCUUGAAGAACUACCUGAGAGCAUUGGGGGCUUAGAGUGUUUACAGGAGCUUGAUAUUAGUGAAAGUGCCAUAACACACCUCCCAUCCAACUUGACAUUCUUACAAAAUCUGAAAAAAUUACGCUUUCGUGUUAGUAAAAGGAGGCCCCAAAAUUUUUGGAGGACACUAACGUGUACGCUAAGAAGAGCUCUGAACUCCAGACGUCCACGGUUGCCUUCAUUUUUAGGGCUAUCCUCUUUGACAGAGUUGGAUUUGAGUGGCUGCAGUCUUCUGGAAGGAGACAUUCCCAGUGAUAUUGACUGCUUACCCUCCUUGAGGUCUUUAGACCUAGCCAAAAAUAGUUUUACCACAAUAACCGCAAGCAUCGAACAUAUCUCUGGCCUGGAAUUUCUCAUAUUAAGUCAUUGCAAAAAUCUUGAAGUGUUACCAAGACUUCCAGAAAGCAUAAUCGUUGUGGCGGCUCAGAAGUGCCUCAGAUUGGAGAGGAUAUCAAACCCAUUCAUUAUAUGCACAGUACCUAACUCAGGGUUUUGCUUCCUUAAUUGCUCCAGUUUGCUUCCGCAAGAUCUUGAUUUAACUUUGCAGCAAAAGUACUCCUUGUCGUUGCUUCGUUACAUCAUUUGUUGUUCCAUGAGAACUGAUAUGAGAACUUAUGUGGUGUCUCCAUGUUUGCAAUGUGAAAUACCUCAGUGGUUUAGCUACCAAGCAGUUGGACCUUUGUUGAACAUAGAAAUGCCCCCAAAUUGGCAUGAUAAUAUUUGGAGAGGAUUUGCCAUAUGCGCAUCUUUUAAACGAAUCAAUUGCAACUCCGGUCAGGACUUGGAAAAUGACCACUUCAUUUUCUGUGGGUUCCAUGCUGAUGGAAAUCGGCUAGGUCCCUUAUUUAAGUUUCCCAUUAGAUUUGUCAAUUCAGGUUGCCUUUGGCUAGGUUAUGUGUCGGGUACUCAAUUUGCACGUGAUACAAAUUGGGAGACAAUGUCAAACCACAUUGUCGUUUCAUUUACGAUCACCAACCCUGGGUUAAAGGUGCAAAAGUGUGGUGUUCAUCUGGUUUACUAUCAGCAUCCAAGAAAGUUUGAUGAUAUUUUAGUUAGGUGGUCUAGUUCAUCGCCCAGGGAUUGGGAUAGAAUCUACCAUGAGUUUCAACCCCGAAGGGAGGUCAAUAGUGCCUUCAAAUAUUCCAUUGAUCCGAACCUGUACAAAGUGAAUGAAGGGGUAAUGAGCUGUGGGGUCUGUGAGUUUCCGAUCCGCUCGUCCAAUGCAAGUCGUUUACGCGUGGAGGGUCUAUAUUUGCUUUGGCAUCCUCUGAGACUUCGACUAGUGUCUGUUCAUGAUUUCAAUAGAAGGUAAACACUACUAGAUUUGAUCAAUUGCUGGGGCUUGUGUUAGACAUAUCGAAAUCCAAAAAGACUAUGAAAACUCAUGUUAAUCCUAGCCUAAAAAUCUAGAAUAUCACCACUGGCACCAACAUCUCCAAAAUAAUCGGGGGAAUAAUUUUUGCUGGCUUUUGUGUUUCGCUUUCUCACCAUAACAAAAUAUUUCUUGCAGAUUCUGGAAGAACAAUCAAAUGUGGUCAGUGUUCGUUAAUUUCAGGAAGGAACUUCGACAGGCACCGUAAGUGGAUUCUUUGUUUUCAAGAAACUUAUGUCAUACUUUAAUACUAUUACGUAUAUUUCGAUCAUAUGCUAAUUUCGCUUUUUUAACUUUUUGGACCAAUUCAUGAUUUUCAAUUUUCCUACUGACUAUAUUUUACUUUGCCUAUUUUAUCUGAAAUUACAGUUACGAAUACAAAUUGUAAUGUAUUGCUAAUCUACAAUUGGAGUUUUAGGCCUAACUAAAACUAAAACCCUCUCCAUGUAAUGGAGUCAAUGGAAUGACUCCCACAAUCUCUUUCCUGGCUGCCAACUCCAUUUCGAGUUUUUGUCGACAAGUAUCUGUAAAUCUUACGGAUUAAUAAAUCCUUGCACACCAUUAAUUUUUCUACUAUCAGGUGAGGCCACAUCUGUAUAUUUUUUUCCAAGGGUAGGAGAAUUUAAAUAUGGCAAGUUCUUCCAUCUCUUUCUUUAGCUUUUGUAUUUACCAUUUUUACCUUUGCAUACUCAUCAUGGGAGAUUGAUCUGUCUACAAAAUCAUAUUUUUCCAGAUAUGCUCCAAGAUAUGGUUACAAGAGCAUAUUGGAUGUCGCCAAGCAACCGUCAUCUUGAACCUGGCAGGUCUUGUCCUUCUGAACGACGAUUUCGCGCGACGCCUCGAAGGAGAAUCCAAUUGCGCCUUCCCUGCUAGGGCUCAAUCCCAAUCCAAAUUUCCCUUCGGCUGCCCGGGAAUUAUUUCGGGUGGGGCGCUUGGGGCUUUUAUAGUGCGCUAAGCGUUAAAGCGAUAUGGAAAUAGUAAAAACCAGGUCCUUGUAUUUUUCACGCUGAGAAUCCACACGAAAAAUUAAAACGAUUAUGACAUCGUUGUUGUGAUUCGACGAGAAUAAGAAAGCUCACAUGAUUUAUAAAGAUCACAUUCUCCUCGGGGUUUGCUUAUAUUGGUCACUAUCGCCAACACCGUGGCACUCGAGAAUUUUGACAACCCUCGGUUAUGCGAUGACCGUGACUGAUUAUGGAAGUACAGUCGAAUGGUGUCGUUGGCAUCAUGUGUGAACACCGUUUUAUUUCAUUAAUGGACUGACACCUCAUGUUUAGAAAAUAGUCCGAUUGUGGGAUAGACGAGAGUAUUUUCAAAAGCCUCUUUACAUAAGGUUAUUAGUGAGACUAAUCUCACCCAUAUUUCGCCGAUCUUAGAGGAAAAAAAUGAAUGAUGAUGAAACGUCAUGGAUGAUGAAGCUACUAUUGGAAUUCGUCAUCGUUAGUACUACAUUCAACCUUAUGAGUUGUGCAAAUGCUUUGAUGACGCUACACAAUGUACCACCAAAAUGUAUACGAAAUGAGAGGGAAAUUUUGGACUUCUAUUAAUUAAAAUUCUGAGCCGAAGAAAUAGAAUUCAGCCGUGCAUGAGGGACAUGCAAACCCAUGCGGAAAAGGAGGAAUCGUCCGCGCCCAAAAGCUGCCCCAACCUCUCUCCAUUUGGUCGACACCCUAGUCAACUAUGAGAGGAAAAUUUCUGACCAUUGAUGCCACGUUGCUUUCUUGCGGUCGGCCAGCAAAUUGGGAUUAAGAGAAGAAUUAAUUAAAUGGCUGAAGACACGUUGCAAGAGGAGCAAGGUGUCGAAGGAAGAGAAGCAUGCUGGACACGUACGGAUCCAGCUGCCCUUCAUGCAGCCAAACCAUGGAAAAAUGUUCUCUUAGUUGACUGGUUUUGGUGAAAAACCAGCGACUAAUCAGCUCACUUGUACUAACCAGAGAGAAAAGAAUUCGGACAGAGAGAGAGAAGGAGGAACCGAGUGAGAAAAACUGUGAGUGAGCCGCGAGGGAGAGGGAGGAGGUUAGUCCCACCGUGAGCACGCCUGCUGCCACCGUCAACGCCGCCGAUCCCCGUCGCCGAUUGAGCUGCGUUCGAAGUCCCAAGUCUCUGUUUUUGGUUGCCAAGCAAGUUAGGUGUUGAGGCAAGUGAAAGUUCAUCGAUCUAUGUUUUGCUUGCUGUAAUUAUCUAGUGAAGUGCUGGUAGAUGAGAGAAAAUGCAGAAUUUGGAGCUGCAUGUUGAUUUUAGAUGAAUGAGAUGAAGCUGAACUAAGAAACUGAGCAAAAAUAGAGUAUGUUCUAUGGAUUUUGGUUUUUGAAUUGAAAUAAGAACUCAAGGAUUUAGCUAUGGUGGAUUUUUGGAAGUGAAGAGGCUGUAAGAUGGUGUAAUACAUUUGUAAAUGCUUGGCCGUGGACGUUGGAUGCCGAGAUUCAAGGAUAGGAAUAUUUCUCUUUAGGUUAGUAAACUGUUUUUGCAAGAACAGUAUGACCUCCGGUGAUUUCUCGAUUUUUCUGGAAUUUUCUAGCCAAAAUUUGACUUCGAAUCCUUAAUGAAAGUUGAAGAGAACAUCUGUAAUAGUAACAUAUCAAAAAUUUAUCAUAAAUGGACAAGAUUUAGUCGAUGAAAUGAUUUUUAUACGGAAAUGUUAAAUCUGGAAAAUUUACAGAACGUUAGUAAGGAAUACCGGAAUUUUUACUCUCGAUACAUAAGGAAUUUGACUUGGUGUUCUUCAUGAAAAUUUUUUCUUAGGGUCUCAUUGAUAACAUGCAAACAUUUCACAAUUUUUCGAGCUCAUUUAGUAUUUAUUUCGAAAUAUUUACCAGAACUGUGCAUGGUAAAAUCAGGUUGCUCUAUUUUCGAAUUUUCACAAAAUGUCCCAAAGGUGAAUAUGUUUGAAAUGGUUAUGUGAUAUGAUGGUACUGGUUGUGGAUAUUUGUGCAAUUUUGAGAUUGGAUAGUGAACACAUGAAAUGGAUUGUUCUUGGCAUUUGAAAGUAUUCUGGUAAAUCUAAGAUGUUAAUGUUGCCGUUGGACCCUCGGGUCAACGAUGCCCUGGGAGUCGGGAUGCUUAGAGGUUCGAAUGAGUCGAUACCCUUUGGAUGCCUGGUUGUAUUAUGAAUACAUGCCCAAAGGUUUUUCCCCAGGAGUGUCGGGAUACCUGGUUGUAUUAUGAUACAUGCUCGGAGGGUGAGGGGUUGUAUUAUGAUGCAUACUCGGAGGGUAGGGGUAAUCAUUUUCAUGGCGAGCCCUGGCGAUUCCUCGUGAUGCCAGGUGGGGUGCGAGAUGCCUAGAGGUUCAAAUGAGUCGAUGCCCUUUGGAUGCUCGGUUGUAUUUUGAAUACAUGCCCGGAGGCUUUCGCGAUGCCAGGGUGGAUGCGAAUGCCCAUAAGGAUGCAAACAUUGGUCAUUUGGGGGAUGAAACCUUUUGAAUGGUUAAAAUUGAUGAUUAUACUAAACGUGAGUGUAGUCUGGUUAUGGGACUAAAUUGUAUGGCAUGGAAUGAGACGUGUUACUACAGUUUGACCCUAUGAUCGGGACUGGUGUAAUUGGACAUGAUGCAUUUUGAUUCUUUUGAAAUCACGUUUGGCCAUUGCAUUAAAGGAUUUCAUGAUUUUGAUGCAUACUUAUCCUUUAACUACCUGUUUCUGUCUAUCUUGCAUGAAUCUAGAUAUUAAUGGUACUGCUUGAUAUAGCUUGAUGAAUCUUUUACUCCUGAGUGGUUGUACUCACCAAUUUUGGGGACUAACAUUUCAGACUAGACAAGAUACCUCUACUGCCACUGCCACCAGCAGAUGGGUCGAGUGGUUGGCCAUGGCCAUGAGGAGGAGGACAACAGAAGAAGGAACUUUUGGACGCCGACACUGAUCGAUGGACUUUAAGUAUACAAUUGUUGGAAAAGAUGUCGGUCAUCUUUUGAAGUAUAGCCGAGUAUAGAAGACUACGGCAUUUUGGUGUACCGACUAAAGAUGUCCAUCUAGUUUUAUGCAAAUAAAAGUGUUCAGCUUAUUACCUAUAAAUGUGUUUAGUUGGUGUGCAUCGUUUUAAUUUGUGAAAGGGGAGUUGAUGGAUGUGCUUCCGCUAUAUAAACUACGCAGGGACCGAUCUAAAUGAUAUAAACCCCCAGGACUUAUGGAUCUAUUAUAAUUCUAUAGUAUCAGAGUGAUAUAUUAUCUGGACAACUGAAAGGAAAUCGAAUUGUGGCGACCCUAGCGAAUUAAGGGCCGUUUGACGGGUGCCACAAACACCGUCCCCUUUAUUAGGCGCGUAAUGUGGUCUAUUCCUAUCAUUCAUCAUUCCCAAAACAUGUCGGUACACUAGUCAAACCUAGAAAAAUUAUAAAUGACUAUGAGGUAGUGGCUAUUUGCAAUGAUUAAUAAGUGUCCCAUGUAAAGUAUGUUUAAGAAGUGGCAAGAAGACCCUCCAUCAAAAUACAGGUACUUUGCUAAUUGGCCACACUCUUCCAUGAAGAAAAUUUUCUAUGACGAAUUAUUGACAGGUUAUAAAUUGGUCGUUACCUACAUUUAUUUUUAAUUAAGUUGACAUAUGAUUGAUAUCUAUAUUUUGAAAGUAAUCGAUUAAAUGUCUACUUAGAUUUGUUUUUUCUAGAUUAGUAGAAAAACACGAUCAUUUUACUAACUGAUAAAGGUGGUCAUUGGGCUGAGCGUGCAUUAUAUUUUUUCAAAAAGCUCACCCACGAUAUAAAAUGUUUAUAUAAAGGUUCUAUUUAGGCUGGAUUGGGCUUUGUAAUGUAAGGGUGUUGCUCAAGUUGGUCUAUUUUCUUUUUUAGGCGCUUGCUCGCUGAUCACCUUUACUAAUCGGACCGGUAAUCGAGGAAGAAAUAUUGCAUGGUCUACAAAUUCUACAAACCAAACCUAUCUCCACCAUUGAUCACAUCGGCUCCGUGGUAGGUCCUCUACAACUAAUGAUUGGGAUGUUAAUGGCCUAUAGAGUGGACGAACCAUGCAAUAACUUCUCCAUGUUAAGCGGGAUGGCCGAGCAAUUCAACUCGAGCAACCGCAAUCAUCAUUUGCCACUCGGAAUGUGGACGCAUCACGAGGCCGUCCCUGUGUUCAUAUGAUCACAAUUGUGAAAAUUCAAGAGAGAUAGAUUUUUGCAGAAUAUUGCCUUGAAGAAAGUUUGACAAAAGUAUGCUUCAAGUGCCAAAAGUUGGCACAAAGGGACACUUAAGUGCCAAAAGUUACGAAAGUGAUACUUAAGUGCUAAAAUUGGAGAGAAAUAGAUCACUUAAGUGCCAAUCUGGCCAAAAUGCUGACGUGCGUAAUUUCCGGCAAAGUAAAUGCAAAACAAUGUCGUUUUGCACGCUGCCAGACAAUGCAAAAACAACAUCGUUUUGGUGCUGACAUGGUAAAAAAUUAAUAUAAAAAUUAAUAAAGUUUAAUUGAAAACUAAAUUUAUUUAAAACAUUCAAAAAUACAAAUAUUAAAAAAUAUUAAAAAUUUUAAAUUUUUUAAAAAAGUUUAAAAAUUAAAAUAGGGGGAGGCGACUGAGCCUCAUUUUUUAAAAUAUUUUUAAUAUUUUUAAUUUUAUUUUAAAAUGUUUUAAAUAAAUUUAUUUUAAUUAAUUUUUAUAUUAAUUUUUUACCACGUCAGCACCAAAACAACGUCAUUUUGCACUUGCUUCGUCGGAAAAUUGACACGUCAGCGUUUUGGCCGGAUUUUAGCUGAAUUGGCACUUAAGUGAUCCAUUUUGCUCCGAUUUUGACACUUAUGUGUUACUUUCAUAACUUUUGGUACUUAAGUAUCCUUUUGUGUCAAUUUUUGGCACUCUAGGGGUCCAAGUGUCAAGAAAGUUUUAUUAUAUUAAGAGCUAUAUGAAUCUUUGUACAAAUGAGCCAAUAUAUAACACAAAGAAUGAUUAAUAAAAAGAAAGAGUAUAUUUUUCUAAUCUAGGUGUAUCAAUUCUAAUCCUACAUUGAUUCAAUUAAUCAAUGUGAAGAUUUAAGAGAGAUAUCUUUUGAGUGAUCUUCCUUGGAGAGCAAGUUGUGGUAAUCCUACAUCGCCUUAUUGUCCAUUGAAUUAUCAGCAUGUUUGAAAUUUUUGAAAAAUGAAUUAUCGGACGAAAAAUUAGAGAUUGGAAAAAGGAAACUCGGAUCCAGUGGCAAAAUGAUGAAUUAUGGGCCAUAAUUUUGGCUUUAAAGAUAAAGAUAAAAAGAAAAGAAAAAGAAAUUGUGGGGACAUAAUACUAGGUUAGGAGGAUUUUGAGGGAAGUGGGUGUGAGAAAUGAUGAGAUUUCGAGGAAAAAUCUUUAAUUUUUUUCUUCUCUGCCCCCUUUUUUUUUUUCUCUUUUCUCUUCUCCUCCAUAUUCUUUCUUCCCUUCGCCUUCUUUAGCUGACCAGCCCUUUCUCCUUCCCCUCCUCUUCACCAUCUUCUUUUUCUUUAUUUCUUCAUCUUCAUUUUCCUUGCAUCAUCAUCUCAAAUUUCCACUGCCAUUUUCACUUACCCAUCUUUGCCACCACACCACACCAUCCAUCAUUGCCACCACCUGCACCACACGUUCUCUCCGCCGCAAGCCACCGCUCAAGCCGAGCACCCACCUCAUAAAGCCACUCUUCACUGCCAAGCUUCCAAGUUCGCUGUCGCUUGAGCUGCCCCUUCGUCAAAACCGCCCGCAUCACCACCACCGUCCGCCUGAACCACCAUCGAUAGCUCAUCACCACCAAACCCUCUCUUUUUGGCCAUGAGACUUGAAAGGCUUUGCCGCCGCCAUUUGAGUUCCUGUUCCAGCCGGGAACAUUGUACUCUCAAUGUCGUCGCAUUGUUGUCGCCAGAAAACCCGUGAGUUAAUUUCCUAAUCGUGGAUUAUGGUGUUAAUUACGUUUAGGGGAUAUAGUUUAUGGAUAGUGAUGUUUAAUAUUGGUUAAUUUUGGUUUAACCUUAAUUGCGAUUAAGGAUGGUUUAGAUUAAAUUUUAGUGCAAUUAAUUUAAGUACUUAUGAUUAGAUUAAUUAAUCGUGAUUGGAUUAAUUAAUUGAGUUUAGUAUAGGGAAUGGCAAGAAAAGGUUGGUGGUGGCAUCUAGUGGCCUCGGUGGGACCUCCAGGCGGCGGAACGAUGGCCGACAGUCGCUUGAGAUGGCUAGACAGCCUCCUGGACACACAAGCAAGGGCGGCUGAAGAUAGAUGGGCGAUGAGAACGUGUGUGGCACGCGAAGGGGCGUGACGAUGCGGCUCGGUGGCGAGAGGCGGCGUGAGGUGGCGACGGGCUACUCUGGUCUUACUAGAGCUUCGAACGGCUAAAAAGGGGGUUGGAGGGUGCUGCUUGACUGGUCUUGAAGGGGAGGAAGAGUUGAGGAAGCAAUGGGGUCCUACCUUGGCCUUAUUUUCCACAUUUUGGUCCUCUUGACCAUUUUACAGCCAUAGUUGCCUUCCUUAGCUCAUAUUUAGCCAUCAAGACUCUUCUUAGGACAUUUGAAAUGGUCCAAAGCCAUAGGGCAAGGGGGGCUACGAAAUUGGCUAAGUUUCCUUCCAAUUGGACACUCAUUCUUGCUUAAAUCAACAUGAUUUGGCCUCAAUAAAUCCCAUUGUAGAGUCCUCGAUCAAAUUGAUAUUUUUCCUCACUAAUAUAACUCACUUGCUUCCCAAAUUUGCAAUAAAAAACGAUCAUUGGCUAAUUCUGGACAAAAAUGGCCGUAGGACGACCUUUUCCCCAAAAGUCUCAGGUUGCAAAAAAAUCUUCUGAGACUAAGUUGAUCUUUCUAGAAUUUAUUGUGAUAUGACAGAACUUUAAUCGGAUUCAAAUUCGCGGUUAAUUUCAAUUUGGCGUGUUUUUAGCGUGACCUAGACUACCGGUUAGUUUCAAGAAAUUUUUAUUGCAAAUGACCCCUGGUCGAUUUUCUUCGAGCCAUAAUGAACCCACUUGACACAUUGACAACUCUCGGUUGUUGUGAAAAUCUCGAGGAUUCAAAUACGGACAUAAGGUACCAAAAGGAUAGAAAAAUCAGUCUAGUACCAGCCAAUGAGAAUUUUCCAAUUUAGUGGUGCAUACCCUUUGAUUUAGCCACACAUCUCAGCCGAACCGACCUAUCUCUGAUCUCAAAUUGAUUUUUAACUAUGUUGUAUAUAGCCUCUAAAAAUGAACACGGUCAAGAAGCCAAUUCUUUGUUAAAUUCUCAGGUAUAUCGCAUUAAAAUUCCUAAUGGCUUUCUUGAAUAGUCUAGUUAUCUCGAGAGUGAUUAGCUCUGAGAAUAGUCCUAUUGGCGUGUUGAUGAAAUGUCCGAUCUAUUCAAUAGAAAAUAGGACUGAAAAUCUGGGAUGUCACAACUCUUCUCAUUUUAUAAAAAUUUUAUCCUCGAAAGUUAAACAAUUACAAAACUUUAGCAAAAAGGUGGGGGGUACAACUGUCUCAUCGACUCUUCGGUUUCCCAUGUCACUCCUUUAGUACCAUGGUGUUGCCAGACCACUUUGACCAACAGAAUAGUCUUUGUAGGUAGAACUUGUUCUUUCCUAUCCACAAUCUGAACCGGGCUUUCAACGUAUGACACACGGUCAUCCACGUCCAAUUCCUCAAAAUUGAGUACGUGGGUUGGGUCAGACUCAUACUUCCUUAACAUUGACACGUGAAAGACGUCGUGAAAUUGCGUCAAUCUCGAUGGCAACGCAAGACAAUACGCUAAGAUCCCAAUUCUCUUAAGAAUUUCAAACGGAUCUACGUACCUCGGACUCAGUUUUCCUUUCUUCCCAAAGCAUGAAGUUCUCCUCACUGGUGACACAUUUAGAAAAACGUGAUCACCAACUUGGAAUUCUAAAAGCCUUCAACGCUUAUCUGCGUAACUUUUCUGACGACUCUGAGCGGUCUUUAGUCUGCCUCUGAUCACUGCCAUGGCUUCUAUUGACUGCUGAACCAAUUCUGGACCUGUAAUCUUUCUCUCUCCAACUUCAUCCCAACACACCGGUGUUCUGCACGAUCUGCCAUACAACGCUUCAAAAGGAGCCAUGUGAAUACUUUGCUGAUAACUAUUGUUGUAGGCAAAUUCCACCAGGUGUAACUGAUCUUCCCAACUUCCUUUGAAGUCUAGUAUACAAGCUCUCAGCAUGUUCUCGAGGGUUUGAAUUAUCCUCUUAGACUGGCCAUCCGUUUGAGGAUGUUAUGCCAUAUUGUAUUGCAGCUUGGUACCUAAAGGACUCUGUAAGCUUUUCCAAAAAGCGGCGGUAAAUCUUGGGUCUCUAUAUGAAGUUAUCGUAACCGGCACACCAUGUAGGCAAAUCACUUGACACACGUAUAGAUCUGCGUGUUUAUCUAAGAUAAGGUCCUUUCGAACUGCAAUGAAGUGAGUCGACUUCGUCAGUUUGUCGACUAUUACCCAAAUCAAAUCAUUUCUCCUCUAACUCCUCGGUAGUCCAGUCAUGAAAUCCAUCGUGAUGUGUUCCCAUUUCCACUAUAGGAUCUCGAGAGGUUGCAGAAGUCCUCCCAGCUUACAAUACCGAGCUUUGACUUGCUGACACGUCGAACACUUUGCGACAUGCUUGGCAAUGUCCACCUUCAUACCUGACCACCAAUAGUGUUGACGUAGAUUCUGAUACAUCUUGGUACUAUUAGGAUGAAUGCCGUAACUACUACGAUGUGCUUUUGAUAAAAUAUCUUCUCUAAGCUCCACAUCGUCAGGUAUAACCAAUCGUCCUCGGAACCUUAGCGUUCCAUCAUCAAAAACUUGAAAGUCAGUCUUUCUUUUCUCAAUGUCCUCUUGAAGGAUCUUUUGCACAUCUAGGUUUGUCAGUUGGAGUAACUUGAUUUUGAUUUGGACAUCCAGUUCAAUUUUGAGGGUGACCAUAAGACUUGAAAGGUGGCCUACCUUAAACUUGAAUACCAAAUCUCGAGCUCUGUCGAUUAGAUUCCACUCCAUCAAUAUAAGAGCAAAUGAAGACUUUCUACUCAAAGCAUCGGUGACCUUAUUCACCUUUCCCAGGUGAUAUAAGAUAUCACAGUCGUAGUCCUUCAGUAAUUCUAUCCAUCGGUGCUGUCUCAUAUUCAACUCAUUCUGAGAGAACAAGUACUUGAGACUUUAAUAGUCUGUGAAGAUUUGGAAUUUUUCUCCGCACAAAUAGUGUCUCCAAAUCUUCAGGGCAAAGAUAAUCGUCGCGAGCUCUAAGUCAUGCGUUGGAUAGUUCUGCUCAUGAUGCCUCAAUUGACGGGAGCCGUAGGCAACAACUUAGCCAUGUUGCAUCAAUAUGCAACCCAACCCUCUGAAUGACGCAUCACUGUAGAUCUCGAAUCCUUCAGGACCAGAUGGAAUGGUUAGCAUAGGUGCAGUAGUAAGCUUUUCCUUAAGUUCUUGGAAACUACUUUCGCACUUGUCUAUCCACACAAAUUUCUCUUCUUUCUUUAAGAGUUUUGUCAGUGGUGAUGCUAAAGAUGAGAACCCUUCCACAAACCGUUUGUAAUAACUUGCCAAACCCAGAAAACUUCUGAUCUCUGUUACUAUAGUUGGUCUUAGCCAGUUAAUCAUUGUUUCAAUCUUGCUCGGGUCCACAGAAAUUCCUUCACCUAAAAUCACGUGACCUAAGAAAGUAACACGAGUUAACCAAAACUCGCACUUGCUAAACUUGGCAUACAGCUGAUGGACUCUUAAUGUCUACAACACUAGUCUCAGAUGACUCUCAUGCUAUUCAUCACUCAUUGAAUAUAUCGGAAUAUCAUUGAUAAACACGAUCACAAACUAAUCUAGAUAUUCCUUGAAUACACGGUUCAUCAAAUCCAUGAAGAUAGCAGGAGCAUUCGUCAACCUGAAUGGCAUCACUGUGAACUCAUAGUGACCAUACCAAGUACGAAAUGUUGACUUCGGAACGCCUUCCUUCCUAAUCCUCAGCUGAUGAUAUUCGGUCUUCAAAUCGAAUUUGGAGAAAAUCGACGCUCCUUGCAACUGAUCGAACAAAUCAUCGAUUCUUGGGAAUGGAUACUUGUUCUUGAUUGUUACCUGGUUGAGUUGCUGAUAGUCGAUGCACAAGCGCAACGAACCAUCUUUCUUCUUUACGAAUAGAACUAGUGCUCCCUAACGUGAUACACUGGGACGUAUGAAUCCCUUAUCCAACAAUUCAUACAUUUGCACCUUCAGUUCUUUCAAUUCUGAUUGUGCCAUCUAGUAAGGAGCCUUAGAGAUUGGCUCUAUUCCAGGUGCUAACUCAAUCACAAACUCAAUUUCUCUCUUCUAGCGGCGAUCCUAGCAAUUCCUUUAGAAAGACAUCUGGAAAUUCUUGCACAACUGAAAUAUCAUCGAUUUUUAGUUCCUCAACUGUCGUGUCCACGACAGUUGCCAGGAAAUCUUGACAACCCUCGUCUAACAGAUGAGUUGCCUCUAGCGACGAGAUUAGGACAAUCAAGGGUCCUCCUCAAUUCCAGAUAAACUCGAAACUUUUACCCUUUAACGGGUCAAACUGAAUCGCUUUGCAAUAACAGUCAAUUAUAGCUCAUUGCUUGAUGAGCCAGUCCAUGCCAAUAAUUAAAUCAAAGUCAUACAUGGCUAAGACUAAUAAGUCUAUUUUCCCCACUCACUCACCAAUCGCUAACUUGCAACCAGAACAACCCAAAGCAGCAAUAAUUUUAUCCUUCAAUGGCGUAGAUAUGCAAAAUGCUUACUCCAACAAUAUAGGAAUUAACCCUAACAACUUAACAUAUUGCUCGGCAAUAAAGGAAUGAGUUGUUCCUGAGUUGAAUAAGGCGUAAGUAGGAUGAUCGUUCAGUGAAACCAUACCUGUGAUCACGUUAGGCGCAACCUCUACCUGAUCUUGUGUGAUGGCAUAUACCAUGCCCUGAAUUGGUGGUCUUAGCUGACCUCCUUGCGGUGCAAUCUGCGAUGCAUACCCUUUGAUUUGUCCCAUAGGUGGUAGUGGCGACAAUUGUGGUUGUCUUCUUAUCCUUCUCGAACAAUUUCUGGCUAUGUGACCCAGCUGGCUAUGUUCAAAACGAGUGCUUGGCCUAGGUUGGCAUGGGGUAGAUUUGUGUCGCCUUCCACAAAAGCGACAUAUGCUAUUCUGGUUAAACCGAGACUUACCAACUCCACCUUUCCUAUUAGGCGGAAUCUAGAAUCUACCUCUUGUCAUGGGCUUCUUUCCUUGACGGAUUCCUUCUCUGUAAGAGGUAAACCUCCAUCCAGACGAGGUAGCUUGCUCAUUCAAACCUCUCUCAUACUGUGAGAGUUCUGCAAAUUUGACCCCAUAUUGGUCAACUGUCAUGCACCCCUGGCAGAGACGUUGGAACUCCUCUAUCUUUUGGUCCUAGGUAGCACCCGAGAAAUAUUGAUCAUUAAAAGCUCUGAGAAAGGUGUCCCACACUUGGACCACACCUUUCGAGAAUACGGUAUCCUUGGUGGCUCUCCACCAAAUGUUUGCAUUACCUUGAAGUUGAUACACAGCUAGUACCACCUUCUCUUCUUUGUUGCACAUCAGAAGCGCGAAUGCUUUCUCAAGAUCUUAAAUCCAUAGUGAAACGGCCUCGGGGUCUCUAGUACCUGAAAAUCUUGGCGGGCUUAGCUUUAGAAACUACUCGACGAGCUUAUGGAUCAACCUUUCUCUCUGCACCACGACAUUCUUAAGUUGAAUUACGGCGGGUGCAACAACAGGUGCGGCAGUAGGUGCGGCCUCAGUAGUGGCGGCAACAGCAGUAGUACAACAGCAGUACAGCAGCCUAAGCGGUGGCUUAACAAUAGUGGCUUGAUUCUUAGCUUGCUGAUCCAUUCGAUUCACUAUGACCUCUAGCACUCGCAUGAUCCCUUGGAUCUUAGGAUCACUAGGGGCUACUAACCUAGCACCAACAGGAGGUGGUGCUACUCCACUGGCAUUGGCCCUUGUCAGUGCCCUAGCUCUGUCUUCUCGGGUACUGACCCUAGUCGGCGUUCUAACCCGAGCUGUAGGCCUAACAGUUCUCUUGCUCGAAGUUCUCUGCUUUGGCUUGCUCAUGGUUCAGUCUUUUCUACUGAAACCUACCUUCCAAAUCCACACUGGAUUAGAAGAUGGGCAAUACACACACGGCAAACAAUUUUACCACACAACUACCAUCAACAUGCACUAGUCAUGUAUUUAAAGGCCUCUCCUACUUACUAUCCCAUUUCCAUCGCACUUUAUCACUCCAAUUUCUAACUGUUGCUUUGAUACCAGUUAAACGGGGAUGUCACACCCUGAUCCGCCGAGCAUGUGCCCAUCCCUCACCUUGGUCGAUUAAUAGUGACAUCUUAUGACGCAUCACAGACCCUUUUAUUUUAAUACGCAUGCGGAAUCAUAUAAAUAAUCCCAAGGCAAUAAAACAAUGGGAUAGGAAAGCGGGGCUAUAUUUUUCGAACCUGAAAAACCACAACCACACUUUUAUACAAAGCAAACCUCAUAGUAUAUAUUACAAUACUAUUAAUAAAGUCAGGUUUAUCACACAUGGGUUCACGACUCAGGGUUUGCAAAAUAGGGUGGGGUCUCAAUUUUCGUUGGGGUCAUACUCUGGAUCCUCCUCUGGAUCCCCCUCCGACUCCUCUUCAGGUUUUUCUUCAAGGUCCUCCUUAGGGUACUCCUCCUCCUCAAUGACCACUUCUUUUUCCAUGCUUCAGUUGGAGUCCACUGUUGAUUACUCUAGAGAGUUGGGAUCAUCACCCAAUUUGGGAUCCUUCGCAUCAAUCAUCGAUCCACCCUUAGGAUCUGCUGUGCUCUUCCCGAGCGCAACCUCCAAAACAUACCGGGGUACAUUAGACUCCGGCAUAGGACUCUCCCUUCGCCCGUCAUGAUAGUGAUGAUACCAUGACCGAUACCUAAGAGGCACCCUUUCAAGUUCACCCACGUCGACCUAGAUAGUCGAUUUCACCAUCACAUACUCCAAUCCUUCAAGAUGAAGGUGUAUCGAGAUAUGAUAACCUACUUUUGUGACUUCCUCCGAUAUACCAAAAUGCACGGGAGGAGGGGGAGGUGUUGCCAUCGAAGGACCUGAAAUGUUGUCCAAUAAUGGGGGUGAGACUAUGUCUCAGCAAGUUCUACCUCUUAAGACUCGAUUAGGAAGCCAAUAUGCCAUAAAGGCUACUUAAGUACAAACAGGUGUCAAAGGACUUACCUUGCCUUAGUUCCUUCCUACAAGUUAGUUCAAUUCAUAAAUGUUGACAGGUACAUCAUCCACUCAAUUCAAUCAGAUCGACUCAUCGAUCAAUCGACUCAGUCGAUUACAUAUUAUCGAGACCAUCACACGGCCAUCUCGAUUAAUCAUUCUCAAUUCUUAGCCACGGUUUAACAGGCACAACUUAGAUUAAGUGGUAAUCACGGCUCCACUAGAAACUUUUCUAUAUUUGGUGGUCAUCACGGCCCCACCUGGCAAUUUUCUAGGUUUAGUAGUAAUCACGGCCCUAUUGAGCAAUUUUCUAGAUUUAGUGGCAUCACGGCCCCACUCGGCAAUUUUUUAGAUUUAUACCCAUAUUAUCUAAUUUUUGGGAUAAAUCCCCAUAACCUCUAAUUUUGCUCAAUUAUCACAAUCCGGUACUCAAUUAAAUAAAUAGAGAGCACCUCAGUGAUUAGCAUGAAAUUCCGGUCGUCGGCUAUCCUAGCCUAAUUUUUGAAAAAUAAAUAAAUAAAUAAAUAAGUAAUUACGGAAAAUAACAAAUAAAUGCAAUAAAUCCAACUUAGGCCCGUUAUAGCCUAAUUGGAAGCUGAAACGGACCUAGAAAAAUUUCAAGGUCCGUUCAAUAAAUAAUAGCACGAGUCUACUCACUAAUGUCACUGACUAACUACCUAAUAUGCAUUGGCAGAUAAUUAAAUUAACUAAUCUAAUUUAAUCUAUUCAUCUAAACCAUGCUUAAUUAACCUAAUCAAUCCCUAAUCGUAAUUAACUGACUAAGCGGGGUUUAGUGUGUUCAACUCACUUGAUUUGCGAUCCGUCCAGAUCAAAAUGUCGGGAACGCAACGGGGAACGAUUCUUCUCAAAACAGGCCUAGGAUUCGAGACUCAGAACCACCUUAAAACGGGCCUAGACUCUUGCUGGAAACCCACUAUUUUUGCUCUUUGUUUGCUGCUAGUCGACGGUUGAAGAGGCGGCACUGGUGGCCAGCUGAACAAGGAACGGUAAGAAAAGGUUGGUGGUGGCAGCAAGUGGCCUCGACGGGACCUCCAGGUGGCGGAACGGUGGCUAACGGUGGCCUAAGAUGGUUGGAUAGCCUCCUGGACACAUGAGCAAGGGUGGUUGAAGAUGGAUGGGCGACGGGAAUGUGUGCAGCACGUGGAGGGGCACGGCGGUGUGGCUUAGUGGCAAGCGGCAGCGUGAGGCGGCGACGGGUUGCUCGGUCUUGCUGGAGCUUCGAAUGGUUGAAAAGGGGGUUGGAGGGUGCUACUCGACUAGUCUUGAAGGGGAGGAAGAGUUGAGGAAGCAAGGGGGUCCUACCUUGGCCUUAUUUUCCACAUUUUGGUCCCCUUGACCAUUUACAGCCAUAGUUGCCUUCUUUGGCUCAUAUUUGUCCACCAAGGCUCUUCUUAGGGCAUUUGAAAUGGUCCAAAACCAUAGGGCAAGGGGGGGGGGCUACAAUAUUGGCUAAGUUUCCUUCCAAUUGGACACUCGUUCUUGCUUAAAUCAACAUGAUUCGGCCUUAAUAAAUCCCGUUGUCGAGUCCUCGAUUAAAUCGAUAUUUUUCCUCACUAAUACAACUCACUUGCUGCCCAAAUUUGCGAUAAAAAACGAUCCCUGGCUUUUUUUGGACAAAAACUGCCCUAGGACGACUUUUUCCCAAAAAGUCUUGGGUUGUAGAAAAAUCUUCUGAGACUGAGUUGACGUUCCUAGAAUUUAUUGUGAUAUGACAGAAUUUGUAAUUUCUGAAAUCGGAUUCAAAUUCAUAGUUAAUUUCUAUAUGUCAUGUUUUUAGCGUGACCUAGACUACCGGUCAAUUUUCAAAAAAAUUUAGUGCAAAUGACCCGUGGUCGAUUUUCUUUGAGCCACAAUGAACCCGCUCGACACAUUGACGACUCUCGGUUGUUGUGAAAAUCUCGAGAAUUCAAAUAUGGACAUAGGGUACCAAAACGAUAGAAAAAUUAGUCUAGUGCCGGCCGACGAGAAUAUUCCAAUUUAGUGGCAUCACCCACGAUUAGCCACAUAUCUCAGUCGAACCUACCUAUCUUUGAUCUCAAAUCGAUUUUUAACUAUGUUGUAAUGGCAUCUAAAGAUGAGCACGAUCGAGAAACCGAUUCACAUUAAAAUUCCUUAACGGCUUCUUUGAAUAGUCUAGUUAUCUCGAGAGUGAUCAGCUUUGAAAACAGCCUUAUAAGCGUGUCGAUGAAAUGCCCGAUCCAUUCAAUAAAAAAUAAGAUUGAAAAUCUGGGAUGUCACACUCCAAACUUCAUAUAUGUCCCAAAUCUAGAGAGACUAAUUCUCAAAGGUUGCAAAGCAUUAUCUUAGGUUCAUUCUUGAAUUGGAAAUCUAGAAAGACUCGAUCUACUUGACUUGGGUGACUUUGAAAACCUCACGAGACUUCCAGAUAACGUAGGUAAUCUUAAAUGUUUGAGAGUUCUUAAUCUAUCUGGAUGAUGAAAUGAUUAAAUCCUGAAGAACAACCUGAGAGCAUUGAGGGCUUAAGAGUGCUUAGAGGAGCUUGAUAUUAGUGAAAGUGCCAUCGUACACCUCCCAUCCAGCUUGAUUCUUACAAAACUUGGAAAACUUGCGCCUUUUUAUUAGUAAAAGAAGGCCACCAAAUUUUUGGAGGACACUUAUGCAAAUACUGAGAAGAGCUCUGAACUCUAGACGUCUGUGGUUGCCUUCAUUUUCAUGGUUAUCCUCUAUGACAGAGUUGAAUAUGAUUGGCUGCAAUCUUCUGGAAGGAGAAAUUCCCAGUGAUAUUGGUUGCUUAUCCUCCUUGAGGUCUUUAGACCUAGCUUGUUAAGCUACAGGUUCUGCAUUUUUUGUUAAGCUACAGUUUGCCUUUGGUCAAGCUACCUAUAGUGACAUUGGUCUCCUCAGAUGACAUAAAUGGGCAGGCAAUGUCGAGCCAUAUUGAUGCUGCGUUUAAGAUCUCCAACCUCAGGUAAUGGUGGCCUGAGUGCCGCAUUGAACUGAUAAACAUCUUUGCAGGUUCUGAAUCGAAUCCUCGCUCUUUUAACUCGUUUCCCUCUAUUACUGCGAAAACCAGUUAUUGAAUCCCAUCUUGACUACAUACAAACUACGAAGUGCCCACACAUGACUAAAGCUUUCAAGCAUAAGCACACGGAUGGACGUCCUAGAUCAUCCAUUAAUUUUCUUAUCAGGACAUGAAGUCAUCAAUAAAUUUACAGGCAACAAACCAAGCACAGUUCAAGUUCAGAUAAACUAAGGAAAAUGUUCAGCAUUUGCCAUUAGUUUCUUCUAAAGUAAUGUCCAUACAUCUCAUAAUCGCAUUUACAUUAAGAGCAAAUUUAUGAUAUUGAGCAAUUCAGUACAACGCCUUCUUCCGUGUGAGAGACUUGAUGCCCGUGAAAAUUUGGACUUCACAGUCACGUAAAGAUACAAACCUCAUCAUAUCCCCUCCUAAAGUCAUUCAAAUGUAUUAUGUAACACUUUCAGUCAGUAAAUCACGAAUCAUAAGCAAAACUUAUGAAAAAUGCACUGAAUAGAUAGCAUCAGGGCUUACCCUGCUUUCCUACAAUAGGUGGGACUGUGAUUGUAUAUCAGACUGUCGAGCACUCUUCGAGCAGAAGCCUGGUUUACGGAUUUUCUAGCCUCACUACAGGAUAACUAGUUCGAAUUAGAAGUUUUUUUCCCUUCAAACUGAGUGAAGUUUAACCAGAAGCGCAGAUCAUAUAACCAUAAUCGUGUAUGAUAUAUGAUAUUUUAAGAACUUUGACAAGGAAAUUUCAAAUGCAACUUGCUUUGCAGCAUAAAAUUACUGAAAAAAAUGCUGACCAGACAACGAAGUUCGCUACAUGUUGUGUAACUUGAAUGGCAUCAUCCGAGUGUGCUAUCAUGGACAAACCUUGUCGCGACCUACCCUCGGGGGGAGGGAACAGGUUUAGGGGUAUUGCCUAAAGGACGGGGCUAAGGCCCGUGAUCAGGCGCGGGCUCUCCCAAGCCCAUACCCCGCGUGACAUUGGGAUAUUCUUUAGAAUUUUUGCACAAAAGGAGUCGCCACUAGCCUAUUGGGGUCGGCUAGAAACCAAGUGAGGUAUGGGAGUGUACCUCACUUCCUACACAACCAAAGAAUCUAGGUUCGGGGACUUGAUUACACUAAUUAACCAAUUAGUGUCUUUUCGGUACCUAAUCUUGUUCAUUUUAACAAAAUGAUUUUUGACAGGCAGUUUGAAUUGAUUUUAUACUUAUCCACUAACAUAGAGGUGAUCAUGCGGGUGCGCAAUCAUUAAAGUAAUAAUCCUAACUAUCAAGAUCCUAAUUGCCAUAUAAUUAAACACAUGCAAUCAAACAUAAUUAGAUAAUGCAAAUUAAACAUGCAUCGUAGUCAACAUACGAGCACAUAAAGGUCUAAUUACGCUAAAAUGACAAUACAUGGCAAGUCCUAAUCAAACCCCAUCAUUUUUGGAUUUUCGAAAUUUUUAAUUUUUUAAUUUUUUUAAUUUUUUUAAAGAAAAAAACUAAUUUCUAAUUUUUAAAUAUUUUUUGGAUUUUCGAAAUUGUUUUAAAUUUUUAAUUUUUUUUAAUUUUUUUAAAUUUUUUAAAGAAAAAUAACUAAUUUCUAAUUUUUAAAUAUUUUUUGGAUUUUCUAAAUUGUUUUAAAUUUUUUAAUUUUUUAAAUAUUUUUUUAAAAGAAAAAUAACUAAUUUCUAAUUUUUAAAUAUUUUUUGGAUUUUCGAAAUUGUUUUAAAUUUUUAUUUUUUUUUAAUUUUUUAAAAAUUUUUUUAAAGAAAAAUAACUAAUUUCUAAUUUUUAAAUAUUUUUUUGGAUUUUCGAAAUUGUUUUAAUUUUUUUUAAUUUUUUUUACUUUUUAAAUUUUUAAAUUUUUUGAUUUUUUAAAGAAAAUAUUUUUAAAAUUUUAAAUUAAUUUUUUUUUAUUUUAAAAAGUGAACCGGGUCGAGUUCGGUUCGACCCAACCCGGUCAACGCGGAGCCUAAUCUAGUCCAAUCAGCGGGCCUUUCUUCAGUUCGGAUUGGGCCCAACCAGCGGGCCUAAAUCUAGUCCAAUCACUUUUAUUUUAAAAAAUGAAGCCCACAACUCCCUAAACCCACAAGCUCUUAAAUCCCUAAGCCCGCAAGCAAAAAACAAACCAAGCCCAAACUCAGCCCAAAUCAGUCAAAAACCCUACCUUUUUUCGCGACCCGCGCCCGACUCGUGCGACCCGGUUCGUGGCUGAAGCCCUACGGCUCCUUGGCGGUGCUGACGACGGCAUCGACGGACUUGACGGCAGUGGUGACGCGGCGGGUGGCAGCGGAGACGCGGUGGGUGAUGGCGAGCUGCUGCAGGGCUCGCGGAUUCUGCAGGUGGAGGCGCGGCGGAGUAGGGGCAAAGUAGGGGCGGAGACGCGGAAGUCCUCGCGGUUGCAGGCAGAGCGCGGCGAAUCACAGGCCGGUGCGAUCUGGCUGGGACGGAGGCAACAAGCGCAGGGGUCAGCGGUGUCGGUUUGGAUGGCGUCGGGCAGGGGGGCGGCGGCUCAGUUUGGACGGCGUCGGGUUGAGGCUGAAGCUGCAGCAGCGUCGCGGCUCCUGGGCAACAACAACGACACGGACGGGAUCACGGGCAGUAGUGGCUCGGGGUCAGCGUUCCGACGCGGCAAAGCGGGUGGUGACGGCAAGAAUGGCACGAACGGCGACGGCGAGUCUUCUUCCCCCCCGAGCUCGCUCUCCUCUCUCUGCUCUCUUUUGUGCCUCUCCCUCCGGUACUCUUCUGCUCGAUUAGCGUCAGGAGCUGCGGCGACGGGUACUAUGGGUCGACGCUCGGAGGGCAGUGGCAGCGUCGCAGCUUCGGGCUGCAGGCGUCGUAGGGGGUAGCGGUGGCGCGGCGAGGGCCACCUAGAUAUAAUAACAACAACAACAACAACAACAACAAUAGCAUCAUGCAUUAUAUAUUCAACAAGCCUCUCCUAGAUAUAAUUUUAUAUUAAUGUUCAGCUUGGGUCGGACCGGACUUUGUAAUGUAAGGGUGUCGCUCAAGUCGGUAUAACAUACCAUUUUACUAUCAACAACAACAACAACAACAACAUAGGUGAUCAUUGGGCUAAGCAUGCAUUAUAUAUUCAACAAGCCUCUCCUAGAUAUAAUUUUAUAUUAAUGUUCAGCUUGGGUCAGACCGGACUUUGUAAUGUAAGGGUGUCGCUCAAGUCGGUCUAUUUUCCUUCCGAGGCACUUGCUUGUUGAUCACCUUUACUAACAGGAUCACUAAUCGAGGAAGAAAUAUUGCAUGGUCUACAAAUUCUAUAGACCAAACCCAUCUCAACCAUUGAUCAUAUGGGCUCUGAGAUCGUACACAACUAAUGAUUGGGUGAUAAUGGUCUAUAGAGCAUAUAAACCAAGCAAUAACUUCUCCAUGUUAGGUGGGUCAGAUUUAACUCGACUAGCUGCAAUCGCCGUUUACCACACAUAACAUGGACACAUCACAAGGCCGUCUCUCGUCGGCCCUGGUGAGAUGCAGACAGCGGGAGAAGUAAACGCGGACUAUGUACAAAUCUGCACAUGCAGAGCGCUUCGUGCUGAGUGAUAUCUACAUUUGCAUAUCUCAUUGGAAUAAUAGACAUAACGCAGAUGAAGAUUGUUGCUUGGGAGUUGACUCGAUUGAUAGACUUGGCUUCGAGUUGGACAUCCCACUAGUCCUCUCCUCGCCUGGAUCUGGGUGGGGCCCGACACCCUCGCCAUGUUUGAAUAAAAAUUCUUUCUGGCAUGAUCCCAUUUCGAGGACUCGCAAAAACCCUUUGGAUGGUUCCACAAUCUGGUCUACACACAAUAAUGUGUCGAACUACUUCAAUAAGUCCGUGUGUAAGAUAUCCAACAUCCGAUGUUCGUACAACAAUAUCCACAACUCCUUCGUGGGCUAGGUGGCAAGAAAUUAUAUAUUCUGUUAAAGAUAGUCCUUCACGUAAAUUGCUUUGAAUGGAUAAAUAAAUCAUUUGUCCUUGAGGAUCUCACAAUAAUCCACUCAUACCUACUAAUUGGUGUGCUUGAGAUGCAUUUCCUCUGGCUCCCGAAAAGGACAUUAUAUGGAUUGGAUUAAAGGGGUAUGUCAUCCUAAAAUUUUGACUCAUUUUUAUUGCAAAUAUUAACUUGUAGCACAUUGGCCGGCAAGGGUGCAAAGGCCCUCGCCCAAACCAACUUGUGGUUGGUGAUGGUCCGUUGGCGACCUCGCUAGUGCCUGCCAAAGGAGGGAUAAGUACACUAUCAGUGCCAAAACUUGUGUACGGCGCUCACUUUGGUGCCAAAAGUUUUCGUUGGAUCACUUAAGUGUCAAAUCAGAGGAAAAACGACCACUUUGGUGCCACCGGCGAAAGAUUCUGGCCAAAAUGAUUACAUGGCUUUUAAAAAAAAUAAAUCAAUAGGGCCUUUAAACAACGUCGUUUUUGAUCCUCCUUAAGAAAACGGCAUCGUUUUGCCAUCCUACAUGGAUGGCCUCACGGAAACGACGCCAUUUAGCUCACAUGGGGAUUGAAAUUAGGGUUUCCGCUGCUCAUCCACCGUCGUUUGCCCGCCGUCGCUUAGCCAUCGUCUCUCGGCCACCGUCGCUUGGCCACCAUUGCUCGGCCAUCGUUGUAGUUGCUCGACCAGGUAAGCGAGGAUAGAUUAAGAUUGUUGCUCGAGCAAUAAGUGGCAGGAAAAAUCGGAGGCGAGGGCAGAGGAGGAGGAAGAAUAUGGGUCGAAGGUGCUGUUGGUGCACUGCUGCUGCUACUGCGUUGCUGUUAUCACUGCUGGUGGUGUGCUUCCAGUGUUGCUACUGGUGCCGUGCUGGUGUCAUUGCUUGUGUGGGUCUUCGAGGAAGAAGAAGACGAAGACGAGCCUUCCCUCUCUCUCAAUUUGGGGAUUAGGGUUUCUAAGUUGGGGGAAAGAUGCUAAAUGGUGUCAUUUUGGUGUUUGGAUGCUGACUCAACUCUCCGACGAGCCAUGUUGGCUUCAAAAAUUAAUAAAAAAAAGACCAUGUUGGAUUUCCAGCCAAUUUCAUUGGCGUUGGCACUGAAAUGAUCGUUUUUCAAAAUUUUUGGGACUUAAGUGAUCCGACGGAAACUUUUGGCAUGAAAGUGAGCGCCGUACACAACUUUUGGCACUGAUAGUGUACUUAUCCCACCAAAGGAUAAGGAGAAAAGAAAAGAAAAAUUAAAACAAAAGAGGAAAAAAUAAAAAAAAAUUAUGAAAAAAAAAUUUAAAAAUUAUAAAAUUUAUCUACGUUAGUAUUGGUCAUGCCAUGUAGGACCGCUAGUGUCCAUGUUAGUAACUUUUAGCCUAAACUAGCUGGAUGGAUCCAAUUGAUACCAAUGUGAAAAGGUUUAAAAUUAAAUUGGUCCAAUUGAAAUGUUUAUAAUUGAAUGGGUACCAAUGCAAUAAGUUUAAGACUUUUUUGAUACUCUUUUUUUCGAUAAAAAAUUGCCAACUGAUUUUAAUAGUCUACCAACGUUUCUUUUUAUAACUUACCAAUGCCGUGAAGGUUGUUGACACCUAAAUUUUGGCGACUCGAUUAGUCAUUUAUUGCAUAGAAAAUUAGGGGUUAACUUUGUCCCUGAAAAAAAUAUUGUUUGCAUAGCAUAUAGAUUUAGGUGCAUUUGUUUUUAAUUUGCAUUUUUUUUACAUUUGUUUAUUGGACCGGUGGCGGAUGGGUCAAAUUGGUGGUUUUGAGUUUUAAUUAAUAGGUCAGACUAAGCCCAUGAAGAGUACAAAUUGGCCCAAGCCCGUUUUCUAAAAUUGAGAUUUGAAGUGAGGAUUUUCGGAAUUUAAAAAAAUCGGGAUUGUGAUCUUAUCUUUAAAAAUCAGUAGAAAAUAUUUAGGAGAUAAGGAGAAUAAAAAUAUUUUUGUGAUUAGGAGGUUAUAGGCAAUCUUUUCGUCAGAUGGAAUAUUCACAAAAGCAUUGCAUUUUGUUUUGGCCUAUAAAAAGGUGUGUACGUAGGGUUUUAAGGGUGGGGGCUUUUUCUCGGUUUUCGAAGUAAAAAAUUCAGAAAAGAAAAAGUUUCUACACAACAGCAGAGGGAGAAAGAGGAAGUGCAGCAAAUGAAAAGAAAAAGAAGAAAAAAGCAAAAGGGAAAAGUAGAGCAGAGAAUGGAGAACUGUUCAUCUUCCCCAUUGCGCCGACCGUCGCGGCCGACCGUCGCGUAGCAACGCCGCCCCGCAACCGUCCAAAGGUCCACCACCGCCGAUCCGCCAGCAACUUGCGAAGCUGCUCCUGCCUCGACGUGCCUCUGCUGUUGCUGUCUGCGCCCCACCGGACGACGAGCCGACGCCCCUGCAGUGUUCCUGUUCGCGAAGCCACCGUUGAUCCGCUCCGAUUAGUCGACGCCGCGACCCGUCUACUCCCACGGUUCCGUCUGCGAUGCCUGCGAAGCCUCUGUUGCUCCCCACGACUUGAUGCUGCUUUGAGCCGCAACCCAUCCCGGCUUCAACCUCACGACUUGAUGCUUCACACCGGCGAUCUGCGAUUGCCCGCGCCUCCGCCUGAGCCCCACUCCGAUAGCUCGCUCCGUCCGACGCCGCGCCACUAUGCUGUGAUCCCGCACCCCCACACCGCUGCGAUCCCGUGCCUCCGCAACGCCCCAGUCGACCUGCCUUGCUACGACACCACUGAGGUUCCUUUGCCGCGAGCUCCGCAAUUCGACACCACCGACACCAUCGCACCGCCCCCUGUGACACUGCACCAGCCCGAGAUCCGCCCGCUGUCCUUGCAGCAAACCCAUCGCUGAUCUCCACCGUCCGCUCGGCGCCGACGAACUUGCUGUCACCCAUUUCCUUAGGUUGCUCAUUUUUCUUUUAUUAUUAUUUUUUAUUUUAUGUUAUUUUGCUUUAUUUUUAGUUAGUUUUGCUAUUAUUGUUUAAGUUUGAAUAUUGUGAGGUGGCUUUUAGGUUAUGGAUAUUAUAGGCAUUAUCGGCAGGAAUUAUUCCUAAAAUUAUUGUAAUUAUUAAUUUGACCCGUAAGAAGUCGGGUCAUUUUUUUAAUUAUAUUAAUUAUUGGGGUUUGUUGAUAGUAUUUUAAUUGUUGAAUCAAUAUGAUUAUUAAUUUGAUCUGUAAGACUUCAGAUCAGAUUUUUAAUUAUUUUGAACUUCUUGUCGUGACGUUCAGGAUUAUAGUAAUUGUUAAUUUGACUUGUGAGAUAACAGGUUAUUUUUUCGAUUAUUUUAAUUCUUUAUUUGAUUGGAUGCCUUGAUUAGUUUAAAUACAAUGUUUAUUUGAUAAUUGCUUGUUUUGGAGAACCACUAAAAAAAUCCAAAAAUAUUUGAAUUAGGAUUCAGUUUAUUUUGGAAUAUUUCUUGUUUAUCUUGCAUAUCUAGAAUAGGGAUUUUAGUUCGAAUUUAGAAAAAUAUAAAAACAAAAAAAGUGCAUUCAUUUAGGUGGUUAGUUUUUUUAAUUUAAAUUGCACGUUUAAUUAUUUGGCAAUUGUGAAUUUCGAAUGUUUUAAAAAUAAAAAUACAAAAGAAUCAUCAUGCAUAUAUCAUGUAGAAUUAGGGCAUUCUUUGUACGUCAUGGCAUCUUAGGAUAAAAUUGCAAGUUUCAUUUUAAAUUCACUUCAUUAUUUAGAAUAGAGUGCAUUUUUAGGAUAAAAAAUCAUAUGCAUGUCAUAUAGAAUUAAGUUCAUGAAAUGCACGUCAUUUAGUAAUUGUUGUUAAGUUCAUUAUAUUAGGAAUUGCUCAUCAUUAGACUAGGUCAUUUAAUAAAUGUCGCGUGACAUAUAGCUCACAUAUUAAAUUGCAUGUUACAUGUCAUUUUAGUUGAAAUAAUUUUGUAUGUCAUUGCAUUGCAUUGCAUGUCAUUAGAAUUAGGUCAUUUAGAUUGCAUUUAAUUAUUGCAUUUCUUCAUAUCAUAUAGUUUAGGUCAUGUAGUUAAAAUGCAUGUUUUUAUGAAAAAAAUUCUAAUUUCAAGGAAACCCAAAAAAUUGUUUGCUUUGUGUGAUGCAAUUUAUUUAUUGAAUGUUUGAGCAUCCGUGUGGUCACUUUUUGCAUGAUAGUAAUUUAUGUUAAAAUAAAUUAGCUGCCUGCAAAACAUUUUUGAAAAUUAAAAAAAGAAAUGGUACCGAAAGGGCAUUAGAGAAAUCUAGUGUAACCAAGUCCCCGUACCCUUAGUCUCUGGUUCGUAGGAGUAAAAUAAUUCUCCCAUUAUUUUACUUAGGUGUCUAAUCGACCUACCAUAAACCGAUUAGUGGCGACUCCUAGUUAAUAAUCUUUUCAUGUUAAAUACUUGAACCUUAAGUCGCGAAUUGAUGGGCUUGGGAGAGCCCGAGUUAAGUUUAGGCUUAACAAUCCAUUAGCCAAACCUUAGGUGGUUUACACCCGAAAAUUUGGUCGCGACAACUUGGCAACUUCGCUGGGGACUUGUGUUAAAACACUUAGUGGACUCAGGUCAAUUUUUUGUUUUCUUUUAAAAAAUGUUUUUGUUUGGCAGUGAGGAUCCCAUGUACGUCCCUAACAUUUCUAAGGUGUUAAAUAUUCUUGCAGAUGGGAGGUAUAAGGGGAGUAGUUUUUGCUAGCUCCUAUCUUGCAGGUUGGAGUUAGGGAUGAAUGUUUGAAUUAAAACUAUAGAAGUGUUGUUUGCAUUUAAAUUGCUGUGUAUGUUUUAUUGCUUUUAACACUACACUAUUGCACACACAACUUGUGGCUGGACCUAGGCUGCGAUAAGAUUUCUAGGAUGGUGUUGAGAAUGAUACUUCCUCCAAAGCGAGACUGCUAUGUAGAGGUUGACCUUCUCUUCCCCGAAAUUUCUUUCAUGGUGUCGAAUGUGUUUGUCCAUAUCCGCGAGACUGCGUGAUUAUUGGGUAUUCCAUUUGACUGAGCCGGGGUUAGGAGGACCUGACACGUUAAUGUGAGACUGCAACGGUCAGAUCAUCCUCUUAGCUCCACCUUGUUAAGCCAUCUAGAUAGAAAUCGAGCCUCACAUUUCAUGCGUGUGUCUAUGUGUUUUUCAUCAAUUUCUGGUGAAAGUAAGUUGUCUAAAUUCUUCGCAAUUUAUUUACUUUGUGGCAAUUUUGUCGGUCCAUAACAAUAGGUUUCGUCGUCAAUCUCGUUUUAUAUGCGAUGGGGGAAAACAAAUGUACAAUUCAUUUCCGCUCCCAAAAAGAGAUCAAAAUGUGGCUGGACUAGUUAGAUCAAGGCAACCAGGCCUUAGGUCUAGUGGUCCCUGAUGUGAUUGAGAAGCCCACUUAAUGAGUACAAAUUGAAUCUGAAGCGAAAAGUGGAAAUGAUUGAAGCGGAAAAUAAGAAGCUUCGCAAGGCGUUGGAAUCCCGAAAAACAUAUAAAAUGAGAUGUCUUGAAUUUUGAUUCUUAAUUCAAUGUUUAGGGACUUUGAUUUCUAGCUCAAUGUUUUCAAUUCUUAGUUCAAUGUUUAGGGACUUUGAUUUCUAGCUCAAUGUUUUCAAUUUUUAGAUUCAAUGUUUAGGGACUUUGAUUUCAAUUCUUAGUUCGCCGUUAGGGAAUUUGGUUCAAAUUUCAAAUAAAAUCAGGCGAUUAGACCAUUGUCAUGGGCCAUUUUCCUAUCUUGUCAUUGGUUCUUACAUUACUUUUAUUCCAAUUAGGUGAUAACGGAUCCUCCACGUUCGCCCAUCAUUACACGGUCGAGAGCAAAGAUAGCUGACCAAGCUGAAAUGCGAGAUCAUAUGUCUGCUGUGGAGACUCAACUCCAACAAGUACUUGCCUCUAUACAGCUUGUGACGGAUCAACUCCAAUUCCUCCAAGCGAAUCCAACAACUGCACUUGCUCUUCCUGAAGUAGUUAUCCCGAAGCAAGCAAACAAGGUUCAAACGAUUGACGACGACAUGCCCGAGCUGGAAGAUGACUCGAUCCUUGUUGGAAAGGCCAAACUUGACAGCGUUUACAAGACAGAUUAAGAUGAGUGUGUUGCGAAGCUGGAAGAGAAAGUGAGACAGUUGCAAGAGUCACAAAACUCACUCCCGUUCGACCUCUCGGUCUAUGAGAAGGUCAAAAUGCCGGAGUUUGGGAAAUAUGACGGUACAUCUUGCCCAAAAUCUCAUUUGCAGAUGUAUCACGUCCACAUGGCCUAGCACAUCAAAAAUGAGCCCCUCAUGAUCCAAUCGUUCCAUGCGAGUUUGACUGGGCUCGCACUAAACUGGUACGUGAUGAAGAAUGUGAACCUCCUCGACACUUGGAACGAAGUGGCUGAUGCAUUCCUCAAACAGUACAAGUUCAACAUGGACAUCGCACCUUCCCGAGAAGGCCUGGAGCGGAUGGAAAAGAAAAGGAUCGAGUCAUUUAAAGAAUACGUUGUAAGAUGGAGAAACCUGGCGACUCAGAUCACUCUUGAGCCUACCAACAAGGAGCUGAUGAAGUUGUUCGUGAAGUCCUUCCCGUCUGAGUUCCGUACCCGAAUGGCCAGCACGUAUGUGGAGAGCUUCAACCAACUUAUCCCGGUGGGUGAGCAAAUUGAGAUUGGGUUAAGAGAUGGAUGGUUCGACGAACCGACUCAUCAAGGCAAAAUGUUCACCGUGAAGAAAGACAAAGAACCAAGCAUGGAAGUCAAUGUCACAUAUGCACAAUCAAACAGGCCUCCAGUUGUUCAUGUCCCUACGAAUCAACAAGGUGGUGUCCAUCCGACCAUGCCUCGGCAGUUUACUAGAAGGCAGUUCACUCCUCUUCCUGGCCCUCUGUCCCAGGUUUGGAAGGUCCUACAAAAGAAGGGGUUGCUGUCCUAUGAGCCAAAACAACCCAAUGCUGAAAAUUUUUAUAACUACGACCCUUCCAAGAAAUGCGAGUACCAUAUGGGGGAAGUAGGACACUCGACUGAUGAGUGCAUUACCUUGAAGCACAAGGUCCAAAACUUAUUAGACCCCAAGGCAUUUGCCUUUAAUACCACUCAACCGAAUCCCCUACCUAAGCAUGAGGAUAGGGUGAAUGAUAUUUUCGAACAAGACGCCAGUCGAAUCAAGAAAAUGAAGGUGCACAUGAUGGACACCCUGGGGCAGCCAUGUGAUGAAUGGAAUGACAUGGACAAUUCGACGUCUCCAAACACAGAGAGCUCAGAUGACGCCUUGGAAGGAAUCACAAGUCUGUUCGAUGAUCUCUUCAUAGGAUCCAUUGAUGAAGGACCUGCAGAAGACAUGGGUGUUGGCCCGCAAGAGUAACUUAUCACUUUUGCACAUUCCCCUGCGUGGGAAUUUUGAUCGCUUUCUAGGAAUUUUAUCGCUUUUUAGGAGUUAUUAUCGCUAUCUAGCGAUUGUUUUCGAUUUUUUAUUUUUCACUUUCUUUUUAGGACUUAAAUUCGCAUUUUCCAUUCAAUAAAUGUAAUUGAUUGAUGAAUUUUAAUGAAAUUACAAGUUUUAUUUUGAGGGCAUGAUGAUGUACACCAAACCGGCCCGGUGAUGUUAUCUAGCCGAUAAACAAAAAGAAAAAUCCAAAGAGAAUUCUGAGACCUAGGCUUCAUCAUGCUUUCUCGUGUCAAAAUGUUAAGAAAAUGCCUUUCCAAUUGCAUUUUUAAAAAAAAUUCAAAAAAAUCUUUCAAAAAAAAUGAUUUACCCUGUUUGUUUUUUUGAUUCAUCUACUUUCCAUUUCAAGGAUGGUCAUAUAGCAUGCAAAGGUAUGGAAAUUGUCCAAUCCAAUGCAACAAGUGCUGAUAAUGAUGGUCCCGAAGAUUCGAUCGAAGAUGCCAUUGAGGUGUAGCGUAGCUGGGAACAACAUGAAAGAGCCAAGGCUCUUACAUCCGAGCAGACCGUCACUAUUAAUUUAGAUGACACUAAAGAAGCCAAAGAGAUAAAUGAUCUUGUUCUAAGGGAGCUAUUGCCAAUUUUUCCAGAUCCUAGGGGCAAGUUUGCUCCAAAUUACAAUGACCCCUAUGAGGUGAAGAGGGUACUUCCUGGAGGUGCUUUGAUCCUGGCAAAAUGGAUGGUUGUGAAUUUUCUAUUCCAGUUAAUUUUGAUGCUGUCAAGAAAUAUUACCCAUGAUUGAAUUUUUCAUGUCAUGUUUUGAAUCGCAAGCAUUUUUAUGAUGAAUAAAUGGCCUCAAUGAGUUGCAAAUUCAAUGGUUCAAAUUUGUUAUAAAUCUUGCAUGUUUUCCUUGAUGAAUUAUGUGAGAUAAAUUGAAUGUGUUAAAUGGGAUACUUUGGAAUGAUGAAAGGCAAGCCCGACUCCAUACACUAUUUCAUACACUAAUCCUUGGUGAGUUGUGUGGAAAAAUUUCAUGCCCAUGAGGAAAAGGGUGAUCUCGCAAAGGGUACGUCAACCGAGAUGAUGAGAGGCAGUUUUUUUGUCUACCCGAAACACUACAGGUAUAUCCAUUAUUUAGCCCUUUGAGCCCACACACGUGAAGAGCUUUUAAAAUUAUCCCUGUCAAGGAUCAUCCCACAUCAGGACAAAUUUGAAAUGAAUGAUAGGAACUUUCUUGCUCACACUUGCAUCAAUCUUCGAGUAUUGUUUUCGCAGUGUAAUUUGUACGAUAAUUUGAAGUGCCUUAGAAUGACGAAGUGCAGUUCUUUCUCUAUCCACACACUAUUAUCCAUUGUAUAGCCCAUUUGAGCCUAUGAAUUCGUUUCAUAUUAAGCCCAGUUGGUGAUCAUCCCCCACACUGGGGCAAGGCAAGAAAAAACAAACCAUUCAAGUAGCAUGGUUUAGAAUGUUGACAAAAGAUGAAAGGCUGUGCAAGUUCAAAGAAAAAGUGCAAAAAAUGGGGCAUGAAAAAGCAGUGUGCCUAGUAAAAGCAAGGCCAAUGCCCAAAGAAAAAAAAUCAAACACUUGAUGAAGUGAGUCGUAUCCCCAACAAGGUGGUACCCAAAAAAGAAAAAAAAAACUCAAAUGUUGAGAUGCUGCAAUCAAUGGAGUUGUGAUGUGAAGAAAAUCUUCGACGAUGGGGAGGAAAAUUGUUGGAAAUGUCAAGAUGAUCACCAACUUUGACCCCCUAAACACUUUUUGAGCCAAAUGAUCCUUUCGUUUUUCAACCCAUGAACCAAGCCUACAUUACGUCCCUUGUAAAGUCUCUUCAGAUUAGGGCACUUGAAUUAACGUAAAAGUCCAUAUGUUUGAAAACAUUGCUUGAAGAAGUGCGAGUAAGAUAAUUUCUGCUUCAUUUCGUUUGUCUCUUGACUUGUAAACCCCAAGACAAUUGCGAAAUGUCAUUUUUCAAUAGCCUCGACUCAAAGAGUCUCAUUUGUUAAGCCAUUGAUCAAGCCUAUAUUACGGUCCCUGUUAAAGACCUCUUAGAUUGGUAAGGUCGUAUCACUUGCGAGAUUGCUUAGAUCCCCUGUUUGGCAUGACGAUAGUGAGAUAGAGUGAUUAUCAAAAUCCUGCAUCAAAGGUCAGGAUGAAAUAGCCCUUUUAAUGAGGAUGAGUGAAAAGUCCUUUCAGAUUGAAAGAUCCCUCACUUGACACAUCCAUGACACUCACGUGUUCAGAUUGGAAUAAUCUUUUGAAAUCUUCCCAAUGGAAAUUAGGUGAUGCAUGAUUAAUAGAAGUCGUCACACAUAAACCUCCUUUGAAUUAAUGCAUGUUUGUGAUUACAAAUGCAUGUUGCCUCUCCUAUGACCAUGUUUUGCAGGAGACGUAUCCCCAUGGAUCAAAGAUGUUACCAGGUAAGUAUAUCUCCAUCCAUACCUUAAAUACUUGUCAUUGUACAGGUAUUUCCCUCUUAAAUGCGCCGACACUCGACUCGACUGAGUUGUCCCCCAGAAGUUUUCUUCAGAUUCAGGCGACCGAAGAAAGGUUCAAGUCCUGGUCAGAUAGUCUAUGUUGUAACGCUAGGCGACCGUAGAAAGGUAGGGGUCCUAGACGUGUAACGCAAACUACCUUGAAUCUCUACCCUCCUUGAAGGUAAGAUAUUCCAGGUAGGUUCCUUUACCAUUUGCAUACAAAUUGCAUUCCAGAAUUUCGACUUCUCAGUCUAGAUCUGGAUGUCUCAAUUCUCUUCGUUGAACGUUUCACUCUGGAUGUGAAUGUUCUUCGACUUUCCUCGUUAUAACUUAGUCUGGAUCUAAGUAUUUCGAGCUUCUAAAAUCAUGACAUCUCUGUCUGGACCUGGACGUCUUGAUUAUUUUCGUCUAAACAUUUCACUCUGGAUGUGAAUGUUUUUUCGACCUUUCUCGUUAUACUUAGUCUGGAUCUAGGUAUCUCGAGUACAAAAAUCUUGACAUCUCAGUCUGGACCCAGAUGUCUUGAUUAUUUUCAUUCAAACAUUUCACUCUGGAUGUGAAUGUUUGUCAAUCCUUCUCGUUAUACGUUAGUUUAGAUCUAGGUAUUUCGAGCACAAAAUCUUGACAUCUCAGUUUGGAUCUUGAUGUCUUAAUUCUUUUCAUCAAACAUUUCACUUUGGAUGUGAUUGUUUUUCGAGCUUCCUCGUUAUACCUUAGUCUGGAUCUAGGUAUUUCGAGUUUUAAAAAAUCUUGACAUCUCAGUCUGGAUUUGGAUGUCUCAAUUUUUUCCGUUGAACAUUUCACUUUGGAUGUGAAUGUUCUUCUCAAUCUCAAUGUCUCAGACUAUUACCUGUUACGCUUUUCAAGGAACCUGAGUGAGAGUUGGGUACUUGUGGAGUAAAUAGGGAUUUAUCAUGUACCUCAAGAUGCUUUACCGCACUAACUGGUAAGUAAUUGUAGGUACAUUCUUUCCUUUGACAUCAUGCAUUUGCAUUAUCAUUUCCAUACAUCAUAUAAAUUGCAUUUUAAAAUGGAAUUCAUUUUUUUUUUAAAAUCAUUCAAACUACAUUUUUUUUUUAAAAAAAAUGGGAUUCAUUUCCCGAAAAAAAAAAUCAAUCAACGCAUAUGCAUAGUCAAAAUUUAGGUCUCAAUUUGAUUUUGAAGGCAACCUCUAUGAGCUCACCUUCAAAGAGGGACAGCUGUUGACACCUAAAUUUUAGCGACCCGAUUAGCCAUUUAUUGCAUAGAAAAUUAGGGGUUAACUUUGUCCCUGAAAAAAAUAUUAAUUGCAUAGCAUAUAGAUUUAGGUGCAUUUGUUUUUAAUUUGCAUUUUUUUACAUUUGUUUAUUGGAUCGGUGGUGGAUGGGUCAAAUUGGUGGUUUUGAGUUUUAAUUAACAGGUCAGACUAAGCCCAUGAAGAGUACAAAUUGGCCCAAGCCCGUUUUCUGAAAUUGAGAUUUGAAAUGAGGAUUUUCGAAAUUUAAGAAAAUCGAGGGUGAUCUUAUCUUUAAAAAUCAAUAGACAAUAUUUAGGAGAUAAGGAGAAUAAAAAUAUUUUUGUGAUUAGGAGGUUAUAGGCAAUCUUUUCGUCAGAUGAAAUAUUCAUAAAAGGAUUGCAUUUUGUUUUGGCAUAUAAAAAGGUGUGUAUGUAGGGUUUUAAGGGUGGGGGCUUUUUCUCGGUUUUCGAAGUAAAAAAUUCAGAAAAGAAAAAUUUUCUGCACAACAGCAGAGGGAGAAAGAGGACGUGCAGCAAAGGAAAAGAAGAAAAAAAAAAGCAAAAGGGAAAAGUAGAGCAGAGAAUGGAGAACUGUUCAUCUUCCCCAUUGCACCGACCGUCACGUAGCAAUGCCGCCCCGCAACCGUCCGAAGGUCCACCAUCGCCGAUCCGCCAGCAACUCGCGAAGUUGCUCCUGCCUCGACGUGCCUCUGCCGCUGCUGUCUGCGCCCCACCGGACGCCAAGCCGACGCCCAUGCAGUGUUCCUGUUCGCGAAGCCACCAUUGAUUCGCCCUGAUCAGUUGACGCCGCGACCCGUCUGUUCCCACGGCUCCGUUUGCGACGCCUGCGAAGCCUCGGCUGCUCCUGACGACUUGAUGUUGCUCUGAGCCGUGACCCAUCCCGGCUUCAACCUCACGACUUGACGCUUCACACCGGCGAUUUGCGAUUGCCCGCGCCUCCGCCUAAGCCCCGCUCCGACAACUCGCUCCGUCCGACGCUGCGCUGCUACGUUGUGAUCCCGCAUCCCCACACCGCUGCGAUCCCGCGCCUUCGCAACGCCCGAGUCGACCCGCCUUGCUACCACACCACUGAAGUUCCUUUGCCCGCGAGCUUCGCGAUCUGACACCACCGACACCACCGCACCGCCCCCUGUGACACUGCACCAGCCCGAGAUCCGCCUGCUGUCCUUGCAGCACACCCACCGCUGAUCUCCACCGUCCGCCCGGCGCCGACGAACUUGCUGUCACCCAUUUUCCUUAGGUUGCUCAUUUUUCUUUUAUUUUUAUUUUUUUAUUUUAUGUUAUUUUGCUUUAUUUUUAGUUAGUUUUGCUAUUAUUGUUUAAGUUUGAAUAUUGUGAGGUGGCUUUUAGGUUAUGGAUAUUAUAGGCAUUAUCGGCAUGAAUUAUUCCUAAAAUUAUUGUAAUUAUUAAUUUGACUCGUAAGAUGUCGGGUCAUUUUUUUAAUUAUAUUAAUUAUUGGGGUUUGUUGAUAGUAUUUUAAUUGUUGAAUCAAUAUGAUUAUUAAUUUGAUCCGUAAGACUUCGGAUCAGAUUUUUAAUUAUUUUGAACUUCUUGUGUGACGUUCAGGAUUAUAGUAAUGGUUAAUUUGACAUGUGAGAUAACAUGUUAUUUUUUUGAUUAUUUUAAUUCUUUAUUUGAUUGGAUGCCUUGAUUAGUUUAAAUACAAUGUUUAUUUGAUAAUUGCUUGUUUUGGAGAACCACUAAAAAAAUCCAAAAAAUAUUUGAAUUAGGAUUCAGUUUGUUUUGGAAUAUUUCUUGUUAUCUUGCAUAUCUAGAAUAGGGAUUUUAGUUCGAAUUUAGAAAAAUAUAAAAACAAAAAAAGUGCAUUCAUUUAGGUUAGUUUUUUUAAUUUAAAUUGCACGUUUAAUUAUUUGGCAAUUGUGAAUUUCGAAUUUUAUAAAAACAAAAAUACAAAAGAAUCAUCAUGCAUAUAUCAUGUAGAAUUAGGGCAUUCUUUGUACGUCAUGGCAUCUUAGGAUAAAAUUGCAAGUUUCAUUUUAAAUUCACUUCAUUAUUUAGAAUAGAGUGCAUUUUUAGGAUAAAAAAUCAUAUGCACGUCAUAUAGAAUUAAGUUCAUGAAAUGCACGUCAUUUAGUAAUUGUUGUUAAGUUCAUUAUAUUAGGAAUUGCUCAUCAUUAGACUAGGUCAUUUAAUAAAUGUCGUGUGACAUAUAGCUCGCAUGUUAAAUUGCAUAUUACAUGUCAUUUUAGUUGAAAUAAUUUUGUAUGUCAUUGCAUUGCAUUGUAUGUCAUUAGAAUUUGGUCUUUUAGAUUGCAUUUAAUUAUUGCAUUUCUUCAUAUCAUAUAGUUUAGGUCAUGUAGUUAAAAUGCAUGUUUAUAUGAAAAAAUUCUAAUUUCAAGAAAACCCAAAAAAUUGUUUGCUUUAUGUAAUGCAAUUUAUUUAUUGAAUGUUUGAGCAUCCGUGUGGUCACUUUUUGCAUGAUAGUAAUUUAGGUUAAAAUAAAUCAGCUGCCUACAAAACAUUUUUGAAAAUUAAAAAAAGAAAUGGUAACAAAAGGGCAUUAGAGAAAUCUAGUGUAACCAAGUCCUCGUACCCUUAGUCUCUGGUUCGUAGGAGUAAAUCUCACAUUACUUUACUUAGGUGUCUAAUCGACCUACCAUAAACCGAUUAGUGGCGACUCCUAGUUAAUAAUCUUUUGCAUGUUAAAUACUUGAACCUUAAGUCGCGAAUUGGUAUGGGCUUGGGAGAGGCCGAGUUAAGUUUAGGCUUAACAAUCCAUUAGCCAAACCUUAGGUGGUUCACAUCUGAAAAUUUGGUCGCUACAAAGGUUACUAAUCUAACAAAGCAAUUGCUGGCCUUGAUUUGAUUAUUGUAUCAACAUUUGACAUGGUAAGACACCAAUUAAUUUUAUUCACAUAUCAAUUUUUUUUUUUUUUAUCUUGCUAGGUUUGGAAAAGUAUCACCAUUCACAGUUGGUAGAAUCUAACAUUUAUUAUUGCGACUUCUUGACGCCUUUGAAGUUUCCAGCUCUUAUUGGCAAAAUUAAUGAAAUUGAGAUAUCAACUCAUUUUAGUUGCUUACCAAUGAUCUUGAUGACAUACUAUCGCGGCUUUAAGAAGAAAAAAUUGUGUAGAAUAAAGGAAAUUACACCUAGCUCCACGUGGCGGGAAAAGAGUAUGAAGUAAAAUUACAAAUUUAUUAAUCGCCAACCAAAAAAAGAGGCAUCUUUCUGGGGAGUUUCACUUGAGCAAUCCUUCAUAAGAACAGCUUCCGCUGAUCGUGGUCUCUCAAUUCGAGCCUUGACAAAUUUGACCGGCUUUUGCAUUCAUCUCUUCUCUCGGACUCAAGCUUCUUCGAUUCUCAGGGUUUUCUCAAUUUUUUGCUUGAUUCUGAAUUUGACCGUUCCUUGUUUGUCAAUUGUUUUAUUUAUUUCACUGUUUCUCAAGCUACAGUCUUUAUUUUUUUUAAAGGUUUUUCCCCCAUAAUAUAUAUAAUAGAAAUCGGUUUGUGUAGGUUUUGGUUCUUGGGAAUAGAUUUUGAAUAGAAACAAGAAUAAAAAAAAAAUUACUUCUUUAUUUUUGGGAAUAACUCAAGAACCAAACCCAAUUUUUUUUUUCUUCUCUUUUUCUCUUCCCCCUCUUUUUCCCUAAUCGAUCACUGGCCUCAGCCAUGACUGGCUGGCAACUAGCCAAACAAGGCUCAAUGGCCUUGCCAGAGCCUCACUGUCACGCCCUGAUCCUUGGACGUGCGCACAUCCUUCUACUUGGUCGAUUUUAGAAUGCGAUAUCCCAGGACUAUGUAUCGCCGACCCUUUCUUUUCUUUAAGCACAUGCAGAAGCAGUUAUAAAUCCCCAGACAAUAAAACAAUGGGAUAGGAAAGUAGGCCAUAUUUUUCAUAUUGAAAUUCAUAACCACACUUUCAUUAACAGCACAACUUAUAGUAUAUUUACAAUACUAUGCACAACAUACUUGUCUCACACCUAUCUAUGCUAAGAUAGGGUUUACAAAAGGGAUGGGAUCUCAGUCCACAUCCGGGUUAUAAUCAAGAUCCCUCUCUGGAUCGUCUUCUUCUUCAAAAGUCUUUCUCCCCUUCAGGUUCCUCUUCCUUAGCUUCUCCUCAGGUUCCUGAAAUGGUUAUUCAAUAACCAAUGAGACCACGUCUCAGCGAGUCCUACCCCCUACGACUCGAUUAGUAAACUAAUACGCCAUACGGUUGCCUAAGCACAACACGAGUCAAAGGACUUACCUUGGCCUCAGUUCCAACCUGCAAUUCAAGGUUAAACACAGAUAUUCAAACAAUUCACGACAUCCAAUCAAGCACUGGUCAAUCGACUAAGUCGAUUACAUGUCAGCCAGACCCUCUCUAGGUCAUUCCCACUCAUACCAUGAUUUCCCAGUGGUGUACUCAUUCACCAAAUCACAUGUGUUUCUCGGGCGUCGUUUUCGCCAAUGACAUACCGAUCACCGACACCGUGCGUUCUUUAAGGCGCCGUUUUCACCAAUGAUAUCCUCGAUCACCGAACCACGUGUCCUUUUUAGGGCGCCGUUUUCGCCAAGGUGACAUCGGCUAUAGACAACAUCGUGAGUUCUUUAAGGCGUCGUUUUCACCAGUGAUAUUUCCAUAAUCACCGAACCACGUUUGUCUAUAAGUCAUUUACGUGCGUUCUUUAAGGCGCCGUUUUCGCCAGUGAUACUCCCAAUCACCGAACCACGUAUGUCCAAUAAUAUCGUACCUGAUUGGUCUCAACCAAUAAUGUUCUCAGUUAGCUCUCACCAUUCUCCCUACUAUAUAGCCCAUCAACGUACUAGCGCUAUAUAUCCAUGCUCGGCCAUUACCAAUCAAAUACUCAAUAACAAACAAUUUGGGACAAUUCUCAAAUUUCACAAUUAAUUCAAUUCCACACAACGUAGAGUUUAAAUAAAUAAACGGUCUGCACCACGACAAUCAGCACGAAAUUCUAGUCACCGGCCAUCCCGGUUGAAUUUCCGGAAAAAUAAUUAAUUAAAUAAAUAAAUUUCGAAAAUAAAUAAAUAAACAUUAAAAAUCCAAUUUAGGCCCAUAUUGCCUUAUUGGAGCCCGAAACGGGUCGGGAAAAAUCCCGAGAUGCAUUCAAUAAAUACUAGAGCAUUUCUACUCCAUAAUGGCUAUAGCUAACCACCUAACAUGCAUCCUUAAGUCACUAAUUUAAUUGUUCUAACCUAAUCUAACCACCUAAUUGCAAUUAAUUAAAUCUAACCAACCCUAAGCAUAAUUAGCAAACUAAUAAAGCAUUAUUUACUCACUUGAUCAAAAGCGGGAAUCGAAUCACCGCAACGGCGACGCGACGGCGGCUGAAAUUGGGCUUUCGACAACACCGGCGGACUUGAACCGGGCCUUGACCUUGGCCCAACAAAUCUCAGCCCAAAUGAGAUUUGUUCUUGCACUGGGAUGGGCUGGACCUAAAUUAGACUGGGCCUGCAGAAUUUCUGGACUGAACUGACUUGGUCUUCAAUUUGUGGACUGAAAUUGGGCCUCAAUCCUGCGGGCUUUACUAUUUGAAUCUUGGGCUGAACUUGAUCUGGACUUAAUUCUGCUUGGGCUGAAAACGUGGGCCAAACUGUUGCUGUGAAAAUGGGCUGAGCUGGACUGGCUUCUUGGGCUGGCUUGACCUCUUUGCUGGGCUGAUGAAGAUGGGCCGAACAAGGCAGAGAUGGGCCUCGACAAUUUCGUAAAGGCUGAGGGCACGCCGCUGGAGAAAACUGAAGACGGAAGCUGCUCGUGGACUCUGCUUGAACGGUGGAGAUGGGAUUGACUCGGUGAAGACGCGUGAAGCUGAAGUUGACACAGCGAAGCAGCUCUACGCGAAGAUGGAUGAUGCUGCAACGAAAUGGAAGAGGGGCAGCUCGCGUGUGGCUUCACUCGGUGGGGGGAGACGUGGGCUUUCGCUGGCUCUUGGAGUCAAAGCCUGAAGACACUGCUCGAUGUUGCUGCUGGGCGGAACAUGAAGUCACGCUGGUGGAGGCCACGCGUUGAGAAGAAACGGACGAGAGCAGGAGCUUCGGUGGAGUUUGUUCUUCACGGAUGAGGCGGCUACUUCAUGCGUUUGAAGAAGAAGACGCGUGGAUGGGCAGCUUGUUGACUAAGAGAGGGCAGCUCGACAAAGACGAAAGCCGCGUGGAGAUUUCUUCUUCGGUGGAUGAUGGCCGCCUGGGAGAGGAAACUCUCUGGGGUUUCGAAGGCCAACACCAGCUUUGCUAGUACUAGGCAAAGAAGUGGACUUGGAGAAGAGAAGACCAACGUUGGUGGAGGGUGUGGGCUUCCGUCCGGUGCGUGAACGAGAGAAAAGAAUAAAAAGGAUGAAAAGCAAGGCAGAGAUAGAAGAUUGAAGAGGCUACACGGUUCUUCAAACGAGAUAGGGACAGAGGCGGUGAGAGACAGCGACGGGGAGAAAGCAGCUGGCUUUUGCUUUAUUAAAAGGAUUGGAUCAAGGCCAAAAUAUCUAAUACUCAUCAUAAUUUUGGCCUCAAAAGUCCUCAAAAUUAUCCCUUGCAUUAACUUCAUGUCCCCUAAUACUUUCCCACUUAUAAUUUCUCUAAAACAACAAAUUUUGAAGCCCCAAAAUUGCUGCCCUUGCAAAGCUCCGAAUUUCCAAUUUCUUGUUUUCAAUUUCCUCACUCAAUUCCCCAAAUUGAGGUCCAAUUUCGAUGAAGAAAAAUCUCAAAUGAUUUUCUAUAAAUCUCUGACACUCAAAGGCUCAGUCUGGAAGUCCAAUUUUCUAUCAAUUUAGCCAAUCUGAACUUCUGCCAAAUUUCCGCAACGUCCGAACCCAAUUUCCGUAAAAUUUCCCGAAUCUCCGAAAAAUCUUCUGAGACUGAGUCGAUGCUCCUAAAAUUUAUUGUGACAUGGCCAAAACUUCAAUUUCUGAAAUCGGACUCGAAUUGGCGGUUAAUUUUCAUUCGGCGCGUUUUUAGCGUGACCUAGACUAUCGGGUAGUUUUCAGAACUUUUUAAGGAAAAUGACCCGUGGUCGAUUUUCUUCGAGCCACUAUGAACCCACUCGACUCAAUGGCGACUUUUGAUUGUCGUGAAAAUCUCGAUAAUUCAAUUACGGACACAGGGUACCAAAACAAUAAGAAAAUCAGUCUAGUGUAGGCCGACGAGAAUUUUCUAAUUCAGUGGUGUCACCCACGAUUAGUCACAUAUCUCUAUCGAUCCAGUCUAUCUCUGAUUUCAAAUCGAUUUUUAACUGUGCCGUAGUGACCUCUAAAGAUGGACACGGUCAAGAAGCCGAUUCCUGAUCGAGUUCUCAAGUCUAUUGCCUUAAAAUUCCUUAAUAAUUUCCCCAGCUAGUCUAGUUAUCUCGAGAGUGAUCGGCUCUGAGAAUAACCCUAUAGACGCAUCAAUGAAAUGCCCGAUUUAUUCAGUAGAAGACAGGGUUGAAAAUUUGGGAUGUCACACUCACGGCCCUCGGCGAGGUCUCCCCGAGCCUUGUCGUGGCUACGUGAGGUGACCUUGCCUAGAUCUGGCAAGGCCAAGCCUCACUCGACCAGGCGAUGUAGACCUUGUGGUGAUCGGGUGUGAGGUCGAGCCUCGCCGGUGGCUAGGUGAGGCUCGGCCUGACAUUGUUUGGGUGAGGUCAAUUCUAGGUCACAAAAAUAUUUGGAGAUCAUAUCUAAUGUGUUUCGAUUUCAUGAAUAGAAAUUUUAUGCAAUUAUGAAACACGCUUUUCUGCUUAAAAAUUUGUCUAGCGAACAAAAAUAGAAAAAAUUGUUUCUUAAAAAUCAUUCCCUAAAACAGAAAUAUUAUCACGUACCCUAAAACUACCAUUUCCUUUGGUUAUCCUCUUCCUGAAAUUUUCGUAACAUUAAAGUGCAUUGAUUUUGUGCCGAUUUGACCAUUUUCUGCCCUUAGAAGUGCCCUGACCCAAUCCAAUGGCCUGAGAAGUUGCACUUUUUAGAGUUUCUUUCAUCUUUGUUUUGUACUUUGUUCAUUUCCCCAUUUUCAGGGCUCAUACAUCUUUUGCAAAUUGAUGGUUCAUGUCAUAGCAUAACCUCAUGAAGUUCCCAAAGAAGAUAUUAAUCGAGAUUAAGCCUCUAACCCUUGCUAAAUCUUACAAUCAUCUUGCGGGGAUGUCUGAAACUCUCUUCUUGCUCUCUUUUUUCAUUUUUUUUUUGUGAUGUACAGGCAAAGGGCAUUUACUUGUACUCAUUCAUCUCCUUUGGUCCCAGAAUGGAAGUACAAGAUCGAACGCAGUGCCUCUAUACAACCCCAUAAAAUCUCUUUAUCUCUAUUGAAUCAUCAACACAACCCCGGUUUAUUUUUGAGGACUCCUAUAAGGAUAAGGUGCAUUCAUUUCUCUUGUCGUUGCAAAAUUCAUCCAAGAAGAUAUGGCAUCUUUCCUAAGGCUAGAAAACAAACAGAGUCAAUAUAAGUACGAUGUUUUCCUGAGUUUCCGAGGUGAAGAUGUAUGCAAAAACUUUAUUGACCAUCUGCACGAUCAUCUGUAGUGAAGAGGAAUCGUGGCCUUCCAAGGUGGUCGCCACCAAGAUCUUCGGAGGGGAAAAUGCAUUAAACUAGAAAUAUUGAGGUCAAUAUUGGAAGUGCUAGAAUGAACACCUAGAGGGGGGUGAAUAGGUGUGAAGACAAUUGGACAGUAGAAAUAUUUUGCUUUUGAAACUGAGUCUGAAGAACAACAAACUUUGAACGAGUUCAGACUUUAACAGUUAAAUAGAACUUCGAACAAAAUAAAGGAAUUUAGGGAAGAGAAUAAGAACACAUAAUUUAUAGUAGUUUGGCUUAGAUCAAGUCUACAUCCACUUUCCACGCUGACAGCCUCUUGGCUAGAUUCCACUAAGAAUCAAAAGAGAAUUUACAAUCUUGCGUUCUAGACUUCACAGUGAAGAGUCUUUAUUGCUCUCUCACGAAGUCACACUAUAAGUUUUUCUCUCUUUUGAGUACAAUUUAAAGCUUAGUAAACAGAAUAACAAGAAACUAGGAAGCUUCAGACUUUGGAGUUUCUCUUUCACGCACUCUAUCGAACAACUAGAGAGUCCCCCUUAAAUACUCCUUCAUGCCUUCUCGACCAUUGGCACUUUCCAAAAGAAUUCUUCCAAUCAACUUGUUGGACAAAUUAAUCAAAAAGAUCUCAAGCUAUUUAAAGAUUUUGAUUAAAGCCUGUUGACACCUAAUUUUGGAAAAAUAAAAUUGCAUUUUGAACAAAUAAAAGAAAAAAAAUGAAAAUGGGGGAAAUUGAUUUGAUUGAUUAUGCAUGUCAAAUUUGAAAUUCUGAUGGAUGUUCAGAUUUUGAUAAAUGCAGAAACAAUUAAAAAUCAGGUGAACAAAUGGCAAGAAUUUUGCAAAAUGGAAGAAAUCUGAGCAAGAUCGAGCUGAUUGCGAAAUCACGUUCCGAUUUGCAGGCUUGAUUUAAUGCAACAGAAGAUGGAAAGUCGAAAGUUGCUAUAAAAAUGGCCAUAUGAAAAUCACUAUAAAAGGAGCCAUAACUUUCGUGAGUGAGGGAGGGUAUCAAAAAAAAUUGAGAGAAAAAAGGGAGAAGGAGAAGAAAAUUUCUUCUGCAGAAAGUGCAAAAGGAAAAACUGCAAAAAAAAAAAAAAAAAAAGUCAGAACGUGAGAGAAAGAGUAGGAGAGAAAAGAGAAAAGUAAAAACAGUAAAGGUUGAUUUGACCUUUACUGUUCAUCAUCUUCCCCAAAUCCACUCCUCACCCGCGCGCUGCAACUCGCGGAGACCCGACGCCGGAGCUCCGACGAAGCCCGCCGCUCCUGACGAUCGCCGAGCGCCACCCACCACUGCACCACCGCCGCUCCUGACCUCGCACUGCGCCCCGACGACCGCGCUCUCACCUUCGCCGACGCCGCGCCGCUGCAACACCCCUGCUCUGCCCGCGACGCCGCCCAUUGAUCUCCAAGCUCCGCCGCGCCUCCGCCAGACGCCGUCGCUGCCCCGCCUGACGCCAAGCGUCGCCCAGCCCGCGCAUUUGCUCGGAGCCCAACGCCGCCGCGUCUCUGCAACCCGCGACCAGCGCUGAGCACGGCCCAGCCAACGCCUGCAACUCCGGAUCCGCUGCCCGACGUCGCCGAAGCCAGCACCGUCGCUGCUCGCCUCAGCCCAACGCACCCCAGCUGGAGCCGCGCCACCGCGACACCAGCCACCUCCGCGACCCGAGCGCCCCAACUCCACCUCAGCCCGUGCCGAUCUGCUCGACGCCGCUGGUUGCCGCGCCAAGCACCUGCAACGUCGGCACCAUCCCUGCUGCUGCACCACCAGAGCCCGACGCCUCCGCCUUGCCUCGCGCGACCCGCAAGCCCCUCGCCGCCGACGUGCCGCUCCCGGUGCCUCGCCGGACCUCCGGUCAGCCAUCCUUGGCUGGACCCCACGGCUGCCAAGCCCAAUAAAAAAAAAAAGGAGAAAACACAUUAGGUAGUUUUCUUUAGUUUAUUUUAUUUUAUUUAUUUUACUUUUAUCUUGUUUUUUUAGUAUAAUUAGUCUUUAGUAUAUGAUUGGAAAUUCAACAUAUUACCGGAUUCGCAAUCGCGCCAGGAUUUUUUAUUUCAUCUAUAAGGCCUUAGAUGAAAUAAUUAAUUAAGCGAGAAUAAAAUUGAUAUUUUGAUCUUUAAGGCUUAAGAUCAAUUUAUCGAUUUUAUCAGCGAAAUAUUAUCCUUUGAUCCGAAUGAUGUCAUUGGUUUAGCUUGUCAUGAUCGCUUUGUUUAUCUUGAAAUGUGUUUCGGUUAUAAUAUUGCAUGUUUUAGGGUUUACAUAUUUAAAAUAGGAAUCUUAUUUCGAAUUUUGAAAUAAAAAAAAUAAAAAAAUCAAAUCAAUCAAUUUAGGUUGCUAGAUUUUUAAUUUGGAUUGCAUGUUUAAUUACUUGGCAAUUAUUAAUUUCGAAAUUAAACAAAGACAAAAAAUCAUCAUAUACAUGUCAUGUAGUGUUAAAGCAUAUUUUGCACGUCAUUGCAUAUUAGGACUAAAUUGCACUUAGUUCAAUUCUAGAUAAUAUUUUUUCUUAAUUUGUCAUAAGUUUAGGUAUUUUUUUUAGAUAUAUUGCAUUUUAGGACUAUUUAGGUUAAGAUAAUGUUUUAGUUUAAAUUAGAAUUUGGCCCAACCUAAUUCCUAAUAUAAAUUAAAUAGGAUCUUAAUCUAAUUAGGUAAUUUUCACAUUUUACCUGAAAAAUAAAAAAAGGCAUAGGAUAAAUUAGAUUUAUUAUUUAUGAUAAAAUGCAUUCUUUUAGGAAAAAGAAAAAAUGUCAUAUGCACAUCAUUAGGGCUAGAUUCACUGGGAUGCAUGUCAUUUAGUAUUUUUGCUAGGCCUAUUUAAUUAGAAAUUGCAUGUCAUUAGAAUGAGGUCAUUUAGUUAAUAUUGCAUUGCAUAUUGCAUGAUUUUCAUUAAUUAAGUGAAAACAAAAAAAAGAAAUUGCGUGGUAAUUAGAAACCAUAUCUAGGGUUGUUGAUACGGUUUUUUAACUUAACAUUGCAGAUGCUUUCGUUGCUUUGAGGUAAGUUUUUGCAAUUUAUUUAUUGUUUAUUUAGGUGCUAAAUUGGUGGAUUGCGCACUUGCAUGAUCACCUCACAUGUUGAGAAAAUAGAUUUAAAAUCAAUUUAAGCUGCCUGCAAAAAAAUAUUUUUUGAAAAUAAAAGAAUGGUACCGAAAGGGCAUUAGAGAAAUCUAGUGUAACCAAGUCCCCGUACCCAUAGUCUCUGGUUCGUAGAAGUAAAGUGAAACUCCCGUUACUUUACUUGGGUUUCUAAUCGACCCACCAAAAAAUAGAUUAGUGGCGACUCCCAGAUAAAAAAUCCAUCUACAUGUUAAGAACUUGAACUUAAGUCGCGAAUUGGUAUGGGCUUGGGAGAGCCCGAAUUAAGUCUAGGCUUAAUAAUCCAUUAGCCAAAUCCUAGGUGGUUCAACCCCGAAAAAUUGGUCGCAACAAAGCCCGUCAAUCCUGUUCGCCCAUAUAAUCAGGAUCUUGGUUUCCAUGACUAGAUUCUUUCCAUAUUUACUUGUUAUCCGAAAAGAUUUGAUAUAUCUAAAUUGAUUCCAAUAAAGAUAAUCAAUCUCGUAUGUGAUAUUUUCAUCCAGAAUGCCAUAUAUAACCUGUACGAACCGAAUUCUUGAAGUAAGAAAGAUAAUCUUGCAUCUGGAUAAGUCUUCAUUCUUCACUUGCGUUCAGUCUAGAAUUUGUCAGAGUGGGUAGUGUUAAAAUAUGUCUCGAGUUUGAGUCUAAUAUGAAAUUCCGAAUAUUUCGAAUUGGAUAUGUUGCGGACGUUCAAAAUCGAGCAAAGAUGAUCUGAAGAUCAACUUUCCAAAAUUUGAAUUUGUGUUGGAGAGUUUGGCCACUGAAAUAGGAAAGUCCAACUUUCACUUGGAUUUUGAUAUAUUUUAGAUAAAAUUGUUUAAGAUAGGAUACAGAAUCCUAUAAGAAGUUGGCAAAGGAGUAAGGGUCUCACUUAUAUAUAUAGACUUGUGGCCAUGGAUGGAAGGAGGUUGAUCAUAAAGAAUUGGUCUUGAAGCGCCGUCUCGUUGUUGAGUGCUUGGGAGGGAUUUUCUUUGUCAUUCUUGUUCGUGAAUUACAUCCAAGAAGAUUUAGUGUUCAAGCCAAUUAAAUCUUGUAAUAAGAUUUGCGUGUAAUUCUUUCGUGAGAUUGAGAGAUUAUUUCUUGAGGAAUUUUGGGGCUAAAAAACACUGCAUGUAUUAUUGGGUGUAAUUGGAGCUUGGGAAACACCGAGAGAGUGUUUGAGUGACUCGAGUGUGUAAUCUCAUUGUAUUGCUUGAUCUAUAUUGAAAUUCGUUACUGCUCUCCCCAUCAACAUAGGUCUUUACGACUGAACCACGUAACUUCGAUAUAUGAUUUAUUUUAUUCUUCUGUCUAUAUUAUUGUUCGAUCGCUUGCCCUAUCGCAAUAGGUAGACUUUUGAUGUAAAACAAACUUUGACACUAAAGUUUGGCAGUCUUCAAACUUUGACACAGAAGUUUUGAAAUCUUCAAAAUAAACUUUGGAUAAGUUUUGUCAACUUCAAAACAUUAAAGGAGUUUUCUGCAACAAAUAGAGUAGUCAAGACUUGCACUUGUGAUAUUCUCUAAAAACUACACUUCUUCUACGUGGUGCCUGGAAGAAGUUGUUAAGGCUGUGGAGUGCAAGGAUAUCAGUGAAGGAUUAGUGAUACCAAUCUUCUACGAGAUCAAUGUAUUUCACAUACAAAAACUAAGGGGAAAUUUUGGGACUGGCUUUGCUAAAAAUGAGGAAGAUUAUUCGGGCAACAAGAGAGAUAUAAAGAGGUGGAAAAAUGCAGUGAGUAAAGUAGCUGGUCUCGCUGUAAUAGAAUUGAAAGAUGGGUGGGCCUCUCUUCCACUAACUUGGAAUGAUUUGUUUUCCUUAAUAUUUGCAUGCUAUUAAUGUCAUGACUGUCAUACUUUGUAUUACAUUAGUUCAUCUUAACCAAAAUAGACUCAAAAACUAAACAACCUCAAUGCUUGCUGGGGUUUAAUCAUCUGCAUUUCUUCGUUGUAGAUUUGAGACCAAGUUUAUUCAACAAAUCAUUGGAGAAGUUGAAAAUAAACUGGGUCCUUGGCUAUCCUAUGUUGUAAGCGAUCUCAUGGGAAUGCAUUCCCGUGUUGCAAAUGUAGUUGAAUGUUUAUGCUUGGACAAGAGUGAUGUACGUAGUAUUGGCAUGUGGGGAAUGGGUGGCAUAGGUAAAACAACUAUUGCACAAGUAGUUUAUGACAAAAUCCGUGGCCAAAGAAAUUUCAAAAAGAAUGGUCUGGUAUAUCUACAAAACCAAUUUCUUGGCAAUAUUCUCCAAGACAACAAUUUGAGAAUUAGGGAUGAUCACAGAGAAGCGAAUGUGAUAAAACAAUGACUACAACAUAAAAAAGUUCUCGUUAUACUUGAUGACGUGUAUGAAAAGGACCAGUUGGAAAAAUUAGCAGGAGGUUUGGAUUGGUUUGGACAUAGAAGUAGGAUCGUUAUAACAACUAGAGAUAAACAUUUGCUUCUCCAAUAUGGAGUAAAUUCCAUAGAUAAGGUGGAGGAAAUAUCCUUUGGUGAGGCUCUCCAACUACUUUGUUUGAAAGCGUUUAGAAGUAACCAUCCUCCAACAAAGUUCAUUGAGCUCAUUGGAUGUGCCGACGGCCUUCCUCUAGCUUUUGAUGUCUUAGGUUCCUUUCUGGCUUGUAGAAGCUUGAUGCAAUGGAAGAGUGCAUUGGCCAGACUCAAAAAAUGUCCAGAAGGGAAAUUUUUUGACCGGCUUAUGUUAAGUUAUGAAGGACUAUGUUAGAAAGAGAAGGAGAUUUUCCUAGAUAUUGCCUGUUUUUUUUCAAGGGAAAGGAGAAACCUUGCGUAAUAGAAAUUUCGGACAAUUGUGGCUUGUAUGCAGAUAUUGGAAUCGAAGUCCUCGUUGAGAAAUAUCUUAUCCAAAUCGUGGGCAACAAAUUGUGGAUGCAUGAUUUAUUAUAAGAGAUGGCUUGGGAAAUUGUUAGUCGAGAGUCACCUGAAGAGCUAAGAGAAUAGAGUCAAGUUUGGCUUUUUGAGGAAGUAUGCCAUGUUCUGUCAAAAAAUCUCGGCUAGUAUCUGCAAUAAUUUGCAAGCAUGCUUAUUUGAUAUAGGGAAAAAAAAACUUGCUAGUCAUGUAUUGACCCUAUAUGAGUUGUUUAACAAGGAACUAGAAAAGUCAAGGCCAUAGUCUUGCAAUCUAGGGACCAUAGAACAGUGCGUUUGAAUGGAGAGUCAUUCACAAACAUGACUAACUUAAAAUUGCUUGAUGUUCGUGCCAUCCACCUCUCUUCUAGGUUUAAGCACCUUUCGAAUGAACUACGCUUGCUAGUAUGGGACAACUGCAGUCUUAAAUCAUUUCCACCAAGUUCUCUUCCAAAGAAUCUUGUCGAACUAAAUAUGCAGGAUAGCCUCCUUUGUAGCCUCUGGAGAGGGGAAAACGUUGGAAUUAGUACUCAUGCAUGUGUAUGCUUCAUUUGAUGCUUUAUUAUGUUUAACAAGCUAAUAAAAUUGUUCAACCAAUUUUUUCUAGAUGCAAGUUUUAGAGAAGUUGAAAGUUAUCAAUCUCAAUGGUUCCAAAUUAUUUGUGGAGACUCCAAACUUUACAUAUGUGCCAAAAUCAAGAGAGGCUAAUUCUCAAAGGUUGCAAAAGCAUUAUCUCAGGUUCAUCCUCCAAUUGGAAAUCUAGAAAGACUCAAUCCACUUGACUUGGGUGAUUGUGAAAACCUCAUGGGACUUCCAGGUAGUGUAGGUAAUCUAAAAGCUCUUAGAGUUCUUAAUCUGUCAGGAUGUUAGAAUCUUGAAGAACUACCUGAGAGCAUCAGGGGCUUAGAGUGCUUAGAGGAGCUUGAUAUUAGUGAAAGUGCUAUAACACACCUCCCAUCCAGCUUGACAUUCUUGCAAAAUCUAAAAAAAAUACGAUUUCAUGUUAGUAAAAGGAGGCCACAAAAUUUUUGCAAGACACUGACGUGUACGCUGAGAAGAGCUCUGAACUCUCGACGUCUGUGGUUGCCUUCAUUUUUAGGGCUAUCCUCUUCGAUAGAGUUGGAUCUGAGUGGCUGCAAUCUUCUGGAAGGAGAAAUUCCUAGUGAUAUUGAUUGCUUACGCUCCUUGAGGUCUUUAGACCUAGCCGAAAACAGUUUUACCACAAUAACUGCAAGCAUCAAACAUAUAUCUAGCUUGGAAUUUAUAAUAUUAAAUCAUUGCAAAUAUCUUCAAGUGUUACCAAGACUUCCAAACAGCAUAAUCGUUGUGGUGGCUGAGAAGUGCCUCAAAUUGGAGAGGAUAUCAAACCCAUUCAUUAUAUGCACAGUACCUGACUCAAGGUUUUGCUUCCUUAAUUGCUCCAAUUUGCUUUCGCAAGAUCUUGAUUUAACUUUGCAGCAAAAGUACUCAUUGGCAUUGCUUUGUUACAUCGUUUGCUGUUCCAUGAGAGUAAUUCUGGGAACUUAUGUGGUGUCUCCAUGUUUGCAAUGUGAAAUACCUGAGUGGUUUGGCUACUAGGCAAUCAAACUUUUUCUUGCUGCCACAAUCAUUAAAACUAAAACCCUCCAUGUAAUUGAGUCUAUGGAAUGAACUCCCACAAUCUCUUUCAUGGCUACCAACUCCAUUUCGAGUUUUUAUCGAUUAAAUGUCUCUCCCUUUUGGCACUCAAGAAGGCCAACCCUAAUGAACUUUUUGUCACGCCCCGAUCCUCGGGCACGCCCCAUCCCUCACCUUGGUCGAUUAAUAGCGAUGUCUUAAGACGCAUCGCCGACCCUUUUAUUUUAAUGCGCAUGCGGAAGUAUAUAAUAAUAAUUCCCAUGCAAUAAAGCAAUGGGAUAUGAAAGUAGGACUAAAUUUUGAACUUUAAAAAACAACCACACUUAUAUACAUUGCAAACCAGUGCACAUUUAUAUAAAGCGAACUACUAAGUUAGACUCAACUUAAACAAGCUCAGAAUCAAGGUCUGCAAGCAGGGGUGGUGGUUUCACAAUCUACGGGUCCUCGUCCUCCUCCUCAUCAUCCUCUACACUUCAACUGGAGCCUUCAAUAGACUGCAUCGGACUUCCAAGAUCCUCAAAAUCUAGAUCUGCUGCAUCUACAACUAAGCCCGGAGGAGGAUAUGCGGUACCUUUUCCAAAGGUGGCCUCUAGAACACACAAAGGUAUCUCAGACUCCGAUGGGGGACCCUCUCUCUAGCCAUCUUGAGCCUGGCGGUACCAUGAUCUAUAUCGAUGGGGCACCUUGUUGGUGAGACGUGCAUCGACCCAAACUAUAGACCUCACUAGCUCAUAGGUGCAGCCCCUAAGGCAUCCAUGAAAUAGAAAGUAAGAGGUCUGCUCUGUGAUAUUCUUAGGCCAUCCCAAAAACUCAAGAGCGGCCAUCUAGGGACCUGAAAUUGUUAUACAAUAACUAAUGAGAUAACGUCUCGGCGAGUCCUACCCCCUAAGAGUCGAUUAGGAAGCCAAUACGCUUUAGAGGCUGCCUAAGCACAACACGAGUCAGAGGACUUACCUUUGCCUCAGUUCCUUCCUACAAGUCAGUAUAUAUAUCAAAUAUACACGAUCACAUCAUAUCACAUCAAUCAAAUCAAAUUAUCGAUCAAUCGACUUAGUCGAUUACAUGUCAUCACGAUCUUUCUCUGGUUGGUACAUUCAAUAUCAUCUACUCUCCAAGAUAGUAUAUUUAGUCAUCGAGCCCACGAGCAUUCUCCAGCUUAAUGUACUUAGUCACCAAGCCCACGUGCCUUCUCCAAGAUGGUAUAUCUAGUCAUCGAGUCCACGUGCAUUCUCCAGGUUAACGUACAUAGUCAUCGAGCCCAUGUGUCUUCUUCAAGAUGACCCACCUAAUCACCGAGCCCACGUGCAUUCUUCAGGUUAACAUACUUAGUCACCGAGCCCACAUGCUUUCUCCAAGGUGAUAACACGAAUCACUGAGCCAACAAAUUAUAACGCCUUUCUCUGAGAUGACAUCUUUAAUCAUCGAGCCGACAUAGUAUGACAUUCUUUCUCACAUUCUAUCAUACUCGAUAAAUAGUUGUAUGUGGGUACACGGCUGGCCUUAGCUAAAAUAUAACAAUUUCACUUUUCAUAAGUCCCACCAUUAGCCCAUAACAUACUUUUGGUGCUGUAAACUGACACUUGGUUAUUUUCCAAUCAAUUACCAAUAUUGAUUAAUUUAGAAUAAAAUCCUAAAAUCAAAAUUAAAUCAAUUCAGCACGAUUUAGCACUCAAAUAAAUAAAUAGACUGCAUCACAUCGAUCAGCAUAAAAUUUCGAUCGUCGGCUAUCCCAGCCUAAUUUUUGAAAAAUAAUUAAUUAAUUAAACAAUUAUGGAAAUUAUUAGAUAAAUACAAUAAAUUCAAGUUAGGCUUGUUAUAGCCUAAUUGGAAGCCGAGACAAGCCCAGAAAAUUACCGAGACUCGUUCAAUAAAUACUAGGACCUAUUUCCUUGCUGACUAUACUAACCAUUUGCCUAGCAUGCAUCAAUAAGUCUCUAAAUUAAUUACCCUAAUCUAAUCUAUCCACAUAAUUAAACUUAAUUAAAUCUAAUCAACCCCUAAGCAUCAUUAGCAUACUAAUAAGGGAUUAGUAAGAAAAACUCACUUGAUUAACGAGUGGGUUGGAUCAAAAAUCGACGGGAACGUUGUGAGGGACGUUUUUUCUCAAAGCAGGCCUAGGUUUCGAGGCCCGGAAACACCUCAAAAUGAACCUACAAGACGGCUGGAAAACCACUUUUCUGCUUGCUGGUUGGGGCUGCAAAACAGAAUAAAUGAAGUUGGUUUGGUGCGGGAAAGGCGACAGUGGACCGGUGGGGGACUUCGGCAGCUUGGAGGGCGGUCUAUGGCGACCAAACGGGCUCCGGCAGGCUUCCACAGCCACUCAUGGCUAUUGAACAACGAGGUGGACAGUGGAACAGGACUGCUAGAUAGCGUGAGGGAGGCGGCAAGGCGGAGGCUCACGUGCGGGCGGCGACGCGCGGCUUGAGCUCCAGCGAAGGGCGACGGCAUGCAGUGUGGACGGCGGCUUCUCUUGCUGGGUUUCUAAUCUUCAAACGGCAACAAUGGAUAUGGAGAAGGGGCUGUCGCACGGUUGAGGGAGAGGGAGAGGAUAAAAGGCAAGAGGGGAGGCAACAUGGCCUUGAUUUUCCACAACUUGUCCCCCAAGACUCAUCCUUGGCCAAGCAUCUUCCUUGGCUGUCCGUGAGCCACCAAGGCUCCUCCUUUCAACCUUGAAUUGGUCCAAAAUGGUGGUGGAUGGGGGAGUUACGAAUUCACAAGCAAUUAGCUUCAAUUGGACACCGAUCUUUGCUCGAUCCAAUCCCAUUUGGCCUUAAAAAAUUCAAUUGACAUCUCAAUGUUCCAAUUGAUAUUUUUCCUCACCUAUGGAUCCAUCUUGCACCCCCAUUUUGUUAUCAAAACGAUUGUCGGCUUUCUCUGAACAAAAAUGGUCAUAUACCGACUUUUUACCAAAAAAGUCUUGGGUUGUAGAAAAAUCUUCUGAGACUGAGUUGACGUUCCUAGAAUUUAUUGUGACAUGACGGAAUCUUCAAUUUCUAAAAUCGGACUUGAAUUCGCAGUUAAUUUCCAUUCGGCACAUUUUUAGCGUGACCUAGGCUACAAGGUAGUUUUCAGAAAUUUUUAAUGCGAAUGACUUGUGGUCGAUUUUUUUCAAGCCACAAUGAACCCACUCGACACAUUGGCGACUCUCGGUUGUUGUAAAAAUCUUGAGGAUUCAAAUACGAAUACAAGAUACCAAAACGACAGAAGAAGCAGUUUAUGGUUAGUUAACGAGAAUUUUCCAAUUUAGUGGUGUCACCCACAAUUAGCCACACGUCUCAGUCAAACAAAUGUAUCUCUGAUCUCAAAUCGAUUUUUAAUUGUGCCGUAAUGGCCUUUAAAGAUGAGCACGGUCGAGAAGUCGAUUCUCGAUCAAAUUCUCAAAUCUAUUGUAUUAAAAUUCCUUAAUGGCUUCCUUGAAUAGUAUAAUUAUCUUGGGAGUGAUCAAUUCUGAGAACAACCCUAUAGGCACGUCAAUGAAAUGCCUAAUUUAUUCAGUAGAAAACAUGACUAAAAAUAUAGGAUAUCACAGUUUUUUUUUUUGGUAAAAGAGAUGUCGCACUUUUUCUGUAAACCUUACAUAUUAUUAAAUCCUGGCACACCAUUAAUUUUUCUUUUAUCAGGUGAGGCAACACGUGUACAUUUUUUCAAGGAUAGAAAAUUUAAAUAUGUCAAGAUCUUCCAUCUCUUUCUUUAGCUUUUGUAUUUACCUUUUUUUUCCUUUGCAUACUCAUCAUGGGAGAUUGAUCUAUCUAUAAAAUAAUCUCUUUCCAGAUUUGGUCCAAAAUGUUACAAGAGCAUACUGGAUGUCGCAAAGCAACCAUCACCUUGAACCUAGUAGCUACCGUUUGUUUAUUUCCGUUCUUUUGAAAAUCCAUAUUAAUUUGAAGAUGAGUGCCAUUGCUAAGAAUGUCUUGAGUUUGAGCUGAGAUACCCGAUCUGAACGGUUUUUAAAAUUUUAUUGGUUUUCUAAACUAAAUAGGAUUCUUGUAAUGCAAUUUUAUGUUUUGAUUCAUCUACUAAAUAUAAGAGAUGAAAUUCUGCUAGAUUAUUACGCAAUAAGAGGUGUGUUCAAAUUUUCUCUCUGUGAAUUUUCUCAAUGAUUUCUUUGUGAAAAAAAUGGGAGAUAACAAUUAUCGGUUUGUUUGGAAAAGAUUGAGGGCUAGAAAACACUUGAGGAAUCAAACAAUGGUAAAUUCUAUACUUUUUGGAUUCAUAGUGGAUUUCUUGGCAAUUGCUCUUUUUGUGAAGUAUGAACUAAUAUUUAGACUGAACCAUAUAAAUCUCUAGCUGGUAAUUUCGUUUUCUCAUGUUAAACUCGAAUUGCAUAAUCCAUUAGUUUCACGUUAUUUUUCACAAUAGAGUUGUUGCAAACCUCCCAAGGUGAGAUCUCUAAGGGAGGUGGCUUUAAUUGUUGUGCUCAUGAGGUGGUGUCUACGAUUAGCAUUGGCUUUCCUAAGCUUUAUCGAUUAUAACUUGACAUUCUUUUUUAAUUACUUAUUUUAAUUUACAUAUGUUAACACCUAAAUUUUGGCGACCCGUUUAGUCAUUUAUCACAUUAAAAAUUAGGGAUUAAUUUUAACCCCUAAAAAAAUAUUCGUUAAUUAAUUAAUUAAUUGCAUAGCAUAUAGUUUUAGGUGCAUUUAUUUUAAUUUGCAUUUACAUUGGACCGGUGACAAAUGGGUUCAAGUUGAUGGUUCGGAAUAUUAAUUUGGUGAAUUGGAUUAAGCCCACAAAGGGAGUAAAUUGGCCCAAGCCCGUAUCCUCGGAAAGAUUUUACGGAUUGAUUUAUGCGAGAUUUCAAAUUUUAAAAGAAUUCUAUUGUAUCCUAAAUCGUAUCAAAAGCAAAUAUUACAUUUGGAAGAAGGAAUUUUCGUGGAUAUGGAUUUGGAAAAAUUAAAACCCUAACUCGUGGCCUAUAAAUAGAUUAAAUGCGUAGGGUUUGGGGGAGGCCACACACAUUGGAUAUACGGCCGAAGGAGGCUUCUUCUCGGAUUUUCUAGGGUUUUUCUUUGGAUCAUUCGGCAAAAUAGGCUUCCUUUCGUUCUUUGAAAAAAACACACAAAAUACAAAGGAAAAAGCUUUGAAGGAAAGGCUGGUUUUGCUGAAAAGGUUCUGCAGAAAAGUGAAAGAGCAGAGAAGAGUCAACAGAGAGAGGGACGUGAGAGAGACGAGUGCAGUAGGUCAGAAAAAAGAGAAAGUAGAAAGAAAAUCACUGUUCUUCUUCUUCAGCGGACUCCUCGCCGGUUCGCCUGCUGCCCGAACUCCCUCACCGCCGAUCCGUCGCGCCUCCGCAGCCGCUCGAAGCUUCCGCUACGCCGGCCGCCGCGCGGUGUCUUCGUCCGCGAGUCAUCAGCUACCGUCGCGACCCGCCUGCUCGCGAUUCCGAUCCUCCACCUCUUAUCCAACAUCAGCACCCCUCUGCAACAGAUCUCGAGCCUGCCGUUCGCCGCUGUUCGUCGCCGCGUUCACCGAGCCUCUGCCGGAGCACCCUGCAGAUCUGGGCCGCCGCAUCGACACCUCACUGCACCAGCAGCCAUGACCCAGUAAACCACCAGAUCCAUUCAGCAGUGACGACCCGACACCUUGCUGCGCCGCUGCUACUGCCCUUCCGACUGAUGGUAGCUUCCCCCCGCGACGCCCCCACCUGGAGUUCUCCGCCAUUCCUGCAGCCCGCACCAGAUCCGGCGCCCCGCAGGACACCCCUCGCCGGAACCCUAGCCGGAGACUUCCCCUCGCCGGACCGGCCACAGCUUUGUUUUUCUUUUUCUUUUUAAGAAAAAAAAAGAAAAGAAAAGAAAAAAAGAGAAAAACAAAAGAAAAUUUAGGUAUUUUCUUUAUCUUAUUUUUAUUUUAUUAUUUUUGCUAUUUUAUUUUAUCUUUUUAGUGUAAUUAUUCCUUUAAUGUGAAAUUGAAAUUCCAUGAUAUGAAAUUGCCUUGAAAUUAGUGAUUGUCAGUCCGAUUUUUAAGCUCGAAAUCCGACUCGCAAUUACUUUAAAAAAUUGCCAAUCCGAUCUCCCGUUCGAGAUCCGAUUCGUGAUUUAUAUAAAAUUGGCCAACCCGAUCUCAUGCACGAGAUAUGGUUCAUCGAUUUGGGUAUCAAUAUGACUUUAUUUGCUGUUGUGUUACUUAAAUUAGUUUUCUUUUAUAAAAAAUCAAAAAAUGUAGUUUUAGGGUUUGCAUGCUCAUAAUAGGUAUUUUAUUUCGAAUUUUCAAAAAUAAAAGAAAAUCAAAUCAAUUAAUUUAGGUUGCUAGUUUUCUUUAAAACUUGGAUUGCAUGUUUAAUUAUUUGGCAAUUAUUAAUUUCGAAAUUAAAAAAAAGGGAAAAAGGGAAAAACACAAAAAAAAAAAAAGUCAUUAUGCAUAUGUCAUGUAGAAUUAGGGCAUUCUUUGCACGUCAUUGCAUGUUAAGAUUGCAUGUUAUAGGUUUAGAUAAUUUCUCCUAAAUAGAUUGCAUGCUUAUUAGGAAAAUAAAAAUCAUGUGCACCUCAUAUAGGAUUAGUUUCAUACAAUGCACGUCAUUUAGUGAUUUUUGUUAGAUGGAUUUAAUUAGAAAUUGCCCGUCAUUAGAAUUAGGUCAUUAGAUUAAUUUAGAUUGCAUAUUUAAGUGUUGCAUUUUUUUAAUUUCGAAUCUCAUGGGAAAUAAAAAAAUUAUUUAGAAUAAAUCAUCUCAUGCUUAGGAUAGACUACAUGCUUAGUUAUGUCAUAUUGCUUAGGUCAUAUAGCUAAGUCAUGUUGACAUGUCAUAUCAUUUCAUGUUAAAUUAGUNNNNNNNNNNNNNNNNNNNNNNNNNNNNNNNNNNNNNNNNNNNNNNNNNNNNNNNNNNNNNNNNNNNNNNNNNNNNNNNNNNNNNNNNNNNNNNNNNNNNNNNNNNNNNNNNNNNNNNNNNNNNNNNNNNNNNNNNNNNNNNNNNNNNNNNNNNNNNNNNNNNNNNNNNNNNNNNNNNNNNNNNNNNNNNNNNNNNNNNNNNNNNNNNNNNNNNNNNNNNNNNNNNNNNNNNNNNNNNNNNNNNNNNNNNNNNNNNNNNNNNNNNNNNNNNNNNNNNNNNNNNNNNNNNNNNNNNNNNNNNNNNNNNNNNNNNNNNNNNNNNNNNNNNNNNNNNNNNNNNNNNNNNNNNNNNNNNNNNNNNNNNNNNNNNNNNNNNNNNNNNNNNNNNNNNNNNNNNNNNNNNNNNNNNNNNNNNNNNNNNNNNNNNNNNNNNNNNNNNNNNNNNNNNNNNNNNNNNNNNNNNNNNNNNNNNNNNNNNNNNNNNNNNNNNNNNNNNNNNNNNNNNNNNNNNNNNNNNNNNNNNNNNNNNNNNNNNNNNNNNNNNNNNNNNNNNNNNNNNNNNNNNNNNNNNNNNNNNNNNNNNNNNNNNNNNNNNNNNNNNNNNNNNNNNNNNNNNNNNNNNNNNNNNNNNNNNNNNNNNNNNNNNNNNNNNNNNNNNNNNNNNNNNNNNNNNNNNNNNNNNNNNNNNNNNNNNNUUUUUGCAGGAUGGGAAGUAUAAGGGAAGUGUUUGCUAACCUUCUUUUGCAAGGAGGUGUAGGAAUGUAUGGUUUAUUUUCAUGAACGAAGUGUUGCUUGAUAUAAACUGUGGUGCAUGCCUUGCAUCUAGCACUACACUAUUGCACACACAACUCGCCGCCGGACCUGGGCCGCAUAGGAUCAUUUAGGAUGGUGUUGAGAUGGAUACCACUCUGACCGCAUGCUCGCGGUACGAGUCGCCCAUCUCAAUCCCAAAAUUUCUUUCAUGGUGUCAAGAGUACCCACCUCGGUCCGCAUGCUCGCGACCCGGGUCAGCUCUUUGACCAAGUCGGAGUUAUGAGGCCCCGACAUAGUCCACAAGCUCGUGGCUAGUCUGAUCAUCCUUGUGGCUCCACUUUGAUAAGCCUUAUAGAGUAGAAAUCGAGCCACUUAUCAUGCGCAUGUCUAUGUGAUUGCCAUUAAUUUUCCUUGGUGAAGUAAGUCUUCUAUCUCUAUACUAUGCAAUUUACUUUUGGUCCAUCCAUGACAAUCUAAGUUAGUCGUUUGAUCUAAUUCAUUUGUCAAUUAUAAAUUAAAUAAGAAAAUUGCCAUGCAAUGAAUUAUUUGCCCAAAAAAAAAAAAACUUUGGAGAAUUUGUUUUCAAUUCAUGUUUAGAAAAUUUGGUCUUGUUAGGGUGUCUAUCUUUAUUUUCCUAGUCCAUUUUUAGGAAAUGCCCUUCUUGUAAGAACUUUUCAUGAAUAAAUGAAAAAAAAUGGGAAAAUCGAUUAGAUCAUUGUCAUGGAUCGACUUUCUAUUUACCCUCAUGCUUACAUGUUCCCGUUCAUUUGAAUUAGGUGAUUAUGGAACGAUCCCGCUCACCCAUCCGUUCACGAUCGAGAGUUAAAAUGACGGAUAAAAAAGAACUUAUCUCGUCAAGCAAAAAUGUUGCAAUCUAUCUUUAGUGAGAAAUUGCGACACCAAGAAGAGAACCAAGAAGACCUUUUGAAUCUUCUCAUUUUCCUGAGGUAGUCGAGUUUGAUGCCAUCAUGAAGAGAUAGCGACAUAUCUAGAUGGAAGAAUAUCUGACCUGAAGGGUUUGCCUCACAAGAUCAAGGAGGGUGAAGAACUCAAGCACACAUGAUUCAUGAUCCUAAGUAGUUUGCUAGGGGCAUGUUCAGUUGCACCUUCCCCUGCGUGGGAAUUCUUAUUGCUUUUUAGAGAUUGGUAAAAAUUUCUCUUGUUUUGCUUUAGUGCUUGAAUAUAAGAUUUUUCAUUCUAAUAAAUGUAAUUUGAUAAAAUUACAAGUUUUGUUUUGAGGACAUGAUGGGGUAUGCCAAACCAGUCCGGUGACGAUAUCCAACAAUGAAAAGAAAAUAUCAUCCAAGGAGAAUUCUGAGGACUGGGCUUCUUCAUGCUUCCUCAUCCAAAAAAAAAAAAAAAAGAUCAUUUUUCAAGCCAUUUCCAAAAAGCAUGCGUUAGAUUAGCCUUGUUUAAUUUUCUAACUCAUUUACUUCAUGUCUCAAAGCAUAACAGAGAGGCGUUUGAAAGUAACGCGUCAAUUUCCAGUGAUAACGUGCCCAUUGAUUUGGGAACAUACAUCCGAAGGAAAAAUAGGCGUGGGGCAAGGGAUCAUUUCCUAGUUGAUCUUGAUGACAUCUCCCAAGAGUAAAGAAGACAUUAAGAACUACUUAUCCUCUUACUUGUCCCGAACGAUUUUCUUGCACAUCAAUAAGAAAUCGAUGGCAAGUCAAAAGAAGAUCAUCUAGAUUCCAAAGUGUGAUAUGUGACACAUCUCAUUACAAUUUGUGUGAGAUGUCAUUCUCAAAAGCCAAAUAAAGUUUCUCAUUUCCAUGAGAAAAUGAUGGAACAAGUCAAAAUAGAAUCAUCCAUCUUGGAUGAAAUGGAUACAUUGUGUUCAUGAAUAUAAUUAAUUUUGGAAUUGACACUCUGUUCUUUUCCUUGCAGAUGACGAAUUGGGGCACUACUAGUAGUGACAUGAUUGAGACAAAAUCUCGAUUCGAGCCAAAAUGGUUGUGCAAUUUGAAUUUACUUUGAUGUUGCAUAGUAUCCUAUUCAUGCACGUUGUUUUGUGCAGGGGCAAAAGCAAGAUUUCAUCAAAUCAAAGAUCGGAUUUUCAUCCUCGAUUGAUCAAUUUAUAUGUUUGUUCCCUUUCGAUAGGGGCAAUCCAAGGACACCCAUUGCUGAGACAGUCCCUUCGUGGAACAAUUCCUUGAAUGAAUGCUUGAAAUCAUGUUUGAGUGUAGUAAAUUGUUUGUUUUGAGGUCACAAACGCUUUUUAUGCUUAAAGUUGUUGAACUCUUUUGAAAAGAAAAUUUUCAUAUUGAUUUAGCUCACCAAUUUCAUGUGGAGAUUUGUCGAGAUAGACAAUUUAAUGGAGUGACAUCAAUGCUUAAGAAUGUUGAAUGAGACGUGUUAGUAUGAUGAAAGGCAAGCCUUAUCCUAUACACAAUCAUCUACUUAUACACUUGUGAGAUGAGUGUAGGAAGUUCCAUAUUUACAAGGUAAAGAGUUCUCUCGCAAAAGGUACGAUGACCGAAGUGAUGAGAGGCAUUAUUUCUUUAUCCCAAACACAACAGGUGAUCUAUUGCUUAAAUCCUUUGAGCCUUAUACACUUGUGAAGAAUUUUUUCAAAUUACCCCUGUCAAGAACCACCCCACAUCGGGGCAAACUGGAGGGUAAGACAGCACCAUGAGGUGAAGAAAAUGGAUUGAAAUUUUCUUGCUCUCACUUGCAUCAAUCUUCUAGUCAUGCUAUUACAUUGAAUUCGUGUGGUAAUUUAAGUGCCUUAGAAUGAUGAAGAGCAGUUCUUUCUCUAUCGUACACACUUUUAUCCAUUGCAUAGCCCAUUUGAGCCUAUGAAUUCAUUUCACAUUAAACCUAGUUGGUGAUCAUCCCUCACACUGGGGCAAGGCAAAAGGCAGAUGAAGACCCUUGAAAGUUCGAGUGUCAUUGUUUGACGCAUGCAUAGAAAUCAAAAUAGAAUUAAGGGGCAUGAAAAAGCAGUGUGCCUAGUAAAAGCAAGGCCAAUGCCCAUGAAAAAAAAAAGUGAAGAAAAAAUGAACAAGAACUAGGGGCAUGAAAAAGCGGUGUGCCUAGUAAAAGCAAGGCCAAUGCCUAUAAAUGAAAAAAAAAUGAAAAAAAAGAGAGUCAAGAUAGAUGACUAUCAAUUGCUAGAAUUAAAUCCCAAUGGAGUAAUACUUAAAGAGCUCAAAUGUUGAGUUUUUACAAUCAAUGGGGCAUUUCAUGAACACAAUCCCUGAUGGUGAAAAAGAAAACUGGUGGCAAUGCCAAUAUGAUCAUCAACUCUCACCCUUAACACAUAUUUUGAGCCUAAUGAUCAUUUCAUUUCUCAACCCAUGAACCCAGCUUAUGUUACGUCCCUUGUAAAGUCUCUUCUAAUUAGGGCACUUGAAUUAGCGUAUGAAUUCACAUGUCAUAAGCAUCGCUCGAAGGAGUGCGAGCAAGAUUAUUUCUUUCUCAUUUUGUAGGGUUCUUGACUUGUAAACCCGGAGAUGAUUAAAGAGUUGUUCUUUCAAUAGCCUUGACUCAAAGAGUCCCUUUGUUAAGCCGUUGACCGAGCCCACAUUACGGUCCCUAUUAAAGACCUCUCAGAUUGGUAAGGUCGUACCGCUUACGAGAAAACUCGGACCCUUGUUAGUAUGAUGACAAUGAGAUGGAGUGAUUCUCAUAAAAUAGCCUCUAAAUGAGAGUGAGUGAAAGUCCUUUCUAACUGAAGGUCUCUCAUUUGGUAUUCUUAGGAAAUCCAUGUCAUGAGUGAAGAUUGUCUUGAAUGAUAAUUCUCUCCAGUGGAAAUUUGGGUGAUGCAAAGGUCAUUAUGCAUGAACCUCGAUUGAGUUGAUGAAAAUCUCAUUGAAUUUUGAAAUAUGCAUUCUAGAGUAGCUCAGUUUGUCUAUCUCUUUGAUGAAUGCAUAUAAGUUUUUGCUCUAAAUCAUGUCUGAUAGGUAAUUCAAGUUCCUUUCAGAAUGUUUCAUGAUAUUAGGGGAUGAGAAACCUCCAUCAUGAGGUGAAAGACCUCCACAGGAUAUCUAAAUUCCAAAAGACAUAUCCCUAAGAAUCAGAGAUAUCACCAGGUAAGUAUAUCUCUACCAGACUCUAAAAUACUUGUCAUUGUGCAGGUAUUCUCUCUCAAGUGCAUCGACACUUGACUUGGUCAAGCUAUCCAGUUAUAUCGACCUGGCGUGCUUUCGUAGCCCAGAGUCCUUUACACCGAUACUCAAUGGAGUUGUCCCCCAAAGAUUUUUCCUCCAGAUUCAAUCUGAUUAAGGCGACCGAAGAAUGGUUCGGGUCCUAGCCAAGCAAAACCUCAAUCUAGGCAACCAUAGAAUGGUACGGGUCCUAGACAACAUUUAUUGCUCUAACAGGCGACCGUAGAAUGGUACGGGUCUUGGAAAAGCAAUUUCCUCAUUCAGGCGACCGUAGAAUGGUACGGGUCCUGGAAAAAAUAAUUUUCUUCGUUGAGGCGACCGUAGAAUGGUACGGGUCCUUGACAACACCUAUUCCUUAUUCAGGCGACGGUAGAAUGGUACGGGUCCUGGAAAAUGAAUCCCCGUUUAGGCGACCGUAGAAUGGUACGGGUCCUAGACAAAACUUUUAUGUCGUACUGAGCGACCAUAGAAUGGUACGGGUCCUGGGGAAAGCAGUUCCUUACAAAACAUUUUAUGCCGUAUUGGGCGACCGUAGAAUGGUACGGGUCCUGAGAAAGCAGCUCCUUUCUGCCAUACUGGGCGACCGUAGAAUGGUACGGGUCUUGGGAAAGCAGUUCCUUACAAAACAUUUCUGCCGUAUUGGGCGACCGUAGAAUGGUACGGGUCCUGAGAAAGCAACUCAUUUCUGCCAUACUGGGCGACCGUAGAAUGGUACGGGUCCUGGGAAAGCAGUUCCUUACAAAACUUUUCUGCCGUAUUGGGCGACCGUAGAAUGGUACGGGUCUUGAGAAAGCAGCUCCUUUCUGCCAUACUGGGCGACCGUAGAAUGGUACGGGUCCUAGGAAAACAGCAUCUUCACAAAGUCAUGUUACUAUUCUAGGCGACCGUAGAAUGGUACGGGUCCUAGAUAAGUAACACCCACUACCUCGAAUUACUCUAUCCUCCUUGAAGGUAAGUUAUUCCAGGUAGGUUCAUUUAUCAUUUGCAUUAGCAUUUCCAUGCAUCAUAUAAAUUAAAAAAUGGAAUUCAUUUUCCUAAAAAAGAAAAUCAUUCACUGCAUGUGUAUAGUCAAAAUUUAGGUCUCAAUUUGUCUUUGAAGGCAACCUCUUCAAGCUCACCUUCAAAGAGGGGCAGCUGUUGACACCUAAAUUUCGGCGACCCAUUUAGUCAUUUAUCACAUUAAAAAUUAGGGAUUAAUUUUAACCCCUAAAAAACUAUUAGUUAAUUAAUUAAUUGCAUAGCAUAUAGUUUUAGGUGCAUUUAUUUUAAUUUGCAUUUACAUUGGACCGGUGACAAAUGGGUUCAAGUUGAUGGUUCGGAAUAUUAAUUUGGUGAAUUGGAUUAAGCCCACAAAGGGAGUAAAUUGGCCCAAGCCCGUAUCCUCGGAAAGAUUUUACGGAUUGAUUUAUGCGAGAUUUCAAAUUUUAAAAGAAUCCUAUUGUAUCCUAAAUCGUAUCAAAAGCAAAUAUUACAUUUGGACGAAGGAAUUUUCGUGCAUAUGGAUUUGGAAAAAUUAAAACCCUAACUCGUGGCCUAUAAAUAGAUUAAAUGCGUAGGGUUUGGGGGAGGCCACACACAUUGGAUAUACGGCCGAAGGAGGCUUCUUCUCGGAUUUUCUAGGGUUUUUCUUUGGAUCAUUCGGCAAAAUAGGCUUCCUUUCGUUCUUUGAAAAAAACACACAAAAUACAAAGGAAAAAGCUUUGGAGGAAAGGCUGGUUUUGCUGAAAAGGUUCUGCAGAAAAGUGAAAGAGCAGAGAAGAGUCAACAGAGAGAGGGACGUGAGAGAGACGAGUGCAGUAGGUCAGAAAAAAGAGAAAGUAGAAAGAAAAUCAUUGUUCUUCUUCUUCAGAGGACUCCUCGCCGGUUCGCCUGCUGCCCGAACUCCCUCACCGCCGAUCCGUCGCGCCUCCGCAGCCGCUCGAAGCUUCCGCUAUGCCGGCCGCCGCACGGUGUCUUCGUCCGCGAGUCAUCAGCUACCGUCGCGACCCGCCUGCUCGCGAUUCCGAUCCUCCGCCUCUUAUCCAACAUCAGCACCCCUCUGCAACAGAUCUCGAGCCUGCCGUUCGCCGCUGUUCGUCGCCGCAUUCACCGAGCCUCUGCCGGAGCACCCUGCGGAUCUGGGCCCCCGCAUCGACACCUCACUGCACCAGCAGCCGUGACCCAGUAAACCACCAGAUCCAUUCAGCAGUGACGACCCGACACCUUGCUACGCCGCUGCUACUGCCCUUCCGACUGAUGGUAGCUUCCCCCCGCGACGCCCCCACCUGGAGUUCUCCGCCAUUCCUGCAGCCCGCACCAGAUCCGGCGCCACGCAGGACACCCCUCGCCGGAACCCUAGCCGAACCGGCCACAGCUUUGUUUUUCUUUUUCUUUUUAAGAAAAAAAAAAGAAAAGAAAAGAAAAAAAGAGAAAAACAAAAGAAAAUUUAGGUAUUUUCUUUAUCUUAUUUUUGUUUUAAUAUUUUUGCUAUUUUAUUUUAUCUUUUUAGUGUAAUUAUUCCUCUAAUGUGAAAUUGAAAUUCCAUGAUAUGAAAUUGCCUUGAAAUUAGUGAUUGUCAGUCCGAUUUUCAAGCUCGAAAUCCGACUCGCAAUUACUUAAAAAAAUUGUCAAUCCGAUCUCCCGCUCGAGAUCCGAUUCGUGAUUUAUAUAAAAUUGGCCAACCCGAUCUCAUGCACAAGAUAUGGUUCGUCGAUUUGGGUAUCAAUAUGACUUUAUUUGCUGUUGUGUUACUUAAAUUAGUUUUCUUUUAUAAAAAAUCAAAAAAUGUAGUUUUAGGGUUUGCAUGCUCAUAAUAGGUAUUUUAUUUCGAAUUUUCAAAAAUAAAAGAAAAUCAAAUCAAUUAAUUUAGGUUGCUAGUUUUCUUUAAAACUUGGAUUGCAUGUUUAAUUAUUUGGCAAUUAUUAAUUUCGAAAUUAAAAAAAGGGAAAAAGGGAAAAACACAAAAAAAAAAGUCAUUAUGCAUAUGUCAUGUAGAAUUAGGGCAUUCUUUGCACGUCAUUGCAUGUUAAGAUUGCAUGUUAUAGGUUUAGAUAAUUUCUCCUAAAUAGAUUGCAUGCUUAUUAGGAAAAUAAAAAUCAUGUGCACGUCAUAUAGGAUUAGUUUCAUACAAUGCACGUCAUUUAGUGAUUUUUGUUAGAUGGAUUUAAUCAGAAAUUGUCCGUCGUUAGAAUUAGGUCAUUAGAUUAAUUUAGAUUGCAUAUUUAAGUGUUGCAUUUUUUUAAUUUCGAAUCUCAUGGGAAAUAAAAAAAAUUAUUUAGAAUAAAUCAUCUCUUGCUUAGGAUAGACUACAUGCUUAGUUAUGUCAUAUUGCUUAGGUCAUAUAGCUAAGUCAUGUUGACAUGUCAUAUCAUUUCAUGUUAAAUUAGUGGCAUGCAUUGCAUAAAGCAUGAUUCUCAUUAAUUAAGUGAAAACAAAAAAGAAAUUGCGUGUUAAUUAGAAAUCAUAUCUAGGAUUGUUGAUGUGAAUUCUGAUCUAACAAUGCAGAUGCUUUCGUUGCUAUGAGGUAAGUCCUGCAAUUUAUUCAUUGCUUUCUUGGAUGUUAAAUUGGUGGUUUGCGCACCCGUAUGAUAACCUUACAUGUUAGGAAAAUAGAUUUAAAAUUAUUCAAGUUGCCUGCAAAAACAUUUUUGAAAUUAAAAGAAUGGUACCGAAAGGGCAUUAGAGAAAUCUAAUGUAACCAAGUCCUCGUACCCAUAAUCUCUAGUUCGUAGGAGUAAAGUCAAUCUCCCAUUACUUUACUUGGGUUUCUAAUCGACCCACCAAAAAUAGAUUAGUGGCGACUCCUGAUUAAAAAAUUGCAUGUUAAGAACUUGAACCGAAAGUCGCGAAUUGGUAUGGGCUUGGGAGAGCUCGAUUUAAGUUUAGGCUUAACAAUCCAUUAGCAAAACCCUAGGUUGUCCAAAACCGAAAAAUUUGGUCGCGACAACAUAGAAGCCACGAUUAACAUGUAAUGGAUCGGUUAUGAGCCAUGUAAGGUGAGGGGAUCACCCUUACUACUACGAAUUAGAGAUUCACAAGUUUGGGAACUUGGUUACUUUAUAUGAAAUUUAGCAUUCUUUCGAUGCCUUAUCUCUUUUAUGAAAAUAAUUUGCACAUAAUCCCUUCAAUUUUGUUUUAUAAGUCCCAAAACAUAUAAAUGAUAUUAUGCAUGGGUGCUCAAGCAACAAAAAUUAAAUCAAGCAAAAAAGAUAAAUAAGGAAUGGGGUAAAUAAAGACAAGAGCCGUCUAAUGUAAAAUUUAAACAAGCCCUUGUUAUUAACUCUCACAUAAUUCUCAGGAGCCACGUGCACUAAACGUGCCUAAUAUUAAUAUUCAAUUUGAUCCAUCUUCUAAUCAAUUAUUAUAAAAUUUUCUAGUAAUAUUUCACCAGCUCUUGUGUCAAGUGCAUUCAUGCCUGAAGCUCUAUUUCUUUUGUAAAAAUGAAUGAUUUUUAAAACACAUUUUCUUUAAAUUGAUCCAUUAUGUUGUUUAUAAAAAUAAAUAAAUAAAUAAUAUUUUUACUGUCUAUAAAAAUAGUUAAAUAUAAAUUAUUAUAUAUAAUAAUAAUAUUUUCCCUAACUAAUUAUUUUGCCACUCGGGAUGUGGACACAUCGCAAGGCCGCUCCCGUGGUCACAUGAUCGAAAUCAUGUUCAGAUAAAAGGAAAGAAAAAAUCUUGAUGAGAUGCGGACGGCAGGAGAAGGAACGCAGCGAAUAUACAAAUACGAUCCGCACAUGCGAAGCGCUUCGUGCCGAGUGAUGUCAACCGUUGGCUGGGUCCACUUCAUGUGGGGGCCCAGCUAACAUUAAAACAAAAGAAACAUUUAAAAAAGAAGAAGAAGAAAAGUCAAAAGUUAAAGAAGAAAAGGGUUGUUGCUUCGUGCGUGUGUGCCCGAGAAAGUGGAGAGAGAAGAGAGAGCCCAAGAAGAGAGAGAAUAGAGAGAAGGCGUGUGACGGUGAUCUCACCGAGAGCACCACGCGUAGAAGAAAAAAGAAAGAGGGCUGAAUCUUUGCCGGCCCCGUUUCAAGGUUAACAAUAAUGGAACCGGCUCAAGUUUGAAUAUGUCGUUCGUGAGAUCCAGAAUUACGAGUUGACUGGUUUCGCUCGUCGAGAACCUUCUCCAAAUUCUCUAAUUGUGGUUAGGGUUUUCCUAUUUUGAAUUUGUUGAUUCACCUUUGUGGUGAGAAAAUUUGAUUGUAAUACUUAUGUUGAGUCUCUAAUGUAUAUCAUAUUAUUUUGAGUGAUUAGUGAAAGUUUUUAGGCAGUCUGUGUUUUUCUCGCAUCGGGUUUCCACGAUAAAUCCUUGGUAUUGUUGUUGGCUUUAUUCUCUUAUCAAUUUGGCAUUAUAUUUACUUAUUUCGAGGAUAUAUAUGACUGGUUGUUGAUGGGACUAAAUCAAUUUUGGUCAGUUUAGUUUCGGGGAAGAGAUUGAUCUUGGAUUGGGUUUAGUUCUUGGUGAAUUGUUGUCCCCGGUUCUCUCCAGCAGCCUACAUAUGUAUAUAUCUUCUUGAAAUAAUAGCCUUAACAUAGACGAAAAAUGCUGCUCGGGAGUUGACUCGGAGCGAUCCCCAAGCUUUCAUUCCUUCACGGAACAGACCUGGAAUGGAGGGGACCAAAGCAGGUCGAGGUUUCGAACAGCUGGAGCUACCGGGAUAGACUCGGCUUCGAGAUGGACAUCCUUCUAAGGCUUCAGCUAAAAAGGAGAGGAGAGACGAAGAAGCGUCCAAGACCGAGAACUGCUUUCAUCUCACCUGCGAGUACUACGAACCAAACGCUUUGACAGGUGACUCCGCCCUGGAAGUAAAUGAUGUGUUGACAUGGGGGUUUACCCAUCUUGGAGCUGCAUUGCCAUGCAGGAUUAUACUCGUGACGGAUGCCUUGCCCUGCCAUCAGUUAAAAUUGAUCACUUGAGUUCGUGGAAGAAAAGUGUUCCCUUAUAGGCAUCCUAAUACAUAUAUCGUAGUUCCAUUUAGGAUCAUUUAAGGCCUAUAAUCACGACGAAUCCCUCCCCUCCCCCCCCCCCCCCCCCGGCGGGGCGCCAGACGUCGGCGUUCCGCGCCCUGAGAAACGGGAUCUAAUCCGGUGCUGCGCUGGUAAUUCAGCUAACGAUACUGGUAAGUGUCAAACAACUUCGAUAAACCAGAAAAUGAGCAGUUGCUUUGCUCCCCCGGUCGACCUUUUCUAACUUAUCAGACAGCUUUUUGACAAGUAACAAGACCUAUUUAUGCUUAAGAAAUUGCCAACUUAUUUUAAUACUUUACCGACGUUUAUUUUCAUAACUUACUAAUGCCGUGAAGGUUACUAAUUUUUCAUAGCAACUGCUGGCCUUGAUUUCAUUAUUGUAUCAACAUUUGACAUCUUAAGACACCGAUUAAUUUUACUCACAUACCGACUUUUUAUUUUAUUUUAUUUAUUUUAUAUCUUGCUAAGGUUGGAAAAGUAUUGCCAUUUGCGGUUGGUAGGAUCUAACAACAUCUAUUAUUGCGACUUCCUGACGCCAUUGAAGUUUCCGGCUUUUAUUGGUAAUUAUCAACAUUAAUUAGAUUGCGAUAUGGACUAAUUUUAGCCACUCACCAACAAUUUAUUACAUAUUAUCGCGACUUUUAGAAGAAAACAUUGUGUAGAAUAAAGGAAAUCACACCUAGCUCCAAAUGGCGGGAAAGGAUUUGAAGUAACAUUGCAAAUUUAAUAAUCGCCGACGCAAAAAACGGUAAACUAUUUGGGGAGUUUCACUUGAGCAAUCCUUCAUAAGAACAGCUUCCGCUGAUCGUGGUCUCUCAAGUCGAGUCUCGACAGCUUCGAUCAGCUUCUGCGUAUAUCUCUUCGCUCAGACUCCAGCUUCUUCCAUUCUCAAGGUUUUAUCUGUCCUCUGCUUGUUUCUAAAUCUAGCCGUUCCUCGUUUGUCAAUUGUCGAAUGUAUUUCAUCGUUUCUUAGCACCAGAUGUGUAAACUGCCAUUUCCUUUGGUUAUCAUCUUCCAGAAAUUUUCGUAACAUUAAAUGCGCGUUGGUUUUGUGCUGAUUUGACCAUUUGCUGCCCUUAGAAGUGGCCUAACCCAAUCCAAUUGCCUGGGAAGUUGGACUUUUUAGAGUCUCUUUCAUCUUUGUUUCGUACUUUAUUCUUUUCCCCUUUUCUAGGCUCAUACAUCUUCGCAAAUUGAUGGUUCAUGUCAUAACAUAACAUCAUGAAGUUCCCAAAGAAGGAAUUAGUCGAGAUUAAGCCUCUAGCCCUCGCUAAAUUUUACAUUCAUCUUCCAAGGGAUGUCUGAAAAUCUCUUCUGGCUCUCUCCCUCUCUCUCUUUUUGUGUGAUGUACAUGCAAAGGGCAUUCACUUGUACUCAUUCAUCUCCUCUGGCCCUGGAAUGGAACUAUGAGAUUGAACGCAAUGCGUCUACAUAAUCCCGUAAAAUCUCCUCAUCUUUGUUGAAUCGUCAACACAACCCCGAUUUAUAUCUAAGGACUCCUAUAAGGACAAAGUGCAUUCAUUUCUCGCCUUUGCAAAAUUUGUCCAAGAAGAUAUGGCAUCUUUCCCAGGGCCAGAAAACAAACAUAGUCAAUAUAAGUAUGAUGUUUUCCUGAGUUUCCGAGGUGAAGAUAAAUGCAAAAACUUUGUUGACCAUCCGCACGAUCAUCUGUGGCGAAGAGGAAUCGUGGCCUUUCGAGAUGAUCACCACCAAGAUCUUCAAAGGGGAAAAUGUAUUAAACCGGAAAUACUUAGGGCAAUAGAGUAGUCAAGACUUGUACUUGUGAUAUUCUCUAAAAACUACGCUUCUUCUACUUGGUGUUUGGAAGAAGUUGCUAAGGCUAUGGAGUGCAAGGAUAUCAAUGAAGGAUUAGUGAUACCAAUCUUCUAUGAGGUCAAUCCAUUUGACAUAUGGAAAUUGAGGGGAAACUUCGGGACAGCCUUUGCUAAAACUGAGGAAGCUUAUUUAGGUGACAAGAGAGAUAUAAAGAGGUGGAAGGAUGCAGUGAAUAAAGUAGCUGGUCUCGCCGGAAUGGAAUUGAAAGAUGGGUAGGCCUCUCUUCCCCUAACUUGGAAUGAUUUGUUUUUCUUAAUAUUUGCAUGCCACUAAUGUCAUAACUGUCAUACUCUGCAUUAUGUUAGUUCAUCUGAACUAGAAUACACUCUAGAACCAAACAACCUCAACUCUUGCUGGGGAACUAAUCAUAUGCAUUUCUUCGUAGCAGAUAUGAGACCAAGUUUAUUCAGCAAAUCAUAGGAGAAGUCGAAAAUAAAUUGGGUCCUCGGCUAUCCUACAUCGUAGGCGAUCUUGUGGGAAUGAAUUCCCGCGUUGCAAAUGUAGUUGAAUCUUUGUGCUUGGAUGGGAGUGACGUACGCAGUAUUGGCAUAUGGGGCAUGGGUGGCAUAGGCAAAACAACUGUUGCACGAGCAGUUUAUGGCAAAAUCCACGGCCAAUUUGAUGACGAAUGUUGUUUUAUUGCAGAUGUUAGAGAAAUUUCAAAAAAGAAUGGUCUGGUGUAUCUACAAAACCAGUUUCUCGACGAUAUUCUCCAAGAUGACAAUCUAAGAAUCAGGGAUGAUCAUAGAGGAGCGAACAUGAUAAAAGAACGGCUACAACAUAAAAAAGUUCUUGUUAUACUUGAUGAUGUGGAUGAAAAGGAGCAAUUGGAAAAAUUAAUAGGAGGUUUUGAUUGGUUUGGACAUGGAAGUAGGAUCAUUAUAACAACUAGAGAUGAACAUUUGCUUCUCCAAUAUGGAGUAAAUUCCAUAUAUAAGGUGGAGGAACUAUCCUUUGGUGAGGCUCUCCAACUAUUUUGUUUGAAAGCUUUUAGAAGUAAUCAUCCUCCAGCAGAGUUCAAUGAGCUCGUGAAGCAGGUUAUUGGAUACGCUAAUGGCCUUCCUCUUGCCCUUGAUGUCUUAGGUUCCUUUUUGGCUUGUAGGAGCUUGAUGCAAUGGAAGAGUGCACUGGCCAAACUCAAAGAAUGUCCAGAAGGGAAAAUUUUUGACCGGCUUAGGUUAAGUUAUGAUGGACUACACCAAAAAGAGAAGGAGAUUUUCCUAGAUAUUGCAUGUUUUUUCAAGGGAAAGGAGAAACCUUACGUUGCAGAAAUUCUGGACAAUUGCGGCUUGUAUGCAGAUAUUGGAAUCGAAGUCCUUGUUAAUAAAUCUCUUAUCCAAAUCGUGGGCAACAAAUUGUGGAUGCAUGAUUUGCUACAAGAAAUGGCUUGGGAAAUUGUUCAUCGAGAGUCUCCUAAAGAGCCAGGAGAAUGAAGUCGAGUCUGGCUUUUUGAGGAUGUAUGCCAUAUUUUGUCAAAAAAAACUCAGUGAGUAUCUGCAAAAUUAAUUUUCAAGCAUGCUUAUUUGAUAUGGGGAAAAAAAACUUGCUAGUCAUGUAUUGACACUAUAUGAGUUGUUUACCAAGGAAUUGGAAAUGUCAAAGCCAUAGUCUUGCAAUCUGGGGACCAUAAAACAGUGCGCUUGAAUGGAGAGUCAUUCACAAACAUGAAUAACUUAAGAUUGCUUGAUAUUCGUGCCAUCCACCUCUCUUCUAGGUUUAAGCACCUUUCAAAUGAACUAUGCCUGCUAAGAUGGGACAACUGCAACCUUAAAUCAUUUCCGCCAAGUUUUCUUCCAAAGAGCCUUGUCGAACUCCAUAUGCAGGAUAGCCUCCUUCGCACAUCUGGAGAGGGGAAAAGGUUGGAAUUAGUACUCAUACAUGGGUAUGCUUCAUUAGACGCUUUAUUAUGUUUAGCAAGCUAAUAAAAUUGUUCAACCAAUUUUUUCUACAUGCAGGUCUUAGAGAAGUUGAAACUUAUCAACCUCAAUGGUUCCAAAUUAUUGGUGGAGACACCAAACUUCAUAUAUGUCCAAAUUUAGAGAGGCUAAUUCUCAAAGUUUGCAAAGCAUUAUCUCAGGUUCAUCCUUCAAUUGGAAUUCUAGAAAGACUCAAUCUACUUGACUUGACUGAUUGUGAAAACCUCAUGGGACUUCCAGAUAGUGUAGGUAAUCUAAAAUCUCUUAGAGUAUAUGUGUGGAUGUUUAAAUCUUGAAGAGCUGCCUGAGAACAUCGAGGGCUUAGAGGGCUUAGAGGAGCUUGAUAUUAGUGAAAGUGCCAUAACACACCUCCCAUCUAACUUGAUAUUCUUACAAAAUUUGAAAAAGUUACACUUUCAUGUUAGUAAAAGGAGGCCACAAAAUUCUUGGAGAACAAUGACGCGUACACUAAGAAGAGCUCUCAACUCUAGGCGUCCGUGGUUGCCUUCAUUUUCAGGGCUUUCCUCUUUGACAAAGUUGGAUUUGAGUGGUUGUAGUCUUUUGGAAGGAGAAAUUCCUAGUGAUAUUGAUUGCUUACCCUCCUUGAGGUCUUUAGACCUAGCCAAAAACUUUUUUACCACCAUAACUGCAAGUAUCAAACGUAUCUCUAGCCUGGAAUUUCUCAUAUUAAAUCAUUGCAAAAAUCUUGAAGUGCUACCAAGACUUCCAGAAAGCAUAAUGGUUGUGGUGGCUGAGAAGUGCCUCAGAUUGGAAAUGAUAUCAAACCCAUUCAUUAUAUGCACAUUGCCUGACUCAGGGUUUUGCUUCGUUAACUGUUCUAAUUGGCUUUUACAAGAUCUUGAUUUAACUUUACAGCAGAAGUACUCCUUGUCGUUGCUUCGUUACAUUGCUUGCCAUUCUAGGAAAAUGCUUCCAGGAACUUAUAUGGUGUGUCCAUGUCUGCAAUGUGAAAUACCUGAGUGGUUUAACUACCAGGGAUUUGGACCUUUGAGCAUAGACAUGUCCCCUAAUUGGCAUGACAAUAGCUGGAGAGGAUUUUCCAUUUGCACCUCUUUUAAACGAAUCAACUGCAGCUCCUGUCAGGACCUAGAAAAUGCCCACUUCAUUUUCUGUGGGUUCUAUGCUAAUGGAAAUCAGCUAGGUCCCUUAUUUAAGUUUCCCAUCAGAUUUGUCAAUUCAGAUUGCCUUUGGCUAGGUUAUGUGUCGGGUACCCAAUUUCCAUGUGAUACAAAUUGGGAUACCAUGUCAAACCACAUUGUUGUUUCAUUUACGAUCACCAACCCUGGGUUAAAGGUCAAAAAGUGUGGUGUUCAUCUGGUUUACGAGCAAUGUAUAAGAGACUUUGAUAAUCUUUUAGUCUGGUGGUGUAGCUCAUCGCCCAGGGAUUGGGAUAGAAUCUACCAUGAGCGUCAAACACCAAGGGAGGUAAAUUGUGCCCUCAGAUAUUCCAUUGAUCCGGACCUGUAUGAAGUGAAUGAAGGUGUAAUGAGCUGUGGGGUCUCUCAGAUUCGGUCCCACCCGUUAAAUGGAGGUCGUUUACUCAUCGAGUAUCUAUAUGUCAUUUGGCAUCGUUCAAGACUUGGACAACUGUCAGUUCAUGAUUUCAAAAGAAGGUAAUCACUACUAGAUUUGAUCAAUUGAGGUUAGACCUUUCGAAGUCCAAAUAAACUAUAAAAACUCUUGCUAAUCCUAACCUAAAAAUUUAGAAUUUCACCACCGGCACCAACAUCUCCAAAAUAAUCAAGAGAAAUAUUUUUGCUGGCUUUUGUGUUUCGCUUUCUCGCCAUAACAAAAUCUUUCUUGCAGCUACUUGAAACUUCAAAUGUGGUCGGCAUUAAUUGAUUUGAAGAAACGUCACCCUUAUGAGCUUGUUCUGUAAACCUUACAGAUUAUUAAAUCCGUGCACACCAUGAAUUUUUCUUUUAUCAGGUGAGGCCACGCCUAUACAUUUUUUUUUUUUUUUUCAAGAAUGGGAGAAUAUAAAUAUGGCGAGUUCUUCCAUCUCUUUCUUUAGCUUUUGUGUUUACCCUUUUUUCCUUUGCAUGCUCUUCGUGGGAGAUUGAUUUGUCUAUGGAAUCAUCUCUUUCUAGAUUUGCUCCAAGAUUAUUACAAGAGCAUACUAAAUGUCAUUGAGCAACUGUCAUCUUGAACUUGGCAGCUACCGUUUGUUUAUGUCCACUCUUUUGAAAAUCGAUAUUAAUUUGAAGAUGAGUACCAUUGAUGAGAAUGUAUUGAGUUUGAGCCAAGAUACCCCAUCCGAAUAAUUUUUAAAGUUUUAUUGGUUUUCUAAAUUGAGUAGGUUUCCUGUAAUGGAAUUUUAUGGUUUGAUAAAAAUAUUAAAUAAAUAUGAGAUGAAAUUCUACUUGAUUAUUAAGCAAUAAGAGGCAUGUUUGAAUUUUCUCUAUGUGAAUUUUCUGAAUGAGUUCUUUGUGAAAAAAUGUGAGAUAAUAGUUAAAGGUUUGUUUUGAUUGAGAUCGGAGGCUAGAAAACACUUGAGUGAUCAAACAAUGGCAAAUUCUAUAUUUUUGGAUUCAUAAUGGAUUUUUGGGUAGUUAGCUCUUUUUAUGAAGUAUGUAUUGACAUUCAAACCAAACCAUAUAAAUCUCUUAUGUUAUUAUUGUUCUUUGUCGAGUUCUCUUGUAAUAUCUUUUUCUUGCGUUAAACUUCAAUUAUUUUCGCAAUAGAGUUGUCGUGAACCUCCCGAGGUGAGAUCUCUAAAGGAGGUGGCUUGAGUGGUUGUAUUCACGAGGUGGCACCUACGAUUAGCAUUGGUUCUCUAGAGCUUUAUCAUUUCUAACUUGAUUUUCUUUUUAAUUACUUAGUUUAAUUUACUUAAAAGCUACCACUGACAUAUAAUGGAUCGGUUAUGAGCCAUGUAAGGCAAGUGAGUCACCCUUACAACUACAAAUAAGAGAUUCACAAGUCUGGGAACUUGGUUACUCUAUAUGAAAUUUAGCAUUCUUUCGGUGCCUUAUCUCUUUUAUGAAAACAAUUUGCAUGUGAUUUCUUCAAUUAUGUUUUGCAAGUCCCAACACAUAUAAAUGAUAUUAUGCAUGGAUGCUCAAGCAAUAAAAAUUAAAUCAGGCAAAAAUGAUAAAUAAAGAAUGAGGAAAAUAAAGACAGGAGCCCUAUAAUGUAAAAUUUAAACAAGGCAUUGUUAUUAUCUCUCACAGGAUUCUGAAGAGCCACGUGCACUAAACGUGGCUAAUAUUAAUAUUCAAUCUGAUUCAUUUUGAUCGAUCAAAGAAAUUAUUGGCAACCAUCAUCCAUAAAAUUGUCCAGUAAUAUUCCGCGGGCUUUUGUGUCAUGUGCAUUUAUGCCUUAAGUUCUAUUUAUUUUGUAAAAAUAAAUGAUUUAGAACAUAGUUUCCUAAAAUUGAUUUCUUAUAUCAUUUAUAAAAAUAAAUAAACAAAUGAAUAAAAAACAUUUUUUCGUCCAUGAAAAUUGUCAAACAUAAAUUGUUGUAUAUAAUGAUAACGUGUUAACAUUUUCCCUCAACUAUUUAUUUCAUAUGAUGCAAGCGAUUAUUUUUAGAAAUAUAUUUUCUAAAUCAUUUAUUUAAUGCGAAAAAAAUGAAGCAUCACAAAUAGUUAAUGUACUUCAUUUAUUUUUAUUGUAAAAACAAAAUCUUCCUUAUAAUUUAAUUUAAAAUCAAAAGUUUCUGCUUCUUCAAAUAAAAUACUAUUAAUCUUUCCAUUGAACUACUUCACUAUCGAUGGAUAUAUGUUGAUGUGGACCGUCUAACUAAAUACCAAGUUAACUAAGCAAUACAAAAAUUAAAAGUAAACAAAAUGCUAACCCAUCUUCCCAAAAAAAACAAAAUCCAUGCCCUAAAUUACCCGCGUCCUAAACCUCCCCCACCACCGGUCACCGCUCUCCACCAUCAUCAACCAUCACCCCUGUGCCUUGGUCCACCCUACCAACACUUGCUGCGGUCCCUCGGAUCCAAGCAGUGAGCGACAAUGGAUGUUGUGGGGUCAUGGCUAUAAGUGCCUCAAGUUCGAAUGGCCGUGGAUGCCUCAAGCUCGAGCAGAUAGUGGCCAUGGCAAUGUCACGACCUUGGGCAGCAAGUAGCUAUAAAUUUUUGGAACCAAAAGAAUGACAAUAAACUUUGGAAACUUGGAAUAAGAACACUAGAAAUUUUGAGGGAGAAAUUUGUAUUGAGAAUGCUUUCUCUUAUUUGUGUCUUCGUGGACUGUGGCUUGUGGCUUGAUUUACAACUCAUGACUUCAUCUUUUUAUAUAGGAAUUGAAGUUUACAAACGCCAAGGAUUACAUAACAACCCACAAAUUUAAUGAUUAAAACAAAACAGCCUCAUACAUGUAAUCAUAAACACAAUCAAAACGAACAAUAGAGUAACAUAAGUCUUCAAUAACUUCCAUUCUUCAAAUCCAUGUAGCCUACCAUAAAGUUUUUAUGGCUCCUUCAAUGCUUGUAGGUUUCUCAUCCAACAAUCCUCAUCCGAUAAUCAAUUUUAUUUUAUUUCAACAACCUCCCUUAAAAUUGAUUUUGGAAUUCAACAACUCCAAGCAUCAUCUUCAAUUUUUCAAACAAAUCUGCAUUCAAUGGUUUAGUCAAAAUAUUUGCAAUCUAAUCUUCCGAUUUGCAGAAGUUAAGCUCAAUUUCGCCAUCUUUGACUCGCUCUCGAAUAUAGUGAUACUUGAUAUCAAUGUGUUUGCUCCUGCCAUGAAAAACGGGAUUCUUGGCCAAAGCCAUAGCCAAUUUGUUAUCACACAUUAUUUUCGUAGGAUUUGUCUAUUCGUGCAUCAAUUCACAUAGCAUCCUAUGAAGCCAUAUUGCUUGACAUGCCGCUGAAGCUAAUGCUAUGUAUUAUGCUUCAACAGUCGAGAGUGCAACAACUUGUUGCUUUUCGAGGACCAAGAAAUUAUUCCUGAUUCGAGAGAAAAUAUGUAUCUAGAAGUACUCUUCUGAGUCUCGGUAUCACAUGCCCAAUCACUGUUUGUGUAUCCCACCAAACUGAAAUUGUCAGUAUGAGAAUAUAAAAUCCCAUCACAAGUUCCACUGACAUACUGUAUAAUUCUUUUUGCCGCUUGCAAAUGUGAUUGGUAUGGUUUCUCCAUAAAUCGACUAAUAAUUCCCACACCAUAAGUAAUAUCUGGCCUUGUAGAAGCCAAAUAUCUUAAACUGCCAACAAUGCUUUUGAAAUAAGUGGGGUUCACUGCUUCACCGAUUCCUUUUUUAUUCAACUACAAUUGUUCUACUACGGGAGUCCGUAUUGGUUUGAGUGAUUCCAUCUUGAAUCGCUUUAGAAUAUCAUUAGCAUAUUUCUAUUGUGAAAUAAAUAUGCCAUCAUUUGUCUGCUUCACUUCAAGGCCUAGAAAAUAGGACAUUAAUCCUAAAUCUGUCAUCUUGAAAUGACUAGUCAUAGCCUCCCUGAAUUCAUCAAACAUCUCUUCACAACUCCCUGUAAAUAUCAAAUCAUCAACAUAAAGGCACACAACUAUUAUGUCAUCGUUAGUGUUUGACUUGAUAUAUAGUGUAGGCUCAUAUGGGCAUUUUCGAAAACCAUGCUCUAACAGGUACGUGUCAAUUCUUGUGUACCAUGCUCGAGGUGCCUAUUUUAGCCCAUACAAUGCUUUCUUUAGUUUAUAAACUUGAUUUUCAUGCCCUUUCUUCUCAUAACCCCGUGGUUGCUCCACGUAGACUUCUAUCUUCAAGAACACCAUUAAGAAACGCUAAUUUCACAUCCAUUUGGUGGAUCUUCCAACGAUUUUGAGCUGCAAGUGCUAAAAUCAUCCGGAUGGUAUCCAUUCAAGCCACAGGUGCAAAUACUUCAACGUAAUCAAUACCUGGCUUUUGCUUGUAGCCUUUUACGACUAGCCUAGCUUUAUAUCGGUCCAUCUGACCGUCUGGCUUGUACUUCAUCUUGUAUACCCACUCAACACCAAUGGGCUUCUUAUCAAGUGGUAGAGAAGUUAGCUCCCAUGUGUCAUUCUUUUCAAUGGAGCGGAUUUCUUCAUCCAUUGCUUGGAUCCACUCCUCAUCUAUUGCUACAUCAUCAUAGGAUAUGGGGUUUCAUCCAUUGCAAAUAAACAAAAAUUUAUCUUAGUUUCAUAAGUGAUUCCUUCAUUAUCACUAUCAUCAUCUCUUGAUGGUGUCUCUUGCAAUCGUUGUGAAUGACGUAUCGGUGGUUCUGAAACUGCUCUUGGUGAAGAAAUUAAACUACUAGGCAAAAAUGAUGGAUCUUCAGUUGAAGAUUUUUUUGUCUCUCUUGCCAAUGAUUCAUCUUCAAUGGUGAUGCUUUUCUGGUCAAUCUUCUGGUUCCAGUCCCAGGCUUCAUCUUCAAGAAACUGGACAUCCUUGCUGAUGAUAACUUUCUCAGUGACUAGAUUAUAUAGCUUAUAACCCAUAGUCAUGUCACUGUGGCUGAUGAAGAUGCAUUUUUGGCUUUUGUCAUCCAAUUUUUUCCUCUGUUCAUCUGGUAUAUGGGGAUAUGCUACACACCGAAAUACUCGUAGGAAUGAAACAUCUGGCUUGUUGCCACUCCAAGCCUCUUUCGAUGUUCUUCCAAGAACACUCCUUGUUGAACACCUAUUUUUAGCAGAAAUACAGUACACGCAACGGCUUCUGCCCAAAACUUCUUGGGCAAAUUUUUAGCCUUUAGCAUACUUCUUGCCAUUUCAAAUAUUGUCCUAUUCUUUCUAACCAUUUUGUUGGGGACUAUAGCUAGCAGUCAAUUGACGCUUCACUCCAUGAAUUUUACAGUAUUUAUCAAAUUCAUUCAAAGUGAAUUCUCCCCCUCUAUCUAAUCUCAACGUCUUUAAAAUAAAUCCACUAUACUGUUCAACAUAGACUUUAAAUUCUUUAAACUUCGAAAAGCUUCAGAUUUUUCUUCUAAAAAAAUAUACCCAUGUUUUUCUAGUAAAAUCAUCCACAAAAAUUAAUGUAUACCUUUUUGAUGAUCCACCUCAAUAGGGCCACAUAUGUCUUAUAUAUGUACCAACUUCANNNNNNNNNNNNNNNNNNNNNNNNNNNNNNNNNNNNNNNNNNNNNNNNNNNNNNNNNNNNNNNNNNNNNNNNNNNNNNNNNNNNNNNNNNNNNNNNNNNNUUUGAGGGAGAAUUUGUAUUGAGAAUGCUUUCUCUUAUUUGUGUCUUCGUGGACUGUGGCUUAUGGCUUGAUUUACAACUCACGACUUCAUCCCUUUAUAUAGGAAUUGAAGUUUACAAAUGCCAAGGAUUACAUAACAACCCACAAAUUUAAUGACUAAAACAAAACAGCCUCAUACAUGUAAUCAUAAACACAAUCAAAACGCACAAUAGAGUAACAUAAGUCUUCAAUAAAUUCCAUUCUUCAAAUCCAUGUAGCCUAUCAUAAAGUUUUUAUGGCUCCUUCAAUGCUUGAAGGUUUCUCAUCUAGCAAUCCUCAUCCAAUAAUCAAUUUUAUUUUAUUUCAACAUAAAUGUCGUGAGCUCGAGCUCAAGCGGAUCAUGGCCAUGGAUGCUGCGAGCUCGAGCGGAUUGUGGCCAUGAUGGAUCGUCUCCAUUGAUGCCAGCAAAUCAUGGCUAGUGAGCAACCAUAGCUGCGAGAUGAGAUAAGGGAGAGGGACAGGGAGAGGGAGAGAGAGUUGCUUUCUCUUCCUCCAGAUCUUGGUCUUAGCUCGUAGCAAAAGGAGUCCCUAUUUUUGGUUCGUGACACCAUUUACUCUUCCACAGCACCACUUAAUGUAGCCUAGCUUCUCUGGUUUGCUCUAGAACGUGGUGUGCCCGAGUGGUUUAAUUACUACAAUGCUGGACAUUUCAUGGGCGUUGACAUACCUUCGAACGACCACGAGUCCUCGAUGGGGCACUGGAUAUCCCUCACUCCGGGAUAUUAGUUCUACACAAGUGUACAUCAAUUAGGUCCUACAUUUUUUUUGUUAAGCUACAGAUUGCCUUUCAUCUCCUCCGAUGACAUAAAUUGGCACAUCAUUGGUCUCUAGAUACUACAGAUUGGCGGGAAAUGUUGAGCCAUAUUGAUGCUGUGUUCAAGAUCUCCAACCUUAGGUUAAUGGUGGCCUGAGUGUAGUGUUGAACUACUAAACAUCUUCCCUGCUUAAUCGAAUCGUUGCUCUUUUGACUCGUUUCCCUCUAUUAUCGAGAAAAUUUGACCACAUACAAAGUACAAGUGCCCACACAUUGAGAAUGCUAGUACGAGCACCUAGAGGGGGGUGAAUAGGUGCGAAAAUAAAUUUUGCAAAAUAUAGUAUAAGAUUUUACUUUUAACCUGAGUCUAAUUGACAAUAGACUCUGCAGAGGAAAUUAGACUCUAACAAUUAAAUAGAGUUACGAACAAAGUAAAAGAGUUUAGAGAAGAUAAUAAGAACACAAAGUUUAUAAUGGUUUAGCUUAAUCCAAGCCUACAUCCAUUCUCCCGCACUGACAGCCCAUCGGCUGGAUUUUAUUAUGAAUCAAAAGAGUCGUUACAGUAUCACAUCCUUGAUUCCACAGGUAGAGACUCUGCUACACUUCCUCAAAGCCUCACAAAUUUCUAAACUCUCUUUUGAGUACAAAUUUUUGCUCAACAAUUGAAUCAACAAAGAACAAAGAGCUUUAGACUUUGAAAUUUAUCUAUCGCCCACACACUCGAAUAACUAGAGCAUCUUCCUUAUAUACUCCUCCAUGCCUUCAUAACCGUUGGCACCUUCCAAAUGAGUUCUUCCAAUCUACCCGUUGGACAUAAUCAAUUAGGGAGAUCUCGAGUUAUUUAAGGAAUGCGAUGAUAGCCCACCAAUCUUGCUCGCCCAUACAAUUAGGAUCUAGGUUUUCAUAAGUAGAACCUUCCAAGUAUACUUCGCCAAUCAACGGAUCCAAAUUACUCAAAUUAAUUUCAAAAUGAAUAAUAGAUCUUGAGAUGCUAUCUCCAACCGUGAGAUCUUCUUUAACCACUCAAAUCAAAACCUUAAAGAAACACUUGAAUUUGGAUAAGUUUUCUUCGUCGGUCUAGAAAUUGUCAAUGAGGGCAGACUUUAAAUCUUGAGUCUGGCGGUUUUCAUACUUUGACGAAAGAGUCUGCAAGUCUUCAGACUAGACUGAUGGAAACGUUUUGUCAGCUUCAUAACAAGUAAGGAAGUUUUCUCCAACAAUCUCCCAAUUUUUUAUGAUGACAAAACUUUCCUGCAGAUUUGGAAACUUUUGACCUGCAGAUAUACUCAAGCAACGAGGAUUAUCUCAUAAAAGAUAAAUGGAUUAGGAUNNNNNNNNNNNNNNNNNNNNNNNNNNNNNNNNNNNNNNNNNNNNNNNNNNNNNNNNNNNNNNNNNNNNNNNNNNNNNNNNNNNNNNNNNNNNNNNNNNNNAAAGGCAUGCUGGUCACCAUCUUUUCUGGACCAGUAAUUUUAGUCCACGAAAAUUUAAAUGACCAAAUCGAAGAUGCCAAAACCAGUUGCUAUCUUUCAUCACCGCUUGAAAGUUCAAAAUAUUCUUUGUCUUCAGAGUAAGAGGGAACAUUCGGUUCUUUGCCAUUUGCAUGUCGUGAUAAUUUAUUGUUUACCCCUAAAUAGUGCAAACUCCAUUUUCAAUAUGGACUUUGUGGCCUCUUUUGGAAAGUUGCUCAACACUUAAUAAGUUCCAACAAAGUCCUGGCACAAAAUAAACAUCGGUAGUAGUAACAUUAGUACCAUCUUUUGAGUUGAUAUUAACAUCACCUUUGCCCAUUACAAGAACUUUGGAUUUGUUCCCAAAAUUAACUUCAUUGCGAACUGUCUCGUCCAAGUGUGAGAAUAACGCCUUUUGGCCAGUCAUAUGAUUACUACACCCAGUAUCAAGGUACCAAAGGUUGGUGUCCACGAUGCUUGAGUCAUCCUUCUUGCAUGCUAGCAUCACGUGUUCCUCAGCAUUAAUGGUAUGCACCUAUUAUGCCUGCUCAUAUGCCACCUUUGCUUAACAUUCGGAUUUGUAAUGUCCAAAUUUGUUACACCUAAAACACUUUACCUUAGAUUUGUCACGUGUUUUAUAUUUUCCGAUGGAAUUGAAAUUUCCACGUCCAUGUCCUCGACCACCUCCACGACCUCGGCCAGCUUGAUGGCCUCUUCAACUUGAUUGAGCGACCCAACUUGGCAAUGCUUGCUCGGAAUUCUCGAACCGAUGGACUUUUGAUUCAUUCUUUGCUCAUGCGAGCAUAAUGAACCCAUCAAUUGCUCCAACGUCAUGGUUGACACAUCUUGCGCUUCUUCAAUCGCCGCAAUUACGUAGUCAAAUCUUUCAAUCAAAGACCUCAAGAUCUUUUCUAUGAUUCAAACAUCUUGGAGUUCUUCACCAUUAACCCUCAGUUGGUUAACAAUGGUUUGCACACGAUCAAAGUACACCGAUAUUGAUUCAGAGUCAUGCAUGUAUAAAGACUCAAAAUCACCUCGAAGUGUUUGAAGCCGCAUCCGUUUGACGUGAUCAUCGCCUUUGUAGGAUUGUUGCAAAAUAUCCCAUGCUAAUUUCGGGGUCUCCGCCCUUGAUAUUUUUUCAAAUAUAACUUCCUCUACGGAUUGAAAGAUCGCAAACGAUGCUUUUUGAUCUUUCUUCGUGCAUUCCUCAAAAAUAUCUUUCUCCUCCCUUCUUAAAGCAUCGAAUGCUUUAGCAUCAGCCACUUCAGUAUAGCCAUUCUCCACAUGAUUCCACAAAUCUUGCGAUUUGAAAAGAAUCUUCAUCUAGACGUACCAAUUANNNNNNNNNNNNNNNNNNNNNNNNNNNNNNNNNNNNNNNNNNNNNNNNNNNNNNNNNNNNNNNNNNNNNNNNNNNNNNNNNNNNNNNNNNNNNNNNNNNNGUCUUGUAAAAACAACUAUCUUUGCCAUGAAUACCAAUAGUGCUUAAGAUACUGCAAGCAUUAUCAAAUAGUCCAAACCAUAAAACAUAGUCUAAACCAGUCACAACCAAACAAGAAUUAAAGUCAAAUCCAAUCAAAUCUGCACCAACUUCUCCCCCCUUUUUGUCAGCAUUAAAAAUGUAGAGACGAAAAAUAGAAUGGGAUAAAAUUAAGAUUGUUUUGAAACGCAAAUGAGCUGAAAAUCUCCCAUCGACUUGACAGUCUCCUCCAACUUUCUCAGAUCCUCCUUCAGUUGCACUAUUUUCUCACCCUUGGCGGUUGCAUGAACUUGAAGAUUAAGGGCCUGAACUUGAUUGAGCAAUGAAACUGAAGAGGCUUGAUUAGCAUUCUGCAUAUUCUGAAAUUCACAUCCCAAAGCAUAAAUAUGACCUCGCAUCUCCAUAAGAACAUCAAGCAACCUUCUAAAGUCUGCUGAAUUGUUAGUUUGAGUGCUUGCUUCAGCAUGAUUAGUUUGUGGAGUAUUGGCAGAUGAUGGCAUUUCAGCAUGAGCACCCAGACUCGGAGAUGAAAUCUCAUGACCUUCUUCAGGAAAUUGAGAGGCAUAUACAUCUUCUGGAUCAGCAGGAGAACGACUAACAUCAUCACUAGUAAAAACAAGUGAAGGAAUACCUCUUUUAGCACCAGUUCCCCCUGUUUCAGUGCCUUCAGGUGGAGAGAAGUACUCUUCAUGGUCUGUUUCUUCUUCAAUUACAUGAUGACCUUGUUCUUCGCUUUGCUCUUCUUCUUCAGUUCUUCCUUCCUCUGCUUCCUUCCUCAUCGAUUCCCUCUCUUCACUCCUCUGCUCUGCUUCUUCUUUGUCUUGGUUCUCUCUAUUCGCUAUCUUUAGAGCAAGACGCCGUAAGUUCCUUAAGGCAAGAGUAGAAAUGGUGAUAUCAUCCUCAGCUUCUUCAUCCUGCAAGAUGAGUGCUCUCUUUCUUUUAGAUGGAGCUGUCAUGGGCUCCUUGCCUUUCCGUUUUGUAUCCACAGGGUCUUGACGAGUCUUGACAGGAGCCUUCUCCUUAAAUCUCUCCAAAGCCUUGUUUAGCUCUUUCAGACGCAUCUUUGAAAUCAUAUUUAGUCCCACCACCAUUUGAUCAUAGGUUCGAAUACACAGAAUUUUGGGAGGCUGAAUGUUAAAAUGUAUGAAUAGCUGAGUAACAAGUGUCGAAUAAGGAAGUUGACCAUUGUCCUUUACCAUUGAUCUGUACAUGCGAAACAUGAUAAUGUGUGGGAGAGAGAACUUUUUAUCAGCAUUGAUAGCAUACAUCAGCUUCGCUUCUAAAUUGGAGACGUUAGUCUUUGACAUGGAUUUUGGUCUAAGAUAGUUAAUCACAAUCUUAUGAAGCAAGAUAUUUGAGGCACUCAUCCUUAAAUACGAAAUUCGGUCUUCUGCCAUUCCAUCUCGAACAAGCUCCACAGUCGCACGACCAAUAGACAUACUAAUUGAUUGGAAUAUUCCUCUCUCUACUCCAAUCAUGUCAGCUAGAGUGUCCAUAUCAACAAUAUAAUCCUAGUCUCUAACACUGAAAGAAAAUCUAUCUGCAUCCAAAAAACUUAGAUUGGAAUAGAAAUACACAGUAAGUUGUGAAUGAGCAACUGUCGUCUCAAAGCAAAAUCGUUCAAAUUGAAGUAAAGUAAAUUUCUCUUGUAACUUCACAUUCAGAGAGUCGAGAAAAUCAAAAUCCACACUUCUUGGGUUUAUCACCCAUUGCUUCAACAACUUAGAGUAAACUCGCUUAUGUUCCUUAGAACGAAACAGAUCAGCUCUUCUUCCUCGAACAUCUUUUCAUCAUCAUUCGUUCCAUCCAGUUGACUAAAACCUCUAACACGUGGAUCACUUGGGAAAUUCGCAAAAGCCUUUUCUGCAGAGCCAACAGGAGCAAUCCCCAAACGUUCCAUUGUUUGUAAGAAAUGGGUUUCAUUUUUGUACCCCUUUUCUUUCAAAAAUUCAUCAAUAAAGUUCAUUGGAGAACGUCCAUUCUUUAGAGCAGAGUAGAGCUUGAAAGUAAAAGCAGGCUUAAGAGUCUUUACAGGUUCGACAUCCUCCAAAAUUUCUUCCUCCACUUGUUGUUGUUGAUCAUUUUGUGGUCUAGCCUGAGGAGAAUGGCAUGGUUGAGAAUGUUCUGGACUUUGCUGUUGUCUUGGAGAUUCUUCUUCCUUGGUCAAGUCAAAAUGCAUAGGACCCUCACGCAUAUGCUGUGGUCCCCUGCUUGCAAUCCUUGAAGACUUUCUUUGGGAAGACAUUAUCACAAUCUUUCAGAGAGUUUCCGAACUCAAUUCGUGAGAAAGAUGAAAACUUUAAGGAUUAAACUAGAGAGAAAAAGUAAAAAAGGUGAUGUUCUGUGCUCUUAGGGUUUGUGAGUUAAAAUGAAGAAGAAAAACAAUAUAUAAGAAAAUUGAAACGAGGUAUACGGAUAGUCAUGAAAGAAAUGAUAAAAAAUGCCUUUUAAAAAAUAACUGCAUUUUUGAAAAUAGAUAACUAUCAUCUUAAAAGAUAACUUCCUUUUUCAAAAAAGAAUAAUUUCCAUAAUUUCAAAAACUUGGGAAGAUAACAUCAAUCAAUUGCAGAUUAAUAAACAAUUGUACAUUUUUGAGAUUUUAUCUGAAAGAUAAGUUGCUAGAACUAAAAUGACUUACAGUCGUGAUUCUUGAACUUCUGAGUCUGAGCAUCUUUAGAUUUUUAUCGUUGAGUCUGUGCUUCUUCAAACUUUAAGAUAUUAAAUCUGAAUCGAAUAGAUUCAAAUAGACUUUUGUUCAGUGGCUUUGUGAAAAUGUCCGCCAGCUGAUUCUUUGAGUCGAUAAAUUGAAUCAAGACUUCCCCAUUUUGAACAUGGUCUCUAAUAAAAUAAUGUCAAAUCUCUAUAUACUUUGCUCUUGAAUAAAGAAUUGGAUUCUUGGUGAGAUUAAUCGCGCUGGUGUUGUCACAUUUGAUCUCAGUGCAUGAGUCUUCAAUUCCAAAGUCUCUUAGUUGUUGUUUUAUCCAAAGGAUUUGAGAACAACAACUUCUAAGAGCCACAUACUCCGCUUCUGCUGUUGAGAGAGCUAUAGUACUUUGCUUCCUUGAAAACCAAGAUACUGUCAUGUUACCAAGCAAUUGACAAGUGCCUGAAGUGCUCUUUCUAUCAACUAUGCAUUCUACUAGAUUUGCGUUUGAGUAUCCAAGGAGAGUAAAGUCUUAUUCUUUAGGAUAUCAUAGACCUAAUUUAGAGGUUGUUGCAACGUAUUUGAUGAUGCGUUUCGCAGCACUUAGAUGAGAUUUUUUGGGAUUUGAUUGAAAUUUGAUACAAAUGCAAACACUAAACAAAAUGUCAGGUUAGAGGCAAUAAGAUAAAGAAGUGAACCAAUGAUAUUCCUGUACAGCUUCUGGCCAACUUUCUAUCCUCCUUCAUCUUUGUCUAGCUUCGAAGAAUUUGAUAUUUGGUAUAUCGGUUUUUUUUGCAAUUCUCCAAACUGAACUUUUUAACAAGUUCUUUGGCAUAUUUUUCUUGGUGAAUGAAAACUCAUUUCUUCAAUUGUUUCACUUGUAGUCCAAGAAAGAAUGAUAGUUCACCCAUCAUGCUCAUCUCGAAUUUAUCCUACAUAGAUUUAGAGAAUUUCUUGCACAUAUUUUCGUUAGGUGAUCCAAAAAUAAUAUCAUCAACAUAGAUUUGAACAAGUAGAAAUUUUUUACUUUCUCUUUUAAUAAACAGAGUAGUGUCUACUUUACCUUUAAUAAAGCCAUUUUGGAUUAAAAACUUACUUAACAUGUCGUACCAAGCUUGAGGUGCUUGCUUUAAAUCAUAUAGCACCUUUUUCAGUCUGAAUAUAGAGUCUGGUUUCCUUGGGUCUUCAAAACCAGGAGGUUGUUCCACAUAGACUUCCUCGUGAAUAAAUUCAUUUAGGAAUGCACUUUUGACAUCUAUUUGGAAUAACCUGAAAUUCUUAUAACAAGCAAAAGCAAGUAAUAAUCUAAUUACUUCUAACAUUGCUACUGGUGCGUAAGUCUCAUCAUAGUCUAUCCCUUCUUCUUGCUUAUAUCAUUUGGCCACGAGUCUUGCUUUGUUUCUUAUAACUUUUCCUUUCUUGUCCAUUUUGUUCCUGAAAACCCAUUUAGCUCCAAUAACAUAUUUACCUUUUGGUUUAGGAGUUAAUUCCCAAACAUCAUUAACUCUGAACUACUUGAGUUCUUCUUGCAUAGCUUCAAUCCAGCUUUCAUCAGUUAAAGCUUCUUCUAUGCUUUUGGAUUCUAUUUCAGAAAUAAGAGUCACAGUGCUAGACUCUUCACGCCUUUUGGAUCUUGUACAAAUCCCUUCAUCAAUGUCACCAAUAAUGAGAUCAUUGGGAUGACUGGAUUUGUGCUUCUAGUUGCUGGUUGGUUUGACAGACUGCUGAUCUUUUUCUUCAUUUGAUUCUUUAACGUUCAUUUGUUGUUAACAUUUUGUAGUCUGAGCUGCUUUUGGAGAAUUGGACUUUGUGGAGUCUGGAGUAGGUUUAGAUUCUUCAGGAUGAACCUAGAUCGAUUGAUUUUGACAUUUAUCGAUUCUUCCAUAGAUUGACUCUUCUUGUUGUAUACUCUAUAAGCUUUGCUAGUGGUUGAAUAUCCAAGGAAGAUUCCUUCGUCUGAUUUUUCUUGAAACUUACCAAUUCGAUUAUUUGCAUUUUUCAAUAUAAAACAUUUGCAACCAAACACAUGAAAAUAGGAAACAAUUGGCUUCUUUUCUUUGAACAACUCAUAUGGAGUUUUCUCCAAAACCGGCAUUAGGAAAACUCUGUUAAUGAUAUAACAUGCUGUAGAAACUGCUUCAGCCCAAAAACAAAAAUAAAUGUUGCUUUCAAUUAAAAAUGUUCUAGCCAUUUCUUGCAAUGAUCUAUUCUUCAUUUCCACAAAUCUAUUAUGUUCUGGAGUGUAUGGAGAGAAGAACAUAUAUUGAAAGCCAGAUUCAUCACAGAAUUUAGCAAAGUCUUGAUUUUCAAACUCACCUCCAUGAUCUGUCCGUAUGCUUGAAAUAAUAUACCCUUUCUCAUUCUGUACUUUCUUAGCAAACUUUAAGAAAUAAGAGAAGGUUUCAGACUUACUUACCAUAAAGUAUAUCCAAGUAAAUCGUGAAUAAUCAUCCACUAUUACUAGGCAAUAUUUCUUUUCACCAAUGCUUUGAGUUCUAGUUGGUCCAAAGAGAUCCGUAUGUAGGAGUUGCAGUAUACGAUUAGUGGAAACUUGAUUAAUUGGUUUGAAAUAACUUCUAACUUGUUUUCCCAAUACACAUGGUGUGCAUAAUUCAGAUUUUUGGUAUGUUAGGUUGGGUAGUCCACGAACAAGCUUCUUUGUAGAGAUUUUGACAAUUUGCUUCAUGUUGAUAUGGCCAAGUUUCCGAUGCCAUAGAUUAGCUUCCUCUUGUAUUGAAAUUAGACAUUGGGAUUUUUCUCAUUUGAUAUCCGGAAGAUAGAUGUUCCCAUGUUUUUGCCCCGUGAAAGUUUGAGAGAAGUUUUUACUGGUUCCCGAACAUAUUCCUUUUUGAAAAUUGAUUUUGAAACCUGUGUCGCACAGUUGGCUGAUACUCAGCAAAGUUGUACUUGAGUCAUUCUACUAAGGAGACAUGGUUGAUUGUGAGACUUCCAAUUUUUACUGUUCUGCAUAUGAUAAUUCUUCAUUUGCUAUUCCCACCAAAAGAAACUUUUCCACCAUUAACUUGCAUAAGCUUUAUGAAACAACUUGAAUUUCCUAUCAUAUAUGUCUUAAGCAUCCACUAUCCAAGUACCAUUUGACAUUUUUCUUAAUAGUGACCUGCAUUUAGAAAAGAAACUCAAACUUUCUUUAGUACCCAUACUUUCUUAGGUCCAUUGAAGUUAGUGCAAUAUAUGGUCUUUGCCUAAUCCUUCUUAACAGGUUUCCAAACCAUGGGACAUUCUUUCUCAAAGUGUUUUGAGCUGUUGCACUUAGAACAUUUAAGAGCACUACAGCUAACAGGUUUUACAAAGACUUUUUGAAAAUGAUUUUUAUAAAAUUCUUUUGUAGGUCUUUGUUUGAUUCUUUCCUUUACUUUUGGAAAAUCAAUUAGAGGAAUGGUUUCAAAAGUCAUUCCCAAGCCUGAUUUGUCAAAGUAAUGUUUUUGUGCUAAAAGAAUCUUUUCCAAUUUCUCAUAUCCUAUAAAAAAAAACCUUUUUGAAAUACUUGAAAUAUCAUUUUUUAAAACUGUAUUUUCUUUUGAAAGAGAGUUUGCAUUUUCUUUCAAAGUAAUAAAACUUGUAUCUAAAUUUUCGAACUUCUCUUUCCAAACAAUCUCCUGUUACUUUAGUGUAGAAUUUUCCCUUUUUAGCUUGUAAAUCCUCUUGAGAGAGGUUUUGAGACUAAGACACAGUUCAUCAAUAUAUUUAGAGACUUUAGUAGAAAUUUUUAAAUUACUUACCUUGAUUUCAUUGUCUGAGUUUGAGUUUGUAUCUGUCUCAGAGUCUGAAUCUGAUUCUGAUUUUGCCAUUAAGCAAAUAUUAGUAUAAUCAUCAUUACUCUCUUCGCAUUCGGUAUCACUCCAAGUUUCUGCUUUGAGUGCCUUUCUGUAUUUCUCAGCUUUUCCUUUCUUUUUCUUCAGUAAGGGACAGUUGGGUCUGAUGUGUCCAUUUUUCUUGCAUUCAUAACAUAUCACAACUUUAUUGGAUUCAUCAUCCUCAGCUGAUUUAUUUUGAAACUUUUGAGAACUUUGUUUCUUCCAAUUGAAUCUUCUUCCCUUUUUGUUCAGUUUUCUGAACAUUCUUAUCAUGAGAGCAAGCUCUUCAUCAUUCAUAUCGUCUUCAGAAUCUGUAACAUCAGAGUCAUCAUUAGAUUUUAAAGCAAUAGAUUUUUUACCUUUGGGAUAUUCAUCUUCAUUGAUUUGCUUCACUUCAUAAAACUGAAGAGUGCCAACCAAUUCGUCAACGGAGAGUGGCAUGAUUCUUUAUGUCUCUCUUAUUGAUGUCUUUACGAGAUUCUAAUCUUUGGACAAUCCACGCAGCAGUUUGUUAACCUUAAUGGGUCUUGAAAUUGGUUGACCUUGAUACUCAAGACUAUUCACAAUUUAUAUAAAAUGACUAAACAUGUCAGUGAUAGAUUCUCCUGACUUCAUCUUGAAUGCUUCAUAUUGACUGAGUAGAAUAUUAAUUCUAGUUUAUUUCACUUGAUCGGUUCCUUCAUAGGUGAUGUGUAGCCUAUCCCAGAUUUAUUUAGCUAUUUCACAAGAAGAUAUUCUAUUAUAUUCAGUAGGAGAUAAUGCACAAUAUAAGGAGUAAAUUGCUUUUGCAUCAAGAGCUUGUCUCUUGGUUAUCUUUUCUUGAGUCAUUUCGCUAGCCUCUGCAACUUCUUUUCCUCUUUCUGAAACUGUUGUAGCUUUAAAAAUGAUUCCUUUGUCUACGACAUCUCAUUCCAAAGGAUCUUUCGAUCUUACGAAUGCUUUCAUCUUGUUUUUUCAUAUGCUGUAUUCCUUUCCAUCAAAAUAAGGCGGUCUGGUGUUGCUUUGCCCCUCAACCAAACCUGAAGCCAACAUACUAACCAUGGAUCUUUAACUCUGAAGUAAAAAUACUUCAAUUUAAAUGAGUACAUAGGUUUUGAUACCAAUUGAGAGUGCUAGUACAAACAUCUAGAGGGGGGUGAAUAGGUGCGAAAAUAAAUUUUGCAAAAUAUAGUAUAAGAUUUUACUUUUAACCUGAGUCUAAUUGACAAUAUACUCUACAGAGAAAAUCAGACUCUAACAAUUAAAUAAAGUUACGAGCAAAGUAAAGAAGUUUAGAGAAGAGAAUAAGAACACAAAGUUUAUAGUGGUUCGGCUUAAUCCAAGCCUACGUCCACUCUCUCGCACUGACAGCCCACAGGCUGGAUUUCACUAUGAAUCAAAAGAGUCGUUACAGUAUCACAUCCUUGAUUCCAUAGUGUAGAGACUUUGCUACACUUCCUCAAGGUCUCACAAAUGUCUAAACUCUCUUUUGAGUACAAAUUUUCGUUCAACAAUUGAAUUAACAAAAAAUAAGGAGCUUCAAACUUUGAAAUUUAUCUAUCGCGCACACACUCGAAUAACUAGAGCAUCUUCUUUAUAUACUCCUCCAUGCCUUUAUAACCGUUGGCAUAUUCCAAAUGAGUUCUUCCAAUCUACCCGUUAGAUAGAAUCAAUUAGGGAGAUCUCGAGUUACUUAAAGAAUGUGAUGAUAGCCCACCAAUCUUGCUCGCCCAUACAAUUAGGAUCUAAGUUUUUAUAAGUAGAACAUUCCAAGUAUACUUCGCCAAUCAACGAAUCCAAAUUACUCGUAUUAAUUUCAAAACAAAUAAUAGAUCUUGAGAUGUUAUCUCCAGCCGUGAGAUCUUCUUUAGCCAUUCGAAUCAAAACCUUAAAGAAACACUUGAAUUUGGAUAAGUUUUCUUCGUCGGUCUAGAAAUUGUCAAUGAUGACAGACUUUAAAUCUUGAGUCUGGCGGUAUGGCGGUCUUCAAACUUUGACGAAAGAGUCUACAAGUCUUCAGACUAAACUGAUAGAAACGUUUUGUCAGCUUCAAAACAAGUAAGGAAGUUUUCUCUAACACACAUGACUAAAGCUUUGAAGCAUAAGAAAAUAGAUAGACGUCCUAGAUCGUCCAUUAAUUGACUUAUCAGGACACUGAGUCAUCAAUUAGUUUACAAGUGACAAACCAAGCAUAGUUCAUGCUUAGAUAAACUAAGGAGAAUGUUCAACGUUUGCCGUUAGUUUCUGCUAAAGUAAUGUCCACAUGUCACACCUCUAUCCACGAACGCGUGCCCAUCCCUCAUCUAGUUAAUUAAUAGAGACGUCCCAGGACAUAUGGCUGACCGCUUUCAUUUUAAUACGCAUCACAAGCAAACAAUAAUCUCUAGACAACAAAACAUUGGGAUAGAAAAAUAGGCCAAAAUAUUCAGAACAUGAAAACAUAUAACCACACUUUUAUACAAGGCAAACUAUAGUAUAAUACAAAAUUAUUCACAAGUCUGAUUUACUAUAUCUCCGAUCAAAACCUAAAGUUUGUAAAACAGGAUGGGAUCUCAGUCUUCAUUCGGGUCAUACUCAGGAUCCUCCUCGAGAUCAUCCUCCUCUGACUCCUCUUCACUAAGCUCGUUUUCUUCCAGCUCCUCAUCUUCUUUGGGUUUGUCCUCGAGCUCUUCUUCUUCAAAAUUCACCUCUGGCUCGUCCUCAACCGCCUCUGCUACAUGCUCCACCUCUGGCCAUUCCCACUCCUAAUUCUCCUCUUGUCCCUCCUCUUGCUCGACUAUCUCUCCCUCUUCUAGCAUGCUCGACUAUCUCUCCCUCUUCCCAAAUGCCUCCUCUAGGACAAACAUAGGCACAUCUUCUUCAGGCAUGGGACCCUCCCUUUGCCCAUCAUGGUAUUCACGAUACCAUGAUCGAUACUAGUGGGGUCUCAGGGCGUCCUUACCAACAUCAAGCCAGACGGUCGACUGAACUGAGACGUACUCUAGUCCUUCGAGGUGAGGGUGAAUCGGGAAGUGGGUUUCUAUUUCUGUGACCUCUUCUGGGAUACCGAAGUGUUUAGGACGACGAAAAGGUGGAGGUGCUACCAUCUAGGGGCUUGAAAUGGUUAUACAAUAACCAUUGAGACCAUGUCUCAACAAGUUCUACCCCCUAAGACUCGAUUAGUAAACCAAUACGCUAACCGGGUUGCCUAUGCAUGCAUGGGUCAGAGGAUUUACUUUGGCCUCAGAUUCCCACCUGCAAAUUAGCAUAGUUCAAUAGGCACCCAAGUAAUCACAUCACAGAUUGAUAUCUCGAUCAAUCGACCUUGUCGAUUACAUGUCAGUCAGACCAUUUCUAGGUCAUUUUACUUCACACUAUAUAACCUCCGAUAGUAUACUUAGUUACAAAGCUACAUUUGUGACACCCCGAACCCUUCGCAGGUCGUCACCAGCGCCAAUGUUACACCUUAUUACCUUUCUGCUUUGAAGAAGUGUCCUAAUUCAUACACACACACACACACACACAGACACACACACACACACACACACACACACACACACAUAUAUAUAUAUAUAUAUAUAUAUAUAUAUAUUUUUAAAACAAAACGGUCCGAGCGCGACUUAUUAGCGGAAGCAAUUUAAAACAUCACCAUCUCUCCCCCUAUCAACCAUGAUACAAAUACACACCACUAAUCACCAUAAUUUUUAUAAACAAGCCACGACACUUUAUUUACAUAUAUUUUCAAGAUGGGACUACUCUUGGGUCGGUACAUCAAAAAGGAAAAUCUAGGACUCAGCCAUGUCCAGCCUAAAACCUCAAAAAGAACCCUCGACCCUCUACAUUUCACGUGCAACAAUUCCCCAUCAUCAGUGUCGGCUAACUAUCCCCAAAAAGAUCCAGCUCCUACUCGUCGCGCACGGGUCUCACACCCAACCCGGUGCAUCAGGCGGUGGCGGCGGCAACAUCCCUCGCAUUGCUCCAUCCCGACGAACAUGUACGGAUAUGAACUCCUGAAUGACAGGGCCCCUAGCUAGGCCCACGUCGUACAUCACUAGACAGCGUACUCGAAUAAAAGUCAGUCCAGGAACAGAGGGACAGUCUAUCUCAGCACACUCGACCUCUACAUUGGAUGGUAGACCGUAAAAUACUCCCCGCGUGACGGCAGGAAGUGACAUACUGCUAAUCUGAAAUGUGGGUCCCCAAAGGGGUGAGUACAACCACUCAGCAGAUAGGGAAAUCCAAUAACAACUCAAUGCAUCAUGCAAUCAUACAUGCAUUGCAGGCGUUACUUACCUUGAAGCCAUGCGCAUACUAUCAUGCAUCAUCAUAUCAAUUUAUAACACAUACAUGUGUAUCAUCAUCAUAUCAUACAUGUCAUCAUCAUCAUGACAUCAUCACAUUACACAUGUCAUCAUCAUCAUGGCAUCAUUACAUCAUACAUGGCAAUCAUCAUCAUGACAUCAUCACAUUACACAUGUCAUCGUGCCAUAUCACAUAUCAUCAUCAUCAUNNNNNNNNNNNNNNNNNNNNNNNNNNNNNNNNNNNNNNNNNNNNNNNNNNNNNNNNNNNNNNNNNNNNNNNNNNNNNNNNNNNNNNNNNNNNNNNNNNNNNNNNNNNNNNNNNNNNNNNNNNNNNNNNNNNNNNNNNNNNNNNNNNNNNNNNNNNNNNNNNNNNNNNNNNNNNNNNNNNNNNNNNNNNNNNNNNNNNNNNNNNNNNNNNNNNNNNNNNNNNNNNNNNNNNNNNNNNNNNNNNNNNNNNNNNNNNNNNNNNNNNNNNNNNNNNNNNNNNNNNNNNNNNNNNNNNNNNNNNNNNNNNNNNNNNNNNNNNNNNNNNNNNNNNNNNNNNNNNNNNNNNNNNNNNNNNNNNNNNNNNNNNNNNNNNNNNNNNNNNNNNNNNNNNNNNNNNNNNNNNNNNNNNNNNNNNNNNNNNNNNNNNNNNNNNNNNNNNNNNNNNNNNNNNNNNNNNNNNNNNNNNNNNNNNNNNNNNNNNNNNNNNNNNNNNNNNNNNNNNNNNNNNNNNNNNNNNNNNNNNNNNNNNNNNNNNNNNNNNNNNNNNNNNNNNNNNNNNNNNNNNNNNNNNNNNNNNNNNNNNNNNNNNNNNNNNNNNNNNNNNNNNNNNNNNNNNNNNNNNNNNNNNNNNNNNNNNNNNNNNNNNNNNNNNNNNNNNNNNNNNNNNNNNNNNNNNNNNNNNNNNNNNNNNNNNNNNNNNNNNNNNNNNNNNNNNNNNNNNNNNNNNNNNNNNNNNNNNNNNNNNNNNNNNNNNNNNNNNNNNNNNNNNNNNNNNNNNNNNNNNNNNNNNNNNNNNNNNNNNNNNNNNNNNNNNNNNNNNNNNNNNNNNNNNNNNNNNNNNNNNNNNNNNNNNNNNNNNNNNNNNNNNNNNNNNNNNNNNNNNNNNNNNNNNNNNNNNNNNNNNNNNNNNNNNNNNNNNNNNNNNNNNNNNNNNNNNNNNNNNNNNNNNNNNNNNNNNNNNNNNNNNNNNNNNNNNNNNNNNNNNNNNNNNNNNNNNNNNNNNNNNNNNNNNNNNNNNNNNNNNNNNNNNNNNNNNNNNNNNNNNNNNNNNNNNNNNNNNNNNNNNNNNNNNNNNNNNNNNNNNNNNNNNNNNNNNNNNNNNNNNNNNNNNNNNNNNNNNNNNNNNNNNNNNNNNNNNNNNNNNNNNNNNNNNNNNNNNNNNNNNNNNNNNNNNNNNNNNNNNNNNNNNNNNNNNNNNNNNNNNNNNNNNNNNNNNNNNNNNNNNNNNNNNNNNNNNNNNNNNNNNNNNNNNNNNNNNNNNNNNNNNNNNNNNNNNNNNNNNNNNNNNNNNNNNNNNNNNNNNNNNNNNNNNNNNNNNNNNNNNNNNNNNNNNNNNNNNNNNNNNNNNNNNNNNNNNNNNNNNNNNNNNNNNNNNNNNNNNNNNNNNNNNNNNNNNNNNNNNNNNNNNNNNNNNNNNNNNNNNNNNNNNNNNNNNNNNNNNNNNNNNNNNNNNNNNNNNNNNNNNNNNNNNNNNNNNNNNNNNNNNNNNNNNNNNNNNNNNNNNNNNNNNNNNNNNNNNNNNNNNNNNNNNNNNNNNNNNNNNNNNNNNNNNNNNNNNNNNNNNNNNNNNNNNNNNNNNNNNNNNNNNNNNNNNNNNNNNNNNNNNNNNNNNNNNNNNNNNNNNNNNNNNNNNNNNNNNNNNNNNNNNNNNNNNNNNNNNNNNNNNNNNNNNNNNNNNNNNNNNNNNNNNNNNNNNNNNNNNNNNNNNNNNNNNNNNNNNNNNNNNNNNNNNNNNNNNNNNNNNNNNNNNNNNNNNNNNNNNNNNNNNNNNNNNNNNNNNNNNNNNNNNNNNNNNNNNNNNNNNNNNNNNNNNNNNNNNNNNNNNNNNNNNNNNNNNNNNNNNNNNNNNNNNNNNNNNNNNNNNNNNNNNNNNNNNNNNNNNNNNNNNNNNNNNNNNNNNNNNNNNNNNNNNNNNNNNNNNNNNNNNNNNNNNNNNNNNNNNNNNNNNNNNNNNNNNNNNNNNNNNNNNNNNNNNNNNNNNNNNNNNNNNNNNNNNNNNNNNNNNNNNNNNNNNNNNNNNNNNNNNNNNNNNNNNNNNNNNNNNNNNNNNNNNNNNNNNNNNNNNNNNNNNNNNNNNNNNNNNNNNNNNNNNNNNNNNNNNNNNNNNNNNNNNNNNNNNNNNNNNNNNNNNNNNNNNNNNNNNNNNNNNNNNNNNNNNNNNNNNNNNNNNNNNNNNNNNNNNNNNNNNNNNNNNNNNNNNNNNNNNNNNNNNNNNNNNNNNNNNNNNNNNNNNNNNNNNNNNNNNNNNNNNNNNNNNNNNNNNNNNNNNNNNNNNNNNNNNNNNNNNNNNNNNNNNNNNNNNNNNNNNNNNNNNNNNNNNNNNNNNNNNNNNNNNNNNNNNNNNNNNNNNNNNNNNNNNNNNNNNNNNNNNNNNNNNNNNNNNNNNNNNNNNNNNNNNNNNNNNNNNNNNNNNNNNNNNNNNNNNNNNNNNNNNNNNNNNNNNNNNNNNNNNNNNNNNNNNNNNNNNNNNNNNNNNNNNNNNNNNNNNNNNNNNNNNNNNNNNNNNNNNNNNNNNNNNNNNNNNNNNNNNNNNNNNNNNNNNNNNNNNNNNNNNNNNNNNNNNNNNNNNNNNNNNNNNNNNNNNNNNNNNNNNNNNNNACAUCACCCAUUGCCUCAAAUCAUCAAGUUCAUCAUCCCCUCGGGCAAAGACCUCUGAGGUUUCCGGCAUUCAGCCUCCCAGGCCAUCGAGCAUCUGGCCCCCCACUUUCCGGGCAUCUCGCAUCUCAACUAGCAUCAUGAGGCAUUCCCUUCGAGCAGAAACCUCCGACAGGGCUUCCGGCAUUUACACUCCCUGGCCGGGCAUCUCGCAUCCCAAUCCUGGCAUCGCGAGGCAUUCUUUUCGGGCAAAGACCUCCGACAAGGCUUCCGGCCCCCCACAUUCCGAGCAUCCUGAAUUUCCCAGGGAAAUCCGGCAAUGCAUCUCUAUACAUUCCAGCCUCAUCCUCCACCACAACCACUUCCUCACUUAUCAUUAUCCACAUUUACCAUUAUUUUGAUCUCAAUUUAACAUGGCAUAUGGCGUCACAUCAAACAAGUCAUACUUGGCAUAGAAUUCACACAUGCAUCACAAUUCAAUGUCAUACAUACACCAAUAUCUUAUCAUACAUGCAAAAAUGUAUAAUUAUUUAUUAAUAAAUUCAAUGGAAUUUAUGGCCAAUAAAAUAAUCCAUUUUAAUUUCUUAUUAUUAUUUAUUUAAUUUUUUAAUAAAUAAAUAUUAAAUUCAAUAUCUAUAAAUUCCCAAAAUUAUAAAAAUUCAAGCAAUCAUUAAACAAACCAAUAGGAUGACAAUUUCAUGCAAAAUUCAUGGCCAAAUUGAAUUUCACACAAUUUCACAAUUUCCACAAAACAGCACAUAAUAUUCGGAUAAAACCAGAAUGCACAGUUUCCGAAGAAAUUCGAUUAAAAUAUUCAUACUGUUUCCAAAAAUUACGAAAUUUUACAGAGUAAUAGCCAAGACAUUUUCGUACAAAUUUCAUGAAGAACUCCAAGCCAUAUUCCUUUUAGAUUAUUUUAUACAACCUCACGAAGCUUCUGGAUCCAUUACCGCAUCGUCCAGUAUACACAUCUCCGAAAUGUUGAGAUUUCACCUACCUUUUCUCUUUCGUUUCCUCUGAACUUUAGAUAUGUUAUACAUUAAGGUGUCCUCUACAAGUUUCAUGAAUAGAUCUAGGUCAAAUAACCAGAAUAUAGUCAUCAUCUAUGUCCAUGAAGUCUCGGGUAUCUCGGAAUACAUCACCAGAAUCAUCAUCUUCAAGAUCUAGUCGAUUUACUAGGCUAUACUUGUUCAUUUCACUUCAAAUUUGAGUAUGUUAUAGUUUAAGAUGUCUCCUACAACUUUCAUGAAGAAAUCGAAGUCAAAUUCUCAACAAAACCCAACAUGCAACCACGAAUCCAGCAAGAGGUCAGUAAAAACUCUCCAGAUCUGAGGUCUCCGUAUGAUGAGACUUUAACCCCUCAAAUCUCCAUCAUUUUCCACGAAAUUUCAGUAUGUUGUAUUUCAAGAUGUUAGCUACAACUCUCAUGAAUAAAUCAAAGCCACAAUCUGACUCUAAACACACAUGCAAGCUCAAACAAGUUACUGACUCACACGAUCCGAGCAAGAACAGUCACACCAUUCACACACAACUCAUCCAUGCUUCGGUUUUUCUCAUCUAACAUCCAAAAACUCAACAUGCAAACGACAUACAAGCAUGCAAGAGAAGCUAGAGGACUCCCACUUGCCUCUAGACCGGUCGGUCGACGGCGUACGGCGGCGAACACGGCGGCACACGGCGGACGGACGGCGACGACCCCUCGGCUCCGCCUCCUUCCUCUCUCGGCCUCUCCCUCUCUUUCUUGAAUUCUCUCUCUCUCUCUCACCCUCUCUCUCUCGGCCGAAUGGGAUCCGGCCACUCUCCUCUCUCUCUUCCCUUGUAUUUCCCCAACUUCUCAUGAUUAGCAAUCAUGAGAUUGCCUUUCAUUUGGCCAAUGCAUGGCCUUCUUCUCUAAGCCAAUGCAUGAGAGUCUUGUGCCACUUGUCUUAUGGGCUUUUUGGGCUUGGGCUUGGGCUUCUAUUGGGCCGGUCAACUACUCCUCUUGGGCCACUAUUGGGCUGCCCAUCUUGGCCCAUUAAAGGCUUAGGCCAAUGGGCCUAAGGCCCAUUCCAAAAUUGACCUUUUCCUCUUCUUCUUUUUUUUUGAAUUCUUCCAUAAAUAUUUUUAAAUUUCAAUUUUCAUCUUGGCCAAAGUCUUGGGGCAUCUUGGUUAUUGAAAUUUAAUUUAUAAGGUACAUGGCCAAGCAUAAAUUAUUAAUCUAUCAUAUUUAAAUUUUCACAAUCAUAUGCACAAAUCAUCUAAUUAAGGGUGCGUUUGGAUGGGCAUUUAGAAAGCCCAUCCAAGCCCCAAAGCCCUUUCACCCCAAAUAGGGGUGUUUGGCAACCAUUCCCAAGGGGCUUUCAAGUGAAAGUCUACCAUUGGGAAUGCUAAAAGCUCAAGGCUGGUGGAGACCAGCCUUGAGCUAAAAGACUAAUGGCUAAAGCAUAAGCCAUGGGAAUUUUUAUCACCUAAUUAGAGACUUUAACACACCUUAUGGCUUAGCUUUGAAUUUUGGGAUGCCACAACAUUAAUGCUCUUGGGCAUCGUUUUUGCCAAGGUGACGUAUGUAGAAGACAAUUACAUGCGUUCUUUAAGGCGCCGUUUUCGCCAGUGAUAUCCCUAAUCACCGAACCACAUAUGUCCACCAAUCACUUACAUUCUUUCUCUCUGGCGCUGUUUUUGCCAAUGUGAUGUAUAUAAUAGACAGUUACAUACAUUUUUUAAGGCGUUGCUUUUGCCAGUGAUAACCUUAGUCACCAAACCAUGUAUGUCCAUAAUGAUGUAUGUACUAGACCAUUACGUGCAUUCUUUAAGGCGCCAUUUUCGCUAGCGAUAUCCUUUAUCACCGAACCACGUAGGUCCACAACAUCAUACCUGAUUGGUUUUAGCCAAGAGUAUUCCCAUUUCACUCUUAUAAUUCUCUCUACUUUAGCCCAUCAAAGCAUUAUUGGCACUAAAUAAUUAUACUCGGCCAUCUACCAAUCAAUCGCUCAAUUUAUAUUCAAUUUCAAUUAAUUUAGGAAUAAUUCCUCAAAUUGCAUAAUCCAUUCAAUUCAACACAACGUAGAACUCAAAUAAAUAAAUGGACUGCACCACGACAAUCAACAUAAAAUUCCGAUCGUCGGCUAUCCUUGCCUACUUUUCGGAAAUAAAUAAAUAAAUAAAUAAAUAAUUUCGAAAAUUAAUAAAUAAAUACUAAAAAUCCAAUUUAUGCCCAUAAUGCCUAAUUGGAUGCCAAAACGGAUCGGGAAAAAUCUCGAGAUGCAAUCAAUAAAUACGAGUAUGUCUCUACUUGCUAAUCAAUAAAUACGAGGCAGCGAGAUGGAGGAAGACGCGUGGAUUGAAGAGGCGUGGGGCUUCGAUCAUGUCUGGCGGAAGAAGCGGAUACCGGGGGGGGAGUCAACAAGAUGGUGAGAAUCUGCUGCUGUUGACCAUGAGCUGGCGUGAGAGUUGAAGGACGUGCGGCCAGCUGGGAGCUUUGGUGCUACUAGAUCCGCGUGAGGCUUCGGUGAAUGAGUAGCAGUUGGUCUUCGUCUUCUGCUGAUUCUUGGUGGCGUCGCACGACCAAGAGGAAUGGAGAGGGAGAGAGAUAGGUGGUGGAGAGAGAGAGAGAGAGAGAGAGAGAGAGAUGAUAGAUGAGGGCCCCAUUUGGCCAAGUUUUCCACAAAAAUAUCUCCAAAAAUCAACCUAGGCCAUGCGUUUGCUCCUUGGCUGGUAUUCCUCCACUGAAACACUUCUAGAAGAGGUCAAAAAGUGGUGGUGGAUGGGGGCUACGAAUUUGUCUCAACCUCCCCUCAAUUGGACACUUGAUACAAUACAAUUCAACAUCAAUUGACCUCGAUCAAUUCAAUCGACACUUCAAUGCCUCAAUUGCUAUUUUUCCUCACCCAAGAAUCCAUCUUACAUCUCAAUUUUGUGACCAAAAACACUCCCCGGCCUUUUCUGCACAAAAGGGUCAUAAACCAAAUUUUUCUCAAAAAGUCUCGGUUGUUAGAAAAAUUUUCUGAGAUUGAGUUGAUACUUCUAGAAUUUGUUGUGACAUAACAGAAUCUUCAAUUUCUAACAUCGGACUUGAAUUGACAGUUAAUUUCCAUUCGGUGCAUUUUUAGCGUGACCUAGACUAUUGGGUAGUUUUCAGAACUUUUUAGGGCAAAUGACCCAUGGUUGAUUUUUUUCAAGUCACUAUGAACCCACUCGACUCAAUGACGACUCUCUAUUGUCGUGAAAAUCUCGAGAAUUCAAUUACGAACACAUGGUACCAAAAUGACAGUAAAAUCAAAUUAGUGCCGGUCGACGAGAAUUUUCCAAUUUAGUGGAGUCACCUUUGAUCGGCCACACAUCUCAGUCGAACGGACCUAUCUCUAGUCUCAAAUUGAUUUUUAACCGUGUCGUAGUGGCCUUUAAAGAUAAACACGAUCGAGAAGCCGAUUCCUAGUCGAAUUCUCAAGUCCAUUUGCCUUAAAGCCCUUAAUAGCUUCCUCAGAUCGUUUAGUUAUCUCGAGAAUGAUCAGCUCUGAGGACAGCCCUAUAGAUGCAUCAAUGAAAUGCCUAAUUAAUUCAGUAGAAAACAUGGUUGAAAAACUGGGAUGUCACAACUCUUCCCCUUUUAUAAAAAUUUUGUCCUCGAAAUUUAAACAAUUACAAAACUUGCUCAAAAAGGUGGGGGGGGGGGGGGGGGACCAAUUUCUCAUCCACUCUUCAGGCUCCCCAGGUGGCCCCUUAGGACCGGGGGGGUUGCUAGAACAAUUUGACCCACAUAAUGGGCUUUGUACCCAAAAAUUGGUCCUUGAAUCGGCUUUUACCGGAUGACACAUGGGCACCCACAUCCAAUUCCCUCAAAAUAAACACGUGAGUCGGGUCAGGCUUGUAUUUCUUUAACAUCAACAUGUGAAAGAUGUCGUGCACUUGCGCCAAUCUGGCGGCAAUGUAAGACGAUAUGCUAGGCUUCUAAUUCUCUCAAGAAUCUCAAACGGAUCUAUUUACCUUGGACUCAGUUUGCUUUUCUUACCAAAGCGCGAAAUUCCCCUCAUUGGUGACACUUUCAUAAAAACGUGAUCACCAACUUGGAAUUCUAAAGAACUUCGACGGUUAUCUGUGUAGUUUUUCUGUCUGCUCUGAGCGGUCUUUAAUCUGCAUUUGAUCAUUGCCACGGCUUCCACUAACUGUUGGACCUACUCUAGGCCUGAAAUCUUUCUUUCCCCAACUUCAUCCCAACACAUUGGCGUUCUGCACACUUUGCCAUACAAUGCUUCCAAAAAGGAGCCAUCUUGAUGCUUUGUCGAUAACUGUUGUUGUAGGCAAAUUCCACCAGAUGAAGUUGAUCUUCCCAACUUCCCUUGAAGUCUAUUACACAAGCUCUUAACAUGUCCUCGAAGGUCUAAAUUAUCCUCUUAGACAGGCCAUCUGCCUAAGGAUGAUAUGUCGUAAUGUACUGAAACUUUGUACCUAGAGCACUUUACAAGCUCUUCCAAAAAGCGACAGUAAAUCUCGGGUCUCUAUUUGAGGUUAUCAUAAUCGGCACUUUAUACAUACGAACCACCUGACGCACAUACAGAUCUGCGUGUCUAUCUAGACUCAGGUCCUUUUGAACUGCAAUGAAGUGAGCCGACUUUGUCAAUCUAUCAACUACUACCCAAAUUGAAUCAUUUCCUCUUCGACUCCUCAGUAGUCCAGUCACUAAUCAUAAGUGCAAGCUGAAAUAGCUAGUACGAGUACCUAGAGGAGGGUGAAUAGGUAUAUAAAAAAAUUUCUCGAAGCUUGCACGAUAUUUAAACAAUUAAAGAAUUUGCAACAGUUAAAAAUUCAAUCGCAAGACUAAGUAAAGGAAAGAGAGAAUUGAACACUUAGUUUAUAGUGGUUCGGCUUGAUUCAAGCCUACGUCCACUCUUCUGCACUGACAGCCGAUUGGCUGGAUUCCACUAUGAUCAAAGAGUUGUUACAGUGUUGAUCUUCCUUGAUUUCUAGGUGUAGAUGAUCUACCACACUCGCUCAAGGCGUUACCAAGUAUAAACACUCUCUGUGUACAAUUUCGCUUAGUCUCGACUAACAAUCAAGGAUCUUCAGACUCUGGAAUUUUUCUAUCGAUCACACACUUAAAACAACUAGAACAUCUUCCUUUUAUAUUCCUUCAUGCCAUCAUAGCCGUUGGCACUUACCAAAGGAAUUCCUCCAAUCUACCCGUUGGACGGAAUCAAUCAAGAAGAUCAUCCGAGCUAUUUAAGGAAUCUGAUGAUAGCCCAUCAAUCCUGUUCGCCCAUACAAUCAGGAUCUCGGUUUCCAAGAAUAGAAUAAUCCAAGAUUAUUUCGUCGACCAUCGGAUCUUCAAUUGAUCUUAGAUAAGAAUUAAAGAAUCCGAAAUGAUUAUCCAACCAAAGAAUCUAUUCCAGAGGAUAGAAUCAAAUCCUCAACCAUAAACCUCGACUUUGGAUUUUCUUCAACACUGGAUUAGAAAGACUGUUAGUGAGAAUAAUUUUGAGUCUUGAGUCUUGAGUCUUGAGUCUUGAGAUAACAAAGUCUUGAGACUAUAAAAGCUUGAGACUUUAACUAUCGAUAUCCAGACUUAAACUGAUAGAAAUGUUUUGUCAGCUUCAAAAUAUUCUGGAAAGAUUUCUCCAACAAUCUCCCCCUUUUUGAUGGUGACAAAACUUUCUUGAAGAUUUGAACAACUUUGACCUGCAAAAACAUUUCUCAAGCAAUAUGGCUAACUCAUAAAGAUUAAUAAACAACCAGACUCUGCAUCCACAGCAAAUUGGUUAGUCUUUCAUGAGUAAUACCAUGUAACAAUACUUGAUAUAAAUGCAACCAGUCAAGCAUCAAAAUCCACAACCAAUUCAGUCUAACACUCAAGUUCAAGUUCUCAAGUCAUACUCAAAAAUAAACAUAAACACAAAAGUCACUUCAAAUAAAGUUUUAAAAUAAUGUUUGUUCAAAUUGGUUCUCCCCCUUUUUGUCAUCAUUAAAAAGAGGGUGAGAAAGGAGUCAUGUCUGCUUGGGAAUGCGCACGAUCUGGAAAUCCUCAAUUGACUGGACUACUCCUUUGAGCUUCUUCAGAUCUUCUCGCAGAUGAGCUACCUCUUCUCUCUUCGCAUUGGCUUGAAGUUGCAGAGCAAGGUCUUUGUAUUUAUCUUCCAGAGAGACUGAAGAUGCUUGUCCAGCAUGCUUCAAAGCUUGGAUUUCACAGUCCAGAAUAUAUAUCUGAUUACGCAUUUCCAGAAGAAUAUUCAUGAUACUACGAAGAUCUACAGAAUCAUCCGUCUGUGUACUGGCAUUGGCUUUCUCAGAUGGUGUGUGUGCAGACGAUGGCGCUUCUGAACGGUCUGGCAGAUUUGGAAUCGUCGUAUCAUCUUCUUCAGGCAAUUGAGAGACCUGAACGUCUUCUGGGUCUUCUGGAGAUUGUCUUAGAUCUUCAGCAGCAUGAGGUGGAGACCUCUCUUGCUCGCUAACUCCCCCUGUCUCUAGGACAUCGAAAGGGGAAGAGUGAUGAUCAUGCUCUUGAUUUCCCUUCUCUCCAGAUUUAUCAGCAGACUGUUCUUUUUCUUCUUCCUCAACUUCUUUCUCCUUCUCUCUCUGUUCUUCUUCUUCUCUGCUCUGCUGAAGUUCCGUCUGUAGAGUCAGAGCACGUCUUGUUCUUGUCAGUGCUGGAAUAGUGGGAUCUUCAUUAUCUUCAUCCUCAUCCUCAUCCUCCAGAAUAAGAGUUCUUUUCCUCUUUUUCGAAGAAGCACCAAUGGCCUUCUUUCCUUUCCCUUUUGAAGCAGACUGGACUGGAGAUUUCACUUUGAAUUUCUCCAUUGCCUUAGAGAGUUCUUGCAGACGCAUCUUCAUUAACAUUUUCAGCUCGUUCCCGUCAAUCAGAUUUUGUCCUGGCAUACGAGGAUCUCUUGGAAUGUUCGCAAGUGCUUCCUCUGCUUUUCCUUUCGGGGCAAUUCCCCAUUCCUCCAUUUUCUUCAGAAAAAGAUACUCAUUCCCAUAAUUUUUGUCCUUAAGGAAGUCAUCUAUAUAGUUCAAUGGAGUACCUGUGCUUUUCAAUGCACGAUAAAGAGUAUACAAAAAGGAGGGCUUUUGAACUCUUACUGGGUCGGCAUCCUCGAUUAUCUCUUCUUCCAGAUUGUGACUUGCACUUUGUGGGGCAGGAGAUGCUGAAUGACGUGGAGGAGAGCGAAUCGGACUCUGUCGCUGACUUGGUAAGUCUUCUUCCUCAGUGAGAUCGAAAUGUGUCGGUCCCUUCUUCAUUCUUUGUGGUCCCCUGUUUGCGAUUCUUGAUGAUUUCCUCGAAGAUGACAUCUUUCUUUGUCUAUUGGAGGAUUCCUUCACUUGCUUUCCCAAGAAAAAUGACCACUUUCUCGACGAUGAACAAAGAGUAGAAACAGUAUCGAGAGGAGAGUGCUUUUUAGGGUUUUGAAAAUUGGGGAAAGGAAAAAACUGUAUAUAUAUAACUCAGUUUUUGAAAAAGGAAGUUCAAUCGGUGCAAGGAAAGUGAACGAUUACUUCUUUUCAAAAUCGAUAACUGCCAAAAUUAUUAAACAAAAGAUCGUACCUUUUCGAGUUAAUUAUAACUAAAUGACAAUUAAUACCUUUUAGAUGAAAUACAACUUACAGUCUUUAGCCAUGAAUGUCUGAGUCUCAGGACUUAGAGUCUAAGAGAUCAGAGUCUUAGAGUUGGUGAGUCUCUAGACUUUAACUUCUUCAAGCUUCAAAAUGUUGAGUCUCGAGCGGAUAAAGUCAAACUGAUUCUUCUCCAAAGGCUUUGUGAAUAUGUCCGCUAGUUGACUUUUUGAAUCAACAAAUUGAAUCGAGAUUUCUCCAUUUUGAAUAUGAUCUCUAAUAAAGUGAUGUCGAAUCUCAAUAUGCUUUGCUCUUGAAUGAAGGAUUGGAUUUUUGGUGAGAUUUAUCGCACUUGUGUUGUCACAUCUGAUUUCUGUGCAUGAGUCUUCAAUGCCAAAGUCUUGUAGCUGUUGUUUUAUCCAUAGAAUUUGCGAACAGCAGCUUCCAAGAGCUACAUACUCUGCUUCUGUCGUUGAAAGAGCUACAGUGCUUUGCUUCCUCGAAAACCAAGACACCGUUCUGUUUCCAAGUAGUUGACAAGUUCCAGAAGUGCUCUUUCUAUCGACUCUGCAACCGGCCAGAUCUGCAUCUGAGUAUCCUAAAAGAUUAAAGUCUCCCCUCUUUGGAUACCAAAGACCGAUGCUUGAAGAUGAAGCAACGUAUUUGAUAAUUCGUUUCACGGCAAUGAGAUGUGAUUCUCUAGGAUCUGAUUGAAACCUAGCACAGAUACAAACACUAAACAAAAUAUCAGGUCUAGAAGCAGUAAGAUAAAGAAGUGAACCGAUCAUGCUCCUGUACAGCUUUUGAUCUACUUUCUUCCCUUCUUCAUCCUUGUCUAUCUUCUGAGAACAUGACAUUGGUAUGUCGAUCUUUUUGCAUUUUUCCAAUCCAAACCUUUUGACAAGAUCAUUCGCAUAUUUUUCUUGAUGGAUGAAAGUUCCUUCCUUCAUUUGUUUCACAAGCUCGAGGUGCUUGCUUUAGACCAUACAGAGCCUUUUUCAGUCUGAAGACUGAGUCUGGCUUCUUUGGGUCUUCAAAUCCAGGCGGUUGUUCCACAUAAACUUCCUCAUGGAUAAAUCCAUUUAGGAAAGCACUUUUGACGUCCAUUUGGAAUAACCUGAAAUUUUUGUAACAAGCAAACGCAAGUAAUAGACGAAUAGCUUCUAACCUUGCAACGGGUGCGUAAGUCUCGUCAUAGUCUAUUCCUUCUUCUUGCGUAUACCCUUUGGCCACGAGUCUCGCUUUGUUUCGUACGACUUUUCCUUUUUCGUUCAUUUUGUUCCUGAAUACCCAUUUGGUUCCAAUAACAGUUUUACCUUUUGGUUUAGAUGUCAAUUCCCAGACAUCAUUGAUUUUGAACUGUCUUAGCUCUUCUUGCAUAGCUUCGAUCCAGCUUUCAUCAGAUAAAGCUUCUUCUAUGCUUUUUGGUUCAAUUUCAGAGAUGAGAGCCACAGCACUAGAUUCUUCAUGACUUUUUGAUCUGGUGCGGAUUCCUUCAUUAAGUUCGCCAAUAAUAAGAUCUUUGGGAUGACUGGAUUUGUGCUUCCAGUUACCAGGUUGAUGAUCUCUUUCUUUAUUUGAUUCUCCAUGAGCGUCUUGAUGAUGGACUUCCAGAAUCUGAGAUGCUUCUUGAGAUGUAGACAUUUGAAGAUCUAGAGCGGAUUCAGUCUCUUCGUACUGAGUCUGGCCGGAUUCAUCUUGCACUGAGUCUUGGAAUUUGACAUUCAUUGAUUCUUCCACAGACUGGCUUUUUUUGUUGUAGACUCUGUAGGCUUUGCUUGAUGUAGAAUAUCCAAGGAAGAUGCCUUCAUCUGAUCUUUCUUCAAACUUACCAACUCGAUCAUUUGCAUUUUUCAAAAUAAAGCAUUUGCAACCGAACACAUGAAAGUAUGAAACAAUAGGCUUCUUACCUUUGAACAAUUCAUAGGGGGUUUUGUCAAGAAUAGGUCUUAGAAAGACUCUAUUUAUAAUAUAGCAAGCAGUUGAAACAGCUUCAGCCCAAAAUCGUGAAGAAAUUUUACUUUCAAUUAAAAGUGUUCUAGCCAUUUCUUGAAGAGAUCUAUUCUUUCUUUCCACAACUCCAUUUUGCUCUGGAGUAUACGGAGAGGAAAAUAUGUGAUUAACACCAGAUUUAUCACAGAAUUUCGUAAAAUCUUGAUUUUCAAAUUCACUUCCAUGAUCUGUUCUUAUACUAGAAAUAGCACAUCCUUUUUCAUUUUGAACCUUUUUAGCAAACUUUUCAAAGUACGAAAAGGUUUCUGAUUUAUUUGCAAGAAAAUAUACCCAGGUAAAACGAGAGUAAUCAUCUACAAUUACUAGACAAUAUUUCUUACCUCCAAUGCUCUGGGUUCUUGUUGGUCCGAAGAGAUCCAUAUGAAGCAACUAUAUUACAUGAUUAGUAGAUACAUGAUUUAUUUGCUUAAAUGAAUUUCUUACCUGCUUUCCCAGAAUGCAUGGAGUGCAUAAGUCAGACUUUUGGUAUGGCAGUUUAGGUAGACCUCGAACAAGCUGUUUUGAAGAGAUUUUGGCUAAUUGCUUCUUGUUGAUAUGGCCAAGUUUUCUGUGCCAUAGAAUUGCUUCAUCUUGAAUUGAGAUUAAGCAUUGUUCUUCAUUUGGCUUUACAUCAAGGAGGUAGAUGUUUCCAUGCCUUCGACCCAUGAAAGACUGAGUCGAAUCUUUGCUAAUUCCAGAACAUAUGCCUUCUUGAAAGAAGAUCUUGUAACCAGUAUCACACAAUUGGCUAAUGCUGAGUAGAUUGUAGUUGAGUCCUUCCACUAGAGAGACAUUGCUUAUUGUGAGAUUUCCAAUUUUCGCAAUUCCGAAUCCCACAAUACUUCCUUUGCUAUUUCCUCCAAAUGAAACUUUUCCACCAUUUACUUUAAUAAGCUUUAUGAAACAUUUUGAGUCUCCUGUCAUGUGUCUUGAGCAUCCGCUGUCAAGAUACCACUUUACCUUCUUUUUGACAGAGACCUGUAUUCAAAAAAGAGUCUCAAGCUUUCUUUGGUACCCAAAUUUUCUUGGGUCCUUUCGUGUUAGUAGGAUGAGCAUUAUUAGGCCAUACUCUCUUAACAGGCUUCCAAACCAUAGGACACUCUUUUUCAAAAUGAUCCUGACUGUUACACUUAGAACACCUUAAAGCAUUUCGACCUACAGGCUUUACAAAAACUCUUUUGAAAUGAUUUUUAUAAGCCUCUCUCGAUGGUCUUUUCUUAAUUCUUUCUUUUACUUUCGGAAAAUCAAUCAAAGGGAUUGUUUCAGCUGUCAUACCUAGACCCGACUUAUUAAAGUAAGGUCUUUGGAUUGAAAGGACUUUUUCAAGUUUUUCGGACCCUAUUGAAAAUUUCUUUGAAAUAUUUGAUAAAUCAGUUUUUAAGAAAGCAUUUUCUUUUGAAAGAUUGUCUUUACUUUCUUUAAGAGUAGAAACAUUCAAGUCUAAAUUUUUUACCUUUUCUUCUAAAAUGUUUUCCUUUUGUUUUAAAACUGAGUUUUCCUUUUUAAGUUCGGAAAUCCUUUUAAGAGAAGUCUUAAGACUAAAACAUAACUCAUCAAUAUAUUUAGAGACUUUGACAGGGAUUUUAUAAUCACUUACCUCAAAUUCACUGUCUGAGUCUGAUCUUGAGUCUGAGUCUGAUUGCGCCAUUAGACACAGGUUGGCAUAUUCCUCAUCACUCUCUUCACACUCUGUAUCGCUCCAGGUUUCGGCUUUAAGAGCUUUUCGAAAUUUCUCAGCUUUUCCUCUUUUCUUUUUCAGAAGAGGACAGUUGGGUCUGAUGUGUCCCUUCUUUUUACAUUCGAAGCAAACUACUUCUUUGUUUGGUUCCUCAUCAUCAACAGACUUGGUCUGCUGUCUCUGAGAACUUUGUUUCUUUGGGAUGAACCUUCUGCCUUUUCUAUUCAGUUUUCUGAAUCUUCUUAUCAUGAGGGCGAGCUCCUCAUCAUCCAUAUCAUCUUCAGAAUCUGCAUCAUCAGAAUCAUCAUUUGAUUUUAGUGCAAUAGAUUUCUUACCUCUUGGAUCUUCGUCUUCAUUAAUUCGUUCCACUUCGUAAGACUGAAGAGUUCCAAUCAGUUCGUCUACAGAUAAUGGCAUGAUUCUUUGCGUCUCUCUUAUUGAAGUCUUUAUAUGAUUCCAAUCCUUGGAGAGUCCACGUAGAAGCUUGUUCACCUUCAUGGGAUCAGAAAUUUUUUGUCCUUGGUUCUCAAGACCAUUGACAAUAUCUGUAAAACGACUAAACAUGUCAGUUAUUGAUUCUCCUAGUUUCAUUUUGAAGGAUUCAUAUUGACCAAGAAGAAUGUUAAUUCUGGUCUCCUUCACUCGAUCUCUCCCUUCAUAAGUGAUAUGUAACCUGUCCCAGACUUCUUUUGCUGUGACACAAGAAGAUAUUCUGUUAUAUUCAGUUGGUGACAAAGCACAAUAUAAAGAAUAAAUUGCUUUAGCAUCGAGUGCUUGUCUCUUGUUUAUUUCUUCUUGAGACAUUCCGCUGGUUUCAACGGUUUCUUUUCCUCUUUCAGUGAUUGAUGCAGCAGCAGGAGUGAUUCCUUUUUCCACUACGUCCCAUUCCAGAGGAUCCUUUGAUCGUAGGAAAGCUUUCAUCUUGUUUUUCCAGAUGUUGUAAUCCUUUCCAUCGAAGUAGGGAGGUCUGGUAUUGCUUUGCCCCUCCAUCAGCCCUGGUGCUAGCAUACUAGCCAUGGAUCUUUUACUCUGAAGUAAAACACUUCAAACAAAGUAAGAACACGGGCUCUGAUACCAAUUGAAAUAGCUAGUACGAGUACCUAGAGGGGGGUGAAUAGGUAUAUAAAAAAAUUUCUCGAAGCUUGCACGAUAUUUAAACAAUUAAAGAAUUUGCAACAGUUAAAAAUUCAAUCGCAAGACUGAGUAAAGGAAAGAGAGAAUUGAACACUCAGUUUAUAGUGGUUCGGCUUGAUUCAAGCCUACGUCCACUCUUCUGCACUGACAGCCGAUUGGCUGGAUUCCACUAUGAUCAAAGAGUUGUUACAGUGUUGAUCUUCCUUGAUUUCUAGGUGUAGAUGAUCUACCACACUCGCUCAAGGCGUUACCAAGUAUAAACACUCUCUGUGUACAAUUUCGCUCAGUCUCGACUAACAAUCAAGGAUCUUCAGACUCUGGAAUUUUUCUAUCGAUCACUCACUUAAAACAACUAGAACAUCUUCCUUUUAUAUUCCUUCAUGCCAUCAUAGCCGUUGGCACUUACCAAAGGAAUUCCUCCAAUCUACCCGUUGGACGGAAUCAAUCAAGAAGAUCAUCCGAGCUAUUUAAGGAAUCUGAUGAUAGCCCAUCAAUCCUGUUCGCCCAUACAAUCAGGAUCUCGGUUUCCAAGAAUAGAAUAAUCCAAGAUUAUUUCGUCGACCAUCGGAUCUUCAAUUGAUCUUAGAUAAGAAUUAAAGAAUCCGAAAUGAUUAUCCAACCAAAGAAUCUAUUCCAGAGGAUAGAAUCAAAUCCUCAACCAUAAACCUCGACUUUGGAUUUUCUUCAACACUGGAUUAGAAAGACUGUCAGUGAGAAUAAUUUUGAGUCUUGAGUCUUGAGAUAACAAAGUCUUGAGACUAUAAAAGCUUGAGACUUUAACUAUCGAUAUCCAGACUUAGACUAAUAGAAAUGUUUUGUCAGCUUCAAAAUAUUCUGGAAAGAUUUCUCCAACAAUAUGCUCCCAUUUACAUUAUGGGAUCACGAGAGGUUGCGAGAGUCCUCCCGGCUUGCAAUACUAAGCCUUUACCUAUUGACACGUCAAACACUUGGCGACAUGCUUGGCGAUGCCCGCCUUUAUACCUAACCACCAAUAGUGUUGAUGCAGAUUCUAAUACAUCUUGGUACUUCCAGAAUGAAUGCUGUAACUACUACAAUGUGCUUCAAAUAAAAUAUCCUCUCUAAGCUCCACAUCAUUAAGUACAACCAAACGUCCAUAGAACCUCAAUAUCCCAUCAUCAGAAACCUUAAAAUCAGCCUUUCUUUUAUCGAUGUCCUCUUGAAGUAUCUUCUGUACAUCUGGAUCUGUCGGUUGGAGUAGCUUGAUUCUAACUUGGACAUUUGGUUCAAUUCUAAGGGUGACCAUAAGACUUGAAAGGUGGCUUACCUCAAACUUGAAUACCGAAUCUCGAGCUCUCUCGAUUAAAUUCCACUCUUUAAUCAAUAUAUGAGCAACUGAAGACUUUCAACUCAAAGCAUCAGCGACCUUAUUCGCCUUUCCCGAAUGAUACAGAAUAUCACAGUCGUAGUCCUUCAGCAACUCUAUCCAUCGGCAUUGUCUCAUGUUUAACCCCUUCUAAGAGAACAGGUACUUGAGACUCUAAUGGUCCCUGAAGAUCUAAAACCUUCCUCCGCACAAAUAGUGCCUCCAAAUCUUCAACACAAAUAUGAUGGCUGCGAGUUCUAAGUCAUGCGUCGGAUAGUUCAGUUCAUGAGGUCUCAAAUGGCGAGAAGUGUACACAAUAACCCUACCAUUUUGUAUCAGCACACAACCCAGUCCUUUAAAUGACGCAUCACUGUAGAUCUCGAACCCUUCGGGACCAAAUGGAAUCAUCAGUACAUGUGCGAUAGUUAGCUUUUCUUUCAGCUCUUGGAAACUAUCAUCGCACUUGUCUAUUCAUAUAAAUUUCUCUUCCUUCUUUAGGAGUUUUGUCAGAGGUGAUGCUAAUGAUGAGAAUCUUUCCACAAACCGUCUGUAAUACCCUACCAAACCUAGAAAACUUCUGAUCUCUGUCACUGUAGUCGGUCUUGGCCAAUUGAUCACAGCUUCUAUCUUGCUCGGGUCCACUGAAAUUCCUUUACCCGAGAUCACAUGCCCUAAGAAAGCAACACGAGUUAACCAAAACUCGCAUUUGCUAAACUUGGCGUACAACUGAUGGACUCUCGGCGUCUGCAGCACUAGUCUCAAAUGACUUUCAUGCUCUUCAUCACUUCUUGAAUAAACUAGAAUAUCAUCAAUGAACACGAUCACAAACUGAUCUAGGUACUUCUUGAAUACCCUGUUCACCAAAUUCAUGAAAGCAUCAGGAGCAUUCGUCAACCCGAACAUCAUCACUGUGAACUCAUAGUGACCAUAUUGAGUACGAAAUGUUGAUUUAGGAAUGUCCUCCUUCCUAAUUCUCAGUUGAUGAUAUCUUGUUCUCAAGUCAAUCUUUGAGAAGAUCGAUGCUCCUUGAAGCUGAUCAAACAAGUCAUCGAUCCUUGGCAAUGAAUACUUGUUCUUGAUCGUUACUUGAUUGAGUUGCCGAUAGUCGAUGCACAAAAAUUUAAGCAAAUGAAUCAUGUUUAAAUCAAAGCCAUAUAACAAAAAUAAAAUAAAAGGAUCAUGUCCUCUAUGACAUGAUAAACUUAAAUUGCCUAGUCUGCAAAUUUUACCUAACUAAUUCUGCAAGACUCAGGCAAGCUGUGCCACAAGCUCUUCACUGAAGAAAUCAAAAACCACAAAAUCAGGAGGCAUCGAAAGAAACUAGUAUUGAUCAAUAUGUGUUAGAAUCUACAACGGCAAGAAGUCAAUUUCUACGCGCAUCAUGAAUCUUAUUUUUUUUCUCCUGACAACGGGAAAUACAUCAAAAACCAGUUACCGAUCUGCGCGGGUUGUGAGAAUCUUCUUUAAAAUGGAGGGAUAUUGGAGGGGGAACAAAACACUCACGUAUCGACAUGAGAGGGAGAUCGAAGACGACGAAAAAGCAAAAAUUAAGAGAUCGAAAAUCGAAAGAGGGAAAGAAAGUCGAACGAUGCCACUUGCAACUUAUCGGAAACGAGGGCCGCGAUAUCGUCGGCAAUCCAAUUUUCCCGCCAUUUCUGUGCGGCGUCCCAGGGAAUUAUUCCGGGUGGGGGGGUUUUAUAGUGCGCGCUCAGCAUGAAAGCAUAUCUGGAAAUAGAAAAAACCAGGUUCUUGUAUUUUUGACGCUGAGAAUCCAUACGAAAAUUUAUAACGAUUAUGAAAUCGUUGUUGUGAUUCGACGAGAAUACGAAAUAAAUCCACCUAGGCCUAGUAUCUAUUAUCUAAUAUCUAUCUAACUAUUAAUCGAAAAAAUAAUUUAUGCUUUGUGUUAGUUGACCGCCAAUAAACUUUGAUUUGAUUAUUCAACUCGACAUUUAACAAUUUAAUUAUCUUAAUCCGACUUUUAACCACAAAACCUACUUAUUUUAGUAACUUCUCUGCAUUUAAAAACUUUAAAAUCAUCUCAAUACUACUUUUUCUUUUUUGGGUCGAAAUCUAUAUACUUCCUCAAUCCACUAUUUCAUAGCUGCCUCUAGUAGAUUAUCAUUUUUGAAUUAGAAGGAAAAAAUCAAUUACAUUUCAUAUCUUGCAUGUGAACUAAUUUAUGUUUCGCUUAACACGAGCCUAGUAACACUAGUCGCAUGUUGUGGACUUGCUUAACUCAUGUACACUUAAUUUGUGUUAUGUUCACCUAAUGGCCCAGUCUAUAAAGUUCACACUUGCAUCGGGAUUUGCUUGUGUGGCUCAUCCACACUAUCCCCUUUAUUUGAUGUGCAACGUGGUCCGUUGCUAUCAUUCUUUGUCCUCAAAACGUGUCGAUAGCUGCACUCUUAGCCCUUCUUGGUUUGGUUUAGUCCCAGCCCAUUCAUGAAAUACAUCUAUCGGAGGGAGUCCCACCCCGAUGUAAUCCGCAACUAGGUGUACCUUUUCUUGUGGGCCAAACCCAGAAAAAGAUAAAUGACUAUAUAAGGCUGUUGCUAUUGGCAAUGAUUAAUAAGUUUCCCUUGUAAAGUAUGUUUAAGAAGUGUCAAGAUGACCUUCAUCAAAAUACACAGGUACUUUGCUAAUUGGCCAUACUCUUCCGUGGAGAAAACUUUGUCUGAUGAAUUAAGUUGACAUAUGAUUAACAUCCAUAUCUUGAAAGUAAUCAAUUAAAUGCCUGGUUAGAAUUUUUUUUUUAUCUAGAAUAAUAAAGAAACACUACCAUUUUACUAAUUGGUAGAUGUGAUCAUCGGGUUGAGCGUGCAUUAUAUAAUUUCAAAAAACUCGCCCACAAUAUAGAAUUUUUAUAAAAAGGUUCUGUUUAAGCCGGGUUGGGCUUUGUAAUGUAAGGGCAUUGCUCAAGCCAAUCUAUUUCCUUUUGAGGCGCCUGCUCGUUGAUUGCUUUUACUAAUCUGACCGGUAAUUGAGGAAGAAAUAUUGCACGGUCUACAAAUGCUAUGGACCAGACCCAUCUCUACCGUUAAUCAUAUGGAUCCAAUGGUAGGUCCUACUCAAUUGACUGGGGAUAAUAAUGGUUCAGAGAACCUACUAACCAUGCAAUAACUUCUCCAUGUUAAGGAGGUCGGCCAAACAAUUUUACUCGAGCAGCCACAAUCGCCAUUUGCCACUCGGAAUGUGGACACAUCACAAGGCCAUCCCCGCGUUCACAUGAUCGAAAUCAUGUUCAGACGAAAGAAAAAAAAAGUCUCUUCGGCCUUGGUAAGAUGCAGACGACGAGAGAUGUAAACACUGCGAAUAUACAAAUACAAUCUCCACAUGUGGAGUGGAGGCUCUGUGCAUAUUCAUCAUGGGAGAUUGAUUUGUCUAUAAAAUCAUAUCUUUCUAGAUAUCCAAGCCAAUUACAAGAGCAUACUGGAUGUCACUAAGCAACCAUCAUCUUGAACCAAGAAGCUACCAUUUGUUUAUGUUCGCUCUUUUGAAAAUCUAUAUUAAUUCGAAGAUGAGUGCCAUUGUUGAGAAUGUCGUAAUUUUGAGCCGAGAUACCCCAUCCGAAUAGUUUUUGAACUUUCAUUGGUUUUCUAAAUUGAGUAGGUUUCCUGUAGUGGGUUUUAUGAAAUUCUACUCGAUUAUUAUACAAUAAAAGGCAUGUUUGAAUUUUCUCUCUAUGAAUUUUCUGAAUGAGUUCUUUGUGAAAAAUGUGAGAUAACAAUUAACGGUUUGUUUUGAUUGAGAUUGAGGGCUGGAAAACACUUGAGUGGUCAAACGACGUUAACUUCUAUACUUUUCAGAUUCAUAGUAUAUACUAACAUUAAGACCAAAUCAUGUAAAUCUCUAGUUGUCUUAUUAUUCUUUGUUGAUUUUUCUAGUAAUUUAUUUUUCUUGCGUUAAACUUGAAUCACAAAAUACGUUAGUUCUGCGAUAUUUUCACAACAAAGUGGUUGCGAACCUCCAGAGGUGAGAUCUCUAAGGGAGGUGGCUCGAAUGGUUGUAUUCACAAGGUGGCGCCUAAAAUUAACAUUGAUUCUCCUAAGCUUUAUCCAUUAUAAUUUGAUUUUCUUUUUUAAUUACUUAGUUUAAUUUAGUUAGAAGCCGCCACUAACAUAUAAUGGAUUAAUUAUGAGCCGUGUAAGGCGAGGGAGUCACCCUUACUAUUACGAAUUAGAGAUUUACAAAUCUAGAAACUUGGUUACUCUAUAUGAAAUUUAGCGUUCUUUCGGUGCCUUAUCUCUUUUAUGACAGCAUGUGCAUGAUAUCUUAAAUUUUGUUUUAUAAAUCCCAACACAUACAAAUGAUAUUAUGCAAGGGUGCUCAAGCAAUAAAAAUUAAAUAAAGCAAAAACGAUAAAUAAAGAGUGAGGAAAAUAAAGACAGGAGCUCUGUAAUGUAAAAUUUAAACAAAGCCUAGUGAUUAACUCUAACAGGAUUCUUAGGAGCUAUGUGCACUAAACGUGGCUAAUAUUAAUAUUCAAUCUGAUUCAACUUCCAAUCAAUCAAAGAAAUUAUUGACAAUUAUCAUUGAUAAAAUUUUCUAGUAAUAUUCCACUGGCUCUUGCGUUAAGUGCAUUUAUGCCUUAAGCUCUAUUUAUUCUGUAAAAAGUAAAUAAUUUGGAACACAUUUUUUCUAAAAUUGAUCCCUUAUAUCGUUUACAAAAAUAAAUAAAAAAAACAUUUUUUCGUCCAUGAAAAUAGUUAAACAUAAAUCAUCGUCUAUAAUGAUAACAUUUUCCUUAACUAAUUAUUUUAUGCUAUGCAAGUGAUUAUUUUUAGAAAAAAAAUAUUUAUUUAUUUAAUGCGAAACAAACGAACCGUUGCAAAUAGUUAAUGUACUUCAUUUAUUCUUAUUAGAAAAUAAUUUUAUUUUAAAAUAAAAAAUUUCUACUUCAAAAUAAAAUUCUGUCAACCUUUCUAUUAAACUAUUUCACUAUCAAUGGAUAUUUGUCGAUGUGGACCGUGGAAUUAUUAACACGAAUCUCUGCUAUACACCUUUUGUGUCAUGAUACACUCAUAAUUUUUAUGCGGCACUACCUAAAUACCAAGUUAACAAAACAAUACAAAAUUUAAAAAAUAAACAACCCGCUAUCCCAUCUUCCCGAAAAAGCAAAAUCCUAGCCCAAAAUUACCUGCGUCCUAAACCUUCCGCACCACCGGUCACCGCCGUCCACCAUCACCCCUGUCAACACUCACCGCGGUCCUUCGGAUCCGAGCAGUGAGCGGCAAUGGAUGCUGUGGGGAUCAUGGCUAUAAAUCUUGAAGAACGGGGCAAGAACUACGACAGAAUUUAAUCCAUAGAUUACGCGGCUAACAAAAUGAAGGAAUCUUCUAUUUUGUUCAAAUAUUGAUGAUUCCCUUUUUUUGGUGUAUAAAAAAAUCGAUUCUUCUGGGGUCGGAUGAUUCCAUUGUCCAUCAAAACUAAUAAAAAAACAAAUCAAUUCUUCUACUAACUCUUGGCAAAAAUGAAUAUUCCCAAAUCAAUGCAUUAAAGUUGCAUGACCUCUGUCUCCUCUUUUUAACUUCUCCAGGAUCUAACUGAUCUAGACACCAUUCUUUAGCAGCACUGGUCGUGUCACGUGCAACAGAUGGCUUAUAUCAAAAUAAGAAUGUAGUCCCUGCGAUGACAACACUCUACUAAAAGAAAGAGGUACAUGAGAGAAAACAAAGGGAAGAGGAAACGGGGGAAUCAAACAAAUUCCACUUAGAAUUCUCAAUUAAAACCAGCAGGCUACCAAAGUCUUACAACUCACAUGAUGAUUUUGCAUGACAAGGCAAUCUGUACUCAACUGAAGCAAAUCUGGCGGAAAUCUGCAAAACAGUGGACACAUGGAAGUUAGAACUGCAUCUAUAGGUGAUUACGCAUGACUAUAUCAAGCAAUAGACACCUUAUCCAAAGUAACCACGCAUCUUCUACUCCAAUAACCACGCAUCAUUCUUCACCAAAACUUUCUGCAAACAACAGGCAAAGAGUAGAUCUAAAAAUUGCAAAGCAAAAAUGUACAGGACACUCAUUGAAAGCAUAUAAAAAUGAACUAUUCUCUCCCAAGGCAGUGAGAACGCACGUGUGUCUUGGAGAAAUGGAAUAAAAAGUUUUUGAAUAAGGAACAGCACAUUAUUCUAGGAAAACUACCUAUAGAAAAAUUUUAUUGGAUGAAAACAGUCAAUACAAGAUUGAUGAAGCUCUGCCUCCAACCAAUAAAUAAAAACACGACAUCUUAGAAAUAUUUAUAGUUAUCAAUCAUAACAGUACCUUGAAAAUUGCCUUCACAGUGUCAUAAUAAAAUCCGGUUUUAGCCCACCCUCCAGUAAAGAGCACUCCAUUGACCAUAUUGAGCUUCUGCAUUUUGACCAAAGUGGUGGUUAUCUAAAAAUAAUCAAGGCCAUAAAAACAAUACAAACAUAACUCGAAUCAAACCACACUCCUCCAACAUUACACCCAUCACUCAUGUAAAACUCCUCAAAGAGGGUAUACAAAGCAUUAACUCCCCUAAUCCACACGUGUGAGAGAGGACGCAUGUGUUGCUUGCACGCCAUGAAGAAAUGCAAUUUGUCUCUCACAAUCACUUUUCAACCAUUAAGAAAUGGAGCAUGCUAAAUCCCCCCUCUUUCACAACAAUCCUCGCUGAGCUAGGCAUUGAUAAUACAACUAAUCCACCCCAAACAUCAUUUUUUCAUAGUCAUAACAAUCUAGUGAUCUCUCCUCAUAGAGAUUACGUUUAGAUCCGUGUUUUCGUGGACGGCUUUACUCGGAGUUGCAAAGGAAGUGUGUUGUGCUUUAGUCUCUCAUUUUACAAGCAAGAGGUGUACAAUUUUCAAGGAUCGCAAUGUAAUUAAAGCCCAUGCCUGCCCACAAGCAAAAAUCUCCAGUAGCAUCUAAUGCCAUGGAUCCAGUAUGAUGAUCAAUCUUUAGGUGCUAUAGUCCUUGUUAAGACAGCCACCAUUCCUUGUGGCCAAGCUCAAAGCAGAUACUCUAGUUCCACUGAUUUAACUCAACCAAAAAGAAUGCCAGACUUGGGUGUUGCUAAUAGCUAACUGUGGUGUGUCUCUCAAUGGCGCGUUUUUGUACUUAAUGUGGCACGAGAAGUCAGGAAAGAAUAAGGAGACCUGGGGCUUGGUUUAACAGAUGCAGACUGGUCAAAUUGAAUGAGGAGAAAUAUCCAGAUAACCUCCUUUAAUUAGACAAGCUCUAAAGGCUUUAAGGAUGAGGGAAAAGCGGAUUGGGAGGAGCCAUCAACCAAGCUUUCAUCUUUGCCUAAUUGUGACAGAAGGAAAUGGCACUCUAACUGAGUAAGAUAUUUAUAAAUCAGUCUAGCUAAGCUCUCCAUAAGCAGGUAUAAACCUAAACUAUACUAGUGUGAACUUCUACCUGAAGAAAGGUCAUGUAAAAAAAUAUCGCAGAAUGAAAACAACCCAAAGAAGAAGAACAAACCUGCUCGUGGUGUCAGCAGCCCUGUCAUCAUUAGAUUUGCCAACUGUAGUACAGUUUGCUUUCUUCAAUUCUUACUCACCCUCCCAGACCACUUCGGUUACUGCAAAGAAAAUGCACUCAAGCACAUGUAGAGGUAAACCUGAGGACACCUCUUACUGAUGGACAACAUGCAAAAAACUCAUGAUGUGCAGGUAAUGCCUAUUUGCCUUGAAGUGAUUCUUGUGGUGUAUUUGAGUUUGUAACAUAGAAUUGGUGACUCAUGUAUCUCCUUCGGAUAAACAAAUUAACUUUCACAGAAAAAAAGGAAGGUAUAUAAUGCCUAUCAAUGGGAACGGAUGUAGAAAUUUCUCUGCAGUGGGGGCAAACUUGUAUGUUUGCCUUAAUUAAGUUUGUUGAUUCAAAUAAUGCCUAAAAUUCUUGUGUGCUCACGUUAUCAGACAAAUAACUACAGGAUCAAUUAUCGAGUUUAGGUGUACAACAACUAAGCAUCUAAAAACGUUAAGCUUUCCAAAGAUGUGGGGCCAAACCCAGAUAUAUGUCAAAAUUUUUUUAUUGUUUUAAGUGAAACCUUCACAAACUUAAUGGGGUCGCAACCAAGAAAAUCCUUAUAAACUACUACUAUCACGAUACAUUUUUUAAAACAAGAGCAGAGGCAAUUGCCCCCACUUUCUAUUGAGUAAUCCGUCCCCUUCCUAUCAAACCCCAACAUAUUUACAGAAAAAUAGCAUGCUAAGUAGAUGUGUGAUCCAUAAAUUAGCAUCAAAUUACCUUCUCUCCCAUGCUCAUCGGUUCUAGUCUUCAAGACUUUCACCUCUCCGGUGAGGUUGAUGCAGGAUUUGUCACAUUAUUAUUUACAUCCUCAGAGGAACCAUGAUUUUGGCCCUUCAAAGAGAACAUCCCAAUGUUCACACCUCUACUGAUGGCAGAAACAUCUUCCUCUGGUGGCUGGUGGUGUUCCUCCACUCUCACUUUUACUUCAUCAACUUCCAUUUUAUCUUCCUUGCACUUCUUCUCAGAAACUAACUCUUUGGCACUCUCUUUUGAAGCAAGGAUAGAAUGGGCUUUUACAAAAUCAGGUGAUGCUGAAUUGACUGCAUCUUAAUUCUCAUCUUCUUCAUCCGAGAAAUCAAAUACAACUCUCCUUUCCCUACCGCCUUCAGUUUUGGAGGGUCUCUUAACAUUGACAUCCUGACCCUCAUCAUCGCUGUUCAGUUCUGCUGCCUCAUGUGCACAGAUUUGAGCUUCUGCACUAACUGAUGAAGAAAUAUUUUCCAUUAACAGAAGGAACUCUGUAAUAAUCCUUAUCAAGAAAUCUUUUACAAGACUUGAGAGAAUUAAAGCAAAAUUUUGAAAGAGAUGAAUGGGUUAUAGGAACCAACCAGCAGAACUUGGAGCAGAGCUGCUAUUUUCUGCUGGGCCAACACUAGAUUUGCCAGAGAACCCCCAGCUAUGGAAGAGUUCUUGCCGUUCUGACCCAACUUUUUACUCGCAGCGAAGUUAGUGACUUUUUCUUUGUCUGCAGACAGUUUGCUGGCUUGAUCAUGAACUCCUGCACCAUUUAUUUCACUAUUUGCAUACUUAGGCACAUCAACGGGUUGCUCCAACUUUUUUUGGCUUGUCUGUUCAAUCUUUCUCGGUUGUGGUGGGUUAACCUUUUGAUGGACAGUAUUUGAUGUUCCUGAGACUCUGGCGCCAUUAAGCUUUGGAGCUCCCAAGUCAAAUAAUUCCCUCUCUUCACUUCGCCUAACAAAGGGAUUAGCUACCGCACAGAACCUGAAAAAUCACACAGGGAAGUCGUUGUUUUUGGUCCUCAUCAAAAUAUUAUGUUUAGUGACACCUGCAUGCAUAUAGAUACACAGAAAUCGGAACCAAGGCAUCACACUACAAAAAAAUCUGAACCAAGGCAUCACACUACACAGAAAUCUGAACCAAGGCAUCACACUACAAAAAAAUCUGAACCAAGGCAUCACACUACACAGAAAUCUGAACCAAGGCAUCACACUACACAGAAAUCUGAACCAAGGCAUCACACUACACAGAAAUCUGAACCAAGGCAUUACACUACACAGAAAUCUGAACCAAGGCAUCACACCUGUUAUCUCUCAGACAAUUCUCGGUGGUUGCAUCCUGGCCGAAAAGCUUCCCUGCCUGCACGAAUUCAACAUUCCAAAGUGCAGCUGGAUCCUUCGGAAUGCAAGUUUGCACACUAUAGACUUGAACUGAGCAUUCACCAUCAAAUUAUUCCCCGGCUUCUGCAUACACAUCAAGCAAAGUAAAUAUCCCUUAUGGACUUAAUUAAAAAAAAUAAAAUAAUCAAACCAUGAAAUUUCUAGGAAUAUACAUUUAAUAUGUAGCAGGUGAGGGAAUAAAGCUCACAGAUUCUCAUAACUGUGCAAAUGAACAAUCAUGAAGUCAACAAGAACCACGUUCAAUUUUGAAGUUCUAUCCACAAAUCAAGUUGUAUGAGCAUCCGCCUAACAAGUGAGACUGUUUAAAUCUCAAUUCAAGGCAUCAAUCUGUCUGCAUGGAAAUUUCGUAACAAAUGCUUGAACUCAAGCAUGCUCAUCUGGCAUAUUAUUUUGACGAGACAUAAUUGCUUAUCACAGAUGGCAAAACUUAUUUCCUACCACUAGUAGCCCCUAAAAAAUAAUUAAAACCUACAUAUUGAGCGGUCUCUCAAAACCAACAGUAUUUACAUAUGAGCAUACUGCCAAUUGAUCCAUGAUUUCGAAAGAAAAACUGCAAAGAAGCUCUCUUUCUUAAAAAAUCUGAAAGGCAGGUUUUUAGUUAUAAAUGUCGGAAACAACUAUCAGUCAUUGCAUAAUCUAGCUCCUUGGGACAUCAUAAAAUGAAAGAAUCAAGGGCCUUUAUCAACAUAACCAUAACCAUAUGAACAGAGGAACUCCAUUUGGUUAUUUCAGGAAGACCCAUCUCCAGUGCGUGGAUAACACAUCUCAGGCGGUCAUAUAAGCAUCAAACCAAUACAAAUAUUGGGCAAUAGGAAACACAAGAUAAAAUCUGACCAGCAGGUUUAGGCCCAGAAACAAGUUUGAUAUGCUAACAUGACGGAUUGUCCUUUAACCACCCAGAUAAAGAGGAAGUAACCUGAAGAGGAAGUAACUAUUAGCAGUGCUGUUUCAAGCCCAUGUAUUCUAAAUCAUUCUCUAUGAAGACAUGCCAACCUCUUUGCAGUAUUUGAAGAUACCAAGAAAUUGCGGCUCAACCACUUGUAUGAAACCUGAGAAAGAAAGCAAAUUGCUUACAAAUUGCUACAAAGAACUGACCAUUGAAAGAACAAUACCGAUAAGUCCUGCAGAAUAAUUGGUGUCCUUACAGGAGGGAGCAAAACUAGGGGACGACGAUUUUGACUCAAACAAAUUGAACCAAUGAGAAAAUAAGUUAAAACACCGCUUUCUACAAAGAAACGAAGCUAUUACAAUUAUCGACACAAAAGAGAGAUCGCAGACGACGAAAAAGGCAACAAUUACGAGAUCGAAAAUCGAAAGAGGGAAAGGAAGUUGAACGGUACCACUUGCAGCUUAUCGGAGACGAGGGCCGCGAUCUCGUCGACGAUCCCUAGGGUUUCGGCCUGGCACAUCUUUGCUCCGGAGCUCCGAUCGAUGCGGGAAGGCCCUUGUGCUUCUGAGCGACGAUUUCGCGCGACGCCUCGAAGGAGAAUCCGAUUGCGCCUUCCCCUGCUACUGCUAGGGCUCAAUCCCAAUCCAAUUUUCCCGCCAUUUCUGCGCGGCGCCCCGGGAAUUAUUUCGGGUGGGGGGCUUUUAUAGUGCGCGCUAACCGUUAAAGCGAUCUGGAAUUAGUAAAAACCAGGUUCUUGUAUUUUUCACGCUGAGAAUCCAUACGAAAAAUUAAAACUAUUGUGACGUCGUUGUUGUGAUUCGACGAGGAUAAGAAACAAAUCCACCUUGGCCUAUUUUCUAAUAUCUAUUUGACUAGCAAAAAAAACAACUUAUGCUUCAUGCCGAUGAAUUGGAGAUACAUGUUAAUUUGAUUAUUGAACUUGGCCAAUUCUAUUAUCUUAAUUUGACCACUAGUCAUGUGUUGUGGAAUUGUUCAACUUGUGUACAUCUAACAUGUGUUAUGUUCACCUAAUGACAUGAUUUAUAAAGCUCACAUUUUCCUUGGGGUUUGCUCAUAUUGGUCACCAAUGUUGUCCCCUUUAUUUGGUGUGUAACGUGGUCUAAUUCUAUUAUUGGUCAUCUCGAAACAUGUAGGGACUGCAUUCUUAGCUCUCAUUGGAUUGGUUUAGUUGUAGCCCAUCUAUGAAAAUAGAGGGGGUUCUGCUUCAAUAUCAUCUAUGACCACGUACAUCGUUUUACGCUAGUCAAACCUAGAAAAAAAAAUAUAAUUGACCAUAUGAGGCAGUGGCUAUUUGCAAUGAUUAAUAAGUAUCCCAUGUAAAGUAUGUUUAAGAAGUGUUUGGAAGACCCCCCAUCAAAAUAUAGGUACUUUGUUAAUUGGCCAUACUCUUCCAUGAAGAAGACUUUCUCUAACAAAUUAUUGACAGGUUAUAAAUUGGUCUUUGCCUACAAUUAUUUUAAAUUAAGUUGACAUGUGAUUGAUAUCUAUAUUUUGAAGGUAAUUGAUUAAAUGCUUAGUUACAAUUUUUUUUCUAGAUUAGUAGAAAAACACUACCAUUUUAUUAACUGAUAAAGGUGGUCAUUGGGCUGAGCAUGCAUUAUAUAUUUUCAAAAAGAUCGACCACGAUAUAAAAUUUUUAUAUAAAGGUUCUAUUUAGGCUGGAUUGGGCUUUGUAAUGUAAGGGUGUUGCUCAAGUUGGUCUAUUUUCUUUUCGAGGCGCUUGCCCACUGAUCACCUUUACUAAUUGGACCGAUAAUCGAGGAAGAAAUAUUGCAUGGUCUACAAAUUAUAUAGACCAAACUUAUCUCCACCAUUGAUCAUAUCGGCUCCAUGAUAGGUCCUCCACAACUAAUGAUUGGGAUGUUAAUGGCCUAUAGAGUGGACGAACCAUGCAAUAACUUCUCCAUGUUAAGCGGGUUGGCCGAGCAAUUCAACUCGAGCAGCCACAAUCGUUGUUUGCCACUCGGAAUGUGGACUCAUCACAAGGCCGUCCUUGUGUUCAUAUGAUCAAAAUUGUGAAGAUUCAAGAGAGAUAGAUUUCUACAGAAUAUUGCCUUGAGGAAAGUUUUAUUAUAUUAAGAGUUAUAUGAAUCUUUGUACAAAGGAGCCAAUAUAUAACACAAAGAAUGAUUAAUAAAAAGAAAGAGUAUAUUUUCUCAAUCUAGGUGUAUCAAUUCUAAUCCUAGAUUGAUUUAAUUAAUCAAUGUGAAGAUUUAAGAGAGAUAUCUUUUGAGUGAUCUUCCUUGGAGAGGAAGUUGUGGUCAUUCUGAGAUAUCUUUCGGGUGAUCUUCCUUGGAGAGGAAGUUGCAGUGAUUCUUGGGUGAUUCUAGAUUAUUCAUCUUGUAGUGUUUCCUUUGGCAAUCUUCCUUGGAGAGGAAGUUGCGGUGAUUCUUGGGUGAUUCUGGAUUAUUUGUCUUAACUGGUAUUGUUUCCUGGACAGAAAUCAUGUUCAGAUGAAAGGGAAAAAGAAAAAUCUCUUCGGCCUUGAUGGGAUGCGGACGGUAGGAGAAGUAAACGCUGCGAAUAUAAGAAUACGAUCUGCGCAUGCAGAGCGCUUCGUGCCGAGUGACGUCUACAUAUGGGUGUCUUCUUGAAAUAAUAGACUUAACGCAGAUGAAGAUUGCUGCUUGGGAGUUGACUCAGAGCGAUCCCCGAGUUGUCAUUCCUUCACGGAACAGACCUGGAAUGGAGUGGACCGAAGUAGGUCGAGGUUUCGAACAGCUGGAGCUACCGCGGUAGACUUGGCUUCGAUAUAGACAUCCUUCUAGGUCUUCAGCUAAAAAGGAGAGGAAAGACGAAGAAGUGUCCACGACGGUGAACUGCCUUCAUCUUCCCUGCGAGUACUACAAACCAAACGCUUUGACAGGUGAUUCCUCCAUGGAAGUAAAAGAAGAGUUGAAAUGGGCGUUAAUUUAUUGAGGAUUUGCAUUGCCAUGCAGUGUUAUGCUCGAGACAGAUGCAUUGCCCAUGAACGAUCCGGCCCCCUCAUAGGAGUCAUCAUGGACAUGUCAUGUGAUAUCCCAAAAUUCGGCCCUAUUUCAAAAUACAUGAAGUAGUUAUUUCAUCGACGUAUUUAUGAUUAUUUUACUCUAAACUGAUUACUCAGGAGUUAACUAAUCUAUAAAAAAAAAAAGAACAAUUAAAAUAACAACAAAUUUCGUUUUUAUUUUUUCCUAUUUUUUAUUUCUAUAUUUGAAUUUCUUUCUAUUCUAAAAUAUAUAUUUUCUAUAUAUAGAAUAUAUAUUUAAUUUAGUUUUUCAAUUUCUUAUUUAGUAUUUAUAGUUAUUCCAUAUUUUAGGUAUAUUAGUAUAGUUUAUAAUAUAGUUUAUUAUUGGAGGAAUUACACUUACUUGUUUUUUAGUACAAGUAGCUAGGGGGUUUGCUAUGACUUUUUACUACCGUCCAUUUGUGGCUUUGGGGAUGGAAUUUGUGGUGUCAACCUAUAGGGAUUUUCAUUUUUCUAAUUUCUUUCCUAGCAGAAUGUGAGAGAUUACCUUUCGAUUUACCAGAAACAGAGGAAGAAUUAGUAACAGGUUAUCAAACCAAAUAUUUGGGUAUCAAAUUUGGAUUAUUUUAUGUUGCAUCCUAUUUAAAUCUAUUAGUUUCUUCGUUAUUUGUAACGGUUCUUUACUUGGGGAUGUUGUAGAGAGUUAAAACGUGAAAAACUAGAGAAUUUAAUUAGGGAUCGACCACUCGACUAUAAGGAUCAACAAGGGUCAAUACUACAUUGUUAUACCUCAAUUAGCGAACGGAUAUAAAUCGAUUAGACGGAAGUACGUAGUUGGUUCAUGGGUGAUUCCAUUCGCGUUGAACAACGAUAAACCGAUUUUUCUAUUGAUUUCCCUCGUGAUUAUAUGACCACCGAGGGUCGUUCACGAUUCGAAGAGGCACACACAUAAAUCGAAAAUUAUCGACCACGGAUCAACCACGUGAGAACCAUUAAAACCCAUCCGAUAGAUUAGGUUGUACUAAAGUUGCAUUCAAUCGAUUUUUAAUCACGGAAUUUAAUUUCAUUUUGGGUAUCGAACUUUCAAGGGUUUCGAAAUUAAAUUUUUGGACAUCACCUUAUCGUCCGUUGAAUUAUCGGCAUGUUCGAAAUUUUCGAAAAAUGAAUUAUCGGACAAAAAAUUAGAGAUCAGAAAAGGGAAAUUCGGAUCCAAUGGCAAAAUGAUUAAUUAUGGGCCAUAAUUUUGGCUUUAAAGAUAAAAAGAAAAGAAAAAGAAUUUGUGGGGACAUAAUACUAGGUUAGGAGGAUUUUGAGGGAAGUGAUUUUGAGGAAAAAUCUUUGAAACGGGAUCUAAUUCGCUGCAGCAUCGGUAAUUUGGUAUGCGAUGCUGGUAAGUGUCAAACAACUCCGAUAACCUGAAAAUGACCGGUAGGUUUGCUUCCCCUCAUCAAGCGUUUGUAACUUAUUGACAGGUUUUUGACAAGUACCAAGAUCUAUAUAUGCUUAAAAAAUUGUCAACUGAUUUUAAUAGUCUAUCGAUAUUUAUUUCUAUAACUUAUCAAUGCUGUGAAGGUCAAAGCAAUUGCAGGCCUUGAUUUGAUCAUAUCAACAUUUGACAUGACAAAAUACCCAUUAGUUUUACUCACAUGCCGACCUUUUUUUUGGCUAGCUUCGGAAAAGUAUCACCAUUUCUUUAUACAUCUGAGGAUUAUCUAUUGAUUUCACAAUCUAACAAUAUCUAUAAUUGCAAUUGGUAGAAUCUAACAACAUCUAUUGGAGAUUAUUCAACAUUAAUUAUAUUGAGAUAUCAAUUAAUUUUAGUUGCUCACCAACGACAUACGAUCGCGGAUUUUAGCAUAAAAAACUGUGUAGGAAAUCACACCUAGCUCCAUAUGGCGGGAACAGAUUAUGAAGUAACCAAUUGCAAAUUUAAUGAUCGCCGAUGCAAAAUACAGUCAUCUAAUUAAUUUUAGUCGCUCGCCAACGACAUACGAUUGCAGAUUUUAGCAUAAAAAACUGUGUAGGAAAUCACACCUAGCUCCAUAUGGCGGGAAAAGAUUAUGAAGUAACAUUGCAAAUUUAAUAAUCGCCGGCGCCAAAAACAGUCAUCUAUCUGGGGAGUUUCACUUGAGCAAUCCUUCAUAAGAACAGCUUCCGCUGAUCGUGGUCUCUCAAGUCGAGUCUCGAAGCUUCUGCGUAUAUCUCUUCGCUCGGACUCUAGCUUCUUCCAUUCUCAAGGUUUUAUCUGUCCUCUGCUUGUUUCUGAAUCUAGCCGUUCCUCGUUUGUCAAUUGUUGUACGUAUUUCAACAUUUCUUAGCUCUAGAUGUAUAAACUGCCAUUUCCUUUGGUUAUCUUCUUCCAUAAAUUUUCAUAACGUUAAAUGGGCGUUGAUUUUGUGCUGAUUUGACCAUUUUCUGCCCUUAGAAGUGGCCUAACCCAAUCCAAUCGCCAGAAGUUGCACUUUUCAGAGUCUCUUUCAUCUUUGUUUUAUACUUUGUUCCUUUUUCCUUUUUCUGGGCUCAUGCGUCUUUGCAAAUUGAUGGUUCAUGUCAUAACAUAACAUCAUGAAGUUCCAAAGAAGGAAUUAGUCGAGAUUAAGCCUCUAGCCCUCCCUAAAUCUUACAUUCCUCUUCUAGGGGAUGUCUGAAAAUCUCUUUUGGCUCUCUUUUUCAUUUUUUUUUUUUUGGGUGAUAUACAAGCAAAGGGCAUUCACUUGUACUCAUUCAUCUCCUCUGGCCCUGGAAUGGAACUAUGAGAUUGGAUGCAAUGCCUCUACAUAAUCCCAUAAAAUCUCCUCAUCUUUGUUGAACCGUCAACACAACCCCGAUUUAUUUUUGAGGACUCCUAUAAGGACAAGGUGCAUUCAUUUCUCGUCUUUGCAAAAUUUGUCCAAGAAGAUAUGGCAUCUUUCCCAAGGCUAGAAAACAAACAUAGUCAAUAUAAGUACGAUGUUAUCCCGAGUUUCCGAGGUGAAGAUAAAUGAAAAAAAUUUGUUGACCAUCUGCACGAUCAUUUGUGGCGAAGAGGAAUUGUGGCCUCUCGAGAUGAUCACCACCAAGAUCUUCAGAGGGGAAAAUGUAUUAAACUGGAAAUAUUGAGGGCAAUAGAGCAGUCAAGACUUGUACUUGUGAUAUUCUCUAAAAACUACGCUUCUUCUACUUGGUGUAUGGAAGAAGUUGCUAAAGUUGUGGAGUGCAAGGAUAUUAAUGAAGGAUCAAUGAUACCAAUCUUCUACGAGGUCAAUCCAUCUGACAUACGGAAAUUGAGGGGAAACUUUGGGAAAGCCUUUGCUAAAACUGAGGAAGCUUAUUCGGGUGACAAGAGAGAUAUAAAGAGGUGGAAGGAUGCAAUGAGUAAAGUAGCCAGUCUCGCCAGAAUGGAAUUGAAAGAUGGGUAGGCCUCUCUUCCCCUAACUUGGAAUGAUUUGUUUUCCUUAAUAUUUGCAUGCCACUAAUGUCAUAACCGUCAUACUCUGUAUCAUGUUAGUUCAUUUGAACCAAAAUACACUCUAGAACCAAACAUCCUCAAUUCUUGCUGGGGAACUAAUCAUCUGCAUUUCUUUGUUGCAGAUAUGAGACCAAGUUUGUUAAGCAAAUCAUUGGAGAAGUCGAAAAUAAACUGGGUUCUCGGCUGUCCUAUGUUGUAGACAAUCUUGUGGGAAUGCAUUCCCGCGUUGCAAAUAUAGUUGAAUCUUUAUGCUUAGAUAGGAGUGAUGUACGUAGUAUUGGCAUAUGGGGGAUGGGUGGCAUAGGCAAAACAAUUGUUGCACGAGCAGUUUUUGACAAAAUCCACGGCCAAUUUGAUGAUGGAUGUUGUUUUCUUGCAAAUGUCAGAGAAAUAUCAAAAAAGAAUGGUCUGGUGUAUCUACAAAACUAGUUUCUCGACGAUAUUCUCCAAGACGAUAAUCUGAGAAUCAGGGAUGAUCAUAGAGGAGCGAACAUGAUAAAAGAACGACUACAACAUAAAAAAGUUCUCGUUAUUCUUGAUGAUGUGGAUGAAAAGGAGCAGUUGGAAAAAUUAAUAGGAGGUUUUGAUUGGUUUGGUCAUGGAAGUAGGAUCAUUAUAACAACCAGAGAUGAACAUUUGCUUCUCCAAUAUGGAGUAAAUUCCAUAUAUAAGGUGGAGGAACUAUCCUUUGGUGAGGCUCUCCAACUAUUUUGUAUGAAAGCUUUUAGAAGUAAUCAUCCUCCAGCGGAGUUCAAUGAGCUCGUGAAGCAGAUUAUUGGAUACGCUGAUGGCCUUCCUCUAGCCCUUGAUGUCCUAGGUUCCUUUUUGGCUUGUAAGAGCUUGAUGCAAUGGAAGAGUGCACUGGCUAGACUCAAAGAAUGUCCAUAAGGGAAAAUUUUUUACCAGCUUAGGUUGAGUUAUGAUGGACUUAGAUAGAAAGAGAAGGAGAUUUUCCUAGAUAUUGCAUGUUUCUUCAAGGGAAAGGAGAAACCUUAUGUUGUAGAAGUUCUGGACAAUUGCGGCUUGUAUGCAGAUAUUGGAAUCGAAAUCCUUGUUAAUAAAUCUCUUAUCCAAAUCGUGGGCAACAAAUUGUGGAUGCAUGAUUUGCUACAAGAAAUGGCUUGGGAAAUUGUUCGUCGAGAGUCUCCUGAAGAGCCAGGAGAACGAAGUCGAGUCUGGCUUUUUGAGGAUGUAUGCCAUAUUCUGUCAAAAAACUCGGUGAGUAUCUGCAAAAUUAAUUUUCAAGCAUGUUUAUUUGCUAUAGGGAAAAAAAAAACUUGCUAGUCAUGUAUUGACACUAUAUUAGUUGUUUAUCAGGGAACUGGAAAAAUCAAAGCCAUAGUCUUGCAAUCUGGGGACCAUAGAACAAUGCGCCUGAAUGGAGAGUUAUUCACAAACAUGAAUAACUUAAGAUUGCUUGAUAUUCAUGCCAUCCACCUCUCUUCUGGGUUUAAGCACCUUUCAAAUGAACUAUGCCUGCUAAGAUGGGACAAUUACAAUCUUACAUCAUUUCCACCAAGUUUUCUUCCAAAGAGUCUUGUCCAACUCCAUAUGCAGGAUAGCCUCCUUUAUAGCCUCUGGAGAGGGGAAAAGGUUGGAAUUAGUACUCAUGCAUGUGUAUGCUUCAUCAGACGAUCUAUUAUGUAUAACAAGCUAAUAAAAUUGUUUGACCAAUUUUUUGUAAAUGCAGGUCUUAGAGAAGUUAAAAGUCAUCAACCUAAAUGGUUCCAAAUUUUUUGUGAAGACUCCAAACUUCAUAUAUGUCCCAAAUUUAGAGAGGCUAAUUCUCAAAGGUUGCAAGGCAUUAUCUUAGGUUCAUCCUUCAAUUGGAAAUCUAGAAAGUCUCAAUCUACUUGACUUGGCUGACUGUGAAAACCUCACGGGACUUCCAGAUAGUGUAGGUAAUCUAAAAUCUCUCAGAGUUCUUAAUCUGUUUGGAUGUUCGAAUCUUGAAGAACUGCCUGAGAGCAUCGGGGGCUUAGAGUGCUUAGAGGAGCUUGAUAUUAGUGAAAGUGCCAUAACACACCUCCCAUCCAGCUUGGCAUUCUUACACAAUCUCAAAAAAUUAUGCUUUCGGGUUAGUAAAAGGAGGCCACAAAAUUUUUGGAGGACACUGACGUGUCCGCUGAAAAGAAUUCUGAACUUUAGGCGUCCGCGGUUGCCUUCAUUUUUAGGGUUGUCCUCUUUGAUAGAAUUGGAUUUGAGUGGUUGCAAUCUUCUGGAAGGAGAAAUUCCUAGUGAUAUUGGCUACUUACCCUCCUUGAGGUCUUUAGACCUAGCCAAAAACAGUUUUACCACAAUAACUACAAGCAUCGAACAUAUCUCUGGCCUGGAAUUUCUCAUAUUAAAUCAUUGCAAAAAUCUUGAAGUGUUACCAAGACUUCCAGAAAGCAUAAUCACUGUGGCGGCUAAGAAGUGCCUUAGAUUGGAAAGGAUAUCAAACCCAUUCAUUAUAUGCACAGUACCUAACUUAGGGUUUUGUUUCAUUAAUUGCUCCUGUUUGCUUCCGCAAGAUCUUGAUUUAACUUUGCAACAGAAGUACUCAUUGUCGUUGCUUCGUUACAUCAUUUGCUGCUCCAUGAGAAUAAUUCCAACAACUUAUGUGGUGUCUCCAUGUCUGCAAUGUGAAAUACCCGAGUGGUUUAGCUACCAAGCAGUUGGACCUUUGUUGAGCAUAGAAAUGCCCCCUAUUUGGCAUGAUAAUAGCUUGAGAGGAUUUGCCAUAUGCGCAUCUUUUAAACGAAUCAACUGCAACUCCUGUCAGGAUCUGGAAAAUGACCAUUUCAUUUUCUAUGGGUUCUAUGCCUAGGUCCCUUAUUUAAGUUUCCCAUCAGAUUUGUCGAUUCAGGCUGCCUUUGGCUAGGUUAUGUGUCGGGUACUCAAUUUCCACGUGAUACAAAUUGGGAGACAAUGUCAAACCACCUUGUCGUUUCAUUUUUUUUUAUCACCAAUCCUGGGUUAAAGGUAGAAAAAUGUGGUGUUCAUCUGGUUUACGAGCAGCAUCCAAGAAAGUUUGAUGAUAUUUUAGUCAGGUUGUGUAGUUUAUCGCCCAGGGAUUGGGAUAUAAUCUACCAUAAGUUUCAACCCCGAAGGGAGGUCAAUAGUGUCUUCAAAUAUUCCAUUGAUCCGAACCUGUACAAAGUGAAUGAAGGUGUAAUGAGCUGUGGGAUCUUUGAGUUUCAGAUCCAACCGUACAUUGGAAGACGGUGUCUAUAUUUUCUUUGGCAUCCUUCGAUACUUCACCUAGAGUCUGUUCGUGAUUUCAAUGGAAGGUAAUCACUACUAGAUUUGAUCCAUUGCCGAGGCUUGGGAUAGACCUUUCAAACUCAUGUUAAUCCUAACCUAAAAAUCUAGAAUAUCACCACCGGCACCAACAUCUCCAAAAUAAUCAGGGGAAUAAUUUUUGCUGGAUUUUGUGUUUGCUUUCUCACCGUAACAAAAUCUUUCUUACAGGUUCUCGAAGAAUCGUCAAAAGUGGUCAGCGUUUGUUAAUUUCAAUAAGAAACUUCGACGGGCAUUGUAAGUGGAUUUUUUGUUUUCAAGAAACUUAUGUCAUACUUUAAUACAAUAGCGUAUAUCUUGAUUAAUGCUAAUUUCACUUUUUUUAACUUCUUGGACCAAUUCAUGAUUUUCAAUUUUCCUACUAACUAUAUUUUACUUUGACUAUUUUCUCUGAAAUUACAGUUCCAAAUACAAAUUGUAAAUGUAUUGCUAAUCUAUAAUUAGAGUUUUAGGCCUAACUAAACCAAAACCCUCUCCAUGUAUUUGAGUCAAUGGAAUGACUCCCACAAUCUCUUUCCCGGCUGGCAACUCCAUUUAGAGUUUUUGUCGACAAGUGUCGGUAAAUCUUAUGGAUUAUUAAAUCAUUGCACACCAUUAAUUUUUCUUUUAUCAGGUGAGGCCACACCUGUACGUUUUUUUCCAAGGGUAGGAAAAUCUAAACAUGACAAGUUCUUCCAUCUCUUUCUUUGACUUUUGUAUUUAUCUUUUUUUCCUUUGCAUACUCAUCAUGGGAGUUUUUUUUUUUUUGGUCGAAAUCAUGGAAGAUUGAUCUGUUUAUAAAAUCAUCUCUUUUCAGAUUUGCUCCAAGAUAUGAUUACAAGAGCAUACCGGAUGUCACCAAGCAAUUGUCAUCUUGAACCUGACAGCUACCCUUUUUUUAUGUCAUGCUCUUUUGAAAAUCGAUAUUAAUUAAAAAAUGAGCGCCAUUGCCGAGAAUGUCUUGAAUUUGAGCCGAGCUACUCCAUCUGAAUAGUUUUUAAAGUUUUAUUGGUAUUCUAGAUUGAGUAGGUUUAUGUAAUGGAUUUUCAUUUUUUGUUUUUUGAUACAAAUAUUACAUAUAUGACGGAUAAAAUUCUACUCGAUUAUUACGCACUAAGAGGGAUAUUUGAAUGUUCUCUCUAUGAGUUUGCUGAAUGAGCUCUUUGUGAAAAAAAAAAUGUGAGAUAGCAAUUAAUGGUUUGUUUUGAUUGAGAUUGAAGAUUGGAAAACACUUGAGCGAUCAAACAAUGGUAAAUUCUUUUCUCUUUGGAUUCACAGUGGAUUUCUUGGCAAUUGGCUCUUUUUGUGAAGUAUAUACUAACAUCUGGAACAAACUACUUAAAUCUCUAGUGUUCUUAUUGUUCUUUGUUGAUUUUUCUGGUAAUUUCUUUUUCUUGUGUUAAACUUGAAUUGCAAAAUCCGUCAGUUUUGCGUUAUUUUCAAAAUAGAGUUGUCACAAAGCUCCCAAGGUGAGAUCUCGGAGGGAGGUACUAGAUUGUUAAGCAGGCUUGAAUGGUUAUUAUACUCACAAGGUGGCGCCUAUGACUAGCAUUGGCUCUCCCAAGCUCUAUCGCUCGUCUAUUGAUUGACUCAUCAAGACACAAAGUCAUCGAUUAGUUUACAGGCGACAAGUCAUAUGCAUAGUUCAAGUUCAGAUAACUAGGACAAUGUUCAACACUUGCCAUUAAAAUAAUAAUGUCCAUACAUCUAUGAUCUCAUUUACAUAAAGAGCAAAUUUCUGAUUUCGAGCAAUUCAGUACAGCGCCUUCUUCAGCAUAGGAGACUUGGCGCCCGUUAAAAAUGGGGGUGACGCAGUCACGUAAAGAUAUAAACCUCGUCAUAUCCCUUCCUAUGGUCAUACAAAUUUAACACUUCAGUCAUUAAAUCACAAAAUUCAUGUGCAAAACUGAUGAAGAAAUGCACUGAAUUGAUAGCACCAGAGCUUACCCUGCUUUCUCACAAUACGUGGGACUGUAAUUAUAUAUCAGAUUGUCAAGCACUUCGGGGCGGACGCCCGGUUUACGGACUUCCUAGCCUCACCACAGGAUAACAAGUUCGAAUUAUAAGUGUUUUCCCUUCAAACUGAGUGGAAAGCAAACACUAAACCACAAGCACAGUUCAUGUAACCAUAAUUGUGUAUGAUACAAGAUAUUUAAGAACUUUGACAUGGAAAUUUCAAACGCAACUUGCUUUGCAGCAUGAAAUUACUCGACAAAUUCUGACCUGACAAAGAAGUUUGCUAGAUGCUGUGUAGCUUGAAUGGCAUCAUCUGAGUGUGGUAUCAUGGACAAACCCCAUUCAAAAGCAUUUUUCUGCACAAUAUCGAGAAAGCCAUAUAAGUUACCUCAAGGCAGUAAGUCUAAACAUACUUCACAGAUAUGAAGAGCUGGAAACUAUAAUCCCAAGAACAAUCACUGCUUUAGCUCCCUAAGAUAUUUACGUAAAUGAAUCGUGUUUAAGUCGAAAACAUUUAAAAAAAAAAAAAAAAAGGAUCAUGUCCUCUAUACAUGAUAAACUCAAAUUGCCUAGUCUUCAAAUUUGCCUAACCAGUUCUGCGAGACUUAGGCAAGUUGUGCCACAAGCUCUUCACUAAAGAAAUCAAAAACCACAAAAUCAGGAGGCAUCGCAAGAACUAGUUUGAACAAUAUGCAUUAGAAUCUGCAACAGCAAGAAGUCAAUUUCCUCAAAAUGCCCAGAAAAGAAAAGAUCGAAUUCAUAGUCCGUGAUCGUGUGCUCAGCAGGAAGGCAAUGAAUUUAAUAUGGAUCAUCUUGGAUAAAACUAAAAACUGCUAGACCAGAGCCCAAUCUCUCAAUUCGGAAAUUCAACUAUCCUGAUUUUUGGGUAACUUCUUUCUCAUGAUGCUGCAUUAGGGAGUGUCAGAACCCUAUAGAAGGUGCAUGUUUCAUUUGGCACCAACACAGCAUUAUCAUCAUGCAGUCAAAUUGUAGUGCAAAUUAUUGUUCCUUUGAGCUAACUUGGUAGAAGAGUUUAUCAGGAAUUUUGAAUGGCAACAAACUACAAAAGGGCCAACGUAGUUAUAUUUGCAAUAUGACAAAUUAAAGUCUGGCAUAUUUUGAUGGAUCAUCUACCAGAAUAGGCUUAAUACGCUUCCAAUAGUGAGAUGAUCGGUAUGAAAACUACUACAUGAAGCAAUGUGCCUUUCCUAAUCAAAUGAGAUUGGUGUUGAACAAGAAGAAAAGCAGGAAACUAACUAUUACCUCUGGAUACCAUUGGAAAGCAGUUACAGGGUAACUGUGUGCUUGGGCUGUGGAGACAUAGACCUGGUAAUAGAGUUCCUCAAAGAACUUACUGUUAUUCUCACAAAUAACUGAAAUAAGCAGUAACGCAAAAUAUUUUUUUCACUGCAAUAUAUCACUUCAGACAUGAAAUAAGAGGUAGCUGGUUAUAUUCAACCUUGUUGUCUCCAUCCAUGCUGGUUGUCAAGACCUUAAAGAAAUUCGUUAAGUUGGUGUCCUGCAUCAGUCUUUCUGGCGAUAUGCCAUACUGCAACACAAAUGAAUAUUUGGAUUAGAAAAGAGGAUUACAUACAUCAAGAAUAGGUAAGAUAACUGAGAUUUAAGUCUUAAUUAAAAUAGACUGGUCCCAAUAACAUUCGUGAAAUAAAUAAUAUAACAAAACACACAAUGGGAAAAAAAAAAAUUCUGGGCCAGUAUAAGAAAACUUCAGAAAAAAAACAUAUCAUUAGCCUUUUUAGCUAUUUUUAGCUUUAAAAAAAAAAACUACUGGGCUCAUAUGAAAAACUCACAGGAUGUUAGUCUAUAAAAAGAAGCAAAACAAUGCAUUAAAGUUGCAUGACUUUUGUCUCCUCUUUUAACUUUCCAGGAUCUAACUGGUCUAUCUAGACACCAUUAUUAGCAGUAUUGGCCGUGCUACGUGCAACAGAUGGCUUAUAUCAAAAUAAGAAUGUAGUCCCUGCGAUGAUAACACUACUGGAACAAAGAGGUGCAUAAAGAAAACAAAUGGAAGAGGAAAUGGGGGAACCAAAAAAAUUUCACUUAGUAUUCUCAAUUAAAACCAGCAGGCUACUAAAGUCUUACAACUCACAUGAUGAAUUUGCAUGACAAGGCAAUCUGCACUCAACUUAAGCAAAUCUGGCAGAAAUCUGCAAAACAGUGGAUACAUGGAAGUUAGAACUGCAUCUAUAGGUGAUUAAGCACGACUAUAUCAAGCAACAGACACCUUAUACAAAGAAACCACACAUCUUCUACUACAAUAACCACUUUUGGUAUACCAGCACAAUCAUCCGUAAUAAUUUGAUGUAAUCCACAUUUCUCUUUCCAGCAAUAUUUUGAUUCCACGGCUACAUAAUCAGCAUCAUAUACUAAAGUACAUAAAUCCAAAUUGAUAUUCUCAUACAGUAUAAGGAGCCAUUUGGAAGCAUAAAGAUAUCCUGCUUGCUGUCAAUUCAAAAAGAAUACAGCUUUAUCUGUCUUUAUAUGCGUUGGUACUUAAAAGUUGACAGUGAAAACUUACUAGGGUCAACCAUACCUUUGAAAUACUGUUCCUUCAAUGUUUGUGUUUCUCAUAAAUUGUAGAGUGGAUGCUUCAUCGGCAGCAUUAAAUUCCUUGAGAAUGCUUUUGUCCUGUCAUUAGGGAACUGUCAAAUUAUUAUGAAGAGAGUUUUCCACUUUCCUCUCUAUACUAUAAACACCACUUUCUGUAAUUCAUUCAGAUGAUAAAUUCCGUUUGACAUUAAUGAAACAACUUAAACCUUGAGAGAUGAUUUGCAUCACAAUUGGUUUGAUGUCAAAUAAUCACCAUGGUUGUCAAGUUUAAAGCAAAGGCAAUCUCAACCUUGCAGUGAUGACUUAUGCUUUCAAGUUUUGUGCAAUAGAGGCCAUAGAUAUAUGCCGAUGAUAAUAAAUCAAGUGUGCUAAGUCAAGCCAUGGGAAGACAAGUUUUUUUCUGGCACAAUACCUCACAAAAGAUAAAAAGUGAAAAGAAAUUUUUUUUGUUUAAAGAACAGACCAUGUAAAGUGACUCUUGCAUUAGAAAAGAGAAAAUAUGCAACCAAAAGGACUGAAAGCAUUGAUAGACUAUUUAAAACGGUGACAAGGGACAGAGUUACCUUGCUGAUUAUCAUUGUCAAUAGUUCAAAGCCCAAACAGAUGGCAUACAAUGGGAAGUGGUCACCAGCAUCACUCUUCGCCAAAACUUUCUGCAAACAACGGGCAAAGAGUACAUCUAAAAAGUGCAAAGCAAAAAUGUACAGGACACUCAUUGAAAGCAUAUAAAAACGAACUAUUCUCUCCCAAGGAAGUGCGAAUGCUCGAGUGUCUUGAAGCAAUGGAAUAAAAAGUUUUUGAAUGAAAAACAGCACAUUAUUCAAGGAAAACUAACUAUAGACAAACUCGAUUGCAUGAAAACAGUCAAUACAAGAUUGAUGAAGCUCUGCCUCCAACCAAUAUAUAGAAACACAACUUCUUAGAAAUAUUUAGGGGUAUCAAUCAUAACAGUACCUUGAAAAUUGCCUUCACAGUCUCAUAAUACAAUCCAGUUUUAGCCUACCCCCCAGUAAAGAGCACUCCAUUGACCAUGUUGAGCUUCUGCAUUUCGACCAUAUAUCAGUAUUUAGAAAUGAAAAACAAAGUGGUGGUUGUCUAAGAAUAAUCAAGGCCAGAAAAUCUAUACGAACAUAACUCGAAUGAAACCACACUCCUCCAACAUUAUACCCAUCACUCAUGUAAAACUCCUCAAAGAGGGUAUGUAGAGCAUUAACUCCUCUAAUCCACACAUGCGAGAGAGGAUGCAUGUGUUGCUUGCACACCAUGAAGAAACGCAAUUUGUCUCUGACGAUCACCUUUCAACCAUUAAGAAAAGGAGCAUGCUAAAGCCCCCCUCUUUCACAACAAUCCUCGCUGAGCUAGGCAUAGAUAAUACAAUUAAUCCAUCCCAAACAUCAUUUUGUCAUAGUCAUAACAAUCUAGUGAUUUCUCCUCGUAAAGUUACGUUUAGAUCCGUGUUUUCAUGGACGGCUUUACUCGGAGUUGCAAAGGAAGUGUGUUAUGCUUUACUCUCUAAUUUCACAAGCAAGGUGUACGAUUUUCAAGGAUCGCGAGGUCAUUAAGCCCAUGCCUGCCCACAGCCCAAAAAUCUCCAGUAGCAUCUAAUGCCAUGGAUCCAGUAUGAUGAUCAAUCUUAGGUGAUAUACUUCUUGUUGAGACAGCCACCAUUCCUUUCAGUCAAGCUCAAAGCAGAUACUCUAGUUCCACUGAUUUGACUCAACCAAAAAGAAUGCCAGAAGUGGGUGUUGCUAAUAGCUAACUGUGGCAUGUCUCUCAAUGGCAUGUUUUCUGUACUUAAUGUGGCAUGAGAAGUCAGAAGGGAAUAAGGAGACCCGGGGCUUGGUUUAAAAGAUGCAGAUUGGUCAAAUUGAGUGAGGAAAAAUAUUUAAAUAACCUCCUUUAAUUAGACAAGCUCUAAAGGCUUUAAGGAUGAGGGAAAAGCAGAUUGGGACGAGCCAUCAAUCAAGCUUCCAUCUUUGCCUAAUUGUGACAGAAGGAAAUGCCACUCUAACUGCGUAAGAUAUUUACGAAUCAGUCUAGCUAAGCUCUCCAUAAGCAGGUAUAAACCUAAACUAUGUUAGUGUGAGCUUCUACCUGAAGAAAGGUCAUGUAAGAAAAUAUUGCAGAACGAAAACAACCCAAAGAAGAACAAACCUGCUCGUGGUGUCAGCAGCUCCGUCAUCUUUAGAUUUGCCAACCAUAGCACAGUUUGCUUUCUUCAAUUCUUCCUCACCCUCCCAGCCCACUUCGGUUACUGCAAAGAAAAUGCACUCAAGAACAUGUAGAGGUAAACCUGAGGACACCUCUUACCGAUGGAUAACAUACAAAAAAAACUCAUGAUGUGCAGUUAAUGCCUAUUUGCCUUGAAAGUGGCUCUUGUGGUGUAUUUGGGUUUGUAACAUAGAAUUGGUGACUCAUGUAUCUCCUUCAGAUAAACAAAUUAACUUACACUGAAAAAAAGUAUAUGAUGCCUAUCGACGGGAACAGAUCUAGAAAUUUCUCUGCAGUGGGGGCAAACUUGUAAGUGCGCUUUAAUUAAGUUUGUUCAUUCAAAUAACGCCUCAUGUUCUUGUGUGCUCACGUUAUCAGACAAAAAACUACAGGAUCAACUAUCAAUUUUGGGUGUACAACAAGUAACCAUCUAAAAACGUUAAGCUUUCCAAAGAUGUGGGGCCAAACCCAGAUAUUUGUCAAAAGAAACUUUUUUUAUUGUUUUAAGCAAAACCUUCACAAACUUAAUGGGGUCGCAACCAAGAAAAUCCUUAUAAACUACUACUAUCAUGAUACAUUUUUCAAAACGUGAGCAGAGGCAAUUGCCCCCACUUUCUAUUGAGUAAUCCAUCCCCUUCCUAUCAAACUCCAACAUAUUUACAGAAAAAUAGCACGCUAAGUACAUAUGUGAUCCAUAAAUUAGCAUCAAGUUACCUUCUCUCCCAUGCUCAUCAGUUCUAGUCUUCAAAACCUUUCGCUUCUUCAGUGAGGUUGAUGCAGGAUUUGUCACUUUAUCAUUUACAUCCUUGGAGGAACCAUGAUUUUGGCCCUUCAAAGAGCACAUCCAAUGUUUGGCGGCUGGUGGUGUUCUUCCGCUCUCACUUUUACUUCAUCAACUUCCAUUUUAUCUGCAUCUUCAUUCUCAUCUUCUUCAUCCGAGAAAUCAAAUACAAAUCUUCUUUUUCUACCGCCUUCAGUUUUGGUGGAGGUUCUCUUAACAUUGACAUCAUGACCCUCGUCAUCGCUGUUCAGUUCUGCUGCCUCAUGUGCACAGAUUUGAGCUUCUGCACUAACUGAUGAAGAAAUUACUGUAAUGGUCCUUAUCAAGAAAUCUUUUACAAGACUAGAGAGAAUUAAAGCAAGCUUUUGAAAGGGACGAAUGGGUUAAUAGGAACCAACCAGUGGAACUUGGAGCAGGCCUGCUAUUAUCUGCUGGGCCAGCAGCUCGAUUUUGUUGUGGUGGAAGCACGACCCCAUAGAUUGGCCUCGAUCUCGUCGUGAUCCCAAGGGUAUCGGCCCGGCACGUGUUGUCCCGAAGCUCCGAUCGACAGGGGAAGGCCGUGUCCGGCGCGAUUGCCUUGAAGAAGAAUUCGAUGGGGGUUCCCCAUCUAGGCCUCAAUCCUAAUCCAAUUUUCCCGCCAUUUUCUGUGUGGGGGCGCCCGGCAUCUAUUUGGGCGGGGGGCUUUUAUAGUGCGCUUUUAAGCAUUAAUAAAAUAAAAUUCAAAAUAAAAAACAGAUAAUUGAAAAUUCAGAUCCUCAGCUUCUUCAUGCCCAGCAUCCGCAUGAAAAUAAAGUGACUGGUCUCGUCUCUGCUUCGACUCCGAAUUCAGCUGUUCCUUGUUCGUUAAUUGUUGUGGGUAUUUCACCGUUUCUAAGCUUCAGAUGUAAACUGCCAGUUGCUUUGAUCAUCUUUUUUUUUAUAAUCUUUUUCCACAUAUUUUGCAAAUUGGAUAGCUUUGUAGGUCGCCGAUUUUAUAACUUUCAAUGAAUCAUCUGAAUGGGAAAGGAAAAAAAAAAGCAAUCAUCUAAAUAUUGAGAUAUUUGAAUGCCGUAGUUUUGAAAAUGUUCAUCACAAGUAUUGAAUCACUUGAAAAAAUUUUAAUUUCGAGUGAGCACUGCAAGAAAAUUAUAAUACUAUAAUGCCCUUUUUGCGAUUUUGUGUCGACUUGAUCUUAACAAAUAUAACCAAUGGAAGGUCUUUUUUGGACCAAUUUGACAAGUUUUAAGUAUUAAUUGUACUUUUUGAAAAUUUCAAUAUUUAAUCGUAAUUUCGUGACAUAAUUUUAAAAUUUCUAAAGCACUUUUGCUGAAGGAGAAAUGGCAUGGAAUAAAGGAAAUUGCACUUUAGCGAUCCUUUACACGAACAGCUUAGGCUGAUCGAAGACUCUCAAGCUCAAGUCUCGACAGCUCCGAUUGGCUUCUGCAUUCGUCUCUCCUCUCGGACUCAGCUUCUUCCAUUCUCAAGUUGUUCUCUUUCUCUCUGCUUGAUCCUGAAUUUAGCCGUUCCUUUUUUGGUUAAUUGUCGUGUGUUUCACCGUCUAUUAGCCCCAGACGUAAACUGCCAUUUGCUUGGUUAAGUGGGCGUUGGUUUUGUGCCGAUUUGACCAUUUUCUGCCCUUAGAAGUACUCCAAUUGCCUGAGAAGUUCCACUUUUUAGAGUCUCUUUCAGUUUUGUUUUGUCACUUUGCUUUGCAAAUUGAUGGUUCAUGUCGUAACAUCAUGAAGUUCCAAAGAAGAAAUUAGUCAAGAUUAAGCCUCUAACCUUCGGUAAAUGUCUCAUUCCAUCUUACGGGGUAUGUCUGAAAGUUCCUUCUCUUUUCUUUUUUAUUUUUAUUUAUUUGUUGGUCAUAUUUGAUUGGAGAACAGUAACAAUUUGAACAAUAUCGAAUUAACGCAACGGAAUAAAAUAAUCUCCCAUCUUAUGUAAACAUAAUAGGAAUCGAUAUAGUAGAGUAAAAUAGAGUAAAAUAAAUACCAAGCACGCAAACAUAAGAUGAUUUUUUACGUGAAAAACCUCUUUAAUGUGCGGAUAUAAAAAACCACGGGACUGGAGUCCACCCGAAAUUCUUCACUAUCAACAAAAUUGGGUAAAUAAUGUUCUUCUCUAGCAAAUGUUAGAGGUACAGCAGCAAACACCUCAAGAACAUAAUUCUUGACAAUACACUUGAAUUUUACAAGAGAUUAAGGAUAAAUCUAACCAAAAAUGUAAGUUUUGAUCAAUCCAUGAAAAACCUGAUGUAAGGAGCUUCAAAUGAAAAUCAAACUGUUCAAAUUCGAGAAAAUUGCGCCACGAACAUGUUGACAAAAUUUUAGCUCAAUUAGACCACAAAUCGACCUCCGAUGUUAGCUUGAUGUAAAUAAGAUAUUACCCCAACUCUCAGAUUUUCUGCUUUCUCAUUUUCUCUUGUUACUUUUCCUUUUGUGGCUACCACUUUAUAUAAAUAGCGAGAAACCAUAUUUCUCCAUAUAACUUAUCAUAUGGGUUCAAGCUAUUUUUGGGUUUGCAACUCAUUAGGCUUCCUUCACAUAGGAGUGAACCCAGCUAACAAAUCUCCCCCUCAUGACAAUGUGGAGGGAUUCACCAUCCCUGCCAUCAAUUGGCAAUGUUCAAGCUUAGAGUCUUCGUCAUCAUAGCAGAGCCAUUAUGAUCCGUAUGAAUUUUCUCAAGUUCCAACAAUUUUUUGUUGGAGAAAUCUUCUUGGAGUAUUUUGAAGCUGACAAAAUGUUUCCAUCAGUCUAGUCUGAAGAUUUGCAGACUCUAUUAUUCAAAGUCUGAAGACCUCCGGACUGCCAGACUCAAGACUCAAAGUCUAUCUGCAUUAACAGUUUCUAGAUCGUCGAAGAAGAGUUAUCCAGAACUGGGUGUUUCAUUAAGGACUUGACCUUAUCGACUGGAGAAGAUCUCUUGGCUGGAUAUGACAUAACGGAAUCCUUUAUUUGAUCAUGAUUGAUUUAGAGAUUAAGGAUCCGAUGAUUGGCGAAGUAUACUUGGAAGGUUCUACUUAUGGAAACCGAGAUCCUGAUUGUAGGGGCGAGCAAGAUUGAUGGGCUAUUGACAUGUUCCUUUAAUAGCUCGAAUGAUCUUCCUAAUUGAUUCCGUCCAACAGGUAGAUUGGAGGAAUUCCUUUGAUAAGUGUCAAUGGGUAUGAUGGCAUAAAGGAGUAUAUAAGGAAGACGUUCCAGUUGUUCGAGUGUGUGCACGAUAGAAGAAUUCCAAAGUCUGAAGCUCUUUGUUCUUAGUCAAUUCAUUUGUUGAGCGAAAUCUUGUACGCAAAAGAGAGUCUAUUUCUUUGAGAGACCUUGAGGAAGUGUGGUAGAGUUUCUACAGUGUGGAAUCAAGGGAGAGUUUUGCUAUAACAUCUCUUUUAUUUGUAGUGAAAUCCAGCCAGUAGGCUGUCAAUGCGGAAGAGUGGACGUAGGCUUGGAAUAAGCCGAAUCACUAUAAACCUUGUGUUCAAUUUUCUCUUUCCUACUCUCUACUUUACUUUGAUCAUAAUUCGUUUUGUUAACCAAAGAAGAUCUUCCUUUCUAUUGUCUGAUUAGUAUUGCUCUUUUAUCUCGAGAAAUUAUUUUUACACCUAUUCUCCCCCCUCUAGGUGCUUAUACUAGCUAUCUCACUUUUCAUCUAGACCAUCUCUUAUCCAAUGAUAUCUAUCAUUAAUAUGUUUUGAUCUAGAAUGAAAAGACGAAUUCUUACCAAGAUGAAUUGUGCUUUGUUUAUCACAAAAUAGCACAUACCUCUUUUGCUUGAACCCAAGUUCUUCUAAGAACUUCUUCAUCCAUAGUAUUUCUUUACUAGCUUCAAUUGCUGCAAUAAAUUCAGCUUUGGUUAUAGAAAGUGCAACACAUUUAUGCAAUCUUGACUUCCAUGGUAGGGCUCCACCCGCAAAAGAAAUCAAAUAGCUAGAAGUAGAUUUACGAAUAUCAAUAUCUCAUGCCAAGUCGGAAUCUGUGUAUCAAACUAACUCAAGUUUCCUGAUCCCGAAACUGAGUUUCAAAUUUGAAGUUCCUCGAAGAUACCUCAUAAUCCACUUCACUGCAUUUCAGUGCUCUCUACUUGGAUUUGACAAAUAGCGAUUAACAACGCCAACUAUGUGUGCCAAGUCUGGGCGUGUACAUACCACUUUCCAUAUCUUUCUUCUCUUUAUCAAUCGUAGGACUUUGCUUCAUAUUUAACUUAAAGUGGGUAGCAAGGGGAGUACUAACCAUUUUAGCCUUGUAUAUGUAAAAUUUCUGAAGUAUCUUCUCAAUAUAUUUCUCUUGCGACAAAAACAACUUUUUAGCAUCUCUGUCUCGAGUAAUUCUAAUGCCAAGAAUAUGCUUUGCCGAGCCCAAGUCUUUCAUGGCAAAAGACUUGCUCAACUGUUUCUUCAAUAACUCAAUUCUUGAAGCAUUCCUGCCAACAAUUAGCAUAUCAUCAACAUAAAGCAAGAGAAUAAUAAAAUCAUCAUAAGAAAAUUUUUAGACAAACACACAGUUAUCCGAGAAAGUCUUUUUAUGGCCAUGUUCUGUUAUAACUUACGCAAACUUUUUGUACCACUGCCUUGGUGCUUGUUUUAGGCCAUAAAGAUUUUUCUUCAAUUUGCACACAUAAUCCUCUUUUCAUUUCUUUUUGAAAUCCUCAGGUUGUUCCAUGUAUAUCUCUUCCUCCAAGUCACCAUGUAGGAAGGCUAUUUUAACAUCCAUUUGCUCAAUUUCUAAAUCUAGGCUAGCUGCCAAGCCUAGUACCACACGGAUAGAAGACAUUUUUACUACCGGAGAAAAUAUAUCAUCAAAAUCAAUACCCUUUCUCUGACCGAAUCCCUUAACAACCAAUCUAGCUUUGUACCGUGGUUGUAAAGUAUGUUCAUCUUGCUUCAACCUAUAUACCCACUUGUUCUUCAAAGCUCUUUUACCUUUAGGUAACUUCACCAAUUCAAAAGUAUGAUUAUCAUAAAGUGACUGCAUCUCAUCUCGCAUAGCAUCAAACCAAUUGCUUUUGUACUCAUUUCUAUUGCUUUUGCAUAGCAAUCUGGUUCACCAGCAUCAGUCAAUAAUACAUACUUAUCUUCAGAAUACCUGGUGGAAGGUCGUCGGUCUCUAACGGAUCUUCGGACUUGAACAUCCAGUGGAACAUCUAAUUGAGCCUCUAGUUCAGGAAUAUUAUUAUCUGUUUCAACAUGUUUAGGAACAUGUGGGUUAUUUGGAACAUUGACUUUGAUAUUGUAUAAUUGUUUGAUUUUCCGCAAUUUUUUCCAUUCCUUUGUGUAAAUAACCUAAUAUUGGUUCAUAAUCAAUAACAUCGUCACCAUCUAGAGUAAGGAUGAGCCGAAGAACACCAUGCAUUGAUGGGUGGAUAUUGACUAUCAUGAGGUCUUUUCUUGUAGUUGUUACAUUCAUAGGUUAUUCAUCGAUUCAUUCUUUCAUGAAUUGCUGAAAAUGAAAAAAAGUUCAUUAAAAUUCAAGAUCGAAUAAAAAAACAAAAUAAUUCAAAUUCCUUUUUCACUUAAUGAGUUUUUGAUUCCCGAAUCUCUUCAUCAACUUGUGUAGGAAUAUUUGUAAGAGGAACUGGAUCUAAAUCAACCAAAUUAUCGCUAACCUGUGGUACUGAAAUCAUCUUUGCUUUCUCAAUAUCCUUUAUUGUUUGAUCUUUCAUAAACACAACAUCUCUACUUCUUACAAUUUUCUUUUCAAUCGGAUCAUAAAAUUUGUAACCAAGCAUAUAUUGACCAUAACAAAUGAAUAUGCACUAUCGUGUUUUCACAUCAAGUUUAGACCUCUCAUAUUUGGGAAUAUGCACAAAUGCUUUGCAUCUAAAGACACACAAAUAAUCAUAAGAAAUAUCUUUGCUUGUCCAAACUCUAUUAGGAACAUCAAACUCUAAAGGAAUGCAUGGAGUAAGAUUUAAUAUAUGCACAAUUGUACUUAAAGCCUCACCCCAAAAGGAUCUAGGUAACUUUGACUAUGAAAGUAAGCAUCUUACCCUUUCAACCAAUGUUCUGUUCAUUCUCUUAGCUAAGCCAUUUAACUGAGGCGUCUUGGGAUGUGUCUUUUGAUGUCUAAUAUCUUGUUGUCUGCAAUAUUCAUCAAAAGGUCCAAUAUACUUUCCCCCGUUAUCAGUUCUGAUGCAUUUCAAUUUCUUUCUAGUCUGUCUCUCAACUGAAGCUAGAAAUUGCUUAAAAACAUCUAACACUUGAUAUUUAGUUUUCAAGGUAUGAAUCCAAAUUUUCCUUGAAAAAUCAUUUAUAAAGGUAACAAAAUAAAGAGAGCCACCAAGUGAUUUUUUUUCCAUAGGACUGCAAACAUAAGAAUGCACUAAAUCUAGUAUACCCGACUUUCUUGAAAGAUGAGAGCAUUUAAAUGCAACUCUGUUUUGUUUUCCUGCUAAACAAUAAGCACACUUCUUUAGCGCCGAACUUUUCAAUCCUGAAAGGAGCUUCUUCUUGGCCAAUAGUGACAAAACCUUUCUCACUGAUGUGACUGAGCCUCUUAUGCCAUAACUUAGCUACAUCUUCGUUAUCUACUGCAUUAAUUUUGUCUGUGGACAACUUUGCCUGCAUAAUGUACAAUGAAGAAUAUUUUUCACCUCUAGCCACAACAAGAGAAUCUUUGGUGAGCUUUCAUUGAUCAUUACUGAAAGUGUUGCAAUACCCCUCAUCAUUCAAUUUGCCUAUAGAAAUCAAAUUCAAGUGGAUAUCAGGUAUAUGUUUAACAUUAUUCAAUAUUAACCUUGUGCCAUUGUUGGUUUCUAGGCACACAUCACCGAUGCAUACAGCUUGAGCGAGCCCAUUAUUUCCCAUCUUCACAGAUCCGAAGUCACCUAACAUGUAUGAUGUAAAGAAAUCCCUACGAGACGUAGCAUGAAUGGAUGCACCACUAUCAAUUACCCAACUAGUCUCAUGAGAUACAAAAUUUACCACAUCACUAUAAAAAAUAAUGAGAAAAUCUUCUUUAAGUGCAGUAACAAGAUUGUUAUCACUGUCAUUAUCACUUUUCUUCUCUUUACCUUUCUCCUUUUAAUUCUCCCUUUUUAACUAGCAACAAAACCUCUGAAUAUAUCCUUAUGAUGACAAUAAUGACACUUAACAUUAGCAAAUUUAUUAUGCUUACUUCUGCUUUUAUCUCGACUUUUAUCUGUAUUUCUCGGACCUCGAGACUCACUUCUUCCCAUUUUCUCAACAACCAAGGCAUCAGAAUAUGAAGAGGACAAUCCUUGAGUCUUUCUUCUCAUCUCUUCAUUCAAAAUACUACUCUUGGCCAAAUCCAUGGUAAUCAUACCAUAUGGGGCAUAAUUAGACAAAAAUGUUCGGAACGUCUCCUAGGAGUUCGGCAAAGUACCAAGCAACCAUGGUGCUUAUAUCCCAUCAUCAAACUUGAUUCCCAUUGUAGCCAACUGAUUUAUAAUUCCUUGAAAAGAAUUUUUAAUGAUCAGUCAAACGAGUACCAUCUUGAUAUCUCAGAGCCAUAAUCUGUUUUAUAAAAAAUAACUUAUUAUUCCCAGUCUUUCGAGCAUAUAACUGUUCGAGCUUAUCCCAUAAACUGCGUGCAUGUGUUUCCUCAAUAAUAUGGUUUAAAACAUUAUCAUCCACCCACUGCCUAAUAUAACCACACACUUGACGAUGAAAUAUAAAUCAUUCAACAUUAGUUUUAUUCCCUAGUUUCUCCUCGGCAAAUACGGGCAAAUAAAAAUCUUUCACAUAUAAAAGGUCUUCCAUCUUCCCUUUCCAAAUAUGAUAAUUCGAACCAUUCAGUAUAACCAUUCUACUCGUAUUCGUUUCCAUUGUUUAACACAAGGCAGAAAAAUCAAGUAAUAACAUGAUGCUCUAAUACCACUCUGAUGGGAGAACAGUAACAAUUCUAAUAAUAUCGAAUCAACGUAGCAGAAUAAAAUAAUCUCUCAUCUUGUGUAAACCUAAUAGGAAUCGAUAUAUUAGAGUAAAAUAAAUACUAAGCACGCGAACACAAGAUGAUUUUUUACGUGGAAAACCUCAUCGAUUUGAGGAGAUCAAAAACCACGGGACUAGAGUCCACCCGAAAUUCUUCACUAUCAACAAAAUUGGGUGAACAAUAUUCUUUUCUAGCAAAUACUAAAGGUACAUAGCAGCAAACACCUGAAAAACAUAAUUCUUGGCAAUACACUUGAAUUUCACAAGAGAUUAAGGAUAAAUUUGACCAAAAACGCAGGUUUUGAUUAAUUCACGAAAAACCUAAUGUAUGGAGUUUCAAACGAAAAUCAAACCAUUCAGAUUCGAGAAAAUUGUGCCACGAAUAUGUUGACAAAAUUUCAGCUCAAUCGGACCACGAAUCGACCUCCGAUGUUAACUUGAUGUAAAUCAGAUAUUGCCACAACCCCCAGAUUUUCUGCUUUCUUUUUUUCUCUUGUUAUUGUUUCCUUUUGUGGGUACCACUUUAUAUAGAUAGUGAAAAACCCUAUUUCUCCAUAUAACUUAUCAUAUGGGCUUAAGUCCUUUUUGGGUUUGUAACUCAUUGGGCUUACUCCACAUAGGAGUGAACUCAGCUAACAAUAUUCAGGAAAUUGUGAAAUCGAGUCCGCAAAAUAUUGGCAAGCGUAUAAUGAUCACGCAAAGAGCAUUAACUUGUAUUCAUUCAUCUCCUUCAUCCAUGGAAUAAAAGUACCAGAUUGGACCUAGUGCUUCUAUGAGACCUCGAAAAAUAUUGUGACAUCCAGAUUUUCGGGUUUUAAUUUCGACUGGAUAAAUAGGGCCGUUUUCGUUCAGUUGAAGCCAUGGAUUGUGAAAUUGGGAUGCAAGUGGGCUAUAUUGGUAAGGAAAAAUACCCCAAUGGGAAUGACGAGGUGUUGAAUGAAAUUAUGGGAGUCAAUUUGAUUUAAUUCAAGAGGAAUUAAGGCCCAAUUGGAAAGAAAACCUAGCAAAAUUCGUAUGCCACCUCUACCCCAUAUUUUGGCCUACCUAAAUGCUUCUAGAAGGGGCAAAUUUGUCUUGGAAUUGUGAGUGGAGGGCAGCUCAUGGUGGCCCACGUGCGGAUGAUAUAAGAGAGAGAGAGUGAGAGAGGAAAAAGGGGAAACCGGUUCGCCCUUUCUUCCUCGUCGCUGUCUCUCCCCUGCAUCUUCAUCUUCAGCUGCACGACGCCAUGGAAGUUGAAGACCAGCGAACCAGCAGGCCGAAGCAGCGAUUCCUCUCGGCGCCGUCGCAGCAAGCAACCAGAGCCGGAGUCGCCGCUGUCUGCCGUCCUGUUGCAAUCGCCCAUCUCCGCCGCAUCCUCUCUCUUCCUCGUCCCGCUCGAUCUGUCCGAAGGCAGCAGAACAGCAGUGCCGAGAGAAGAUAACCGGAGCUACCGUCGCUACUCGCCCCGCUCGCGUGCUCCGCCGCUCGUCGGUUGCCCUCCGCACACCUUGGUCGCUCUCUCGCCCAACUCGCUGUUCCAGAGCUACUGUCCAGCUCCUGUUGCCUCUGUUCAGUCCCGUUCAGCCGCCUCCGGCCACCGCCCGACCUCUUCCGGCCACCGUCCGGCCUCACCGGAGUCCCCUCGCCCUCCACCGGCCUUGUCCAGCUCGACUCAGCCCCGGAUCCGUCCUCCAUCGUCCCCAACCAGCAGCGCAGAGAGAAGAAGAAAAUGGGUAUGGCAGCACCUUCGUGGCCCGUUUUGGCCACCUUCCCGAGCCCGGAUGCUCGGCCCGCUUUGAGGAAAGUUGAUCCUUGCGUCGAGCCCGUUGUUUUGAGUGAGUUUUACUCACUAAUGCCUUCUUAGUGCGCUAAUUAUACUUAAAGGUUGAUUAGUGUUAAUUAAGUGUAAUUAGGUUGUUAGAUUAGAAUUGAUUAGUGAUUAUUAGUUAAUUGGUUUGCAUAUUAGCUGUGUGAUUAGUGUAAUUAGAUAGAGAAUUGCCUAUAGUAUUUAUUGGAUGCUUCUUGGGAUUUUUCCCGUCCCUUAUCGGGUGUUAAUUAAGCGAUUCGGGCCUAGGUGGUAUUUUUAGGAAUUAAAUAUUAAUUUUGAAAUUAAUUAUUUAAUUAUUUAUUUCCCGGAAAUUCAACUGGGAUGGCCAGUGACCAGGAUUUUAUGUUGAUGAUCAUGGCGCAGUCCGUUUAUUUAAUUGAGUUUUAUAUUGUGCUAAAUUGAAUUUAUUGAAUUUAUUUAUUUAAUUUUCGAAAUUAAUUAUUUAAUUAUUUAUUUUCCGGAAAUUCAACCGGGAUGGCCGAUGACCGGAAUUUAUUUAUUUAAUUGAGCCCUAUUUCAUGCUGAAUUGAAUUAUUUGUGAAAGAAGGAAUUAUUCUUUAAUUGAAUAAUCUUUGGUUAUUAAUUGAAAAAGAACUGGGCUUCGGUUGAUAAUGCCAAAAGGAUCUGAGUGGGCUACAGAAAAUUGUGGAAUUUAUAAAAAGGAAAUUAUUAUGUUUUGGCUAAGGCCAAUCGAGUAUCCACUCAUGGCAUUUUAUCGGGAAUGAUAAAACUGGUUAUUUGAUUAUUUGCUUGGAACGGUAUGAUCUACCGGCUCGAUAACUCUACAGAGCAUCUGGAGACAGUACGGUAUGAUAAAUUGUGUGUAUAUCGGCUCGAUGACUCUACGGAGCAUCUGGAGACAGGACGGUAUGAUAAAUUGUGUGUAUACCGGCUCGAUGACUCCACGGAGCAUCUUGAGACAGGACGGUAUGAUCUACCGGCUUGGUGACUCUACAGAUUAUCUUGAGACAGUACGGUAUGAUAUACCGGCUCGAUAAUCCUAUAGAUCAUCUUGAGACAGUACGGUAUGAUAAAGGGUUGAUCAAGAGAUAAUUUGGAUGACAUGUAAUCGACUAGGUCGAUUGAUUGAUGAUUCGAUCUGAGUGUGACUUGAUGUGAUUCAUUACCUUGGGUUGAUGUUGUGAAUUGAAUGAUUGAAUGGAGAUGACCGUGAGUGGUCUUCCUGAUAUGAAAUCGACUAAGUCGAUUAGAUCGAUGUGUGCCUAUUCAAUCUGUGAUGUGAUUGCUUGGGUGCCUAUUUGAUUUGUGCUAAUAUGCAGGUGGAAUCUGAGGCCAAGGUAAGUCUUCUAACUCAUGUUGUGCAUAGGCAGCCCUAAGGUGUAUUAGUUUACUAAUCGGGUCUUAGAGGGUAGAACUUGCUGAGACGUUGUCUCAGUGGUUAUUGAAUAACCAUUUCAGGACCUGGAUGAGGAGCCUAAGGAGCAUGAAUCUGAUGAGGAGAUCCCUGUUGAGGAACCCGAAGAGGAGUACGUGGAGGAGGACCCCGAGUAUGACAUCAAGUACGACCCGGAUGAGGACUAAGAUCCCGUCCUGUCUUGUCAGACCUUGUUUGCAUGUGAAUAGAUGUUAGACCAGAGUUGCGUAUAGUAUUGUAGAAUACUAUGAGAUGCAUGUAAAAAGAUGUAGUUGUGAAUUUUCAGUAAGGAAAAUAUAUGGCAUGCUUUUCUAUCCCAUUGCUUUAUUGUCUAGGGAAUUAUAACUGCUUCCGCAUGUGCAUAUAUAAAUGAAAGGGUCGGUGAUACAUAGUCCUGGGAUAUCGCAUUUUAAAAUCAACCAAAAGUAAGGGAUGUGUGCGUGCCUAAGGGUCGGGGCGUGACAAAUAUCCUCUUCUUUGUUGAAUUGUCAAUACCACUGAUUUAUUUUGGAGGAUUCCUAUGUGGACAAGACGCGUUCAUUUUCCUUGUCUUCACAAAAUUUGUUGGAAGAUAUGGCAUCUUUCCCAAGGCUCUUGCAAACAAUCAAGAACCUUCUUCUCCAAAAAACAAAUAGAGUUGAUACAAGUAUGAUGCAUUCCUGAGUUUCAGAGGCGAGGAUAUCCGCAAAAACUUUGUUGACCAUAUGCAUGAUCAACUACAACGAAGAGAAAUUAUGGCCUUUCAUGAUGAUCACCACCGAGAUCUUCAGAGGGGAAAAUGUCAGGACAUGUACUAAUGAUAGUCUUUGAAAGCUACACUUCUUCUACUUGGUGGCCUGGAAGAAGUUGCUAAGGUUGUAAGUGCAAGGAUAUUGAUGAAGGAUCAGUGAUUCCAAUCUUCUACAAGGUCAAUUCAUCUGACAUACGGACACUAAGGGGAAACUUUGGGAGAGGCUUUGCUAAAAUUGAGGAGACUUAUAUGGGUGACAAGGGAGAUAUAACGAGGUGGAAGGAUGCAUUGAGAAAAGUAGCUGAUCUUGCCAAAAGAGAAUUCAAAGAUGGGUAGGCCUCUCUCCCACUAACUUGGAAUAAUUUGCUUUCUUUAAUUUUUGCAUAUCACAAAUGUCACGACUGUCAUACUUUGUAUUAUGUUCAUUUGAACCAGAAUAUAUGAUCAACUCCACCAAAAUUGAGCAGCCUCAAUUCUCCUUACGGAACUAAUCCACUGCACUUCUUCAUUGUAGAUAUGAGACACAGUUCAUUUGGCAAAUCAUUGGAGAAAUCAAAGAUAAAUUGGGUCCUUGGCUAUCCUAUGUCAUAGGCAAUCUUGUGCAGAUGCAUUCCUGUGUUGCAAAUGUAGUUGAAUGUUUAUGCUUGGAUAUGAGUGGUGUAUGCAAUAUUGGCAUAUAGGGAAUGGCUUGUUUAAGCAAAACGACUGUUGCUCAAGCAAUUUGUGUCGAAAUCUAUGGCCAAUUUGAUGGCUGUAGUUUUCUUGGCAAUGUUAGAGAAAGUUCAGAAAAAAGAUGCUCCGAUAUAUCUACAGAACCAGUUUCUUGCUGAUAUUCUUCAAGAGGACAAUGUUGGAAUUAGGGAUGAUCAUAUUUUCAUUUCCACCAAGUUUUCUUCCAAAGAAUCUUGUCGAACUCCAUAUGCAGGAUAGCCUCCUUUGCAGCCUCGGCCCUCAGGAGAGGGGAAAAUGUUGGAAUUAAUACUCAAGCAUGUGUAUGCUUCAUCAGACUCGUCAUUUUUUUUUAACAAACUAAUAAAAUUGUUCAACCGAUUUUUUCUAGAUGCAGGUCUUGGAGUAGUUAAAUGUUAUCAACCGUAAAGGUUCUGAAUAAUUUAUGGAGACUCCAAACUUCAUAUAUGUCCCAAAUCUAGAGAGACUAAUUUUCAAAGGUUGCAAAGCAUUAUCUCAGAUUCAUCCUUCAAUUGGAAAUCUAGAAAGACUCAGUCGACUUGACUUGGGUGACUGUGAAAACCUCAUGGGACUUCUAGAUAAUGUAGGUAAUCUUAAAUGUUUCAGAGUUCUUAAUCUAUUCGGAUGAUUAAAUGAUUAAAUCUUGAAGAACAACCUAAGAGCAUCAAGGGCUUAAGAGUGCUUAUAGGAGCUUGAUAUUAGUGAAAGUGCCAUCAAACACCUCCCGUCCAGCUUGAUUCUUACAAAAUCUGGAAAACUUACGCUUUUAUAUUAGUAAAAUAAGGCCACAAAAUUUUUGGAGGACACUGAUGCAAAUACUAAGAAGAGCUCUGAACUCUAGACGCCCGUUAUUGCCUUCAUUUUUAGGGUUAUCCUCUGUGAUAGAGUUGAAUAUGAAUGGCUGCAAUCUUCUAGAAGGAGAAAUUCCCAGUGAUAAUGGCUGCUUAUCCUCCUUGAGGUCUUUAGACCUAGCUUGUUAAGCUACAGGUUUUGCAUUUUUUGUUAAGCUACAGUUUGCCUUUGGUCAAGCUACCUAUAGUGACAUUGAUCUCCUCAGAUGACAUAAAUGGGCAGGCAAUGUCGAGCCAUAUUGAUGCUGCGUUUAAGAUCUCCAACCUCAGGUUAAUGGUGGCCUGAGUGCUGCAUUGAACUGAUAAACAUCUUCGCAGGUUCUGAAUCGAAUCUUCGCUCUUUUAACUCGUUUCCCUCUAUUACCGAGAAAACCAGUUACUGAAUCCCAUCUUGACUACAUACAAACUAUGAAGUGCCCACACAUGACUAAAGCUUUCAAGCAUAAGCACACGAAUGGACGAUGAUCGUCCAUUAAUUGUCUUAUCAGGACAUGAAGUCAUCAAUUAAUUUACAGGCAACAAACCAAGCACAGUUCAAGUUCAGAUAAACUAAGGAAAAUGUUCAACAUUUGCCAUUAGUUUCUGCUAAAGUAAUGUCCAUACAUCUCAUAAUCUCAUUUACAUUAAGAGCAAAUUUAUGAUCUUGAGCAAUUCGGUACAACACCUUCUUCCGUGUGAGAGACUUGAUGCCCGUGAAAAUUUGGACUUCACAGUCAUGUAAAGAUACAAACCUCAUCAUAUCCCCUCCUAAAGUCAUUCAAAUGUAACACUUUCAGUCAGUAAAUCACGAAUCAUAAGCAAAACUGAUGAAAAAUGCACUAAAUAGAUAGCAUCAAGGCUUACCCUGAUUUCCUACAAUAGGUGGGACUGUGAUUGUAUAUCAGAUUGUCGAGCACUCUUUGAGCAGAAGCCUGGUUUACGGAUUUCCUAGCCUCACUACAGGAUGACUAGUUCGAAUUAGAAGUUUUUUUUCCCUUCAAACUGAGUGAAGUUUAACCAGAAGUGCAGAUCAUAUAACCAUAAUCUUGUAUGAUAUAUGAUAUUUUAAGAACUUUGACAAGGAAAUUUCAAAUGCAACUGGCUUUGCAGCAUAAAAUUACUGAAUAAAUGCUGACCUGACAAAGAAGUUCGCUACAUGCUGCGUGACUUGAAUGGCAUCAUCUGAGUGUGGUACCAUGGAGAAACCCCACUCAAAAGCAUUUUUCUGCACAAUAUUGAGAAAGCCAUACAAGUUAACCUCAAGGGAGUAAGUCUAAAUAUACUUCACAGACAUGGAUGUAAGAGUUUUUCUAAUUGUGGACUACAUUAAUUGAUAUUGUAAUUUACCAUUUAACGUUUACCGUUUUACGGGGUUUGGUCUAAGGUAAAAUAGAAGGUUUCUUAAUUAGUCUAAUAUGGGGCUGGCUAAUGUGGGCCGAGUUGAGCCUGGCUCGUAAUGAGAGGGCCUGGCUGGAAACUCUAUAAAUAGUGCUCAAAUCUCUCCUCUAACCCUAAUUCUCACAUGUAUCCUCACCUAAGGGGCGUUUACCUAACACUAAACGUGAGGGGGCCGCCUCAUUGAGUCAGUGAUACGGAGGGCGAUAGAGGAGAAUGACUUGAUGUGUGGAUCCCCUUGAUAUGUGGGCAAUCCUUUUUCUGCUUCCGCUUUAUGUUCGAUGGAUCCCAAAACAUGUGCGUUAAUCUUUCCACUCAAUUAUGCAUGUUCUUGUUCUAGUUAUGGAGAUCUUGGCGUUGCGCAAUUUGCGUCUUACAUGUGGUAUCAGAGUAACCGUAACCCUAGAACUUGAACGCAUAAAGUUUUUGCUUUAAUUUGUGAUUUUCGAGAUUUUUUUGUUAAAUAAAAGUAAAAUAAAAUCACAAAUUCGGAUUGGGCUUGACGGGACGAGCAAGAUGGUUGGCGGUGCGUUGCCGGAGGAGGCCGCACGUGCCCCCACGUGCGGCCAUGCACCGCCUGGGCGUCGAACGCGCGCCGCGCAUUAGCUCCACGCACCACGCACUCAAGUGGCGCGUGUGGGCGCGUGGAGGCUUCGAUCGGCGCAUGGUUGGCGGUGUUGGAUUCAUAUGAUUUUCCUCUACGUCAUGAUGUAUUUACUUUAUAUUUUUGAUUAUUUUAUGGAUGUGAAAAUACAUAUAAAGCCCUAAAUACGUGUAUUUUUAGUGUAUUUUUGCGUAUUUUCUUGUAUUUUCUGUGAUUUUGGAAAUACAAGUAUUGGGUUACUGGUAUGUUAUCACAUAAACAUUAUAAUGGUGUAAUUCAUUAAUAAAAAUUAAAUUUUAUUGUGAACUAAAGCUGGCUUAAUGAGAUACAACCAUUAUGGGAUAAUAUUUGAACUAUGUAUUGAGGUCAUGAGAAACAAUAAAAGUUAUGGAACUUUUGUUGCUCAAGCAUAGCUAUUUAUACGCAUCUUGAUGUAUUUUUGUUUAUUCUGAUAACCUUUGAAUGAUGGACGUCUUAAGAACUCGUGACCAAAUUGAUUAUAUUAAUUAUCACAUCUUUGAAUGUGGGUAAUGCAUGUCAGUUAAGUUAUUGCAUAUUUUACCUAAAUUCAUCUGGUCAUUUGUUAAUGUCUAUCAAGUUGAGCAUUGGUUUAUGGUUAAGAAGCAUGACAAUAUUUAUGCAGAACAAUAAUAUCUAUUGUUAUAAGAUUAGAUAUUUGGUUAUGUGUUUUGACUCAAAAUUGAUGUAAUGAUAAUUUGUUACUUAAAAAAAAUGGCUAAUUAAUCAGCUAUUGGCCUUGGAGUCAUGUUUUGCCUUAUAAAACUCAUGAUCAAUAGUUGAUCAGCUAUUAAGCUUGUCAAUCUGGAUACUCUAUGUUGCUAUUGAUGUUAACUUAUGAGGGAUCCUUUGGAUCGACAUUCUUUUUAUGUUGUUUUGGUUAUCAGUAAUCGGGGUGCACAAGAGAUGCUUUCUUCUAUAUUAUGAGAAGUUUCUUGUGUUGCUAUGAUCGGUGAUCUCAUUGAAGUCCGACUUUUAGGUUCUUUAUAUAUAGAUAUAUGAUUAUUUUUAUAAAGCAAUAUAAUUAGCAUGAUAUGUGAUUUUGGUGAUAUGAUGCCCCUAUCACUGAAGUUAAAAUCACAUGUAUAUGGUGUAUGUGAGAAGUAAAGUUUAUAUCCCUGGUAUGAGAGAAUUUCAAUGAUUCAAUUGAGUAGUGACCGCCAAAGUGGCACGCUUGAUUGGGUUUGAGAAAUUUCGGUCUCGUAUGAUUAUUGGGAUGUCUCCUAGUCUAAUACGUAGUCAUACCCCCAAAUGAGGUGAUUGUGUAUUAGUUCAUGAAGGGAUACAGAUAGUGUGAUGGAGGAGUGACUGAUUCUAGUGAUUCAUAUGCCCAAAGGUGAUGAAUUCACAAAAAAUUGGAAUAUAUUCUCAUAACCGCUAUCAUGUGGGGAGUGUACAACUACAUGUCAUGUAUUCUACCCAAAGGUGAUUAUAUGAUUAUGCGCGUAACACUCUAGAUGUGUACUUGUACGUCAAGUUACACGGUACUCACAUGAUGCUAAUUAUAUACAUUGUUUGUUUUUCAGUCAUAUUUUCUGUAAUUUAUAACUUCACUAUUAUUGAGAAAAGAGCCAUUGAAUUUGUAAACUGUCCAUGAAGCGUUCCAUUUUGGAACACUUGAAAAGAGAUUUGCCUGCGGACUGUACUGCUAUCAGAUGAUGGAAGCCUUAGUAGCUUGUAAUUAUGUCUUGUCUAAUAUCGAAAUUAGGACACAUCUGCAAAGAUUGUAUUUAAGUCCUAAUGACAUAUACAUCUCGUAUAUGGUUAAAAUGUUAUUUCCAAAAGUUUUGUAUUUAAGGAAAAUGGCCAUGAUAAAGAAUAAAAUGGUUAAAAAUUAGUCUUGAAUGUUGUCAAGCCUAAUAGUAGCGGUAAGUAUUUUGGCAAGUAUGACCAUAUUGAAUUGCUUAAAUGGUCAUUUGUCAAAUACUUGGUAAAUUCUGGGGUGGUAAUUUAAUUACUAUGCCUGAAAAUCAUGACAAGAAGAUUUGACUAAGGGUGCGUUUGGGAACCACUUUUGGGGAAAGCCUUUAGGAAAAUGCAAAGACCUUUGACUUAAAGGUGUUUUUCAAAAUGCAAACUGUGUUUGGUAAAUUGUACUUUGAAAGCUCUUUGUGAAGUGCUUUGAGCAAAAUAGUGUUUGGGGAAUUACAUUUACAAAUGAGUUUUGUGGUAAAAAAAAUUAUUAAAAGAAAAAUUAAAAAAAAAAAAUUGACUGGCAAGGGCAGCGGCCGUCAGUGACCUUUGGCGACCCAGAUCUGGGGUGGCAAGGUCGCGCGACACCGUCGCAACCUCUGACGACCCCGGAUCUAGGGCGGCGAGGUCGCGCGUGUCACGCGACGCGGCCUCGACCUCUGGCGACGCCGGAUCUGGGGCGGCGAGGUCGCGCGACGCCACCUCGACCUCCGGCGACCUAGAUCCGAGGCGUCGAGGUCGCGGGAGGACCUUGUCGCCCCGGAUCUAGGUCGCGACGGGGUCGCGCGAUGCCACUACGACCUAGAUCCGGGGGCGGCGAGGUCGCGCGACCCAGAUCUGGUCGCCGCUCGAGCCUCCGGCACCAGAUCUGCUCGCAACCACCAGACCUGCGACCAGUGGGUCGCGUGGCCUCGGCGAGCUCCGCGCGGAGGUCACGGUGCGGCAAGUGACGGUCGCUGGCAACGCCGCGACUUGCGGAGGUCGCCCGACUCUUCGACGACGAUCGCGUAGGUCGCAGCGUCCUUGUAGCAGUCGUCGGCCCGGAGAAGAUGAACAGUGUUUCAUCCAAGGACACGAACCGGAAAAACAAAAAAUUCAUGAGGACAAUUUUGGAAAAAAAAAGUGAACAAUGUUUCGCUUGGGCAUGCUGAGAAAGCUGAAAGCCCAAGGUAGGUCCCCCUUGCCUUGGGCUUUCAGCCUUAAAAAUGCUAGCAUUUUGCCCAAGUCCCUUCCAAAGUUUUUUCCCAAACACCAUUUUUUUUGCCCAAAGGGCUUUGGAUUCCUAAGGGGCUUUGGGAAGUGGUUCCCAAACGCACCCUAAAAGGCAUGAAGCACCAUAAUGAACAUGGUGAUGAGUAUGAUCAGUAAGACCAAUUUAUCCGGUCUUCUGUGGGCUGAUAUUAUGAAAUCAACUUUUUCACAUAUAAAAGGCAUCUCUUAUCAAAGUUGUUUCAUAAACUUCUUUUGAGUUAUAGACUGGACAUAAAUUACUUGAAUCAUAUUAAAUUUAGAGGUGUCAUGCAGAAGUGAGAUUAUCUAAUUCAAUAUUAAGUGCGUUGGAAUUUAGAUCCACUCAGAAUUAUUUUGUAUCUUAUCUAGAUUGUUAAAGGGGUAUUGAUAUUAUGACCCUAAAGAAGGUGCAAGAAUUAUUGAAUCACAUACUCUAAAGUUUCUAAAGAUUGACGUAAUUGUAGAGGAUAGCUGCUUUCAUACUAUUAAAGAUAAUAGUAUGAUGGAGGUUACUGUGUUUUUUGUCUUUACCUAUACAGAUAAUUAUGGAAUCUCCUGUACCAUAGACUAAACUUGUUGAGGUUCAAGGUACUAUUCUUGAUAUAGUUUAUAAUGAAAUUUCUUAAACCUCUCAAGUGCAGAAUGAAGUGGUUGCAGCUUUAUUAAGGAGAUUUGUUAGGAAAAGACGAUCAAUUAUACCAUCAGACUAUAUAGUCUAUUCGUGAGAGCAUGAUUAUAAUAUCCACUAUAUGGUUGAUAUAAUAUAACAUAUUUUCACAGAUGAUGUGGUUGCAGAUCCACUAACUAAAGGUCUAUGCCCAUGUAUAUUUGAGCGACAUGUCAUUAGUAUAGGCCUAGAAGCAUCAUGAGAUGCUGUUGUUUAGUGGGAGCUAUUUUGGCUUUACUUUGAUAAAGAUUUCAUCUGUGUUCGUUACACUUUGUAACGGUUUGAUAUGUAUCAACUUUUGCAUUCAAUAAAAUAUUUUUGAAUGUGUUGUUAUUAUGUUGAAUACAUAUUGAUAAAGUCUCAAGGGAUUGUAUAAACCUUGAGUGAAGGCUAGGGCAUCCGGGCAUCCGGUUAUUAGCCUUGGCCAUAUGUCUUGUGAUACAUAAAGAAAUGUUAACCAUAAGGACAAGACAUAUAUGAGUUCAUUAGAACCAUAAAGCAUUCUCUAGUGGCACAAGUUUUUGUGAUGCCUAAAGUUAAGAGAAUGGUGACUGACAAAUGAGAUCUCUCUAUGAGAGAUGUUAUCCAUUUGCCACACUACCAUAUUGAAUCCAUAUCAAUAAAGUUGAGAACAUUCGUGACCAUGGAAGGCUCUGUGUGUAUACAUGUAGUUACCGCCAUGAUUCGGUGUUUAAGACUUUAUGAGAUAUGAUUGACUAUUAAGAAUUAUCUCUAGACCAAUGUGCGCACAUACAGUACGAUUUCAAUUAAUAUAGUUCAAGUGGGAGAAUGUAAGAGUUUUUCUAAUUGUGGAUUACAUUAAUUGAUAUUGUAAUUUACCAUUUAAUGAUUACCGUUUUACGGGGUUUGGUCUAAGGUGAGAUAAAAUGUUUCUUAAUUAGUCUAAUAUGGGACUGGCUAGUGUGGGCCGAGUUUAGCUUGGCCCGUAAUGAGAGGGCCUGGCUGGAAACUCUAUAAAUAUUGCUCAAGUCUCUCAUCUAACCCUAAUUCUCACAUGUAUCCUCACCUAAGGGGCGUUUACCUAACGCUAAACGUGAGGGGGGCCGCCUCAUUGAGUCAGUGAUACGGAGGGCGAUAGAGGAGAAAGACUUGAUGCGUGGAUCCUCUUGAUAUAUGGGUAAUCCUUUUUCUGCUUCCGCUUUAUGUUCGAUGGAUUCCAAAACAUGUGCGUUAAUCUUUAUACUCAAUUAUGCAUGUUCUUGUUCUGGUUAUGGAGAUCUUGGUGUUGCGCAAUUUGCGUCUUACAAUGGAGAGUUGGAAAAUAUGAUCCCAAGAACAAUCACCGAUUUAGUUCCCUAUGAUAAUUUAAGCAAAUGAAUCAUGUCUAGGUCAAAGCCAUAUAAAAAGAAAAAAAAAGGAUCAUGUCCUCUAUAACAUGAUAAACUCGAAUUGUCUAGUCUUCAAAUUUUGCCUAACCAAUACUGCAAGAGUCAAGCAAGCUGUGCCACAAGCUCUUCACUAAAGAAAUAAAAAACCACGAAAUCAGAAGGCAUCGGAAGAAACUAGUAUUGAUCCAAAUGUGUUAGAAUCUACAACAGCAAGAAGUCAAUUUCUACGCGUGUCAUGAAUCUUCCUAAAAAUCGGGGGAUAUUGGAGGGGGAACAAAACGCUCACGUAUCGACACAAGAGAGAUCGAAGACAACGAAAGAGCAACAAUUACGAGAUUGAAAAUCGAAAGAGGGAAAGAAAGUCGAACGGUACCACUUGAGGCUUAUCAGAAACGAGGGCAGCGAUCUCGUCGACGAUCCCUAGGAUUUCGACCCGGCACAUCCUUGCUCUAAACCUCCGAUCGAUAUGGGAAGGCCUUGCUCUUCUAAGCAAUGAUUUCGCACAACGCCUACCGGCUAGGGCUCAAUCCCAAUCCAAUUUUCCCGCCAUUUCUGGGCGGCGUCCCGGGAAUUAUUUUGGGUGGGGGCCUUUUAUACCGCGCACUAAGCAUUAAAGCAAUCUGGAAAUAAAAAAAAAUCGGGUUCUUUGUACUUUUCACGCUGACAAUCCAUAUGAAAAUUUAAAACGAUUACGAAACCGUUGUUGUGAUUCGACGACAAUAAGAAAUAAAUCCACCUUGGUCUCUUAUUUAAUAUCUAUCUAACUAUUAAUCGAACAAAAAAAGAAACAAUUUAUGCAUGUGAACUAAUUUAUGUCUCAUUUAACACGAGUCCGGUAACACUAGUCACAUGUUGUGGACUUGUUUAACUCAUGUGCACUUAAUAUGUGUUAUGUUAACCUAAUGACCCAGUAUAAAAAGCUCACAUUCUUGUCGAGGUUUGCUCGUAUUACUCAUCAACAUUCUUCCCACUAUCUGAUGCGUAACAUUAUCAAUUCCUAUCAUUCAUCGUCUUCGAGACAUGUCAAGAGCCACACUCAUUGGAUUGGUUUAGUCCAAGUCCAUUUAGGGUUCUGCCCCAAUGUCAUAUGCAAAUAGGUGUACCCUUUCUAGUGGGCCAAACUCAGGAAAAAAAGAGAGAACAAUUGACUAUAUGAGGUAGCGGCUAUUGGCAAUGAUUAAUAAGUGUCCCUUGUAAAGUAUGCUUAAGAAGUGUUAAGAAAACCCAUCAUCAAAAUACAGGUACUUUGCUAUUUGGCCAUACUCUUCCAUGGAGAAAACUCUCUCCAAUGAAAGAUUGACGGGCCAUAGAAUAGCCGUUACUGCAUGGAUUUUUAAUUAAGUUGACAUAUGAUUGAUGUCGAUAUCUUGAAAUGAAUCGAUCAAAUGCCUAGUCAGAAUUAGUUUUUCUAGAAUAAUAUAAAGCACUACCAUUUUACUAUCUGAUGCAUAACAUUAUCAAUUCCUAGAAUUCGUUGUCCUUAAGACAUGUCGGGAGCCAUGCUCUUAGACCUCAUUGGAUUCAUUUAGUCCAAGUCCAACCAUGGAAUAUAUCUAUUGUAGAGGGUUCUUCUCCCAUGUCAUCCGCAACUAGAUUUACACUUUCUGGUGUGCCAAACUCAGGAAAAAAAGAGAGAACAAAUGACUAUAUGAGGUAGUGGCUAUUUGCAAUGAUUAAUAGGUGUCCCUUGUAAAGUAUGUUUAAGAAGUGUUAUGAAAACCCUUCAUCAAAAUACAGGUACUUUGCUAUUUGGCCAUACUCUUCCAUGGAGAAAACUCUCUCCAACGAAAGAUUGACGGGCCACAGAAUAGCCGUUACUGCAUUUAUUUUUAAUUAAGUUGACAUGUGAUUGAUUUCGAUGUCUUGAAAGGAAUCGAUCAAAUGCCUAGUUAGAAUUAGUUUUUAUUUUAUUUUAUAGAAUAAUAUAAAGCACUACCAUUUUACUAUCUGAUGCAUAACAUUGUCAAUUCCUAUCAUUCGUUGUCCUCUAGACAGACAUGUUGGGAGCCAUGCUCUUAGACCUCAUUGGAUUCAUUUAGUCCAAGUCCAACCACGGAAUAUGUCUAUUGUAGAGGGUUCUACUCCCAUGUCAUCCGCAACUAGAUGUACACUUUCUGGUGUGCCAAAUUCAGGAAGAAAAAGAGAGAACAAAUGACUAUAUGAGGUAGUGGCUAUUUGCAAUGAUUAAUAAGUGUCCAUUGUAAAGUAUGUUUAAGAAGUGUUAAGAAAACCCUUCAUCAAAACACAGGUAGUUUGCUAUUUGGCCAUUCUCUUCCAUGGAGAAAACUCUCUCCAACGAAAGAUUGACGGGCCAUAGAAUAGCCGUUACUACAUUUAUUUUUAAUUAAGUUGACGUAUGAUUGAUGUCGAUAUCUUGAAAGGAAUCGAUCAAAUGCCUUGUUAGAAUUAGUUUUUUUUAGAAUAAUAUAAAACACUACCAUUUUACUAUCUGAUGCAUAACGUUAUCAAUUCCUAGCAUUCGUUGUCCUUGAGACAUGUCGGGAGCCAUGCUCUUAGACCUCAUGGAUUGGUUUAGUCCAAGUCCAACCAUGGAAUAUAUCUAUUGUAGAGGGUUCUGCUCCCAUGUCAUCCACAACUAGAUGUACACUUUCUGGUGUGUCAAACUCAAGAAAAAAAGAGAGAACAAAUGACUAUAUGAGGUAGUGGCUAUUUGCAAUGAUUAAUAAGUGUCCCUUGUAAAGUAUGUUUAAGAAGUGUUAAGAAAACCCUUCAUCAAAAUUCAAGUACUUUGCUAUUUGGCCAUACUCUUCCAUGGAGAAAACUCUCUCCAAUGGAAGAUUGACGGGCCAUAGAAUAGCCGUUACUGCAUGGAUUUUUAAUUAAGUUGACAUAUGAUUGAUGUCGAUAUCUUGAAAGGAAUCGAUCAAAGCCUAGUUAGAAUUAGUUUUUUUAUUUAUUUAUAGAAUAAUAUAAAACACUACCAUUUACUAUCUGAUGCAUAACGUUAUCAAUUCGUAUCAUUCGUUGUCCUUAAGACAUGUCAGGAGCCAUGCUCUUAGACCUCAUUGGAUUGGUUUAGUCCAAGUCCAACCAUGAAAUAUAUCUAUUGUAGAGGGUUCUUCUCACAUGUCAUCUGCAACUAGAUGUACACUUUCUGGUGUGCCAAACUCAGGGAAAAAAGAGAGAACAAAUGACUAUAUGAGGUAGUGGCUAUUUGCAAUGAUUAAUAAGUGUCCCUUGUAAAGUACGUUUAAGAAGAGUUAAGAAAACCCUUCAUCAAAUUACAGGUAGUUUGCUAUUUGGCCAUACUCUUCCAUGGAGAAAACUCUCUCCAACAAAAGAUUGACGGGCCAUAGAAUAGCCGUUACUGCAUUUAUUUUUAAUUAAGUUGACAUAUGAUUGAUGUCGAUAUCUUGAAAGGAAUUUAUCAAAUGCCUAGUUAGAAUUAGUUUUCUUUCUAGAAUAAUAUAAAACACUACCAUUUUACUAUCUGAUGCAUAAUGUUAUCAAUUCUUAUCAUUCGUUGUCCUUGAGACAUGUCGGGAGCCAUGCUCUUAGACCUCAUCGGAUUGGUUUAGUCCAAGUCCAACUAUGGAAUAUAUCUAUUGAAGAGGGUUUUGCUCCAAUGUCAUCCGCAACUAGAUGUACACUUUCUGGUGUGCCAAACUCAGGAAAAAAAGAGAGAACAAAUGACUAUAUGAGGUAGUGGCUAUUUGCAAUGAUUAAUAGGUGUCCCUUGUAAAGUAUGUUUAAGAAGUGUUAUGAAAACCCUUCAUCAAAAUACAGGUACUUUGCUAUUUGGCCAUACUCUUCCAUGGAGAAAACUCUCUCCAACGAAAGAUUGACGGGCCACAGAAUAGCCGUUACUGCAUUUAUUUUUCAUUAAGUUGACAUAUGAUUGAUGUCGAUGUCUUGAAAGGAAUCGAUCAAAUGCCUAGUUAGAAUUAGUUUUUUCUAGAAUAAUAAAAAGAACUACAGUUUUACUAACUGGCGUAGGUGAUCAUUGGGCCAAGCAUGCAUUAUAUAUUCAACGAGCCUGCCCUAGACAUAAUUUUAUAUAAACAUUUAGUUUGGGUCGGACCAGACUUUGUAAUGUAAGGGCGUCGCUCAAGUUGGUCUAUUUUUCCUUUCAAGUCGCUUGCUUGUUGAUGACCUUCAAUAACUGGAUCAGUAAUUGAGGAAGAAUAUUGCAUGGUCUACGAAUUCUAUAAACCAAACCCAUCUUAACCAUUGAUCAUAUGGGCUCCGAGAUCCUACACAACUAAUGAUCGGGUGAUAAUGGUCUAUAGAGCAUACAAACCAUGCUAUAACUUCUCCACGUUAGGUGGGUCAGAUGAACAAUUUAAUUCGACUAGCCGCAGUUGCUGUCUACCACACAUAACAUGGACGCAUCACAAGGCCGUCUCUCGUCGGCCCCAGUGAGAUGUAGACAUGGGGAGAAGUAAACGCGGAGUAUGUACAAAUCUGCACAUGCAGAGCGCUUCGUGCCGAGUGAUAUCUACAUUUGUUUAUCUUAUUGGAAUAAUAGACAUAACGUAGAUGAAGAUUGCUGCUUGGGAGUUGACUCAAGUGAUAGACUCGGCUUCAAGUUGGGCAUCCCACUAGUCUUCUCCUCGCCUAGAUCUGGGCGGGCCUGACACCCUCGCCAUGUUUGAAUAAAAAUUCUUUCUGGCAUCAUCUGUCACACUGCGAUCCUCGGUCACGUGCCCAUCCUUCCUUAACUUGGUCGAUUUUAAAAUGCAAUAUCCCAGGACUACGUAUCGCCGACCCUUUCAUUUAUUAAGCACAUGCGGAAGCAGUUAUCAAUCUCCAGACAACAAAACAAUGGGAUAGAAAAGCAGGGCCAUAAUUUUCAUAUUGAAAUUCACAACCACUCUGAUAUACAAGCACCUCAAAGCAUAUAAUGCAAUACUAUUUACAUGGGUCUGAUCUAACACUUACCCACAUAUAAUCAAGGUCUGACAAAACAGGAUGGGAUCUUAGUCCUCAUCCAGAUCGUACUCAAGAUCCUCUUCAUGGUCAUCUUCUUCUCCAAAAUCUUCCUUCUCAUCUGGUUCUACAUUAGGGUUCUCCUCUUCAGAUUCCUCCUCCUUAGGCUCCUCAUCAAGGUCUUGAAAUGGUUAUUCAAUAACCAUUGAGACCACGUCUUAGCAAGUUCUACCCCCUAAGACUCGAUUAGUAAACUAAUACGCUAACCGGGCUGCCUAUGCAUGCACGGGUCAGAGGACUUACCUUGGCCUAAGAUUUCAUCUGCAUAUUAGCAUAGUUUGAUAGGCACCCAAGCAAUCACAGAUCGACAUCUCGAUCAAUCGAUCUAGUCGAUUUCAUGUCAACAUGACAUUUCUCUGGUCAUUUCAAUUCAAUCAAUCAAUUCACAACAUCAAAUCAAAGCAAUGAUCAACCGACCUAAUCGAUUACAUGUUAGCCGGACCAUCUCUUGGUCAUUUAAAUCAAUACUAUUCAUUCUCUAAAAUAACCCAUCAGGAUACCAAGCCAGUGUUUUAUAAGAUUCAUUUUCCUUACUGACAUACCAAGCUACCGAGUAUAUUCAUCAUAACGUCCAUUCUCCAAAAUGACAUAUUGAGUUACCGAGCCGUUAUAGCAUGUCAUCUAUUCUCCAAAAUGACCUAUAGAGUCACCGAGCCGAAAUGGUAUAUCGAGUAUAUUCAUCAUAACGUCCAUUUUCCAAAAUGACAUGUUGAGUCAUCGAGCCGUUAUGGCAUGUCGUCCAUUCUCCAAAAUGACAUAUAGUCACCAAGCCGACAUUGUAUACCGUUUAUUCUACAAAAUGAUCUAUAGGGUCACCAAGCCAGUAUUGUAUACCGUUCAUUCUACAAAAUGACCUAUAGUAUCACCGAGCCGGUAUUGUAUAACAUGAUACUUUGAACGUACAAUUAAUUUGUCAUUUUAUUCAUUCUUGACAAAAGUACACGUGCAUGGGCACACGGUCUGUGACACCCCAAACCCUUCGCAAGUCGUCACCAGUGCCAAUGUUACACCUUAUCACCUUUAUGCUUUGAAGAAGUGUCCUAAUUCGCAGACACGUUUUUUUUUUUUUAAAACAAAGCGGUCCCAGCGCGACUCAUUAGCGGAAGCAAAUUAAAACAUUACUGUCUCUCCCCUUACCAACCAUGAUACAAAUGCACACCACUAAUCACCAUAAUUUUAUAAAUAAGCCACGACACUUUAUUUACAUAUAUUUUCAAGAUGGGAUUUCUUUUGGGUCGGUACAUCAAAAAGGAAAAGCUAGGACUCAGCCACGUCCAGCCUAAAACCUCAAAAAGAAACCUUGACCCUCUACGUUUCACGUGCAACAAUUCCCAUCAUUAGUGUCGGCUAACUAUCCCCAAAAAGAUCCAGCCCCUACUCGUCACGUACAGGCCUCACACCCAACCCGGUGCAUCGGGCGAUGGCGGCGGCAACAUCCCUCGCAUCGCUCCAUCCCGACGAACAUGUACGGAUAUGAACUCCUGAAUAACAAGGCCCUCAGCCAGGCCUACGUCGUACAUUACUAGACAGCGUACUCGAAUAAAAGUCAGUCCAGGGACAGAGGGAUAGUCUAUCUCAGCACACUCGACCUCUACAUCGGAUGGUAGACCGUAAAAUACACCACGCGUGACGGCAGGAAGCGGUAUACUGCUAAUCUGAAAUGUGGGUCCCCAAAGGGGUGAGUACAACCACUCAGCAGAUAAGGAAUCCAAUAAAAAACUCAAUGCAUCAUGCAAAUUUCACAUGCAUUGCAGGCAUUACUUACCUUGAAGCCAUGCGCAUACUAUCAUGCAUCAUUAUAUCAACACAACGAACAGCACACUAUUCCCAGUUGUGAUUGAAGAUANNNNNNNNNNNNNNNNNNNNNNNNNNNNNNNNNNNNNNNNNNNNNNNNNNNNNNNNNNNNNNNNNNNNNNNNNNNNNNNNNNNNNNNNNNNNNNNNNNNNNNNNNNNNNNNNNNNNNNNNNNNNNNNNNNNNNNNNNNNNNNNNNNNNNNNNNNNNNNNNNNNNNNNNNNNNNNNNNNNNNNNNNNNNNNNNNNNNNNNNNNNNNNNNNNNNNNNNNNNNNNNNNNNNNNNNNNNNNNNNNNNNNNNNNNNNNNNNNNNNNNNNNNNNNNNNNNNNNNNNNNNNNNNNNNNNNNNNNNNNNNNNNNNNNNNNNNNNNNNNNNNNNNNNNNNNNNNNNNNNNNNNNNNNNNNNNNNNNNNNNCAUAUCAUCAUCAUGCAUAUCAUGCCAUGGGUUAAUUUCAUCUUUUAUCUUUAAAUUGAUCACACAUCACCCAUUCUCAAAUCAUCAAUUUCAUCAUCCCUUCGGGCAAAGACUCCGACAGGGCUCCUAGCAUUCCAGCCAUCCCAUGGCCACUGGGCUUCCGGCCCCCCACAUUCCGGGCAUCUCGCAUCUCAACUAGCAUCACGAGGCAUUCCCUUCGGGCAAAAACCUCCGACAGGGCUUCCGGCAUUUACACAUCCCGCACCCCUACUGGCAUCGCGAGGCAUUCCUUUCGGGCAAAGACCUUCGACAAGGCUUCCGGAAUUAUGUACCGACAUACCACCAAGAUCCCCCCCUCCUCUGGAAUUACGUACCGUAUACCACCGGGCAUCCUGACACUCCCGGGGAAUCUCCGGAAUUACGCUACUAGGCCACCGAGCAUCAUCAUCCACCACAACCACUUCCUCACUUACCAUUAUCCACAUUUACCAUUAUUCUGAUCUCAAUUUAACUGUCAUAUGGCGUGACAUCAAACAAGUCAUACUUGGCACACAUGCAUCACAAUUCAAUGUCAUACAUACACCGAUAUCUCAUUAUACAUGCAACAAUGCAUAAUUAUUUAUUAAUAAAUUCAAUGGAAUUUAUGGCCAAUAAAAUAAUCCAUUUUAUUUUAUUAUUUAUUUAUUUAUUUAUAAUAAAUAAAUAUUAAAUUCAAUAUCUAUAAAUUCCCAAAAUUAUAAAAAUUCAAGCAAUCAUUAAAAAAACCAAUAGGAUGACAAUUUCAUGCAAAAUUCAUGGCCAAAUUGAAUUUCACACAAUUUCACAAUUUCCACAAAAUAACACAAAUAUUCGGAUAAAACCAGAAUGCACAGUUUCCGAAGAAAUUCGAUUAAAAUAUCCAUAUAGUCUCCAAAAAUUACGAAAUUUUACAGAGUGAUAGCCAAGAAAUUUUCGCACAACUUUCAUGAAGAACUCCAAGCCAGAUUAUUUUUAGAUUAUUUUAUACAACCUCACGAAGCUUCUGGAUCCAUUACCGCAUCGUCCAGUGCACAUAUCACUGAAAUAUUGAGAUUUAACCUACCUAUUCGCUUUUUUUUCCACUGAAAUUUAGAUAUGUUAUACAUCAAGGUGUCCUCUACAAGUUUCAUGAAGAGAUCCAAGUCAAAUAACCAGAGUAGAGUCAUCAUUUAGGUCCUUGAAGUCUCAGGUAUCUCGGAAUACAUCACCAGAAUCAUCUUCUUCAUGAUCUAGUCGAUUUACUAGGCUAUACUUGUUGAUUUCACUUCAAAUUUGAGUAUGUUGUAUUUUAAGAUGCCUCCUACAACUUUAAUGAAGAAACCGAAGUGAGAUUCUCAACAAAAACCAACAUGCAACCACGAAUCCAACAAGAGGUCAGUAAAAACUCUUCAGAUAUGAGGUCUCCGUAGAACAAGACUUUAACCCCUCAAAUAUCCAUCAUUUUUCACGAAAUUUCAGUAUGUUGUAGUUAAAGAUGUUAGCUACAACUCUCAUGAAGAAAUCGAAGCAAAAAUCGGACUCUAAAUACGCAUGCAAGCUCAAACAAGUUACUGACUCACACGAUCCGAACACAAACAGCCAUACCUUCCAACAUGCAUCAUCCAUGCUUCGGUUUUUCUCACUUAAACACUCAAAGAUUCAACAUGCAAACAACACACAAGCAUGCAAGAGAAGCUAGAGGACUCCCACUUGCCUCUAGAACGGACGGUCGACGGUGAACGGCAGCGAACACGGCGGCACACAGCAGUUCCCUCCUCCUUUCUCUCUCGGCCGCUCCUCCUCUCUCGCACAACUCUCUCUCUCUCGCACACCUCUCUCUCUCUCUCUCUCUCCUUGGGCAAGCAAAAUGGCCGGCCACCCUCUCUCUCUCUCCCUUCUUAUACCCCCCUAGAGCCCAUCAUUUGCAAUCAUGAGAUUGCCUUUCAAUUGGCCAAUGCAUGGCCUUCCCUUUUGCCACUUGUCAUAUUGAAUUUUUGAAUUGGAUUUGGGCUUCUUGGGCUUGGGCCAUCCGGCCACUUCUUGGGCCUCCUCUAGGGCUGGUCGACAGCCCACUUGGGCCACUAUUGGGCCGCCCAUCUUGGUCCAUUAAAGGCUUAGGCCAAUGGGCCUAAGGCCCAUCCUAAAAAUUUAACCUUUUUCUUCUCUUUUUUUUUUGAAUUCUUCUAUAAAUAUUUUUAAAUUUCAAUUUUCAUCUUGGCCAAAGUCUUGGGGCAUUUUAUUUAUUGAAAUUUAAUUUAUAAAGUACAUGGCCAAGCAUAAAUUAUUAAUCUCUCAAAUUUAAAUUUUCACAAUCAUAUGCACAAAUCAUCUAAAUUAAAAGACUAAUGGCUAAAACAUAAGCCAUAGAAAUUUUUAUCACCUAAUUAAAGACUUUAACACACCUUAUGGCUUGGCUUUUGAAUUUUGGGAUGCCACACGGUCGGUCUUAGCCAAAAUAUUAUGAUUUUCUUUCCAUAAAUCCCACCCUUAUCUGUAGUCCACCAAAACAUUUUUGGUGCUGUCAACCAACACCCGGUUUUUUUUCCAAUUAAUAACCAAAGAUUAUUCAAUUAAAGAAUAAUUCUCAAUUUCACAAAUAAUUCAACUCAACACAGAAUAAAACUCAAUUAAAUAAACGGACUGCACCACGAAAAUUAGCAUAAAAUUCCGGUCGUUGGCUAUCCCAGCCUUAUUUUCGAAAAAUAAAUAAUUAAUUAAAUUAAUUUCGAAAAUAAAUGAUUAAAUACUAAAAGUCCAAUUUAGGCCCAUAAUGCCUGAUUGGAUGCCAGAAUGGGUCGGGAAAAAUCCCGAGAUGCAUUCAAUAAAUAAUAGUACAUCUCUACUUGCUAAUUACACUAAUCAAUCAUCUAACAUGUAUCAUUAAGUUACUAAUUAAAUUACUCUAAACUAAUAUAACCACCUAAUUGCACUUAAUUAAAUCUAAUAAACCCUUAAGCAUAAUUAGCAGCUAAGAAAGCAUUAGUGAGUAAAACUCACUUGGUAAAAGUGGAGACCAAAUCACCGCAACAGCGAUGCGACGGCAGUUGAAAUCGGNNNNNNNNNNNNNNNNNNNNNNNNNNNNNNNNNNNNNNNNNNNNNNNNNNNNNNNNNNNNNNNNNNNNNNNNNNNNNNNNNNNNNNNNNNNNNNNNNNNNAAUCCUGAAAGCCAAGUGUACCGGCGGGCUUGGACCGGGCCUUGACCUUGGCCCAAAAAAUCUCAGCUCAACUGAGGUUUGUUCUUGCUUUGGACCGGGUUCGCUCUUGGGCUUGGGCUUGACUGCAAAUGGGCUUUCUUCGCGGGCCAGUUUUCACUUGAUUUGCUGAAAUUGGGCCGAGUAAGUUGCACAAAGGAAACUGGGCUGAUCAGUGGGCUGAAGACUGCUGGAGAUGGGCCAAAUUUGGACUGACUUCACUGACUUAUGGGCUGGAUGGACUCAAUUCUUUGGGCCCGCGAGACUGAAGGGGCUGGGUUGAAACCUGAAGACGCUGGGCUGAUGGGCCGCUCGAUUGCACGCGUGCAGCUUUGCGCAAUUGCUGGCAGCUGGGAUCGGGGCAUGCGGGCGCUGGAAUUCUUGAAGAUGUUGAGCCCACUUCACGAAGAUCAACGGACGAGGAAGCAGCUGGCGGGUGGUCUUCGAACGGUGCUGCUCGAGGUAACGGCAGGGGGUGUCGCAUGUGAAGUUGCUGGGUUGGGCCGCUUCGCACGAGCUGAAGAAGACGCCGUGAAGAACGGAGCUGCUUCGACUUCGCUCGGUGGUCAACCAAAUGGGAGCAACCUGCGGCUGUUGACCAAAGAAUCGCGGUGCAUGGACAAGUGGCGCAGACGUGCGGAGACUUGGACGUCGCUAGAGUUGAGUUCAAUGGAGCUGAAGACACACGGCCACAAGGUCAACAAAAUAGGAAAUCGGCUGGCUUCGUUUGUAACUUUUGUGGCCGAGAGAGAGAGUGAGUGGGUGAGAGGGAUAGGUGAGAGAAACAACACGGGGAGAGAGAAUUUCGGUGGAGAAGGGGGAAAAAGGCGUCCGUUGGCGCUGCACUUGGUGGAGUUUCGCUCUUCAAGGCAAACAAGAUAGAGAGAGAGACGAGUAGGUGGUGCGGGUUUUGCUCGAGAAAAAGGGUAAGCGGAGAGAGCAAAUGAGCUGCUGCUGGCACCGUGGAAUUUGAUCCGAGAGAGUUUGAAGGAGGAUGAGGCGGCUGUCGAGGCGUGCGGGAGAAGCAGCUGGUGGAGGGCCCCAAAGUCAAGCAACUCAAUCCAAUACAUUAAAUGUUUUGGCCCCCACAAGCCCACAAUACAAUCCUCUUUGUCCCCCUAAUCACUUUCAAGCUUAUCAUCUCACAAAUAAACUAAUUUAAAGUCCAAAAUUGUUGCCCUCAUCCAAUCAUACGAAUUUCACCAUUUGAACUUCAAAUUUUCAUCAAAUUUUCCAAAUUUGAUGUCCAUUGUUGUAGAAAAAAACGCCAUACUAUUUCUGCAAGUGUCCAUUGCCAAAUAGCUCAGUUUGAAAAUCCAAAUUUCCUUUAAUUGAGCCCAUCCGAAUUUCUGUUGAUUUUCCGUAAAAAUCCCGGAAUCUCCGAAAAAUCUUCUGAGAUUGAGUCAACGUUCCUAAAAUAGCUUGUGACAUCACAGAACUUUCAAUUUCUGAAAUUGGGUUCGAAUUCACGGUUAAUUUCCAUUCGACGUGUUUUUAGCGUGACCUAGACUACCGGGUAACUUUCAGAACUUUUCAGUGCAAAUGACCUGUGGUCGAUUUUCUUCGAGCCACAAUGAACCCACUUGACUCAAUGAUGACUUUCGAUUGUCGUGAAAAUUUCAAGGAUUCGAAUACGGACACAGGGUACCAAAACGAUAAGAAAAUCAGUUUAGUGUUGGUCGAUGAUAAUUUUCCCAUUUAGUGGUGUCACCUACGAUGAGCCACACAUCUCAGUCGAACCAACCUAUCUCUGAUCUCGAAUCGACUUAUAUCUGUGCCAUAAUGGCCUCUAAAGAUGAGCACGGUCAAGUAGCCAAUUCCUGGUCAAAUUCUCAAGUCUAUUUGCCUUAAAAUUCUUAAUGGUUUCCCCAUAUAGUCUAGUCAUCUCCAGAAUGAUUAGUUCUGAGAACAGUCCUAUAGAUGUGUCAAUGAAAUGCCCGAUUUAUUCAAUAGAAAACAUGACUGAAAAUCUGGGAUGUCACAUCAUUCCAUUUCGAGGUCUCACAAAAACCCCUCAGAUGGUUCCACAAUUUGUUCUGCGUACAAUAAUGUGUCGAACUACUUCAACAAAUAUCCAGCAUCUAAUGUUCGUACAGCAGUAUCCACAACUCCUUUGCGCGCUUCGUGGCAAGAAAUGAUAUAUUCUGUCUCCUUCACGUAAAUUGCUUUGAAUGGAUAAAUCCACUCAUACCGUGGCAAGAAAUCGUUUGUCCUUGAGGAUUUGACAUUAAUCCACUCAUACCUACUAAUUGUUGUACAUGAGAUUCAUUUCCUCUGGCUCCUAAAAAAGGCAUUAUAUGGAUUGGAUAGGGGUAUUUCCUCUGGCGCAGAGGCCCUCGCCCAGACCAACUUGAGGCUGGUGAUGGUCAUUUGGCAAGCCAUUGGCAACCUUGCCGAUGCUUGCCAAAUGGUAAGGAAAAGAUUUUAAAAAAAAAAUUGGAAAAAAAAAUAAUCCUGAAAAAUAUUAAAAAUAAUAAAAAUUGUCCUGUUGGUACCGGUCGUACUACGUAGGACUCUCAGUAUCCAUGUUAGCAAUUUCCAGCCUAAAUUAGCCAGAUGAACUCCAUUGGUACUGUCACGUCCCGAACCUCGAGCACACGCACAUCUCACUGCGGUCGAUUUAAAUGAGCUACGUUCCCAGGACGCAUCGCCAACCCAUUCAUUUUAUAUGCACAUGCAAAAAUGUAUUAUAAAACUCCUGACAAUAAAAUAUGGGAUAAAAAAGCAGGAAGCAAUUUCACAACCAAUCACUUACAUAAACCAAUGGAGUUUACAAACAGAGGUUUACAACCAAAAAUCUACAAAAGGGUGACUUAUAAAAAGGGACCAUCCUACGACCUAUAAGUCGAAUAUGAUCUCCAAUUCUUCAACUUCACCUCUGUAACUCCACAAGGCCAACCAUAACGAACUGAUCGCUCCAUCCACUAGUGACCUGAAAAUGUAAGCCCACAACGGGGUGAGACAUUAUCUCAGCAAGUUCACCUCUAUGGCCUAGCCAUACCAUCACAAACAAUGAGACUCGCCUUCGCCUCAAUUCCUUCCUGCAGGUUAGCACAGUUCAUACUACUCAAGCAUAUGCAGUAAUAAGAACUUAAAUAACCGGAAUGCAAACACUUUCACAUAACCAACAAUCACAGGAGUCCUGAUUAUAAGACCGGAUUGCUAUGACACGUCCCAUAAUCCGGCUCAUUCAACAACACUUAGCAUGUGUUCCAAUUGUUAUUCACUGCCACAUAUGGGCAUAGCCUACUCAUGGUUCGGCUAUCUACUAGCAUUUUGCCAGGCAUCGUCUCCCCACCUUGGAGCACAGCUUUGUCACUAUGUCGACGGCGUUCCCGAAGGAGCAUAGGCCCAGAAUCUACUGCGACCCGCAUCUGUUGUAUGAGGCAUCCCAAAUAGGGCAAGUCUAGCUCAAUAGCUUAGGACAAUUCCUCUUUAUUAUCACACAAUUAAUUCAUACUCGACCCAGGACACUUUGCAUUUCACUCAAGGCUUCCAUUAAAAUAGUAAUCUCGGCCUCUUUUCUUCAUAUUGAAAACGUUCAAGAAAUUAUUCACGUGUGUGGGGCACGUUAAUUUCGAACCAGAAAAAACUAAUAUCUUACUUUUUCAAACCCCACUAUUUAAUAUAAUCCUUAAAAUCCAAUUUCGAUGUCAAACCCGACACAUGGGAUUUUCCUGAAUAAAAUCCAUAUUUUUCACAAUCAACACUCAAUUUGCAAUAUCCAACCAUCAAAUUCAAUCUACAUACAUAAUAGCGAUCAACACAAAAUUCUGACGAUUUAUGAUCCCGGAAUAAUUUCCGAAAAAUAAUAAAUAAUUAAAUUUAUUCAGAAAAUUAAUUAAAUAAUAAUAUUUUAUUUAUAUUAUAUAAUAUACAUUUUUAUUAAAUAAUUAAAUAAAUUCGAAAUAAUUAAUUAAUCUAAAAUAAUUAAUUAAGGACUAAACAAGAUUACACUAAUCUAAAUAUCCACUUAACCUUACUUAAUCAUACAUUAAAUUAAUCACACCCCUUAAUCUAAUCCACACUUAACUAAACUUAUCUAACCAAUUAAACUCACUUAACUUAAACUAAACAUCCUUAAAGCAUCAUUAACCUUCUAAGCGAGGAUUAGUGAGUUAAACUCACUUGCUUAACGAGCCGAACGGACCAAAACGACGGGAACGUCGCAAGGGUUGGCUUUCCUCAAGGUGGGCCAAGCUUUCGGGGUCGGGAAGCCAGUGAAAACAGGCCAAAUAGUCGCUGCAAUACCUAUUUUCCUGCGCAUUGUGUUGGUGCCGAAGGAGGGGGAAGCGGGCUGGCUUAGGACCGAAACAAGUAAGGAAGACCGGCGGAGGCUUUGGACGGGCUUUUGGGGAGGUCGACGACGGCUCACAGUGGCAAAGACGAGCUCCGACAGCUCUUGGGACGCAUGGACAAAGGCUGAGGCGCAGCUAUGGUGGUGAGCAAGCGUGAGCGAGCGCGGGGUAGCGGCGGUGCACGAGACGAUGAGUGGCGACAGCGUGCAAUCCAGCAGUGGCAUGCGACGGCGACGAGCGGCACUGCUGGCUACUGCUUCAGCUUCCCUGGGUUGCUGGGCGUCAAACAGCAGCUGGAGAUGGAGGAGAGAGGGCUUCGAUAAUGCAGGAGGAAGAGAGGGGCGGAGGUGCGUGUGGUUGGACGGACGUCCGACGGCUUCCGAUGGGCUUGUGGUGUGGCAUCCCAAAAUUCAAAGCCAAGCCAUAAGGUGUGUUAAAGUCUCUAAUUAGGUGAUAAAAAUUUCCAUGGCUUAUGUUUUAGCCAUUAGUCUUUUAAUUAGAUGAUUUGUGCAUAUGAUUGUGAAAUUUUAAAUUUGAUAGAUUAAUAAUCUAUGCUUGGCCAUGCACUUUAUAAAUUAAAUUUCAAUAAACAAGAUGUCCCAAGACUUUGGCCAAGAUGAAAAUUUGAAAUUUAAAAAUAUUUAUAGAAAAAAAAGGGAAAAAGAGGGUAAAAAUUCGAUUGGGCCUUAAGCCCAAGAGUGGAACUUUAAUGGGCCAAGUUGGCCGGCCCAUUGAAUCCCACAAGUGGGCUGUCGACCAGCCCAAGAGGAGGCCCAAGAAGUGGCCUGAUGGCCCAAGCCCAAUAGAAGCCCAAGCCCAAAGCCCUUGCAUGUGUGGUGACAAGUGGCAAAGGAGAAGGCCAUGCAUUGGCCAAAUUGAAAGGCAAUCUCAUGAUUGCUAAUCAUGAGAAGUUGGGGAAAUAAAAGGGAAGAGAGAGAGGAGAGUGGCCGGAUCCCAUUCGGCCGAGAGAGAGUUGUGCGAGAGAGAGAGAUCGUGCGAGAGAGGAGGAGCGGCCGAGAGAGAGAGGAGGAGGAACCGCCAUCCGUCCGCUGUGUGCCGCCGUGUUCACCGCCCUACGCCGUCGACCGACCGGUCUAGAGGCAAGUGGGAGUCCUCUAGCUUCUCUUGCAUGCUUGUAUGUCGUUUGCAUGUUGAACUUUUGGGUGUUAGAUGAGAAAAACCGAAGCAUGGAUGAGUUGUGUGUGGAUGGUGUGACUGUUCUUGCUCGGAUCGUGUGAGUCAGUAACUUGUUUGAGCUUGCAUGUGUGUUUAGAGUCCGAUUUUGGCUUCGAUUUCUUCAUGGGAGUUGUAUCUAACAUCUUGAACUACAACCUACUGAAAUUUCGUGGAAAAUAAUGGAGAUUUGAGGGGUUAAAGCCUCAUCAUAAGGAGACCUCAGAUCUGGAGAGUUUUUACUGACCUCUUGCUGGAUUCGUGAUUGCAUGUUGGCUUGUGAUGAAAAUCUCACUUCGAUUUCUUCAUGAAAGUUGUAGGAGAUAUCUUAAAAUACAACAUAAUAAAAUUUUAAGUGAAAUGAACAAGUAUAGCCUAGUAAAUCAACUAGAUCUUGAAGACGAAGAUUCUGGUGAUGUAUUCCGAGAUACCCGAGACUUCAAGGACCUAAAUGAUGACUCUAAUCUGGUUAUGUGACUUAGAUCUCUUCAUGAAAAUUUUAGAGGAUAUAUUGAUGUAUAACAUAUCCAAAUUUCAGAGGAAACGAAAGAGAAUAGGUAGGUGAAAUCUCAAUAUUUCGGAGAUGUGUACACUGGACGAUGCGGUAAUGGAUCCAGAAGCUUCGUGAGACUGUAUAAAAUAAUCUAAAAAGAAUAUGGUUUGGAGUUCUGAAUGAAAGUUGUACGAAAAUUUCUUGGCUAUCACUCUGUGAAAUUUCGUAAUUUUUGGAGGCCGUAUAGAUAUUUUAAUCGAAUUUCUUCGGAAACUGUGCAUUCUGGUUUUAUCCGAAUAUUAUGUGCUGUUUUGGGGAAAUUGUGAAAUUGUGUGAAAUUCAAUUUGGCCAUGAAUUUUGCAUGAAAUUGUCAUCCUAUUGGUUUGUUUAAUGAUUGCUUGAUUUUUUUAUAAUUUUGGGAAUUUAUAGAUAUUGAAUUUAAUAUUUAUUAAUAAUAAUAAUAAAAUAAAAUGGAUUAUUUUAUUGGCCAUAAAUUCCAUUGAAUUUAUUAAUAAAUAAUUAUACAUUGUUUCAUGUAUGAUGAGAUAUUGGUGUAUGCAUGACAUUGAAUUGUGAUGCAUGUGUGAAUUCUAUGCCAAGUAUGACUUGUUUGAUGUCACGCCAUAUGCCAUGUUAAAUUGAGAUCAAAAUAAUGGUAAAUGUGGAUAAUGAUAAGUGAGGAAGUGGUUGUGGUGGAGGAUGAGGCCGGAAUGUAUAGAGAUGCAUUGUCGGAUUUCACUUGGAGAUUCAGGAUGCCCGGAAUGUGGGGGGCCGGAAGCCCUGUCGGAGGUCUUUGCCCGAAGGGAAUGCCUCGCGAUGCCAGGAUUGGGGUGCGGGAUGCCCGGCCAGAGAGUGUAAAUGCUGGAAGCCCUGUCGGAGGUUUCUGCCCAAAGGGAAUGCCUCGUGAUGCUAGUUGAGAUGCGAGAUGCCCGGAAUGUGGGGGGCCGGAUGCCCGGUGGCCUGGGAGGCUGAAUGCCGGAAGCCUCAGAGGUCUUUGCCCGAGGGGAUGAUGAAAUUGAUGAUUUGAGGAAUGGGUGAUGUGGUGAUCAAAUUGAAAGCUAAAAAUGGAAAUUAAACCAUGAUAUGAUAUGCAUGAUGAUAUGCAUGAUGAUGAUAUGUGAUGUGAAAUAAUGAUGAUCACCCAUGAUAUGAUAUGCAUGAUGAUAUGUGAUGUGAAAUAAUGAUGAUCACCCAUGAUAUGAUAUGCAUGAUGAUAUGCAUGAUGAUGAUGAUGAUGAUGAUGAUGAUGAUGAUGAUGAUGAUAUGUGAUGUGAAAUAAUGAUGAUCACCAAUGAUAUGGUAUGCAUGGUGAUAUGCAUGAUGAUGCUGAUGAUGAUGAUAUAUGAUAUGGCAUGGUGAUAUGCAUGAUGAUUGAUGUCAUGAUGAUGAUGACAUGUAUGAUGUAAUGAUGCCAUGAUGAUGAUGACAUGUGUAAUGUGAUGAUGUCAUGAUGAUGAUGACAUGUAUGAUACGAUGAUGAUACACAUGUAUGUGUUAUAAAUUGAUAUGACGAUGCAUGAUAGUAUGCGCAUGGCUUCAAGGUAAGUAACGCCUGCAAUGCAUGUAUGAUUUGCCUGAUGCAUUGAGUUGUUAUUGGAUUCCUUAUCUGCUGAGUGGUUGUACUCACCCCUUUGGGGACCCACAUUUUAGAUUAGCAGUAUGCCGCUUCCUACCGUCACGCGGGGAGUAUUUUACGGUCUACCAUCCGAUGUAGAGGUCGAGUGUGCUGAGAUAGACUGUCCCUCUAUUCCUGGACUGACUUUUAUUCGAGUACGCUGUCUAGUGAUGUACGACGUUGGCCUGGCUGGGGGCCCUGUCAUUCAGGAGUUCAUAUCCGUACAUGUUCGUCGGGAUGGAGCGAUGCGAGGGAUGUUGCCACCACCACCGCCUGAUGCACCGGGUUGGGUGUGAGACCCGUGCGUGACGAGUAGGAGCUGGAUCCUUUUUGGAUAGUUAGCCGACACUUACAAUUGGGGUUUUACAUGUGAGAUGUAGAGGGUCAAGGGUUCUUUUUGAGGUUUUAGGCUGAACAUGGCUGAGUCCUAGCUUUUCCUUUUUGAUGUACUGACCCAAAAGAAGUCCCAUCUUGAAAAUAUAUGUAAAUAAAGUGUCGUGGUUUGUUUAUAAAAUUAUGGUGAUUAGUGGUGUGUAUUUGUAUCAUGGUGGGUAGGGGGAGAGACGGUGAUGUUUUAAUUUGCUUCCGCUAAUGAGUCGCGCUGGGACCGUUUUGUUUAUAAAAAAAAAUGUGUCUGCGAAUUAGGACACUUCUUAAAAGGAGAAAGGUAAUAAGGUGUAACAUUGGCGCUGGUGACGACCUGCGAAGGGUUCGGGGUGUCACAUGCGGUGGCGUUCCGAUGUGAGGUGUGCGACGACGGGGCUCCUCGAUUGUUCUUCUAGCUUGCUGAGGUCUUUGCACAGCAGGGAAAGGGAGGAGAGAAGCGACGGCAGCAACAAGGAAGAAGGGGGGCCGGUCCUCUCUCUCUCUCUCUCUCUCUCUCAAACAUGGCCCACCAAGAGUUCUCUUCCACCAACAAUUUCUAGACCAAAUUGCCCUCUUCUAGAAGCUUUAAGAGGUCCAAAUGUUGGGUCCAAUGGGGCAUACGAAUUUGUACAUUUCCCACUUCAAUCUCAAUCAAUUUCAAUCAAUUCUCAACCAAACAAAUCCAAUUGAAGCCCAAUUAAAUCCAUCAAGGUGUUCUUGUCCAUCUCAUGACUUUUCCUCAUCAAUUUAUCCAACUUGACAGUCAAAGAUGCGAUAAAAAACGGCCUUACUUUGCUUUUCUACCAAAAAUCUCGGUUUGUAGAAAAAUCUUCUAAGGGUGAGUCGACAUUCAUAAAAUGAAUUGUGAUAUGGCAGAACUUUCAAUUUCUGAAAUUGGGUUUAAAAUCACGGUUAAUUUCAAUCUGGCGUGACUUUAGUGCGUCAUAAUCUACCAGGUAGCUUUUAUGAACUUUCCGUGCAAUUGACCCGUGGUCGAUUGUUUUUGAGCCACAAAGUGCAUCUUUGACACAUUAGCGACUCUUGGUUGUCGUAGAAAUCUCAAUGUUUCAAAUACGGACACAGUGUACCAAAACGACAGAGAAAUCGGUCUACCGAUCAACAAGAUUUGUGCAAUUAGGUGGAAUCACCCACACUUAAUCACAUGCCUUUGUCAAGUCGACCUAUCUUCGGUCUCUAAUCGAUCUGUGUCGCAAUGACCCUUGCAGAUUAGCACGAUCGAGCAGUCGAUUCUUGAUCAAAUUCUCAAGUCUAUUGUAUUUAGAUUCCUUAACGGCUUCACCUAAUAGACUAGUUAUCUCAUGAGUGGCCAACUCAGAGAAGAGAGCUAUAGAUGCGAAGAUGAAAUGCCCGACUUAUUUAAUUGAAACUAGAAUUGUGAAACUGGGAUGUCACAGGUACCAAUGUGAAAAUGUUCAGGGUUAAAUUGGUCAAAUUAAAAUGUUUAUGAUUGAAUUGUUAUCAACGCAAUAAGUUAAGACUUUUUUGGUACUUUUUCCCAUAAAAAAUUGCCAACUGAUUGUAAUAGUCUACCGAUGUUUAUUUUUAUAUCUUACCAAUGCCGUGAAGGUUACUAAUUUAACAAAGCAAUUGCCAGCCUUGAUUUGAUUAUUGUAUCAACAUUCGACAUGGUAAGACACCAAUUACUUUUAUUCACAUAGCAUUUUUUUUUUUUUAUAACUUGCUAGGUUUGGAAAAGUAUCACCAUUCACGGUUGGUAGAAUGUAACAACACUUAAUAUUGCGACUUCUUGAUGCCUUCAAAGUUUCCAGCUUUUAUUGGAAAUAAUCAAAAUUAAUUAAAUUGUGAUAUCAACUAAUUUUAGUUACUUACCAAUGAUCUCGAUGACAUACAAUCGCGGCUUUAAGAAGAAAAAAUUGUAUAGAAUAAAGGAAAUUACACUUAGCUCCACAUGGCGGGAAAAGAGUAUGAAGUGAAAUUACAAAUUUAAUAAUCGCCAACACAAAAAACAGUCUUCUUUCUGGUGGGUUUCACUUGAGCAAUCCUUCAUAAGAACAACCUAAAUUAGCCGGAUGGACUCAAUUCGAGCCUUCACUCAAUUCAAGCUUCUUCGAUUCUCAAGGUUUUCUCUAUCCUCUGCUUGAUUAUGAAUUUAGUCGUUCUCUGUUUGUCAAUUGUUAUAUGUAAUUCACUGUUUCUCAAGCUUCAGUCUUUGUUUUGUUUUUUUUUUCCCCUGUAACAAAGAUAUAAUAGAAAUCCGUUUGUGUAGGUUUUUGUUCUUGAGAAUAAAUUUCGAAUAGAAACAAGAAACAAGAAAAAAAAAUUACUUUUUUUUGUUCCUUGGAACAACUCAACAAUCAAGCCAAAAUAUUUUCUUUUUUUUUUAAUCUUUUUUCUUUUCUUUCUUUUCUCCUCCCAAACUUCUUCCCUAACCGGUCGCUAGCCUCGGCCAUGAUUGGCCGGUGAACGGCUAAAUGAGGCCUAGCGACCUUGCCAGAGCCUCGUCGACCCUUAGCGAGGUCGCUCGAAGCGUCAUUGUGGUUGGGGGAGAUGACCUCGCCCAGAUCUAGUGACGUCAAACCUUACCUAACCAAGCAAUGCCUACCUUGUGGAGGCCAAGUGUGAGGUGGAGCCUCGUCAAUAGCUAGGUGAGGCUCAACCUCGCCUUGGUUGGGUGAGGUCAAUUCUAAGUCACAAAAAUAUUUAGGUGUCAUAUCAAAUGCAUUUCCAUUCUGAGAAUAGAAAUUUUAUACAAUUAUCAAACAAAGUCUUCUACUUAGAAACUUAUCCAAGGAACAUAAAUAGGAAAAAUUAUUUUUAAAUAGAAAUUAUUCUCUAGAAUAGAAAUGUUACUAUAUGCAUCCUAAAACUGUUCUUUUCUUUGGUUAUCUUCUUCCAAAAAUUUUCGUAACGUUAAAGCUGCAUUGAUUUUGUGCCAAUUUAAGCAUUUUCUGCCCUUAGAAGUGCCUUGACCCAAUCCAAUUGCCUGAGAAGUUGCACUUUUUAGAGUCUCUUUGAUAUUUGUUUUGUACUUUGUUCCUUUCCCCCUUUUUUGGGCUCAUAGAUCUUUGCAAAUUGAUGAUUCAUGCCAUAACAUAACAUCAUGAAGUUCCCAAAGAAGAAAUUAGUCGAUAUUAAGCCUCUAGCUCUCGCUAAAUCUUACAUUCAUCUUCCUGGGGAAGUUUGAAACUCUAUUCUUGCUCUAUUUUUCAAUUUAUUUUUAUUUUUAUUUUUUUGGCGAUGUACAGGCAAAGGGCAUUGACUUGUGCUCAUUCAUCUCCUUUGGCCCCGGAAUGGAAGUACGAGAUUGGACGCAGUUCCUCUGUAUAACCUCAUGAAUCUCUUUAUCUUUGUUGAAUUGUCAACACAACCAUGAUUUUUUUUUUUUUGAGGACUCCUAUAAGGAUAGGCUGCAUUCAUUUCUUGUCUAUGCAAAAUUUGUCCAAGAAGGUAUGGCAUCUUUCCUGAGGCCAGAAAACAAACAGAGUCAAUAUAAGUAUGAUAUUUUCUCGAGUUUCCGAGGUGAAAAUAUACGCAAAAACUUUGUUGACCAUCUGCACAAUCAUUUGCAACGAAGAGGAAUCAUGGCCUUCCGAGAUGAUCACCACCCAGAUCUUCAGAGGGGAAAAUGCAUUAAACCUGAAAUAUUGAGGGCAAUACAACAAUCAAGACUUGUACUUGUGAUAUACUAUAAAAACUACGCUUCUUCUACUUGGUGCCUAGAAGAAGUUGCUAAGGUUGUGGAGUGCAAGGAUAUCAAUGAAGGAUCAAUGAUACCAAUUUUCUAUGAGGUUGAUCCAUCUGACAUACGGAAACUGAGGGCAAACUUUGGGAUAGGCUUUGCUAAAAUUGAGGAAGCUUAUUUAUGCUACAAGAGAGAUAUAAAGAAGUAGAAGGAUGCAGUGAGUAAAGUAGCUUGUCUCGUCGGCAUAGAAUUGAAAGAUGGGUGGGCCUCUCUUCCACUAACUUGGAAUGAUUUGUUUUCCCUAAUAUUUGCAUGCCACUCAUGUCAUGACCAUCAUACUUUGUAUUAUGUUAGUUCAUUUGAACCAGAAUACACUCCAGAACUAAAAAGCCUCAAUGCUUUCUAGGGAACUAAUCAUCUGCAUUUCUACAUUGCAGAUAUGAGACUGAGUUCAUUCAGCAAAUCAUUGGAGAAGUCGAAAAUAAACUGGGUCCUCGGCUGUUCUAUGUCGUAGGCGGUCUUGUGGGAAUGCAUUCCCACGUUGCAAAUGUAGUUGAAUGUUUAUGCUUGGACGAGAGCGAUGUGCGCAGUAUUGGCAUGUGGGGUAUGGGUGGCGUAGGCAAAACAACUAUUGGACGAGUAGUUUGUGAAAAAAUCCGUGGCCAAUUUAAUGAUGGAUGUUGUUUUCUUGCCAAUGUCAGAGAAAUUUCAAAAAAGAAUGGUAUAGUGUAUAUACAAAACCAGUUUCUUGGUGAUAUUGUCGAAGACGAUAAUUUGAGAAUUGGGGAUGAUCACAGAGGUGCGAACAUGAUAAUAGAAUGACUACAACAUAAAAAAGUUCUUGUUAUACUUGAUGACAUGGAUGAAAAGGAGCAGAUGGAAAAAUUAGCAAGAGGUUUUGAUUGGUUUGGAAGUGGAAGUAGGAUCAUUAUAACAACCAGAGAUGAACAUUUGCUUCUCCAAUAUGGAGUAAAUUCCAUAUAUAAGGUGGAUGAACUAUCCUUUGGUGAGGCUCUCCAACUAUUUUGUUUGAAAGCUUUUAGAAGUAACCAUCCUCCAGUAGAGUUCAAUGAGCUCGUGGAGCAGGUUAUUGUACACACUAAUGGCCUUCCUCUAGUGCUUGAUGUCUUAGGUUCUUUUUUGGCUUGUAGGAGCUUGAUGCAAUGGAAGAGUGCACUAGCCAGACUUAAAGAAUGUUCAGAAGGGAAAUUUUUUUAUUUGCCUAGGUUAAGUUAUGAUGGACUACAGUAGAAAGAGAAGGAGAUUUUCCUAGAUAUUGCUUGUUUUUUCAAGGGAAAUGAGAAACCUUAUGUUAUGGAGGUUCUGGACCAUUGCGGCUUGUAUGCAGAUAUUGGAAUCAAAGUCCUUGUCGAUAAAUUUCUUAUCCAAAUUGUGGGCAAAAAAUUGUGGAUGCAUGACUUGCUACAAGAGAUGGCUUGGGAAAUUCUUCGUCGAGAGUCUCCUGAAGAGCCAGGAGAAUGAAGUCAAGUCUGUUGUUUUGAGGAUGUAUGCCAUAUUCUAUCAAAAAACUCGGUGAGUAUCUGCAAAAUUAAUUUGCAAGCUUGCUUAAUUGAUAUAGGAAAGAAAAACUUGCUAGUCAUGUAUUGACACUAUAUGAGUUGUUUAUUAGGGAAUCGGAAAAGUCAAAGCCAUAGUCUUGUGAUAUGGGGACUGUAGAACAGUGCGCUUGAAUGGAGAGUCAUUCAUAAACAUGACUAACCUAAGAUUGCUUGAUGUUCGUGCCAUCCACCUCUCUUCCAGGUUGAAGCACCUUUCAAAUGAACUACGCCUACUAAGAUGGGACAACUACAGUCUUAGAUCAUUUCCAUCGAGUUUUCUUCCAAAGAAUCUUGCCAAACUCCAAAUGCAAGAUAGCCUCCUUUGCAGCCUCUGGAGAAGGGAAAAUGUUGGAAUUAGUACUCAUGCAUUUUAUGCUUCAUCAGAUGCUUUAUUAUGUUUAACAAGCUUAUAAAAUUGUUCAACCAAUUUUUUCUAGAUGCGGGUCUUCAAGAAAUUGAAAGUUAUCAACCUCAAUGGUUCCAAAUUAUUCAUGAAGACUCCAAACUUCAUAUAUGUCCCAAAUCUAGAGAGGUUAAUUCUCAAAGGUUGCAAAACAUUAUCUCAAGUUCAUGCUUCAAUUGGAAAUCUGGAAAGACUCGGUCUACUUGACUUGGGUGACUGUGAAAACCUCACGGGACUUCUAAAUAGUGUCGGUAAUGUAAAUUCUCUCAUAGUUCUUAAUCUGUCUAGAUGUUCAAACCUUGAAGAACUACUUGUGAGCAUGAAGGGCUUAGAGUGCUUAGAGGAGCUUGAUAUUAGUGAAAGUGACAUAACACACCUCCCAUCCAGCUUGAUAUUCUUAACAAAUCUGAAAAAAUUACGCUUUCACGUUAGGAGGCCACAAAAUUGUUGGAGGGCACUAACGCGUACGCUGAGAAGAGCUCUGAACUCUAGACGUCCAUAUUUUCCUUCAUUUUCAAGGCUAUCCUCUUUGACAGAGUUAGAUCUGAGUGGCUACAGUCUUUUGGAAGGAGAAAUUCCUAGUGAUAUUGACUGCUUACACUCAUUGAGGUCUUUAGACCUAGCUAAAAACAGUUUUACCACAAUAACUACAAGCAUUGAACAUAUAUCUAGCCUGGAAUUUCUGAUAUUAAAUCAUUGCAAAUAUCUUGAAGUGUUACCAAGACUUCCAUACAUCAUAAUGAUUGUGGUGGCUGAGAAGUUCCUCAGAUUGGAAAGGAUAUCAAACCCAUUCGUUAUAUGCACAGUACCUGACUCAAGGUUUUGCUUCCUUAAUUGCUCCAGUUUGCUUCUGCAAGAUCUUGAUUUAACUUUGCAGCAGAAGUACUCAUUGUCGUUGCUUCGUUACAUCAUUUGUUGUUCCAUGAGAGUAAUUCCGAGAACUUAUUUGGUGUCUCCAUGUCUCCAACGUGAAAUACCUGAGUGGNNNNNNNNNNNNNNNNNNNNNNNNNNNNNNNNNNNNNNNNNNNNNNNNNNNNNNNNNNNNNNNNNNNNNNNNNNNNNNNNNNNNNNNNNNNNNNNNNNNNCCACUUCAAAUUUUUGUGGGUUCUAUGCUGAUGGAAAUCGGCUAGGUCCCUUAUUUAAGUUUCCCAUCAGAUUUGUCAAUUCAGGUUGCAUUUGGCUAGGUUAUGUGUCGAGUACUCAAUUUCCACGUUAUACAAAUUGGGAGACAAUGUCAAACCACAUUGUCGUUUCAUUUAUGAUCACCAACCCUAGAUUAAAGCUGGAAAAGUGUGGUGUUCAUCUGGUUUACAAGCAACAUCCAAGAAAGUUUGAUGAUAUUUUAGUCAAAUGGUGUAGUUCAUCGCCCGAGGAUUGGGAUAGACUCUACCAUGAGUUUCAACCCCAAAGGGAGGUCAACAGUGUCUUCAAAUAUUCCAUUGAUCCGAACCUGUACAAAGUGAAUGAAGGUGUAAUGAGCUGUGGGGUCCAUGAGUUUCAGAAUUGCCGGUUCAAUGGAAGUCGUUUACUCGUGGAGUAUCUAUAUUUGAUUUGGCAUCCUUCGAGACUUCGACAUGUGUCUGAUCAUGAUUCCAAUAGAUGGUAAUCACUACUAGAUUUGAUCAAUUUUUGGGGACUUUGGUUCGACCUUUCGAAAUCCAAAUAGACUAUGAAAACUCAUUAAUCCUAACCUAAAAUUCUAGAAUAUCACUACCGGCGCCAACAUCUCCAAAAUUAUUAGGGGAAGUAUUUUUGCUGGCUUUUGUGUUUCACUUUCUCACCAUAACAAAAUCUUUCUUACAGUUUGUCAAGGAACCGUCAAGUAUGGUCAGCGUGCAUUGAUUUCUCGAAGAAAGCUUGACAUGAAUCGUAAGUGGAUUCUUUGUUUUUGAGAAACUUAUGCCAUCCUCAACACUAGAACGUAUAUAUCGAUCAAAUAGUAAUUUAUUUUUUUAAACUUUUUGGACCAAUUCAUAAUUUUAAGUUUCCUACUGACUAUAUUUUACUUUGACUAUUUUCUGUGAUAUUACAGUUCUAAAUACAAAUUUUAAUGUAUUGCUAAUCUACAAAUAGAGUUUUAGGCGUAACUAAAAUUACAACCCUCUCUAUGUAAUUGAGUCAAUGGAAUGAACUCCCACAAUCUCUUUCUUGGCUGCUAACUCCAUUUCGAGUUUUAUCAGUUGAAUGUCUCUCUCCCUUCUGGCGCCCAAGGAGGCCAAGAACCCUAAUGAGCUUUUUUCUAUAAACCUUACGGAUUAUUAAAUCCUUGCACGCCAUUAAUUUUUCUUUUAUCAGGUGAGGCCACACCUGUACAUUUUUUUCAAGGAUAGGAGAAUUUAAAUAUGUCGAGAUCUUCCAUCUUUUUCUUUAGCUUGUAUUUACCUUUUUUUUCCUUUGCAUACUCAUCAUGGGAGAUUGAUCUGUCUAUUAAAUCAUUUCUUUCCAGAUCUGGUCCAAGAUGAUACAAGAGCAUACUAGAUGUCGCUAAGCAACUGUCAUCUUGAACUUGGCAGCAACCGUUUGUUUAUGUCCACUCUUUUGAAAAUUGAUAUUAAUUUGAAGGUGAGUGCCAUUGCUAAGAAUGUCUUGAGUUUGAGCUGAGAUACCCGAUCCCAAUAGUUUUUAAAGUUUUAUUGAUUUUCUAGAUUGAGUAGGUUUCCUGUAAUGGAAUGUUUUAAUUCAAAUAUUAAAUAUAUAAGAGAUCAAAUUCUACUCGAUUAUUACACCAUAAGAGGUAUGUUCAAAUUUUCUCUCUGUGAAUUUUCUUAAUGAUUUCUUUGUGAAAAAAAUGUGAGAUAACAAUUAAUGAUUUGUUUUGAUUGAGAUCGAGGGCUGGAAAACACUUGAGCAAUCAAACAAUGGUAAAUCUUAUACUUUUUGGAUUCAUAAUGGAUUUCUUGGCAAUUGGCUCUUUUUGUGAAGUAUGAACUAACAUUUAGAGAACUAACAUUUAGACCGAACCAUAUAAAUCUUUAGCUAUUAAUUUCUUUUUGUAGUGUUAAACUUGAAUUGCAAAACCUGUUAGUUUCACAUUUUUUUCCCAAUAGAGUUGUUGUGAACCUCCCAAGGUGAGAUCUCUAAGGGAGGUGACUUGAAUGGUUGUGCUCAUGAGGUGGGGUCUACGAUUAGCAUUGGCUUUCCUAAGCUUUAUCGAUUAUAACUUGACAUUCUUUAUUAAUUACUUAGUUUAAUUUACUUAGAAGUCGUGAUUAACAUGUAAUGGAUUGGUUAUGAGCCAUGUAAGGUGAGGGGGUCACCCUUACUACGAAUCAGAGAUUCACAAGUUUGAGAACUUGAUUACUCUAUAUGCAAUUUAGCAUUCUUUCGAUGCCUUAUCUCUUUUAUGAAAACAAUUUCCACAUGAUCUCUUCAAUUUUGUUUUUUAAGUCCCAAAACAUAUCAAUGAUAUUAUGCAUGGGUGCUCAAGCAGUAAAAAUUAAAUCAAGCAAAAAAGAUAAAUAAGAAAUGGGGAAAAUAAAGACAAGAGCUGUCUAAUGUAAAAUUUAAACAAGCCCUUGUUAUUAACUUUCACAUAAUUCUCAAGAGCCACGUGCACUAAACGUGCCUAAUAUUGAUAUUCAAUCUGAUUCAUCUUCCUAUCAAUCAAAGAAAUUAUUAUAAAAUAUUCUUUUAAUAUUUCACCUGCUCUUGUGUCAAGUGCAUUCAUGACCGAAGCUCUAUUUAUUUUGUAAAAAUGAAUGAUUUAAAACACAUUUUUCCUUAAAUUGAUCCCUUAUGUUGUUUAUAAAAAUAAAUAAAUAAAUAAAAAUUAUUUUUAUAAUUUAUGAAAAUAGUUAAAUAUAAAUUGUUAUCUAUAAUAAUAAUAUUUUCCCUAACUAAUUAUUUUGCCACUCGGGAUGUGGACACAUCGCAAGGUCGCCCCCGCGAUCACAUGAUCGAAAUCAUGUUCAGAUGAAAGGAAAGAAAAGUCUUGGCGAGAUGCAGACGGUGGGAGAAGGAAACGCAGCGAAUAUACAAAUAUGAUCCGCAGAUGCGGAGGGCUUCGUGCCGAGUGAUGUCAACCGCUGGCUGGGUCCACUUCAUGUGGGGCCCAGCUAACAUUAAAUCAAAAGAAACAUUUAAAAAAAAAGAAGAAAAGUCAAAAGUUACAAGAAGAAAAGGGGUUGUUGCUUCGUGAGCGUGCCCGAGAAAGUGGAGAGAGAAGACCAAACCCAAGAAGAGAGAGAAAAUAGAGAGAAGGCGUGAGAUGGUGAUCUCACCGAGCAAGAUUAAACAUUGAUGGAAUCGGCUCAAGUUUGAAUACAUUACAUUGUCCGUGAGAUUGAGAAUUACAAGUUGAUUGGUUUCGUUGGUCAAGAACCCCCCCCUCCAAACCCCACCCCGGAAUUCUCUUAUUGCGGUUAGAGUUAUUUUAUUUCGAAUUUGUUGAUAUACUUUUGUGGUGAGAAAAUACGAUCGUAAUGCUUAUGUUUGGACAAGGACAAAGGUCCUUGCUCAUAGGGGUCCUGGGAAAGAGGGCCUCCCCAUUUAGCAUAGGGAUCUUGAGAGGACUGUGCAAUGUCAUUUGUGUCCGCCAUUUCAUGCUCCUGUGAUGAUGCAGCUUGUCUGAAUUCCUUGAGUGCUUCUUUGACUUCUGGUGCUAGGUCAUAAUGAUCCCAUGCAAUUGGUACAUUAUAAUUUCAUGCAUCUUGAGGAAUGGUUUUAUUUUCUUGGCACAAGAUUCUUUGGAGUUCUCAGUAUUGGUGUUCACAGCAACCAACAAGUUCUGGAUAGGACUUGUGAACUCGAGCUUCUGCACUGAGUGGAACGGGUUUAUAAUCCUAUUAUUCUUAGUGAUUAAUGGAAGUUUAUGGGCGAUCCAUGCUUUUCUCAUAUUAGGUUUCCAUGAUAAAUCAUUGGUAUUGUUGUUGGCUUUAUUCUCUUAUCAAUUUGGCAUUAUAUUUACUUAUUUUGAGGAUAUAUAUGACUGGUUGUUGAUGGGGUUAAGUUGAUUUCGGUUGGUUUAGUUUCGGAAAAGAAAUUGAUACUGGAUUGGGUUUUAGUUCCUGAAGAAUUGUUGUCCCUGGUUCUCUCCAACAGUCUACACACACACAUAUAUUUAUCUUCUUGAAAUAAUAGACGAAGAAUGCUGCUUGGGAGUCGACUCGGAGCGAUCCCCGAGCUUUCAUUCCUUCACGGAACGGACCUGGAAUGGCGGGGACCAAAGCAGGUCAAGGUUCCGAACAGCUGGAGCUACCGCGAUAGACUCGGCUUCGAGAUGGACAUCCUUCUAAGGCUUCAGCUAAAAAGGAGAGGAAAGACGAAGAAGCGUCCAAGACCGUGAACUGCUUUCAUCUCACCUGCGAGUACUAUGAACCAAACGCUUUGACAGGUGACUCCGCCCUGGAAGUAAAUGAUGAGUUGACAUGGGGGGUUUAUCCAUCGAGGAACUGCAUUGCCAUGCAGCAUUAUACUCGUGACGGAUGCUUUGCCCUGCCGUCAGUUAAAUUGAUCCACUUGAGUUCGUGGAAGAAAAUUGUUCCCUUANNNNNNNNNNNNNNNNNNNNNNNNNNNNNNNNNNNNNNNNNNNNNNNNNNNNNNNNNNNNNNNNNNNNNNNNNNNNNNNNNNNNNNNNNNNNNNNNNNNNUUUUAUUGGUAAUUAUCAACAUUAAUUAGAUUGAGACAUGGACUAAUUUUAGUCGCUCACCAACAAUCUCGAUUACAUAGCGACUUUUAGAAGAAAACAUUGUGUAGAAUAAAGGAAAUUACACUUAGCUCCACAUGGCGGGGAAAGAAUAUGAAGUGGCGUUACAAAUUUAAUGAUCGCCAACACAAAAAACAGUCAUCUUUCUGGGGAGUUUCACUUGAGCAAUCCUUCAUAAGAACAGCUUCCGCUGAUCGUGGUUUCUCAAUUCGAGCCUUGACAAGUUCGACCGGCUUCUGCAUUCAUCUCUUCGCUCGAACUCAAGCUUCUUCGAUUCUCAAGGUUUUCUCUAUCCUCUGCUUGAUUCUGAAUUUAGCCGUUCCUUGUUUGUCAAUUGUUAUAUGUAUUUCACCGUUUCUUUGCUCCAGAUGUGUAAAAAACUGCCAUUUCCUUUGGUUAUCUUCUUCCAGAAAUUUUCGUAACGUUAAAGGUGCGUUGAUUUUGUGCCGAUUCGACCUUUUUCUGCCCUUAGAAGUGCCCUGACCCAAUCCAAUUGCCUAAGACUUCUUAGAGUUUCUUUCACUAUUGUUUGGUCAAUUUGUUCUCCUCUUUUUCUGUCUUCAUACAUCUUUGCAAAUUGAUGGUUCAUGUCAUAACAUAACAUCCUGAGGUUCCCAAAGAAGAAAUUAGUCGAGAUUAAGCCUCUAACUUCGGUAAAGGACAUUUACUUGUACUCAUUAAUCUCCUUCUGCCCUAGAAUGGAAGUACGAGAUCGGACGCAAUGCCUCUAUAUAACCCCGUAAAAUCUCCUCAUCUUUGUUGAAUUUCCAACACAAUCCGAAUUUAUUUAUGAGGACUCCUAUAAGGACAAGCUGCAUUCAUUUCUCUUGUCUUUACAAAAUUUGUCCAAGAAGACAUGGCAUCUUUCCCAAGGCCAGAAAACCAACAGAGUCAAUUCAAGUAUGAUGUCUUCUUGAGUUUCAGAGGUGAGGAUACUCGCAAAAACUUUAUUGACCAUUUGAAAUAUCAUCUACGGCAAAGAGGAAUCGUGGCCUUUAAAGAUGAUCAUGACCGAGAUCUACCAAGGGGAAAAUGCAUUAAACCAGAAAUAUUGGGGGCAAUAGAGAAGUCAAUAAAUGUACUUCUGAUUUUUUCUGAAAACUAUGCUUCUUCUACUUGGUGCUUGGAAGAAGUUGCUAAGGUUGUGGAGUGCAAGGAUGUCAAUGAAGGAUCGGUCAUACCGAUCUUCUAUAGGGUCAAUCCAUCUGACAUACGGAAACUGAGGGGAAACUUUGGGAGAGGGUGACAAGAGAGACAUAAAGAGGUGGAAGGAUGCACUAAGAAAAGUAGCUGAUCUCGCCGGAAUAGAAUUGAAAGAUGGGUAGGCUUCUCUUCCACUAAAUUGGAAUGAUUUGUUUUCUUUAAGUUUUGCAUGCCACGAAUGUCAUGACCAUCAUAUUCUGUAUUAUGUUGGUCCAUCUGAACCAGAACACACUCCAAAACUACACGGUCUCAAUGCUCGGUGGGGAACUAAUCAUCUGCAUUUCUUUGUUGCAGAUAUGAGAUCCAGUUUAUUGAGCAAAUCAUGGGAGAACUUGAAAAUAAACUAGGUCCUAGGUUGUCCUAUGCUAUAGGCGAUCUUGUGGGAAUGCAUGCUCGUGUUGAAAAGGUAGUAGAAUGUUUACGCUUGGGCAAGAGUGAUGCACGCAGUAUUGGCAUAUGGGGAAUGGGUGGCAUGGGCAAAACAACUGUUGCACGAGCAGUUUUUGACAAAAUCCAUGGCCAAUUUGAUGAUGGAUGUUGUUUUCUUGCUAAUGUUAGAGAAAUUUCAAAAAAAAAUAAAAAUGGUCUGGUAUAUCUACAAAACUAGUUUCUCAGUGAUAUUUUCCAAGAUGACAAUUUGAGAAUCAAGGAUGAUCACAGAGGAACAAACAUGAUAAAAGAAUGGCUACAACAUAAAAAAGUUCUCAUUAUACUUGAUGACGUGGAUGAAAAGGAGAAGUUGGAAAAAUUAGCAGGAGGUGUUUGAUUGGUUUGGACGUGGGAGUAGGAUCAUUAUAACAACUAGAGAUGAACAUUUGCUUCUCCAUUAUGGAGUAAAUUACAUAUAUAAGGUGGAUGAACUAUCCUUUGGUGAGGCUCUCCAACUUUUUUGUUUGAAAGCUUUUAGAAGUAACCAUCCUCUAGCAGAGUUCAAGGAGCUUGUGAAACAGGUUAUUGGAUUCGCUGAUGGCCUUCCUCUAGCCCUUGAUGUCUUAGGUUCUUUUUUGGCUUGCAAGAGCUUGAUGCAAUGGAAGAGUGCACUAGCAAGACUCAAAGAAUGUCCAGAAGGAAAUUUUUUUGACCGGCUUAAGUUAAGUUAUGAUGGACUACAACAAAAAGAGAAGGAGAUUUUCCUAGAUAUUGCCUGUUUUUUCAAGGGAAAGGAGAAACCUUAUGUUACGGAGGUUCUGGACAAUUGUAGCUGGUAUGCAGAUGUUGGAAUCGAAGUCCUUGUCAAUAGAGCUCUUAUCCAAAUUGUGGGCAACAAACGGUGGAUGCAUGAUUUGCUACAAGAGAUGGCUUGGGAAAUUGUUCAUCGAGAGUCUCCUGAAGAGCCAGGAGAACGAAGUCGAGUAUGGCUUUUUGAGGAUGUAUGCCAUAUUUUGUCAAAAAACUUGGUGAGUAUCUGCAAAAUUAAUUUGCAAGCAUGCUUAUUUGAUAUAGGAAAAAAAAACAACUUGCUAGUCAUGUAUUGAGACUAUAUGAGUUGUUUAUUAGGGAACUAGAAAAGUCAAAGCCAUAGUCUUGCAAUAUGAGGACCAUAGAAUAGUGCGCUUGAAUGGAGAGUCAUUCACAAACAUGACUAACUUGAGAUUGCUUUGAGAUAGCUAGUAUAAGCACCUAGAGGGGGGGUGAAUAGGUGUAAAAAUAUUUUCUCGAGAUAAGAGAGCAAUACUAAGCAGACAAUAGAGAGGAAGUUCUCCUUUCGUUAACAAACCGAAUUAUGAUCAAAGUAAAGCGGAGAGUAGGGAAGAGAAAAUGAACACAUAAAUUAUAGUGGUUCGGCUUAUUCCAAGCCUACGUCCACUUUUCCGCACUGACAGCCCACCGGUUGGAUUUCACUAUGAACAAAAGAGAUGUUACAGCAAGGCUCUCCUUGAUUCCACAGUGUAGAUACUCCACCACACUUCCUCAAGGUUUCUCAAGAAUAUGAACUCUCUUUUGUGUACAAGAUUUCGCUUAGAAAAUGAAUUGAUUAAGAACAAAGAGCUUCAGACUUUGGAAUUCUUCUAUCGCGCACGCUUUUGAACAACUGGAACGUCUUCCUUAUAUACUCCUUUAUGCCAUCAUACCCGUUGGCACUUACCAAAGGAAUUCUUUCAAUCUUCCCGUUGGACAGAAUCAAUUAGGAAGAUCAUUCGAGCUAUUUAAGGAACAUGUCGAUAGCCCAUCAAUCCUGCUCGCCCAUACAAUCAGGAUCUCGGUUUCCAUAAGUAGAACCUUCCAAGUAUACUUCGCCAAUCAUCGGAUCCUUAAUCUUUGAAUCAAUAAAGGAUUCUAUUAUGUCAUAUCCAGCCAAGAGAUCUUCUCUAGUCGAUAAGGUCAAAUCCUUAACAAAACAUCCAAUACUGGACAGCCCUUCUUCGACGGAUUAGAAACUGUCAAUGAGAAUAGACUUUGAGUCUUGAGUUUGACAGUGUAGAGUCUGCAAAUCUUCAUACUAGACUGAUGGAAACGUUUUGUCAGCUUCAAAAUACUCUAGGAAGAUUUCUCCAACAAUCUUCCCCUUUUUGAUGGUGACAAAACUUUCCUACAGAUUUGGAUAACUUUGACCUGCAAAACAUUACUCAAGCAAAUAUGGAUAUCUCAUAAAGAUAAAUGGCUUAUUGAUAACACUAGAAUAUGCAACCGCAGAAAAUAGGUUAGUCUUGCAUAUAAGUAAAGCCAUCCAUAAGAUAUCAAUAGUACUUAAUAUAAGCAGUCAAUCCAAAAUCCCAAAUCCAGUCCACAGCCAGACACAAAAGUCAAGUCAAAUAUCAAAACAAAUCAAAAGUUCAAGUUCAAAAAAGUUCAAGGUUUCAAGGUUCAAAGUUCAAGUCACAUCUCUCCCCCUUUUUGUCAUCAUAAAAAAGGUUGAGAUGAAAUCAAGAAUGCUUGGGAAUACGAACAAGCUGGAAAUCUCCCAUUGACUGGACAAUGCCUUCCAGCUUUGUCAAAUCUUCCUUUAGUUGAGUCACCUCUUCACUCUUAGCAUUUGCUUGAAUCUGAAGAGUAAGGGCUCGGAUCUGAUCAUUCAAAGAAACUGAAGAAGCUUGACUCGCAUUCUACAAAUUAUGUACUUCGCAUCCCAGAGCAUAUAUCUGACCCUGUAUUUCUAAGAGAACAUCAAGAAUUAUGCGAAAAUCUGCUGAAUUAUCAGUCUGCGUACUGGCUUCUACACGAUCAGAUGGAGUAAAGGUACAUGAUGGCAAAUCAGCAUAGCCACGCAGAUUGGGCGAUGAAACAUCAUGUCCCUCCUCAGGAAAUUGAGAAGCAUAGAUGUCCUUUGGAUCUGCUGGAGAGCGGCUGACUCCUUCACUAGUAGCAGGAUAUGAGGACAUUCCUCUUUUCUCACGAUCUCCCCCUGUUUCCAUGCCUUCAGGUGGAGAAGAGUGUUCCUCAUGCUCUCUUUCCUCUUGAUCUCCUAUUUCCUCUUCUUCUUCAAUUCUUUCCUCCUCUGCAUUUCUUUCUUCAGCUUCUCUCUCCUCUGUUUCUUUCUCUUCUGCUUCCAAAUCUUCUCUUUCUCCAGUCCUCUGUUCAGAGUCUUUCUCUUGUCGUUCCGUUGAUUCUAGAACAGAAUGACUCAAAUUCUUCAAUGCCAUUGCAAUAAUGGUGAUGUCUUCCUCAUCUUCUUCAUCCUCAACAAUGAGAGCUCUUCUUUUCUUGGAUGGAGCAACCAUGGGCUCCUUCCCUUUUCUUUUUGCUGCCGAAGAGAUUUGAUGAGAUUUGACAGGGGUUUUCUCCUUGAAUUUCUCCAACGCCUUGUUGAGUUCCUUCAGACGCAUUUUAGACACCAUUUUCAGUCCCACUACCAUUUGAUCACAGGUUCGAACACAGAGAAUCUGGGGAGGCUGAACAUUCAAAUGUCUGAAUAACUUUGUCACAAGAGCUGGAUAAGGAAGUUGACCAUUGUCCUUCACCAUUACUCUAUACAUGUGGAAUAUAAUAGUACGAGGAAGAGAGAACUUUUUCCCAGCAUUGAUGGCAUACAUCAGCUUUGCCUCUAAGUUUGAAAUAUCAGUUUUUGAAGUAGACUUCGGUCUGAGGCAAUUGAUCACAAUCUUGUGAAGCAGAAUGUUGAAUGCACUCAUCCUUGAGUAGUAAACCUUUCCCUCUGUCCUUCUAUCCUUAACAAGUUCCAACGUAGUACGAGCAAUAGAGACAUUGAAAGGUUGAUAUCUCCCUCUUUCAACCCCAAUCACAUCAGCCAACAUAUUUACAUCCACCACAUAGUCCUGAUCUCGGACACUAAAAAGAGAAUCUAUUCGCAUCUAACAAAAUUGAGAUUCGAAUAGAAAUAUGCAGUGAGUUCAGCAUAGGCUUAUGUAGAUUCAGAACAGAACUGUUCAAGUUGAAGAAGACUGAAUUUUUCCCUUAAAUUAACGUUCACAGCGUCAAGGAAAUCAAAAUCCACACUUCUAGGGUUUAUGACCCCACGCUUCAACAACUUAGAGUAUAGAUGCUUGUGUUCCUCCGAUCGAAACAAGUCUAUCCUUUUGCCCCUAAUUUUUGCCGCAAUACCCAUUCUCGAUUGAAACUGACUGUACAACUUGUCAUCAUCAUUCCCAUCUGGCUGAUUCAGCCCUCCAACACGUGGAUCGAUUGGAAUGUUUGCCAUUGCCUCUUAUGCCGACCUAGCAGGGGCAAUUCCUAACCAUUCCAUUGUGCGUAAAAAGAAGGUUUCAUUUUUGAACCCUUUGUCUUUCAGAAAUUCAUCAAUGUAGUUCAAGGGAGUUCCACCCCUUUUCAAAACACGAUAAAGCUUGUAGGUAAAAGAGGGCUUAAGAGUUCUUACGGGUUCUACAUCUUCGAUUAUUUCUUCUUCUUCUUGACGAGCAACAUUCUGAGGUCUAGAUGGAGAAGAUGGAUGCUGCUGAGAAUGUUGUGGGCUCUGCUGCUGACUAGGAAACUCUUCUUCCUCGAUGAGAUCAAAGUGCGUAGGCCCCUCACGCAUUUGCUGCGGUCCCCUGUUCGCGAUCCUUGAAGACUUCCUUUGAGACGACAUCUUUCACAGUCUUUGAAAGAUGACAACUUUUCGAAGAUUAAACAAGAGAAGAAGACAUAAGUGGAAGAUCGAUGCUUUUUAGGGUUUUUGGAGUUAAACGAAGAGGAAUCGACAGUAUAUAGGUAAGUUGAGGAGAGGCAUUCAAAACUUCGUAAUGGAAAGUAAAAAGAUGCCCUUUAAAAAAAUAACUGCCUUUUUCAAAAAAUUAGAUAACUGCCAUUUAAAAUUAACUCCAUUUUCGAAGAAGAAAGAUUUCACUAAUCACGGAAAUUGAAAGUAGCAAAAAUCAAUUAUGGACAGAUGAUCGUACCUUUUCAAGAUUUAAUUUGAGAAUAAAAUAACUUACAAUCAAAAAUCUUGAUUGUCUGAGUCUGAGAAUCUCUAGACUUUUACUUCUUCAAACCUCAAGAUGUUGAGUCUGGAACGAAUAAUUUCAAAUUGAUUUUUCUCCAAAGGCUUUGUAAAUAUAUCCACCAGUUGGUUCUUUGAGUCAACAAACUGAAUCGAAACUUCACCAUUCUGAACAUGAUCUCUAAUGAAGUGAUGUCGAAUCUCUAUAUGCUUUGCUCUUGAGUGAAGAAUUAGAUUCUUAGUAAGAUUAAUUGCGCUGGUGUUGUCACAGUUAAUCUCUGUGCAUGAAUCUUCAAUUCCAAAGUCUCUUAGCUGUUGUUUUAUCCACAGAAUUUGUGAACAACAACUUCCAAGAGCUACAUACUCUGCUUCUAUUGUAGAAAGAGCCACUGUAUUUUACUUCCUUGAAAACCAAGACACUGUCCUGCUUCCAAGUAGUUGAUAGGUACCCGAGGUGCUCUUUCUAUCAACUCUGCAUCCAGCUAGAUCUGCGUCUGAGUAUCCAAGAAGAGUAAAGUCUCUCUUUUUAGGAUACCAAAGACCAAGGCAUGAAAUUGAUGCAAUGUAUUUGAUAAUACGCUUUGCAGCACUUAGAUGAGAUUCUUUAGGGUCUGCUUGAAAUCUGGCACAAAUGCAAACACUAAACAAAAUGUCAGGUCUAGAAGCAGUAAGAUAAAGAAGUGAACCAAUGAUACUCUUGUAUAGCUUCUGGUCAACUUUCUUUCCUCCUUCAUCUUUGUCUAUCUUCAAAGAGCUUGACAUUGGUAUAUUAGUCUUUUUGCAAUUUUCCAGUCCAAACUUUUUGACAAGAUCAUUAGCAUAUUUUUCUUGAUGAAUAAAGGUUCCUUCCUUCAAUUGUUUCACUUGAAGUCCAAGAAAGAAGGUUAGUUCACCUAUCAUGCUCAUUUCAAAUUCAUCUUGCAUAGACUUAGAGAAUUUCUUGCACAGACUUUCAUUAGAGGAUCCAAAAAUAAUAUCGUCAACAUAUAUUUGAACAAGCAGAAAAAUUUUGCUUUCUCUUUUGAUAAACAGAGUAGUGUCUACUUUACCUUUGACAAAACCGUUUUGAAUUAAAAAUUUACUCAACCCGUCGUACCAAGCUCGAGGUGCUUGCUUUAAACCAUAUAAGGCCUUUUUCAGUUUGAAUACUGAGUCUGGUUUCCUUGGGUCUUCAAACCCAGGUGGUUGUUCCACAUAGACUUCCUCAUGGAUAAAUCCAUUCAGGAAGGCACUUUUGAUGUCCAUUUGGAAUAACUUGAAAUUUUUAUAACAAGCAAAAGCAAGUAAUAAUCUAAUUGCUUCUAACCUCACUACUGGUGCGUAAGUCUCAUCAUAGUCUAUCCCUUCUUCUUGCGUAUAUCCCUUGGCCACGAGUCUUGCUUUGUUUCUUACGACAUUUCCUUUUUCGUCCAUCUUGUUCCUGAAAACCCAUUUAGCUCCAAUAAUAGAUUUACCUUUUUGGUUUAGGAGUCAAUUCCUAGAUAUCAUUAAUACUGAAUUGUCCGAGUUCUUCUUGUAUAGCUUCAAUCUAGCUUUCAUCAGAUAAAGCUUCUUCUAUGCUUUUGGGUUCUAUUUCAGAAAUAAGAGCUACAGCACUAGACUCUUCGCACCUUUUGGAUCUUGUGCGAAUUCCUUCAUUAAUGUCACCUAUAAUGAGAUCUUUGGGAUGACUGGAGUUAUGCUUCCAGUUACUGGUUGAUUUGUCAUGUUGAUGAUCGCUUUCUUCAUUUGAAUCUUCAACAAUCAUUUGAUGCUGAUCUUUUGAAGUUUGAGCUGCUUCUUGAGAUUUAGACUUUGUAGAGUUUGGAGCAGGUUCGGAAUCUUCAAGAUGAGUCUGAAUAGAUUCAUUUUGCAUAGAAUCUUGGAAUUUGACAUUCAUUGAUUCCUCCACAAAUUGAGACUUCUUGUUGUAGACUUUAUAGGCUUUGCUUGAGGUAGAAUAUCCAAGGAAGAUGCCUUCGUCUGAUUUUUCUUCAAACUUGCCAACUCGAUCAUUUGAUUUUUUUAAUAUAAAGCAUUUACAUCCAAACACAUGAAAAUAUGAAACAAUAGGCUUCUUUUCUUUGAAUAACUCAUAGGGGUAUUUUCCAUAAUUGGUCUUAGAAAAACUCUAUUAAUAAUAUAACAUGCUGUAAAAACUGCUUCAGCCAAAAAAUGUGAAGAGAUGUUGCUUUCAAUUAAAAUAGUUCUAGCCAUUUCUUGAAGUGACCUAUUCUUUCUUUCCACAACUCCGUUUUACUCUGGAGUAUAUGGAGAGGAGAACACAUACUGAAAACCAGAUUCAUCAUAGAAUUUUGUAAAAUCUUGAUUUUCAAAUUCACCUCCAUGGUCUAUUUUUAUACUUGAAAUAACAUACAAUUUUUCAUUUUGAAUCUUUUUAGCAAACUUUUCAAAUUAAGAAAAGGUUUCAGACUUACUUGUCAGGAAAUAUACCCAAGUAAAUCAUGAGUAGUCAUCCACAAUUACUAGGCAAUAUUUCUUACCUCCAAUGCUCUAAGUUCUGGUUGGUCCAAAGAGAUCCAUAUGCAGAAGCUGCAGUACACGAUUAGUGGAAACUUGAUUUAUUGGUUUAAAUGAAUUUCUUACCUGCUUCCCAAUACACAUGGUGUACAUAGAUCAGACUUUUGGUAUGACAAAUUGGGUAGACCACGAACUAGCUUCUUUGCUGAAAUUUUGGCUAUUUGCUUCAUAUUGAUGUGCCCAAGUUUUCUGUGCCAUAAGUUCGCUUCAUCUAGAAUUGAGGUUAGACAUUGCGAUUCAUCUGGUUUCACGUCCAAGAGGUAGAUAUUUCCAUGUCUUCGACCCAUGAAUGACUAAGUAGAAUCUUUACUGGUUCCUGAACAUAUUCCUUCUUGAAAGUUGAUUUUGAAACCGGUAUCGCACAGCUGACUGAUACUAAGUAGAUUGUAGUUUAGUCCUUCCACUAAGGAAACAUUGCUGAUUGUGAGAUUUCCAAUGUUUACAGUUUCGAAUCCCACAAUUCUUCCUUUGCUGUUUCCUCCAAAAGAGACUUUUCCACCAUUUACUUGAAUGAGCUUUAUGAAGCAAUUUGAAUCUCCUGUCAUAUGUCUUGAGCAUCCACUAUCCAGAUACCAUUUUACUUUCUUUUUUAUAGUGACCUGCAUUUAAAAAAGAGACUCAAACUUUCUUUGGUACCCAUAUUUUCUUGUGUCCAUUGGUGUUAGUAUGAUAUGCAGUUUUUGCCCAUACUUUCUUAUCAGGUUUCCAAACCAUAGGACAUUCUUUCUCAAAGUGAUUUGAACUAUUGCACUUCGAACAUUUGAGAGCAUUGCGACCUACUGGUUUUACAAAGACCAUUUUAAAAUGAUUUUUGUAAGCAUCUCUUGUGGGUCUUUGCUUAAUUCUUUCCUUCACUUUAGGAAAAUCAAUUAAAGGAAUGGUUUCCACAGUCAUUCCCAAACCAUAUUUAUUGAAAUAAGGUCUUUGUACUGAAAGAAUUUUCUCAAGUUUCUCAGAUCCUAUUGAAAAUCUUUUGGAAAUAUUUGAUAUGUCAUUUUUUAAAAAUACAUUUUCUUUCAAAAGGUUGUCUUCUCUUUCUUUAAGAGUAGAAACAUUCAUGUCUAAACAUUUAACAUUUUCUUUCAAAACAUUUUCCUGUUGUUUCAGUGGAGAAUUUUCCUUUUUAAGUUCGAAAAUUCUUUUAAGAGAAGUCUUAAGAUUAAAAUGCAACUCAUCAAUGUAUUUAGAGACUUUAAUAGGGAUUUUAGAGUUACUUACCUCAAAUUCACUGUCUGAAUCUGAGUUUGUCUCGGAGUUUGAAUUUGAAUCCGAUUGUACUAUCAGACAUAUAUUGGCAUAAUCAUCAUCACUUUCUUUACACUUUGUAUCAUUCCAGGUUUCUGCUUUAAGAGUCUUUCGAUACUUUUCAGCUUUUCCUUUCUUCUUCCUCAGAAGAGGAUAGUUGGGUCUAAUGUAUCCUUUUUUCUUACAUUCGAAGCAGACUACAUCUCUAUUUGAUUCAUCAUCCUGAACAGACUUAGUUUGUUGCUUUUGAAAACUUUGUUUCUUUGGAUUGAAUCUUCUUCCUUUUCUGUUCAGCUUUCUGAAUCUUCUUAUCAUGAGAGCAAGCUCCUCAUCAUCCAUAUCGUCUUCAGAAUCUGUAACAUCAGAAUCAUCAUUGGAUUUUAAUGCAAUGGAUUUCUUACCUUUAGGAUCUUCGUCUUCAUUGAUUCGUUCCACUUCAUAAGACUAAAGAGUCACAACCAACUCAUCGACAGAUAGAGGCAUAAUUCUUUGUGUCUCCCUUAUUGAGAUCUUUAUGUGAUUCCAAUCCUUGGAGAGUCCACGCAGUAGCUUGUUUACUUUCAUGGGAUUAGAAAUUGGUUGACCUUGAUUUUCAAGACCAUUCACGAUUUCUGUAAAAUGACUAAACAUGUCAGUUAUAGAUUCUCCCGAUUUCAUUUUGAAGGCUUUGUAUUGACCGAGGAGAAUGUUGACUCUGGUUUCUUUCACUCUAUCGGUUCCUUUAUAAGUAAUAUGUAAUCUAUCCCAAACUUUUUCACUGUAACACAAGAAGAUAUUAUGUUAUAUUUAAUAGGUGACAAAGCACAAUAUAAAGAAUAAAAUGCUUUUACAUCAAGAGCUUGUCUCUUGGUUAUCUCUUCCUGAGUCAUUUUACUAGACUCAACAGUUUAUUUUCCUCUCUCUGAGACAGGUGUAGCUUUAGGAAUGAUUCCUUUGUCUAUAACGUCCUAUUCCAAAGGAUCCUUUGAUCUUAAGAACACCUUCAUCUUGUUUUUCCAUAUGUUGUAUUCAUUUCCAUCAAAGUAAGGUGGUCUGGUAUUGCUUUGCCCUUCUACCGGCCUUGGAGCUAACAUACUAGCCAUGGAUCUUUAACUCUGAAGUAAAACACUUCAAACAAAGUGAGUAUACAUGCUCUGAUACCAAUUGAGAUAGCUAAUAUAAGCACCUAGAGGGGGGUGAAUAGGUGUAAAAAUAUUUUAUCGAGAUAAGAGAGCAAUACUAAGCAGACAAUAAAGAGGAAGUUCUCCUUUCGUUAACAAACCGAAUUAUGAUCAAAGUAAAGCGGAGAGUAGGGAAGAGAAAAUGAACACAGAAAUUAUAGUGGUUCGGCUUAUUCCAAGCUUACGUCCACUCUUCCGCACUGGCAGCCCACCGGCUAGAUUUCACUAUGACCAAAAGAGAUGUUACAGCAAGGCUCUCCUUGAUUCCAUAGUGUAGAUACUCUACCACACUUCCUCAAGGUUUCUCAAGAAUAUGAACUCUCUUUUGUGUACAAGAUUUCGCUCAGAAAAUGAAUUGACUAAGAACAAAGAGCUUCAGACUUUGGAAUUCUUUUAUCGCGCACGCUCUCGAAAAACUGGAACGUCUUCCUUAUAUAUUCCUUUAUGCCAUCAUACCCGUUGGCACUUACCAAAGGAAUUCUUCCAAUCUUCCCGUUGGACAUAAUCAAUUAGGAAGAUCAUUCGAGCUAUUUAAGGAACAUGUCAAUAGCCCAUCAAUCCUGCUCGCCCAUACAAUCAGGAUCUCGGUUUCCAUAAGUAGAACCUUCCAAGUAUACUUCGCCAAUCAUCGGAUCCUUAAUCUUUGAAUCAAUAAAGGAUUCCGUUAUGUCAUAUCCAGCCAAGAGAUAUUCUCCAGUCGAUAAGGUCAAAUCCUUAUCGAAACAUCCAGUCCUGGACAGCCCUUCUUCGAUGGAUUAGAAACUAUCAAUGAGAAUAGACUUUGAGUCUUGAGUCUGGCAGUCUAGAGGUCUUUAGACUUUAAAUAGUAGAGUCUGCAAAUCUUCAGACUAGACUGAUGGAAACGUUUUGUCAGCUUCAAAAUACUCAAGGAAGAUUUCUCCAACAUGCUUGACAUUCGUGCCAUCCACCUUUCUUCUGGGCUCAAGCACCUUUCAAAUGAACUAUGCCUGCUAAGAUGGGACAACUGCAGUCUUAAAUCAUUUCCAGCAAGUUUUCUUCCCAAGAACCUUGUUGAACUUCAUAUGCAAGAUAGCCUCAUUUGCAACCUCUAGAGAGGGGAAAAUGUUGGAAUUAGUACUCAUGCAUGUGUAUGCUUCAUUUGAUGCUUUAUUAUGUAUAACAAGCUAAUAAAAUUGUUCAACCGAUUUUUUCUAGAUGCAGGUCUUAGAGAAGUUAAAAGUUAUCAACCUCAAUGGUUCCAAAUUAUUUGUGGAGACUCCAAACUUCAUAUAUGUCCCAAAUCUGGAGAGGCUACUUCUCAAAGGUUGCAAAGCAUUAUCUCAGGUUCAUCCUUCAAUUAGAAAUCUAGAAAGACUCUGUCUACUUGACUUGGGUGAUUGUGAAAGCCUCACAGGACUUCCAGAUAGUGUAGGUAAUCUAAAAGCAUUUAGAGUUCUUAAUCUGUGUGGAUGUUCAAAUCUUGAAGAGCUGCUUGAGAGCAUCGGGGGCUUAGACGGCUUAGAGGAGCUUGAUAUUAGUGAAAGUGCCAUAACACACCUCCCAUCUAACUUGACAUUCUUACAAAAUCUGAAAAAAGUUACACUUUCAUGUUAGUAAAAGGAGGCCACAAAAUUCUUGGAGGACAUUGACGCGUAUGUUGAGAAAAGCUCUCAACUCUAGACGACCGCGGUUGCCUUCAUUUUUAGGGCUAUCCUCUUUGACAGAGUUGGAUCUGAGUGGUUGUAGUCUUCUGGAAGGAGAAAUUCCCCGUGAUAUUGAUUGCUUACCCUCCUUAAGGUCUUUAGACCUAGCCGAAAACUUUUUUACCACCAUAACUGCAAGUAUCGAACAUAUCUCUAGCCUCGAAUUUCUCAUAUUAAAUCAUUGCAAAAAUCUUGAAGUUUUACCAAGACUUCCAGAAAGCACAAUGGUUGUGGUGGCUGAGAAGUGCCUUAGAUUGGAAAGGAUAUCAAACCCAUUCAUUAUAUGCACAGUACUUGACUCGGGGUUUUGCUUCUUUAACUGUUCUAAUUGGCUUUUACAAGAUCUUGAUUUAACUUUGCAGUAGAAGUACUCCUUGUCGUUGCUUCGUUACAUUGUUUACCGUUCCAAGAAAAUAAUUCCGGGAACUUAUAUGGUGUCUCCAUGUCUGCAAUGUGAAAUACCUGAGUGCUUUAGCUACCAGGGAUUUGGACCUUUGUUGAGCAUAGACAUGUCCCCUAAUUGGCAUGACAAUAGUUGGAGAGGAUUUGCCAUCUGCGCCACUUUUAAACAAAUCAACUGCAGCUCUUGUCAGGACCUGGAAAAUGCCCAGUUCAUUUUCUAUGGAUUCUAUACUGAUGGAAAUUAGGUCCCUUAUUUAAGUUUCCCAUCAUAUUUGUCAAUUCAGGUUGCCUUUGGCUAGGUUAUGUGUCGGGUACCCAAUUUCCACAUGAUACAAAUUGGGAUACCAUGUCAAACCACAUUGUCAUUUCAUUUACGAUCACCAACCCUGGGCUAAAGGUCAAAAAGUGUGGUGUUCAUUUGGUUUACGAGUAGUGUAUAAGAGAGUUUGAUAAUCUUUUAGUCUGGUGGUGUAGCUCAUUGCCAAGGGAUUGGGAUAGAAUCUACCAUGAGCUUCAAACACCAAGGGAGGUAAAUUGUGCCAUAAGAUAUUCCAUUGAUCCGGACUUGUACGAAUUGAAUGAAGGUGUAAUGAGCUGUGGGGUCUCUGAGGUUCGGUCCCUCCCAUUAAAUGGAGGUCGUUUAGGGUGCGUUUGGUAACGUUUAUGUUUAAAAAUUGUUUAUGGGAACAGAAAUAGAAAAAAAGUGUUUCUGUUCCAGGGAACAAUUUUUGAACAAAAAAAAGUGUUUGGUAAAUCUGUUCCAGAAAUAUAAAAAGAAUAGAAACAUGUUUGGUAAAUUUGUAUAAUUUUUUUAUUUCUUUUAAUUUUUUAAUAUUUUUAUUUUAUUUUUCUAUUUUCUUUCUUAUUUUUCUUAUUUAUUUUUCCUUUUUUUUCUUUUUUCUUUUUUCUUCUUUUGGCUGGUCACCAACCUUAGCCAUGGCCGGUGACUGGCCGACGAGGGCCGGCGGCCUUGCCUAGCCACGGUGAGGCUCGCCGUGGCUGGGCAAGGCUCGGCCUCGUCGAAUCUGGGCGAGGUCAAUCUCGCCCAGCCAGGCGUGAGGUCAGCCUUGCCGCGCCGGGCUGGGUUGGGCGAGCUCGAUCUCGCCCAGAUCCGGCGAGGCCAAGCUCGCCCAGCGGCUGGCGAGGCUCGGCGUNNNNNNNNNNNNNNNNNNNNNNNNNNNNNNNNNNNNNNNNNNNNNNNNNNNNNNNNNNNNNNNNNNNNNNNNNNNNNNNNNNNNNNNNNNNNNNNNNNNNNNNNNNNNACACUAUGCGCAAUCGGUUAUUAGCCGUGUAAGGCAAGGGAGUCACCCUUACAAUUACAAAUAAGGGAUUCACAAGUAUGAGAACUUGGUUACUCUAGAUGAAAUUUAGCAUUCUUUUGGUGCCUUAUCUCUUUUAUGAAACAAUUUGCAUGCGAUUUCUUCAAUUAUGUUUCGUAAGUCCCAACACAUAUAAAUGAUAUUAUGCAUGGGUGCUCAAGCAAUAAAAAUUAAAUCAAGCAAAAAUGAUAAAUAAAGAAUGAGGAAAAAUAAAGAAAGGAGCCUUAUAAUGUAAAAUUUAAAUAAGGCAUUGUUAUUAACUCUCACAGGAUUCUGAAGAGCCACGUGCACUAAACGUGGCUAAUAUUAAUAUUCAAUCUGAUUCAUUUUACGAUUGAUCAAAGAAAUUAUUGGCAGCUAUCAUCCAUAAAAUUUUCUAGUAAUAUUCCGCCGGCUUUUGUGUCAUGUGCAUUUAUGCCUUAAGUUCUAUUUAUUUUGUAAAAAAUAAAUGAUUUAGAACACAGUUUCCUUAAAUUAAUUCCUUAUAUUGUUUAUAAAAAUAACUAAACAAAUGAAUGAAAAACAUUUUUUUCAUCCACGAAAAUUGUCAAACAUAAAUUGUUGUAUAUAAUGAUAACAUUUUAACAUUUUCCCUCAACUAAUAUUUCAUGUGAUGCAAGUGAUUAUUUUUAGAAAUAUAUUUACUAAAUCAUUUAUUUAAUGAAAAAAAAAUGAAGCGUUACAAAUAGUUAAUGUACUUCAUUUAUUGUUAUCGUAAAGACAAAAUCUUCCUUAUAAUUUAUUUUAAAAUCAAAAGUUUCUACUUUUUCAAAUAAAAUACUAUUAAUCUUUCCAACUAUGUCACUAUUGAUGGAUAUUUGUUGUUGAUGUGGACCGUCUACCUAAAUACCAAGUUAACUAAGCAAUACAAAAAUUAAAAAUAAACAAAAUGCUAACUCAUCUUCCCGAAAAAACAAAAUCCAUGCCCUAAAUUACCCGUGUCCUAAACCUCCCCUACCACCGGUCCCCGCUCUCCACCAUCAUCAACCAUCACCCUUGUGCCUUGGACCACCCUACCAACACUCACUGCGGUCCCUCGGAUCCAAGCAGUGAGCGGCAAUGGAUACUGUGGGGUCAUGGCUAUAAGUGCCUCAAGCUCAAAUUGUCACGUCCCAAUUCUCGGGGACACACCCAUCCUUCUACUUGGUCGAUUUUAGAAUGCGAUAUCCCAGAAUUAUGUAUCGCCGACCCUUUCAUUUUAUGUAAGCACAUGCGGAAAUAAUUAUAAAUCCCCAGACAAUAAAAUAAUGGGAUAGAAAAGCAUGAUCAUAUUUUUCUUACUGAAAAUUCACAAUCACACUUUUAUACAAACACCUUAUAGUAUAUAAUACAAUACUAUUCACAUAGGUCUGAUCUAACACUUAUCUACAUAAAAACCAGGUCUAACAAAACAGAAUGGGAUCUUAGGUCCUCAUCUGGGUUGUACUUGGGAUCAUCUUGAUCCUCCUCCGAUUCUUCUUCACUAAGCUCGUUUCCUUCAAGCUCUUCAUCUUUUUCUGGCUCAUCGUCCUCUUUUGGUUCCUCCUCCUCAGGCUCAUCUACAGGCUUGAAAUGGUUAUACAAUAACCAUUGAGAUCACAUCUCAGCAAGUUUUAUCCCCUAAGACUCGAUUAGUAAACCAAUACGCUAACCGGGUUGCCUAUGCACACACGGUUCAAAUGACUUACUUUAGCCUCAGAUUCUACAUGCAUAUUAACACAGUUCAAUAGGCACUCAAGCAAUCACAUCAUAGAUCGAUAUCUCGAUCAAUUGACAUAGUCGAUUACAUGCCAACAUGACCUUUCCAUAGUCAUUUCAAUUCAAUUAAUCAAUUUACAACAUCAGAUCCAAGCAAUGAUCAAGCGACCUAGUUGAUUACAUAUCAACAUGGCCACUUCUGGUCAUUUCAAUUAUUCCAACUCAAUUCCCAAUUACGAAUCACGGUCCUUAGGACACACCUUAAGUAUAGGUGGAAAUCACGACCCCACUCGGCAAUUUUCAAUAUUUAGUGGCUUUACGGUCCUACUCGACACUUUUCAUAUUUAGUGGCUUUAUAGUCCCACUUGACACUACUGUUUUCUAUUUCGGUGGUAAUGUUGAAUCAUGGCUCAGCGGGCACAGCCAUACUUCGGCGGUUUAAUUAACUUAACCCACAACAUCCCAUGACCAUUCAACCGCGGCCAACGAUAUUGCACUUCGUAAUUAAAUUCCUCAAUUUCAUAAUAUCUUGGCCUAAUUUCUUGGUAUCAAAGACACUUGAUAAAAUAUCGUGUGUGGGUACACGAUAAGCCUUAGCCAAAAUAGAAUAAUUCAUUUCUAUAAAUCCCACAAUUUUUAGUAGUCCACCAAAACAUUUUUGGCAUUGUCAACCGAUGCUCGGUUAUUUUUCAAUUAAUAACCAAAGAUUAUUCAAUUAAAGAAUAAUUCCCAAUUUCACAAAUAAUUCAAUUCAACACAAAAUAAAUCUCAAUUAAAUAAAUGGAUUGCGCCACAACAAUCAGCAUAAAAUUCCAGUCGUCGGCUAUCCCUGCCUAAUUUUCGGAAAAUAAAUAAUUAAUUAAUUAAUUUCGAAAAUUAAUAAAUAAAUACUAAAAAUCCAAUUUAGGCUCGUAAUACCUAAUUGAAGCAAAAAGAAGAAGAAAGAUCUGGAUGAUAGAACCAGUACAAUCAGGAAUCAAAUAGAAAAAAUUACAAAAUCGAUUUCCAUUUCGAAUAUUUUUUGAAUAUUCGAAUUUUGAAUCCGCGAUAAGGGUUGGGAAAAAUCCCGAGAUGCAUUUAAUAAAUACUAAUACAUGUCUAUUCACUAAUUACACAAUUUAAUUGCCUAACAUGCAUCACAAUUAUCUAAUAAUCACUAAUCUAUUCUAAUAUAACCACCUAAUUGCACUUAAUUAAAUCUAAUCAACCCUUAAGCAUAAUUAGCAAACUAAGAAAGCAUUAGUGAGCAAAACUCACUUGUGCAAAGCAAAGACCGGAACACCGCGACGGCGUCCAAAAUCCAAAUUUUCGGCAGCGUCGACGGACACACGGACCGGGCCCAAAGGCCUUGCAGGCCCACAGAAAAAGCUAGGCUUGGGCCGAACUUGGGCUGACUUGCUUCGCGAGCUGAGCUGCUGAAACUUCUUGGGCUUCAAAACUGGGCCUGAAUUCUUGGGCUUCGAGUGAGCUGGACAACAACUGAAAGUGGGCUGAAAUCCACUGGGCUUGGGCUUCGAAAUUGGACUGAUCUUGCUUGAAGAUGGGCCGACCAGAUCGCUGGGUUUGUUGGCCAAUAUGUGGGUUGAAUGCUGGGCUCGUGGGCUUCAAAUGGUGUGCUUCAGUGGGCUGCAAAACCGAACGGAAGGAAGCUGGGCUUGCGAGCUGACCGGGUGUGCUGGCGCGGCUUCUUCGUUGAUCGGUGAAGACAAGCCGAAGUGGAGCUGCAGCGUCGACGUGGAGUUGUUGCUGGGGAAUCGGUGGCUUCGAUGGGACGAUGAUUCUGCUUCAUUUGCUGGCAGCUGCAGGGUCAAAGAUGGGGAGGGUUCCACCGGUUUGUUGACCGUGAGUUGGCGUGCAAGCUGAAGGACGCGCGGACGUGGGGGCAGCGACGAAUGAAAGUGGAGCAGGGGCGUGCGGAUGAUGGGUGAGUAGAGAAGACCGCGUGGAUGAAGGGCAGCACGGCAAGGAGUCAGCAACUUAGUUUUGUUGGACUCCUUUGUUGACCGAACUUGGCAGAGAGAUGGAUGCUGCUUGAACGAUGGAGGCUGAAGUCGCGGAGACGGGCUGAGCUUCGGAGGGAUUUCAAGGGAAAUGAAAAGCAAAGUGAAAGCAUGCCAAGAGGAGUCGGUGAAUGGCGUGCCGAAGGAGAUUUGAAGAUAAAAGGGACAAAAAGUCAAUAAGCUUAUCUAUCCAAUUUAAUGUUUGUCCCUCAAAAGCACCCAUGUCUAUCCCUUGGUCCUUUACUUCUUUUUAGACAAAUAAAUCCACCAAAUAAUCCCAUUUUGAGCCAAGAAUAUUCAACCCUCCCACACCUCCGAAUUUUACAUUUUUGGUCUUCAAUUUCUUCGACAAAAUCCCAAUCCGAUGUCCAAUUUCAAUAAAGAAAAAGCCCGUAGAAUUUCUACAAGUGCCCCUCGUCAAAUAGCUUGGCUUGCAAGUCAAAAUUUCCUUUGACUUAGCCCAUCCAAAUUUCCAUUAAUUUUCUACAACGUUCGAAACGAUUUUCUGUAAAAAUCAUGGAAUUUCUGAAAAAUCUUCUGAGACUGAGUCGACGUUCCUAGAAUUUAUUGUGACAUGACAGAAUCUUCAAUUUUUGAAAUCGGACUCAAAUUCACGGUUAAUCUCCAUUCGGCGCGUUUUUAGCGUGACCUAGACUACCAAGUAGUUUUUAGAGAUUUUUAGUGCAAAUGACCCAUGGUAGAUUUUCUUCGAGCCACAAUGAACCCACUCAACACGUAGGCGACUCUUGGUUGUCAUGAAAAUCUCAAGGAUUCAAAUACGGACACGGGGUACCAAAAUGAUAGAAAAAUCAAACUAGUGCCGGUCGAUAAGAAUUUUGCAAUUUAGUGGGAUCACCUACAUUUAACCACGCAUCUCAAUUGAACCGACCUAUCUCUGACUUCUAAUCGAUUUAUAUCUGUGUCGUAAUGAUCUCUGUAGAUGAGCACGGUCAAGCAGUUGAUUCCUAGUCAAAUUCUCAAAUCCUUUGCACUUAGAUUCCUUAAUGGCUUACCCGGCUAGUCUAGUUAUCUCGUAAGUGGCUAACUCAGAGAAAAGCACUGUAGUCGCAUCGAUGAAAUGCCCAAUUUAUCCAAUCGAAAUUAAAACCUGAAAAUUAGGAUGUCACACAAAUGGCCAUGGAUGCCUCAAGCUCGAGCAGAUAGUGGCCAUGGCAAUGUCACGACCUCGGGUAGCAAGCAGCCAUAAAUGUUGUGAGCUCGAGCUCAAGUGGAUCAUGGCCAUGGAUGCUAUGAGCUCGAGCGGAUUGUGGCCAGAUGGAUCGUCUCCAUUAAUGCCAGCAGAUCAUGGCCGGUGAGCGACCAUAGCUGCCAGUGAGAUAAGGGAGGGGGAGAGGGAGAGAGAGUCUCUUUCUCUUCCUCGAGAUCUUGGUCUUAGCUCGCAGCAAAAGCAGUCCCUGUUUUUGGUUCGUUACACAAUUUACUCUUCCACAGCACCACUUAUGCUGCAUUUAGUCGUCGGGAUAAUAAUCAGGAUAUGAUAGGAUAAAGUAGGAUAUUAAAUCCUUUGAAUAAUAAAGGUGGACAUAUGUAAUCCUAUCAAGUGUUUGGCACACUUCAGGAUAAGAUUAAAAAAUAAAUAUGAUAUUCAAUUAUAUUAUAAAAUUAAAAAAUAGAAAAUUCAAUUAAUUAAAGGCCAUGGAAAAGCCCUAGAUCUAGGAAUUGUGGCCACCUUUGCAGUGGCCACCAUUGAAAACGGCGAGCACCAACAUCGCCAUGCAACGGCAAUGCAAACCGGUAAAUCUUAGACUACGAUAGAGAGGGGGGUGGGGGAAUUUUAGGCGACCACUGAAGUAGUCUUUGCAUUGCCUCAAAUCGAUCGAGAUCCCAAAUUGUCAACGAUACCAAAGAUUUACAGCUACUUCAUGACCAUCACCAUCUCCCCCUCUUCCUUUGAGACGUUCGACAUACUUGGUCAUCAAAUUCAGCAAGUCCAUGAUCCAAAGGAAGGGGCACCCAAUUGUUGGUGUACGAGAAGUGAAGAUGGGAGAAGAAGUGGAAGAAGAGGGCCAACAAAUGAAUCGGAGAGGCGGAGGCAUCCAUUUGACGUAGAUGCUUAUGAUAUCUUUCUCUUUUUGUUAAGUUCUUUCUUUCCUUAAAAAAAAAUAAAAAAAUUUAUCCAAUCCGGGCUUAUCCCACCCCCUCCCCCGGAUUUUUUAUCCAGCGUUUUAUCCGGAUGUAUCCGGGUUUGUACAAUCCGGUGGACAUUCCCAAACAUCAGAUAGGAUAACAAAUUAUCCUAUCCAUACUCAAAUCCGGACUACCAAACGCAGCCUUACUGUAGCCUAGCUUCUCUAGUUCGCUCCAAAACAUGGUGUACCCGAGUGGUUUAAGCUGCGUUUGUUUGCAUUUCUUUUUUCUGUUUUUAAACAAUUUUUUUUUGUUUUUUUGUUCCUGGGAACAAAAAAUGAACAGAAAUGCGUUUGUGUGCGUUUUUGUUCCAAAAUUAUUUUUUUGUUCCCAUAAACACAUCUGGAACAGAAAUAAGAAACAAAAAAAAGUCGUUUAUUGUUUCUGGAACAAAAUUUAGAAACACUUUCUUUUCUUCUUCUUUUUCUUCUCUCUUUUUUCUUCUUCUUUUUUCUUUCUUUUUUCUUUGGCCGGUUGCCGGCCUCAGCCAGGGCCGGCGAUGUCGUCGAGGGCUGGCGACCUCGCCGAAGUGGCGCCGGCCCCCGGCGAGGCCGACCUCGCGCCGGGUUGGGGAAGCUCGAUCUCGCCCAGAUCCGGUGAGGCCGACCUCGCCCAGCUACGGUGAGGCUCGGCCUCGCCGGGGGCUGGCGAGCCUCGCCGUGGCUGGGCGAGGCCACCGGCCCUCAUCGGCCGGUCGCCGGCCAUGGCUGAGGCCGGCGACCGGCCAAAAGAAGAAAAAAGAAAAAAGGAAAAAUAAAUAAAAAAAUAAAAAAAUAAGAAAGAAAAUAGAAAAAAUAAAAAAUAUAUAUAUUAAAAAAUAAAAAAAUUAUACAAAUUUACCAAACGUGUUUCUGUUCAUUUUUUAUUCCCGGAACAAGUUUACCGAACACGUUUUUUUGUUCAAAAAUUGUUCCCCGGAACAGAAACACUUUUCUUUUUUUUUUAAAUUUCUGUUCCCUUGAACAAUUUUUAAACAUAAAUAUUACCAAAUGCGCCCUUAGUUACCGCAAUGCCGGACAUUUCAUGGGCGUUGACAUACCUUCUAACGACCACGAGUCCUCGACGGGGCACUAGAUAUCCCCCACUCCAAGAUAUCAACUCUAGACAACUGCACAUCAGUUAGGUCCUACAUUUUUUUGUUAAGCUACAGAUUGCCUUUGGUCUCCUCAGAUGACAUAAAUUGGCAUGUCAUUGGUCUCCAGAUACUACAGAUUGGCAGGAAAUGUCGAGCCCUAUUGAUGCUGUGUUCAAGAUCUCCAACCUCAGGUUAAUGGUGGCCUGAGUGCGGCGUUGAACUGCUAAACAUCUUCCCUGUUUAAUCGAAUCGUUGCUCUUUCGACUCGUUUCCCUCUAUUGCCAAGAAAACCAGUCACUGAAUUCAUCUUGACCACAUACGAACUAUGAGUGCCCACCCAUGACUAAAGCUUUGAAGCAUAAGCAAAUAGAUAGACGUCCUAGAUCGUCCAUUAAUUGUCUUAUCAGGACAUGAAGUCAUGAAUUAAAUUACAGGCAACAAACCAACACAGUUCAUGUUCAGAUAAACUAAGGAAAAUGUUCAACAUUUGUCAUUAGUUUCUGCUAAAGUAAUGUCCAUACAUCUCAUAAUCUCAUUUACAUUAUGAACAAAUUUCUGAUCUUGAGCAAUUCAGUACAACGCCUUCUUCCACGUGAGAGACUUGAUGCCCGUGAAAAUUUGGACUUCACAGUCACGUAAAGAUACAAACAUCAUCAUAUCCCCUCCUAAAGUCAUUCAAAUGUAACACUUUCUGUCAGUAAAUCACAAAUCAUAAGCAAAACUGAUGAAAAAUGCACUGAAAAGAUAGCAUCAGGGCUUACACUGUUUUCCCACAAUAGGUGGGACUGUAAUUAUGUAUCAGAUUGUCGAGCACUUUUCGGGCAGAAGCCCGGUUUACAGACUUCCAAGCCUCACCACAGGAUAACAAGUGCGACUUAGAAGUUUUCUCCCUUCAAACCGAGUGAAAUUUUUUACCAUAAGCACAGUCCAUGUAACCAUAAUCGUGUAUAAUAUAUGAUAUUUUAAGAACUUUGACAAGGAAAUUUCAAACGCAACUUGCUUUGCAGCAUAAAAUUACUGAACAAAUGUGACCUGACAAAGAAGUUGGCUAUAUGCUGUAUAACUUGAAUGGCAUCAUCUAAGUUUACCUCAAGGCAGUAAGUCUAAACAUACUUCACAGAAUGGGGAGGUGGAAAACAUGAUCCCAAGAACAAUCACUGAUUUAGCUCCCCUAAGAUAAUUUAAGCAAAUGAAUCAUGUUUAAGUCAAAGCCAUAUAAAAAAUAAAAAUAAAAGGAUCAUGUCCUCUAUAACAUGAUAAACUCAAAUUGCCUAGUCUCCAAAUUUUGCCUAACCAAUUCUGCAAGACUCAGGCAAGUUGUGGCACAAGCUCUUCACUGAAGAAAUCAAAAACCACAAAAUCAGGAGGCAUCGCAAAAAACUAGUAUUGAUCAAUAUGCGUUAGAAUCUACAACGGCAACAAGUCAAUUUCUACGCGCGUCAUGAAUCUUACUUUUUUCCUCCUGACAACGGGAAAUACAUCAAAAACCAGUUACCGAUAUGUGCGUGUCGUGAGAAUCUUCUUAAAAAUGGAGGGAUAUUGGAGGGGGAACAAAACACUCACGUAUCGACUCGAGAGAGUAGGGGUGAGCAUGGUCCGGGUUGGUCCGGGCCACCCCCUAACCCUAGGACCAACCCAUACAGUGACGGUCCUCAAUUUUUAGGACCGAGGACCGACCCUAUUGAGCCUGGGACCGAGGACCGGACCGACCCAAUGGGUUCGGUCCGGUUCCAGGGUCAACCCAGGACCGAUCGAUAAUUUUUUUUCGUCUUAUUUUUUAUACUUCCUAAAAAAGCAAACCUAUAAAUUCAAAUUACACAUACAUCGACAAUGCGGCAUUGUGCAACUAAACUAUAAAUAAAAAUACAUAUUUAGCAAAUUUAAGAUGACACAAUAAUAGAAAUUUCCUACCUGCUAACCACUUAUCGAAAUAUGGGACAAGAUGGAAAGUUCUUGUAAUCAUCUAUCUUUAAUAUUCAUAACACCAUAUGCAAUAGUGUUUUCCUGCAUUUGAUCAUGUAAAGUCCACUCAACCAAAAAAUGAGCUUCACACCACUUGACUAGCAAAUCACCGUAGCAAAUGUAGUACUACUAUACUCUUCAAAAACUUCUACCAUUUGACACAAAUUGAAAAAGCAAAGUGCAGCUGAAAUUCAUUAGUAAAAUAUAAUUAAACCAUAAAAAGUUCAAAAUACUUAAUAUAAACCAUGAAUAUAUAACUUCACAUCUUGUUCAUUCACUUGAACUUCUAAAAACCUAAAAACAAAACAAACGACAUAUAAUUAAUACUCAACAAAAGUUUUAAAUUGAAAUUACUAUUAGUGCUAUUGAUAGAACAUCUUAAUAUAAUAUAAUAUAAUAUAAUAUAACAAAAAUUUUACUUAGGUUUGAAUAUAUAAAAGAAUUAAAAAUAAUAUAAUAUAUAAUAUAAUAAAUAGGGUUGGUCCAGGGUUAGACCGACCAAAAACUCUUAGGACCGAGGACCAACCCGCACAGUUUUGGUCCUAGAAUUUCAAGACCAAUGACCGACCCAGUCCCCUUGGGAACCGGACCAGGACCGGCAGGGUUGGGCCGGUCCAGGGUCGGUCCAGGGUCGACCCUAGACCACUGCUCACCCCUACGAGAGAGAGAUGGAAGACGACGAAAAAGCAAAAAUUUACGAGAUCGAAAAUCGAAAGAGGGAAAGAAAGUCGAACGAUGCCACUUUGCUCCGAAGCUCCGAUCGAUACGGGGAGGUUGUCCUUCUGAGCGAUGAUUUCGCGCGGCGCCUUGAAGAAGAAUCCGAUUGCGCCUUCCCCUGCUAGGGCUCAAUCCCGAUCCAAUUUUCCCCCCAUUUCUGUGCGGCGUCCCGGGGAAUUAUUUCGGGUUGGGGGGCCUUUUAUAGUGCGCGCUCAGCAUGAAAGCAUAUCUGGAAAUAGAAAAAACUAGGUCCUUGUAUUUUUCACGCUGAGAAUCCAUACGAAAAUUUAUAACGUUUAUGAAAUCGUUGUUGUGAUUUGACGAGAAUACGAAAUAAAUCCACCUAGGCCUAUUAUCUAAUAUCUAACUAUUAAUCGAAAAAAUAGUUUAUACUUUGUGUCAGUAGAUCAUUGAUAAACUUUGAUUUGAUUAUUCAACUUGACGUUUUACAAUUUUAUUAUCUUAAUCUGACUUCUGACCAUGAAACCUACUUAUUUUAGUAACUUCUCUGCAUUUAAAAACUUUAAAAUCAUCUCAAUAGCUGCCUCUAGUAGAUUAUCAUUUUUGAAUUCAGAAAAAAAAAUCAAUUAUAUUUCAUAUCAUGCAUGUGAACUAAUUUAUGUUUCGCUUAACACGAGUCUAGUUACACUAGUUGCAUGUUGUGGACUUGUUUAACUCAUGUAUACUUAAUUUGUGUUAUGUUCACCUAAUUGCACAGUCUAUAAAGUUCAGAUUCUCAUCGGGGUUUGCUUGUGUGGCUCAUCAACACUAUCCCCUUCAUUGGAUGUGCAACGUGGUCCAUUGCUAUCAUUCUUUGUCCUCAAAACGUGUCGAGAGCUGCACUUUUAGCCCUUCUCAGUUUGGUUUAGUCCCAGCCCAUUAAUGAAAUACAUCUAUUGGAGGGAGUCCCACUCCGAUUUAAUCCGCAACCAGGUGCACCUUUUCUCAUGGGCCAAACCCAGAAAAAGGGUAAAUGACUAUAUAAGGCUGUCACUAUUGGCAAUGAUUAAUAAGUUUCCCUUGUAAAGUAUAUUUAAGAAGUGUCAAGAUGACCUUUCAUAAAAUAUACAGGUACUUUGCUAAUUGGCCAUACUCUUCAAUGGAGAAAACUUUGUCUGACAAAUUAUUGAAGGGUUAUAAAUUAGUCAUUACCUACAUUUAUUUUUAAUUAAGUUGACAUAUGAUCAAUAUCCAUAUCUUGAAAGUAAUCAAUUAAAUGCCUGGUUAGAUUUUUUUUUUAUCUAGAAUAAUAAUAAAAAAAAAAACACCACCAUUUUACUUACCGGUAGAUGUGAUCAUUGGGUUGAGUGUGCAUUAUAUAAUUUCAAAAAACUCGCCCACAAUAUAGAAUUUUUAUAUAAAGGUUCUGUUUAAGCCGGGCUGGGCUUUGUAAUGUAAGGGCGUCGCUCAAGCCAAUCUAUUUUCCUUUUGAGGUGCCUGCUCGUUGAUCGCCUUUACCAAUCUAACUAGUAAUUGAGGAAGAAAUAUUGCAUGGUCUACAAAUGCUAUGGACCAGACCCAUCUCUAUCGUUAAUCAUAUGGGGUCUAGUGAUAAGUCCUACUCAAUUAAUAAUUGAGCUGGAUUUCUAUUGUACACAUAUUAUCUGCUUUGGGCACUAAAUUCUCAAGGUUUUGUUCUUUUCAAGAUAGCUCAUACUACCCCAAGAAAACAUGUAUGUACAAUUAGAGAGCUCAUUGUGGUGACAACCCAGAACUCCUUCCUUGGGUGAUGCAGAACAAGAGACCACCCCCUCCCUAUGUACGUCCAGGGAUUGAAGAAAACAUGUGUGUACAAUUAGAGGGCUCAUUAUUUUAUAAGGCAACCUAGAACUCCCUCCCUAAGCAACAACUUAGAAUUCACACGCGGUUUUUGUUCUUCUUAGGAUAGCUCAUAUUACCCCAAGAAAACAUAUAUGUACAAUUAGAAGGCUCAUUGUGGUGACAACCCAAAACUCCUUCCCUAGGUGAUGUGGAACAAGAGACUGCCCCCUCCCUAUGCACGUCCAGGGACUAAAGAAAACAUGUGUGUACAAUUAGAGGGCUCAUUAUUUUAUAAUGCAACCCAGAACUCCCUCCCUAGACAACAACCCAUAAUUCACAUACAGUCGAGAGUCGGCUCUGAUACCACUUAUAAUACCUUGGAUCUCCACUUUACACAUAUUGUCUGCUUUGGACACUAAGUUCUCACGGUUUUGUUUUUCUUAAGGCAGUUCAUACUAUCCCAAGAAAAUGCGUGUACACAAUUAGAGAGCCUAUUGCCUUAUAAGGUAGCCUAGACCUCCCUCCCUAGGCAAUGUGGGACUAGAAACACGCUCCCUCUAUGCGCACCUUCGAGGACCGAGGUGCGAACGCACCACCAUUCCUUCUCCUCACACACCGCCGCCUGAGCCAUUACACUCUCCACCCCUUAAGAGCACAACGUCCUCACUGUGGCCCCAUAUGUGUUUUUUUUUUAGGAUAGUAUGGGCUACUUUGAAAAGAACAAAAUCGAGAGGACUUAAUGUCCAAAGCGGACAAUAUAUGUACAGUGGAGACCCAGAGAGUUACAAGUGGUAUUAAAGCCAACUCCCAUAGCGUAUGGGGCCACAGUAAGGGCGUUGUGCCAUAAGAGGUGGAGAAUGUGACGACCCAUAACAGGGGCAAUAGCAAGGGCGUUGUGCCAUAAGAGGUAGAGAAUGUGACGACCCAUAACAGGGGCAAUACGGAAGGACGGACUAAGAUCGCAUCGGCAGUACACAGGUGAGGCCAAAUACGUGUCUCCUCUCUUACAUCGCUUAGGGGGGAAGUCAAUCACCUUGGUAGUAUUAGCCCAUUAUGGUACAUCGCCCUCGUCGUGGCCCCACACAUUGUGGAAGUUGACUCUGAUACCACAUUGUGGCCCCACACGUCCACCCCUUAUGGCACAUCGCCCUCGUUGUGGCCCCACACAUUGUAGGAGUUGACUCCAAUACCACUUGUAAGAACCCGAGUCUCUACUGUAUAUAUAUUAUUCGCUUUGAACAUUAAGUUCUCACGGUUUUAUUCUUCUCAAGACAGCCUAUACUAGUCCAAGAAAACACACACACACACACACACAGAUAUAUAUAUAUAUAUAUAUAUAUAUAUAUAUAUAUAGUUUAGAAGAAUCCAAGCCUUAUAAAUUAGCUUAGGACUCAUUCCCAAGAGAUGUGGGACAUGAGACAUGUACUUAGCCUCGCCCGCGUAUCGUUGAGGCAAUCUUAGUCUGUGCCUCCAUAUUGCCCUGGGUCUAGGUCAUCACAUUCUCUACCUCUUAUGGUACAUCGCCCUCACUAUAGCCUCACACGUUGCGGGAGUCGGCUCUGAUACCACUAAUAAGAACCCGAGUCUUCACUGUAUAUAUAUUGUCUACUUUGCAAUGACUCCUCCAUGUUAAGUAGGCCGGCCAAACAAUUUUACUCGAGCAGCCACAAUCGCCAUUUGCCACUCGGAAUGUGGACACAUCACAAGGCCGUCUCUGCGUUCACAUGAUCGAAAUCAUGUUCAGACAAAAGAAGAAAAAAAUUCUCUUCGGCCUUGGUAAGAUGUAGACGGUAGGAGAAGUAAACGCAGCGAAUACAAUCUCCACAUGCGGAGCACUCCAUGCCGAGUGAUGUCAACUGUUGGCUGGGUCCGCUUCAUGUGGGGCCCAGCUAACAAUAAAACAAAAGAAAAAUUAAAAAAAAAAAAGAGGAGGAAGAAAAGUCAAAAGCUAAACGAAAAAAAGGGGUUGUUGCUUCGUGCGUGUGCGUGCCCGAGAAGGUGGACAGAGAAGAGUAAGCCCAAGAAGAGAGAAAAAAUAGAGAGAAGGCAUGAGAAAGGGUCGUCUCAUGAGAGCACGCGUAGAAGAAAAGAGAAAGAGAGCCCAUUCAAAGAUCAAAUGUUGAUGGAAUCCGCUCAAGUUUGAAGUUUGAGUAUGUUGUUCGUGAAAUUGAGGACUACAAGUUGAUAGGUUUGAAUUCUCUAAUUGCAGUUAGAGUUUUCUUACUUCGAAUUUAUUGAUUCACCUUUGUGAUAAGACAAUGUGAUUGUAAUGUUUAUGUUGAGCCUCUAGUAUGUGAAUAGAUAAACUUAUUUUGUGUAUCCUACUAUUUUAGUGAUUAGCGGGAGUUUUUGAGUGGUCUGUGAUUUUUCCGACAUUGAAUUUUCACGUUAAAUCCUUAGUAGUGCUGUUGGCUUCAUUCUCAUAUCAAAUUGGCAUUAUAUUUGCAUAUUCCAACGAUAUAUAUAUGGCUAGUUGUUGAUGGAGCUAAGUUGAUUUCAGUCAAUUUAGUUUUGGGUGAGAAAUUGACCCUGAAUUGGGUUUAGUUCGUGGUAAAUUUUUGUCCCCCGAUUCUCCCAAACAGUCCACAUAUGUAUAUCUUCUUGAAAUAAUAGCCUUAACAUAGAUGAAGAAUGCUGCUUGGGAGUUGACUCAGAGCGAUCCCUGAGCUGUCAUUCCUUCACGGAACAGACCUGGAACGGAGGGGAUCAAAGCAGGUCCAGGUUCCGAACAGCUGGAGCUACCGCGAUAGGCUCGGCUUCAACAUAGAAAUCCUUCUAAGUCUUCAGCCAAAAAGGAGAGGAAAGAAGAAGAAGCGUCCACGACAGUGAACUGCUUUCAUCUCACCUGCGGGUUCUACGGACCAAACGCUUUGACAGGUGACUCCGCCAUGGAAGUAAACGAUGAGUUGACAUGGGUCUUUACCUUUCGAGGAUCUGCAUUGCCAUGCUGGAUUAUGCUCGUGACAGAUGAAUUGCCCUGCCAUCGUCUGCUUCGUGGAAAAAAAUUGUACCCAUCAUCCAUUAGCAGACAAAGCAGACGAUCCGGGCCCCUUAUAGGCGUCGUCAUGGACAUAUCAUAGUUCCAUUUAGGAUAAUUUCAGGCCUAUAAUCACGACCAAUCCCCCUCCCAGAUGUCAGCAUUCCGCGCCCUGAGCAACGGGAUCUAAUUCAGUGCGGCGUUGGCAAUUUGGUAUAUGAUACUGGUAAGUGUCAAAUAACUCCGAUAAACCAUAAAUGACCGGUAAGUUUGCUCCGCCUGAUCAGGCGUUUGUAACUUAUUGACAGGUUUUUGACAAGUACCAAGACCUAUAUAUGCUUUAAAAAUUGUCAACUGACUUUAAUAGUCUAUUGAUAUUUAUUUUUACAACUUAUCAAUGCCGUGAUAGUUACUAAUUUUUCAAAGCAAUUUCCGGCCUUGAUUUGAUUAUUGUAUCAACGUUUAUGCUGUGACAGUUACUAAUUUUUCAAAGCAAUUGCGGGCCUUGAUUCGAUUAUUGUAUCAACAUUUUGACCUGGUAAGAUACCAAUUAAUAUUAGUCACACGCCAACUUUUUUUUAUUUUCAUCUUGCCAGGUUUGGAAAAGUAUCGUCAAUUCGUUAUACAUCCCAGGGUCACCGAUUGAUUUCACAAUCCAACAACAUCUGUUAUGACAUUUGGUAGAAUCUAACAACAUCUAUUAUUGCAACUUCCGGACACCUUUGGAGUUUCCGGCUUUUAUUGGAAUUUAUUCAACAUUAAUUAGAUUGAGAUAUCAACUAAUUUUAGUUGCUCACCAAUGAUUUCAAUGACGUUCGAUCGCUGAUUUUAGAAGAAAAAACUUUGUAGAACAACACCUAGCUCCACAUGGCGGGAAAAGAGUAUAAAGUAACAUUGCAAAUUCAAUAAUCACCAACACAAAAAACAGUCAUCUUUCUGGGGAGUUUCACUUGAGCAAUCCUUCAUAAGAACAGCUUCCGCUGAUCGUGGUCUCUCAAGUCGAGUCUCGACAACUUCAAUUGGCUUUUGCAUUCAUCUCUUCGCUCGGACUCCAGCUUCUUCCAUUCUCCAGGUUUUAUNNNNNNNNNNNNNNNNNNNNNNNNNNNNNNNNNNNNNNNNNNNNNNNNNNNNNNNNNNNNNNNNNNNNNNNNNNNNNNNNNNNNNNNNNNNNNNNNNNNNNNNNNNNNNNNNNNNNNNNNNNNNNNNNNNNNNNNNNNNNNNNNNNNNNNNNNNNNNNNNNNNNNNNNNNNNNNNNNNNNNNNNNNNNNNNNNNNNNNNNNNNNNNNNNNNNNNNNNNNNNNNNNNNNNNNNNNNNNNNNNNNNNNNNNNNNNNNNNNNNNNNNNNNNNNNNNNNNNNNNNCCAGAUGUGUAAACUGCCAUUUCCUUUGGUUAUCUUCCGUAACGUUAAAUGCGGGUCGAUUUUUUGCUGAUUUGACCGUUUUCUACCCUUAGAAGUGGCCUAACCCAAUCCAAUUGCUUGAGAAGUUGGAGUUUUUAGAGUCUCUUUCAUCUUUGUUUUGUACUUUGUUCUUUUCUACUUUUCUUGGCUCAUACAUCUUUGCAAAUUGAUGGUUCAUGUCAUAACAUAGCAUCAUGAAGUUCCCAAAGAAGGAAUGUGACAUCCUGGAUUUUCAAUCCUGUUUUCAAUUGAAUGAAUUGUGCAUUUCAUCGACGUGCCUAUAGAGCUGUUCUCAGAGCUGAUCACUCUCGAGAUAACUAGGCUAUUCAGGGAAGCUAUUAAGAAAUUUUAAUGCAAUAGACUUGAGAAUUCGAUCAAGAAUCGACUUCUCGACCGUGCUUAUCUUUAGAGGCCAUUAUGGCACAAUAUAAAAUCGAUUUGAAAUCAGAGAUAGGUCUGUUCAACUGAGAUGUGUGCCAAUCGUGGGUGACAACACUAAAUUGGAAAGUUCUCGUCGACCGGCCAUAAACUAAUUAUUCUGUCGUUUUGGUGCCCUGUGUCCGUAUUUAAAUUUUUUAGAUUUUCACGAUAAUCGAGAGUUUCCAAUGUCUCGAGUGGGUUCAUCGUGGCUCGAAGAAAAUCGACCACGAGUCAUUUGCAAUAAAAAUCUCUGAAGACUACCCGAUAGUCUAGAUUAUGCUCAAAAUGCGCCGAAUGGAAAUUAACUGCGAAUUCGAGUUCGAUUUUAGAAAUUGAAGAUUCCGUCAUGUCACAAUAAAUUCUAAGAAUAUCGACUCAUCUUUCGAGGAAUUUUUGGUGAGUUCGGGAUUUUUACAGAAAAUCGUUGCGGACGAUUCGGAAAACGAACGAAAAUUCGGAUUUGCCAAAUGGAAGAGAUUUUUGGCAUUUGGUAUGAGUGAAUGGGUGAAUGGAAGUUGCUUGGGCUUUUUUUGAAUUCAAAUUGGACCUUAACGGGAUUUGUUUGUUCAGAAAAUUGGAUUCCGAAAAGAAAAUGAAUUAAAAUUCGGAGUUGAAGGAAACUGCCAUUGUUGUUGCCUAAAACUUGUUGUUUAAGGGAAAUUUUGUGCAAGAAAGCAAGUGGAAAUCAAGUACUUUAGCAUGGAGAUUUUUUGGGACCAAAUUGGACUAAACAAGAGCAAGUGGGACCAAGAAUUUCGGUUAUAGGAUUUUCCUUUUUAAUUUCCUUUUCUUUUAUUCUUUCCCCCCUGGCCGCGAACGUUUCCUUUCCUCUCCCUUUUUCUUUUCUCUCUUUCUCUCUCUCGCGAGCGAAGGCCCCACCGACGUCCCAUUUUUCCCUUCUCUUUGCCGUGUCCAAGUUCUCUUUCCCUGACUUCUCCCCUACGUUGUCGACAUCCCCUUCCCCUUUUUCUUUUGUUCUUUCUUUCGGACCGCCCCCAACUCCUUCGGCUUCUUCAUUUCCUUCGCCCCACCUUCGACGACGCCCAUCUCCGUCUCUCUCCGUGGCCGGCUCCGCAAUUUUGUCGCGCCGAAGCAGCUCGCUUGAGGCAGCAAGCUCGGCUGUGUUACCCUCACCGAAUCAGCCGCUGAAAUCAGCCCAAUAACCGAGGAAAUCCAGCAGCUCGUGAGGCUUUGCGGGCCAAGUUUCGGGCCCGAUUUGUGCCCCAUUGGUGUCGCUGCUUUGAGAAGAAUCGAGCCUCGUUGCGUCCCCGUCAAAUUGAUCCAAAGCGCNNNNNNNNNNNNNNNNNNNNNNNNNNNNNNNNNNNNNNNNNNNNNNNNNNNNNNNNNNNNNNNNNNNNNNNNNNNNNNNNNNNNNNNNNNNNNNNNNNNNNNNNNNNNNNNNNNNNNNNNNNNNNNNNNNNNNNNNNNNNNNNNNNNNNNNNNNNNNNNNNNNNNNNNNNNNNNNNNNNNNNNNNNNNNNNNNNNNNNNNNNNNNNNNNNNNNNNNNNNNNNNNNNNNNNNNNNNNNNNNNNNNNNNNNNNNNNNNNUAGUUGGAUGUAGGAUAACAAGAUUAGAAUAGAUUAGUGAUUAUUAGUUAAUUGCAAUGUAUGUUAGGUGAUUAGACAUAGUCAUUAGGGAGUAGAAAUGCUAUAGUAUUUAUUGAAUGUCUCUCGGGAUUUUUCCCAACCCAUCCGAGCUUCAAUUAGGCAUUACAGGCCUAAAAUUGGAUUUAUUAGUAUUUAUUAAUUAAUUCUUGUAAUUAAUUAAUUUUAUUUUUCGGAGAUUAGGCAUGGAUAGUCGAUGACUGGAAUUUUAAACUGAUCAUUGUGGUGCAAUUCAUUUAUUUAUUUGAGCAUUGGCUUGUGCUGAAUUAAUUCUGUUUUUAGGAUUUUAUUCCUAAAUUAAUCAAUUUUGGUAAUUGAUUGGAAAUUUAACCGAGCAUUGGUUUACAACGCCAAAAAUAUUUUGGUGGACCAUAUAAAAUGGUGGAAAUUGUGGAAGUGUAAUUAUGGUAUUUUGGCUAAGGUCAACCGUGUACCCACACACGGCUAUUCUUAUCGAAUAUGAUAAAAAUGAUGAAAAUUGUAUACUAUCUUGGCUUGGGGCCCUAAUCUAUUAGCUUUGGAUGAGCAAUUUAUUAUUAGUUUUGGGCGAGCAUAUAAAUAGUAUACCAUAGUAUCGGCUUUGGGUGAGCACAUAUUAUCAAUUUUGGGCGAGCAUAUAUAUACAUAUAUAUAAUGGCCUGGGGGCCCUAAUCAUUCAGCUUUAGGUGAGCUAUACUAUCUAUUUUCAGCUUUAGGUGAGCAGUCCUAAACUAAGGUAAGACUUUAUAGAUAGUAUUGAAUGUAUCGACCAAGGGAAGGUCAUGAUGACAUGGAAUUGACCAAGUCGAUUGAUCAAUGAUUUGAUCUGUGAAUUGAUGUGUUUCAUGUACGUUUGAUAUAUACUGACUUGCAAGAGGGAACUGAGGCUAUGGUAAGUCCUCCGAGUUGUGUUGUGCUUAGGCAACCCUAAGGUGUAUUGGCUUCCUAAUCGAGUCUUCGAGAGUAGAACUUGCUGAGACGUAGUCUCAUUCCGGUUGUGGGACAACAUUUUAAGUCUCUAGAUGGCAGAACCUAAAGAGGAGUACCUGGAGGAGGACCCCGAGGAUGAUACAGAGUAGGAUCCUGAUGAGGAUUGAGACUCCACUCCUGUCUGAUGACUUUUGCUGUUAAACCUGUUUGAGUAGAAACCAACCUUUUACCAUGGCUCAUAUAUGUAUAUAUAUGACUGAGUUGUUAUAUAUUUAUAUAAGUGUGUUGGUUUUCAAGUUCAAGCUUUUAGUCCUACUCGUCUAUCCCAUUACUUUAUUGUCUGGGGAUUAUUAUUAUAUGCUUCCGCAUGCAUAUUAAAAUGAAAAGGUCAGCGAUGCGUCAUGGGAUGUCGCUAUUAAUCGACCAAGGUGACGGAUGGGUGCGUGCCCGAUGAUCGAGGCGUGACAAGGAAUUAGUCGAGAUUAAACCUCUAACCCUCGCUAAAUCGUACAUUCAUUUUCCAGGGGAUGUUUGAAACUCUCUUCUUGCUCUCUUUCAUUUUUAUUAAUUUUUGGUAAUGUACAUGCAAAGGGCAUUUACUUGUACUCAUUCAUCUCUCAGCCUUGAAACGGAAGUACGAGAUUGGACACAGAGCUCUAUAUAACCGCAUAAAUUCUCCUUAUCUUUGUUGAAUCGUCAACACAACCCCGAUUUAUUUCUGAGGACUCCUAUAAGGACAAGGUGCAUUCAUUUCUCGUCUUUGCAAAAUUUGUCCAAGACGACAUGGCAUCUUUCCCAAGGCCAGAAAACAAACAUAGUCAAUAUAAAUAUGAUGUUUUCCUAAGUUUCCGAGGUGAAGAUAUGCGCAAAAACUUUGUUGACCAUCUACACAAUCAUCUAUGGCGAAGAGGAAUUGUGGCCUUUCGAGACGAUCACCACCAAGAUCUUCAGAGGGGAAAAUGUAUUAAAGCAGAAAUAUUGAGGGCAAUAGAGCAAUCAAGACUUGUACUUGUGAUAUUCUCUAAAAACUACGCUUCUUCAACUUGGUGCCUGGAAGAAGUUGCUAAGGCUGUGGAGUGCAAGGAUAUCGAUGAAGGAUCAGUGAUACCGAUCUUCUACAAGGUCGACCCAUCUGACCUACGAAAACUGAGGGGAAACUUUGGGAUAGGCUUUGCUAAAACUGAGGAAGCUUAUUCGGGCGACAAGAGAGAUAUAAAGAGGUGGAAGGAUGCAAUGAGUAAAGUAGCUGGUCUCGCUGGAAUUGAAUUGAAAGAUGGGUAGGCCUCUCUUCCACUAGCUUGGAAUGGUUUGUUUUCCUUAAUUUUGGCAUGCCACUCAUGUCAUGACUGUCAUACUCUGCAUUAUGUUAGUUCAUCUAAAGUAGAAUACACUCCAGAACUAAAAAGUCUCAAUGCUUGCUGGGGAACUAAUCACCUGCAUUUCUUUGUUGCAGAUAUGAGACCGAGUUUAUUCAGCAAAUCAUUGGAGAAGUCGAAAAAAAACAGGGUCCACAGCUGUCUUACGUUGUAGGUGAUCUUGUGGGAAUGCAUUCCCGUGUUGCAAAUGUAGUUGAAUCUUUAUGCUUGGACGAGAGUGAUGUACGUAGUAUUGGCAUAUGGGGUAUGGGUGGCAUAGGUAAAACAACUGUUGCACGAGCAGUUCAUGACAAAAUCCAUGGCCAAUUUAACAAUGGAUGUUGUUUUCUUGCCAAUGUUAGAGAAAUUUCUAAAAAGAAUGGUUUGGUGUAUCUACAAAACCAGUUUCUCGGCGAUAUUCUCCAAGACGACAAUUUGAGAAUUAGGGAUGAUCAUAGAGGAGCGAACAUGAUAAAAGAACGACUACAACAUAAAAAGGUUCUCAUUGUACUUGAUGACGUGGAUGAAAAGGAGCAGUUGGAAAAAUUAGCGGGAGGUUUUGAUUGGUUUGGACAUGGAAGUAGGAUCAUUAUAACAACUAGAGAUGAACAUUUGCUUCUUCAAUAUGGAGUAAACUCCAUAUAUAAGGUGGAGGAACUAUCCUUUAGUGAGGCUCUUAAGCUAUUUUGUUUGAAAGCUUUUAGAAGUAACCAUCCUCCAGCAGAGUUUGAUGAGCUCGUGGAGCAGGUUAUUGGAUACGCUAGUGGCCUUCCUCUAGCCCUUGAUGUCUUGGGUUCGUUUUUGGCUUGUAGGAGCUUGAUGCAAUGGAAGAGUGCACUGGCCAGACUCAAAGAAUGUCCAGAAGGGAAAAUUUUUGACCGGCUUAGGUUAAGUUAUGAUGGACUACAACAGAAAGAGAAAGAGAUUUUCCUAGAUAUUGCAUGUUUUUUCAAGGGAAAGGAGAAACCUUACGUUACAGAAGUUUUGGACAAUUGUGGGUUCUAUGCAGAUAUUGGAAUCGCAGUGCUUGUUGAUAAAUCUCUUAUCCAAAUCGUGAGCAACAAACUGUGGAUGCAUGAUUUGCUACAAGAGAUGGCUUGGGAAAUCGUUCGUCGAGAGUCUCCUGAAGAGCCGGGAGAGCGAAGUCGAGUCUGGCUUUUUGAGGAUGUAUUCCAUAUUUUGUCAAAAAACUCAGUGAGUAUCUGCAAAAUUAAUUUGCAAGCAUGCUUAUUUGAUAUAGGAAAGAAAAACUUGCUAGUCAUGUAUUGACACUAUGUGAUUUGUUUAUCAGGGAAUAGGAAAAGUCAAAGCCAUAGCCUUGCAAUCUGAGGACCAUAGAACAGUGCGCUUGAAUGGAGAGUCAUUCACAAACAUGACUAACUUAAGAUUGCUUGAUGUUCGUGCCAUAUACCUCUCUUCUGGGUUUAAGCACCUUUCAAAUGAACUACGCCUACUAAGAUGGGACAACUAUAGUCUUAAAUCAUUUCCACCAAGUUUUUGUCCUAAGAAUCUUAUUGAACUCUAUAUGCAGGAUAGCCUCCUUUGCAGCAUCUGGAGAGGGGAAAAGGUUGGAAUUAGUACUCAUGCAUGUGUAGGCUUCAUCAGACACUUUAUUAUGUUCAACAAGCUAAUAAAAUUGUUCAACCAAAUUUUUCUAGAUGCAGGUCUUUGAGAAGUUGAAAGUUAUCAACCUCAAUGGUUCCAAAUUAUUCGUGGAGACUCCAAACUUCAUAUAUGUCCCAAAUCUAGAGCGGCUAAUUCUCAAAGGUUGCAAAGCAUUAUCUCAAGUUCAUUCUUCAAUUGGAAAUCUAGAAAGACUCAUCUACUUGACUGGGUGAUUGUGAAAUUCUNNNNNNNNNNNNNNNNNNNNNNNNNNNNNNNNNNNNNNNNNNNNNNNNNNNNNNNNNNNNNNNNNNNNNNNNNNNNNNNNNNNNNNNNNNNNNNNNNNNNNNNNNNNNNNNNNNNNNNNNNNNNNNNNNNNNNNNNNNNNNNNNNNNNNNNNNNNNNNNNNNNNNNNNNNNNNNNNNNNNNNNNNNNNNNNNNNNNNNNNNNNNNNNNNNNNNNNNNNNNNNNNNNNNNNNNNNNNNNNNNNNNNNNNNNNNNNNNNNNNNNNNNNNNNNNNNNNNNNNNNNNNNNNNNNNNNNNNNNNNNNNNNNNNNNNNNNNNNNNNNNNNNNNNNNNNNNNNNNNNNNNNNNNNNNNNNNNNNNNNNNNNNNNNNNNNNNNNNNNNNNNNNNNNNNNNNNNNNNNNNNNNNNNNNNNNNNNNNNNNNNNNNNNNNNNNNNNNNNNNNNNNNNNNNNNNNNNNNNNNNNNNNNNNNNNNNNNNNNNNNNNNNNNNNNNNNNNNNNNNNNNNNNNNNNNNNNNNNNNNNNNNNNNNNNNNNNNNNNNNNNNNNNNNNNNNNNNNNNNNNNNNNNNNNNNNNNNNNNNNNNNNNNNNNNNNNNNNNNNNNNNNNNNNNNNNNNNNNNNNNNNNNNNNNNNNNNNNNNNNNNNNNNNNNNNNNNNNNNNNNNNNNNNNNNNNNNNNNNNNNNNNNNNNNNNNNNNNNNNNNNNNNNNNNNNNNNNNNNNNNNNNNNNNNNNNNNNNNNNNNNNNNNNNNNNNNNNNNNNNNNNNNNNNNNNNNNNNNNNNNNNNNNNNNNNNNNNNNNNNNNNNNNNNNNNNNNNNNNNNNNNNNNNNNNNNNNNNNNNNNNNNNNNNNNNNNNNNNNNNNNNNNNNNNNNNNNNNNNNNNNNNNNNNNNNNNNNNNNNNNNNNNNNNNNNNNNNNNNNNNNNNNNNNNNNNNNNNNNNNNNNNNNNNNNNNNNNNNNNNNNNNNNNNNNNNNNNNNNNNNNNNNNNNNNNNNNNNNNNNNNNNNNNNNNNNNNNNNNNNNNNNNNNNNNNNNNNNNNNNNNNNNNNNNNNNNNNNNNNNNNNNNNNNNNNNNNNNNNNNNNNNNNNNNNNNNNNNNNNNNNNNNNNNNNNNNNNNNNNNNNNNNNNNNNNNNNNNNNNNNNNNNNNNNNNNNNNNNNNNNNNNNNNNNNNNNNNNNNNNNNNNNNNNNNNNNNNNNNNNNNNNNNNNNNNNNNNNNNNNNNNNNNNNNNNNNNNNNNNNNNNNNNNNNNNNNNNNNNNNNNNNNNNNNNNNNNNNNNNNNNNNNNNNNNNNNNNNNNNNNNNNNNNNNNNNNNNNNNNNNNNNNNNNNNNNNNNNNNNNNNNNNNNNNNNNNNNNNNNNNNNNNNNNNNNNNNNNNNNNNNNNNNNNNNNNNNNNNNNNNNNNNNNNNNNNNNNNNNNNNNNNNNNNNNNNNNNNNNNNNNNNNNNNNNNNNNNNNNNNNNNNNNNNNNNNNNNNNNNNNNNNNNNNNNNNNNNNNNNNNNNNNNNNNNNNNNNNNNNNNNNNNNNNNNNNNNNNNNNNNNNNNNNNNNNNNNNNNNNNNNNNNNNNNNNNNNNNNNNNNNNNNNNNNNNNNNNNNNNNNNNNNNNNNNNNNNNNNNNNNNNNNNNNNNNNNNNNNNNNNNNNNNNNNNNNNNNNNNNNNNNNNNNNNNNNNNNNNNNNNNNNNNNNNNNNNNNNNNNNNNNNNNNNNNNNNNNNNNNNNNNNNNNNNNNNNNNNNNNNNNNNNNNNNNNNNNNNNNNNNNNNNNNNNNNNNNNNNNNNNNNNNNNNNNNNNNNNNNNNNNNNNNNNNNNNNNNNNNNNNNNNNNNNNNNNNNNNNNNNNNNNNNNNNNNNNNNNNNNNNNNNNNNNNNNNNNNNNNNNNNNNNNNNNNNNNNNNNNNNNNNNNNNNNNNNNNNNNNNNNNNNNNNNNNNNNNNNNNNNNNNNNNNNNNNNNNNNNNNNNNNNNNNNNNNNNNNNNNNNNNNNNNNNNNNNNNNNNNNNNNNNNNNNNNNNNNNNNNNNNNNNNNNNNNNNNNNNNNNNNNNNNNNNNNNNNNNNNNNNNNNNNNNNNNNNNNNNNNNNNNNNNNNNNNNNNNNNNNNNNNNNNNNNNNNNNNNNNNNNNNNNNNNNNNNNNNNNNNNNNNNNNNNNNNNNNNNNNNNNNNNNNNNNNNNNNNNNNNNNNNNNNNNNNNNNNNNNNNNNNNNNNNNNNNNNNNNNNNNNNNNNNNNNNNNNNNNNNNNNNNNNNNNNNNNNNNNNNNNNNNNNNNNNNNNNNNNNNNNNNNNNNNNNNNNNNNNNNNNNNNNNNNNNNNNNNNNNNNNNNNNNNNNNNNNNNNNNNNNNNNNNNNNNNNNNNNNNNNNNNNNNNNNNNNNNNNNNNNNNNNNNNNNNNNNNNNNNNNNNNNNNNNNNNNNNNNNNNNNNNNNNNNNNNNNNNNNNNNNNNNNNNNNNNNNNNNNNNNNNNNNNNNNNNNNNNNNNNNNNNNNNNNNNNNNNNNNNNNNNNNNNNNNNNNNNNNNNNNNNNNNNNNNNNNNNNNNNNNNNNNNNNNNNNNNNNNNNNNNNNNNNNNNNNNNNNNNNNNNNNNNNNNNNNNNNNNNNNNNNNNNNNNNNNNNNNNNNNNNNNNNNNNNNNNNNNNNNNNNNNNNNNNNNNNNNNNNNNNNNNNNNNNNNNNNNNNNNNNNNNNNNNNNNNNNNNNNNNNNNNNNNNNNNNNNNNNNNNNNNNNNNNNNNNNNNNNNNNNNNNNNNNNNNNNNNNNNNNNNNNNNNNNNNNNNNNNNNNNNNNNNNNNNNNNNNNNNNNNNNNNNNNNNNNNNNNNNNNNNNNNNNNNNNNNNNNNNNNNNNNNNNNNNNNNNNNNNNNNNNNNNNNNNNNNNNNNNNNNNNNNNNNNNNNNNNNNNNNNNNNNNNNNNNNNNNNNNNNNNNNNNAUCAUCUCUUUCCAGAUUUGCUCCAAGAUAUGAUUACAAGAGCACACUGGAUGUCGCCAAGCAACCGUCAUCUUGAACCUGGCAGCUACUAUUUGUUUAUGUCCUCAGAGGUACUUCUCUCUCAAGGUGGGCCAACUCAAGAAUCAAGAGCGCAGCCAAAGAAGAGUACUCCAAAGAAGAAAAUAGUGGGUAUAGCUGCAAAACAACCAUCUAAACAAAACCCAGCACCAGUUCCAUCUCAACCAACGAUUGGGUGUGAUAGUGAUAAUAUGGACCAACACAUGACACAUGCUAGAACAAGAAUAGCCACCAUCAAAAAUAAGGAAAAUGAGGUGACUAAACACUCGGUUAAAGAACCUGCACAUCCAGUUCGAAAGAGUGCUUGGGUUAUGAAUCAAUUCAAAGCCCCAAGACGAAAAAGAGAUCAGGGUGUUGUCCAUAUUGACUGAUGGGAGGGUGCUAGACUUGGUCUCUUUUUAUGUGGUGCUACUGAUGGGAGGGUGUUGGACAUAGUUUAUUUUUAUGUAGUGCUGGACAUGGUCUCUCUUUUUAUGUUUUCUUUUUUUUGGAGGGUGCUGGAUAUUAUAUCACUGAUGGUAGUUGUUGCCUCCAUAUUGCCAUUGAUUUUUUUUUUAAGAGGGUGCUGAACCUUCAGUGAUUGGGAGUGAAGUUCAUGUUUUUCUUUUCUUUUGUAAACAAUCAAUCAAUGUCAAUGACAAUAGCUGUUCUGUUAUUUUCUCUUGGCUUGGUUUCAGCUAAUAGCUAGCAAGAUAGUUAUCAGUUAUGCUGUAUAUUUUUUUACUGUUGGUGCAAUGUUCUUAUGAGGUUGCUAUUAUUUUUAGAUUUAAAUGUGUGCAUAUAGUGUUGUUGGUUGAAGUUGUUGAUACGUUGAUGCUAUCUAUGAGGUUCUGGUUGUAUGUGCUGGAAUGAGAUAUAGUUUUGGGUCCUGGUGCAUCUCGUUGCAGGGCAGUUGUGUUGCAAGAAGAUGCACCAGCAAGCCAACUGGUGUAAGAACAAGAUGCAAUAUGCACCACGACUGGUGCAAGUUUGAAAUUGGCACACAAGUGAUCACUUUUUACAACUUGUGCAACAUAAGUGAUCACUUUGUAAUCGCGACUAGCAUUUAAAUGAUUACUUUUAUAAAAACUUGGCACUCAAGCGAUCACUAUUUACAACUUUUGGCACUGAAAUGGUCAAUCGUUAAUUUGCCACCAUCCCUUAAUUUUGCCAUGGUUUGUAGUUUGCUGCAAAACCAGCAAAUCAUUACAACGAUAAAAAUGCAGCAACCAUUCUAUUUGAAGCAAAACCUAACCAAAACAAACAUUGCCAAUACACAACUAAACAAUAAAAAGUGCUCAUAAUCAAUGCAUUCCAACUCCAACCUUCCAUUUCACCAUGGUUUGCAGUUGCAGCAAACCAACAAACCAACAAAUCAGGAGGGCAAAUAAAAAAUGCAGCAAGCAAACAUUGCAUUUAUGAAGUGCUCAUAAUUAAUGCAUUCCAACUCCAACCUUGCAUUUCUACCAUGGAUUACAAUAAAACCUUCUGCUUCACACAAAAAUAGUAGACAUACAAACUUCGACUAUGGUAGACAUACAAACUUCUUCUCAUUACACACUUCACAUUUGAAUAAACUACACAAGAGAAUAAGAACAUAAUCAACGCUCGAUAAAAGUUUCUUUCAAUUUUCAGCCUUGAAACCUCUCUCUUCAAAUGGUCGACCAGAGAUGUUAAACCCUUCAUUUGAGCUUGCAUUGAGUCGACAUUCUCCAACUCGUCCAUUAAUGCAAGUGGAGGUUGAUUUCGGCCUUCAAGUAACUCCAAGAUCACCUUUGUCACUUGAUUAGAGAAUUUCCUAUCAACCCAUUUGAAAUAUUUGCACUUCGAGCCUUCUCUAUAUCUGCCGCACCCAUGGAAUCUUCUCCCGGGAUUUAACCAAGUCCAAAAUGUUCUUCUCGAACUCGUUAACCUACAAUAAUAGUAACACUCACCAUCUAAUUUGCUUUUUUUUUUUUAUAGGAAUGUGAGCCGCUGUUGAAACUUUUGCCCUCCAUUCCCAAGAGCAGCUAAUAACUUUGAGAGAAAAUCGAAGUAUGCACUCGAAUUGGUCAAAUUGGGGAUUUAGGGUUUUCAAUUUCUGAUUCUACUCGAAUUUGGGGAUUUAGGGUUUCUUAUUUGGGGGAAAAACGCUAAACGGUGUCAUUUUGUUGUUUGCAUGCUGAUUGUAUUCUUCGGCGAUCUACGUCGGCUUCAAAUAUUGAUAAAAAAAUGUCAAGUCAGAUUUCCGGUCAACCAAAUCGGAGUUGGCACCAAAGUGAGCAUUUUUCAAAAAUUUUGGCAUUUAAGUGAUCCGACUGAAACUUUUGGCACCAAAGUGAGCGCCGUACACAACUUAUGACACCAAUAGUGUACUUAUCCCGCAAAACAGGGGCAGCGUUGAAGCAGCAGCAAGGAGACGAAGACAAGAAAGCUGGCAGGAAGAAAAAUAAAAGGAAAGGAAAAGAAAAAGGAAAGAGAGAGAGAGAUAAGUCGGUCGGGGGAAGGGGGAGAAGGGGGCACGCACAAGGGGGAAGGAGGAGAAGUCAAGGCCAAGGGGGUCAUAUUCCUUCAAUGCCAAUCUUCUUAGUCUUUAUGGCCAUGGAAUUCUUGGCCCACCUUGUGGUCAAGUGCCCCACCAAUCAAAAUAAUCCUCAAUUUCCACAACCAAGACCCCAUUAAAGGUAGAAAUUUCCAUAUUGCCCUAUUCUCCGAAUUUGCAACCCCUUACACUGAAUUUCACCUUAGGAAAUUGCAAAUUUGAUGGCCUCACAUACCAAUGGUAAGGCCAAAAAUUAUUUCUUGUAUUCCCCUUACCGAUUGCUCCACUUUGAAAGCCAGAAACCCACUUAAAAGUGGUCCUUUGAAUUUUCUCGACUCAAAUGACUAAAUUUGAAUUUUCCGCCAAUAAUUCAGGUUCACCAAAAAUUCUUCAGAAGAUGAAUCGACGUUCCAAAAAUAAAUCAUGAUAUAACAGAACUUUCAAUUUCUGAAAUCGGGUUAAAUUUCACGGUUAAUUUCAACCGAGUGCGAUUUUAGCAUGACCUAGCCUACCGAGUAGGUUUGAGGAAUUUUAGGUACAAUUGACCAGUGAACGAUUGUUUUCAAGCCACGUUGUGCAUCUUCGACACAUUGGCAACAUCUUCGGUUGUUGUGAAAAUCUCAAGGUUUCAAAUACAAGAACAUGGUACAGAAAUGACAGAAAAAUCGUUCUAGUGUCGUUCGAUAGAAACUUUGCAAUUACGUGGAAUCACCCACACUUUAAUCACAUACCUCUGUCGAAUUGACCUAUCUCCGAUCUCUGAUCGAUUUUGAUGAUGCCGUAAUGACCCUUGUCGAUUAGCACGAUUAAGCAGUCGAUUUCUGAUCGAAUUCUCAAGUCCAUUGCAUUAAAAUCCUUUAACGGCUUCAUCAGAUAGACGAGUUAUUUAAUAAUUGAAUAGCUUAGAGAAAAAGACUAUAGGCGCGUCGACGAAAAGCCCGACUUAUUCAAUUGAAAAUAGAAUUAGAAAAUCAGGCUAUCACAAUUCAUUCAGCAAACAAUUGUAGAAAUCGAAGAUAAAUUGGGUCGUCGGCUGUCCUAUGUCAUAGGCAAUCUUGUGUGAAUGAAUUCCUAUGUUGCAAAUGUAGUUGAAUGUUUACGCUUGGAUGUGAGUGGCGUAUGUAGUAUUGGCAUAUAGGGAAUGGCUUGUUCAAGCAAAACAAUUGUUGCACGAGCAAUUUGUGUUGAAAUCUAUAGCCAAUUUGAUGGCUAUAGUUUUCUUGGCAAUGUCGGAGAAAGUUAAAAAAAAACUGGUGUGAGACAAAAAAAAUUCUUCUUAUCCUUGCUGACUAGAUAAAAAGGAGUAGUUGGAAAAAAUAGCGAGAGAUCUUGAAUGUUUUGCACCUAGGAGUAGGAUCAUUAUAACAACUAGAGAUAAGCAUUUGCUUCUCCAAUAUGGAGUACAUGUCAUAUACAAGGCAGAAGAAUUAUCCAUUGAUGAGGCUCUCCAGCUAUUUUGUUUGAAAGCUUUUAGAAGUAACCAUCCUUUAGCAGAGUAACAAGAGCUCACGAAGCAAGUUAUUAGACAUGCUAAUGGCCUUCCUCUAGUCCGUGAUGUCUUAGGUUUCUUUUCGGCUGAACAAAAUUUGUUGGAAUGGAAGAUUUUUCCAAGAUAUUGCUUGCUUCUUCAAGGGAAAGGAGAAACCUUACAUUACAGAAGUUCUAACAAUUGCGGUUUCUAUGCAAAUAUGGGAAUGAAUGUCCUUGUUCAUAGAUCUAUUAUCGAAAUCGUGGACAACAAACUGUGGAUGCAUGAUUUGCUACAAGAGAUGAUUUGGAAAAUUGUUCAUCUAGAGUCUCUUGAAGAGCUUGGAGAAUGAAGUUGGGUCUGGCUUUUUGAGGGUGUGUGUCAUACCCUGUCAAAAAAAAAACUCAGUGGGUACUCUACAAAAUUAAUUUGCAAGCACGUUCAUUUGAUAUGGGGAAAAAGAAAAGAAAAGAAAAGAAAAACUUGCUAGUCAUGUAUUGCCACUAUAUGAGUUGUUUAUCAAGGAAUUGGGAAAGUCAAAGCCAUAGUCUUAUAAUCUAGGAACCAUAGAACCGUGCAUUUUAAUGGAGAGUCCUUUACAAACAAAACUAACUUAAGAUUGCUUGAUAUUCGUGCCAUCCACCUCUCUUCUUGGUUCAAGUACCUUUCAAAUGAACUAUGCCUACUAAGAUGGGAUAGUUGCAGUCUUAAAUCAUUUUCACCAAGUUUUCUUCCAAAGAAUCUUGUCGAACUCAUAUGUAGGAUAGCCUCCUUUGCAGCCUCUGGAGAGGGGAAAAUGUUGGAAUUAAUACUCAAGCAUGCGUAUGCUUCAUUAGACUUGUCGUUAUUUUUAACAAACUAAUAAAAUUGUUCAACCGAUUUUUUCUAGAUCCAGGUCUUAGAGUAGAUAAAUGUUAUCAACCGUAAAGGUUCCGAAUAAUUCAUGGAGAUUCCAAACUUCAUAUAAGUCCCAAAUCUAGAGAGGCUAAUUUUCAAAGGUUGCAAAGCAUUAUCUCAGAUUCAUCAUUCAAUUGGAAAUCUAGAAAGACUUGGUCUACUUGACUUGAGUGACUGUGAAAUCCUCACAGGACUUCUAAAUAAUGUAGGUAAUCUUAGAUGUUUCAGAGUUCUUAAUCUAUCUGAAUGAUUAAAUGAUUAAAUCCUGAAGAACAGCCUGGGAGCAUCAAGGGCUUAAGAGUGCUUAGAGAAGCUUGAUAUUAGUGAAAGUGCCAUCAAGCACCUCCCAUCCAUCUUUUUUUUUCUUUUUUCUUUUUUUUUGGUGAAAGGUAAGUAAUAUAAGGGGAGGUCAAAAAGUACAAAGAAUCGGCUUCAAAAACUUACACUCUAAUGAACAGGCUCAAAAGAGUGGAAGGAACCCGGACAAAACCAGGCGGAAUAAAGCAUCAAUGCCUAGACGCAACGCCCAUGGCACCAACCCUAAACAAAAAUAGAAGGGUCUAACUCCCAGGAUCGUUGCAAUCUUUUAUUCUUUGGGGAAUCCUCCACAUUCUUGAAAGUGCAAGCCUUGUCUUGGACUACCUUCAUAAGAUGCUUCUUCAUGCCGAAUGUAGAGCUUUGCACCCCCUGAAGAGCAUAUCAUUCAUAUUCUUCCACAUAAUGUGUCAUAGAGUGCCAAAAGAGAACCGGCCGAUACAACUAUGAAAGUCCUUACUCGAAAGCAAGGUUGAGGCCCAGGUAAGGGUGUCCUCCCAAGUCUUGUUUCUCCAGGGAAGACCACACCGAGUCGCCCAAAAGAAGGCAAUGCCCGAAGUAACAUGGCACCCAAAAAAUAAAUGAUGAUUAAAUGAUUAACAAAGUCCGGAACCCCAUUACAAAACCGAUAGAAGGCAGCUUGAUUCUUACAAAAUCUAGAAAACUUACGCUUAUAUAUAUAUAUAUAUAUAUAUAUAUAUAUAUAUAUAUAUUGGUGAAAGGUAAUGAAUAUAUAGAGCAUUGACCAAGUGUACAAAAGAUCACAACAUCAAAAUUUACACUUAAGACGAUAAAACAUUACGAGUGGAAGAAUGCCCGGAUGUAAAAGCCACAAGUGGCAACCAAAAAAGCAAACACAAAGGGACACGGAAAGCACGACAUGAACAAUCGGCCCCCAUAAACACAAAAACCCUCAGCUAGGGAAGAGAACAAUCGCCCAAAAAAGCAAGCCGCUGCUCACAAGGCUAGAACAAACACGCACCAGCUGAAAAGGAAGCAACUAAGGAUCCCCAAAGAAGAUGAUCGGGUCAAUGCCCCAGCUCUUCUGCAACCUUCUAUUCUUGAAGUUAUCUUCAACAUUCCUAAAAAUGAUUGCCUUAUCUUUGACCACUUUAAAAAGAUGGUUCUUCAUAGCCGGAAUAGCAAGAGGUUGUUCUUUAAAAAUGAUGUUGUUCCUGUUUUUCCAAAUAAUAUGACAAAGCGCUCCAAAUGAGAAACGAGCUAUGCACUUAUAAAAAUCCUUUCCCAUCAGCAAGGUAGUGGCCCAGCGGAGAUUCUCCUCCCAUGACCUGUUACACCAAGGUAGAUUGCAUCUGGCCGCCCAAAAAAAAAGCAACCUCGGCCGUAACAUGACAACCAAAAAACAAGUGGUCAAUAGAAUCAAAUACUUCAUUGCAUAAGGCACAAGCACCACUAUCUAUCUUGCCAUGAGACAAUAAAAGUGCUUGUGUGGGAAGCCUGCGCUUAGCCAUAAGCCACAGGUUUAGUUGAUAUCGCGGUGCCAUUGCAUUGUUUCGGACGAACGUAUGCCAUUGGACCCGAGUCCUCUUUCGCCUAAAGAUCUCCUAAGCCAUAGCAAUAGUGAACUGGCUUGACGAACUCUCCCUCCAACAAAAGCAAUGCGAGUUCUGAGUGAGGCUCGGGAAAGGGUGAUCCCACGACUCAAGCACCAACCUAAGAGGUUGCCCAGCAUUAGAGAAAAGAUCUGCCACUAUCGCCUGCCUAGAUAGUCUGAAGCUAUAGAUGAUUGAGUUCGAAAAGAUUAAGUUCAGGGGACCCCUAAGGUGCCACUUGUCAAACCAAAGAAAGGUAGAGAGAUCGUCCCCAAUCCUCCAAAAGAAAGAAUUUCGGACCUCACUUUUGAAAGAUAAGAUUUUCUUCUAAGCCCAAGAACAGAAAGUGGGUUUUUUAGCAACCCAAAAGUUCCUUGAUUUUAAAAACAUGGAAUGAAUCCACUUGCACCAUAAAUUCUCCUUGUUUGAAAAUAGGAGCCAGAUAUACUUCAACAUGGCGACCUUGUUACAAUCCCAAAGCCUCCGGAUACUAAGGCCUCCUUCCACUUUUGGGAGACACACAUCCUCCCAGGCAACCUUAGCUCCCCCUCUAUCCAAUUCCGGUCCUUUUCACAAGAAUUACCUAAGGACUUUCUCAAUCUGGUCCAGCACAGCUAUAGGUAAUAUAAAAACACUCACCAGUAGGCUUGGAUAGCAUGAAGGACUAACCUGAUAAGCUAAAGCCGGCCAACAAAAGAGAGAAAGCGGUGAGUCCAAACUUGAACCCUCACAGUAAUACGGCUGACGAGAACGCAACAAUCUACCUUGCUGAGCCUCAAGGUGAUGAUAGGAACUCCCAGGUAGUGUACCGGUAAUUUGCCUUCUUGAAAACCAAGAUCGAGGAGGAUCUAAUUCCUUAAAGAAGGCAAACCACCAGCCAAAAAGAUCUCACUUUUGGAAGGAUUUGGACUCAAUCCACUCCACGUUGAGAAGGUUUAGAGGUCCUCUUUGAGGAGAUUAACCAAAGCUAAGUCUGCCUCACAAAAUAGGAAAACAUCUUCUGCAAAGAAUAAAUAUGAGAGAUUCAUUGUAUUGCAUCUCCAGAAGAACUUAAACUCUGGCUUGGAAGAGCACCUAAACAGAAUUUCAUAUAACACCUCCAUAACCAACGUAAACAAGUAUGGAGAGAUAGGAUCACCUUGGCGAAGGCCGCGUCCAUUUGCAAAGUAACCAUGAAGUUCCCCAUUCAAAGCGAUGGAAAACAUGGGAGUGCAUACACAUAUCAUAAUAAGCCGAGUCACAAAGUCGGGGAAUUCAAAAGCAAUGAGGACUCUCUCUCAAGGAAACCCCAAUCAACUGUGUCAAAAGCUUUCCUGAAGUCUACCUUAACCACACAAUUGGGAAGGUAUGGUUCAAGGUGGUAAUUAGAAAAGAGUUCAUGAGCCAUCUGUCUUUGAUCUGCUUGCCUUUUACAAAUGCACUUUGAAAAGGGCUAAUAACACUCUUUAGAACAGCUACGACUCGAUUAGCCAGUACCUUUGUGAUACAUUUAUAAAAUGAUGUUGCAGCAGGCGAUGGGCCUGUAAUCAUCAACAUAAGUCACAUUGGGCACUUUAGGCACACGCACUAGAAUGGUGUAAUUUAUCUCCCUCAAGAGCUUCCCCGUGACGAAGAAAUCCAUCACUGCUGCUAUGACCAAUUUUCCAACUGUCUCCCAAUUUUCCUUGUAAAAUUCAACCAUAAAGCCAUCCGGCCUAGAGGCCUUACCCCUAGCUAGAGAGAAGAAAGUAUCCCAGAUCUCCACCUCAGUGACCGGUCGAGCAAGAAAGCUAACCUGGUAGUCCGAAAGAGGAUGCUGGAUAGUCUCCCGGAUCUCCCCGAUCGAAGGCCCUCCCUGCUCCACUCGUAGCGCCAGAAUGUCUUGAAAAUUCUCCAUAAAACACUACCGAACCAGCUGCGGCUCAAUAAUUUGGUUACCCGAGGAAUCUAGAACAUAAAGAACUCUAUUCCGCAAUUGUCUCUUUUUUAUGUACUAAUGGAAGAACUUGGUGUUGCGAUCUUCCUUCUUAAGCCACCUGAUUCUUGAUUUAUGUUUGAAGAAAGACUCUUCACUAGAUUGAAGGUUAGCAAAGAUACGCCACCGGUCCUUCUCUAACUCCUCAAGAACAACCGAGAAGGGAUCCCUUUGAAGACCGGCUUGCGUGUUCUCCAAGGCAACCCUCGCUUCUAAUGUCCUAGCAGAUAUAUUGGAGAAAGAUUCUCUAUUAAGCUACUUGAGACGACUUUUGAGAGCCUUGAGCUUAUGCACAAGCUUAAACAUAGGUACUCCCUCCCUCGAGUUCUCCCAAAUUCGAGUAACAAUUGCAUUGAACUCAAAAUGCUUCAUCCAAAAAAAAAAAAAAAAAAUUGAAGGGUUUCCUCUGAAGAAUCGGGUUAAGGACUUUAACCACCAUAGGUGUAUGAUCCAAAAUACCUAGGGUAGAAAGAAAGCUUUCGAGUACAAGAAAUCUAAGCACCAUCUAGAGUUCACAAUAACUCGAUCAAUCUUCCUAGUCUUUCCAGUAGAACUUGAGGAGGUUGUCCACGUGUAUCUAAAGCCAACAUACCUAAGAUCUUCCAACUCUGCAUGUGCCAAGCACUAUUCGAAAUCAUCGAAGCACAGGAUCCAAGCAUCAAAGCCACCAAUCAUGUCGGAGGUCCUUAAUAGCAUUGAAAUCCCCCAUCACUAGCCAAGCUGAAUUCUGUAGGGCACUACUUCUAGAGGUAAUAUCCCCCCAAAGUUGUCUCCGGAGUGUAAAAGAGUGCUCCUUAUAAACAACUGACACACAGCGGGACACUCUCGAGUCCAACAGCUUAAGAAACCCAUGAACUGCCUGACUGGACAUAGCGAGAACGUCAAAGUUAAUCCUUGAGGGUUCCCAACCAACCCAAAUCCUAUCCCUAGGGGAGAAUUCAUAAUUGGCAAUCCAGCACCAGCCCCUCAACAGUCUCCUAGAAAUGGAAUUGAAAAAAGUCUGCGGCACCUUUGUUUCCAAAAGACCAACCAACAACAAUUGAUUUGAAACAACUAGACCACGGACCUCUGCCUAUCUAACGAGGUUAACAAGGCCCCUAACAUUCCAACAACCUACACACACACACACACACACAUAAGAAAGGAGAAGGACUAAGGGUUGUCUCCUUUUCAGGGGCAUCUUGCGUCGAGAAGGAGGCGGUGCCACACGGGACGGAGGAGGAGGCGAGUCUGGAGACAGAGCCAAAAGCUUGUCCUGCAUGGUCACAACCAUCAAGCUAGAUGGAGGGGCCUUCGGUGACAAACAAGGGGAGAGCAGGUCAUCAUCUAAACUGCCAACAUGUCUGGAUACAAUUUCAGACUCCUCAUUAGCGCUGGACGAACGUGUCGAGCCAUCCACAAGGCUGAUGGGAUCAUCCACUGCGGCAGGGAAGGAGACAUCCGUCUUUGUGAUGAUCUGCAAACCACUCUGGGCCCUGCGAGUUUAUGUGGAGGGCAAACUCCUUUCAAUAGCAGCAGCCUUCAUCUUUAGCAAGCGCCCUUCCUCACUCGAAGCAAUUGGUAAGGACGAGACUAACUCUAUAGGAGGAGGAGGCUUUUUCUUCUUCCCUUUGACUUGUUUCCAAGCCAAGUCGGCGUCACUAGGUCCAUCCAUCCCAACUGGAGCAGGUUCGGGCACCUGGGAAGCAACCGGGGAGGGGGGGGAGGGGUUGGCCUGACCUUGAGGUGAGGAGGCCGUUGGCCUUAGAGGCCCAUCCACCAUUACCGGAGCAAGAUCGGGAGGGUGGGCUACGACAGGGGAGGUGGGACGAGCUUGAUCUUGCUGCAAGACCUCUACCAGCUUUGGGACUGCAGGAGCAGCGGCACAAUUGUGUCCAAAAGUUCCACACCUAGAGCAUUCAACUGAUCUCCAUUCAUAUUCAGUAGCAACUGAUCGAGUCACCCCAUUUAAGGUUACAUUCACCGAAGACACUCUGUUGGUUGGCUUGAAUCUCCACGCACAGCCUUGCAAAGUAAAAAUCAUCCUCAUUUGUUCCGUACAUUGAUCCACAUAGAGGAGUUUUCUAAUGGCACUUGUGAUAGCACUAAUCGCCGACACGGUCCACAAAUCAAAGGGGAGAUUCUUCAAUCUAACCCAAAGCGACACCGAAGUUUGCUUGGCUCUUUUCAACUCUAAAAGAGGCUUCCAUUGUUGCAAAAUGAGUGGCACCCUUGCAACCGUUAGAGGUCCAUCCUCAAAAAUUUUCCUCUACAAUAACAGAUCGGGAAUAUGGAAGAAGAAAAACCCCUCAUCGUUGGCCAAGACCUCAACUAACUUUGGCCCCCAAGUGUGUUUGAGAGAUUGCUUUGUGAGCUAAAACGAGAGCCUUCUCCCCACGAAAUAACCAACUAAGCAUUCAUGCCACUUAGGAUCCACUGCAUUAAGCACCUCUUCCGAGAUAUUAACGGUCGGGCCAUCCUCCUUGAAGAAAGGGGGUACAUAGGUGAGAUCAUACCCCUUGGUAGCAAGCCUAGCAACGCUCACCCAAGAACAGGCAAGGGGGGGCUUCGAGUUGGUCGGAUGGCUAUGAGGGGCCUGAGGUCUCUUAGAAGUAGACCUCGCACGACUAUGUCCUCUGGAUCGUCUAGCACGGGCCAAAGUCUUCGGGGGAUCUUGCUUCUCUUUCAAAGCAACAACAUGGGCCUUACCCAUGGCCAGGGAAGGCUGGCCCAAACAAAUACGGGAAGAAGGGCUAAGCCCCUCCUCAAAACCAGAACCAGGCUGAGCCUCAAAACUCACUCCACCCAUCACACAUAUGAAGAAGCCAUAACUCACCAGCAGUCCUUUACACAAUCCAACCCUUCUAUAGUACAGGCAUUGUAGAGAAUGGGACCAUACUAGGGAAAGGGAAGAACCGGGCUGAAGAGGUAUACUGAAGAUUUGAAAAACCACCGCAAAGCCCCACGAACGAGCUCCGGCAAUCCACACGAACAAAGCUUAAGAAGAUCGCCGCAGCAAUGAAACGUCGAGUCCCAAAGAAGCUCCGACCUCAACCAAGGCAGCAGCAAGGCGAGAGAAGAACCGGGCUGAGAGCGCGGGGGAGAAAGGCGAUUGGUGGAGGCGAAAUUAGGCCGUGGCGCUCGACCUAGGAGCUCCUUAGAGGGCUGAAGGUGAUGGGGGAAUCAACGAUGAUUCGGAGCUUCGGCGACAUCUUCCCGACUCGAAGGUUUUCCCCCGCGCCGAAAACGAAGGGAACUUACGCUUUUAUAUUAGUAAAAGAAGGCCACAAAAUUUUUGAAGGACACUGAUGCAAAUGCUGAGAAGAGCUCUUGACUCUAGACGUCCAUGGUUGCCUUCAUUUUCAGGGUUAUCCUCUAUGACAGAGUUGAAUAUUAGUGGCUGCAAUCUUCUGGAAGGAGAAAUUCCCAGUGAUAUUGGCUGCUUUUCCUUCUUGUGGUCUUUAGAACUAGCUUGUUAAGCUAUGGGUUCUGCAUUUUUUGUUAAGCUACAGUUUGCCUUUGGUCAAGCUACCUAUAGUGACAUUGAUCUCCGCAGAUGACAUAAAUGGGCAGGCAAUGUCGAGCCAUGUUGAUGCUGCGUUUAAGAUCUCCAACCUCAAGUUAAUGGUGGCCUGAGUGCCGCAUUGAACUGAUAAAAAUCUUCACAGGUUCUUAAUCGAAUCCUCACUCUUUUAACUCGUUUCCCUCUAUUACCAAGAAAACCAAUUACUGAAUCCCAUCUUGACUACAUACAAACUAUGAAGUGCCCACACAUGACUAAAGCUUUCAAGCAUAAGCACACAGAUGGACGUCCUAGAUCCUCCAUUAAUUGUCUUAUCAAGACAUGAAGUCAUCAAUUAAUUUACAGGCAACAAACCAAGCACAGUUCAAGUUCAGAUAAACUAAAGAAAAUGUUCAACGUUUGCCAUUAGUUUCUACUAAAGUAAUGUCCAUACAUCUAAUAAUCUCAUUUAUAUUAAGAGCAAAUUUCUGAUCUUGAGCAAUUCAGUACAACGCCUUCUUUCGUGUGAGAGACUUGAUUCCCGUGAAAAUUUGGACUUCACAGUCACGUAAAGAUACAAACCUCAUCAUAUCCCCUCCUAAAAUCAUUCAAAUGUAACACUUUCAGUCAAUAAAUCACGAAUCAUAAGCAAAACUGAUGAAAAAUGCACUGAAUAGAUAGCAUCAGGGCUUACCCUGCUUUCCUACAAUAGGCGGGACUGCGAUUGUAUAUCAGAUUGUCGAGCACUCUUCGAGCAGAAGCUUGGUUUACGGAUUUCCUAGCCUCACUACAGGAUGACUAGUUCGGAUUAGAAGUUUUUUUCCCUUAAAAGUGAGUGAAGUUUAACCAAAAGCGCAGAUCAUAUAACCAUGAUCGUGUAUGAUAUAUGAUAUUUUAAGAACUUCGACAAGGAAAUUUCAAAUGCAACUUGCUUUGUAGCAUAAAAUUACUGAACAAAUGCUGACCUGACAAAGAAGUUCACUACAUGCUGUGUGACUUCAAUGGCAUCAUCUGAGUGUGGUACCAUGGACAAACCCCGUCAUGUCCCAACCCUACAAGGCCGUGCCCAUUCCUACUCGGUGUUGGAUAUUUCAGUAGUUUUGAAAUAUUUACAAUAAUAGCUUUGAUAAAAGUUAUGAUCGCAUUGAAAACCAUCAUUAUUUUUAACGGUCACAUAACGGUUUCUUAACGGUCAUAUAAUGGCUUUUUAAAUCGUUUUGUAACGUUUAAUUUAUUUCUCAAAUAAAUCCUCUAUUAUUUUACAACGGCUCUUUUAACGGCUCUAUUUUGUCUAAAUAUAAAAAUAAGAUCUCAUAAGACACAAUAUAUUCUCAUAUAUAUCUUUCCUUUUCUUUCAGCUGGGUUAUACAAAAAAGUUGUUCUGUUUCCUUCUAAUAUUCAGUGCGGAGUAUAGAGGAAUGUCUGUUGUAUCUUGGGAGGAUAGCCGCUAAAGCCUUACGCACCAAAUUUCGUACUCCGAAUGGCGGAAUUAUCCUUAAGGGCAGUGCUUGCACGCCUCAGACAUUUGUUUUUCUAUUUUCUAAUCCUUCGCAAUGUAUUAACAGUUAUUAUUAUCUUUUAUGUAUUCUAAACUUUUUCCAACAAUCUUAAGGAUAAGUCCUAUGGAUUUCCAAGUUGAAGUUGUUGCUAUCGCUACCACCGCAAUUGGAAUUGAAAGAAUGAUUGAGAUGGUGAAGGACAAGUAUCACAUAAUCGUGGGCGGAUCUCGUGGGAAAUUACUGAGCAUCAUCAAAAGGUCUCUUGGUCGUUUUGGUAAGGUUAUUGAAUGUCAGGUAAAAUCGUACUUUGAGGCUUUAAUACCUAAAUUUGUUUCGAGAGGAAGUUGGGUGCUUGUAAUUAUUUGCUCACUCAAAUUCAUGAUUAUUCGUAAGCUUCAAUCCACAUUGGGGUUUCCUAUUUUAAUUAUGUUCAUGAUCUAGAAGUUGUAAUUUUAGGAUUAGAGAUUGUUUAUUCAUUGUGACUUCAUUGCUCCUAUUGUUUUAAUUGGUUGACUGCUUGAUAUUAACCAUUUUGUAGUGACCCAUUUCACAUUUUAGAAAUAAAAAAAAAAAAUGGAAACUUUGGAUUUUUGUGAGUAAAUUUUACUUUACAAAAUGGUUUCAAAUUCUUACCAUUUGAAUGUUAAUGACUUUUAGUAUCCGUCAAUGAAUUUUUGUGUCAAUAGGACAAGAAGUAUGUCUCCAAGCUUGAGAACCACCGUAAUGAUGUUGUUGUUAGUAGAACCAUGUUCUUCUUGUUGUUUAAUUUUUUGGAAAAUUCAUUAAGGUGUCAGUUGCACUUCCAUUAGGAGAGAGCAAUAGUGAUUGUGAUUGGGUGGUGUAUUUGAUUUAACUUUGAACUGUUAUAUUAGUAGGCUUUAUUUGACUAUUGCUUGGCUUUGACCUUUCUAUCUGGUGCAAUUGUUAAUAAUGUGAGCUGAAAAUUAUGAGUCUCAUAUUGGCCUUCUUUAUGCUCAUUAAGAAUAGAGGAGGUACAACAUACGAAAUCAAGCUAUAUAUAUUUUUGCGUUUUGUCUUUGCCCUGCUUUAUAUUUUAGGGAUAUUGGAUGAGCACCAUUGAUGGAUGCAUGCCGGUAGUUGUUUCUUUCUCAGUUUGAGAUUUUGAAUAAACUCUGAGUGCUAGUGGAAGAGAUUUAGCCAGUUCAUUUUUAGUCUGGUGCUUGUAAAGUGAAAGUGGUGGUGUUUUCAUGUAUCGUUUCAAUUUGUGACAUUUUAUUGCCUCUUUAAUAGAGCAUGAUGAGAACUUAUCUAGGAGACAAGACACUAUUAGUGUCAUUCAAGAUUUGUUAAAACUUAUUGUCACCUUAUUUUGUUACCUUCUAGAAGUUGCAGGUGAAAAGGUAAACUGAAAUAGAAGAUUUUAUGAUGUUUGUAUUAAAGAGCCAUCACUCUUGUGGUAGUGCAAGACCGAGGUAUUUGUAUAUCUUAUAAUAACUUUAGAUAUCCUUUACCUUGAUAUAUUCAUUUGACCCAGUGCGUACUGCUUACUUUCCAUUAUCUAAUAUGUGGGUCAAGGACAAUAAAUAACAUUAAAUGCAUAGCCAAUCUAAGGAUUGUAGCUAAUGUUCCUUUUUAGAAUGCGAACUAUAUUAUUCAUUUUAGCAUGAAUAGUUUCACUUGUGUUGGGAGUGGUAAUCAUAUUGCUGUUGAUCUUAAGACAGGACUUUUUGUGGUAGGAUUUAGAAUCAAGCCUUAAUUAGCAUUUUUGUGCUCCCACAUGUGUAUGUAAAACUGCUGAUUAGGAUACAACACUCUCAAAUGGGAUUUAUGAUGAUUUCAUGAUGCUACUUUCAUAAAUGUUUAGCAAAGCAACAAAUUUUCUACCGCUGAUAUACCAUUUAGUGUUGACGAGUGUCUGGUAUUGGGUUUGGUGGAGGCCAAAUUUGUCCUUAUAAAUACUCACUUCUUCAAGCUUCUUUUUAUUAGAAUAAGAGCAGCUCCUAGUGCAGAAUUUUCUUUGAAUGAAUAUGCCAUCAUCAACGUACUCGUAUGUCUAGUUGAUUUGAGUAGAGAUUAGCGUGAAGAGACAGAGAAGUCAAAGACUCCAUGACAACUAAUGAACGCCUCAGGUGAGAUCAAUUUUCACAACAAUAGAAUUUAUGUGGAUUUUGCGGCCAUGUGAAUAUAAACUAUGAUAUUUUACAUAGUGGAUUUUCCACUGUAUUAGAAUAAUACAGUGAUGUUAAGUGGAUCUCGGAUUCAUAUGAGACAAAAUCCACUAAUGACUAUGUGUCCACCUUUUGGAGGUGUCGCAAUAUAAAAAACAGUCGAAUGAAAUUGUGGGGGAAAUGACAAUCCUACUCAACCAAAAUUUGACUUGGUUGAAGUAGAUGAUCUGAUUAUGUAAUUAUUGUAGUCAUUUUCCAAGCCAAUAUUUUGGCAAAUGUAAAAGAAUUGGAGGUAGACUCAGGCACUACCGAGCAUAUAUGUUAAAAACAUAAUGCUUUAUCCUCCUAACCUCUAAUAAGGAAGGAGAAGAAAAAAUUUAUCUUGAUGAUUGAAGAACUACUCAAGUUCUUGGGAAGAAGAAAAAUUUCUCAAACUCAUAUUAAAAUUGAGGCUGAGUUGUUGAGAAAUUUCUUACUGUAUGUUCCUAUGGAAAUGAAAUGACACUUAUGUCUAGAUAUUAUGAUUGCCAAAAGGCAAUAGUUAUUGCAAAGAAUGAAACUUUCAAUGGCAAAAAGAGACGUUUGGUUGAGACGUGAUGUGGUAAAAUAUUUCCUUAUAAAAGGGAUUUAUAUCGAUCGAUUAUGUUAAGUCAGAAAUGAUUUUGGCCAAUCCUUUGAUUACACAUCGAGGGGAAUGGGACAAGCCAAUUGAAGAAAAUCAAUAGUGAUGGUAACCCAACCUAUGUGAUUGGCGAUCCCAUGAAUUAGGUUCAUAUGGGUAAUAACAAGUCAUUUGUUGAUCUAGUGCACUAUUAAAAUUUUUUGUCCCUUCUAAGGUGAAAAUAGUGCAAAAUUGCAAGGAAAAGAAGGUUGAGUUAAGCUCUUAAUGAAAUUUCAUAGCCAUUAUUGAUGGUGUAUUAAACUGCAGAAUACACUUGAUGGAAUCACCUAUAUAAGUGUGGAGUGGGGCCACUCCUAUGAGAUUUUUUGGCGAAAAUCUCUAAAGCACUUAUGAAUAAACCAAGCAUGUGCAUGGCCUAUUAGCGCAAAACCGCGUUGAACAACAAAGUUUGUGGGAGUGUAAUGUGAUUGGUGAGAAUUAUAAUUCACAAAAGAAAUUUUUGGUUCAUAGAAGUUUCAAACUUCACCAAUGAUUUCGUCAAUUAUAUUUCAUUCUUUCUAGGGUUGGUUCAUAGCCUAACAAGCACGAAUUCCGAUGCAUUACUCUCCAAUAACUCAGCAUUAUUCUAUUUUCUUGUCAAAACUUUCUGAAAUAUGUGGGGGAUUGUUGAAUAUUUCAGUAGUUUUGAAAUAUUUACAAUAAUAGCUUCAAUAAAAGUUAUGAUCGCAUUGAAAACCAUCAUUAUUUUUAACGGUUACAUAACGGUUUCUUAACGGUCAUAUAAUGGCUUUUUUAAUCGUUUUGUAACGUUUAAUUUAUUUCUCAAAUAAAUCCUCCAUUAUUUUACAACGGCUCUUUUAACGGCUCUAUUUUGUCUAAAUAUAAAAAUAAGAUCUCAUAAGACACAAUAUAUUCUCAUACAUAUCUUUCCUUUUCUUUCAGCUGGGUUAUACACAAAAGUUGUUAUGUUUCCUUCUAAUAUUCAGUGCGGAUUAUAGAGGAAGGUCUGUUGUAUCUUGGGAGGAUAGCCGCUGAAGCCUUACGCACCGAGUUUUGUACUCCGAAGGGCGGAAUUAUCCUUAAGGACAGUGCUUGCACGCCUCAGACAUUUGUUUUUCUAUUUUCUAAUCCUUCGCAAUGUAUUAACAGUUAUUAUUAUUUUUUAUGUAUUCUAAACUUUUUCCAACACUUGGUUGAUAUGAUAGCGAUGUCCCAGGACACAUCGCCGACCCUAUUUGUUUUAGUACGCAUGCGGAAGCAGAUAAAUAAUUCCCAGACAAUAAAACAAUGGGAUAGAAAAGCAGGGCAACUUUUUAAAACCACAAGUCUUUUAUAAACAAACGGGUUUAUACACAAGACCAGGCUGGUUACAAAGAUGUUGGCUUAUAAAAAAGGAACUGUCCUAUGACUAACUAGCCAUACAGGUUCGCCAAUUAUGCUUCUUCCACCUUCCCAAACUUCGGGACUCCCAGCUCUCCAUGGCCGUCACCUAGGGACCUGAAAAUGUGAUCCCACAACGGGGUGAGAUUACGUCUCAGCAAGUUCUAAGACCUGAUUAGGAAGAAAAUUACGCCCUAAGGGCUGCCUAAGCACAAUUAGGCAUCAAAGGACUUACCUUGGCCUCAGUUCCCUCAUGCAGGUCAGUUCAAUAAAUAAACAUUGACAAUUAUAUCACUCAAUCCAAUCAUAUUGAAUCAUUAAUCAAUCGACUUAGUCGAUUACAUGUUUACCAUCACACCGUCAUUUCGAUUAUUCAUUCUCAACUCUUAGUCACGGCCCAAUAGGCACAACCUAGAUUAAGUGGUACUCACGGCCCCACCAGCAUAAUUUAAACUUGGUGGUAAUCACGGCCCCACCUAGCAAUUUUCUAGACUUGGUGGUAAUCACGGCCUCACCGAGCAAUUUUCUAUAUUUGGUGGUAAUCACAAUCCCACCGGACAAUUUUUUAGACUUUGUGGUAAUGACGGCCCCAUCGGGCAAUCUUCUAUAUUUGGUGGUAAUCAUAGCCCCACCGGGCAAUUUUCUAUAUUUGGUGGUAAUCAUGGCCCCAUUGGGCAAUUUUCUAGACUUGGUGGUAAUCACGGCCCCAUCGGGCAAUUUUCUAUUCAAGUACCCGCAUUAUCUAAUUUUUGGGAUAAAUCCCCAUAAUCAUCAAUUUAACUCAAUUUUCACAAUCAGGUACUCAAAUAAAUAAACAGAGAGCAUUACUGCAAUCAGCACAAAAUUCUGAUCGUCGACUAUCCCAACCUAAUUUCUGGAAAAAUAAUUAAUUAAUUAAUUAAUUACGAAAAAAUAAUAAAUAAAUACUAAUAAAUCAAACUUAGGCCCAUAAUGCCUAAUUGGAUGCCGAAAUGGAUCCGGAAAAUUUUCGAGACUCAUUAAAUAAAUACUAGAGUCUAUUCACUUGCUAAUUGCAUUAACUAUCCACCUAACAUGCAUCGGUAAAUAAUUAAAUUCACUAAUUUAAUAUAAUCUAACCACUUAAUCCAUCUUAGCAUAAACUAAUCAACCCCUAAACAUAAUUAACAUACUAAGCGAUGAUUAGUGAGUUAAACUCACUGGUAAAAUGCGAAGACUGGAUCACCGCAACGGUGGCCGAAAUCCGAAUUUUCGGCGGCGUCGACAGACACUCGGACCGUGCCAAAAGCCUUGCAAGCCCACAGCAAAUUGCUGGGCUUGGUCUGGACUUAGGCUUGCUUCGCGGGCUUGGGCUUCAAGACUGGGUUGCUGAAGUGCAAUUGAAGACAAGCUUGAAACUAGGCUGAACAAUUGUGAGCCGGGCCGAAUUGCUGGCUUCUUGGGUUGCAGGACUUGGGUGGACCAAGCUGAGACGUGUUGGGCUUCGCUGAACUGAGCUUCGGUUGCUGAAGAUGGGCCGAACAAGGCUGAGGAAAAGAAACGCCUGGGCUGAAGACAGGCCCAACUCCUGGGCCGAAUCACAUUGAAGACGCGCAAUUGACCGAGCAAGAGACACGAGCUAAUGAAUGGCUGAGCUGACGUCGAUUUGAGGGUAUCGCGGACGAAGGCAACACAGGACACGGAGUUGUAGGAGUUGAAGCAAUUCAGUGGAGAUUCGGCGGUCUUUAGCUGGGGAAAUCUUGACUGAAGAAGCUGAAGAUUUGGACGCGUGGGCUUGCGGCUUCGUGGACGACGAUGCUGCUUUGCGGGAUGUCUUCGAUGGAGGCAGCAGCUGCUGACGUCCACAGAGUCAACAAAGAAGAGCUGGCGUGAGGUUAGUUGACCGAGGGGAACAAUUUCUGGUGGAGGUGGGCUGCUGGCAAAUCGGCAGAGGCUGAAAAAGAUGAUCGUGGGAGUGGGUUGAAGAAAUCGUGCAGCUUCGGUGAGUGGUGAAUGGGCAGACGGUGGACAGAGAGAUGCGAAGAUGGAGAGGAAAGAAAAUUGAAAAUGAAAGCAGAAGCAGGAACCAAUGAUGAUGAAGAAGAGCUAAGGCGUGCGACGGGAUGAGCAGCUGGUGGUGUGUUCGGCAAGAUUGGAAGCUUAAGUCCAACAUCUCUAUCCAUUCAAUUUAAUGCAACGUCCCCCUAAUACUUUCUAGCCAAAAUUUCCAAAAAUGGCUCAAAAUAAAGUCUAAAAUACAGCCUCCAAAAUGGCAUAUGAAUUUCACCAUAUACGCUUCAAUUUUCUCUCCGAUUAUCCAAAUCGAGGUCCGAUUUUGCUGAAGAAAAAUCCCAAACAAUUUUUUGUAAAUCCCUGACACUUAAAGGUUCGGCUUGGAAGUCCAAAUUUCCUUUAAUUUGGCUCAUCCGAAUUUCCGUUAUUUUUCUGCAACGUUCGAAUCGAUUUUUCAUAAAAAUCCCAGAAUCUCCGAAAAUUCUUCGAAAGGUGAGUCGACAUUCCUAAAAUAGAUCGUGCCAUGACAGAACUUUCAAUUUCUGAAAUCCGGUUCAAAUUCACGGUUAAUUUCAAUCUAGCGUGAUUCCAAUGUGACCUAGUCCACUAGGUAGCUUUUAGGAAUUUUUGGUGCAAUUGACCCAUGAUCGAUUCAUCUUGAGUCACAAUGUACAUUUUCGACUUAUUGGCGACUCUCGGUUGUCGUGAAAAUCUCGAGAUUUCAAAUACGGACAUCGGGUACAGAAAUGACAGAAAAAUCGCUAGUGUCGUUCGACGAAAAUUUUGCAAUUAGGUGGAAUCACCCACACACUAAUCACAUAUCUUUAUCAAAUCGACCUAUCUCCGGUCUCUGAUCGAUUUUUGACAAUGCCAUAAUGACCCUUGCAGAUUAACACGGUCGAGCAGUUGAUUCCUGGUCAAAUUCUCAAAUCCAUUGCAUUAAAAUCCCUUAAUGGCUUUCCCAAAUAGUCUAAUUAUCUCACGAGUGAUCGACCCAGAAAAUAAUACAAUAGGCACAUCGAUAAAAUGCCCGAUUUAUUUAAUUAAAAACAUAAAUGAAAAAUCAGGAUGUCAGAAACCCCAUUCAAAAGCAUUGUUCUACACAAUAUUGAGAAAGCCAUAUAAGUUAACCUCAAGGGAGUAAGUCUAAACAUACUUCACAAACAUGGAGAGUUGGAAAAUAUGAUCCCAAGAACAAUCACCGAUUUAGCUCCUUAUGAUAAUUUAAGCAAAUGAAUCAUGUCUAGGUCAAAGCCAUAUAAAAAGAAAAAAAAAAAGGAUCAUGUCCUCUAUAACAUGAUAAACUCAAAUUGCCUAGUCUUCACAUUUUGCCUAAUCGAUACUGCAAGACUUGGGCAAGCUGUGCCACAAGCUCCACUGAAGAAAUCAAAAACCACAAAAUCAGGAGUGAAAGUGCUAGUAUGAACACCUAGAAGGGGUGAAUAGGUGUGAAAAUAGAUUAUGCAAAAUGCAGCGAAAACCUUUACUUUUAACCUGAGUCUGAAUAAUAAUAGAUUUUUUAAACUGAUUUUGAAGAGCAACAGACUUUAAGCGAAUUAGACUUUAGCAGUUAAAUAGAAUUAUGAACAAAAUAAAGAGAUUCAGGAAAGAGAAUAAUAACACAAGGUUUAUAGUGGUUCGGCUUAAUCCAAAGCUACGUCCACUCUCCCACGCUAACAGCCUUUUUGGUUGGAUUCAACUAUGCAAUCAACAAGAGCUUACAACUUUGAGUGCAAACACUUAGUAGUAGAUCACAUUAUUUCACUAAGUCAUUAUUUUGGUAUUUCUCUCAUGAUCACAAACAUUUAAGCUCACAAGAGACAAGUGUAUGAUCGAAGGUCGCUCAGACUUUGGAAUUAUAAAUUCUACCCUCCGUCUCUUACUUGCUCAUUGGUCAUUCAUCUCCUUAAAUACUCCUCCACUUUCAAACUAACCGCUGGACAAUAUCUCGAGGAUCGUAUUCCAAUCUACCCGUUGGACAGAUCUGUAUCUAGAAUAUUUGGUAGCCGUAGAUUGACAAAAGUAGGAAUCUUAAAUUGAUUCUGAUCGUCCAUACAAACAGAAUCUUGGUUUCCAUAAGUAGAGCUUUAUCGUAUAGAAAGUUCUCGUCUUCAAUAGCCAAUCGUCAAUCAAUUAGAUUGAGUCAAUCAAAUCAAUCUUGAUGUAGAAUCCAAACCAGAUCACUAGCCGUUAUAUGAUUGGGGCUUGUGUUACGUUCUGUCGAAUCUGGACAUAAAGUCUUAGAGCAAUAGACUUUACAAUCUGAGUCUGAGUGCGAUAGACUUUAUAAUCUGAGUCUGAAUAUAUUCUGCUUCUGAACAGAUUUAGCUUUAAGGUCUGAACAUAGUCUAAAUAAGUUCAGCUUCAGCAUAGAGUUUGUCUUCUGGUUCUUCAUUCACGUUCAGUCUGGAAUUUGUUAGAGUGAGCAGACUUCUGAUGUAGAACAGACUUUGACACGGAAGUCUGGAAAUCUUCAAAAUAUAUUUUGGGCAUAUGUUACGUUCAGUCUUCUGGCCGUCUUCGGACUUUGACAAUAUCAUUUACAUGUUCUAUCAUUUGCAUAGUUUAUUACUCAACAAUUAAACACGUUAGUAGCUUUUGAUUUAUUUUGUCAUCUUCAAAACAUCAUAAGGGAUUUCCCUAACAAUCUCCCCAUUUUUGAUAAUGACAAAACAAUCUCUGAAUAUGCAGAUGUAUAAUCUCACUUUCUAAAAUAUUAAUAAAUCAAUCAUCAAAUUUUAGAUUUUCAAAAAAAUGUGAUUUGAAUCAAAAGACAGCAAAUAGAUUAAGCAUAACAAUAUAUAGAAAAAUAAUCGCAGCUUAAUAUUAUAAUAUUAACCAAUCAACACAUAUGCAUAUUUAUAUUCUCUUCCCCUUUUUGUCAUAAUCAAAAAGCGAUAACAAUGAAAAUAGUAUCACGUAGAGAAUAUAAAAUAUCUUGCAUGAAACACAAUUUUCAAGAAAUCAGCUUUUAUAAAGUAAAUUAAAUAUUAAAGAUAUGCAAUAUAACUUACUUCGAUCAUACAUAUCAGCAAAUAUUCAUUAAAAAUUACGGAUGCAUUAUAAAAUUUGCUUACCGUUUUUGUCAUAAUAAAAUGAUAAUAUCAAUAAUAAAUUUCUUAAUGACAAAAGGUAAUAAAAGAUGCACUAACCGGAUUUUGUAGAACAAAUUCUAACACAUUUAUAUUUUCCUUCCUUCCAUAAUAAUCAAGAUCACGAUCGAUUCAAAAAUAUUUUAUCAUAAUUGAUCAAUGCUCCCCCUCAAUUUGUUGCCUUUUUGAGAUGAUCAUGAUUCUUUCCUUUCUCUUAGAUUUGCUUUCUCCCCCUGUUAUCAUGACAAUAUUUGCGAAAAGAAACAAUUAUUGCUUGUGCACGUUGAACAAAAAUAUGUUUCUAUUAUUCCCUUUGUAGCAACAACAUCCGCAACGACCACUUGCAUUUUUAAAUUCAAGGAAAAAAUUUAUUUUCUUCAAUCAAGCUCGUCUCGAAUUUAACCUGCAUCAACUUAACAAACUUUUUCCACAAAUAAGCUGUAAUAAUAUCCACGUAAUAUAUAAUGCCCUUUCUUAAAAUAAAUAAAUUGAAUAGCAUAUAUAAAAUUGUCAAUUAUUGAAAUUUAGAACUACUCAACAUUUUGUAUGAUACAUAAGGGAUUUCCUCAAUAAUUUGAAAAAAAAAAAAAACUUUGCACAAUAAAGAGAAUCUGUGAGCCUCCAGAAAAUAGUAUAGAAUUUUCAUAAUUUUCAGAUCGAGCGUUCCAAAAUUCAUAUAAAAAAUUCUAUUGUCACCUGCAAAUUCUUGUAUAAUAGAUAAUAAUCUUUGCAAAAAAAGUCACGUAAUAUCUGAUAUGGCUAGUAUAAGUACCUAGAGGGGGGGUGAAUAAGUAUAAAGAGUAAUUUCUUACAAUAAUCGCACAAUACUAGACAGUUGAUAGAAAUGAGACAAUUUCUCGUCAAUAAACAAACAACAAUCAAAGUAAGACUGAAAGUAGGGAAGAGAAAAUUGAACACGAGGUUUAUAGUGGUUCAGCUUAUUUAAAGCCUUCGUCCACUCUUCUGCACUGACAGCCCACUGGCUGGAUUCCACUAUGAACAAAGAGAUAUUACAGUACUGUUCUUCCUUGAUUUCUCGGUGUAGAAGAUCUACCACACUCCCUCAAGGUAUCACUAAGUAUAGACUCUCUUUGCGUGUACAGUUUCGCUCAAUAUGAAUCGACUAGUAAUCAAGGAGUUUCAGACUCUGGAAUUUCUCUAUCGAGCACACACUAGAACAACUGGAACGUCUUCCUUUUAUACUCCUUUAUGCCAUCAUACCCGUUGGCACUUACCAAAGGAAUUCUUCCAAUCUUCCCGUUGGACAGAAUCAAUUAAGAAGAUCAUUCGAGCUAUUAAAGGAACAUGUCGAUAGCCCAUCAAUCAUGUUCGCCCAUACAAUCAGGAUCUUAGUUUCCAAGAAUAGAACCUUCCGAGAAUAUCUCAUCAAUCAUCGGAUCUUCAAACAAUCUUGAUUUCGAAUAAAUAAUCCGUUAUUUCAAAUCCAGCCAAGAGAUCUUCUCCAGUCGAUAAGACCAAAUCCUUAACCAAACACUUUAGCUCUGGAUCGCCUUCAUCACUGGAUUAGAAACUGUCAAUGAGAAUAGUCUUGAGUCUUGAGCCUUGUGUGCUGAGUCUGGUGAUCUGAAAGUCUUCAGACUCUAAGUACAAGGGUCUGCACAGCUUCCAGACUAGAUUGAUAGAAACGUUUUGUCAGCUUCUAAACACUCUAGAGAGAUUUCUCCAACAAUCUCCCCAUUUUUUAUGGUGACAAAACUUUCCUGUAGAUUUGAACAACUUUGACCUGCGAAAACAUUACUCAAGCAAUAUGGAUAUCUCAUAAAGAUUAAUAACUCAACUAGACUCUGCAUCCACAGAAAAUAGGUUAGUCUUUCAUGAGUAAAGCCAUACAAUAACACUUGAUAUAAAUGCAACAGUCAAUUUCAAAUCCACACUCAAGUUAGUCAAAUUCACCAAGUCCACCACACCCAAGUCAUACUCAAAAUAAAUAUCCAAACAAACUGAAAUUAAAAACAGAUUCAAAGUCAAAGUUCAGUUCAGUUCAAAGCUGGCAAUUCUCCCCCUUUUUGUCAUCAUUAGAAAAAAAAAGUGAGAAAGAGUCAAGUCUGCUUGGGAACGCGCACAAGCUGGAAAUCUCCCAUCAACUGUACGACGCCUUCCAGCCUCUUCAAGUCUUCCCGUAGACGUGCCACCUCUACUCCUUUGGCAUUUGCUUGAAUUUGAUGAGCGAGGUCUUGCAUUUUAUUCAACAGGGUAACGGAAGACGUUUGUCCAGCAUUCUUCAGGACUUGAAGUUCACAUUCCAAAGCAUAUAUUUGACCUUGCAUUUCCAAAAGAAGAUCAAGGAUGCGACGAAAAUCUGUGGUAUUGUCCGUCUGCGUGCUGGCAUUUGCUCUAUCAGAUGGAGUAAAGGCAGACGAUGGAACUUCAGUAUAAUUGCCCAAGUGAGGCGUUGAGGUGUCAUGUCCUUCCUCAGGCAUUUGAGAAGCCUGAAUAUCUUCUGGAUUUGCUUGCGAGCGACUCACACCUUCACUGUGAACAGGAUAUGGUGUAGUCCUUCCUUGCUCGUCAUCUCCCCAUAUUUCUAAGGCCUCAAUUGGGGAAGAGUGAUGGUCAUGCUUGGUAGCAUCUUGAUUGCCUUUCUCUCCAGCUUCAUCUGUAGACUUUUCUUUGACUGCUUCUUCUUCUUCUCCAACUUCUUUCUCUUCUUCUUCUUUUUCUUUCUCUUCUUUCUCCUCUACUUCUCUCUGUUCUUGUUCCUCUGCUUCUUUUCCUUUCUCCUGUCGUUCUGUUGAUUCGGAUACAGAGCGACUGAGUUUUUUUAAUGCCAAGGCAGAGAUAGUGAGUUCAUCCUCUUCAUCUUCAUCCUCUAAGAUUAGAGCUCUUUUCUUUUUGGAUGGAGCACCCAUGGGCUCCUUCCCUUUCCUUUUCGACGCAGAAGAGACUGGAUGAGAUUUAACUGGAGUUUUCACUUUGAACUUCUCCAUUGCCUUAUCAAGCUCUUUCAGACACAUUUUUGUCAGCAUUUUCAAACCCACCACCAUUUUGUCGCAUGGUCGAACACAAAGAGUCUGUGGAGGUUCAAUGUUCAAGUGUCUGAAAAUCUUGGUCACAAGACCUGAGUAAGGCAACUGACCCUUGUCCUUCACCAUCGCUCUGUACAUGUGGAAGAGAAUGGUGUGAGGAAGAGAGAACUUCUUUCCUGAAUUGAUCACGUACAUCAAUUUCGCCUCAGAAUUAGACACGUCUGUCUUGGAUGUUGAUUUUGGCCUGAGACGUUUGAUCACGAUUUUGUGCAGUAAGAUGUUGAUGGCAUGCAUUCUUGUGUAGGUAACUCUUCCUUCUGUACUCCUGUCUUUGACAAGUUCUAGUGUGGUACGAGCGAUUGAAACCUUGAUUGGUUGAUAUCGUCCUCUUUCAACUCCAAUUAUGUCUGCCAACAUGUCCACAUCUACCUUAUAGUCUUGGUCUCGAACACUGAAGGAUAUUCUAUUUGCAUCUAAAAAGCUGAGAUUCGAAUAGAAAUAUGCUGUCAAUUGUGCAUAGCCGUCUGUGGUGUCAGAGCAAAAUUGCUCUAGUUGAAGCAGAUUGAACUUCUCCUUCAAGUUCACAUUGAUGGCAUCCAGAAAAUCAAAAUCAACGCUCCUGGGGUUUAUUACCCCCCGUUUCAACAAUUUGAAGAACAGAUCCUCCUGUUCCUUCGAUUUGAACAACUCCGUUCUUUUUCCCUUCACCUUCGCAGCAACACCCAUCCUGGGUUGGAAUUCUCUAAACAGUUUAUCAUCGUCAUUCCCAUCAGUUGGAUUAAACCUACACGAGGGUCACUUGGAAUGUUCGCAAGUGCUUCCUCAGCCUUUCCUUUGGAAGCAAUUCCCAAAUCCUCCAUCCGUCGCAAAAAGACAUACUCAUUUCCAUACCCUUUGUCUUUAAGGAAGGCAUCUACAUAGUUCAGUGGUGUACCUAUGCUUUUCAAAGCACGAUAGAGCUUGUAAAUAAAAGAGGGUUUUUGGACUCUUACAGGGUCUGCUUCCUCGAUUAUUUCUUCCUGUGGUAGUUGUUCCACACUCUGUGGGGUAGAUAAUGGAGAUUGACGUGCAUGAGAGUGAAUUGGGCUCUGUUGCUGUCUCGGUAACUCUUCUUCCUCAGUGAGAUCGAAAUGGGUAGGACCCUCCCUCAUUUUUUGUGGUCCCCUGCUCGCGAUUCUUGAAGACUUUCUCAAAGAAGACAUCAUUUCUUGUCGUUGAAAGAUUCCUUGACUCGUUUUCCCAAGAAAAGAUGACAACUUUCUCGAAGAUGAACACGAAGUCGGGACAAGAUUGGGAGGAGAAUGCCUUUUUAGGGUUUUGGAGUUAAGCGAAGAAAACAACUGACUGUAUAUAACAAAAAAUCAAUCGACAUAAAGGAAAGUGAACAGUCGUCCCUUUUUAAAAACGAUAACUGCCGUUUUUAAAUAGAGGUUAUCUUUUUUAAAAGACAAGAUUUCGUUUUUCUUGGAAAUUAAAGAUAAAUCAAAUAUAACUGAACGAAUGAUCGUACCUUUUCGAGAUUGAAUAUUAAAACAACUUACAGUCUAUAGCCAUGAAUGUUUGAGUCUGAGAGUCUGAGAGUCUCUAGACUUUGAUUUCCUCAAGCUUCAAAAUGUUGAGUCUGGAACGGAUGAUAUCGAAUUGAUUCUUCUCCAAAGGCUUUGUGAAUAUAUCCACUAGUUGGCUCUUUGACUCAACAAAUUGAAUCGAGAUUUCUCCAUUUUGAACAUGAUCUCUAAUGAAGUAAUGACGAAUCUCUAUAUGCUUUGCCCUUGAGUGAAGGAUUGGAUUUUUAGUAAGAUUGAUUGCGCUGGUGUUGUCACAUCUAAUUUCAGUGCAUGAGUCUUCAAUUCCAAAGUCUUGUAGCUGUUGUUUUAUCCACAGAAUUUGCGAACAACAACUUCCAAGAGCUACAUACUCUGCUUCUGUUGUAGAGAGAGCCACGGUGUUUUGUUUCCUUGAAAACCAAGACACUGUCCUGUUCCCAAGCAAUUGGCAAGUUCUCGAGGUGCUCUUUCUAUCAACUUUGCAACCGGCUAGAUCUGCGUCUAAAUAUCCAAGAAGAUUAAAGUCUCCCUUCUUAGGAUACCAAAGACUGAUGCUUGAAGAUGAAGCAACGUAUUUAAUAAUACGUUUCGCAGCACUGAGAUGAGAUUCUCUAGGGUCUGAUUGAAACCUAGCACAGAUGCACACACUCAACAAAAUGUCAGGUCUAGAGGCAGUAAGAUAAAGAAGUGAACCGAUGAUACUCCUGUACAGCUUUUGAUCAACUUUCUUCCCUUCUUCAUCUUUGUCUAUCUUCAAAGAACUUGACAUCGGUAUGUCGGUCUUUUUGCACUUUUCCAGUCCAAACCUUUUGACAAGAUCAUUAGCAUAUUUUUCUUGAUGAAUAAAAGUUCCUUCCUUCAAUUGUUUUACUUGAAGUCCAAGAAAGAAGGUUAACUGUCCCAUCAUACUCAUUUCAAACUCAUCCUGCAUAGACUUAGAGAAUUUCUUACACAGACUUUCAUUAGAGGAUCCAAAAAUAAUAUCAUCCACAUAUAUUUGAACAAGUAGAAAGCUUUUGUUUUCCUUUUUGAUAAAUAGAGUAGUAUCUACUUUACCUUUGACAAAACCAUUUUGUAUUAAAAACUUACUUAGUCUGUCGUACCAAGCUCGAGGUGCUUGCUUUAAACCAUACAAGGCCUUUUUCAGUCUGAAGACUGAGUUUGGCUUCUUUGGGUCUUCAAACCCUGGUGGUUGUUCCACAUAAACUUCCUCAUGGAUAAAUCCAUUUAGGAAGGCACUUUUGAUGUCCAUUUGGAAUAGCCUGAAAUUUGUAUAACAAGCAAAAGCAAGCAAUAAUCGAAUAGCUUCUAACCUUGCUACUGGUGGAUAAGUCUCGUCAUAGUCUAUCCAUUCUUCUUGUGUGUAUCCCUUGGCCAUGAGUCUUGCUUUGUUUCUUACGACUUUUCCUUUCUCAUUCAUCUUGUUCCUGAACACCCAUUUAGCUCCAAUAACAGUUCUACCUUUUGGUUUAGAUGUCAAUUCCCAGACAUCAUUAAUGUUGAACUGUCUAAGCUCUUCUUGCAUAGCUUCGAUCCAGCUUUCAUCAGAUAAAGCUUCUUCUAUGCUUUUUGGUUCAAUUUCAGAGAUGAGAGCCACAACACUAGACUCUUUGCGCCUUUUGGAUCUGGUGCGAAUUCCUUCAUUAAUUUCGCCGAUAAUGAGAUCUUUGAGAUGACUGAACUUAUGCUUCCAGUUACUGGUUGGCUUGUCUGGUUGAUGAUCUCUUUCUUUACUUGAAUAUUCACGAACAACUUGAUGCUGGUCUUCUAGAGUCUGAGAUGCUUCUUGAGUUGUAAGCUUUGGAGAGUCUAGAGCAGGUUCAGACUCUUCAUGUUGAGUCUGACUGGAUUCAUUUUGCAUUGAAUCUUGAAAUUUGACAUUCAUUGAUUCCUCCACUGAUUGACUCUUCUUGUUGUAGACUCUGUAGGCUUUGCCUGAUGUAGAAUAUCCAAGGAAGAUGCCUUCAUCUGAUCUUUUUUCAAACUUACCAACUCGAUCUUUUGCAUUUUUCAAUAUAAAGCAUUUGCAACCGAACACAUGAAAGUACGAAACAAUAGGCUUCUUACCUUUGAAUAACUCAUUAGGGGUUUUCUCUAAAAUAGGUCUUAAAAAGACUCUAUUUAUGAUAUAGCACGCUGUUGAAACAGCUUCAGCCCAAAAUCGUGAAGAAAUCUUACUUUCAAUUAAAAGAGUUCUAGCCAUUUCUUGAAGAGAUCUAUUCUUUCUUUCCACAACUCCAUUUUGCUGAGGAGUGUAUGGAGAGGAGAACACAUGCUUAAAGCCAGAUUCAUCACAAAAUUUUGUAAAAUCUUGAUUUUCAAAUUCACCUCCAUAAUCUGUUCUUAUACUUGAAAUAACAUAUCAUUUUUCAUUUUGAACCUUUUUAGCAAAUUUUUCAAAAUACGAGAAGGUUUCAUACUUACUUGCAAGAAAAUAUACCCAAGUAAAUCGGGAGUAAUCGUCCACGAUUACUAGGCAAUAUUUCUUACCUCCAAUGCUCUGGGUUCUGGUUGGUCCGAAGAGAUCCAUAUGCAGCAGCUGCAGUACAUGAUUAGUAGAGACAUGAUUUAUUGGCUUAAAUGAAUUUCUUACCUGUUUUCCCAAUAUACAUGGAGUGCAUAGAUCAGACUUUUGGUAUGAUAAAUUGGGUAGACCACGAACAAGCUGCUUUGAUGAGAUUUUGGCUAGCUGCUUCAUAUUGAUGUGACCAAGCUUUCUGUGCCACAAGCUUGCUUUGUCUUGAAUUGAAAUUAAGCAUUGCGAUUCAUCCGGUUUCAUAUCCAGAAGAUAGAUAUUUCCAUGCCUUCGACCCAUGAAAGACUUAGUAGAGUCCUUACUGGUUCCAGAACAUAUUCCUUCUUGAAAGAAGAUCUUAAAACCAGUAUCACAUAGUUGGCUGAUGCUGAGAAGAUUGUAAUUGAGUCCUUCUACUAGGGAAACAUUACUUAUUGUGAGAUUUCCAAUUUUCACAGUUCCAAAUCCCACAAUUCUUCCUUUGUUGUUUCCUCCAAAUGAGAUUUUUCCACCAUUUACUUGAACGAGCUUUAUAAAGCAAUUUGAGUCUCCUGUCAUAUGUCUUGAGCAUCCAUUGUCUAGAUACCACUUUACCUUUUCUUUGAUGGAGACCUGCAUUUAAAAGAGAGUCUCAAGCUUUCUUUGGUACCCAUAUUUUCUUGGGUCCAUUGGUGUUAGUAAGAUAAACAGUAUUAGCCCAUGUUUUCUUAACAGGUUUCCAAACCAUAGGACACUCUUUUUCAAAGUGAUCCGGGCUAUUGCACUUUGAACACCUGAGGGAAUUUCGACCCACAGACUUUACAAAAACCUUCUUGAAAUGAUUUUUGUAGGCCUCUCUUGAGGGUCUUUGCUUAAUUCUUUCUUUUACUUUAGGAAAAUCAAUCAAGGGAAUAGUUUCCGCUGUCAUACCUAAACCAGACUUAUUGAAAUAAGGUCUUUGAGCUGAAAGAAUUUUUUCAAGUUUCUCGGACCCUAUUGAAAAUUUCUUUGAAAUAUUUUAUGAGUCAAUUUUUAAAAGAGCAUUUUCUUUCAAAAGAUUUUCUUCACUUUCUUUAAGAGUAGAAACAUUCAUGUCUAAACAUUUAACUCUUUCUUUCAACACGUUUUCCUGUUGUUUUAGAACAGAGUUUUCCUUUUUAAGUUCGGAAAUCCUUUUAAGGGAAGUCUUAAGACUAAAACAUAGCUCAUCAAUAUACUUAGAAACCUUGACAGGAAUUUUAAAAUUACUUACCUCAAAUUCACUGUCUGAGUCUGAUUCAGAGUUUGAGUCUGAGUCUGAUUGCGCCAUCAGACACAAAUUGGCAUAUUCAUUAUCACUUUCUUCACAUUCUGUAUCACUCCAGGUUUCGGCUUUGAGAGCCUUUCAAGACUUUUCAGCUUUUCCUUUCUUCUUCUUUAGAAGAGGACAGUUGGGUUUGAUGUGUCCCUUUUUUCUUAAAUUCAAAGCAAACUACAUCUUUGUUUGAUUCAUCAUCAUCAACAGACUUGGUCUGUUGUCUUUGAAAGCUUUGUUUCUUUGAGUUGAAUCUUCUUCCUUUUCUAUUCAGCUUUCUGAAUCUUCUUAUCAUGAGAGCAAGCUCCUCAUCGUCCAUAUCAUCUUCAGAAUCUAUAACAUCAGAAUCAUCAUUUGAUUUUAAUGCAAUGGAUUUCUUAGCUUUUGGAUCUUCGUCUUCGUUAAUUCGUUCCACUUCAUAAGACUGAAGAGUUCCAACCAGCUCGUCAACAGAUAGUGGCAUGAUUCUUUGUGUCUCUCUUAUUGAAGUCUUUAUGUGAUUCCAAUCCUUGGAGAGUCCACGCAGUAGCUUGUUUACCUUCAUGGGAUCAGAAAUUGGUUGUCCUUGAUUUUCAAGACCAUUUACAAUUCAUGUAAAAUGGCUAAACAUGUCAAUUAUAGAUUCUCCAGGUCUCAUUUUGAAGGCUUCAUAUUGACCGAGAAGGAUGUUGAUUCUGGUCUCUUUUACUCGAUCAUUUCCUUCAUAGGUGAUAUGUAACCUAUCCCAGACUUCUUUUGCUGUAACACAAUAAGAUAUUCUGUUAUAUUCAGUAGAUGACAAGGCACAAUACAAAAAAUAUAUAGCUUUUGCAUCAAGAGUUUGUCUCUUGAUUAUCUCUUCCUGAGACAUUCCGCUACUCUCAACAGUUUCUUUCCCUCUUUCUGAGACAGAUGCAACUUUAGGAGUGAUUCCUUUUUCUACAACGUCCCAUUCCAGAGGAUCCUUUGAUCGAAGAAAUGCUUUCAUUUUGUUUUUCCAGAUGUUAUAAUCCUCUCCAUCAAAGUAAGGAGGUCUGGUAUUGCUUUGACCUUCCACCAGCCCUGGAGCUAGCAUACUAGCCAUGGAUCUUUUACUCUGAAGUAAAACACUCCAAAUAAAGUGAGUACACGAGCUCUGAAACCAAUUGAUAUGGCUAGUAUAAGUACCUAGAGGGGGGGUGAAUAGGUAUAAAGAGUAAUUUCUUACGAUAAUCACACAAUACUAGACAGUUGAUAGAAAUGAGACAAUUUCUCGUCAAUAAACAAACAACGAUCAAAGUAAGACUGAAAGUAAGGAAGAGAAAAUUGAACACGAGGUUUAUAGUGGUUCGGCUUAUUUCAAGCCUACGUCCACUCUUCUGCACUGACAGCCCACUGGCUGGAUUCCACUAUGAACAAAGAGAUAUUACGGUACUGUUCUUCCUUGAUUUCUCGGUGUAGAAGAUCUACCACACUCCCUCAAGGUAUCACUAAGUAUAGAUUCUCUUUGCGUGUACAGUUUCGCUCAAUAUGAAUUGACUAGUAAUCAAGGAGCUUUAGACUCUGAAAUUUCUCUAUCAAGCACACACUAGAACAACUGGAACGUCUUCCUUUUAUACUCCUUUAUGCCAUCAUACCCGUUGGCACUUACCAAAGGAAUUCUUCCAAUCUUCCUGUUGGACAGAAUCAAUUAAGAAGAUCAUUCGAGCUAUUAAAGGAACAUGUCGAUAGCCCAUCAAUCAUGUUCGCCCAUACAAUCAGGAUCUUGGUUUCCAAGAAUAGAACCUUCUAAGAAUAUUUCGUCAAUCAUCGGAUCUUCAAAUGAUCGUGAUUUCGAAUAAAUAAUCCGUUAUUUCAAAUCUAGCCAAGAGAUCUUCUCCAGUCGAUAAGACCAAAUCCUUAACCAAACACUUUAGCUCUGGAUUGCCUUCGUCACUGGAUUAGAAACUGUCAAUGAGAAUAGUCUUGAGUCUUGAGUCUUGUGUGCUGAGUAUGGUGAUCUGAAAGUCUUCAUACUCUAACUACAAGGGUCUGCACAGCUUCCAGACUAAAUUGAUAGAAACGUUUUGUCAGCUUCAAAACACUCUAGAGAGAUUUCUCCAACAAUAUCUUCCGUUGAUUUGCGGAUCAAACUUGCUAGAUAUAUAUAUCUUUUAAGAAUAUAGCAAGAAUAUCCAUGAAUAUACAAUAACAUCUUUCAAGAUCAAAGGGAUUUGCUUGAGUGUAAAACUCAAAAAUAUAUUAUUGGUGCAUUUUGCAAAAAGAAAAUAGAUAUUUCUCACGUGCCAAAAUUGCAAUGCCUUAUAUUUAUGACAGAAUAUAUUUGCAAUAUAAUAAACAAUCAUCCAAAAUUAUGAUAAAUGCACAUAGAAAUUUAUAAGGCGGGAUGAUAAAAAAAAUAUUCUCUUACCCAUGGUAUAUGUUUAAAAUAUACCAUUGAUUUUAAAAAAAAAUCAUUACCAAUCUUCGCCUGAGAUUCUUUUCUUAUUGCACCAAAAUCUUCGUAGAUUUGCAAUCAUUCUUGUCUUAUUGAAUUUCCUGCAAUAAACUCAUUUCUGUUUUUUGGCAUCCAUCAAUUUGGAUCCUUCCAUUUCAUUAGAGUAAAAUAGAUAAUCUCCAUAGAUAAACAAAUAUUCUUUCUUAAUUCAUCAUAAUAAAGUAUUCAAAGAAAGAAUAUUAUGCACAAUGAUAUUUUGAAAAAUAAAUUCUCACUUAGUCAUAGUACGAUAAAAACAGAGAGAAUAAUAUCCUUGAGUAUCUAAGAAUAUCUUGCAUAAAAAAUUAAUAUUACGUAAAACAGAUUUUUACUUGGUAAAAUAUGAAAAAAUCUGAGAAUAUAAAAUCAAAACAAAUAAAUCCAUUUGUCUCUAAGAAAAAUAUCAAAAAUAAUCACACGUAUUAAAUCAAAUCUCAGCUUUACGAAUCACAAAAACAAAUCACACAAUUCUUCCUUCAAUCAAACCAAUCACAAAAUACGGUCGUAAUAAAAUUUAAAUCAAUCAAGGAUAUGUUGAAUAUCAAGUAUAAUGAGAAUUAUGUGCCCAAAUAAAAAAAAAAUGCAUUCCUUACCAAACUCUCAUUCUUCUCUUCCUUUAUUUCCUGCAAAAAUAACUCAUCUUUUCUUUGGUACCCAUUUUUUCUUGGGUCCAUAAGAGUUAGUAGAGUACGCUGUUUUUACCCAAUCUUUCUUAAUAGGUCUCCAGACUUUAGGAUAUUCUUUCUCAAAGUGUUCUGAAUCUCUAUAAUUUGAACACUUGAGGGCAUUUCGACCAAUAGGUUUUACAAACACUUUUCAAAAAUGAUUUUUGUAAAAUACCUUUGGAGGUCUUUGUCUAAGUUUUACAUUGACUUUAGGAAAAUCAAUUAGAGAAUCACUUUCCUUAUUGAAACAAAGUCCCGACUUAUUACAGUAAGGUACUUGUAUGGAAAGGAUAUACUCUAAUGUUUUUGAACCAUUUGAAAAUUUUGUCGAAAUAUUUGAAAAUUCCUUUUUUAAAGAAUCAUUUUCUUUGACAAGUAAAUCUCGACUUUCUUUUGUUUGUAGAAAAUCUUUUUGCAAAAUUUCAAACUUUUCUUUUCAAAAAGAUCUUGUUGCCUAAGCCAAGAAUUCUCAUUUUUAAGUUCGGAUAUCCUUUUAAGAGAAGAUUUGAGAUUUAAGCAAAACUCAUUUAUAUACUUAAGAACUUUGAUAGGAAUUGUUGAAUGACUUAUCUCGAUUUUCUUAACGGAUUCUGAGUCUGUAUCUGAGUCAGACUCAGAUUCUGAAUGUGCCAUCAAACAUAUAUUUCAUUACUCAUCAUUUUCUUUCAUUGUUCUUUUCUACCCAUUCUACUUGUAUUGUCUUCUUCCACUGAAUUUGCUUUCUUUUCUACUCAGCUUUUUGAAUUUCUUGAUCAUAAAAACAAGUUCUUCAUCGUCCAUGUCAUUUUCUGAGUCUGUAUCGUCAGAAUUAGCGUUAAAUAUUAAAGCGAUGAAUUUCUUACCUUUGGGAUCUUCGUCGUUGAGUUGUUCCACUUCAUAAGAUUGAAGAGUGCCAAUCAAUUCAUCAACGGAGAGUGGCAUAAUCCUCUGAGUCUCCCGGAUUGAGGUCUUGACAUGGUUCCAAUCUUUUGAGAGAUCUUGCAAGAGUUUGUUGACCUUCAUUGGGGAAGAAAUUGGCUGACCUUGAUAUGCUAAACCAUUUACAAUUUCUGUAAAACAGCUAAACAUAUCUCCAAUCGACUCUCCUUGCUUCAUCUUGAAGGAUACAUAUUUACUAAGCAGGAAGUUUACUUUUGUCUCUUUUACACGAUCAGUCCCUUCAUAUGUAACAUGAAAUCUAUCCCAAACUUCUUUUGCCGUUUCACAUGAAGAGAUUCUAUUAUAUUCAGCAGGAGAUAAUGUGCAAUAUAAAGAAUAAAUGGCUUUUGUAUCAAGCGCUUCUCUUUUGAACAUCUCCAUCUGAGACAUAGGAGCAUGAGGUUUUGUUUCUUUGUCUUUGCAAUUCUUAUUUGAUGUAGAUGCAGCAGUGGGAUUGAUUCCUUUUUCCACAACAUCUCAUUGCAAGGGAUCUUUGGAUCUUAGGAAUGGUUUCAUUUUGUUCUUCCACACGUUGUAUUCAUUUCCAUCAAAAUAUGGUGCCAUUGUGUUGCUUUGUCCCUCCAUAAGUCCUGGUGCCAAGAUACUAGCCAUAAAAAAAAUCUUUAGCUCAAAAGUAAAAACACUUUUAUAAAUCGAGCACUUGACUCUGAUACCAAUUGAAAGUGCUAGUAUGAACACCUAGAGGGGGUGAAUAGGUGUGAAAACAGAUUUCACAAAAUGCAGUGAAAACCUUUACUUUUAACCUGAGUCUGAAUUAAAACAGAUUUUUGAAACUAAUUCUGAAGAGCAGCAGACUUUAAGCAAAAUUAGACUUUAGCAGUUAAAUAAAAUUACGAACAAAAUAAAGAGAUUCAGGGAAGAGAAUAAUAACACAAGGUUUAUAGUGGUUCGACUUAAUCCAAGCCUACGUCCACUCUCCCACGUUAACAGUCUUCUUGGCUAGAUUCCACUAUGCAAUCAACAAGAGAUUACAACUUUGAGUGCAAACACUUAGUAGUAGAUCACACUAUUUCACUAAGUCACUCUUUUGGUAUUUCUCUCACGAUCAUAAACGUUUAAGCUCACAAGAGACAAGUGUACGAUCGAAGGUUACUUAGACUUUGGAAUUAUAAAUUCUACGCUCCGUCUCUUACUUGCUCAUCGGUCUUUCAUCUCCUUAAAUACUCCUCCACUUCCAAACUAACCGUUGGACAGAAUCUCGAGGAUCGUCUUCCAAUCUACCUAUUGGACAGAUUUGUAUCUAGAAGAUUUGGUAGCCGUUGAGUGACAAAAGUAUAAUCCAAAAUUGAUUCUGAUCGCCCAUACAAAGAGAAUCUUGGUUUCCAUAAGUAGGGCUUUUUCAUAUAGAAAGUUCUUGUCUUCAAUAUCCAAUCAUCAAUCAAUUAGAUUGAAUCAAUCAAAUCAAUCUUGAUGUGGAAUCCAAACCAAAUCACUAGCCGUUAUAUGAUUAGGGCUUGUGUUAUGUUCUAUCGAAUCUAGAUGUAAAGUCUGAGAGUAAUAGACUUUACAAUUUGAGUCUGAGUGCGAUAGACUUUAUAAUCUGAGUUUGAACAUAUUUUGCUCUUGAACAGAUUUAGCUUUAAGGUCUUAACACAGUCUGAAUAAGUUCAACUUCAGCAUAGAGUCUGUCUUCUGGUUCUUCAUUCAAGUUUAGUCUGGAAUUUAUCAGAGUGAGCAAAUUUCUUAUGUCUGACAAAUUCCUUAUGUAGAACAGACUUUGACACAGAAGUCUGGAAAUCUUCAGAAUAUACUUUGAACAUCUGUUACGUUCAGUCUUCUGGCCGUCUUCGGACUUUAACAAUAUCAUUUACAUGUUCUAUCAUUUGCAUAGUCUAUUACUCAACAAUUAAACACGUUAGUAGCCUUUGAUUUAUUUUUUCAUCUUCAAAAGAUCAUAAGGGAUUUCCCUAACAUGAAGGCAUCGCAAGAAACUAGUAUUGAUCAAUAUGUGUUAGAAUCUACAACAGCAAGAAGUCAAUUUCUACGCGUGUCAUGUAUCUUCCUAAAAAUCGGGGGAUAUUGGAGGUGAACAAAACACUCACGUAUUGACACGAGAGAGAUCAAAGACGAAGAAAGAGCAACAAUUACAAGAUCAAAAAUCGAAAGAGGGAAAGGAAGUUGAACGGUACCACUUGAAGCUCAUCAGAAACGAGGGCCGCGAUGUCAUCGACAAUCCCUAGGAUUUCAGCCCGGCACAUCUUCGCUCUAAACCUCCGAUCGAUAUGGGAAGGCCUUGCUCUUCUAAGCAAUGAUUUCGCACAACGCCUUCCCGGUAGGGCUCAAUCCCAAUCCAAUUUUCCCGCCAUUUCUGGGCGGCGUCCCGGGAAUUAUUUCGGGUGGGGGGCCUUUUAUACUGCGCACUAAGCAUUAAAGCAAUCUGGAAAAGAAACCGGGUUCUUUGUACUUUUCACGCUGAGAAUCCAUAUGAAAAUUUAAAACGAUUACGAACUCGUUGUUAUGAUUCGACGACAAUAAGAAAUAAAUCCACCUUGGCCUCUUAUCUAAUAUCUAUCUAACUAUUAAUCGAACAAAAAAAAAAACAAUUUAUGCAUGUGAACUAAUUUAUGUCUCAUUUAACACGAGUCCGGUAACACUAGUCACGUGUUGUGGACUUGUUUAACUCAUGCGCACUUAAUACAUGUUACGUUAACCUAAUGACCCAGUAUAUAAAGCUCACAUUCUCAUUGAGGUUUGCUCAUAUCACUCAUCAACACUCUCCCCACUAUCUGAUGCAUAACGUUAUCAAUUUCUAUCAACGUUAUCAAUUCCUAUCAUUCGUCGUCCUCGAGACAUGUCAGGAGCCACGCUCUUAGACCUCAUUAGAUUGGUUUAGUCCAAGUCCAUCCAGGGUUUUGCUUCGAUGUCAUAUGCAACUAGGUGUACCCUUUCUAGUUGGCCAAACUGAGGAAAAAGAGAGAGUAAAUGAUUAUAUAAGGUAGUGGCUAUUUGCAAUGAUUAAUAAGUGUCCCUGUAAAGUAUGUUUAAGAAGUGUUAAGAAAAACCCUUCAUCAAAAUAUGGGCACCUUGUUAUCUGGCCAUACUUUUCCAUGGAGAAUACUUUCUAUUGACGGGUUAUAAAAUAGCCGUCACCUGCAUUUAUUUUCAAUUAGGUUGACAUAAAAUUGAUGUUGAUAUCUUGAAAAGAAUCGAUCAAAUGCCUACUUAGAAUUAGUUUUUGCUAGAACAAUAUAGAAUAGCUGUCACCUGCAUUUAUUUUAAUAGUCUACUGACGUUUCUUUUUAUAACUUACCAAUGCCGUGAAGGUUACUAAUUUAACAAAGCAAUUGCCGGCCUUGAUUUGAUUAUUGUAUCAACAUUUACAUGGUAAGACACCAAUUAAUUUUAUUCACAUAUUAAUUUUUUUUAUUAUCUUGCUAGGUUAGGAAAAGUAUCGCAUUCAUGGUUGGUAGAAUCUAACAUUUAUUAUUGCGACUUCUUGACGUCUUUGAAGUUUCCAGCUUUUAUUGGCAAAAUUAAUUAGAUUGCGAUAUGGAUAGCCGCUCACCAACAAUCUUUCUGGGGAGUUUCACUUGAGCAAUCCUUCAUAAGAAUAGCUUCCGCUGAUCGUGGUCUCUCAAGUCGAGUCUCGACAGCUUCGAUCAGCUUCUGCAUAUAUCUCUUCGCUGAGACUCCAGCUUCUUCCAUUCUCAAGGUUUUAUCUGUCCUCUGCUUGUUUCUGAAUCUAGCCGUUCCUCGUUUGUCAAUUGUUGUAUGUAUUUCACCGUUUCUUAGCACUAGAUGUGUAAACUGCCAUUUCCUUUGGUUAUCAUCUUCCAGAAAUUUUCAUAAACGUUAAAUGCGCAUCGAUUUUGGGCUGAUUUGACCAUUUUCUGCCCUUAGAAGUGGCCUAACACAAUCCAAUUGCCUGGGAAGUUCGACUUUUUAGAGUCUCUUUCAUCUUUGUUUUGUACUUUAAUCUUUUUACCCUUUUCUGGGCUCAUACAUCUUUGCAAAUCGAUGGUUCAUCUCAUAACAUAACAUCAUGAAGUUCCCAAAGAAGGAAUUAAUUGAGAUUAAGCCUCUAGCCCUCGCUAAAUUUUACAUUCAUCUUCCAGGGGAUGUCUGAAAAUCUCUUUUGGCUCUCUCUCUCUCUCUCUCUCUCUCUCUCUCUCUCUCUCUCUUGUGUGAUGUAUAGGCAAAGGGCAUUCACUUGUACUCAUUCAUCUCCUCUGACCCUGGAAUGGAAGUACUAGAUUGGACGCUGAAAGUGCUAAUAUGAACACCUAGAAGGGGUGAAUAGGUCUAAAAACAGAUUCUGCAAAAUGCAGUGAAAACCUUUACUUUUAACCUAAACCUGAAUAACAACAGACUUUUGAAACUGAGUCUGAAGAGCAGCAAAUUUUGAGCGAGAUCAGACUUUAGCAGUUAAAUAGAACUACGAACAAAAUAAAGAUAUUCAGGGAAGAGAAUAAGAACACAAGGUUUAUAGUAGUUCGGCUUAAUCCAAGCCUACGUCUACUCUCCCACGCUAACAGCCUUCUUGGCUGAAUUCCACUAAACAAUCAACAAGAUAUUACAACUUUGAGUGCAAACACUUAGCAGUAGAUCACACUAUCUCACUAAGUCACUUUUUUGGUAUUUCUCUCACGAUCACGAACGUUUAAGCUCAACAAAGACAAGUGUAUGAUCGAAGGUCGCUCAAACUUUGGAAUUAUAAAUUUUACGCUCCGUCUCUUACUUGCUCAUCGGUCCUUCAUCUCCUUAAAUACUCCCCCACUUCUAAACUAGCCGUUGGACAGUAUCUCGAGGAUCAUCUUUAAAUCUACCCAUUGGACAGAUCUAUAUCAAAAAGAUUUGGUAGCCAUUGAGUGACAAAAGUAGAAUCUCAAAUUGAUUCCGAUCGCCCAUACAAACAGAAUCUUGGUUUCCAUAAGUAGAGCUUCUUCAUAUAGAAAAAUUUUAUCUUCAAGAUGUAAUCGUCAAUCAAUUAGAUUGAGUCAAUCAAAUCAAUAUUAAUGUGGAAUCCAAACUAGAUCACUAGCCGUUAUAUGAUUAGGGCUUGUGUUACGUUUUGUCGAAUCUAGAUGUAAAGUCUGAGAGCAAUAGACUUUAUAAUCUGAGUCUGAGUGCAAUAGACUUUAUAAUCUGGGUCUGAACAUAUUCUGCUUUUGAACAGAUUUAGCUUUAAAGUAUGAACAAAGUCUGAAUAAGUUCAGCUUCAGCAUAGAGUCUGUUUUCUGGUUCUUCUGAAUAAGUUCCACUUCAGCAUAGAGUCUGUCUUCUGGUUCUUCAUUCACGUUCAAUCUGGAAUUUGUCAGAAUGAGCAGACUUCUGAUGUAAAACAGACUUUGACACUAAAGUCUGGCAAUCUUCAAACUUUGACACAGAAGUCUGGAAACCUUCAUGAUAUACUUUGGAUAAUAUCCUUUACAUAUUCUAUCAUCUGCAUAGUCUGUUACUCAACCAUUAAACACGUUAGUAGCCUUUGAUUUAUUUUGUCAUCUUCAAAACAUCAUAAGGGAUUUCGUUAACAAUCUCCCACUUUUUGAUGAUGACAAAACAAUCUAUAAAUAUGCAGAUUUGUAAACAUACUUUUAAAGAUAUUAAUUUAAAUCAAAGGAUAUCAAAAGAUAGCAAAUAGAUUGAGCAUAACAAUAUAUAGAAAAAUAAUCGCAGCUCAAUAUUAUGCAAUAAAUAAUAUUAACCAAUCAAAGGAUUUGCAUAUUCAUAUUCUCUCCCCCUUUUUGUCAUAAUCAAAAAGCGAUAACAAUGAGUCACGUAGAGAAUAUAAAAUGAUAAAUAUAUGUCUUGCAUGAAACACAAUUUCCAAAAAAUCAGCUUUUAUAAAGUAUAUCGAAUAUUAAAGAUAUGCAAUAUAGCUCACUUCAAUCAUAUAUAUCAACAAAUAUUCAAUAAAAAUCACGGAUGCAUCAUAAAAUUCACGUACCCUUUUUAUUAUAAUAAAAUGAUAAUAUCAAUAAAAGAUUUAUUAAUGACAAAAGGUAAUAAGAGAUGCACUAACCGAAUUUUGUAGAACUUAAAUUCUGACGCAUUUACCUUUUCCUUCUUUCCAUAAUAAGAUCACGAUCAAUCCAAAAAGAUUUUUCCAUAAUUGAUCAAAGCUCCUCCUCAAUUUGUUGUCUUUUUGAGAUGAUCACAAUUAUUUCCUUUCUUUUAGAUUCACGUUCUCCCCCUGUGAUCAUGACAAUAUUUGCAAAGAGAAACAAUUGUUGCUUGUGCACGUUGAGCAGAAUAUUUUUCCAGUAUUUCCUUUGAAGCGACAACAUCCGCAACGAUCACUUGCAUUUUGAAAUUUGAGGUAAAAAUUUAUUUUCUUCAAUCAAGCUCUUCUCGAAUUUAGCCUGCAUAAACUUAACAAACUUUUUGCAUAAAGAAGCUGUUAUGUAAUAUAUAAUGCCCUUUCUUCAAAUAAAUAAAUUGAAUAACAAUUAUAAGAUUAAAAUUUAGAACUACUCAACCUUUCGUACGACACAUUAGGGAUUUCCUUAACAAUUUGUAAAAACUUUGCACAAGGAAGGGAAUUUUUGAACCUUUGAACCUCUAGAAGAUAGUAUAGAAUCUUCUCAAUUUUCUGAUCAAGCUUUUCAAAAUCCAUACGGAAGAUUCUUUUGUCACUUGCAACUUCUUGUAUAUUAGAUAAUAAUCUUUGCAAAAAAAGUCACGUAACAUCUUCCUUUGAUUUGCAUAUCAAACUUGCUAGAUAUAAUAUAUCUUCUAAGAAUAUAGCAAGAAUAUCCAUGAAUAUGUAAUAAUAUCUUUUGAGAUCAAAGAGAUUUCCUUAAGCAUAAAUCUCAUAUAUAUAUUAUUGAAUCAUUUCGCAAAAAGAAAGAUGUUAUUUCUAUCACGUGCCAAAUUAAGUACAAAUUGCAAUGCCUUAUAUUUAUGAUAAGAGAUAUUUGCAAUAUGAUAAGUAAUCAUCCAAAUCAUGAUAAAUGCAUGUAGAAUUUUGCAAGGCCAAAUGAUAAAAAAAAAAAAUUUCUCUUACCCAUGGUAUAUGUUUGAAAUAUAUCAUUAAAAAAAAUCAUUACCAAUCUUCGCAGGAGAUAUUUUUCAGAUUGUACCAAAAUCUGUGUAGAUUCAGGAUCGUUCUUCCCUUAUAGAUAUUCCUGCAAUCAACUCAUUUCCCUUUUUGGUAUCCAUCAAUUUGGAUCAUUCCAUGACGUUAGAGUAAAAUAUGAAAUCUCUUUCUUUAUUCAUCAUAACAAAGUAUUCAAAAAAAGAAUAUUAUGCACAAUGAUAUUUAGAAAAAUAAAUUCUCACUUAGUUAUAGUACGAUAAAAACAGAGAGAAUAAAAUUCUUGAAUAUCUAAGAAUAUCUUGCAUCAUCACAUAAAACAGAUUUUCACUUUGCAAAAUAUGACUAAAUCUGAGAGUAUAAAAUUAGACAAAAUAAUCUGAAUUAUCUCAAAUAAUCACACGUAUUAAAUCAAAUCUCAACUCACGAAUCACAAAAAUAAAUCACACGAUUCUUUCUUCAAUAAAACAAAAUAUGAUCAUUAUAAAAUCUCAAUCAACCAAGGAUAUGUCGAAGAUGAGAAUUAUGUGCCCAAAUCUAAUUAAAAAUUUUACCUUCCUUACCAAAUUCUCUUUCUUCUUUCUUCUUUAUAUCCUGCAAAAAUAACUCACAUUUUCUUUGGUACCCAUAUUUUCUUGAGUCCAUGAGAGUUAGUAGAAUAUGCUGUUUUUACCCAAUUUUUCUUAAUAGGUCUUGAGACUUUAGGACAUUCUUUCUCAAAGUAUUUCAAGUCUCCACAAUUUGAACACUUGAGGGCAUUUCCACCAACAGGUUUUACAAGCACUUUUUGAAAAUGAUUUUUGUAAAAUGCCUUUGGAGGUCUUUAUCUAAGUCUCUUUUUAACUUUAGGAAAAUCAAUUAGAGAAUCACUUUCCUUAUUGAAACCAAGUCCCGACUUAUUAUAGUAAGGUACUUGUAUAGAAAGGAUAUGCUCUAAUGUUUUUGAACCAUUUGAAAAUCUUGUCGAAAUAUUUGAAAAUUCCUUUUUUAAAGAAUCAUUUUCUUUGACAAGUAAAUCUCGACUUUCUUUUAUUUGUAGAAAAUCUUUUUGCAAAAUUUCAAACUUUUAUUUUCGAAAAAGAUCCUGUUGCCUUAGCCGAGAAUUCUCCUUUUUAAGUUCGGAGAUCCUUUUAAGAGUAGAUUUGAUAUUUAACUAGAGCUCAUUUAUAUACUUUGAAACUUUGAUAGAAAUUUUUGAAUGGCUUACCUCAAUUUCCUCAUCGGAUUCUGAGUCUGUGUUUGAGUUAGACUCAGAUUUUGAAUGUGCCAUCAAGCAUAGAUUUCCUUGCUCAUCAUUUUCUUUUAUUGUUCUUUUCUAGCCAUUUUGCUUAUAUUGUCUUCUUCACUGAAUUUCAUUCCUUCUCUACUCAGCUUUUUGAAUUUCUUGAUCAUAAAAGCAAGUUCUUCAUCGUCCAUGUCAUUUUCUGAGUCUGUAUCAUCAGAAUUAGCAUUAGAUAUUAAAGCAAUGGACUUUUUACUUUCGGGAUCUUCGUCAUUGAGUUGUUCCACUUCGUAGGAUUGAAGAGUGCCAAUCAAUUCAUCAAUGGAGAGUGGCAUAAUCCUCUGAGUUUCUCUUAUUGAGGUCUUUACAUGGUUCCAAUCUUUUGAAAGACCUCGCAAGAGUUUAUUGACCUUCAUUGGGGAAGAAAUUGGCUGACCUUGAUAUGCUAAACCAUUUACAAUUUCUGUAAAACGGCUGAACAUAUCUCCAAUCGACUCUCCUUGCUUCAUCUUGAAGGAUUCAUAUUUGCCAAGUAGGAAGUUUACUUUUGUCUCUUUUACACGAUCGGUUCCUUCAUAUGUAACAUGAAGUGCAUCCCAAAUUUCUUUUGUUGUUUCACAUGAAGAGAUUCCGUCAUAUUCAGUAUGAGACAAUGCACAAUAUAAAGAAUAAAUAGAUUUUGCAUCAAGCGCUUCUCUUUUGGACAUCUCCGUCCGAGACAUAGGAGUGGGGGGUUUGCUUUCUUUCCCUUUGACAUUCUUAUUUGAUUUAGACGCAGCAGUGGGAUUGAUUCCAUUUUCCACAACAUCCCAUUGCAAGGGAUCUCUGGAUCUUAGGAAUGGUUUCAUUUUGUUCUUCCACACGUUGUAUUCAUUUCCAUCAAAAUAUGGUGGCCUUGUGUUGCUUUGUCCCUCCAUAAGUCCUGGUGCCAAGAUACUAGCCAUAAAAAAGAUCUUUAGCUCAAAAGUAAAAACACUUUUAUAAAUCGAGCACUUGACUCUGAUACCAAUUGAAAGUGCUAGUAUGAACACCUAAAGGGGAGUGAAUAGGUGUAAAAACAAAUUCUGCAAAAUGCAAUGAAAAUCUUUACUUUUAACCUAAACCUAAAUAACAACAGACUUUUGAAACUGAGUCUGAAGAGCAGCAGAUUUUGAGCGAGAUCAGACUUUAGCAGUUAAAUAGAACUACGAACAAAAUAAAGAGAUUUAGGAAAGAGAAUAAGAACACAAGGUUUAUAGUGGUUCGGCUUAAUCCAAGCCUACGUCCACUCUCCCACGCUAACAACCUUCUUGGCUGGAUUCCACUAUGCAAUCACCAAGAGAUUACAACUUUGGGUGCAAACACUUAAUAGUAGAUCACACUAUCUCACUAAGUCACUCUUUUGGUAUUUCUCUCACGAUCACAAACGUUUAAGCUCAACAAAGACAAGUGUAUGAUCGAAGGUCACUCAAACUUUGGAAUUAUAAAUUCUACGCUUCGUCUCUUACUUACUCAUCGGUCCUUCAUCUCCUUAAAUACUCCCUCCACUUCCAAACUAGCUGUUGGACAGUAUCUCGAGGAUCGUCUUCCAAUCUACCCAUUGGACAAAUCUGUAUCAAGAAGAUUUGGUAGCCGUUGAGUGACAAAAGUAGAAUCUCAAAUUGAUUCCGAUCGCCCAUACAAAUAGAAUCUUGGUUUCCAUAAGUAGAGCUUAUUCGUAUAGAAUGAUAUUGUCUUCGAGAUCCAAUCAUCAAUUUAUUAGAUUGAGUCAAUCAAAUCAAUCUUGAUGUCAAAUCCAAACCAGAUCACUAGCCGUUAUAUGAUUGGGGCUUGUGUUACGUUUUGUCGAAUCUAGAUGUAAAGUCUGAGAGUAAUAGACUUUACAAUCUGAGUCUAAGUGCAAUAGACUAUAUAAUAUGGGUCUAAACAUAUUCUGCUUUUAAACAGAUUUAGCUUUAAGGUCUUAACAGAGUCUAAAUAAGUUCAGCUUCAGCAUAAAGUCUGUCUUCUGGUUCUUCAUUCACGUUCAGUCUGGAAUUUGUCAGAAUGAGCAGACUUCUGAUGUAAAACAGACUUUGACACUAAAGUCUGGCAAUCUUCAAACUUUGACACAGAAGUCUAGAAAUCUUCAGGAUGGACUUUGGAUAAUAUCCUUUACAUAUUCUAUCAUCUGCAUAGUCUGUUACUCAACCAUUAAACACGUUAGUAGCCUUUGAUUUAUUUUGUCAUCUUCGAAACAUCAUAGGGGAUUUCCUUAACAGAUGCAGUGCCUCUAUAUAAUCCCGUAAAAUCUCCUCAUCUUGUUGAAUUGUCGACACAACCCCAAUUUAUUUCUAAGGACUCCUAUAAGGACAAGGUGCAUUCAUUUCUCAUCUUUCCAAAAUUUGUCCAAGAAGAUAUGGCAUCCUUCCCAAGGCCAGAAAACAAACAUAGUCAAUAUAAGUAUGAUGUUUUCCCGAGUUUCCGAGGUGAAGAUAUACGCAAAAACUUUGUUGACCAUCUGCACGAUCAUCUGCGGUGAAGAGGAAUCGUGGCCUUUUGAGAUGAUCACCACUUAGAUCUUCAGAGGGGAAAAUGUAUUAAACCAAAAAUAUUGAGGGCAAUAGAGCAGUCAAGACUUGUGCUUGUGAUAUUCUCUAAAAACUAUGCUUCUUCUACUUGAUGCCUAGAAGAAGUUGCUAAGGCUGUGGAGUGUAAGGAUAUCGACGAAGGAUUAGUGAUACCAAUCUUCUAUGAGGUCAAUCCAUCCGACAUAAGGAAAUUGAGGGGAAACUUUGGGAUAGCCUUUGCUAAAACUGAGGAAGCUUAUUCGGGUGACAAGAGAAAUAUAAAGAGGUGGAAGGAUGUAGUGAGUAAAGUAGCCAAUCUCGCCGGAAUGGAAUUGAAAGAUGGGUAGGCCUCUCUUCCCCUAACUUGGAAUGAUUUGUUUUCCUUAAUAUUUGCAUGCCACUAAUGUCAUAACCGUCAUACUCUACAUUAUAUUGGUUAAUCUGAACUAGAAUACACUCUAGAAUCAAACAACCUCAAUGCUUGCUGGGGAACUAAUCAUAUGCAUUUCUUCGUUGCAGAUACGAGACCAAGUUUAUUCAGCAAAUCAUUGGAGAAGUCGAAAAUAAAUUGGGUCCUCGGCUGUCCUACAUUGUAGGCGAUCUUGUGGGAAUGCAUUCCCGUGUUGCAAAUGUAGUUGAAUCUUUAUGCUUGGACAAGAGUGAUGUAUGCAGUAUUGGCAUAUGGGGGAUGGGUGGCAUACGCAAAACAACUGUUGCACGAGCAGUUUAUGACAAAAUCCACGGCCAAUUUGACGAUGGAUAUUGUUUUCUUGUAGAUUUUAGAGAAAUUUCAAAAAAGAAUGGUUUGGUGUAUCUACAAAACCAGUUUCUCGGUGAUAUUCUCCAAGACAACAAUCUAAGAAUUAGGGAUAAUCAUAGAGGAGCGAACAUGAUAAAAGAAUGACUACAACAUAAAAAAGUUCUCGUUAUACUUGAUGAUGUGGAUGAAAAGGAGCAGUUGGAAAAAUUAAUAGGAGGUUUUGAUUGGUUUGGACAUGGAAGUAGGAUCAUUAUAACAACCAGAGAUGAACAUUUGCUUCUCCAAUAUGGAGUAAAUUCCAUAUAUAAGGUGGAGGAACUAUCCUUUGGUGAGGCUCUCCAACUAUUUUGUUUGAAAGCUUUUAGAAGUAAUCAUCCUCCAGCAGAGUUCAAUGAGCUCAUGAAGCAGGUUAUUGGAUACGUUGAUGGCCUUCCCCUAGCCCUUGAUGUCCUAGGUUCCUUUUUGGCUUGUAGGAGCUUGAUGCAAUGGAAGAGCGCACUGGCCAGACUCAAAGAAUGUCCAUAAGGGAAAAAAUUUUACCGGCUUAGGUUAAGUUAUGAUGGACUACACGCGACACAGAGGAGANNNNNNNNNNNNNNNNNNNNNNNNNNNNNNNNNNNNNNNNNNNNNNNNNNNNNNNNNNNNNNNNNNNNNNNNNNNNNNNNNNNNNNNNNNNNNNNNNNNNNNNNNNNNNNNNNNNNNNNNNNNNNNNNNNNNNNNNNNNNNNNNNNNNNNNUGAUUUGCUACAAGAAAUAGCUUGGGAAAUUGUUCGUCGAGAGUCUCCUGAAGAGCCAGGAGAACGAAGUCGAGUCUGGCUUUUUUAGAAUGUAUGCCAUAUUCUGUCAAAAAACUCGGUGAGUAUCUGCAAAAUUAAUUUUCAAGCAUGCUUAUUUGAUAUAGGGGAAAAAAAAAAACUUGCUAGUCAUGUAUUGACACUAUAUGAGUUGUUUAUCAAGGAACUGGAAAAAGUCAAAGCCAUAGUCUUGCAAUCUGGGGACCAUAGAACAGUGCGCUUGAAUGGAGAGUCAUUCACAAACAUGAAUAACUUAAGAUUGCUUAAUAUUCGUGCCAUCCACCUCUCUUCUAGGUUUAAGCGCCUUUCAAAUGAACUAUGCCUGCUAAGAUGGGACAACUACAACCUUAAAUCAUUUCCGUCAAGUUUUCUUCCAAAGAACCUUGUUGAACUCCAUAUGCAGGAUAACCUCCUUCACAGCAUCUGGAGAGGGGAAAAGGUUGGAAUUAGUACUCAUGCAUGGGUAUGCUUCAUUAGAUGCUUUAUUAUAUUUAACAAGCUAAUAAAAUUGUUCAACCAAUUUUUUCUAAAUGCAGUUCUUAGAGAAGUUGAAAGUUAUCAACCUCAAUGGUUCCAAAUUAUUCGUGGAGACUCCAAACUUCAUAUAUGUCCCAAAUUUAGAGAGGCUAAUUCUCAAAGGUUGCAAAGCAUUAUCUCAGGUUCAUCCUUCAAUUGGAAAUUUAGAAAGACUUGGUCUACUUGACUUGGCUGACUGUGAAAACCUCAUGGGACUUCCUAAUAGUGUAGGUAAUCUAAAAUCUCUCAAAGUUCUUAAUCUGUCUAGAUGUUCAAAUCUUGAAGAACUGCCUGAGAGCAUUAGGGGUUUAGAGUGCUUAGAGGAGCUUGAUAUUAAUGAAAGUUCCAUAACACACCCCCAUCCAGCUUGAUAUCCUUACACAAUAUGAAAAAAUUACGCUUUCAGGUUAGUAAAAUGAGGCCACAAAAUUUUUGGAGGUCACUAACGUGUCCGCUGAGAAGAGCUCUGAACUCUAAGCGUCCACGGUUGCCUUCAUUUUCAGGGUUGUCCUCUUUGACAGAGUUGGAUUUGAGUGGCUGCAAUCUUCUGAAAGGAGAAAUUCCCAGUGAUAUUGACUGCUUACCCUCCUUGAGUUCCUUAGACCUAGCCAAAAACAAUUUUACCACAAUAACUACAAGCAUCGAACAUAUCUCUGGCCUGGAAUUUCUCAUAUUAAACCAUUGCAAAAAUCUUGAAGUGUUACCAAGACUUCUAGAAAGCAUAAUCGUUGUGGCGGCUAAGAAGUGCCUCAGAUUGGAAAGGAUAUUAAACCCAUUCAUUAUAUGCACAAUACCUGACUCAGGGUUUUGCUUUCUUAAUUGCUCCAAUUUGCUUCCGCAAGAUCUUGAUUUAACUUUGCAGCAGAAGUACUCCUUGUCGUCGCUUCGUUACAUCAUUUGCUAUUCCAUGAGAAUGAUUCAGGGGAAUUAUGUGGUGUCUCCAUGUCUGCAAUGUGAAAUACCUGAGUGGCUUAGCUACCAAGCAAUUGGACCUUUGUUGAGCAUAGAAAUGCCCCUUAUUUGGGAUGACAAUAGCUGGAGAGGAUUUGCCAUAUGUGCAUCUUUUAAACAAAUCAAUUGCAGCUCCCGUCAGGGCCUGGAAAAUGACCACUUCAUAUUAUUUGGGUUCUAUGCUGAUGGAAAUUGGCUAGGUCCUUUAUUUAAGUUUCCCAUCAGAUUUGUCAAUUAAGGUUGCCUUUGGCUAGGUUGUGUCAAGUACUCAAUUUCCACGUGAUACAAAUUGGGAGACAAUGUCAAACCACAUUGUCAUUUCAUUUAUGAUCACCAACCCUGGGUUAAAGGUGGAAAAGUGUGGUGUUCAUCUAGUUUAUGAGCAGCGUCCAGCAAAGUUUGAUGAUAUUUUAGUCAGGUGGUCUAGUUCAUCGCCCAGGGAUUGGGAUAGAAUCUACCAUGAGUUUCAACCCCGAAGGGAGGUUAGUGGUGUCGUCAAAUAUUCCAUUGAUCCAGACCUGUACAAAGUGAAUGAAGGUGUAAUGAGCUGUGGUACCUUUGAGGCUCAGUUCCCCCCGUUCAUUGGAAGUCGUAUACUCGCAGAGUAUCUAUAUUUGCUUUGGCAUCCUUCAAGACUUCGACUAGCAUCUAUUCGUGAUUUCAAUAGAAGGUAAUCACUACUAGAUUUGAUCAAUUGCUGGGGCGUGGGUUUGACCUUUCAAAAUCCAAAUAGACUAUGAAAACUCAUGUUAAUCCUAAGCUAAAAAUCUAGAAUAUCACCACCGGCACCAACAUCUCCAAAAUAAUCAGAGGAAUAAUUUUUGCUGGAUUUUGUGUUUCGCUUUCUCACUGUAACAAAACCUUUUGUAUAGGUUCUUGAAGAAUCAUCAAAAGUGGCUAGCGUUUGUUAAUAUCAAUAAGAAACUUCGACAUGCACCGUAAGUGGAUUUUUUUGUUUUCGAGAAACUUAUGUCAUACUUUAAUACUAUAGAGUACAUUCAAUCAAAAGGUGAAUUUUACUUCUUCUUUCUUCUUCUUCUUCUUUUUAACUUUUUGGACCAAUUCAUGAUUUUCAAUUUUCCUACUGACUAUAUUUUACUUUGAAUAUUUUCUCUGAAAUUACAGUUCCAAAUACAAAUUGUAAUGUAUUGCUAAUCUACAAUUAGAGUUUUAGGCCUAACUAAAACCAAAACCCUCUCCAUGUAAUUGAGUCAAUGGAAUGACUCCCGCAAUCUCUUUCCUGGCUGGCAACUCCAUUUAGAGUUUUUGUCGACAAGUGUCGGUAAAUCUUUUGGACUAUUAAAUCAUUGCGCACCAUUAAUUUUUCUUUUAUCAGGUGAGGCCACACCUGUACGUUUUUUUUCCAAGGGUAGAAGAAUUUAAAUAUGACGAGUUCGAGUUCUUCCAUCUCUUUCUUUGACUUUUGUAUGUACCUUUUUUUUUCCUUUGCAUACUCAUCAUGGGAGUUUUUUUUUUUUGUUUUUGUCAAAAUCAUAGGAGAUUGAUCUGUCUAUAAACUUAUCUCCUUCCAGAUUUGCUCCACCUCCAAGAUAUGAUUACAAGAGCAUACUGGAUGUCACCAAGCAAUCGUCAUCUUGAACCUAACAGCUACCAUUUGUUUAUGUCAUGCUCUUUUGAAAAUCGAUAUUAAUUCGAAAAUGAGUGUCAUUGCCGAGAAUGUCUUGAGUUUGAGCCGACCUACCCCAUCUGAAUAGUUUUUAAUUUUAUUGGUUUUCUAAAUUGAGUAGGUUUCUGUAAUGGAUUUUUAUAUUUUAUUUGUUGAUACAAAUAUUACAUAUACAACGGAUGAAAUUCUACUCAAUUAUUACGCAAUAAGAGGGAUAUUUGAAUGUUUUCUCUAUGAGUUUGCUGAAUGAGCUCUUUGUGAAAAAAAUGUGAGAUAGCAAUUAAUGGUUUGUAUUGAUUGAGAUUGAAGGUUGGAAAACACUUGAGCAAUCAAACAAUGGUAAAUUCUUUACUCUUUGGAUUCAUAGUGGAUUUCUUGGCAAUUGGCUCUUUUUGUGAAGUAUAUACUAACAUCCAGAACUAUGUAAAUUUCUAGUGUUCUUAUUGUUCUUUGUUGAUUUUUCUAGUAAUUUCUUUUUCUUGUGAUCAACUUGAAUUGCAAAAUCCGUCAUUUUUGCGUUAUUUUCAAAAUAGAGUUGUCACAAAGCUCCCAAGGUGAGAUCUCUAAGGGAGGUACUAGAUUGUUAAGCAAGCUUGAAUGGUUAUACUCGCAAGGUGGCGCCUAUGACUAGCAUUGGCUCUCCCAAGCUCUAUCGCUCGUCUAUUGAUUGACUCAUCAAGACACAAAGUCAUCGAUUAGUUACCCACCAGUGGGCAGCACAGUUGGUUGGGCUUUACGACCUCAUCCCUGAGAGAACGAGUUUGAAUUUCCGCGUUUGCUAACACAUCUGAAGCGGAGAGCCAUGAUGGUGAGGUCCUAUGCUAGUUACCCCGAGGUUUACGUCUAAAUAGCAGCUAGCAGCGAGACCCGACGGUAUCACCGGACACCGGCAAGUCGUGUGACAUCGUAAGGGGGAUCUGACGGUUCCUCAGUAUCAAAACAAAAGUUAUUGAUUAGUUUAUAGGCGACAAGUCAUAUGCAUAGAAAAUGGGGGCGACGCAGUCACGUAAAGAUAUAAACCUCGUCAUAUCCCUUCCUAUGGUCAUACAAAUUUAACACUUCAGUCAUUAAAUCACAAAAUUCAUGUGCAAAACUGAUGAAGAAAUGCACUGAAUUGAUAGCACCAAAGCUUACCCUGCUUUCCCACAAUACGUGGGACUGUAAUUAUAUAUCAGAUUGUCAAGCACUUUUGAUGCAAGCCAAGGGUAGGCUUUCUCAAGCAGUAGGAUCAAGAGAGUGACUUGCACACGGGAAAUGAGACGAAUAGGAACUUCAGCACUGCACGAGCCCAGGAGAACAGUCGUAUCUUUGUCAAUACAUAUCGGAUCGACCUGAUUCCAAAGCCAAAUGAACAAAGACUUCUGGAUCUACAAUUUCUAUGUUUUGGGUUUUCUGAAAUAAGCACUGUAGGAUGGUCGAAAUUGGGUUGGAAAUAACGAACAAAAUAGGAAAAGAUAAAAACUUCGUUGGUUGCUCUUCUAGGCCUCCAAGGAAGUUGAAAGGGACACUGAUUCUUCUAGAUCGAUGACUGCAACUCUUCAAGGAUGCAGGUUUCGAAAAGCUCCGACUCUUCAAAGACGGAGUGAAAACUCUUCUAGGUUUUGAAAGAUAUGAACUCUACAAGGUUCACGAUACUUGCUUCAAAGCAAAGUUUUUCAUUUAUCAAAAGUCGUAUGUCUUGUACAAGGAAUUGGAUGGCUUAUAUCGUCAAAGAAAUAAAGACAGAGCGUUGAAACUAGGAGAAAUAAUAAAGAGCAUGGAAACUAUAAGCUAGUAAAAGCGUCAUGCGAGCUCCCAAGGUGUCUUUCAAGCUUCCGGAAUGGACUCAAGAUGUCGAUACGGCUUAACGGUUUCGUCGAGCUUGAAUGCGGGCCAAUCUUCUUGGUAGAGAGAGUUGCUCUUCAAUGCGAGCUGCAUCAACUUUCCGAGCGAACGCCCGGUUUACGGACUUCCUAGCCUCACCACAGGAUAACGAGUUCAAAUUAGAAGUGUUUUCCCCUUCAAACUGAGUGGAAAGCAAACACUAAACCACAAGCACAGUUCAUGUAACCAUAAUUGUGUAUGAUACAAGAUAUUUAAGAAGUUUGACAUGGAAAUUUCAAACGCAACUUGCUUUGCAGCAUGAAAUUUCUCGACAAAUUCUGAACUGACAAAGAAGUUUGCUACAUGCUGUGUAGCUUGAAUGGCAUCAUCUGAGUGUGGUAUCAUGGACAAACCCCAUUCAAAAGCAUUUUUCUUCACAAUAUCGAGAAAGCCAUGUAAGUUACCUCAAGGCAGUAAGUCUAAACAUACUUCACAGAUAUGAAGAGGUGGAAAAUAUAAUCCCAAGAACAAUCACUGAUUUAGCUCCCUAAGAUAUUUACGUAAGUGAAUCGUGUUUAAGUCAACAACAUUUAUAAAAAAAAAAGGAUCAUGUCCUCUAUAACAUGAUAAACUUAAAUUGCGUAGUCUCCAAAUUUUGCCUAACCAGUUCUGCGAGACUCAGGCAAGUUGCGCCACAAGCUCUUCACUAAAGAAAUCAAAAACCACAAAAUCAGGAGGCAUCGCGAGAAACUAGUAUUGAACAAUAUGCACUGGAAUCUGCAACAGCAAGAAGUCAAUUUCCUCAAAAUGCCCAGAAAGGAAAAGAUUGAAGAAGGCAAUGAAUUUAAUAUGGAUCAUCUUGGAUAAAGCUAAAAACUGCUAGACCAGAGCCCAAAUCUCUCAAUUUGGUAAUUCAACUAUCCCGAUUUUUGGGUAACUUCUUUCUCAUGAUGCUGCAUUAGGCAGUGUCAGAACCCUAUAGAAGGUGCAUGUUUCUGUUAAAAUAUGAUCCAUUUUGUGAAAAAUCUAGAACUCCCUAGACUACUCUACGUAUGAAGGAAGAAAGCCAGUUGGAAAUUGGUUGAAAAGUCAACAAAAGUGGCUGGGAGUUGCAAAGAGUAGAAUAAUACAGAAAAAUGGAGAAGCACCUAGAAGUCCUUAAUGUCGGUGGAGUAUGGCGGUGACAUGCCUAUAAAUAGGGGUUGUGUGUGUGUUUUAAGUUGUAGAAAAAAAACCAAAACCACUCCUUCCUUUGUAAUACUUACUUUCAUAAUAAAAGCUCCUUUUUUUUAACCCAUACACCCUUGCUUUUGUAGCCCAUAUUUCACACAUACACACUUGCACACAUACACGCUUCCGCAAAAACACCAACAGUGGUAUCAGAGCCUCGUCUUUGGUUGGUGUCGGGCGUUUGUCCUACCUACCCACUCCUAAAACUACCCUUUCCAAAUACCCACUAACUAAACCAUGGCCAACUCUACCUCGUCCUCAUUUCCCAUUCCCAUUUUUGAUUGGAACAACUAUGACUUUUGGAGCAUAAAAAUGACUACAUUCUUGAUGGCCCAAGACUUAUGGGACAUCGUGGAAAAAGGUUGCGAGGCUCCGCCAAAAGGUGCAAGUGUUUCGAAGGAUCAACUACAAAAGGAUGCAAGGGCGCUAUAUUUUAUCCAACAAGCACUCUCGGAAACCGUAUUUCCAAGAAUUAUUGGAGCAAGGACUGCAAAAGAGGCUUGGGAUAUACUACAAGAAGAAUUUCAAGGAUCGGAAAAGUACACACUAUUCGCCUUCAAACACUAAGAAGAGAUUUUGAGAAUUCUGAAAUGAAAAAUUAUGAGACCAUACAAGAAUAUUGUGGAAAAUUAAAGGAACUCGUUAAUCAAAUGAGAGCCUAUGGAGAUGGGAUAACUGAUCAAAGGGUUGUUGAGAAAAUAUUGGUGUCACUUACCAAAAAAUACAACUCUAUAGUUACAACUAUAGAAGGAACUAAAGACUUGACGACCCUAUCAAUAAGUGAAUUAAUUGGCUCUCUAGAAGCAUAUGAGAAAAGACUAAUGGCACAAGAUGAAGAUUCGGUCGAAAGUGCCUUUCAGUCUAAAGUAAAUAUACAGUCUCAUCAAACUAAAAAUGAUGGAAGGAGCUCAUGGAAAAACAAAAGAGGAGAAAUUAUAAAAAAAGAAAAUUAUCCACCUUGUGGUAUUUGCAAGAAAACAAAUCACUUGGAGAAGGAUUGUUGGUUUAAAAAUAAAAAACAAUGCCGCUUUUGUAAAAGAUAUGGCCACGUAGAAAAAAAUUGUCGCUCAAAAACAAAUAAUCGAGCAAACUAUGUAGAAAAAAAAGAAAGUGAAGAGAAUACAUUCUACGCAAGCCAAGCGGCAAAUGACAAUAAAAGCGAAACAUGGUACAUCGAUAGUGGGUGUAGCAAUCACAUGACAGGGGACGAAACUAUAUUCACUGAUAUUGAUAAGUCGGUGAAAUCACAAGUAAAGUUGGGCAAUGGUGCAUUAGUAGAUGUCAAAGGAAAAGGCACCAUCGUCGUGGAAACAAAUAAAGGCUCAAAAUAUAUACGUAAUGUAUAUAUAGUCCCUCGUCUUGCACAAAAUCUCUUAAGUGUGGGCCAAAUGAUACAAAGUGGGUAUUCUCUAUAUUUUAAUAGAGAUGCCUGCAUUAUCUAUGAUAAAUAUAAAAAUAUCAUUGCCUCUGUUAAGAUGAAAAAUAACAAUUUUCCUAUUCAAUGGAAAUUGGUCAAAGAUAUAGCCAUGAAAGCUCAACUUGAUGAUUCAUGGCUAUGGCAUCGAAGAUUUGGCCACUUCAAUUUUGUUGGGCUAAAAAUUCUCCAUCAGAAAAAUAUGAUGAGAGAUUUUCCAGCCAUCACAGAAAUUUCAGAUGUUUGUGAAGGAUAUCUGCUUGGAAAACAACAGAGACAGUCCUUCCCAUCUGGAGUUUCAUGGAAAGCUAAGGAGCCUUUGAAACUUGUCCACACGGACGUGUGCGGUCCGAUGAGGACACCUACACCUAGUCAAAAUAAAUAUUUCAUCCUAUUCAUUGACGAUUACACAAGAAUGACGUGGGUAUACUUUUUUCGAGAAAGAUCUGAGGUUUUCUCUAUCUUCAGAAAAUUCAAGAACCACGUCGAGAAUCAAAGUGGCCAAAGAAUCAAAGUCCUAAGAAGUGACAGAGGCACAGAAUAUAAUUCAAAGGAGUUUAAUAAAUUUUGUGAAGAUGAAGGAGUCCAUCAUCAACUAACUGUCGGCUACGCCCUAGAACAAAAUGGAGUAGCUGAAAGAAAAAAUAGAACCGUCAUGGAGAUGGCAAGGUCUAUGCUAAAAGAGAAAGGCCUUCCCAACACUUUCUGAGCAGAAGCAGUUUAUACUGCUGUAUACCUACUAAACAGGUGUCCAACUAAAGCUGUACAAAAUAAAACUCCAGUCGAAGCAUGGAGUGGACGAAAGCCUUAUCUUAAAGUGUUUGGAUGCAUUUGCUACGUCCACAUCCCUGCUCAGAAAAGGAGUAAGCUAGAUGAAAAGACAAAAAAAGAAAUAUUCCUUGGAUACAGUGACCAAUCAAAAGGCUAUCGAAUUUACAACCUAAGAACUAAAAAGUUAAUGAUUAGUCGAGACGUCGAGUUCGACGAAAAUGCUGCCUGGAAUUGGGAGGACGAAAAGAUUGAGAAGAAGUACAUCACCUUGCCAGAUAUACCACCUGCUCAAGAGGAGACAACGUCACAAGAAGAAGGAGUAGUACCGGAUUCCACCACUCACGAUAUAACUCCACCAAGCUCUCCAAGAGCAACACAAGAAGAAUCUACUCCAGAGUCUCCAGUACUAAGGGUAAAAGCCCUUAGAAGAAUUUACGACACAUGCAACUUUGCUAUUUUGGAACCAAAAAACUACGAACAAGCAUCCAAAGAAGAAGUUUGGAUAAAAGCCAUGGAGGAAGAGAUCAAGAGGAUCGAGAAAAAUGAAACUUGGGAACUUGUCGAUCGACCCAAAGACAAAGAGAUCAUUGGUGUCAAGUGGGUCUACAAGACAAAGCUCAACGCGGAUGGAUCAAUCCAAAAGCAUAAAGCAAGGCUUGUGGCGAAAGGAUACUUGCAACAACCAGGUAUCAACUAUACUGAAACUUUUGCUCCCGUCGCUCGCCUUGAUACUAUUCGAGCACUUAUAGCUUUAGCGGCACAAAAAGAAUGGAAGAUUUAUCAACUAGAUGUGAAGUUGGCGUUCCUAAAUGGAUAUCUUCAAGAAGAAAUUUAUGUAGCUUAACCAGAAGGCUUUAUUGUCAAAGGCAAUGAAGAAAAAGUCUUAAAGCUUAAGAAGGCCCUAUAUGGGUUAAAACAAGCACCACGUGCGUGGUAUAGUAGAAUCGAUGAGUACUUCAUCAAACAAGGAUUCAGGAGUAUGAGUGAGCCGACACUCUACAUCAAAACCCAAGGUAAGUCCGACACUCUCAUUGUCUCUUUAUAUGUAGAUGAUCUCAUAUAUACAGGAAACAAUGAGACAAUGAUCCGAGAAUUUAAAGAAGAAAUGAUGAAGACAUUUGAAAUGACGGACUUGGGCUUGAUGAACUAUUUCCUCGGUAUUGAAGUCAAUCAAGAUGAAGGAAUUUUUAUCUCACAGAAAAAAUAUACUGAGAAUCUCUUAAAGAAAUUCAAGAUGAACUAUUGCAAAGCAGUUUCAACCCCGCUCAUGACAAAUGAAAAACUAUUGAAGGAAGAUGGAGCAGAAAAAGCCGAUGCCUCCCUCUAUAGAAGUUUGAUUGGCAGUCUGCUAUAUCUCACUGCUACACGACCGGAUAUUAUGUAUGCAACAAGUCUACUAUCACGAUUCAUGCAAAGUUCGAGUCAAAUUCACUUCGGAGUUACCAAGAGAAUUCUCAAAUAUUUAUGAGGAACUAUAGAUUACGGCAUUUGGUAUCGCCCAAGUGCUAACGCCAAGCUCAUCGGCUACACUGAUAGCGAUUGGGCAGGAUCAUCCGAUGACAGGAGGAGCACCACUAGUUAUGCAUUCACAUUAGGUUCUGGAAUAUUCUCAUGGGCAUCUAAAAAACAAGACUCAGUGGCACAGUCUACUGCAGAAGCUGAAUACAUCGCAGCUGCUACGACCGCUAGUCAAGCAAUAUGGCUACGAAGAAUUCUAUAAGACAUUGGAGAAGCACAAAUGGAAGCAACUCCGAUACUUUGCGACAAUAAGUCCGCAAUCGCAAUAUCAAAAAAUCCAGUAUUCCAUGGAAGAACCAAACAUAUAGACAUUAAAUAUCACUUCAUACGAGAGGCACAAAAUAAAGGAGAAAUCGAGCUGAAGUAUUGCAAGACUGAAAACCAAAUUGCGGACAUAUUCACUAAAUCAUUACCAACGGCAAAAUUCAAGACAUUGAGAGGCAUGCUUGGAGUAUCACAAAAAUGGAUCAAGGAGGAGUGUUAAAAUAUGAUCCAUUUUGUGAAAAAUCUAGAACUCCCUAGACUACUCUACGUAUGAAGGGAGAAAGCCAACUGGAAAUUGGUUGAAAAGUCAACAAAAGUGGCUGGGAGUUGCAAAGAGUAGAAUAAUACAGAAAAAUGGAGAAGCACCUAGAAGUCCUCAAUGUCGGUGGAGUAUGGCGGUGACAUGCCUAUAAAUAGGGGUUGUGUGUGUGUUUUAAGUUGUAGAAAAAAAACCAAAACCACUCCUUCCUUUGUAAUACUUACUUUCAUAAUAAAAGCUCCUUUUUUUUAACCCAUACACCCUUGCCUUUGUAGCCCAUAUUUCACACAUACACACUUGCACACACACACGCUUCCGCAAAAACACCAACAAUUUCAUUUGGCACCAACACAGCAUUAUCAUCAUGCAGUCAAAUUGUCGUGCAAAUUAUUGUUCCUUUGAGCUAACUUGGUAGAAGAGUUUAUCAGGAAUUUUGAAUGGCAACAAACUACAAAAGGGCCAACAUAGUUAUAUUUGCAAUAUAACAAAUUAAAGUCUGGCAUAUUUUGAUGGAUCAUCUACCUGAAUAGGCUUAAUACGCAUCCAAUAAUGAGAUGAUCGGUAUGAAAACUACUACAUGAAGCAAUGUGCCUUUCCUAAUCAAAUGAGAUUGGUGUUGAACAAGAAGAAAAGCAGGAAACUAACUAUUACCUCUGGAUGCCAUUGGAAAGCAGUUACAGGGUAACUGUGUGCUUGGACUGUGGAGACAUAGACCUGGUUAUAGAGUUCCUCAAAGAACUUAAUGUUAUUCUCACAAAUAACUGAAAUAAGCAGUAACGCAAAACACUUUUUUCACUGCAAUAUAUCACUUCAGACAUGAAGUAAGAGGUAGCUGGCUAUAUUCAACCUUGUUGUCUCCAUCCGUGCUGGUUGUCAAGACCUUAAAGAAAUUCGUUCAGUGUUCUGCGUCAGUCUUUCUGGCGAGAUGCCAUAGUGCAACACAAAUGAAUAUUUGGAUUAGAAAAGAGGAUUGCAUACAUCAAGAAUAGGUAAGAUAACUGAGAUUUAAGUCUUUAUUAAAAUAGACUGGUCCCAAUCACAUUCGUGAAACAAAUAACAUAACAUAACAUAACACACAACCGGAAAAAAAAUAAAAAUAAAUAAAUCCUGGGCCAGUAUAAAGAAAACUUCAGAAAAAAAGCAUAUCAUUAGCCUUUUUAGCCAUUUUUAGCUUUAAAAAAAAAACUACCGGGCUCAUAUGAAAAACUCACAGGAUGUUAGUCUACAAAAAGAAGCAAAACAAUGUAUUAAAGUUGCAUGACUUUUCUCUCCUCUUUUAACUUUUCCAGGAUCUAACUGGUCUAUCUAGACACCAUUCUUUAACAGUAAUGGUCAAGUUACGUGCAACAGAUGGCUUAUAUCAAAAUAAGAAUGUAGUCCCUGUGAUGAUAACACUACUGGAACAAAGAGGUACAUGAGAGAAAACAAAAGGAAGAGGAAACGGGGGAACCAAACAAAUUUUACUUAGUAUUCUCAAUUAAAACCAGCAGGCUACUAAAGUCUUACAACUCACAUGAUGAAUUUGCAUGACAAGGCAAUCUGUACUCAACUUAAGCAAAACAGUGGAUACAUGGAAGUUAGAACUGCAUCUAUAGGUGAUUAAGCAUGACUAUAUCAAGCAACAGACACCUUAUACAAAGUAAUCACACAUCUUCUACUAAAAUAACCACUUUUGGUAUACCAGCACAAUCAUCCAUAAUAAUUUGAUGUAAUCCACAUUUCUCUUUCCAGCAAUAUUUUGAUUCCACGGCUACAUAAUCAGCAUCAUAUACUAAAGUACAUAAAUCCAAAUUGAUAUUCUCAUAGAGUAUAACAAGCCAUUUGGAAGCGUAAAGAUAUCCUGCUUGCUGUCAAUUUAAAAAGAAUACAGCUUUAUCUGUCUUUAUAUGCGUUAGUACUUAAAAGUUGACAGUGAAAGCUUACUGGGGUUAACCAUACCUUUGAAAUACUGUUCCUUCAAUGUUUGUGUUUCUCAUAAAUUGUAGAGUGGAUGCUUCAUCGGCAGCAUUAAAUUCCUCAAGAAUGCUUUUGUCCUGUCAUUAGGGAACUGUCAAAUUAUUAUGAAGAGAGUUUCCCACUUUCCUCUCAUAAUAUAAACUCCACUUUCUGUAAUUCAUUCAGAUGAUAAAUUCCAUUUGACAUUAAUGAAACAACUUAAACCUUGAGAGAUGAUUUGCAUCACAAUUGGUUUGAUGUCAAAUAACCGCCAUGUUUGUCAAGUUUAAAGCAAUGGCAAUCUCAACCUUGCAGUGACGACUUCUGCUUUCAAGUUUUGUGCCAAUAGAGGCCAUAGAUUUAUGCCGAUGAUAGUAAAUCAAGUGUGCUAAGUCAAGCCAUGGGAAGACAAGUUUUUUUCUGGCACAAUACCUCACAAAAGAUAAAAAGUAAGAAAUUUUUUUUGUUUAAAGAACAGACCAUGUAAAGAGACUCUUGCAUUAGAAAAGAGAAAAUAUGCAACCAAAAGGACUGAAAGCAUUGAUAGACUAUUUAAAACGGUGACAAGGGACAGAGUUACCUUGCUGAUUAUCAACAUCAAUAGUUCAAAGCCCAAACGGAUGGCAUACAAUGGGAAGUGGUCAGCAGCAUCAUUCUUCGCCAAAACUUUCUGCAAACGACGGGCAAAGAGUACAUCUAAAAGUUGCAAAGCAAAAAUGUACAGGACACUCAUUGAAAGCAUAUAAAAAUGAACUAUUCUCUCCCAAGGCAGUGAGAACGCUCGUGUGUCUUGAAGCAAUGGAAUAAAAAGUUUUUGAAUGAAAAACAGCACAUUAUUCUACGAAAACUAACUAUAGACAAAUUCCAUUGCAUGAAACAGUCAAUACAAGAUUGAUGAAGCUCUGCCUCCAACCAAUAAAUAGAAACACAACUUCUUAGAAAUAUUUAGGGGUAUCAAUCAUAACAGUACCUUGAAAAUUGCCUUCACAGUCUCACAUUACAAUCAGGUUUUAGCCUAUCCUCCAGUAAAGAGCAAUCCAUUGACCAUGUUGAGCUUCUGCAUUUCGACCAAAUAUCAGCAGAAAUGAAAAACAAAGUGGUGGUUGUCUAAGAAUAAUCAAGGCCAUAAAAUCUAUACGAACAUAACUCGAAUGAACCACACUCCUCUAACAUUAUACCCAUCACUCAUGUAAAACUCCUCAAAGAGGGUAUGUAGAGCAUUAACUCCUCUAAUCCACACAUGCGAGAGAGGAUGCAUGUGUUGCUUGCCUGCCAUGAAGAAACACGAUUUGUCUCUGACGAUCACUUUUCAACCAUUAAGAAAUGGAGCAUGCUAAAUCCCCCCUCUUUCACAACAAUCCUCACUGAGCUAGGCAUAGAUAAUACAAUUAAUCCAUCCCAAACAUCAUUUUGUCAUAGUCAUAACAAUCUAGUGAUCUCUCCUAGUAAAGUUAAGUUUAGAUCCAUGUUUUUGUGGACGGCUUUGCUCGGAGUUGCCAAGGAAGUGUGUUAUGCUUUACUCUCUAAUUUUACAAGCAAAAGAUGUACGAUUUUCAAGGAUCGCAAGGUCAUUAAGCCCAUGCCUACCCACAGCCCAAAAAUCUCCAGUAGCAUCUAAUGCCAUGGAUCCAGUAUGAUGAUCAAUCUUAGGUGAUAUACUCCUUGUUGAGACAGCCACCGUUCCUUUCAGUCAAGCUCAAAGCAGAUACUCUAGUUCCACUGAUUUGACUCAACCAAAAAGAAUGCCAGACUUGGGUGUUGCUAAUGGCUAACUGCGGCAUGUCUCUCAAUGGCACGUUUUCUGUACUUAAUGUGGCAUGAGAAGUCAGAAAGGAAUAAGGGGACCCGGGGCUUGGUUUAAAAGAUGCAGAUUGGUCAAAUUGAGUGAGGAAAAAUAUUCAAAUAACCUCCUUUAAUUAGACAAGCUCUAAAGGCUUUAAGGAUGAGGGAAAAGCAGAUUGGGAGGAGCCAUCAAUCAAGCUUCCAUCUUUGCCUAAUUGUGACAGAAGGAAAUGCCACUCUAACUGCCUAAGAUAAUUACGAAUCAGUCCAGCUAAGCUCUCCAUAAGCAGGUAUAAACCGCUUCUACCUGAAGAAAGGUCAUGUAAAAAAUAUUGCAGAAUGAAAACAACCCAAAGAAGAAGAACAAACCUGCCCGUGGUGUCAGCAGCUCCGUCGUCAUUAGAUUUGCCAACCAUAGUACAGUUUGCUUUCUUCAAUUCUUCCUCACCCUCCCAGCCCACUUCGGUUACUGCAAAGAAAAUGCACUCAGGAACAUGUAGAGGUAAACCUGAGGACACCUCUUACUGAUGGAUAACAUACAAAAAACUCAUGACGUGCAGGUAAUGCCCAUUUGCCUUGUAAGUUGUUCUUGAGGUGUGAUUGAGUUUGUAACAUAGAAAUGACUCAUGUAUCUCCUUUGGAUAAACAAAUUAACUUACAAGAAAAAAAAGGAAAGUAUAAAAUGCCUAUCAACGGGAACAGAUGUAGAAAUUUCUCUGCAGUGGGGGCAAACUUGUACGUGUGCUUCAAUUAGGUUUGUUGAUUCAAAUAAUGCCUAAAAUUCUUGUGUGCUCACGUUAUGAGACAAAUAACUACAGGAUCAACUAUCAAGCAUAGGUGUACAACAACUAACCAUCUAGCAGCGUUAAGCUUUCCAAAGAUGCGGGGCCAAACCCAGAAAUUUGUCGGAAAAAAAUAAAAAUUGUUGUUUUAAGCAAAACCUUCACAAACUUAAUGGGGUCGCAACCAAGAAAAUCCUUAUAAACUACUACUAUCAUGAUACAUUUUUCAAAACGUGAGCAGAGGCAAUUGCCCCCACUUUCUAUUGAGUAAUCCGUCCCCUUCCUAUGAAACCCCAACAUAUUUACAGAAAAAUAGCACGCUAAGUAGAUAUGUGAUCCAUAAAUUAGCAUCAAGUUACCUUCUCUCCCAUGCUCAUCCGUUCUAGUCUUCAAAACCUUUGGCUUCUUCAGUGAGGUUGAUGCAGGAUUCGUCACUUUAUUAUUUACAUCCUUGGAGGAACCAUGAUUUUGGCCCUUCAAAGAGCACAUCCCAAUGUUCACGCUUCUACUGAUGGCAGAAACAUCUUCCUUUGGCGGCCGGUGGUGUUCUUCCUCUCUCACUUUUACUUCAUAAACUUUCAUUUUAUCUUCCUCGCACUUCUUCUCAGAAACUAACUCCUCGGCACUCUCUUUUGAAGCGAGGACAGACUGGGCUUUUGGAAAAUCAGGUGAUGCCAAAUUGACUGCAUCUUCAUUCUCAUCUUCUUCAUCCGAGAAAUCAAAUACAAAUCUUCUUUUUCUACCGCCUUCAGUUUUGGUGGAGGUUCUCUUAACAUUGACAUCAUGACCCUCGUCGUCGCUGUUCAGUUCUGCUGCCUCAUGUGCACAGAUUUGAGCUUCUGCACUAACUGAUGAAGAAAUUACUGUAAAGGUCCUCAUCAAGAAAUCUUUUACAAGACUUGAGAGAAUUAAAGCAAGCUUUUGAAAGGGACGAAUGGGGGAACUUGGAGCAGAGCUGCUAUUUUCUGCUGGGCCAGCAGCUCGAUUUUGUUGUGGUGGAAUGGAAGCACGACCCCCAUAGAUUUUGCCUCGAUCUCGUCGCGAUGCCUAGGGUAUCGGCCCGGCACGUGUUGUCCCGAAGCUCCGAUCGACAGGGGAAGGCCGUGUCCGGCGCGAUUGCCUUGAAGAAGAAUUCGAUUGGGGGUUCCCCAUCUAGGGCUCAAUCCUAAUCUAAUUUUCCCGCCAUUUUCUGUGCGGGGGCGCCUUGCAUCUAUUUGGGCGGGGGGCUUUUAUAGUGCGCUUUUAAGCAUUAAUAAAAUAAAAUAAAAAACAGAUAAUUGGAAAAUCAGAUCUUCAGCUUCUUCAUGCCGAGCAUCCGCAUGAAAAUAAAGUGACUGGUCUCAUCUCUGCUUUGACUCCGAAUUCAGCUGUUCCUUGUUUGUUAAUUGUUGUGGGUAUUUCACCGUUUCUUAGCUCCACAUGUAAACUGCCAGUUGCUUUGAUCAUCUCUUUUUCUAUUUUUUUAUUUUGCAAAUCAGAUAGCUUUGUAGGUCGCCCAUUUUAUAACUUUCAAUGAAUCUUUGAAUGGGAAAGGAAGAAAAAAAAAUAAUCAUCUAAAUAUUGAGAUAUUUGAAUGCCGUAGUUUUGAAAAUGUUCAAUCACAAGUAUUGAAUCACUUGAAAUAUUUAUCAUCUCAAAUGAGUACUGCGAGAAAAUUAUAAUACUAUGAUGCCCUUUUUGCGAUUUUGUGUCGAGUUGAUCUUUUUCUGCUCCUAGAAGUGUCAUAACUGAAGCCAAAUGUAUUGAAAGUCUUAAAACUAGUCAUAAGAGUGCAAUUGAGUCCUAAAAUUAUAAAAAAAAAAAAAAAAUGCAACCAAUAGAAGGACUUUUUUGGACGGAUUUGACAAGUUUUUGGUAGCAAAUGUACUUUUUUAAAAAUUUAAUAUUCAAUCCUAAUUUCAUGACAUAAUUUUAAAAUUUCUAAAGCACUUUUGCUUAAGAAGAAAUGGCAUGGAAUAAAGGAAAUUGCACUUUAGCGAUCCUUUACACGAACAGCUUCCGCUGAUCGAAGGCUCUCAAGCUCAAGUCUCGACAGCUCCGACUGGCUUCUGCAUUCGUCUCUCCUCUCGGACUCAGCUUCUUCCAUUCUCAAUUUAUUCUCUUUCUCUCUGCUUGAUUCUGAAUUUAGUUGUUCCUCUUUUGGUUAAUUGUCGCGUGUUUCACCAUAGCUCUAGAUGUAAACUGGCAUUUGCUUGAUUAUCUUUUUCCAGAAACUUUCGUAGGGUAAAAUGCGCGUUGAUUUUGUACCGAUUUGACCAUUUUCUGCCCUGACCCAAUCCAAUUGCCUGAGAAGUUUUACUUUUUAGAGUCUCUUUCUUGUUUUGUCACUUUGCUUUGCAAAUCGAUGGUUCAUGUCAUAACAUCAUGAAGUUCCCAGAAAGGAAAUUAGUCAAGAUUAAGCCUCUAACAUUCGGUAAAUGUCUCAUUCCAUCUUACAGGGUAUGUCUGAAAGUUCCUUUUUUUUUUGGGUGAUAUUCAGGAAAUCGUGAAAUUGAGCCCACAAAAUAUUGGCAAGCACAUAAUGAUCACGCAAAGAGCAUUAACUUGUAUUCAUUCAUCUCCUUCAGCCAUGGAAUGGAAGUACCAGACCGGAACUAGUGCUUCUAUGCAACCCCCAAAAAUAUCCUCUUCUUUGUCAAAUCAUCAACACCACUCUGAUUUAUUUCGAAGGACUCCUGUAAGGACAAGACGCAUUCAUUUCCCUUGUCUUCACAAAACUUGUCUAGGAAGAUAUGGCAUCUUUCCUAAGGCUCUUGCAAACAAUCAAGAUCCUCCUCCAAAAAACAAAUAGAGUCGAUAUAAGUAUGAUGUCUUCCUGAGUUUCAGAGGAGAGGAUAUCCACAAAAACUUUGUUGACCAUCUGCACGAUCAUCUACGGCGAAGAGGAAUUGUGGCCUUUUGUGAUGAUCACCACCGAGAUCUUCAGAGGGGAAAAUGUAUUAAACCAGAAAUAUCGGGGGCAAAUAGUAGUCAGGACAUGUACUGGUGAUAUUCUCUAAAAAACUACACUUCUACCACUUGGUGCCUGGAAGAAGUUGCUAAGGCUAUGGAGUGCAAGGAUAUUGAUGAAGGAUCAGUGAUACUGAUCUUCUUCAAGGUCGAUCCAUUUGACAUACGGAAACUGAGGGGAAACUUUUGGAGAGACUUUGCUAAAACUAAGGAGACUUAUACGGGCAACAAGGGAGAUUUAAAGAGGUGGAAGGAUGCACAGAGAAAAGUAGCUGAUCUUUCCUUAAGAGUUUUCAAAGAUGGGUAGGCCUCUCUCCCACUAACUUGGAAUAAUUUGCUUUCUUUAACUUUUGCAUGUCACGAAUGUCAUGACUGUCAUACUCUGUAUUGUGUUGGUUCAUCUGAACCAGAAUAUAUGAUCAACUCCUCCAAGACUAAGCAGCCUCAAUUCUCCCUGGGGAACUAAUCCACUGCAUUUCUUCAUUGUAGAUAUGAGACACAGUUCAUUCGGCAAACAAUUGGAGAAAUCGAAGAUAAAUCGGGUCCUCAGCUGUCCUAUGUCGUAGGCAAUCUUGUGCGAAUGAAUUCCUGUGUUGCAAAUGUAGUUGAAUGUUUACGCUUGGAUGUGAGUGGUGUAUGUAGUAUUGGCAUAUAGGGAAUGGCUUGUUCAGGAAAAACGACUGUUGCACGAGCAGUUUGUUUUGAAAUCUGUGGCCAACUUGAUGGCUGUAGUUUUCUUGGCGAUGUCGGAGAAAGUUCAGAGAAAAAAAGAAAAACCGUUCUGAUAUAUCUACAGAACCAGUUUCUUGUUGAUAUUCUUCAAGAGGACAAUGUUGGAAUUAGGGAUGAUCAUAUAGGAGCCAACUUGAUAAAAAAAAUUAGUGCAAGACAAAAAGAAUUCUUCUUAUCCUUGAUGAUUGGAUAAAAAGGAGCAGUUGGAAAAAUUAGCGAGAGAUCUUGAAUGUUUUGCACCUAGGAGUAGGAUCAUUAUAACAACUAGAAAUAAGCAUUUGCUUCUCCAAUAUGGAGUACAUGUCAUAUACAAGGCAGAGGAAUUAUCCAUUGAUGAGGCUCUCCAGCUAUUUUGCUUGAAAGCUUUUAGAAGUAACCAUCCUCCAGCAGAGUUAGAAGAGCUCAUGAAGUAGGUUAUUGGACAUGCUAGUGGCCUUCUUCUAGUCCUUGAUGUCUUAGGUUCCUUUUCAGCCAAACAAAAUUUGUUGCAAUGGAAGAGUGCAUUGGCCAAUCUCAAAGAAUGUCCAGAAGGGGAAAUUUUUGAUCGGCUUAGGAUAAGUUAUGAUGUACUACGUCAAAAUGAGGAGAUUUUCCAAGAUAUUGCUUGCUUCUUCAAGGGAAAGGAGAAACCUUACGUUACAGAAGUUCUAACAAUUGUGGUUUCUAUGCAGAUAUUGGAAUGAAUGUCCUUGUUCAUAGAUCUCUUAUCAAAAUCGUGGACAACAAACUGUGGAUGCAUGAUUUGCUACAAGAGAUGACUUGGAAAAUUGUUCAUCUAGAGUCUCUUGAAGAGCCAGGAGAAUGAAGUUGGGUCUGGCUUUAUGAGGGUGUGUGGCAUAUUCUGUCAAAAAAACUAUGAUUACUCUGAAAAAUUAAUUUACAAGCAUGCUCAUUUGAUAUGGGGAAAAAAACUUGCUAGUCAUGUAUUGACACUAUAUGAGUUGUUUAUCAAGGAAUAGGGAAAGUCAAAGCCAUAGUCUUACAAUCUAGGAACCAUAGAACCGUGCGUUUUAAUGGAGAGUCCUUCACAAACAAGACUAACUUAAGAUUGACUGGUAUUCGUGCCAUCCACCUCUCUUCUUGGUUCAAGCACCUUUCAAAUGAACUACGCCUGCUAAGAUGGGACAGUUGCAGUCUUAAAUAAUUUCUACCAAGUUUUCUUUCAAAGAAUCUUGUCGAACUCCAUAUGCAGGAUAGCCUCCUUUGCAGCCUCUGGAGAGGGAAAAAUGUUGGAAUUAAUACUCAAGCAUGCGUAUGCUUCAUCAGACUCGUCAUUAUUUUUAACAAACUAAUAAAAUUGUUCAACCGAUUUUUUCUAGAUGCAGGUCUUAGAGUAGUUAAAUGUUAUCAACCGUAAAGGUUCCAAAUAAUUCAUGGAGACUCCAAACUUCAUAUGUGUCCCAAAUCUAAAGAGGCUAAUUUUCAAAGGUUGCAAAGCAUUAUCUCAGAUUCAUCCUUCAAUUGGAAAUCUAGAAAGACUCAGUCUACUCUUGACUUGAUUGACUGUGAAAACCUCACGCGACUUCCAGAUAAUGUAGGCAAUCUUAAAUGUUUCAGAGUUCUUAAUCUAUCUGGAUGAUUAAAUGAUUAAAUCCUGAAGAACAUCCUGAGAACAUCGAGGGCUUAAGAGUGCUUAGAGGAGCUUGAUAUUAGUGAAAGUGCUGUCAAACACCUCCCAUCCAGCUUGAUUCUUACAUAAUCUGGAAAACUUACGCCUUUAUAUUAGUAAAAGAAGGCCACAAAAUUUUUGGAGGACACUGAUGCAAAUGCUGAGAAGAGCUCUGAACUCUAGACGACUGUGGUUGCCUUCAUUUUCAGGGUUAUCCUCUGGAAGGAGAAAUUCCCAGUGAUAUUGGCUGCUUAUCCUCCUUGAGGUCUUUAGAACUAGCUUGUUAAGCUACAGGUUCUGCAUUUUUUGUUAAGCUACAGUUUGCCUUUGGUCAAGCUACCUAUAGUGACAUUGAUCUUCUCAGGUGACUUAAAUGGGCAGACAAUGUCGAGCCAUAUUGAUGCUGCGUUUAAGAUCUCCAACCUCAGGUUAAUGGUGGCCUGAGUGCCGCAUUGAACUGAUAAACAUCUUCGCAGGUUCUGAAUUGAAUCCUCGCUCUUUUAACUCAUUUCCCUCUAUUACCGAGAAAACCAGUUAUUGAAUCCCAUCUUGACUACAUACAAACUAUGAAGUGCCCACACAUGACUAAAGCUUUCAAGCAUAAGCACACGGAUGGACGUCCUAGAUCGUCCAUUAAUUGUCUUAUCAGGACAUGAAGUCAUCAAUUAAUUUACAGGCAACAAACCAAGCACACUUCAAGUUCAGAUAAACUAAGGAAAAUGUUCAACAUUUGCCAUUAGUUUCUGCUAAAGUAAUGUCCAUACAUCUCAUAAUCUCAUUUACGUUAAGAGCAAAUUUCUGAUCUUGAGCAAUUCAGUACAACGCCUUCUUCCGUGUGAGAGACUUGAUGCCCGUGAAAAUUUGGACUUCACAGUCACGUAAAGAUACAAACCUCAUCAUAUCCCCCCCUAAAAUCAUUCAAAUGUAACACUUUCAGUCAGUAAAUCACGAAUCAUAAGCAAAACUGAUGAAAAAUGCACUGAAUAGAUAGCAUCAGGGCUUACCCUGCUUUCCUACAAUAGGUGGGACUGUGAUUGUAUAUCAGAUUGUCGAGCACUCUUCGAGCAGAAGCCUGGUUUACGGAUUUCCUAGCCUCACUAAAGGAUGCCUAGUUUGAAUUAGAAGUUUUUUUCCCUUAAAACUGAGUGAAGUUUAACCAGAAGCGCAGAUCAUAUAACCAUAAUCGUCUAUGACAUAUGAUAUUUUAAGAACUUUGACAAGGAAAUUUCAAAUGCAACUUGCUUUGCAGCAAAAAAUUACUGAACAAAUGCUGAGCUGACAAAGAAGUUCGCUACAUGCUGCGUGACUUGAAUGGCAUCAUCUGAGUGCGGUACCAUGGACAAACCCCAUUCAAAAGCAUUUUUCUGCUCAAUAUUGAGAAAGCCAUAUAAGUUAACCUCAAGGGAAUAAGUCUAAACAUACUUCACAGACAUGGAGAGUUGGAAAAUAUGAUCCCAAGAACAAUCACCGAUUUAGCUCCCUAUGAUAAUUUAAGCAAAUGAAUCAUGUCUAGGUCAAAGCCAUAUAAAAAGAAAAAAAAAGGAUCAUGUCCUCUAUAACAUGAUAAACUCAAAUUGUCUAGUUUUCAAAUUUUGCCUAAUCGAUACUGCAAGACGCAGGCAAGCUGUGGCACAAGCUCUUCACUGAAGAAAUAAAAAACCACAAAAUCAGGAGGCAUCGCAAGAAACUAGUAUUGAUCAAUAUGUGUUAGAAUCUACAACAGCAAGAAGUCAAUUUCUACGCACGUCAUGAAUCUUCCUAAAAAUCGGGGGAUAUUGGAGGGGGAACAAAGCACUCACGUAUCGACACGAGAGAGAUCGAAGACAACGAAAGAGCAACGAUUACGGGAUCGAAAAUCGAAAGAGGGAAAGAAAGUCGAACGGUACCACUUGAAGCUUAUCAGAAACGAGGGCCGCGAUCUCGUCGACGAUCCCUAGGAUUUCGGCCCGGCACAUCUUUGCUUUAACUCCGAUCGAUAUGGGAAGGCCUGCUCUUCUAAGCAAUGAUUUCGCACAACGCCUUCCCGCUAGGACUCAAUCCCAAUCCAAUUUUCCCGCCAUUUCUGGGCGGCGUCCCGGGAAUUAUUUUGGGUGGGGGGCCUUUUAUACCGCGCACUAAGCAUUAAAGCAAUCUGGAAAUAGAAAAAAUCGGGUUCUUUGUACUUUUCACGCCGACAAUCCAUAUGAAAAUUUAUAAAGAUCACUAAACCGUUGUUGUGAUUCGACGACAAUAAGAAAUAAAUCCACCUUGGCCUCUUAUCUAAUAUCUAUCUAACUAUUAAUUGAACAAAAAAAAAAAAACAAACAAUUUAUGCGUGUGAACUAAUUUAUGUCUCAUUUAACAUGAGUCCGGUAACACUAGUCACAUGCUGUGGACUUGGUUAACUCAUGCGCACUUAAUAUGUGUUACGUUAACCUAAUGGCCCAGUAUAUAAAGCUCACAUUCUCGUCGAGGUUUGCUCGUAUUACUCAUGAACACUCUUCCCACUAUCUGAUGUGUAACAUUAUCAAUUCCUAUCAUUCAUGGUCCUCGAGACAUGUCAAGAGCCUCUCAUUGGAUUGGUUUAGACCAAGUCCAUUUAGGGUUCUGCUCCGAUGUCAUAUGCAAACAGGUGUACCCAUUCUGGUGGGCCAAACUCAGGAAAAAAAGAGAGAACAAAUGACCAUAUGAGGUGGUGGCUGUUUACAAUGAUUAAUAAGUGUCCCUUGUGAAGUAUGUUUAAGAAGUGUUAAGAAAACCCUUCAUCAAAAUACAGGUACUUUGCUAUUUGGCCAUACUCUUCCAUGGAGAAAACUCUCUCCAACGAAAUAUUGAUGGGCCAUAGAAUAGCCGUUACUGCAUUUAUUUUUAAUUAAGUUGACAUAUGAUUGAUGUCGAUGUCUUGAAAGGAAUCGAUCAAAUGCCUAGUUAGAAUUAGUUUUUUCUAGAAUAAUAUAAAGCACUACCAUUUUACUAUCUGAUGCAUAACGUUAUCAAUUCCUAUCAUUCGUUGUCCUUGAGACAUGUCGGGAGCCAUGCUCUUAGACCUCAUCGGAUUGGUUUAGUCCAAGUCCAACCAUGCAAUAUAUCUAUUGUAGAGGUUCUACUCCCAUGUCAUCCGCAACUAGAUGGACACUUUCUGGUGUGCCAAACUCAGGAAAAAAAGAGAGAACAAAUGACUAUAUGAGGUAGUGGCUAUUUGCAAUGAUUAAUAGGUGUCCCUCGUAAAGUAUGUUUAAGAAGUGUUAAGAAAACCCUUCAUCAAAAUAUAGGUACUUUUCUAUAUGGUCAUAGUCUUCCAUGGAGAAAACUUUCUCUAACGAAAGAUUGAGUGGUUAUAGCAUAGCUGUCACCUGCAUUUAUUUUCAAUUAAGUUGACACAUGAUUGAUGUUGAUAUCUUAAAAAGGAAUCGAUCAAAUGACUAGUUAGAACUAGUUUUUUUUCUAGAAUAAUAAAAAGAACUACCGUUUCACUAACUGGUAUAGGUGAUCAUUGGGCCAAGCGUGCAUUAUAUAUUCAACGAGCCUGUCCUAGAUAUAAUUUUAUAUAAACAUUUAGUUUGGGUCGGACUAGACUUUUUAAUGUAAGGGCGUCGCUCAAGUUGGUCUAUUUUUCCUUCCGAGUCGCUUGCUUGUUGAUCACCUUCACUAACUGGAUCAGUAAUCGAGGAAGAAUAUUGCAUGGUCUACGAAUUCUAUAGACCAAACCCAUCUCAACCAUUGAUCAUAUGGGCUCCGAGAUCCUACACAACUAAUGAUCGGGUGAUAAUGGUCUAUAGAGCAUACAAACCAUGCAAUAACUGUUGGGUUUUCAUGAAUCAUGUAUAAGAAAUAUUAACAUAAAGUACGCAGCGGAAACAAAUAUAUAUUUGACACAUGAUUUUCCUUAGGCGUUGUUCGUGCGUUUUAAUCAAAAAUCUAAAUAUCAAAAAGGAGUUAAACGAAAUACCUCUCGAAGCGCGCUUUGAAACAAGUCGGUUCGGAUGUUCUACAGUACGAGUCCCACAAGCGUCGGACCUCUAGUUCAGACACACCAACAACGAACGUCGAACGGAAGAGAGAACUUUCGGAUAUCCACAACUUCGAUCGUGCUAGCAAUCACGUGGAAAGAAAACGUCGUAUCCUCUCGGUGUAUAGUAGUCACGGCCCGAACGAGAGAAUUGUUUCUCUUCCUCGUGUCUCAAAGACAAAAGAACACGCACGCACUUUGCUUUCUAUUUUCAGCAAAGCAUCACUGAUUUCUCGCUUGUGUUUCUCUCGAACAAAACCAAAAACACACUAACUCUUUUCUCUGUUUUUCAACAACAACUUUUAACUCUCGUCCCAUCUCUCAUUUUAUAUUAAAAAAAUGACCAGCAACGGUUGCUGAUCAAUGGACGAUCAGCAACCGUUGCUGAUCGUCCAUAGUGGACGAUCGUGCAUGAGCAACCGCUCAUGCACGAACGUGGCAUGAUGGGUCAGCGGUUGCUGACCAUCAAUGCUACGUGCAUAACGGUCAGCAACCCGCCUGANNNNNNNNNNNNNNNNNNNNNNNNNNNNNNNNNNNNNNNNNNNNNNNNNNNNNNNNNNNNNNNNNNNNNNNNNNNNNNNNNNNNNNNNNNNNNNNNNNNNNNNNNNNNNNNNNNNNNNNNNNNNNNNNNNNNNNNNNNNNNNNNNNNNNNNNNNNNNNNNNNNNNNNNNNNNNNNNNNNNNNNNNNNNNNNNNNNGCUCGUGACUAUGAUACAAAUUAAAUUAAAUCUCAUUUAAUUUAAUUUCAAAUCGACUCAAUUCGAUUGCAGUAAUUGCAAACACAUUUGCAAUAAUAUUUCUCUCUUGUUCCACGUCAUCCUAGUUGUUUAUGGUGUGUGACAUCCCUAGGUUCAUCACUAAGCUGGUAGUAAGACUUGUACUAACACAUUAGUACUUCCAAAAGAAUUAAUUGUCCCGAUUAAUCUUUUAGGUCCUACAAGCCACGAUUAACAUCUAGCAAUAUGUCAUGGCUACCCAGAUAGUGUGAAUGCUUUAAGAACAUAAUGAACCUGUCAGCUUUGGCUACAGUGUAAUUCAAUCCCUCUGUCUUACUAUGUCCCGAUCAAACAAAGACCAUGGAAUAUUUGUCAAGUCAUUAAUUCGAUCAUAUGCACAAAUCUAAUUGACAUGCAUUUUAUUCGAGACAUAAACAAUUUAUUCUCGGUUACAACCCCGGCCGAGGAUUUCAAUGCAGUGUCACAAUUAGAUCGCAUAGGACAUCAUUAUCAUACCUUGCAUAUAACAAGGAGACAGAUUCCAUAUUGCGCACACGUGUAACUUCGUAUAUGAACAAACUAUGACCAUCAAGUAUAAAGACGGAUCGACGACCCGGCAUUAUGUGCACCUGUGAACCAUAGUUGUUUGAUACACAAGUUAACACUGUGCCUCAGGUCUAAGGAUUAUUUACACAAGACCAAAGCAUGAACAAUUAGACAUUGACCACGCUAAAAGCUUCCAUGUUGCUAAUCGUUCCAUAUGCGUCACGUUCAGUGAAUUUGUCUAAUACAAACACCUGUGUUCUAACUCAGGUAUCAUAAUACCCAAUGACAUGUGACUCAUCAUUCCCUUAAGUAUCAAAUACUUAAUGGCGAAGUUAAGAACACACCGGUCUCAACAGGAUUAUUAAUAUCCACUUAAUAAUCCAUCGACCGGGAACAAUUUAAAGAUUCAGUCUAACUAUGAACCCGUCACAUAUAUUCUUGACGCCUCAAGAAUAGGUCUAGUUGCAACUGAUCUUAUGGAAUCAUUCAUCAAUAUAAAAUAAUUGGACAAAUGAAUGAAUACGUCGUUGCCAUUAAUUAAAUAAUAAUAAUGAAAGUACAACUGAAAUCCCUAAUAUGUAACUAUUACAUAGUAGCUUUAGGGCAUACAUCCAACAAUUUCUCAGUUGCACUAAAGCCAACUUGUCUGGUACCUCAAACCCAUUUUGUCAAUAUGUCUUUCAAAAGAAGACUGAGGUAAGGCCUUAGUGAAGGGAUCUGCCACGUUUUCUGCUGAGGCAAUUUUCUGCAAGGCGAUAUCACCUCUCCCAACAAUUUCUCUGAUGAGAUGGAAGCGUCUCUCAAUAUGCUUGGACUUCUGGUGAGACCUUGGUUCCUUAGCUUGAGCUAUCGCCCCAUUGUUGUCACAAAACAAUGUGAUCGGUUGCUCAAUUGAAGGAACAACUCCAAGUUCAGAAAUAAACUUCUUCAUCCAAGCGGCUUCCUUUGCUGCUUCAGAAGCAGCUACAUACUCUGCCUCAGUGGUGGAAUCAGCAGUUAUACUUUGUUUGGAACUUUUCCAACUAACUGCGCCACCAUUGAAUGUAAAGACAAACCCAGAUGUAGACUUAUAAUCAUUAGGAUCCGAUUGAAAAUCGGAAUCAGUAUAAGCUACAACUUUAAAUUCUCCUUCUCUAUAUAUCAAGAAUAAAUCUUUAGUCCUUCACAAGUACUUAAGAAUAUUCUUGAUUGCUAUCCAAUGCUCUUCUCCUGGAUCAGACUGAUAUCUGCUGGUAAUACUUACAGCAUGCGCAAUAUCAGGUCUAGUACAUAGCAUAGCAUACAUUAUGCUUCCAAUAGCGGAUGCAUAUGGUAUCUUUGCCAUCCGCUCUCUUUCUUCAGGAGUGUUGGGACACAUCUCCUUAGAAAGACGGAUCCCUUGCCUAAAAGGCAAUAAUCCUCUCUUGGAACAUUGCAUGUUAAACCGUGUUAACACUUUGUCUAUGUACGUAGAUUGUGAGAGGCCAAUCAAUCGUCUUGAUCUAUCUCUAUAGAUCUUGAUACCUAAAAUGUAGGUUGCCUCUCCUAAAUCUUUCAUGGAGAAUUUCUGUGACAAGAAUAGUUUUAUCGAUGAUAUCAUUGGUACAUCAUUUCCAAUCAAAAGUAUGUCAUCGACAUACAAAACCAGAAAUGCAAUUGCACUCCCACUGAUCUUCUUAUAUACACAAGGUUCAUCCGGAUUUUUGAUGAAGCCAAACGAUUUGACUACCUCAUCAAAACGAAUGUUCCAACUUCUGGAGGCUUGUUUGAGUCCAUAAAUGGAUCUCUUAAGCUUACACACCUUCUGUUUUUCACUAUUGGAUUCAAAACCCUGUGGCUGUUCCAUAUAGAUGUCCUCAUCGAGAAAACCAUUUAGAAAAGCCGUUUUGACAUCCAUCUGGAAUAUCUCAUAAUCAAGGUGUGCAGCUAUAGCCAACAUAAUCCGAAUGGAUUUUAGCAUGGCCACAGGUGAGAAAGUUUCGUCAUAAUCAAUUCCUUCUUUUUGACGAUAUCCUUUCGCCACCAGCCGUGCUUUGUAAAUUCCAAUUUGACCUUCAACGUUCAUCUUCCUCUUGAAGAUCCAUUUACAGCCAAUUGGUACAAUACCAUCAGGCAGGUCAAUCAAGGUCCAAACCUCAUUGGAAUACAUUGAAUCCAUUUCGGAUUUCAUGGCCUCUAGCCAUUUACCAGAAUCGAUGUCCAACAUCGCCUCCUCAUAGGUUUUAGGAUCACCGGGUUGAUCACUAUCAUUCACAAUGAAUAAUGGUUCGAUAUGAUCAACUGAGUGUCUAUAACGAGCAGGUGGGCGAGACGUUCUCACACUUCUCCUAAGAGGUUGUGUAUCAGAAGCUCCCACUGAAUCAGAGAUUGGUAUCUGAACUCGGUUGUUUGGCACUUCAUUAUUUUCUUCUUGUAAGACUAUUUUCCGCCCAGCACCACUUUCUUGGAUGAACUGAUUCUCCAAAAAAGAAGCGUGCUUGCAUACCAAAAUUCUUUGGUUUGAAUGAAAAUAGAAAUAAUAUCCAAGAGUUUCCUUUGGAUAUCCAAUGAAGCGACCUUGUUCAGAUCUUGCCUCCAAUUUUUCCAUUUUCAGCUUUUUCACGAAAGCUGGACAACCCCAAAUCUUAAUAUGAUUAAGACUAGGUUUCCUACUAUGCCAUAUCUCAUAGGGCGUAGUUGGAACAGAUUUGGACGGCACUCUAUUCAGUAUAUAUACAGCUGUCUCAAGGGCAUAUCCCCAAAGGGAUAUUGGCAAAUCGGUGUAACUCAUCAUAGAUCGUACCAUAUCUAAUAAAGUACGAUUUCUUCGUUCAGAUACACCAUUAUGUUCUGGAGUUCCAGGAGGUGUCCAUUGUGAUAAAAUGCCAUUCUCUUUAAGAAAGUCCAGGAAUUCAGUACUAAGGUAUUCACCUCCUCGAUCUGAUCGAAGAGCCUUAAUACAUUUUCCUGUUUGUUUCUCAACUUCAGCCUUGAAUUCCUUGAACUUUUCAAAGGAUUCAGAUUUAUACUUCAUGAGGUAUAAAUAACCAUACCGUGACUGAUCAUCGGUGAAGGUAAUGAAGUAAUUAUAACCACCUCUAGCAGUUUCAUUAAUUGGUCCACAUACAUCUGUAUGUAUUAAUUCUAAUAUGUCAGCAGCUCGCGCACUUUGUCCCACAAAAGGCGCUUUGGUCAUUUUUCCUAGAAGACAUGCCUCACAAGUCGAGUAUGACUCAAAAUUUGAAGGAUCAAUGUAUCCAAUUACUCAACUUGUUAAUUCUGUCUUCUCCAAUAUGACCUAAUCGGAGAUGCCAAACAUACUUUUUAUUUGGACCGUCUCUAGGGCGUUUAUUAGUUAUGGCAUUUAUAUCAUUUCUAUUUUGCUUAUUGACAUUGGUAAUCGCAUUACCGGACAUUGUAAUGGUAUAAAGAUUGUUGGUUAAUAAGCUAGAACCAACACAUAUUCUAUUAUGAUAAAUAGAACAUACAUCAUCAGCGAAAGAAAAUUCAUAAUUCUCUUUACCCAGACGAGGUAUAGAGAUGAUGUUCCUAACAGCAUUCUUAUAAUGCAAACAGUUCUUUAAAACCAUUACAUGUCCAGAAGGGAAACAUAAACGAAAAGUCCCUAUAGCUAAUGCAGCAACUCUUGCUCCAUUGGCAAACGUCAGGACAAUCUCAUUUCGCCUUAGCAUCCUGCUUAUUUCCAGAUUCUGCAAAGACAUACAAAUAUGUGAAGUUGCAGCAGAAUCUAGAACCCAUGAGCUGGAUUCAGCACUAACCAUAAGAUUGGUUUCAAUAAGCAUAGACACCAUACCUUCAUAAGGUCGGUUCUUGGGCUUGACCUUCAAGCUCGCGAGGUACCUCUUGCAGUUCCUCCUCCAGUGCCCUUUGACACCACAGUAAUGACAUUUCCCUUUAUCAAUCAUGGGUUUUGGUUGCACAACAGGUUUGGCAGGCCUCUUCCAUUUAUUCUUCUUUAAAAUGGUCUUACCCUUUGAAGAAGAAGCCUUAGCCAUAGCCACUACAUUUGGCCUCGUGUUAUGCAUUUCCUUCUCAUAAACUACCAACAUGUUAUGUAACUCAGCAAGAGUUUUCUCCAUCUUAUGCAUGUGGAAGUUUUGGACAAAACCAGAGAAGGAAUCGGGUAAAGAUUGGAGGAUCAAAUCCACAGCUAACUCAUUGUCCAUAACAAGAUUCAGCCUAGCCAAUUCUUCAAUGUGCCAGAUCAUUUUCAAAGCAUGAUCAUUAACAGAUGAUCCUUCAGCCAUCCUCAUACGGUACAAUGCCUUAGAUAUCUCAUAUCUAGAGGUUCGACCAUUCUCAUCAAAGUAUUCCUUUAAGUGCAAAAUGAUCGACCCAGCAUCUUCCAUAGAUUCAUACUUCUUCUGUAAUUCAUUAUUCAUAGAAGCAAGCAUAUAUGACCUAACUUUUAAGUCAUCAUCACGCCACUUAUCAUAAGUGACACGCUCCUCUUGGGUCCCACCCUCAGGAAAGGAAGUUGGCAUCUUUUCAUCAAGCACAUACCCAAUUUUUUCUGAAUUGAGAACAAUUCUCAAAUUCCUCACCCAGUCAGUGAAAUUGGGUCCAGUCAAACAAUUCUUGUCAAGUAUAGAAGCGAGUGGGUUUGUGGUCACCAUUUUUCAGAGUAAUAAUAUAUCUGUUGCAGAAAAUAAAUUGUUAGCCGUUGUACUUUUCAUAAUAACUAUUUCAUUUUGGUCUUUAAAUGAAAUAGAUCCUCCCACUAAAUUUAUAUUCGAAUCCCAUACUCCUUAAGAUGGGAAGCGGUAAUCUUCGUUGGGUAAAGAUUACUAGUGGGGAUUGGAGUCCCACUAGCCCAAAGUCCACCUCACCUAACAGUUAUUGGUGUUCUAUGAACUUAGUGAGUGAACCAGCUUGUUCAACGCAUCAUAUGCGAGUCCCAAUCAUAACUUCGGCCUCUAGACCAUGAAAGCCUCACCUAACAGUUAUUGGCAUCAUGAUCAUAGUUAAGUCUAGCCCAUCGUCUCAUGCAAGUAUUGAAAACACAAAUGAUUCCCUCACCUAACAGUUAUUGGAAAUCAUUUGGCUCCAACCCCACAGCAUCAUAUGCAUAAUGGAGUGGUCCAAUAUUAUAAAUGGUAAUUAACCCCUAUGUAUCCAUAACCAGUUAAUUAACCACUAUAAUAUUGGAUCAAACCACGACAAUGGAAGGCCACGAGUCCGAAACCCGUUUCGACUUAAUGUUCUUUGUAAGGAGAUUUGGGUCAUUAUUAACGGUCUCACUUUGCACAUUAACCGGUUUAACAUGCACGAUACCAUAAACACAAUAAAUAAAUAGAUAUCACAUAAUAUCUAUCCUAUGUGGUGAUCAUGGAAUUAUGGUUCAAUGGGUCUCGAGCCAAAGAGACCCAUUUAGCCAUUUUAAUGUUUUAAUUAUAUGGACCUGCUCUUCACUUUUUCUUCAAUCUUUGAACUCUUCAAAGACCGGGCCCAGAGAGCUCACCGGUUUAAUGGCUCCUCCAAUGGCUCCUCCAAUCUUGUAGUAUUUACAUCAAUAAUUGAAAUACUACACUAUACUUAAAUAUAAAAGAAGGACGCAGCCUCCAUUUAAUAAUUACAUCCCCAAAAAGAAUACCUGUAAUCAUCAUACAUUCAUCCAUACAACAAUCACAACAAUUAGGGAUUUUUCCAUGAUCACCACCCUUCCUUACGAGCCAUAAAUUCAAAAUUUAAAGCUCUGGAAGACAUGCAUAAAAUUCUGCAUAUCAUUUGCAAAAUAUAAACAUCAAGUAUAACAAGUUAUAAAUUUUUGAUUCAAAAUUGAUUUAGUUCUAAUUUUUGCUUAGUUGAUUAAAUUUAUCACAUAAAUUAAUCAACUUCUAUAGGCCACAUAAGAGUAAGAGAACCAAUUCUCUUAACAAAAAUAAAUUGGCCAUUAGAACGCAAAAACAUAUUUGAACUAUAAAUCAAUUAAACGCACGAAACGCCUAAACCUGGCUCUGAUACCACUGUUGGGCUUUCAUGAAUCAUGUAUAAGAAAUAUUAACAUAAAGUACGCAGCGGAUAUAUUACACAUGAUUCUCCUAAGGCGUUGUUCGUGCGUUUUAAUCAAAAAUCUAAACAUAAAAGGGAGUUAAACGAAAUACCUCUCGAAGCGCGCUUUGAAACGAGUCGGUUCGGUUGUUCUACAAUUCGAGUCCCACAAGCGUUGGACCUCUAGUUCAGACACACCAACAACGAACGUCGAACGGAAGAGAGAACCUUUGGAUAUUCUCCACUUUAAUUGUGCUAGCAAUCACGUGGAAAUGAUCCAACGUAUCCUCAAUGUAUUAUAGCCACGGCCCGAACGAGAUAAUGAUCUUCUUUCUUGCGUCUUGUCUCAAAGACAAAAGAACACGCACGCACUUUGCUUUCUAUUUUCAGCAAAGCAUCACUGAUUUCUCGCUUGUGUUUCUCUCGAACAAAACCAAAAACACACUAACUCUUUUCUCUGUUUUUCAACAACAACUUUUAACUCUCGUCCCAUCUCUCAUUUUAUAUUAAAAAAAUGACCAGCAACGGUUGCUGAUCAAUGGACGAUCAGCAACCGUUGCUGAUCGUCCAUAGUGGACGAUCGUGCAUGAGCAACCGCUCAUGCACGAACGUGGCAUGAUGGUCAGCGGUUGCUGACCAUCAAUGCUACGUGCAUAAUGGUCAGCAACCGCUGACCAUUACGCUUCGUGCAUGUGCACGAAUUCGUGCACAUGCAUGAAGCUUUACUUUUUUUUUUUUAAUUAUUUAUUAAUAAGUUAAUUUAGGGCAUACUACUACUAACAAUAACUUCUGCACGUUAGGUGAGUCAGAUGAACGAUUUAACUCGACUAGCCGCAAUUGCUGUUUACCACACAUAACAUGGACGCAUCACAAGGCCAUCUCUCGUCGGCCCUGGCAAGAUGCAGACAGCGGAAGAAGUAAACGCGGAGUAUGUACAAAUCAGCACAUGCAAAGCGCUUCGUGCCAAGUGAUAUCUACAUUCGUAUAUCUUAUUGGAAUAAUAGACAUAACGCAGAUGAAGAUUGCUGCUUGGGAGUUGACUCGAGCGAUAGACUCGGCUUCAAGUUGGACAUCCCACUAGUCCUCUCCUCGCUCGGAUUUGGGCGGGGCCCGAUACCCUCGCCAUGUUUGAAUAAAAUUCUUUCUAGCAUCAUCCCGUUCCGAGGUCUCACAAAAACCCCUCGGAUGGUUCCGCAAUCUAUUCUGCGUACAAUAAUGUGUCGAACUACUUCAACAAAUCUGCGUGUAAGAUGUCAAGCAUUUGAUGUUCAUACAGUAGUAUCCACAACUCCUUCGCGGGCUCCGUGGCAAGAAAUGAUAUAUUCUGUCUCCUUCACGUAAAUUGCUUUGAAUGGAUAAAUAAAUCUUCUGUCCUUGAGGAUUUGACAUUAAUCCACUCGUACUAAUUGUUGUACAUGAGAUGCAUUCCUCUGGCUCCCGAAAAAGGCAUUAUAUGGAUUGGAUUAUGGGGUAUGUCAUCCUAAAAUUAGGAUUCAUUUUUUGUCGCAAGUAUUCACUUGUAGCAUACUGGUUGGCGAGGGAGCAGAGGCCCUCGCCCAGACCAACUUGUGGCUGGUGAUGGUCCAUUGGCAACCUUGCCAGCACUUGCCAAAGGGUAAAGAAAAAGAAAAAGAAAUUAAAAAAAUGGAAAAAAAUAAAUAAAUAAAAUUCUGAAAAACCAUUAAAAUUUAUAAAAUUUAUCCUAUUAGUACCCAUCGUGCCACGUAGGAUUGUCGGUAUCCAUGUCAGCAAUUUCUAGCCUAAUUAGCCGAAUGGACUCAAUUGGUACCAAUGUGAAAAUGUUCAGAAUUAAAUUGAUCGAAUUAAAAUGUUUAUGAUUGAAUUGUUAUCAACGCAAUAAGUUAAGACUUUUUUGGUCUUUUUUCCCAUAAAAAAUUGCCAACUGAUUGUAAUAGCCUACCGACGUUUAUUUUUAUAUCUUACCAAUGACGUGAAGGUUACUAAUUUAACAAAGCAAUUGCCGGCCUUGAUUUGAUUAUUGUAUCAACGUUCGACAUGGUAAGACACCAAUUACUUUUAUUCACAUAUCAUUUUUUUUUUUUUUAUCUUGCUAGGUUUGGAAAAGUAUCACUAUUCACGGUUGGUAGAAUCUAACGACAUUUAAUAUUGCGACUUCUUGACGCCUUCGAAGUUUCCAGCUUUUAUUGGAAAUUAUCAAAAUUAAUUAAAUUGUGAUAUCAACUAAUUUUAGUUACUUACCAAUGAUCUCGAUGACAUACGAUCACGGCUUUAAGAAGAAAAAAUUGUAUAGAAUAAAGGAAAUUACACUUAGCUCCACGUGGCGGGAAAAGAGUAUGAAGUAAAAUUACAAAUUUAAUAAUCGCCAACACAAAAAACAGUCAUCUUUCUGGGGGGUUUCACUCGAGCAAUCCUUCAUAAGAACAGCUUCCGCUGAUCAUGGUUUCUCUAUUCGAGCCUUGACACGUUGACCGGCUUCUGCAUUCAUCUCUUCGCUUGGACUCAAGCUUCUUCGAUUCUCAAGGUUCUCUCUAUCCUCUGCUUGAUUAUGAAUUUAGCCGUUCCUUGUUUGUCAAUUGUUAUAUGUAUUUCACCGUUUCUCAAGCUUCAGUCUUUGUUUUAUUUGUUUUUUUUUUCCCUGUAACAAAGAUAUAAUAGAAAUCCGUUUGUGUAGGUUUUUGUUCUUGAGAAUAAACUUUGAAUAGAAAUAAGAAACAAGAAAAAAAAAAACUACUUUUUUUGUUCCUUGGAACAACUCGAGAAUCAAGCCCAAACAUUUUCUUUUAUUUCUUUUUAAUCUUUUUUCUUUUCUUUCUUUUUCACCUCCCCCUCUUCUUCUAUAAUCGGUCGCUGGCCUCCGCCAUGAUUGGCCAGUGACCAGCUAAAUGAGGCCUAGCGACCUUGCUGGAGCCUCGCCAACCCCCAACGAGGUCGCCCCAAACGUAGCUGUGGUUGGGGGAGGUGACCUCGCCCAGAUCUAGUGAGAUCAAACCUUGCUCGACCAAGCAAAGCCUACCUCGUGGAGGCCGAGUGUGAGGUGGAGCCUUGUUAGUGGCAAGGCGAGGCUCAGCCUCGCCUUGGUUGGGCAAGGUCAAUUCUAAGUCACAAAAAUAUUUAGGUGUCAUAUCAAAUGCGUUUCCAUUUUGAGAAUAUAAAUUUUGUACAAUUAUCAAACAUAGUAUUCUACUUAGAAACUUAUCCAAGGAACAUAAAUAAGAAAAAAUAUUUUUAAAUAGAAAUUAUUCUCGAGAAUAGAAAUGUUACUAUACGCAUCCUAAAACUGUCAUUUCUUUUGGUUAUCUUCUUCUAGAAAUUUUUGUAACGUUAAAGCUGCAUUGAUUUUGUGCCGAUUUGACCAUUUUCUGCCAUUAGAAGUGCCCUGACCCAAUCCAAUUGCCUAAGAAGUUGCACUUUUUAGAGUCUCUUUGAUCUUUGUUUUGUACCUUGUUCCUUUCCCCCUUUUUUAUGCUCAUAGAUCUUUGCAAAUUGAUGAUUCAUGCCAUAACAUUACAUCAUGAAGUUCCCAAAGAAGCAAUUAGUCGAGAUUAAGCCUCUAGCCCUCGCUAAGUCUUACAUUCAUCUUCCCAGGGAAGUUUGAAACUCCGUUCUUGCUCUAUUUUUCAAUUUUUUUUUUUUUGGUGAUGUACAGGCAAAGGGCAUUGACUUGUACUCAUUCAUCUCCUUUGGCCCUAGAACAGAAGUACAAGAUCAGACGCAGUGCCUCUAUAUAAUUUCAUGAAAUCUCCUCAUCUUUGUUGAAUAGUCAACACAACCCCACUUUAUUUUUGAGGACUCCUAUAAGGACAGGGUGCAUUCAUUUCUCUUGUCUUUGCAAUAUUUGUCCAAGAAGGUAUGGCAUCUUUCCCAAGGCCAAAAAACAAAAAGAGUCAAUAUAAGUAUGAUGUUUUCCCAAGUUUCCGAGGUGAAGAUAUACGCAAAAACUUUGUUGACCAUUUGCACGAUCAUCUACUGCGAAGAGGAAUCAUGGCCUUCCGAGAUGAUCACCACCUAGAUCUUCCGAGGGGAAAAUGUAUUAAACCUGAAAUAUUGGGGGCAAUAGAACAGUCAAGACUUGUACUUGUGAUAUUCUCUAAAAACUACACUUCUUCUACUUGGUGCCUGGAAGAAGUUGCUAAGGCUGUGGAGUGCAAGGAUAUCAAUGAAGGAUCAGUGAUACCAAUCUUCUACGAGGUCGAUCCAUCUGACAUACGAAAAUUGAGGGCAAACUUUGGGACAGGCUUUACUAAAAUUGAGGAAGCUUAUUCGGGUGACAAGAGAGAUAUAAAGAAGUGGAAGGAUGCAGUGAGUGAAGUAGUUGGUCUUGCUGGCAUAGAAUUGAAAGAUGGGUGGGCCUCUCUUCCUCUAACUUGGAAUGAUUUGUUUUCCCUAGUAUUUGCAUGCCACUCAUGUCAUGACCGUCAUACUCUGUAUUACGUUAGUUCAUUUGAACCAUAAUACACUCCAGAACUAAAAAGCAUCAAUGCUUUCUGGGGAACUAAUCAUCUGCAUUUCUUCGUUGCAGAUAUGAGACCAAGUUUAUUCAACAAAUCAUUAGAGAAGUCGAAAAUAAACUGGGUCCUCGGCUGCCCUAUGUCGUAGGCAACCAUGUGGGAAUGCACUCCCGCGUUGCAAAUGUAGUUGAAUGUUUAUGCUUGGACAAGAGUGAUGUGCACAGUAUUGGCAUGUGGGGUAUGGGUGGCAUAGGCAAAACAACUAUUGCACGAGUAGUUCAUGACAAAAUCCGUGGCCAAUUUAAUGAUGGAUGUUGUUUUCUUGCCAAUGUUAGAGAAAUUUCAAAAAAGAAUGGUCUGGUGUAUCUACAAAACCAGUUUCUUGGCGAUAUUCUCCACAACGACAAUUUGAGAAUUAGGGAUGAUCACAGAGGUGUGAACAUGAUAAAAGAACGACUACAACAUAAAAAAGUUCUCAUUAUACUUGAUGACGUGGAUGAAAAGGAGCAAUUGGAAAAAUUAGUAGGAGGUUUUGAUUGGUUUGGAAGUGGAAGUAGGAUCAUUAUAACAACCAGAGAUGAACAUUUGCUUCUCCAAUAUGGAGUGAAUUCCAUAUAUAAGGUGGAGGAACUAUCCUUUGGUGAGGCUCUCCAGCUAUUUUGUUUGAAAGCUUUUAGAAGUAACCAUCCUCCAAUAGAGUUCAAUGAGCUCGUGGAGCAGGUUAUUAGAUAUGCUAAUGGCCUUCCUCUAGCCCUUGAUGUCUUGGGUUCCUUUUUGGCUUGUAGGAGCUCGAUGCAAUGGAAGAGUGCACUGGCCAGACUCAAAGAAUGUCCAGAAGAGAAAAUUUUUGACCGACUUAGGAUAAGUUAUGAUGGACUACAGCAGAAAGAGAAGGAGAUUUUCCUAGAUAUUGCCUGUUUUUUCAAGGGAAAUGAGAAACCUUACGUUAUAGAAGUACUGGACAAUUGUGGGUUCUACGCAGAUAUUGGAAUCGAAGUGCUUGUUGAUAAAUCUCUUAUCCAAAUUGUGGACAACAAACUGUGGAUGCAUGAUUUGCUACAAGAGAUGGCUUGGGAAAUUGUUCGUCGAGAGUCUCCUGAAGAGCCAGGAGAACGAAGUCGAGUUUGGCUUUUUGACGAUGUAUGCCAUAUUUUGUCAAAAAACUCGGUGAGUAACUGCAAAGUUAAUUUGCAAGCAUGCUUAUUUGAUAUAGGAAAGAAAAACUUGCUAGUCAUGUAUUGACACUAUGUGAGUUGUUUAUCAGGGAACUAGAAAAGUCAAAGCCAUAGUUUUGCAAUCUAGGGACUGUAGAACAGUGCGCUUGAAUGGAGAGUCAUUCACAAACAUGACUAACUUAAGAUUGCUUGAUGUUCGUGCCAUCCACCUUUCUUCUGGGUUGAAGCACCUUUCAGAUGAACUAUGCUUGCUAAGAUGGGACAACUAUAGUCUUAGAUCAUUUCCACCAAGUUUUCUUCCAAAGAAUCUCGCUGAACUCCAUAUGCAAGAUAGCUUCCUUUGCAGCUUCUGGAGAGGGGAAAAGGUUGGAAUAAGUACUCAUGCAUUUUAUGCUUCAUCAUACACUUUAUUAUGUUUAACAAGCUAAUAAAAUUGUUCAACCAUUUUUUUUCUAGAUGCGGGUCUUAGAGAAGUUGAAAGUUAUCAACCUCAGUGGUUCCAUAUUAUUUGUGGAGACUCCAAACUUCAUAUAUGUCCCAAAUCUGGAGAGGCUAAUUCUCAAAGGUUGCAAAGCAUUUUCUCAAGUUCAUUCUUCAAUUGGAAAUCUAGAAAGACUCAAUCUACUUGACUUGGGUGACUGUGAAAACCUCACGAGACUUCCGGAUAGUGUAGGUAAUCUAAAAUCUCUUAGAGUUCUUAAUCUAUCUGGAUGUUCAAAUCUUGAAGAACUACCUGUGAGCAUCGGGGGCUUAGAGUGCUUAGAGGAGCUUGAUAUUAGUGAAAGUGCCAUAACACACCUCCCAUCUAGCUUGACAUUCUUACAAAAUUUGAAAAAAUUAUGCUUUCAAGUUAGUAAAAGGAGGCCACAAAAUUUUUGGAGGACACUGAUGUGUCCGUUGAGAAGAGCUCUGAACUCUAGGCAUCCACGGUUGCCUUCAUUUUUAGGGCUAUCCUCUUUGACAGAGUUGGAUCUGAGUGGCUGCAGUCUUCUGGAAGGAGAAAUUCCCAGUGAUAUUGACUACUUACCCUCCUUGAGGUCUUUAGACCUAGCCAAAAACAAUUUUACCACAAUAACUGCAAGCAUCGAACAUAUUUCUGGCCUGGAAUUUCUCAUAUUAAAUCAUUGCAAAAAUCUUGAAGUGUUACCAAGACUUCCGGAAAGCAUAAUUGUUGUGGCGGCUGAGAAGUGCCUCAGAUUGGAGAGGAUAUCAAACCCGUUCAUUAUAUGCACAGUACCUGACUCAGGGGUUUGCUUCCUUAAUUGCUCCAGUUUGCUUCCACAAGAUCUUGAUUUAACUUUGCAGCAAAAAUACUCCUUGUCGUUGCUUCGUUACAUCAUUUGCUGUUCCAUGAGAAUGAUUUCAGGAAAUUAUGUGGUGUGUCCAUGUCUGCAAUGUGAAAUACCGGAGUGGCUUAGCUACCAAGCAGUUGGACCUUUGUUGAGCAUAGAAAUGCCCCCUAAUUGGCAUGACAAUAGCUGGAGAGGGUUUGCCAUAUGCGCAUCUUUUAAACAAAUCAACUGCAGCUCCUGUUAGGACCUAGAAAAUGAUCACUUCAUAUUUUGUGGGUUCUAUGUUGAUGGAAAUUGGUUAGGUCCCUUAUUUAAGUUUCCCAUCAGAUUUGUCAAUUCAGGUUGCCUUUGGCUAGGUUAUGUGUCGAGUACUCAAUUUCCACGUGAUACAAAUUGGGAGACAAUGUUAAACCACAUUGUCGUUUCAUUUAUGAUCACUAACCCUAGGUUAAAGGUGGAAAAGUGUGGUGUUCAUGUGGUUUACGAGCAGUGUCCAAGAAAGUUUGAUGAUAUUUUAGUCAAGUGGUCUAGUUCAUCGCCCAGGGAUUGGUAUAGAAUCUACCAUGAGUUUCAACCUCGAAGGGAGUUCAAUAGUGUCUUCAAAUAUUCCAUUGAUCCGGAUCUGUACAGAGUGAAUGAAGGUGUAAUGAGCCGUGGUGCCUCUGAGGCUAAGUUCCUCCCAUUCAUUGGAAGUCGUGUACGAGUGGAGUAUCUAUAUUUGCUUUGGCAUCCUUCAAGACUUCGACUAGUGUCUCUUUGUGAUUUCAAUGGAAGGUAAUCACUACUAGAUUUGAUCAAUUGUUGGGGCGUGGGUUAGACCUUUCAAAAUCCAGAUAGACUACAAAAAUUCAUGUUAAUCCUAACCUAAAAAUCUAGAAUAUCACCACUGGCACCAACAUCUCCAAAAUAAUCAGGGAAAUAAUUUUUGCUGGCUUUUGUGUUUCGCUUCUCACCGUUACAAAAUAUUUCUUUCAGGUUUCGGAAGAACUGUCAAGUGUGGUCAGUGUUUGUUAAUUUAAGGAAGAAACUUCACCUUGCACCGUAAGUGGAUUCUUUCUUUUCGAAAAACUUAUGUCAUACUUUAAUACUAUAACGUAUAUUUCGAUCAAAUACUAAUUUCACUUUUUUAGCUUUUUGGACGAAUUCAUGAUUUCCAAUUUUCCAACUGACUAUAUUUUUACUUUGACUAUUUCCUCUGAAAUUAUAGUUCCAAAUACAAAUUGUAAUGUAUUGCUAAUCUACGAUUAGAGUUUUAGGCAUAUCUAAGUCUCUUUAAUGGCAGCCAACUCCAUGUUGAGUUUUUGUCGGCUAAAUAUCUCUCCCUUGUGGCGCGCGCCCAACGAGGCCAAGAACCCUAAUGAGCUUUUUUUGUAAACCUUACGGAUUAUUAAACCCACACCAUUAAUUUUUCUUUAAUUAGGUGAGGCCACACCUGUACGUUUUUUUUCUAAGGGUAGGAUAAUUUAAAUAUGUCGAGUUCUUCCAUCUCUUUCUUUAGCUUUUGUAUUUACCUAUAUUUCCUUUGCAUACUCAUCAUGGAGAUUUUUUUUUUUUUUGGUCGAAAUCAUGGGAGAUUGAUCUUUCUAUAAAAUCAUCUCUUUCCAGAUUUGCUUCAAGAUAUGUUUACAAGAGCAUGGUGGAUGUCGCCAAGGAACCGUCAUCUUGAAGCUGACAGCUACCGUUUGUUUAUGUCAUGCUCUUUUGAAAAUUGAUAUUAAUUCGAUUAUGAGUGCCAUUAUUGAGAAUGUCUUGAGUUUGAGCUGAGCUACCCCAUUUAAAUAGUUUUUAAAGUUUUAUUGAUUUUCUAAAUUGAGUAGUUUUCCUACAAAUAUUACAUAUAUAAAGGAUGAAAUUCUACUAGAUUAUUAUGAAAUAAGAUGGCUGUUUGAGUUUUAUCUGCUGAGUGAAAAUUGCAGUAUCUCCUUUGAAAAAAUCUCUCGCUUAUGUUAGAGUUUUCUCUCGCGUGAUGUUCGAGCUCUUCACUAUGUCUUCGAUUUCCUCAGCUCCUUCUCUGAACUUUGCGGUCUUUAUGCAUCACCGUCGUUCUCCGCCCACUUCACCUUAGCUAUUUCUCCUCGUCCUUCCUCCUUCUGCAUGCGCAAUUUCUUCUACCUGGGUCCGUUGUUUUUUGUUUUCCUGCAAUUCCCCGCCAUUCCUGCUCUGCAUGUAGCCGAUCUGCAACAUGCAAUCUUCGAAACUCUUCGAUUUAGUCAGCUGUUCUUUCAAUCUUCCAUAUUAACGUCUGUCUAUUCACUUUACUAAUGGAAGACAGUGAUAAUACCUCACGAAUUGCUUCCCUCUGUAAUCGCCUGGGCCGGUUAUGCUCAGACCAGCCGUUGGAGGUUUGGGAUAACAUCCCUGCGUCGGCCAAACUAAAGGAUUGUCGUCUCAUCCUGGUAGGCAACAUAUUUACCAAUCCUUCGGUGAAUUUAUCUGCCUUUCAAGUUGCUAUGAAGAAAGCUUGGAGAAUGGAUCAUGUAGACAUCACUUCGGCAGAUACAGGGCUAUAUAUCAUCAAAUUUAGAACAGAAGUGGAGAAGCGUCGUAUUCUGGAUGGUAGCCCUUGGUUAUUUUCUGGUCACUUAGUUAACCUACGUCCAUGGCAACCUAAUACUCCAUUGCAACAGUAUGAUUUCGGCAAAUGUAUGUUUUGGGUGCAUAUUAUUGGCUUACCUUUGGAGUGGACUUCUCCACCUAUUUUGCGUCGAGCUGCAUCCCAGAUAGGUAAAGUACUGGAGGUGAAAACAGAUAUUUCUGCAAGAAUACGGAUAGAGUUAGAUUUGAAAGAUCCUCUGAAAAAUGGUAAACUUAUUAGUAUUGAAGGUAAAACCGUAUGGCUUGAUUUUCGGUAUGAGCGACUAUCCCAUUAUUGCUACUCCUGUGGACGGCUUGGUCACUAUGCAACUUCCUGUCCUGAGUUUCCAUAUGUUGAAACACAAUUUGAUGGCCGUGACACGAUGGUUUAUGGACCUUGGCUCAGAGCUGAACUUAAACAAUUUAGCCCUUACUAGGAUGCCUUUUACAAUCCUAAAAUCCAAGUUGAGUCCAUGGAAGAGACAGUACCUGAAACUCCUCCUCCAAUGCAGCCUGCUCUUCCAGCUCUCCCUCCUAUCCCUGCUACAGAGGUUGUUAUUUCGAACCCUGAAUUACCUCAAGGGGCUUCCAAGCAAUGGCAUCCGGUUACCUCCACGCCUCUCACUACUGAUUUAGUUCCUGCAGCAGCAAAGAUGAAAAACACUCAGACUUUUCCAGUGGAUACUCAACAGCAGAAGAGGCCGAAGAUUCCACGGCCAAUGCCACAUGGGGGUUCCAGUAAAAAAACCAAAAGAUACACACCAUAUGAACUCAAAGUUCCAUACUCAACAGAUCUUGAUGAGUCCCUUCUUCUUGAUACUCCGGUUGUGGAGGCAGAUAUCCCUGAUCCUUGGGCUUUGGCGGCUGGCCCUCAACAGCCACCGUGUUCCAAAUGAAGCUCCUCAGUUGGAAUUGUCAGGGGUUGGGCAAUCCCCUGACAAUUCAAGCCCUCAAGGCGAUGGUAGCCUGUGAUAAGCCCGAUUUUGUGUUUUUAAUGGAAAUGAAGAAGGAUAAACACUUCGUAUCUAAGAUUCAGCGUAAGUUUAAAUUUUCUAACUCUUUUGUGAAGGAUCCUGAUGGUUUAAAGGGUGGUCUGGCUCUGUUCUGGAAUGAUAAUUUCGAAGUUACCUUGGUAUACUCGGAUGAUCAGUGUGUUGAUUUUGUUGCACUUGAUCCUAGGACGAACUCUUCCAUGCAUAUCACUUGCCUGCACGCACCUCCAAUAUAUCAGCUACGUCAGGAAUUCUGGAAUACCAUUCGAGUUAUUCAUGCUGCAAAUCACUUACCGUGGCUGUGUAUAGGUGAUUUCAAUGACUUCCUUUCUCCCUGGGAAAAAAUGGGCAAGCGACCACCAAUUACUUCGCGUAUGACCUCCUUUCGAAAUGUGAUCAAUGAUUGUGCAUUACUCGAAAUUCAAAGUAAAGGUUGUGAAUUUACCUGGUCCAAUAAUCGCGAAGGGGAUGCUCUAGUAAAGGAGAAGCUGGAUCGUGUAUUUUGUUCACUGGAAUGGUUGCUGUUUUACCCUUCUGCAGAAGCAUUUGCCCUUCCGUCUGUUGGUUCGGAUCAUUGUCCUAUAUUGCUGCAAACUCGGCCAUCAUCUGUCAAACGUGCAAAGACUUUUCAAUAUGAAGCUUUCUGGAACCAAGAUACAGAGUGUAAAGACAUGGUUCAACAGGCUUGGGACAAUAGUAGUACCUCAUUGAUAUCCAAAUUACAAGCAGUUGCAACGCGAUUAACAAAAUGGAGUAAAUCUCGGUUCAGUAAUUGUCAUCAACGCAUCCAUCACUUGCAAUCUCAACUGCAGAUGAUUAUAAAUAGAACAUCCUAUCAGGAAGGGGAUAAGGAGUAUGCCAAUGCAAUACGAUUUGAAAUUCAGAAACUAUGGACUCAAGAUGAACAGUUCUGGGCUAUGCGUUCUCGUAUUCAAUGGUUAAAAUGGGGCGAUCAUAAUUCAAGGUUCUUCCAUGCACAUACUAUGCAAAGGAGACAACGAAAUCGAAUUACUAUGCUAAUGGAUACUCACCAGCAAUGGAUCAGAGAACCAAAACAGCUAAAAGACCUCACUCAGGGCUUCUUUUCUCAGCUUUACCGAUCUGUAGGCCACAGGGCUUUUAGGCCUUUCCUCGAUCAAUGUCCACCGGUGGUAACUCCUGAAAUGAAUACACAUUUGAUGCGCAGGGUAACAGAGGAGGAGAUUUACCAAGCUACCUUCCAGUUGGGAGCGUCAAAGGCUCCUGGUCCUGAUGGUCUUCCAGGCCUCUUCUAUCGGCAUCACUGGCAUGUUAUAAAAGCAACCGUCAUUAAAACAGUACAGGAGUUCUUUACCACAGGUUGUAUGCCCCCUACUCUAAACAGAACAAUCAUUGCCCUAGUUCCUAAAGUCCAGCAUCCAGAAAGUAUAGAACAAUACCGUCCCAUAAGUCUUUGCAACUUUGCUUACAAGAUCAUCUCAAAAAUUAUGGCCAACAGACUUAAACCUUUACUGUCUAUUUUGAUUUCCAAAGAGCAAGCAGCAUUUAUUAGCAAUAGACAGAUUCAGGACAACAUUAUGGUGGUUCAAGAAGUCAUGCAUCAAUUUAAAGUGCGAGCAUGCAAGAAACGCUUCAAUCUUAUUCUCAAAACAGACAUGCAGAAAGCUUACGAUUGGGUUGAAUGGGAUUUUUUAGAAGCCUAUUUGAAGCAAUUGGGAUUCCAUGACAGCUGGGUUACUCAGGUAAUGGCUUGUGUUACUACAGUCUCUUUUAGUGUUCGGUUUAAUGGUGAACAGCUCCCUUAUUUUAAGCCUACUCGAGGGAUUCGCCAAGGUGAUCCCCUCUCUCCAUAUCUCUUCAUUUUAAUUGCAAAUGCUCUAUCCACUACUCUUACUCAAGCUGUUGCUAUUGGCCAUAUAAAGGGGAUUCAAUUCAAUCGAGACUGUCCUAAAUUAUCUCACCUGUUUUUUGCUGAUGAUUCCGUAUUUUUCCUUAAAGCCACUCUCUCUGAAUGCCAUAACCUUGCCAAUCUCCUAAACCAAUAUUGUGUUGCUACAGGCCAGCUUAUUAAUAGAAACAAAUCUGGUGUAUUUUUCAGCAAAUACUGUCCUAUCUCAUUACAACAAAAUCUUGCACAAGAAUUAAGAGUCCCUAUUCUCAGUAAGUAUGGUAAAUACCUGGGCAUUCCCUCGGAUUGGGGCCGUUCCAAAAAGGAGAUGUUUUCCUGGAUCCUGGCAAGAGUAAAUGCUAAGUUAGCAGGUUGGCAGGAAAAAUUUUUAUCGAAAGGAGGCAAGGAAAUCUUAUUGAAAUCAGUAAUUCAAGCCUUACCACAGUAUGCCAUGUCUAUCUUCAAGCUUCCGUUGUCUCUAUGCAGAUUGAUUGAACGAAAGAUCUCAGCAUUCUGGUGGAGUAAACAAAAUAGUCAAUCUGGAAUUCACUGGAAACAAUGGUCAGAAUUGAAGCUCUCAAAAGUUGCAGGGGGGAUGGGAUUUAGAGAUUUAAUCAACUUUAACACUGCAAUGCUUGGAAAGCAAGCAUGGCGUUUAUUUCAGCAACCUCAAGCUAUCUGGAGUCAGCUCUUUAAGGGUUUAUAUUUUCGCUAUUCAUCUUUUCAAUCUGCUCCCUCAGGACAUCGUCCUUCUUGGGGAUGGCAGAGUUUAUUAAGGGGUCGUCAAGCAAUUACUCCUAAACUACGCUGGUUAGUCGGAGAUGGCACGAAGAUACACAUCAGAGAAGAUAAUUGGCUGCCAUUAGGCCCGAUAGGAGGCUUACCAGAGAUAGGGGAGCCUGACCGAGUGGCUGAACUCAUUGAUUUUGUGCAUUCCGAAUGGAAGUCCACGCUUGUUACUACAUUCUUCGAUGAUCAGGUCAGUAAGGCAAUUCUCAAUACCCCUAUCACUCCAUCUCUCCUUCAGGAUCAACUAGUUUGGACAGAAACUCCUUCUGGUACCUACACAGUAAAGAGUUGUUAUCAUUCUCUAUCUAAACAAUCUCAGCCACCACUAAACCAGCCCUCAUCUCGUAUACUAACCCACCCAUGUUAUGGAGGCAAAUUUGGCACAUGUGUACAACCCCAAAGCUUAAGGUUUUUCUCUGGUUAGCUUGCAAAAAUGCCAUUGCUACAAAACUCAAUCUUUAUCAACGCCAUAUCACCCCUCACCCUUUUUGUUCUCUAUGCAAUCAAUCUGUUCCGGAAUCAGUAGAGCAUAUCUUUUUUUUCUGUCCAUGGACAACUGAAAUUUGGACUCACGAAGACAUAGGCGUCAAAAUUUUACCUACCUCAGUGAACCGAUUAGAUGCCUGGUUAGUAGAAAGAGCUUCCCUCCCACACGCAUCUCCUGAGUUUGCUGUGAUCGCCCAUCUUCUAUGGGAGAUUUGGAGACAGCGGAAUAAUGCUAUCUUUCGUCAGAUCCCUCUUGAUCCCCGUCAGGCCGUCAAUGAUGCCCUAGCCCAAAACACCAUCUUCAAGUUUUUACAGUCCUCGCCACAGAAGAUGGAACAGACGAUGGUCAGUUCUGAAUAUAGAUGGCAACCACCAGCGGAGGGGUAUAUUAAGUGUAAUAUUGAUGGGGCUUUUCGGCAAGAAUCGGAGAAAGGAUCAAUCGCUUGUGUUUUCAGAGAUAGUAGAGGCAUUUUAACAGAUAUGCUUACCCAAUCGGUGCCUGCCCAAUCGGCGUUCCAAGCUGAGAUUUACGCCCUCAUAUUUGCUAUUCAACGGCUGCUCCACAAGAAUCUCCAUCCUCAGCAUGUUGUCAUCGAAUCUGACUGCUCAACACUGGUGGAGAUCAUUCGGAUGAACAAGCCGCCGCCAUGGAAGGAACGCUCUCUCUUUGCGACCCUCAGCGAUCUUCUUCAGCGAUGCCCUAACCUUUCGCUUCAACACGUUCGUCGACAGGCAAAUGGUGCAGCGGACUGGGCCGCUAAGGCCCACAGGGAUCAAGGCCCUCAACCAAACUGGCUUCUUUUCCCGCCUUCUAAUUUCCUCAGUAUUAUCUCUUCGGAUGCUUCGGCUUUUAUUUGUAAUGUUACCUAAUAUAUUACAAGUUAUCUUUUUACCAAAAAAAAAAAAAGAUGGCUGUUUGAAUUUUCUCUCUUUGAAUUUACUGAAUGAGCUCUUUGUGAAAAAAUGUGAGAUAACAACUAACGGUUUGUUUUGAUUGAGAUUGAAGGCUGGAAAACACUUGAGCAAUCAAACAAUGAUAAAUUCUUUAGUUUUUGGAUUCAUAGUGGAUUUCUUGGCAAUUGACUCUUUUUGUAAAUAAUAUAUACUAACGUUCAAACAGAACAAUGUAAAUCUUGUUCUUAUUGUCAUUUGUUAAUUUUUCUGGUAAUUUCUUUUUCUUGCAUUAAACUUGACUUACAAAAUUCGUCAGUUUGGCGUUAUUUUCAAAUAGUGUUGGUGCAAAGCUCUCAAGGUGAGAUCUCUAGGGGAGAUACCAGAUUGUUACGCAAGCUUGAAUGGUUAUAUUCAUGAGGUGGCACCUAUGACUAGCAUUGGCUCUCCCAAGCUAUAUCCAUCAUAAUUUGGUUUUCUUUUUCAAUUACCUAGUUUAAUUUACUUAGAAGGUGUCACUAACAGGAUCAGUUAUGAGCCCCGUAAGGCGAGGGGGUCAUCCUUUCUACUACGAAUUAGAGAUUCACAAUUUAGAAACUUGAUUACUCUAUAGGAAAUUUAAUGUCCUUUCCUUUCCGUGCAUAUCUCUUUUAUGAAAUCAAUUUGCAUGCAAUCUCUUCAAUUUUAUUCCGUAAGUCAACACAAUGUGUGUGUCUAUAUAUAUAUAUAUAUAUUUAUAUUAUGAAUGGGUGCACAAGUAAAAAAAUAUAAAAUCAAGCAAUAAAGACAAAUAAAGAAGGGAAAAAGCCACAAAAAAAUCUCAAUAUUCAUCAAUUGUUAUACAUUUAUCCAAAACAUUUUUUGCGUCAUGAAACACCCCAAACUUGUACCGAAUGACACAUUCAUCCCAAACUUUUUUCUGUGAUACCAAAAACCCGCCAAACUUAUAUUUGUGACACAAGAAAAUCUCAAAAAAAAAAAAAAUUGUGACACAAAAAAUCCCAAGCUUAUAUUCGUAUGACAUAUUUAUCCUAAAAAUUUGGUGUCACUGAAAGAAUUUAAGAUUUUUGAUAUCACAAAAUAAUUUAGGAUUUUUAGUGUUAUAAAAAUAAAAAAUAAAAAAUAAAAAAAGCUAAGUUGUUUGGCUUUGGACACUUCAUUGCAGAGGUCCCAGGGUUUAAACUUCACAACUGCUAACAUGUCUUAAGUGGGGGGCCAUGGUGGUAGGAUUAUGUGCUAGCUUCCCCCCAAGAUAUUGAUGCUUAGUCCAAGGUGCACCGUGCACUCUGUGGGCCGUGGGGUGCCUGGCAUAAGCCCCGGUGGGCUCGGCGGAGCAUAAAAUAAAAAUAAAAAAGUUAUGGGUAAAUGUGUCACAUUAUAUAAUUUUAGAGUAAAUGUAUCACAAUAGACGUAGUUUAGGGUUUUCGAUGUAGUUUAUGGUUUUCCGUAGCCUUUAUCCAAUAAAUAAUGAGGAAAAUAAAGACAGGUGCCGUAUCUUGUAAAUUUAAACAAGGCCUUGUUAUUAACUCUCAUAGGAUUCUCAAAACCUACGUGCACUAAACAUGGCUAAUAUUAAUACUCAAUCCGAUUCAUCUUUGGAUCAAUCAAAGAAAUUUUUGGCAGUUAUCAUCGAUAAAAUUUUAUAGUAGUAUUCCACUGCUCUUGUGUCAAGCACAUUUAUGCCUUAAGCUCUAUUUAUUUCGUAAAAGAUAAUGAUUUGAAAUAUAUUUUCUCUAAAAUUAAUCACUUAUAUUAUUUACAAAAAUGAAUGAAUGAAGAAUAUUUUUGUCGUCCACGAAAAUAGUUAAACAUAUAUUAUGAUAACAUUUUCCUUAACUAAUUAUUUUAUGCGAUACAAACAAUUAUUUUUAGAAAAAAAUAUUUUUAAAUUAUUUAUUUAAUGAGAAACAAACAAAGUGUUGCAGAUAGUUAAUGCACUUCAUUUAUUUUUAUCAGAAAAGAAAAAUCCUCUUUAUAAAUUUUUUAAAAUCAAAAGUUUCUACUUCUUCAAAAUAAAAUACCAUUAUUUUUUUUCCGUUAAACUAUUUCGCUAUCGAUGUAAGGACCCGGGCCCUACUGUAUAAUAUUGUCCGCUUUGGACAUUGAGUCCUCAUGGCUUUAAAACGCGUUAUGUAGGCGUUAUAUAGAUUAAAGGGACCCAAGCCUUUAUAAACUAGCCUAGGACUCCCCCCCUAAGCGAUGUGGGACUCAUGGCUUUAAAACGCAUUAUGCAGGUGUUAUACAGAUUAAAGAGAAUAAUAUUGUUCGCUUUGGACACUGAGUCCUCAGUGCUUUAAAACGCGUUAUGCAAGAGUAGAGGGCCAUUCCUCGGGCCAUCCCUCUCCCAAGCCAUAAUAUUGUCCGCUUUGGAGGCACGGCCCACCGGCCUGUCCUCCCUCACGUCUUUGUUUUCAGUGAAGCGGAAGCGUACGUGAAACACGUUAUACGAAUUAAAGGGACCCAAACCUUUAUAAACCAGCCCAGGACUCCCCCCCCCCCCCCCUAAGCGAUGUGGGAAGGGAGACAUGCCCUUGGCCUCACCCGCGUAUUGCCAAGGCGAUCUCAGUCCAUCUCUCCAUACUGCCCCAAGUCUGGAUCGUCACAAUCGAUGGAUAUUUAUUCAACAUAAAUAGUCAAACUGCUAACAUGAAUCUCUGUUACACACCUUUUGUGUCAUGAUACGCUCAGAGUUUUUAUGUGACACUACCUAAAUAUCAAACUAACAAAGCAAUACAAAUUUUAAAGAUAAACAAAACACUAUUUCAUCUUCCCGUAGAAACAAAAUCCUAGCCCUCAAUUACCCACGUCCUAAACCUCCCACACCACCGGUCACCGCCCUCCACCAUUGCCCUGGUGCCUUGGACCAUCCUGCCCACACUCGCCGCGGUCCUUCGGAUCCGAGCAGUGAGCAGCAAUGGAUGCCGAGCGGAUCAUGGCUAUAAAUCCUGCAAAACUGGACAAGAACUACGACAGAGUUUAAUCCAUAGAUUAAGCGCCAACAAAAUUAAGCAAUCUUGUAUUUUGUUCAAAUAUUGAUGAUUCCCUUGAUUUUUUUUUUUUUUUUGUUGGAUGAUUCCGUCAUCCAUCAAAACGUAUAAAAAAAAUAAAUAAAUUGGUUCUUCUACCAACUCUUGGCAAAAAUGAAUAGUCGCAAAUCAAAUGAAAGUCCUAAAGGAUUAACAUUCUUCUCCAAGCGGAAUGAAGAAUCUUGUCAUUCAGAAUUUGAGGUUCAUUAGGGCCUUAUAUAGCUUCAUUUUUCCAUUUUAAGUAGAACUUUACAAGGCGCGAUAUGCAGUUAAUUGACGAAUCACAGAAAAGAAAUUUUUAUUAUAGUGUCUGUGACACUUUGAGCACACAUAUAUGACAACAAAACAAUACUCGAUCCUAGGCAUCUUUCGAUCAAUCAAAGAAAUUACUAGCAGAGAGAUGAGACCCUAGCUCGUCCAUUGAUUGACUCAUCGAGACACAAAGUCAUCAAUUAGUUCAUGCGACAAAUCAUAUGCAUAGUCCAAGUUGUUGUGACGUCAUUGUUGUGGUUCGAUGAGGAUAAGAAACAAAUCCACCUUGGCCUAUUUUCUAAUAUCUAUUUGACUAUUAACCGAAAAAAAAAAACUUAUGCUUCAUGCCGACGGAUUGGAGAUACACGUUGAUUUACUUAUUGAACUUGGCAUUUUACAAUUCUAUUAUCUUAAUUCGACCACUAGUCAUGUGUUGUGGAAUUGUUCAAAUUGUGUACAUUUAACAUGUGUCAUGUUCACCUAAUGACAUGAUUUAUAAAGCUCACAAUCUCCUCGGGGUUUGCUCAUAUUGAUCACCAACCCUGUCCCCUUUAUUUGGCGUGUGUAACGUGGUCUACUUCUAUUAUUGGUCAUCCUCGAAACAUGUUGGGACUGCAUUCUUAGAUCUCAUUGGAUUGGUUCAGUUAUAGCCCAUCUAUGAAAUACAUUUAAUAGAGGGGGGUUCUGCUUCGAUAUCAUCUAUGACCACAUACAUCGUUUAACGCUAGUCAAACCUAGAAAAAAAAUAUAAAUGACUAUAUGAGAUAGUGGCUAUUUGCAAUGAUUAAUAAGUGUCCCAAGUAAAGUAUGUUUAAGGAGUGUGAAGACCCCCCCCCCCCCCCAAUCAAAAUAUAGGUACUUUGCUAAUUGGCCAUACUCUUCCAUGAAGAAAACUUUCUCUGACAAAUUAUUGAGAGGUUAUAAAUUGGUCAUUACCUCCACUUAUUUUUUAUUAAGUUGACAUAUGAUUGCUAUCUAUAUUUUGAAAGUAAUCGAAAAUGCCUAAUUUCUAGAUUAGUAGAAAAACACUACCAUUUUACUAACUAAUAAACGUGAUCAUUAGGCUAAGCGUGCAUUAUAUAUUUUAAAAAAGCUCUCCCACGAUAUAAAUUUUUUAUAUAAAGUUUCUAUUUAGGCCGAACUGAGCUUUAUAAUGUAAGGACGUCACUCAAGUUGGUCUAUUUUCUAUUCAAGGCGCUUGCCUGGUGAUCACCUUUAUUGAUCGGAUCCGUAAUCAAGGAAGAAAUAUCGCAUGGUCUACAAAUUCUAUAGACCAAACCUAUCUCUACCGUUGAUCAUAUCGGCUCCGUGAUAGGUCCUCCACAACUAAUGAUUGGGAUGAUAAUGGCCAAUAGAGUGGACGAACCAGCAAUAACUUCUCCAUGUUAAGCUGGUUGGCCGAGCAAUUCAACUCAAGCAGCCGCAAUCGUUGUUUGCCACUUGGAAUGUGAACGCAUCACGAAGCCAUCUCCAAGUUCACAUGAUCGAAAUUGUGAAAACUCAAGAGAGAUAAAUUUUGGCAAAAUAUUGUCUCGAGGAAAAUUUUAUUAUAUUGAGAGCUGUAUGAAUCUUUGUAUAAAGGAGCCAAUAUAUAACACAGAGAAUGAUUAAUAAAAAGAAAUAGUAUAUUUUCCUAAUCUAGGUGUAUCAAUUCUAAUUAUAGAUUUAUUCAAUUAAUUAAUGUGAAGAUUCAAGAGAGAUAUCUCUCGGGUUAUCUUCCUUGAAGAGGAAGUUUUGGUGAUUAUGAGAUGUCUCUUAGGUAAUCUUCCUUGGAGAGAAAGUUGCCAUGAUUGUUCGGCGAUUCUGGAUUAUUCAUCGUAGCUGGCAGUGUUUUCUUUGACAAUCUUUUUUGGAGAGGAAGGUGCGGUGAUUCUUGGAUGAUUUUGGAUUAUUCCUCUUAGUUGACAGUGUUUCCUUUGACGGAAAUCAUUUUCAGAUGAAAGGGAAAAAGAAAAGUCUCUUCGACCUUGAUGAGAUGCAGAGGGCGAGAGAAGUAAACACAGUGAAUUUACAAAUACGAUCUGCACAUGCAGAGCGCUGUGCCAAGUGAUGUCUACAUACAUGUAACUUCUUGAAAUAAUAGACUUAACACAGAUGAAGAUUGCUGCUUGGGAGUUGACUUAGGGAGAUCCCUGAGCUGUCAUGCCUUCACGGAACAGACCUAGAACGGAGGGAACCAAAGCAGAUCGAGGAUCCAAACCGAUGUUGUUCAUCAACUGCUGGGACUACCGCGAUAGACUUAGCUUCGGGUUGGACACCCCACUAGUCUUCAGCUAAACAGGAGAGGAGACCUAUCAAAUGAGUGAAUCAGGUUUAGGUCAGGUCAUAAAUAGUCUGACCUAAAUUGACCCAUUUAACCCAUUUAUGACCCAUUUAUCUUAGUGCAAAUUUUUUGAAUCAUACCCAACCCAAUCCAUACCCAAUCCAUACCCGAUCCAUUUAACUAAACCUAAAAAGCUUAUUUCUUAUAUAUAUAAAAUGGUAUUACUAAAAUACUUUCAUGCAAUACAAAUUUAAUGGACAAUUUUUAUAAUUUUUCUUAGAAUCUAAUGUUUAAUUAUUAUUAUUAUUAUUAUUAUUAUUAUUAUUAUUAUUAUUAUUUUAAAAAUAUAAUUUUUAAUGCUUUUUCUUUCUUCUUUUAUUUUUUCUUCUUCUUCAGCCGGCCGUUGGCCACAACGACCAUCGGCGAUUGGCCACAAGUGAGCUUGAGUCAGGCAAGUGCAAGGCUUGCUAGAUUGGUGAGGCUUGAGCCUCACUAGAUCCAACAAGCUCGAGCUUGCUCGACACUAGUGAGCUCAAGGUCUCCCAAGGUUCGUUCGAUCGGCGAGGCCUUCACCUUGCCCGCUCCGACAAGCUUGAGUUCGCCUGAGGCCAAUAGUCUAGAGCCUCACCUGGCUUGUUGCCGGUCGUCGCCAUGCCAACCACCAGCUAAGGAAGGAGGAAGAAGGAAAAAGAAAAAGGAAAAAAAAAACUAUAAUUUCAAUUUUUAUAUAAAAAAAUAUUUUUAUAAAGUUAAAGAGAAAAGAGAGUGCGGGGCUUGGCUUGAAAAUGAGUUCUAAGUCUAAUCCAUUUAAGACUUAUUUAUUUUAUGUUUUCAAUUUUCAAACCCAUUUAACCAAUCUCUUUAAAAAGUAAGUUACCCAGGUAUAUUUUAAAUGUGUCAUAUAUGGGUCUAAGGUCAUUUUGCCACCUCUAUGGGAGGGGAAAGAUGAAGAAGCAUCCACGACGGUGAGCUGCUUUCAUCUGACCUGCGAGUACUGCGAACCAAACGCUUUGACAGGUGACUCCACCGUGGAAGUAAAUGAUGAAUUGACAUGGGCUUUUACCUAUCGAGGAGCUGCAUUACCAUGCAGAAUUAUACUCGUGACAGAUGCUUUGCCCUGCGAUCGCGUAGAACUGAUCACUUGAGCUCGUGGAAGAAAAGUGUUCCCUUAUAGGCAUCCCAAUACACAUAUCGUAGUUCCAUUUAGGAUCAUUUAAGGCCUAAAAUCACGACGAAUCUCCUCCCGGAUGUCGGCGUUCCCUGCCCUAACAUACGGGAUCUAAUUCGGUGCCGUGCUGGGAAAGGAAAUUACAACUAGCUCGAUGACAUACGAUCGCGGCUUUUAGAAGAAAAAAUUAUGUAGAAUAAAGGAAAUUACAACUGGCUCCCCACGGCGGGAAAAGAGUAUGAAGUAACAUUACAAAUUUAAUAAUCGCCAACACAAAAAAACAGUCAUCUUUCUGGGGAGUUUCACUUGAGCAAUCCUUCAUAAGAACAGCUUCCGCUGAUCGUGGUCUUUCAAUUCGAGCCUUGACACAUUCGACCGGCUUCUGCAUUCAUCUCUUCGCUCGGACUCAAGCUUCUUCGAUUCUCAAGGUUUUCUCUAUCCUCUGCUUGAUUUUGAAUUUAGCUGUUCUUUGUUUGUCAAUUGUUAUAUGUAUUUCACUGUUUCUUAGCUCCAUGUGUAAGGGCGCACUUGAUAAUGUUUCCGUUUCUUUUUUUUUUCCCUUUCCUGAAACAAAAAUCCAUUUGCAUGAGUUUAUGUUCCUAGCAAUAGGUUUAGAAUAAAAACCAGAAAAAAAAUUGUUUUUCAUUCUUGAGAACAACUCAAGAAUCAAGUCCAAUUUUUUUUUCUUCCUUCUUUUUCUUUCUUUUUCUAUUCCUCCUCUUCUUCCCCUAAUUGAUUGCCGGCCUUGGUCAUGGCGGCCGACAACUAGCCAAAUGAGGUUCGGCACUUGACACUCUUGGUGAGGUCGCCUUGAGACUCACCAUUUGCUAGGCGAGGUACAUUCUAAGUCACAAAAAUAUUCGGAGAUCGUACCAACCACAUUUCUAUUUAAGAAUUAGAAAUUUUGUGCAAUUAUCAAACACAUUCUUUUGCUCAAAAACUUGUCCAAGGAACAAAAGAAAAAAAAUUAUUUCUAAACAGAAAUUGUUCUCAGGAGUGAAAACGUUACUAUACACACCUUGAGACUGCAAUUUCCUUUGGUUAUGAUUUCAAAAAAAAUUCGUAAUGUUAAAGGUGCAUUGAUUUUGUGCCGAUUUGACCAUUUUCUGCCCUUAGAAGUGCCCUGACCCAAUCCAAUUGCCCGAGAAGUUCCACUUUUUAGAGUCUCUCACUAUUUCUUUGUCACUUUGUUCUUUUCCCCUUUUCCUGGGCUCAUACAUCUUUGCAAAUUGAUGGUUCAUAUCAUAACAUCACGAAGUUCCCAAAGGAGGAAUUAGUCAAGAUUAAGCCUCCAACCUUGGGAAACUUACAUUCUUCUUCCAGGGGAUGUCUGAAACUCUCUUCUUGCUUUCUAUAUAUAUAUAUUUGGUUGAUGCACAGGCAAAGAGCAUUUACUUGUACUCAUCCAUCUCCUUUGGCCCUGGAUUGGGUNNNNNNNNNNNNNNNNNNNNNNNNNNNNNNNNNNNNNNNNNNNNNNNNNNNNNNNNNNNNNNNNNNNNNNNNNNNNNNNNNNNNNNNNNNNNNNNNNNNNNNNNNNNNNNNNNNNNNNNNNNNNNNNNNNNNNNNNNNNNNNNNNNNNNNNNNNNNNNNNNNNNNNNNNNNNNNNNNNNNNNNNNNNNNNNNNNNNNNNNNNNNNNNNNNNNNNNNNNNNNNNNNNNNNNNNNNNNNNNNNNNNNNNNNNNNNNNNNNNNNNNNNNNNNNNNNNNNNNNNNNNNNNNNNNNNNNAGUCACCUGAGGAGCCAGGAGAACGAAGUCGAGUCUGGUUUUUUAAGGAUGUAUGCCAUAUUCUAUCAAAAAACUCAGUGAGUAUCUACAAAAUUAAUUUGCAUGCAUGCUUAUAUUAUAUAGGAAAGAAAAACUUGCAAAACUUGCUAGUCAUAUAUUAGAACUAUAUGAGUUGUUUAUCAGGGAACUGGAAAAGUCAAAGCCAUAGUCUUGCCAUAUGGGGACUACAGAACAGUGCGCUUGAAUGGAGAGUCAUUCACAAACAUGACUAACUUAAGAUUGCUUGAUGUUCAUGCCAUCCACUUCUCUUCUGGGUUUAAGCAGCUUUCAAAUGAACUACGCAUGCUAAGAUGGGACAACUGUAGUCUCAAAUCAUUUCCACCAAGUUUUCUUCCAAAGAAUCUUGUCGAGCUCCAUAUGCAGGAUAGCCUCCUUUGCAGCCUCUGGAGAGGGGAAAAGGUUGGAAGUAGUACUCAUACAUGUCUAUACUUCAUCAGACACAAGCUAAUAAAAUUGUUCAACCAAUUUUUUUUAGAUGCGGGUUUUAAAGAAAUUGAAAGUUAUCAAGCUCAAUGGUUCCAAAUUAUUUGUGGAGACUCUAAACUUCAUAUAUGUCCUGUAUCUAGAGAGGCUAAUUCUCAGAAGUUGCAAAGCAUUAUCUCAGGUUCAUCCUUCAAUUGGAAAUCUAGAAAGACUUGGUCUACUGGACUUGGGUGACUGUGAAAACAUCAUGGGACUUCCAGAUAGUGUAGGUAAUCUAAAGUCUCUCAAAGUUCUCAAUCUAUAUGGAUGUUCAAAUAUUGGAGAACUGCCUGAGAGCAUCGGGGGCUUAGAGUGUUUAGAGGAGCUUGAUAUUAGUGAAAGUGCCAUAACACACGUCCCAUCCAACUUGACAUUCUUACAAAAUCUGAAAAAUUACACUUUCGUGUUAGUAAAAGGAGGCCACAAAAUUUUUGGAGGACACUAACGUGUACGUUGAGAAGAGCUCUGAACUUCGGACGUCCGCGGUUGCCUUCAUUUUUAGGGUUGUCCUCUUUGACAGAGUUGGAUUUGAGUGGCUGCAGUCUUCUGGAAGGAGAAAUUCCCAGUGAUUUUGACUGCUUACCCUCCUUGAGGUCUUUAGACCUAGCCAAAAAUAGUUUUACCACAAUAACUGUAAGCAUCGAACAUAUCUCUAGCCUGGAAUUCCUCGUUUUAAAUCAUUGCAAAAAUCUUGAAGUGUUACCAAGACUUCCAGAAAGCAUAAUUGUUGUGGCGGCUAAGAAGUGCCUCAGAUUGGAAAGGAUAUCAAACCCAUUUAUUAUAUGCACAGUGCCUAACUCAGGGAUUUGCUUCCUUAAUUGCCCCAGUUUUCUACCCCAAGAUCUUGAUUUAACUUUGCAGCAGAAGUACUCAUUGUCGUUGCUUCGUUACAUCAUUUGCUGUUCCACAAGAAAUAAUAUGAGAACUUAUGUGGUAUCUCCAUGUCUACAAUGUGAAAUACCUGAGUGGUUUGGCUACCAAGCAGUUGGACCUUUGUUGAGCAUAGAAAUGCCCCUAAAUUGGCAUGACAAUAGCUGGAGAGGAUUUGCCAUAUGCGCAUCCUUUAAACGAAUCAACUACAGUUCCGGUCAAGACCUGGAAAAUGACCACUUCAUUUUAUGUGGAUUCUAUGCUGAUGGAAAUCGGCUAGGUCCCUUAUUUAAGUUUCCCAUCAGAUUUGUCAAUUCAGGUUGCCUUUGGCUAGGUUAUGUGUCGGGUACUCAAUUUCCACGUGAUACAAAUUGGGAGACAAUGUCAAACCACAUUGUCGUUUCAUUUAUGAUCACCAACCCUGGGUUAAAGGUGGAAAAGUGUGGUGUUCAUCUGGUUUACUAUCACCAUCCAAGAAAGUUUGAUGAGAUUUUUGUCGAGUGGUCUAGUUCAUCACCCGGGGAUUGGGAUGGAAUCUACCGUGAGUUUCAACCCCGAAGGGAGAUCAAUAGUGUCUUCAAAUAUUCCAUUGAUUCAGACCUGUACAAAGUGAAUGAAGGUGUAAUGAGCUGUGGGGUAUUUGCUUUUCCGAUCCGCUUGUUCAAUGGAAGUCGCUUACUCGUGGAGUGUUUAUAUAUGCUCUGGCAUCCUCUGAGACUUCAACCGAUGUCUGUUCAUGAUUUCAAUAGAAGGUAAACACUACUAGAUUUGAUCAAUUGCAGGGGCUUGUGUUAGACAUAUCGAAAUCCAAAUAGACUAUGAAAACUCAUGUUAAAAAUCUAGAAUAUCACCACCGGUACCAACAUCUCCAAAAUAUUCAGGGGAAUAAUUUUUGCUGGCUUUUGUGUUUCGCUUUCUCACCAUAACAAAUCUUUCUUACAGAUUCUGGAAGAACCAUCAAAUGUGGUCAGCGUUCGUUAAUUUCAUGAAGAAACUUCGACAGGCACCGUAAGUGGAUUCUUUGUUUUCGAUAAACUUAUGUCAUACUUUAAUGCUUUUGCGUAUAUUUCAAUCAAAUGCUAAUUUCACUUAUCUAACUUUUUGGACCAAAUCAUGAUUUUCAAUUUUCCUACUGACUAUAUUUUACAUUGCCUACUUUCUUUGAAAUUACAGUUCCAAAUACAAAUUGUAAUGUAUUGCUAAUCUCCAAUUAGAGUUUUAGGCCUAACUAAAACUAAAACCCUCUCCAUGUAAUUGAGUCAAUGGAAUGACUCCCACAGUCUCUUUCCUGGCUGCCAACUCCAGUUUGAGUUUUUGUCGAUGAAUGUUUGUAAAUCUUACGGAUUAUUAAAUCCUUGCACACCAUUAAUUUUUCUACUAUUAGGUGAGGCCACAUCUGUACGUUUUUUUUCCAAGGGUAGGAGAAUUUCAAUAUGGCAAGUUCUUCCAUCUCUUUCUUUAGCUUUUGUAUUUACCUUUUUUACCUUUGCAUACUCAUCAUGGGAGAUUGAUCUGUCUACAAAAUCAUCUCCUUCCAGAUUUGCUCCAAGAUAUGAUUACAAGAGCAUACUGGAUGUCGCCAAGCAACCGUCAUCUUGAACCUGGCAGCUACCGUUUGUUUAUGUCUUGCUCUUUAAAAAAUCGUCAUUAAUUUGGAAAUGAGUGACAUUGCUAAGAAUGUCUUGAGUUUGAGCCGAGUAACCCCCAUCCAAAUAGUUUUUUAAAGUUUUAUUGGUUUUCUGAAUUGAGUAGGUUUGCUGUGAUGGAUUUUCAAUUUUUAUUUUUUGAUACAAAUAUUACAUAUAUAACUGAUGAAAUUCUACUCGAUUAUUACGCAAUAAGAGGGAUGUUUAAAUGUUCUGUCUAUGAGUUUGUUGAAUGAGCUCUUUAUGCAAAAAAAAAAAAACAAAAAAAAAAAAAUAUAUAUAUAUAUAUAUAUAUAUAUAUAUAUAUAUAUAUAUAUAUAUGAAAUAACAAUUAACAGUUUGUUUUGAUUGAGAUCGAAGGUUGGAAAAUACUCAAGUGAUCAAACAAUGGUAAUUUUUUUACUUUUUGGAUUCAUAGUGGAUUUCUUGGCAAUGGGCUCUUUUUGUGAAGUAUAUACUGACAUUUAGAUCAAACCAUAUAAAUCUGCAGUGUUUUUAUUGUUCUUUGUUGAUUUUUCUGGUAAUUUCUUUUUCUUGUGUUAAACUUGAAUUGAAAUAUCCGUCAAUUUUGAGUUAUUUUCAAAAUAGAGUAGGCGCGAAGCUCCUGAGGUGAGAUCUCUAAGGGAGGCACGAGAUUGUUAAGCAAGCUUGAAUAUCCUCACGAGGUGGCGCCUAUUACUAGCAUUGGGUCUUCCAAGCUCUAUUGAUCAUGACUUGGUUUUCUUUUUCGAUUACUUAAUUUAAUUUACUUAGAAGCUACCACCAACAUAUAAUGGAAUGGUUAUGAGCCGUGUCCUUACUAUUACGAAUAAAAAAUUCACAAAUCUAGGAACUUGGUUACUCUAUAGAAAAUUUAACGUCCUUUCUAUACUUGACUCUUUUUUUAAAACAAUUUGCACAGAAUUUCUUCAAUUUUAUUCUGUAAGUCCUAAAACAACACAAAAAAGAAAUGAUAUUAUGCAUGGGUGCACAAGUAAUAAAAAUUAAAUCUAGCAACAAAGAUAAAUAAAGAAGGGAAAAAGGCACAAAAAAUCUCAAACUUUAUCAAUUGCAACACAUUCAUCCCAAACUUUUUUUUUGUGACAUCAACACUCCAAAUUUGUACUCGUAUGACACAUUCAGUCCAAAAAAAAAUUCUGUAACCCCAAAAACCCUAAAAUUUUUGUGAUAUCAAAAAUCCCAAACUUGUAUUUAUGUAACAUAUUUAUCUAAAAAAUUUGGUGGCACAGAAAAAAGUUUAGGGUUUUUGGUGUCAUAAAAAAAAUUGAAGGUAAAUGUGUCGCAUUAUACAAUUUUGGAAUAAAUGUAUCAUAGUGAAUAUAGUUUAGGGUUUUCAAUGGCUUUUACCCAAUAAAUAAUGAGUAAAAUAAAGACAUGAGCCGUAUCAUGUAAAUUUAAACAAGGCCUUGUUAUUAACUCUCAUGGGAUUCUCAGGAGCUACGUGCACUAAACGUGGCCAAUUUUAUACUCAAUCUGAUUCAUCUUUCGAUCAAUCAAAGAAAUUAUUGGCAAUUAUCAUCGAUAAAACUUUAUAGUAAUACUCCACCGGCUCUUGUGUCAAGUGCAUUCAUGUUGGUAAUUUGUUUAUAAAACAAAUGAAAAUGUGCCUUGUCCCACAUCGAAAAGAUGUGAAUGCGCACGUGGACGAGAUUUGGCACUAACCGACGAUCAAUUUUUUAUGUCUUUUUAAUGUAACCUUUGAGACGUACUUAUUCACGAAAGGUUGUCUUUGUUCUUUUGUAACAUUUUGAAGGGUUACCUCUAUUCGAAAGACAUAUAUAAGUACAUUUGUUUUGAGAUCAAACAACAUAUUCUUUCAUUUUUUUUUCUUUCGAAAGAAACUACAUCCAUUGUUUCUAAUUGUUUCCCAUGAGAGAUCCUGGAGAAAUACUAGAAUUACUAUUUAAUAUUCUCGUUUGAGACUUUGUUGUAUCUUAGAGGAAAUUUGCCGGUGACCAUUAGCAACGUAGUGGGGCAAAUAAAUCUUUAAAGAAAGUGAUAUCACGCCUCAAAGUCCGACUUGAUUACUCGAUCCGACUUCAUUGUUCAACCCAAUUCGAAACCAUAUUUCACCAACAAUUCAUGCCUUAAGCACUAUUUAUUUCAUAAAAAAAUAAUGAUUUGAAACAUAUUUUUUCUAAAAUUGAUCUCUUAUAUUAUUUACAAAAAUGAAUGAAUGAAGAAUAUUUUUAUCAUCCACGAGAAUAAUUAAAUAUAAAUUAUUUUCUAUAAUGAUAACAUUUUCCUUAACUAUUAUUUUACGCGAUGCAAACAAUUAUUUUUAGAAAAAUAUUUUUAAUUAUUUACUUAUUGCGAAACAAAAGAAGUGUUGCAAAUAGUAAAUGCAAUUCAUUUAUUUUUAUCAGAAAAGAAAAUUCUUCCUUACAUUUUUUUUAAAUAAAAUUUUUCUACUUCUUCCAAAUAAAAUAGUAUUAAUCUUUUCGUUAAACUAUUUCACUAUCGAUGGAUAUUUGUUGAUAUGGACCGUCAAACUUCUAACACGAAUCUCUGGUACAUCCCUUUUGUGUCAUGAUACGCUCAUUAUUUUUAUGUGACACUACCCAAAUGCCAAGUUAACAAAACAAUACAAAUUUCAAAAAUAAACAAAACGCUAUCCCAUCUACCUGUAAAGACAAAAUCCUAGCCCUAAGUUACCCGCGUCCUAAACCUCCUGCACCACCGGUCACCACUCUCCACCAUCACCCACGCCUUCGACCACCCUGCCAACACUCACCGCGGUCCUUCGGAUCCGCGCAGUGAGCGGCAAUGGGUGCUGUGGGAAUCAUGGCUAUAAAUCUUGCAAAACUGGGCAAGAACUACGACAGAGUUUAAUCCAUAGAUUACCCAGCUAACAGAAUGAAGCAAUCUUCUAUUUUGUUCAAAAAUUGAUGAUUCCCUUGUUUUCUCUUUUUAGGUCGGAUGGUUCCGUUGUCCAUCAAAACUUAUCAAAGAAAAAAAAUCGAUUCUUCUACUAAGUCUUGGCAAAAAUGAGUAGUCGCAAAUCAAAUGAAAGUCCCAAAGGGUAAACAUUCUCCACUGAGCUGAAUGAUGAAUCAUGUCUUUUAGAAUUCAAAGUUCAUUAGCGUGACGCCUCCAGCACAUUGGGACUAACGUGAUUAUCCAAUUCUCCCAAUCUUUAAGCAUGCAAAAACACGUAAAGACAAAUCAAUACACCAUAAUUUCAAUCAAUACAUGUAGAACUAUAAAACUAGGCACUUGCAUUUCUUUAUUUAUAUAUUAUAGACGACCUAGGUCGAUACACUAGGGAUCAAUACGUUCCUUCUCUCGGCUAUAUCCAAAAUUCUGUCCAAAAUACUGCUCUGACCACCUUACUGUCUAUUUACAUGAUCGCCAACAUCACAUGUCCUCAUCUUGCCAAAAAUGCCAUCCUCGUCCUUCAAGCCCUCAUCCUACUCGACCACGCUGUCUCCAUUGUCAUCAACAUCCAGGAGUGGGAGUGGCCCCACCUUACGCCCACCGAUCUGGGCGUAGAUGACAACAAACCCAAUUGGCACUAGGCCCAAUGGGAGGCCAUCAUCGACUGUUAGGAUCGCGAUGAUCCAAAUGAAUGUGACCUCAGGGAAGUCGGGGUCAUUCUACUAUGUUUGGUUCCAUGUGAGAUCUACCAAGACACCAUAAAGGUCAUGGAAGACGCAGGUAGCAGAGACAUAUUUACAAAAAUGGAAAAAUGAUAAUCCAUCAAGGGUAAGCACGACACUCAACAAGUAAAAGCCUACCAAACUAUACUAUGUGAAUUCACUACUACUUGUUCGACGGAAUCCCAAAUAUAAAAUAUACGAAAUUGAAAUAAUUCAAUUUGCAACGGCUCUAAAUGAAAUUCACGGAAGCAGUACACCAUGAAGUAAAUGGACAUUUGGGAACUUCAAUAAUUAUAUCUAGUCUAGGUUUAGCUACCAUCAUCUUCCAAUGGGAACCGUAUUGUACCCCUCUAGACAUCUCGCACCCCAACUGGCAUCGUGAGUAUCUCCAAGGGCCCUUAUUACAUCCCCAGGCAUCUGGAGGGUGCCAUGCUACACUUCUCCAGCCAUCUUGCAUUCCAACUGGCAUCGCGAUGACCUCCAAGGGCCCUUAUUACAUCCCCAGGCAUCCAGAGGGCACCAUGUUACACCCCUCUAGGUAUCCUGACGCCGUCAUCAUGAAAAUCGACGACAUCCAUCAAACUCAUAUCAUGGUGCAACAAUGUAAUAAUUCCACUUGAAAUCAUCUAAGCCUAUCUAGAAUGACCAUCAAUUCCUUGUCUUGCCCUUACAACUACUAAACCUGUCCAAAUCCUCACUUUCUUGAAUCGACUUGGUUUCAUUGAAUCAUACAAUGAAUUAUGACAUACAAAACACUAGUCAAAACAUGCAAAGUCAAUCUAGCACAAACGGGUGCACGUCUAAUGCGACUUGAAUCUCACAUGGCCACACAUUGCUCACCAAAUUAACCAUGGCUUUGAUUAAUCCUGUACCACGUCUAGACUGACCUCCUCGAGUCCGGAGAGGACUUGCACCUAAACCGGACUGACUUGUGACAUCAUGACCUAGUGAAGGCCGAUGCUGACUUUGCCAAUGGCCGUUGCGGCUCACAGCCUCACAAACCAAAACCAAUGCCUAUUGUGCCAACAGUUGUCGCAAUACACGACUAUACUAGCCAAGAUCGAACUCAACUUAGAUGACAUGAACUAAACCAUGACAACAACAGCAACUCCAUGCAUUGGAGCCCAAUUUCGUUGAUUCGUAAGACGAAAAUCUAGGAAAUAGCAACCCCACGUAAUAUGGAAAAAUAGGACUUCUACUUGCCUCAAACUCUUGGUGAUGAAGGCUGGUGGCGGAGCGGCGAGGUGUUGCGAGCGGUUGGCAUCGAGCGGCAAGGAAGGGAACGAAGCCGCGAGGGUUUAAUGGAGAUGAAUAUUCAAUGAAGAUGCUGAUGGAAUGAAGAAGGUCAUGAGGAGAGGGAAAAGGAGAGAGCGGUCUCCUUUUAUGCUUCGGGUUCACCGCCUUGGCUGAGAUGAGUUAACCAUUAUGGCUAUGUGGAUUGAAAUUUUUAACUAAGUGGCGUGGCUGCAUGAAUUUAAGUUAAUCUUAAACUGCCACCUUGUCAUCACUAGUGGUUGAGUUUCGGUCUUCUAUCCACCGACUGUGAAAUUGCCUUGGUCAAAGAUCUUCAACUUGUGGUAGGACAGGGAGAUGACAAGUAGAGGUAAACGUGGAUUUUAAUCGGUAACUCUCAUUUACUUUUAUUUAUUUUUUUGACAGGUCAUAGGCGUGGUUAAUCUUUGAGGCCACAUUAAUCUCGCUCGUGGCAUCUCAUGAAGUAGUUGGUGAGGCAGGCGAUCGAGUCGUCGUGGUGCAAUGGAGACGGUGCAACGGAGACAUGACGAUGGGGUGGUGUCGUGGAGAUGUGAUGAGGCACGGCAGUUCGGUGAGGUGAUGCCGGCGGAGAUGAUGACGGCUUGGUAUUCAUAGUUGGACGGUUCUAUCGAGCAAUGAUCCAGAUGUCACAAUUAGGGCCUUAUAUAGCUUCCUUUUUCCAUUUUAAGUAGGACUUUACAGGGAGCAAUAUGCAAUUAAUUGCAGAAUCAGGAAAAAGAAAUCUUCAUUAUAGUGUUUUUCACGCUUUGAGCACACAUAUAUGACAACAAAACAAUACUCGACCUGAGGCAUCUUCCGAUCAAUCAAAGGAAUUACUAGCAGAAGGAUGAGACCCAAGCUCGUCCAUUAAUUGACUCAUCAGGACACAAAGUCAUCGAUUAGUUUGCAGGCGACAGGCAUAUGCAUAGUUCAAGUUCAGAUAACUGGGACAAUGUUCAACACUUGCCAUUAAAAUAAUAACGGCCAUACAUCUAUGAUCUUAUUUACAUAAAGAGCAAAUUUCUGAUUUUGAGCAAUUCAGUACAGCGCCUUCUUUAGCAUAGGAGACUUGACGCCCGUGAAAAAUGGGGGCUUCGCAGUCACGUAAAGAUAUAAACCACGUCAUAUCCGUUCCUAUAGUCAUACAAAUUUAACACUUCAGUCAUUAAAUCACAAAAUUCAUGGGCAAAACUGAUGAAGAAAUGCACUGAAUUGAUAGCACCAGAGCUUACCCUGCUUUCCCACAAUACAUGGGACUGUAAUUAUAUAUCAGAUUGUCCAGCACUUUCCAAGCAAAAGCCUGGUUUACAGACUUCCUAGCCUCACUACAAGAUAAAAAGUUCGAAUUAUAAAUGUUUUCCCCUCAUACUGAGGGAAAAGCAAACACUUAACCACAAGCACAGUUCAUGUAACCAUAAUUGUGUAUGAUACAAGAUAUUUAAGAACUUUGACAUGGAAAUUUCAAACGUGACUUGCUUUGCAGCAUGAAAUUACUCGACAAAUUCUGACCUGACAAAGAAGUUCGCUACAUGCUGUGUAACUUGAAUGGCAUCAUCUGAGUGUGGUGUCAUGGACAAACACCACUCAAAAGCAUUUUUCUGCAGAAUAUCGAGAAAGCCAUAUAAGUUACCUCAAGGCGGUACGUCUAAACAUACUUCACAGAUAUGAAGAGGUGGAAAAUAUAAUCCCAAGAACAAUCACUGAUUUAGCUCCCUAAGAUAUUUAUGCAAAUGAAUCGUGUUUAAAUCAAAAACAUUUAAGGAAAAAAAAAAGGAUCAUGUCCUCUAUAACAUGAUAAACUCAAAUUGCCUAGUCUCCAAAUUUGCCUACCAAUUCUGCAAGACUCAGACAAGUUGUGCCACAAGCUCUUCACUAAAGAAAUCAAAAAGCACAAAAUCAGGAGGCAUCACAAGAAACUAGUAUUGAACAAUAUGCGUUAGAAUGUGCAACAGCAAGAAGUCAAUGUCUUCAAAAUGCCCAGAAAGGAAAAGAUUGAAUUCGUAGUCCAUGAUCGUGUGCUCAGCAGGGAGGCAAUGAAUUUAAUAUGGAUCAUCUUGGAUAAAGCUAAAAACUGCUAGAUCAGAGCCCAUAUCUCUCAAUUCAGAAAUGCAACUAUCACGAUUUUUGGGUAACUUCUUUCUCAUGAUACUGCAUUCGGUAGCAUCAGAACCCUAUAGAAGGUGCAUGUUUCAUUUGGCACCAACACAGCAUUAUCAUCAUGCAGUCAAAUUGUCAUGCAAAUUGUUGUUCCUUUGAGCUAACUUGGUAGAAGAGUUAUAUCAGGAAUUUUGAAUGGCAACAAACCACAAAAAAGGCCAACGUAGUUAUAUUUGCCAAAUAACAAAUUAAAGUCUGGCAUAUUUUGAUGGAUCAUCUACCUGAAUAGACUUAAUAUGCAUCCAAUAGUGAGAUGAUUGGUAUGAAAACUACUGCCUGAAGCAAUGUGCCUUUCCUAAUCAAAUGAGAUUGGUGUUGAACAAGAAGAAAAGCAUGAAACUAACUAUGACCUCUGGAUGCCAUUGGAAAGGAGUUACAGAGUAACUGUGUGCUUGGACUGUGGAGACAUAGACCUGGUAAUAGAGUUCCUCAAAGAACCUAAUGUUAUACUCACAAACAACUGAAAUAAGCAGUAACGCAAUUUUUUUUUUCACUGCAAUAUAGCACUUCAGACAUGAAGGAAGAGGUAGCUGGUUAUAUUCAACCUUGUUGUCUCCAUCCAUGCUGGUUGUCAAGACCUUAAAGAAAUUCGUUAAGUCAGUGUUCUGCAUCAGUCUCUGGCGAGAUGCCAUACUGUAACACAAAUGAAGAGUUAGAUUAGAAAAGAGGAUUGCAUACAUUAAGAAUAGGUAAGAUGAAUGAGAUUUAAGUCUUAAUUAAAAUAGACUGGUCGCAAUCGCAUUCGUGAAAUGAAAAAUAUAACAACGGAAAAAAAAUCCUGGGCCAGUAUAAAAAACUUCAGAAAAAAAGCAUAUCAUUGGCCUUUUUAGCCAUUUUUAGCUUUAAAAAGAAAAAAACUACUGGGCCCAUAUAAAAAACUCAAAGGAUGUUAGUCUAACAAAAGAAGCAAAACAAUGCAUUAAAGUCGCAUGACAUUUGUCUCCUCUUUUAACUAUUCCAGGAUCUAACUGGUCUAUCUAGACACCAUUCUUCAGCAGUAAUGGUCAUGUCAUGUAUAACAGAUGGCUUAUAUCAAAAUAAGAAUGCAGUCCCUGCGAGGAUAACACUCUGCUGGGAAAAAGAGGUACAUGAGAGAAAACAAAAGGAAGAGAAAACGGGGGAAUCAACCAAAUUCCACUUAGUAUUCUAAAUGAAAACCAGCAGGCUACUAAAGUCUUACAACUCACAUUAUGAUUUUGCAUGACAAGGCAGAACUCACAUGAUGAUUUUGCAUGACAAGGCAGUCUGUACUCAACUUUUUAAGCAAAUCUGGCAGAAAUCUGCUAAACAGUGGAUACAUGGAAGUUAGAACUGCAUCUAUAGGUGAUUAUUCAUCACUAUAUCAAGCAACAGACACCUUAUACAAAGUAACCAUGCAUCUUCCACUCCAAUAACCACUUUUGGUAUACCAGGACAAUCAUCCGUAAUAAUUUGAUGUAAUCUACAUUUCUCUUUCCAGCAAUAUUUUGAUUCCAUGGCUACAUAAUCAGCAUCAUAUACUAAAGUACAUAAGUCCAAAUUGAUAUUCUCAUAGAGUAUAAGAAGCCAUUUGGAAGCAUGAAGGUAUCCUGCUUGCUGUCAAUUUAAAAAGAAUACAGCUUUAUCUGUCUUUACACGCGUUAGUACUUAAAAGUUGACAGUGAAAGCUUACUGGGGUUAACCAUACCUUUGAAAUACUGUUCCUUCAAUGUUUGUGUUUCUCAUAAAUUUUAGAGUGGAUGCUUGAUCUGCAGCAUCAAAUUCCUUGAGAAUGCUUUUGUCCUGUCAUUAGGGAACUGUCAAAUUAUUAUCAAGAGAUUUUUCCGCUUUCCUCUUUAUAUUAUAAACUACACUUUCUGUAAAUCAUUCAGAAUUUAUCUGUUUGACAUGAAUGAAGCAAAUUAAACCUUGAGAGAUUAUAUGCAUCACAAUUGGUUGGAUGUGAAAUAACCGCCAUGCUCGUCAAGGUUAAAGCAAUGGCAAUCUCAACCUUGCAGUGACGACUCGUGCUUUCAAGUUUUGUGCCAAUAGAGGCCAUGACUUUAUGCACAUGAUAAUCAGUCAAGAGUGCUAAGUCAAGCCAUGGCAGGAAAGAAGUUAUUUUCUGGCACAAUACCUCACAAAAGAUAAAAAUUAAAAGUAAUUUUUUUUUUUUCAAAGAACAGACCACGUAAAGCGACUCUUGCAUUAGAAAAGAGAAAAUAUGCAACCAAAAGGACUGAAAGCAUUGACAGACUUUCAAAACGGUGACAAGGGAAAAAGUUACCUCGGUAAUUAUCACUGUCAAUAGUUCAAAGCCCAAGCAGAUGGCAUACAAUGGGAAGUGGUCACCAGCAUCAUUCUUCACCAGAACUUUCUGCAAACAACAGGCAAAGAGUACAUCUAAAAAUUGCAAAGCAAAAAUGUACAGGACACUAAUUGAAAGCAUAUAAAAACAAACUAUUCUCUCCCAAGGCAGUGAGAAUGCUCGUGUGUCUUGGAGCAAUGGAAUAAAAUGUUUUUAAAUGAGGAACAGCACAUUAUUCUAGGAAAACUGCCUAUAGAAAAAUUUAAUUGCAUGAAAACAGUCAAUACAAGAUUGAUGAAGCUCUGCCUCCAACCAAUAUAUAGAAACACAAUCUUAAAAUAUUUAGGGGUAUCAAUCAUAACAGUACCUUGAAAAUUGCCUUCACAGUGUCAUAAUACAAUCUGGUUUUAGCCCACCCUCCAGUAAAGAGCACUCCAUUGACCAUGUUGAGCUUCCACAUUUUGACCAGAUAUCAGCAUCUAGAAAUGAAAAAACAUAGUGGUGGUUGUCUAAAAAUAAUCAAGGCCAUAAAAUCUGUACAAGCAUAACUCGAAUGAAACCACACUCCUCCAACAUUAUACUCAUCACUCAUGUGAAACUCCUCAAAGAGGGUAUACAGAGCAUUAACUCGUCUAAUCCACACAUGCGAGAGAGGAUGCAUGUGUUGCUUGCACACCAUGAAGAAACCCGAUUUGUCUAUCACAAUCACUUAUUGACCAUUAAGAAAUGGAGCAUGCUAAAUCCCCCCCUCUUUCACAAAAAUCCUCACCGAGCUAGCCAUGGAUAAUACAACUAAUCCACCCCAAACAUCAUUUUGUCAUAGUCAUAACAAUCUAGUGAUCUCUCCUUGUACAGAUUACGUUUAGAUCCGUGUUUUCAUGGACAGCUUUACUCGGAGAUGCAAAGGAAGUGUGUUAUGCUUUAGUCUCUAAUUUUAGGAGCAAGAGGUGUACGGUUUUCAAGGAUCGCAAGGUAAUUAAGCCCAUGCCUGCCCACAAGCAAAAAUCUCCAGUAGCAUCAAAUGCCAUGGAUCCAGUAUGAUGAUCACUCUUAGGUGCUAUAGUCCUUGUUAAGACGGCCACCAUUCCUUGCAGUCAAGCUCAAAGCAGAAACUCCAGUUCCACUGAUUUAACUCAACCAAAAAGAAUGCCAGACUUGGGUGCUGCUAAUAGCUAACUGUGGUGUGUCUCUCAAUGGCACGUUUUCUGUACUUAAUGUGGCAUGAGAAGUCAGAAAAGAAUAAGGAGACCUGAGGCUUGGUUAAAAGAUACAGACCGGUCAAAUUGAGUGAGGAGAAAAAUCCAGAUAACCUCCUUCAAUUAGACAAACUCUAAAGGCUUUAAGGAUGAGGGAAAAGCAGAUUGGGAGGAGUCAUCAGUCAAGCUUUCAUCUUUGCCUAAUUGUGACAUAAGCAGGUAUAAACCUAAACUAUACUAGUGUGAGCUUCUACCUGAAGAAAGGUCGUGUAAAAAAAUAUCGCAGAAUGAAAACAACCCAAAGAAGAAGAACAAACCUGCUCAUGGUGUCAGCAGCCCUGUCAUCAUUAGAUUUGCCAACUGUAGUACAGUUUGCUUUCUUCAAUUCUUCCUCACCCUCCCAGACCACUUUGGUUACUGCAAAGAAAAUGCACUCAAGAACAUGUAGAGGUGAACUUGAGGACACCUCUUCCUGAUGGAUAACAUACAAAAAACUCAUGAUGUGCAGGUAAUGCCUAUUUGCCUUAUAAGUGGCUCUUGUGGUGUAUUCGAGUUAGUAACAUAGAAUUGGUGACUCAUGUAUCUCCUUUGGGUAAGCAUAUUAACUUACACUGAAAAACAGGAAAGUAUAUGAUGCCUGUCAACAGGAGCGGAUGUAGAAAUUUCUCUGCAGUGGGGGCAAACUUGUACAUGUGCUUUAAUUAAGUUUGUUGAUUCAAAUUAUGCCUAAUGUUCUUGUGUGCUCACAUUAUUAGACAAAUUACCACAGGAUCAACUAUCAAGUGUAGGUGUACAACAACUAACCAUCUUGCAAUGUUCAGCUUUCAAAGAUGUGGGGCCAAACCCAGAAUUUGUCAAAAGAAAAAUUUAUUGUUUUAAGCAAAACCUUCACAAACUUAAUGGGGUCACAACCAAGAAAAUCCUUAUAAACUACUACUAUCACGAUACAUAUUUCGAAACGUGAGCAGAGGCAAUUGCCCUCAUUUUCUAUUGAGUAAUCCGUCCCCUUCCUAUCAAACCCCAACAUAUUUACAUAAAAAUAGCACGCUAAGUAGAUAUGUGAUCCAUAAAUUAGCAUCAAGUAACCUUCUCUCCCACGCUCACCGGUUCUAGUCUUCAAAAGCUUUCGCCUCUUCAGUGAGGUUUAGGCAGGAUUUGUCACUUUAUUAUUUACAUCCUUGGAGGAACGAUGAUUUUGGCCCUUCAAAGAGCACAUCCCAAUGUUCACACCUCUACUGAUGGCAGAAACAUCUUCCUUUGGCGGCUGGUGAUGUUCUUCCUCUCACUUUUACCUCAUCAAAUUCCAUUUUAUCUUCCUUGCACUUCUUCUCAGAAACUAACUCCUUGGCACUCUCUUUUGAAGCGAGGAUAGACUGGGCUUUUGGAAAAUCAGCUGAUGCCAAAUUGACUGCAUCUUCAUUCUCAUCUUCUUCAUCCAAGAAAUCAAAUACAACUCUUCUUUUUCUACCGCUUUCAGUUUUCGAGGUUCUCUUAACAUUGACAUCUUGACCCUCAUCAUCGCUGUUCAGUUCUGCUGCCUCAUGUGCACAGAUUUAAGCUUCCGCACUAACUGAUGAAGAAAUAUUUUCCAUUAACAGAAGGAACUCUGUAAUAGUCCUUAUCAAGAGAUCUUUUACAAGACUUGAGAGAAUUAAAGCAAACUUUUGAAAGAGACAAAUAGGUUAUAGCAACCAACCGGUGGAACUUGGAGCAGAGCUACUAUUUUCUGCUGGACCAGCACUUGAUUUUGUUGCGGUGGAAGCACGACCCCAUAGAUUUGCCAGAGAACCCCCAGCUGUGGAAGAGUUCUUGCUGUUCUGACCCAACUUUUUGCUCGCAGGCAAGUUAGUAACUUUUCCUGUGUCUGCAGACAGUUUGCUGGCUUGAUCACGAACUCCUGCACCAUUACCUUCACUAUUUGCAUCCUUAAGCACAUCAACCAGUUGCUCCAACUUUUUUGGCUUGUAUGUUCAAUCUUUCUCGGUUGUGGCGGGUUAACCUUUUGAUGGACAGUAUUUGAUGGUCCUGAGACUCUGGCGCCAUUAAGCUUUAGAGCUCCCAAGUCAAAUAAUUCCCUCUCUGAACUUCGACUAACAAAGGGAUUAGCUACUGCAUAGAACCUGAAAAAUCACACAGAGAAGUCGUUGUGUUUAGUCCUUGUCAAAAUAUUAUGUUUAGGGACACCUGCAUGGAUACAGAUACUCAGAAACCUGAAGCAAGGCAUCACACCUGUUAUCUCUCAGACAAUUCUCUGUGGUUGCAUCCUGGCUGAAAAGCUCCUCUGCCUGCACAAAUUCAGCAUUCCAAAGUGCAGCUGGAUCCUUCAGAGUGCAAGUUUGCACGUUAUAGACUUGAACUGAGCAUUCACCGUCAAAUUCUUCCUUGGCUUCUGCAUACACAUCAAGCAAAGGAAAUUUGUGGGAAUAUACAUUUAAUAUUUAGCAGGCCAGGGAAUAAAGCUCACACAUUCUUAUAACUGUGCGAAUGAACAACCAUGAAGUCAACAAGGUCCCUGUUCAAUUUCGAAGUUCUAUCCAUAAAUCAAGUUGUAUAAGUAUCCACAAAAGAAGCGAGGCUGUUCAAAUCUCAAUUCAAGGCAUCAAUCUGUCUGCAUGGAAAUUUCGUAACAAAUGCUUGAACUCAAGCAUGCCCAUCUGGCAUAUUAUUUUGACAUGACAUAAUUGAUUAUCUCAGAUGGCGAAACUCAUUCCUACUGCUGGCAGCCCCUAAAAAAUAAUUAAAAAAACCUACAUAUCUGGCGGUCUCUCAAAACCAACCACUAUUUACAUAUGCAGCAUAUUGCCAAUCGAUCCAUGAUUUCGAAAGAAAAACUGCAAAGAAGCUCUCUUUCUUAAAAAAUCUGAAAGGCGGGUUUUUAGUUAUAGAUGUCGAAAAUAACCAUCAGUCAUUGCACAUUUUAGCUCCUUGAGACAUCAUAAAAUGAAGAAUCAAGGGUCAAAACCAACGUAACCAUACGAAAAGAGGAACUUCAUUUGGUUAUUUCAGGAAGACCUAUCUCCAAUGCAUGGAUACCAAAUCUCAGGAGGUCAGAUAAGCAUCCAACCAAUAGAAAUAUUAGGCAAUAGGCAACACAAGAUAAAAUCUAACCAGCGAGUUUAGGCCCAGAAACAAGUUUAAUAUGGUAACAUAAGGGAUUGUCGUUUAACCAUUCAGAUAAAGAGUACACAACUUCCAAUCCAUCUCCAAGUCUUUCAACAAAUUCUUGCAGCAACCUGAAGAGAAAGUAACUGUUAGCUGUGCUGUUUCAAACUCAAGUAAUCUAAAUCACUCUUUACGAAGACAGUGCUAACCUCUUUGCAGUAUUUGAAGAUACAAGGAAAUUGUGGCUCAACCAAUGUAGGAAACCUGAAAAAGAAAGCAAAUUGAUCAGAAAUUGCUAAAAAGAACGGGUCAUUGAAAGAACAAUAACCAUAAGUCCUGCAGAAUAAUUGGCGUCAUCACAGAAGGGAGCAAGACUGGGGAUAGGUGGUGUCAACUCAAACGAAUUGAACCAAUGGGAACAUAAGUUUAACAUUGCUUUCUACAAAGGAAACGAAGCCAUUACAAAUUCAACACCGGUCUUUCGAGGGAGAACGAAAACAGUCUCUCAUCGAAACGAGAGAGAUCGGAGAUAACGAAAAAGGCAACGACUUGAGAUCGAAAUCGAAAGAGGGAAAGAAGUCGACGGUACCACUUGAAGCUCAUCGGAAAGGAGGGCCCCGAUCUCAUCGAUGAUCCCCCAUCGAUAGGGGAAGGCCCUGUUUGGCGAGAUUGCCUUGAAGAAGAAUUCGAUGGGGGGGUUCCCAUCUAGGGCUCAAAUCCUAAUCCAAUUUUCCCGCCAUUUUCUGUGUGGGGCGCCCGGGAUCGAUUUGGGCGGGGGGCAUUUAUAGUGCGCUUUUAAGCAUUAAUAAAAAAAAAAAAUCAGAUUAUUGAAAAAUCAGAUCCUCGUACUCUUCAUGCCGAGCAUCCGCAUGAAAAUAAAGUGACUGGUCUCAUCUCUGCUUUGACUCCGAAUUCAGCUGUUCCUUGUUUGUUGAUUGUCGUGUGUAUUUCACCGUCUCUUGGCUCUAGAUGGGAAACCGCCAGUUGCUCUGAUUAUCUCUUUCUCAUUUUUUAAUCUUUUUCCAUGGAUUUUGCAAAUCGCAUAGCUUUGUAUGUCGCUCAUUUNNNNNNNNNNNNNNNNNNNNNNNNNNNNNNNNNNNNNNNNNNNNNNNNNNNNNNNNNNNNNNNNNNNNNNNNNNNNNNNNNNNNNNNNNNNNNNNNNNNNAAGUAAUAGGCCAUGCAGAUGAUAGAACAUGUAAAGGGAUAUGUCAAAAUCUGAAGACUGCCAGACUUUAGUGUCAAAGUCUGUUCUAUAUCAAAAGUCUGCUCACUCUGACAAAUUCCAGACUGAACGUGAAUGAUGAACCAUAAGACAGACUUUAUGCUGAAGCUGAACUGGGUACAGACCUUAAGCUAAAUUUGUUCAGAAAGAGAAUAUGUUCAGACUCAGAUUGCAAAGUCUAUCGCACUCAGACUCGGAUUGUAAAGUCUAUUACUCUCAGACUUUACAUCCAAACUCGACCUAACGUAACUCAAGCCCAAUCAUAUAACGGAUAGUGAUCUGGUUUGGAUUCCAUAUCAAGAUUGAUUUGAUUGACUCAAUCUAUUUGAUUGACAAUUGGAUCUUGAAGACAAGAUCUUUCUAUACGAAAAAGCUUUACUUAUGGAAACCAAGAUUCCGUUUGUAUGGGCGAUCGCAAUCAAUUUGGGAUUUUACCUUUGUCACUCAACGGCUACCAAAUCUUCUAGAUACAGAGCUGUCCAAUGGGUAUAUUGGAAGACGAUUCUUCGGGAUACUGUCCAACGGCUAGUUUGGAAGUGGAAGAGUAUUUAAGGAGAUGAAUGACCAAUGAGCAAGUAAGAGAUAGAGCGUAGAAUUUAUAAUUCCAAAGUCUGAGUGACCUUCAAUCAUAUACUUGUCUCUUGAGAGCUUAAACGUUUGUGAUCGUGAGAGAAAUACUAAAAGAGUGACUUAGUGAGAUAGUGUGAUCUACUAAGUGUUUGCACUCGAAGUUGUAAUCUCUUGUUGAUUGCAUAGUGGAAUCCAGCCAAGAAGGCUAUUAGCGUGGUAGAGUGGACGUAGGCUUGGAUUAAGUCGAACCACUAUAAAUCUUGUGUUCUUAUUCUCUUCCCUAACUCCUUUGUUUUACUUGAAAUUAUUUUAUUUCGCAUAUACUUGCCAAGGUUUAGUAUAAACACCUAUUCACCCCCCUCUAGGUGUUCGUACUAGCACUUCUGACUCAGACUCAGACUUAGAAUCAGAGUCUGACUCAGACACAGACUCAGAAUCCGAUGAGGAAAUCGAGGUAAGCCAUUCAAAAAUUCCUCUCAAAGUUUCAAAGUAUAUAAAUGAGCUUUGUUCAAAUCUCAAAUCUUCUCUUAAAAGGAUUUUCGAACUUAAAAAGGAGAAUUUUCGACUUAGGCAACAAGAUCUUUCUCAAAAAGAAAAUUUUGAAAUUUUGCAAAAAGAUUUUCUACAAACAAAAUAAAGUCGAGAUUUACUUGUCAAAGAAAAUGAUUAUUUGAAGAAAUAAUUUUCAAAUAUUUCGACAAGAUUUUCAAAUGGAUCAAAAACAUUAGAGCAUAUCCUUUCUAUACAAGUUCCUUACUAUAAUAAGUCAGGACUUGGUUUCAAUAAGGAAAAUAAUUCUUUAAUUGAUUUUCCCAAAGUUAAGGAGAGACUUAAACAAAGACCUCCAAAGGUAUUUUACAAAAAUCAUUUAACAAAAAUCAUUUUCAAAAAGUGUUUGUAAAACCCAUUGGUCGAAAUGCCCUCAAAUGUUCAAAUUGUGGAGAUUUGGAACACUUUAAGAAAGAUUGUCCUAAAGACUGGAGACCUAUCAAGAAAAAUUGGACAAAAACAGCAUAUUCUACUAACUCUCAUGGACCCAAGAAAAAAUGGGUACCAAAGAAAAGAUGAGUUACUUUUGCAGGAUAUAAAGAAGAAAGAAGAAAGAGGAUUUGGUAAGAAAUUUUUUAUUCUCAAUUUGAUUUAGGCAAUAAUUCUUAUAUUCGAUAUAUCCUUGGUUGAUUGAGAUUUUAUAAUAAUCAUAUUUUGCUUUAUGGAAGAAAGAAUCGUAUGAUUUGUUUUUGUGAUUUGUGAGCUGAGAUUUGAUUUAAUACGUGUGAUUAUUUGAGAUAAUUCAAAUUAUUUUGUCUAAUUUUAUGCUCUCAAAUUGUCAUAUUUUGCAAAGUAAAAAUCUGAUUCUACGUGAUGAUGCAAGAUAUUCUUAAAUAUUCAAAGAUUUUAUUCUCUCUGUUUUUAUCGUACUAUGACUAAGUGAGAAUUUAUUUUUCAAAAUAUCAUUGUGCAUAAUAUUCUUUCUUUGAAUAAUUUGUUAUGAUGAAUUAAGAAAGAAUAUUUGUUUAUGGAGAUUUUAUAUUUUGCUCUAACGAAAUGGAAGGAUCCAAAUUGAUGGAUACCAAAAAGGGAAAUGAGUUGAUUGCAGGAAAUUCUUUAAGGGAAGGAUGAUUGUGAAUCUACACAAAUUUUGAUGCAAUCAGAAAAUAUCUCCUGUGACAAUUGGUAAUGAUUUUUUUAAAUCAAUGGUAUAUUUGAAACAUAUACGUGGGUAAGAGAAAUUUUUUUAUCCCACCUUACAAAUUUCUACGUGCAUUUAUCAUGAUUUUGGAUGAUUGUUUAUUAUAUUGCGAAUAUCUUCUGUCAUAAAUAUAAGGUAUUGCAAUUUUGGCACGUGACAGAAAUAUCUAUUUUCCUUUUGCAAAAUGCAUAUAUGAAAUUUAUGCUCAAGGAAAUCGCUUUGAUCUUAAAAGAUAUUAUUACAUAUUCAUGGAUAUUCUUGCUAUAUUCUUAGAAGAUAUAUUAUAUCUAGUAAAUUUGAUCCGCAAAUCAAAGAAAGAUAUUAUGUGACAUUUUUGCAAAGAUUAUUACCUGUUAUAUAAGAAUUUGUAGGUCACAAAAGAAUCUUCCAUAUGGAUUUUGGAAAACUCAAUCAGAAAAUCAUGAAGAUUCUAUACUAUCUUCUGGAGGUUCAAAAAUUCUAUUCAUUGUGCAAAAUUUUUGCUUAUUGAGGAAAUCCCUUAUGCAUCGUACAAAAGGUUGAAUAGUUCUGAAUUUUAAUAUUUGAUAAUUUUAUAUAUGCUAUUCAAUUUAUUUAUUUGAAGAAAGGGCAUUAUAUAUUACGUGGAUAUUAUUUGUGGAAAAAGUUUGUUAAGUUGAUGCAAGUUGAAUUCGAGAAGAGCUUGAUGGAAGAAAAUAAAUUUUUGCCUCGAAUUUCAAAAUGCAAGUGAUCGUUGCAGAUGUUGUUGCUACAAAGGAAAUACUGGAAAAAUAUUAUAUUUAACGUACACAAGCAACAAUUAUUUCUAUUUGCAAAUAUUGUCAUGAUCACAGGGGGAGAAAGCAAAUCCAAAAGAAAAUGAAAAGAAUCGUGAUCAUCUCAAAAAGGCAAUAAAUUGAGGGGGAGCAUUGAUCAAUUAUGGAAAAAUCUUUUUGGAUUGAUCGUGAUCUUAUUAUGAAUAGAAUGAAAGGUAAAUGUGUCAGAAUUUGUUCUAAAAAAUCCGGUUAGUGCAUUUUUUUAUUACCUUUUGUCAUUAAUAAAUUUUGUAUUGAUAUUAUCAUUUUAUUAUGACAAAAAUGGUAUGUGCAUUUUAUGAUGCAUCCGUGAUUUUCAUUGGAUAUUUGCUGAUAUAUAUGAUCGAAGUGAGCUAUAUUGCAUAUUUUUAAUAUUCGAUUUACUUUAUAAAAGCUGAUUUUUGGAAAUUGUGAUUCAUGCAAGAUAUUUGUUAUCAUUCUCUAUGUGAUACUUUUUCCAUUAUUAUCGCUUUUUGAUUAUGACAAAAAGGGGGAGAAGAUAUGAAUAUGCAUAUGUGUUAAUUAGUUGAUAUUAUCUAUGGCAUAAUAUUGAGCUGUGAUUAUUUUUCUAUAUAUUGUUAUGCCCAAUUUAUUUGCUAUAUUCUGAUAUCCUUUGAUUUAAAUUGAUAUUUUUAAAAGCAUGUUUACAAAUCUGCAUAUUCAGAUAUUGUUUUGUCAUCAUAAAAAAGGGGGAGAUUGUUAAAGAAAUCUCUUAUGAUGUUUUGAAGAUGACAAAAUAAAUCAAAGGCUACUAACAUGUUUAAUGGUUAAGUAAUAGACCAUGCAGAUGAUAGAACAUGUAAAGGAUAUUGUCAAAGUCUGAAGACUGCCAAACUUUAGUGUCAAAGUCUGUUCUACAUCAGAAGUCUGCUCACUUUGACAAAUUCUAGAGUGAACGUGAAUGAUGAACCAGAAGACAGACUCUAUGCUGAAGCUGAACUGGGUGCAGACCUUAAAGCUAAAUCUGUUCAGAAGCAAAAUAUGUUCAGACUCAGAUUGCAAAGUCUAUCGCACUCAGACUUAGAUUGUAAAGUCUAUUGCUCUUAGACUUUACAUCCAGACUCGACAUAACGUAACUCAAGCCUAAUCAUAUAACGGCUAGUGAUCUGAUUUGAAUUCCACAUCAAAAUUGAUUUGAUUAACUCAAUCUAUUUGAUUGACAAUUGGAUCUUGAAGACAAGAUCUUUCUAUACAAAAAAGCUUUAAUUAUGAAAACCAAGAUUCCGUUUGCAUGGGCGAUCGAAAUCAAUUUGGGAUUUUACCUUUGUCACUCAACGGUUACCAAAUCUUCUAGAUACAGAGCUGUCCAAUGAGUAUAUUGGAAGACGAUUCUCUGGGAUAGUGUCCAACGACUAGUUUGGAAGUGGAGGAGUAUUUAAGGAGAUGAAGGACCGAUGAGCAAGUAAGAGAUAGAGCAUAGAAUUUAUAAUUUAAAAGUCUGAGCGACCUUCAAUCAUAUACUUGUCUCUUAAGAGCUUAAACGUUUGUGAUCGUGAGAGAAAUACCAAAAGAGUGACUUAGUGAGAUAGUGUGAUCUACUAAGUGUUUGUACUCGAAGUUGUAAUCUCUUGUUGAUUACAUAGUGGAAUCCAGCCAAGAAGGCUGUUAGCGUGGAAGAGUGGACGUAGGUUUGGAUUAAGCCGAACCACUAUAAUUUCUGUGUUCUUAUUCUCUUCCCUAACUCCUUUGUUUUAUUUGAAAUUUAUUUUAUUUCACAUAUAUUUGCCAAGGUUUAGUUUAAACACCUAUUCACCCCCCUCUAGGUGUUUGUACUAGCUUUCACAGAUAGGAAGACGCUCAACUAGCUGGAUGACGAUCAGAGGAAAAGAAGAUAAUGGGGUCCAAAUUCCAAGAGCAUUGCAGCCUCCUAUUUCUGGUGGAGUCCUCAACAUUUUUUAAGGUAGUAGCCUUGUUUUUGACGACUUGAGGAGAUGUUUCUUCAUGGCUGGGAUGGAAACCGGCUCCCCUCUGAAAAGAAUAUUGUUUAUGUUCUCCCAAAUAAUGUGACAAAGCACACCAAAAGAAAAACGGGUAACACAUUUAUAAAACUCAUUGCCUGAGAGCAAGGUAGUGGCCCAACUUGUAAAAAGUUCAUCACAAGUAUUUAAAAAGGGGUCCAAAUCAAGUAUUGAGAUAUUUGGAGCUGCUGAAUACGNNNNNNNNNNNNNNNNNNNNNNNNNNNNNNNNNNNNNNNNNNNNNNNNNNNNNNNNNNNNNNNNNNNNNNNNNNNNNNNNNNNNNNNNNNNNNNNNNNNNUUGCGGACUUCCUAGCCUCACUAUAGAUAUUAGUUCGAUUAGAAGUUUUUUCCUUAAAACUGAGUGAAGUUUAACCAGAAGCGCAAAUCAUGCAAUCAUAAUCGUGUAUGAUAUAUUAUAUUUUAAGAACUUUGACGAGGAAAUUUCAAAUGCAACUUGCUUUACAGCACAAAAUUACUGAACAAAUGCUGACCUGACGAAGUUCGCUUACUUGAUGUGUGACUUGAAUGGCAUCAUCUCAGUGUGGUACCAUGGACAAACCCCAUUCGAAAGCAUUUUUCUGCACAAUAUUGAGAAAGCCAUAUAAGUCUAAACAUACUUCACAGACAUGGAGAGAUGGAAAAUAUAAUCCCAAGAACAAUCACCGAUUUAGCUCCCUAUGAUAACUUAAGCAAAUGAAUCAUGUCUAGGUCAAAGCCCUACAAAAAGCAAAAAAAAAAAAAAAGGAUCAGGUCCUCUAUAACAUGAUAAACUCAAAUUGCCUAGCCUUCAAAUUUUGCCUAACCAAUACUGCAAGACUCAAAUUGCCUAGCCUUCAAAUUUUGCCUAACCCAUUCGAAAGCAUUUUUCUGCACAAUAUUGAGAAAGCCAUAUAAGUCUAAACAUACUUCACAGACAUGGAGAGAUGGAAAAUAUAAUCCCAAGAACAAUCACCGAUUUAGCUCCCUAUGAUAACUUAAGCAAAUGAAUCAUGCCUAGGUCAAAGCCCUACAAAAAGCAAAAAAAAAAAGGAUCAGGUCCUCUAUAACAUGAUAAACUCAAAUUGCCUAGCCUUCAAAUUUUGCCUAACCAAUACUGCAAGACUCGGGCAAGCUGUGCCACAAGCUCUUCACUGAAGAAAUCAAAAACCACAAAAUCAGGAGGCAUCGCCAGAAACUAGUAUUGAUCAAUAUGUGUUAGAAUCUACAACAGCAAGAAGUUAAUUUCUAUGCGCGUCAUGAAUCUUCCUAAAAAUCGGGGGAUAUUGGAGGGGGAACAAAACACUCAUGUAUCGAUACGAGAGAGAUCAAAGGCAGACGAAAGAGCAACAAUUACAAGAUCGAAAAUCGAAAGAGGGAAAGGAAGUCGAACGGUACCACUUGAAAGCUUAUCAGAAACAAGGGCCGCGAUGUCAUCGACGAUCCCUAGGAUUUCGGCCUGGCACAUCGUUGCUCUAAACCUCCGAUCGAUAUGGGAAGGCCUUGCUCUUCUAAACAAUGAUUUCGCACAACGCCUUCCCGCUAGGGCUCAAUCCCAAUCCAAUUUUCCCGCCAUUUCUGGGCGGCGUCCCGGGAAUUAUUUUGGGUGGGGGGCUUUUUGUAGUGCGCGCUAAGCAUUAAAGCAAUCUGGAAUAGAAAAAACCGGGUUCUUUGUACUUUUUUUUUUUUUUUUUGACAAAGGGUUCUUUGUACUUUUCACGCUGAGAAUCCAUAUGAAAAUUUAAAACGAUUACGAAAUCGUUGUUGUGAUUCGACAAUAAGAAAUAAAUCCACCUUGGCCUCUUAUCUAAUAUCUAUCUAACUAUUGAUCGAACAAAAAAAAACAAUUUAUACAUGUGAACUAAUUUAUGUCUUAUUUAACACGAGUCUAGUAACACUAGUCUAGUAACACUAGUCUAGUAAUUUAUGUCUUAUUUAACACGAGUCUAGUAACACUAGUCGCGUGUUGUGAACUUGUUAAACUCAUGCGCAUUCAAUAUGUGUUACGUUAACCUAAUAGCCCAGUAUAUAAAGAUCACAUUCUCGUUGAGGUUUGCUUGUAUCACUCAUCAACAUUCUCCCCACUAUCUGAUGCGUAAUGUUAUCAAUUCCUAUCAUUCAUCGUCCUUGAGACAUGUCAGAAGCCACGCUCUAGACUCAUUAGAUUGGUUUAGUCCCAAGUCCAUCCAGGGUUUUGCUUCGAUUUCAUAUGCAACUAGGUGUACCCUUUCCGGUGGGCCAAACUGAGGAAAAAAAGAGAGUAAAUGAUUAUAUAAGGUAGUGGCUAUUUGCAAUGAUUAAUAAGUGUCCCUUGUAAAGUAUGUUUAAGAAGUGUUAAAAAAACCCUUCAUCAAAAUAUAGGCACCUUGUUAUCUGGCCAUACUCUUCCAUGGAGAAAACUUUCUCUAACAAAAGAUUGACGGGUCAUAGAAUAGCCGUCACCUGCAUUUAUUUUCAAUUAAGUUGACAUAAAAUUGAUGUUGAUAUCUUGAAACGAAUUGAUCAAAUGCCAAGUCAGAAUAAGUUUUUGCUAGAAUAAUAUAAAAACAUACCAUUUUACUAUCUGAUGCGUAACAUUAUCAAUUCUCAUCAUCGUUAUCCUCGAGACGCCACGCUCUAUAAAGUAUGUUUAAGAAGUGUCAAGAAAACCCUUCAUCAAAAUACGGGUACUUUGCUAUCUAGCCAUACUCUUCCAUGGAGAAAACUUUCUCUAAUGAAAGAUUGACGGGUUAUAGAAUAGCUGUCACCUGCAUUUAUUUUCAAUUAAGUUGACAUAUGAUUGAUGUUGAUAUCUUGAAAGGAAUCGAUCAAAUGCCUAGUUAGAUUUUUUCUAGAAUAAUAAUAAAUAAAUAAAACUACUAUUUUACUAACUGGUAUAGGCGAUCAUUGGGCUAAGCAUGCAUUAUAUAUUCAACAAGCCUAUCCUAGAUAUAAUUUUGUAUAAACGUUUAAUUUGGGUCGGACCGGACUUUGUAAUGUAAGGGCGUCGCUCAAGUCGGUCUAUUUGCCUUCCAAGGUGCUUGCUUGUUGAUCACCUUUACUAACUGUAUCACUAAUCGAGGAAGAAAUACUGCAUGGUCUAUAAAUUCUAUAGACCAAACCCAUCUCAACCAUUGAUCAUAUGGCCUCCGAGAUCCUACACAACUAAUGAUCGGGUGAUAAUGGUCUAUAGAGCAUAUAAACCAUGUAAUAACUUCUCCACGUUAGGUGGGUCAGAUGAACAAUUUAACUCGACUAGCCGCAAUUGUUUACCACACAAAACAUGGACGCAUCACAAGGCCGUCUCUCGUCGGCCCCGGUGAGAUACAGACAGCGGGAGAAGUAAACGCGGAGUAUGUACAAAUCUGCACAUGCAGAGCGCUUCGUGCCGAGUGAUAUCUACAUAUGUAUAUCUUAUUGGAAUAAUAGACAUAACACAGAUGAAGAUUGCUGCUUGGGAGUUGACUCGAGCGAUAGACUCGGCUUGGAGUUGAACAUCCCACUAGUUCUCUCCUCGCCUGGAUCUGGGCAGGGCCCGGCACCCUCGCCUUGAUGCUUGAAUAAAAAUUCUUUCUGGCAUCAUUCCAUUCCGAGGACUCACAAAAACCCCUCGGAUGGUUCCAGUCUGGUCUGCGUACAAUAAUGUGUCGAACUACUUCAACAAGUCCGCGCGUAAGAUAUCCAGCAUAUGAUGUUUUGAUGUUCGUACAACAAUAUCCACAACUCCUUUGCGAGCUCUGUGGCAAGAAAUUAUAUAUUCUGUUAAAAAUAAUCCUUCACGUAAAUUGCUUUGAAUGAAUAAAUAUAUCAUUUGUCCUUGAGGAUCUCACAUUAAUCCACUCAUACCUACUAAUUGGUGUGCUUGAGAUGCAUUUCCUCCGCCUCCCGAAAAAGACAUUAUAUGGAUUGGAUUAAAGGGGUAUGUCAUCCUAAAAUUAGGAUUCAUUUUUUGUUGCAAAUAUUCACUUGUAGCACAUUGGCGAGUGCAUAAAGGCUCUCACCCAAACCAACUUGUGGUUGGUGAUGGUCCGUUGGCAACCUCGCCGACGCCUGCCAAAGGGCAAGGAGAAAGAAAAAAAAAUAAAACAAAAGAGGAAAAAAAAUUCUGAAAAAUAUUUAAAAAUUAUAAAAUUUAUCUACGUUAGUAUCGGUCAUGCCACGUAGGACUACCAGUGUCCAUGUCAGUAAUUUCCAGCCUAAAUUAGUCGGAUGAACUCAAUUGGUACCAAUGUGAAAAUGUUUAAAAUUAAAUUAGUCCAAUUGAAAUGUUUAUGAUUGAAUUGGUAUCAAUGCAAUAAUAAGUUUAAGACUUUUUUAAUACUUUUUUUCCAUAAAAAAUUGCCAACUGAUUUUAAUAGUCUACCGACGUUUCUUUUUAUAACUUAUCAAUGCUGUGAAGGUUGCUAAUUUAACAAGCAAUUGCCGCCGUUGAUUUGAUUAUUGUAUCAACAUUUGACAUGGUAAGACACUAAUUAAUUUUAUUCACAUAUCAAUUUUUUUUUUUUUUUUAUCUUGCUAGGUUUGGAAAAUAUCACCAUUCAUGGUUGGUAGAAUCUAACAUUUAUUAUUGCGACUUCUUGAUGCCUUUGAAGUUUCCAGCUUUUAUUGGCAAAAUUAAUUAAAUUGAGGUAUCAACUAAUUUUAGUUGCUUACCAAUGAUCUUGAUGACAUACUAUCGCGGCUUUAAGAAGAAAAAAUUGUGUAGAAUAGAGGAAAUUACACCUAGAUCCACGUGACGGGAAAAGAGUAUGAAGUAAAAUUACAAAUUUAAUAAUCGCCAACAAAAAACAAGAGGCAUCUUUCUGGGGAGUUUCACUUGAGCAAUCCUUCAAAAGAACAGCUUCCGCUGAUCGUGGUCUCUCAAUUCGAGCCUUGACAAAUUUGACCGGCUUUUGCAUUUAUCUCUUCUCUCGGACUCAAGCUUCUUCGAUUCUUAGGGUUUCUCAAUCCUUUGCUUGAUUCUGAAUUUAGCCGUUCCUUGUUUGUCAAUCGUUUUAUGUAUUUCACCGUUUCUCAAGCUAUAGUCUUUUUUUUUUCCCGUAAUAUAAAUAGAAUAGAAAUCCGUUUGUGUAGGUUUUUGUUCUUGGGAAUAGAUUUUGAAUAGAAACAAAAAAAAAAAAAAUUAAUUUUCAAGAAUAACUCGAGAACCAAACCCAAAUUCCCCCCUCCCUUUUUUUUUUCUUUUUUUCUUUUCUUUCUUUUUCUCUUCCCCCUCUUCUUCCCUAACCAAUCGCUGUCCUCAGUCAUGACUGACCAGUGACUGGCCAGACGAGGCCCAACGGCCUUGCUGGAGCCUCGUAGCCCCCGAUGAGGUCUCCCCAAGCCUUGCCGUGGCUAGGCAAGGUGACCUUGCCUAGGUCUGGCAAGGUCAAGCCUCGCUCGACUAGGUGAUGCCAACCUUGUGGUGACCGGGUGUGAGGUCGAGUCUUGCCGAUGGCUAGGUGAGGCUUAGCCUCAUCUUUCUGGAUGAGGUCAAUUCUAGGUCACAAAAAUAUUUAGAGGUCAUAUCACACGCGUUUCUAUUUCAUAAAUAGAAAUUUUAUACAAUUAUCAAACGCAUUCUUUUACUAAGAAAUUUGUCGAAGGAACAGAAAUAGAAAAAAUUAAUUUUUAAAAAUUAUUUCCGAAAACACAAAUAUUUUCAUACGUACCCUAAAACUGCCAUUUCCUUUGGUUAUCUUCUUCCUGAAAUUUUCGUAACAUUAAAGUGCAUUGAUUUGGUGCCGAUUUGACCAUUUUCUAUCCUUAGAAGUGCCCUGACCCAAUCCAGUUGCGUGAGAAGUUGCACUUUUUAGAGUUUCUUUCAUCUUUGUUUUGUACUUUGUUCCUUUCCCCAUUUUCGGGGCUCAUACAUCUUUGCAAAUUGAUGGUUCAUCUCAUAGCAUAACAUCGUGAAGUUCCCAAAAAAGAAAUUAGUCGAGAUUAAGCCUCUAACCCUCGCUAAAUCUUACAUUCAUCUUCCAGGGGAUGUCUGAAACUCUCUUCUUGCUCUCUUUUUCAUUUUUUUUGGGGUGAUGUACAGGCAAAGGGCAUUUACUUGUACUCAUUCAUCUCCUUUGGCCCCGGAAUAGAAGUACAAGAUCGGACGCAGUGCCUCUAUAUAACCCCGUAAAAUCUCCUCAUCUUUGUUGAAUCAUCAACACAACCCCGGUUUAUUUCUGAUGACUCCUAUAAAGACAAGGUGCAUUCAUUUCUCCUGUUUUCGCAAAAUUUGUCCAAGAAGAUAUGGCAUCUUUCCCAAGGCCAUAAAACAAACAGAGUCAAUAUAAGCAUGAUGUUUUCCUCAGUUUCCGAGGUGAAGAUGUAUGCAAAAAAAUUGUUGACCAUCUGCACAAUCAUCUAUAGCGAAGAGGAAUCGUGGCCUUUGAAGAUGGUCACCACCAAGAUCUUUAGAGGGGAAUAUGCAUUAAACUAGAAAUAUUGAGGUCAAAAGAGCAGUCAAGACUUGCUCUUGUGAUAUUCUCUAAAAACUACGCUUCUUCUACGUGGUGCCUGGAAGAAGUUGCUAAGGCUAUGGAGUGCAAGGAUAUCAAUGAAGAAUCAGUGAUACCGAUCUUCUAUGAGGUCAAUGCAUUUGACAUACGGAAACUGAGGGGAAACUUUGGGAUAGGCUUUGUUAAAACUGAGGAAGCUUAUUCAAGCGACAAGAGAGAUAUAAAGAGGUGGAAAAAUGCAGUGAGUUAAGUAGCUGGUCUCACUGGAAUAGAAUUGAAAGAUGGGUGGGCCUCUCUUCCACUAACUUGGAAUGAUUUGUUUUCCUUAAUAUUUGCAUGCUACUAAUGUUACGAUUGUCAUACUUUGUAUUACGUUAGUUCAUCCGAACCAGAAUACAAUCAAGAACUAAACAACCUUAAUGCUUGUUGGGGAUCUAAUCAUCUGCAUUCUUCAUUGUAGAUAUGAGACCAAGUUUAUUCAGCAAAUCAUUGGAGAAGUUGAAAAUAAAUUGGGUCCUCAACUAUCCUAUGUUGUAAGCGAUCUCGAGGGAAUGCAUUCCCGUGUUGCAAAUGCAGUUGAAUGUUUAUGCUUGGACAAGAGUGAUGUACAUAGUAUUGGCAUGUGGAGAAUGGGUGGCAUAGGCAAAACAACUGUUGCACGAGUAGUUUAUGACAAAAUCCGUGGCCAAUUUGAUGAUGAAUGUUGUUUUCUUGCCAAUGUCAAAGAAAUUUCAAAAAAGAAUGGUCCGGUAUAUCUACAAAACCAAUUUCUUGGCAAUAUUCUCCAAGAUGACAAUUUGAGAAUCAUGGAUGAUCACAGAGGAAACGUGAUAAAAGAACAACUACAACAUAAAAAAGUUAUUGUUAUACUUGAUGACAUGGAUGAAAAGGAGCAGCUGGAAAACUUAGCAAAAGGUGAUUGGUUUUGAAAAUUAUGAUGAAAACAUAGGUUUUGAUUUUUCUAAAGUCAUGUGAUUUGGCUGUGCAAAACAUAUGGUUCCAAUAAAUGACCAUAAUUGCAAUUAGUAAUGCCGUGCCAGUCCUAUCCAUACCUGAGGCCAAACAAGAAAAAACAAGAGAGUAAGAUGCCCCCUUUUGAUUAGGCCAUCACCCUCAAAGCACGAGAUCAGUUGUCACGAGAGGUGUGGUCCGACUAAUCAAAGCAAAGUCCAUCUACCGCAAAAGGAAUAAAGAAAUGAAAAUCAUUCGUUUUUGCAAUUCGGACAACCCCCCCACGUAACUCACGCGAAGUUCAAAAACAUCGACCGCCCCUAAUUCAAUUCAAACCUAUCCUUAUUUUAUAAUCUUUGACAUGGUUGUCGAACAUGGUGGUUGAGGCAACUUUGUUAAUGGAGAGAGACAGAGACCGUGUCAAUUCAACGUUCCUAAAGGCGUCGUCAUCGAUGAAGCAAGUCUAUACCGACGGCCGAGUGAUGUCAACUGUUGGCUGGGUCCACUUCAUGUGGGGCCCAGCUAACAUUAAAACAAAAGAAACAUUUAAAAAAAAAAAAAAAAGAAGAAAAGGGGUUGUUGCUUCGUGCGCGUGUGCCCUAGAAAGUGGAGAGAGAAGAGCGAGCCCAAGAAGACAGAGAAAAUAGAGAGAAGGCGUGAGAUGGUGAUCUCACCGAGAGCACGCGUAGAAGAAAAGAGAAAGAGGCUGAAUCUUUGCGACCCCAUUUCAAGGUUAAACAUUGACGGAAUCGGUUCAAAUUUGUGUACGUUGCUCAUGAGAUCGAGAAUUACAAGUUGAUCGGUUUUGUUCGUCGAGAACCACCUCUAAAUUCUCUGAUUGCGGUUAGAGUUUUUUUUUUUUAAUUUCGAAUUUGUUGAUAUACUUUUGUGGUGAGAAAAUAUGAUUGUAAUGCUUAUGUUCAGCCUUAAUGCUUAUGUUCAGCCUCUCAUGUGUAUCAUAUUAUUUUUAGUGAUUAGUGGAAGUUUUUGGGCGAUCCAUGCUUUUCUCUCAUUAGGUUUCCAUGAUAAAUCAUUGGUAUUGUUGUUGGCUUUAUUAUCUUAUCAAUUUGGCAUUAUAUUUACUUAUUUUGAGGAUGUAUAUGACUGGUUGUUGAUGGGGUUAAGUUGAUUUCGGUCGGUUUAGUUUCCAGAAAGAAAUUGAUCAUGGAUUGGGUUUAGUUCUUGGUGAAUUGUUGUCCCCGGUUCUCUCCAACAGUCUAUACAUACAUACAUACAUACAUACAUACACACACACACAUAUAUAUAUAUAUAUAUAUAUAUAUAUAUAUAUAUCUCUUCUUGAAAUAAUAGCCUUAAACAUAGACGAAGAAUGCUGCUUGGGAGUUGACUCGGAGCGAUCCCCGAGCUGUCAUUCCUUCACGGAACAGACCUGGAAUGGAGGGGACCAAAGCAGGUUGAGGUUCCGAACAGCUGGAGCUACCGCGAUAGACUCGGCUUCGAGAUGGACAUCCUUCUAAGGCUUCAGCUAAAAAGGAGAGGAAAGACGAAGAAGCGUCCAAGACCGUGAACUGCUAUCAUCUCACCUGCGAGUACUAUGAACCAAACGCUNNNNNNNNNNNNNNNNNNNNNNNNNNNNNNNNNNNNNNNNNNNNNNNNNNNNNNNNNNNNNNNNNNNNNNNNNNNNNNNNNNNNNNNNNNNNNNNNNNNNAUCAUUGUUGUGUAUUGUUAUAAGAUUAUUUUUAUAUAUUGAUGAUGUAUUAAAGGUAAUAGGUGUUGGAUUUUAUAGAGGUAGUUGAUUAUUAUGUGGUAAUGAGUUGUAUAUGAUGUUAUCCAACCCCCCCUCCCGCUCCGCGGGCGCCGGUAGGACCUAUUAACGCUUAAAAAAUUGCCAACUGAUUUUAAUAGUCUACUGACGUUUAUUCUUAUAACUUACCAAUGCCGUGACGGUUACUAAUUUUUCAAAGCAAUUGCUGGCCUUGAUUUGAUUAUUGUAUCAACAUUUGACAUAGUAAGAUACCAAUUAAUUUUACUCACAUACCGACAUUUUUUUUUAAUAUCUUGCUGAGGUUGGAAAAGUAUUGCCAUUCGCAGUUGAUAGAAUCUAACAACAUCUAUUAUUGCGACUUCUCGACGCCAUUGAAGUUUCGGGCUUUUAUUGGUAAUUAUCAACAUUAAUUAGAUUGAGAUAUGGACUACUUUUAGCCGCUCACCAACAAUCUCGAUUACAAACGAUCGCGACUUUUAGAAAAAAAACAUUGUGUAGAAUAAAGGAAAUUACACUUAGCUCCACAUGGCGGGGAAAGAGUAUGAAGUAACAUUACAAAUUUAAUGAUCGCCAACACAAAAAACAGUCAUCUUUCUGGGGAGUUUCACUUGAGCAAUCCUUCAUAAGAACAGCUUCCGCUGAUCGUGGUUUCUCAAUUCGAGCCUUGACACAUUCGACCGUCUUCUGCAUUCAUCUCUUCGCUCGGACUCAAGCUUCUUCGAUUCUCAAGGUUUUCUCUAUCCUCUGCUUGAUUCUGAAUAUAUAUAUUUUUUGAACAGGCUUGAUUCUGAAUUUAGCCGUUCCUUGUUUGUCAAUUGUUAUACGUAUUUUACCGUUUCUUUGCUCCAGAUGUGUAGAAAACUGCCAUUUCCUUUGGUUAUCUUCUUCCAGAAAUUUUCGUAACGUUAAAGGUGCAUUGAUUUUGUGCCGAUUCGACCUUUUUCUGCCCUUAAAAGUGCCCUGACCCAAUCCAAUUGCAUAAGAAGUUCCACUUCUUAGAGUUUCUUUCACUUUCACUAUUGUUUUGUCAAUUUGUUCUCUUUUUCUGUGUUCAUAUAUCUUUGCAAAUUGAUGGUUCAUGUCAUAACAUAACAUCCUGAGGUUCCCAAAGAAGAAAUUAGUCAAUAUUAAGCCUCUAACUUCGGUAAAUCUCACAUUCUUCUUCCAGGGGAUGUCUGAAACUUCUCCUUGCUCUCUUUUUCUAUAUAUAUUUUUGGGUGAUGUACAAGCAAAGGGCAUUUACUUGUACUCAUUAAUCUCCUUCUGCCCUAAAAUGGAAGUAUGAGAUGACGUAGUGCCUCUACAUGACCCCGUAAAAUCUCCUCAUCUUUGUUGAAUUGCCAACACAACAUUUAUUUAUUUCUGAGGACUCCUAUAAGGACAAGCUGCAUUCAUUUCUUGUCUUUACUAAAUUUUUCCAAGAAGAUAUGGCAUCUUUCCCAAGGCCAGUAAACCAACAGAGUCAAUUCAAGUAUGAUGUCUUCUUGAGUUUCAAAGGUGAGGAUACUCGCAAAAACUUUGUUGACCAUCUAAAAUAUCAUCUGUGGCGAAGAGGAAUCGUGGCCUUUAAAGAUGAUCAAGACCGAGAUCUACCGAGGGGAAAACGCAUUAAACCAGAAAUAUUGGGGGCAAUAGAGAAGUCAAAAUAUGUAUAUCUGAUUUUUUCUGAAAACUAUGCUUCUUCUACUUGGUGCUUGGAAGAAGUUGCUAAGGCUGUGGAGUGCAAGGAUGUCAGUGAAGGAUCGGUCAUACCGAUCUUCUAUAGGGUCAAUCCAUCUGACAUACGGAAACUGAGGGGAAACUUUGGGAGAGGCUUUGCUAACACUAAGGAAGCUUAUUCGGGCGACAAGAGAGACAUAAAGAGGUGGAAAGAUGCACUAAGAAAAGUAGCUAAUCUCGCCGGAAUAGAAUUGAAAGAUGGGUAGGCUUCUCUUCCACUAAAUUGGAAUGAUUUGUUUUCUUUAAGUUUUGCAUGCCACGAAUGUCAUGACCAUCAUAUUUUGUAUAAUGUUGGUCCAUUUGAAUCAGAACACACUCCAAAACUACACGCUCUCAAUGCUCGCUGGGGAACUAAUCAUAUGCAUUUCUUCGUUGUAGAUAUGAGACCAAGUUUAUUGAGCAAAUCAUGGGAGAACUUGAAAAUAAACUAGGUCCUAGGUUGUCCUAUGUUGUAGGCGAUCUUGUGGGAAUGCAUUCCCAUGUUGCAAAGGUAGUAGAAUGUUUACGCUUGGGCAAGAGUGGUGCACGCAGUAUUGGCAUAUGGGGAAUGGGUGACAUGGGCAAAACAACUGUGCACGAGCAGUUNNNNNNNNNNNNNNNNNNNNNNNNNNNNNNNNNNNNNNNNNNNNNNNNNNNNNNNNNNNNNNNNNNNNNNNNNNNNNNNNNNNNNNNNNNNNNNNNNNNNNNNNNNNNNNNNNNNNNNNNNNNNNNNNNNNNNNNNNNNNNNNNNNNNNNNNNNNNNNNNNNNNNNNNNNNNNNNNNNNNNNNNNNNNNNNNNNNNNNNNNNNNNNNNNUGACGUGGAUGAAAGGAGCAAUUGGAAAAAUUAGCAUGAGGUGUUGAUUGGUUUGGACGUGGGAGUAGGAUCAUUAUAACAACUAGAGAUGAACAUUUGCUUCUUCAUUAUGGAGUAAAUUCCAUAUAUAAGGUGGACGAACUAUCCUUUGGUGAGGCUCUCCAACUUUUUUGUUUGAAAGCUUUUAGAAGUAACCAUCCUCCAGCAGAGUUUGAGGAGCUCAUGAAAUAGGUUAUUAGAUACGCCGAUGGCCUUCCUUUAGCCCUUGAUGUCUUAGGUUCUUUUUUGGCUUGCAAGAGCUUGAUGCAAUGGAAGAGUGCACUAGCGAGACUCAAAGAAUGUCCAGAAGGGAAAAUUUUUGACCGGCUUAGGUUAAGUUAUGAUGGACUACAUCAAAAAGAGAAGGAGAUUUUCCUAGAUAUUGCCUGUUUUUUCAAGGGAAAGGAGAAACCUUAUGUUACAGAAGUUUUGGACAAUUGUAGCUUGUAUGCAGAUGUUGGAAUCGAAGUCCUUGUCAAUAGAGCUCUUAUCCAAAUUGUGGGCAACAAACUGUGGAUGCAUGAUUUGCUACAAGAGAUGGCUUGGGAAAUUGUUCGUCGAGAGUCUCCUGAAGAGCCAGGAGAACGAAGUCGAGUCUGGCUUUUUGAGGAUGUCUGCCAUAUUCUAUCAAAAAACUCGGUGAGUAUCUGCAAAAUUAAUUUGCAAGCAUGCUUAUCUGAUAUAGAAAAAAAAAAAAAAACCAACUUACUAGUCAUAUAUUGACACUAUAUGAGUUGUUUAUCAAGGAACUAGAAAAGUUAAAGCCAUAGUCUUGCAAUUUGAGGACCAUAGAACAGUGUGCUUGAAUGGAGAGUCCUUCACAAACAUGACUAACUUAAGAUUGCUUGAUGUUUGUGCCAUCCACCUCUCUUCUGGGUUUAAGCAGCUUUCAAAUGAACUAUGCCUACUAAGACGGGACAAUUGCAAUCUUAGAUCAUUUCCACCAAGUUUUCUUCCAAAGAACCUUGUUGAACUCCAUAUGCAGGAUAGCCUCCUUUGCAGCCUUUGGAGAGGGGAAAAUGUUGGAAUUAGUACUCAUCCAUGUGUAUGCUUCAUUAGAUGCUUAAUUAUGAUUAACAAGCUAAUAAAAUUGUUCAACCAAUUUUUUCUAGAUGCAGGUCUUAGAGAAGUUAAAAGUUAUCAACCUCAAUGGUUCCAAAUUAUUCGUGGAGACUCCAAACUUCAUAUAUGUCCCAAAUCUAGAGAGGCUAAUUCUCAAAGGUUGCAAAGCAUUAUCUCGGAUUCAUCCUUCAAUUGGAAAUCUUGAAAGACUCAAUCUACUUGAUUUGGGUGACUGUGAAAACCUCACUGGACUUCCAAAUAGUGUUGGUAAUCUAAAAGCUCUUACAGUUCUUAAUCUGUGUGGAUGUUCAAAUCUUGAAGAGCUGCCUGAGAACAUCGGGGGCUUAGAGGGCUUAGAGGAGCUUGAUAUUAGUGAAAGUGCCAUAACAUGCCUCCCAUCUAACUUGACAUUCUUACAAAAUCUGAAAAAGUUACGCUUUCAUGUCAGUAAAAAGAGGCCACAAAAUUCUUGGAGGACACUGACGCGUACGCUAAGAAGAGCUCUCAACUCUAGACGUCCGCGGUUGCCUUCAUUUUCAGGGCUAUCCUCUCUGACAGAGUUGGAUUUGAGCGGUUGUAGUCUUCUAGAAGGAGAAAUUCCCCGUGAUAUUGAUUGCUUACCCUCUUUGAGGUCUUUAGACCUAGCCGAAAACUUUUUUACCACCAUAACUGCAAAUAUCGAACGUAUCUCUAGCCUGGAAUUUCUGAUAUUAAAUCAUUGCAAAAAUCUUGAAGUGUUACCAAGACUUCCAGAAAGCACAAUGGUUGUGGUGACUGAGAAGUGCCUUAGAUUGGAAAGGAUAUCAAACCCAUUCAUUAUAUGCACAGUACCCGACUCGGGGUUUUGCUUCUUUAACUGCUUCAAUUACCUUCCACAAGAUCUUGAUUUAACUUUCCAGUAGAAGUGCUCCUUGUCAUUGCUUCGUUACAUCAUUUGCCGUUCUAGGAAAAUGGUUCCGGGAACUUAUGUGGUGUCUCCAUGUCUGCAAUAUGAAAUACCUGAGUGGUUUAGCUACCGGGGAGUUGGACCUUUGUUGAGCAUAGACAUGUCCCCUAAUUGGCAUGACAAUAGCCAGAGAGGAUUUGCCAUUUGCGCAUCUUUUAAACGAAUCAACUGCAGCUCUUGUCAGGACCUGGAAAAUGCCCACUUCAUUUUCUGUGGGUUCUAUGUUGAUGGAAAUCAGCUAGGUCCCUUAUUUAAGUUUCCCAUCAGAUUUGUCAAUUCAGGUUGCCUUUGGCUCGGUUAUGUGUCGGGUACUCAAUUUCCACGUGAUACAAAUUGGGAGACAAUGUCAAACCACAUUGUCAUUUCAUUUACGAUCACCAACCCUGGGUUAAAGGUCGAAAAGUGUGGUGUUCAUCUGGUUUACGAGCAGUGUACAAGAGACUUUGAUAAUCUUUUAGUCUGGUGGUGUAGCUCAUCGCCCAGGGAUUGGGAUAGAAUCUACCAUGAGCUUCAAACACCAUGGGAGGUAAAUUGUGCCUUCAGAUAUUCCAUUGAUCCAAACCUGUAUGAAGUGAAUGAAGGUGUAAUGAGCUGUGGGGUCUAUGAGGUUUGGUCCCACCCGUUAAAUGGAGGUCGUUUACUCACGGAGUAUCUAUAUGUCAUUUGGCAUCGUUCAAGACUUGGACAACUGUCAGUUCAUGAUUUCAAAAGAUGGUAAUCACUACUAGAUUUGAUCAAUUGGCAGGGCUUGGGUUUUAGACCUUUCGAAAUCCAAAUAGACUAUGAAAACUCAUGCUAAUCAUAACCUAAAAAUCUAGAAUAUCACCACCGGUACCAACAUCUCCAAAAUAAUUAGGAGAAAUAUUUAUGCUAGCUUUUGUGUUUCGCUUUCUCGCCAUAACAAAAUCUUUAAUACAGGUUCUGAAGAAACNNNNNNNNNNNNNNNNNNNNNNNNNNNNNNNNNNNNNNNNNNNNNNNNNNNNNNNNNNNNNNNNNNNNNNNNNNNNNNNNNNNNNNNNNNNNNNNNNNNNNNNNNNNNNNNNNNNNNNNNNNNNNNNNNNNNNNNNNNNNNNNNNNNNNNNNNNNNNNNNNNNNNNNNNNNNNNNNNNNNNNNNNNNNNNNNNNNNNNNNNNNNNNNNNNNNNNNNNNNNNNNNNNNNNNNNNNNNNNNNNNNNNNNNNNNNNNNNNNNNNNNNNNNNNNNNNNNNNNNNNNNNNNNNNNNNNNNNNNNNNNNNNNNNNNNNNNNNNNNNNNNNNNNNNNNNNNNNNNNNNNNNNNNNNNNNNNNNNNNNNNNNNNNNNNNNNNNNNNNNNNNNNNNNNNNNNNNNNNNNNNNNNNNNNNNNNNNNNNNNNNNNNNNNNNNNNNNNNNNNNNNNNNNNNNNNNNNNNNNNNNNNNNNNNNNNNNNNNNNNNNNNNNNNNNNNNNNNNNNNNNNNNNNNNNNNNNNNNNNNNNNNNNNNNNNNNNNNNNNNNNNNNNNNNNNNNNNNNNNNNNNNNNNNNNNNNNNNNNNNNNNNNNNNNNNNNNNNNNNNNNNNNNNNNNNNNNNNNNNNNNNNNNNNNNNNNNNNNNNNNNNNNNNNNNNNNNNNNNNNNNNNNNNNNNNNNNNNNNNNNNNNNNNNNNNNNNNNNNNNNNNNNNNNNNNNNNNNNNNNNNNNNNNNNNNNNNNNNNNNNNNNNNNNNNNNNNNNNNNNNNNNNNNNNNNNNNNNNNNNNNNNNNNNNNNNNNNNNNNNNNNNNNNNNNNNNNNNNNNNNNNNNNNNNNNNNNNNNNNNNNNNNNNNNNNNNNNNNNNNNNNNNNNNNNNNNNNNNNNNNNNNNNNNNNNNNNNNNNNNNNNNNNNNNNNNNNNNNNNNNNNNNNNNNNNNNNNNNNNNNNNNNNNNNNNNNNNNNNNNNNNNNNNNNNNNNNNNNNNNNNNNNNNNNNNNNNNNNNNNNNNNNNNNNNNNNNNNNNNNNNNNNNNNNNNNNNNNNNNNNNNNNNNNNNNNNNNNNNNNNNNNNNNNNNNNNNNNNNNNNNNNNNNNNNNNNNNNNNNNNNNNNNNNNNNNNNNNNNNNNNNNNNNNNNNNNNNNNNNNNNNNNNNNNNNNNNNNNNNNNNNNNNNNNNNNNNNNNNNNNNNNNNNNNNNNNNNNNNNNNNNNNNNNNNNNNNNNNNNNNNNNNNNNNNNNNNNNNNNNNNNNNNNNNNNNNNNNNNNNNNNNNNNNNNNNNNNNNNNNNNNNNNNNNNNNNNNNNNNNNNNNNNNNNNNNNNNNNNNNNNNNNNNNNNNNNNNNNNNNNNNNNNNNNNNNNNNNNNNNNNNNNNNNNNNNNNNNNNNNNNNNNNNNNNNNNNNNNNNNNNNNNNNNNNNNNNNNNNNNNNNNNNNNNNNNNNNNNNNNNNNNNNNNNNNNNNNNNNNNNNNNNNNNNNNNNNNNNNNNNNNNNNNNNUUUUGCUAGCUUUGUGUUCCGCUUCUCGCCAUAACAAAAUCUUUCUACAGUCUGAGAAACGUCUGUGGUGGGCAUUAAUUGAUUGAAGAAAGGUCACCUAAUGAGCUUUUUUGUAACCUUAUGGAUUAUUAAAUCCUUGCACACCAUUAAUUUUUCUUUUAUCAGAUAAGGCCAUGAAUGUAUGCUUUUUUUUUUCAAGAGUAGGAGAAUUUAAAUAUGGCGAGUUCUUCCAUCUCUUUCUUUAGCUUUUGUAUUUACCCUUUUUUUCCUUUGCAUGCUCUUCAUGGGAGAUUGAUCUGUCUAUGGAAUCAUCUCUUUCCAGAUUUGCUCCAAGAUUAUUACAAGAGCAUACUGGAUGUCAUUGAGCAACCGUCAUCUUGAACUUGGCAGUUACCGUUUGUUUAUGUCCGCUCUUUUGAAAAUCGAUAUUAAUUCGAAGAUGAGUACCAUUGCUGAGAAUGUCUUGAGUUUGAGCCAGGAUAACCCAUCAGAAUAAUUUUUAAAGUUUUAUUGGUUUUCUAAAUUGAGUAGGUUUCUUGCAAUGGAAUUUUAUUUUUUUUGAUAAAAAUAUUAAAUAAAUAUGAGAUGAAAUUCUACUUGAUUUUUACGCACUAAGAGGCAUGUUUGAAUUUUCUUUGUGUGAAUUUUCUGAAUGAGUUCUUUGUGAAAAAAUGUGAGGUAACAAUUAACGGUUUGUUUUGAUUGAGAUUGGAGGCUAGAAAACACUUGAGUGAUCAAACAAUGUCAAAUUCUAUACUUUUUGGAUUCAUAGUGGAUUUCUGGGCAGUUAGCUCUUUUUAUGAAGUAUGUAUUGACAUUCAAACAAAAUCAUAUAAUUCUCUUAUGUUAUUAUUGUUCUUUGUCGAGUUCUCUUGUAAUAUAUUUUUCUUGCGUUAAACUUUAGUUAUUUUCACAAUAGAGUUGUUGCGAACCUCCUGAGGUGAGAUCUCUAAAGGAGGUGGCUUGAGUGGUUGUACUCACGAGGGGGCGCCUACGAUUAGCAUUGGUUCUCCAAAGAUUUAUCGUUUAUAACUUGAUUUUCUUUUUAAUUACUUAGUUUAAUUCACUUAGAAGCCGCCACUAACAUAUAAUGGAUCGGUUAUGAGCCGUGUAAGGCAAGGGAGUUGCCCUUACUACUACAAAUAAGAGAUUCACAAGUCUAGGAACUUGGUUACUCUAUAUGAAAUUUAGCGUUCUUUCGGUGCCUCAUCUCUUUUAUGUGAAAACAAUUUGCAUGCGAUUUCUUCAAUUAUGUUUUGUAAGUCCCAACACAUAUAAAUGAUAAUAUGCAUGGGUGCUCAAGCAAUAAAAAUUAAAUCAAGCAAAAAUGAUAAAUAAAGAAUGAGGAAAAUAAAGACAGGAGCCUUAUAAUGUAAAAUUUAAACAAGGCCUUGUUAUUAACUCUCACAGGAUUUUGAAGAACCACAUGCACUAAACGUGACUAAUAUUAAUAUUUAAUCUGAUUCAUUUUGCGAUCAAUCAAAGAAAUUAUUGGCCGCUAUCAUCCAUAAAAUUCUCUAGUAAUAUUCCGCCGGCUUUUGUGUCAUGUGCAUUUAUUCCAUAAGUUCUAUUUAUUUUGUAAAAACUAAAUGAUUUACAACACGGUUUCCUAAAAUUGAUUACAAUAAAUAAUAAAUAAAUAAAUGAAAAAUAUUUUUGUCGUCCAUGAAAAUUAUCAAACAUAAAUUGUUGUAUAUAAUGAUAACAUUUUAAUAUUUUCCCUCAACUAAUUAUUUCAUGUGGUGCAAGCAAUUAUUUUUAUAAAUAUAUUUUCUAAAUCAUUUAUUUAAUGCAAAAAAAAAAAAAAACGAAGCGUUACAAAUAAUUGAUGUACUUCAUUAAUUUUUAUCGUAAAAACAAAAUCUUCCUUAUAAUUUAAUUAAAAAUCAAAAGUUUCUGCUUCUUCAAAUAAAAUACUUUUUAUCUUUCCGUUGAACCAUUUCACUAUUGAUGGAUAUAUGUUGAUGUGGACCGUCUACCUAAAUACCAAGUUAACUAAGCAAUACAAAAAUUAAAAAUAAACAAAAUGCUAACCCAUCUUCCCGGAAAAACAAAAUCCAAGCCCUAAAUUACCCGCGUCCUAAACCUCCCCCACCACCGGUUACCGCUCUCCACCAUCAUCAACCAUCACCCCUGUGCCUUGGACCACCCUACCAACACUCGCUGUGGUCCCUCGGAUCCAAGCAGUGAGCGGCAGUGGAUGCUGUGGGGUCAUGGCUAUAAGUGCCUCAAGCUCGAAUGGCCAUGGAUGACUCAAGCUCGAGCAGAUAGUGGACAUGGCAAUGUCACGACCUCGGGCAGCAGGCAGCCAUGAAUGUUGCGAGCUCGAGCUCAAGCAGAUCAUGGCCAUGGAUGCUGCAAGCUCAAGCGGAUUGUGGCCAUGAUGGAUCACCUCCAUUGAUGCCAGCAGAUCAUGGCCGGUGAGCGACCAUAGCUGCAAGAUGAGAUAAGGGAGAGGGAGAGGGAGAGGGAGAGAGAGUCGCUUUCUCUUCCUCGAGAUCUUGGUCUUAGCUCGCAGCAAAAGCAGUCCCUGUUUUUGGUUCGUUACACCAUUUACUCUUCCACAGCACCACUUACUGUAGCCUAGCUUCUCUGGUUCGCUCCAGAACGUGGUGUACCCGAGUGGUUUAGUUACCGCAAUGCCGGACAUUUCAUGGGCAUUGACAUACCUUCAAACAACCACAAGUCCUCGACGGGCCGCUGGAUAUUCCCCACUCCGGGAUAUCAGUUCUACACAAGUGUACAUCAGUUAGGUCCUACAUUUUUUUGUUAAGCUACAGAUUGCCUUUGGUCUCCUCAGAUGACAUAAAUUGGCAUGUCAUUGGUCUCCAGGUACUACAGAUUGGCAGGAAAUGUCGAGCCAUACUGAUGCUGUGUUCAAGAUCUCCAACCUCAGGUUAAUGGUGGCCCUGAGUGCGGUGUUGAACUGCUAAACAUCUUCCCUGCUUAAUUGAAUCGUUGCUCUUUCGACUCGUUUCCCUCUAUUGCCGAGAAAACCAGUUACUGAAUUCAUCUUGACCACAUAUGAACUACGAGUGCCCACACAUGACUAAAGCUUUGAAGCAUAAGCAAAUAGAUAGACGUCCUAGAUUGUCCAUUAAUUGACUUAUCAGGACACGAAGUCAUCAAUUAGUUUACAUGCAACAAACCAAGCACAGUUCAUGCUCAGAUAAACUAAGGAGAAAGUUCAACAUUUGCCAUUAGUUUCUGCUAAAGUAAUGUCCACAGACCCCAUAAUCUCAUUCACAUAAAGAGCAAAUUNNNNNNNNNNNNNNNNNNNNNNNNNNNNNNNNNNNNNNNNNNNNNNNNNNNNNNNNNNNNNNNNNNNNNNNNNNNNNNNNNNNNNNNNNNNNNNNNNNNNUGAUCCUGAGAAAUUCAGUACAAUGCCUUCUUCCGCGUGAGAGACUUGAUGCCAUGAAAAAUGUUGACUUCACCAGUCACGUAAAGAUAUAAACCUCAUCAUAUCCCUUCCUACUGUCAUUCAAAUGUAACACUUCAGUCAGUAAAUCACAAAUCAUGAGCAAAACUGAUGAAGAAAUGCAAUGGAUAGAUAGCAUCAGGGCUUACCUGCUUUCCCACAAUAGGUGGGACUGUAAUUAUAUAUCAGAUUGUCGAGCACUUUUCAGGCAGAAGCCUGGUUUACAGACUUCCAAGCCUCACCACAGGAUAACAAGUGAGAAUUAGAAGUUCUCCCUUCAAACUGAGUGAAAAUUUUUACAAUAAGCACAGUUCAUGUAACCAUAUUCGUGUAUAAUAUAUGAUAUUUUAAGAACAUUGAUAAGGAAAUUUCAAACGCAACUUGCUUUGCAGCAUAAAAUUACUGAACAAAUGCUGACCUGACAAAGAAGUUGGCUAUAUGCUGUAUAAAGGCAUCAUCUAAGUUUACCUCAAGGCAGUAAGUCUAAACAUACUUCACAGAAUAGGGAAGUGGAAAACAUGAUCCCAAGAACAAUCACUAAUUUAGCUCCCUAAGAUAAUGUAAGCAAAUGAAUCAUGUUUAAGUCAAAGCCAUAUAAAAAAAAAAGGAUCGUGUCCUCUAUAACAUGAUAAACUCAAAAUUGCCUAGUCUCCAAAUUUUGCCAAACCAAUUCUGCAAGACUCAGGCAAGUUGUGGCACAAGCUCUUCACUGAAGAAAUCAAAAACCACAAAAUCAGGAGGCAUCGCAAGAAACUAGUAUUGAUCAAUAUGUGUUAGAAUCUACAACGGCAAGAAGUCAAUUUCUACGCGCGUCAUGAAUCUUACUUUUUUUCUCCUGACAACGGGAAAUACAUCCAAAACCAGUUACCGAUCUGCGCGCGUCGUGAGAAUCUUCUUAAAAAUGGAGGGAUACUGGAGGGGGAACCAAACACUCACGUAUCGACACGAGAGAGAGAGAGAUCGAAGACGACGAAAAAGCAGAAAUUACGAGAUCGAAAAUCGAAAGAGGGAAAGAAAGUCGAACGAUGCCACUUGCGCUUAUCGGAAACGAGGGCCACGAUCUCGUCGGCGAUCCCUAGGGUUUCCGCCUGCCUGGCAUCAUCUUUGCUCCGAAGCUCCGAUCGAUACGGGGAGGUUGUCCUUCUGACCGAUGAUUUCGGGCGGCGCCUCGAAGAAGAAUCCGAUUGCGCCUUCCCCUGCUAGGGCUCAAUCCCGAUCCAAUUUUCUCGCCAUUUCUGUGCGGCGUCCCGGGGAAUUAUUUCGGGCAGGGGGCUUUUAUAGUGCGCGCUCAGCACGAAAGCAAAUCUGGAAAUAGAAAAAACCAGGUUCUUGUAUUUUUCACGCUGAGAAUCCAUACGAAAAUUUGUAACGAUUAUGAAAUCCUUGUUGUGAU
rnacentral:lncRNA from 1 species